UUAAUAUGUCAUGCAUCAUCCCUAUGUCACGCAUCAUCCCUUGAUUGCGCAUAUUAAUUACCAUGUGUAUCGUGUAUGCUUAUACUUUCCUUUUAUGUCAUGUAUUUGCUUCUUCCUCGCUAGUCUUCGAUUCCUACGACGACGACUACACUUGUGUUCUUCUUCCAGGAUCCUUGCUCAAUUCCGGGCAAUUGAGUACUCCAGGCAAGCAGCCAUUCCUUGACCAUGUUGAUUCUACCUAUUGCCUCUCUCUCAUUCUUGCACUAAGUCACGUUCUCAGUCCUGUCACGAUGCCUUUAGGAUUGCAUAGCUUUAUAGUCAGCUCUACUCAAAUGCCUUUGUCUUGUUACUUGUCCUAUUACCAUGUCACAUGUUUGUUGUUGCCCUACCUCUUGGUCAUUAGAUGUCAUGCUUAGUUGCAAGUCUAGUGUCCUUAUAUCUGGGGUUCCAAAAUUGCUACAUCCACAUGCUACUUUAUGUUAAUUGCAAUUAUUAAAGUGUGAUAUGAUAUUAAACUAUAACAAGGCAACAGUGGAAGGCCGUGCUCUAACGCAUUGGUGUUUUGUUCCAUUGGCGCCGACCUAAGGACUGAGUUCUCAUUUUUGCCGACCCAAGAAACUUCGCGCUAACCGCUCGUGGGAGAAUAUAUGGGUUCCCCCUUGCCUUAGUACUCGUUUCAUAGCUCUUCCAGGGGCCACAUAGUUUGGGCGUUCCAUUUGGCAUUUGCAUUGCAUGCACACAGAGAUUCGUGGAGACUUGUUGGUGACUUUGCAUUCAUAUAGGAUUGCGGCACCUGACCACUGAACCACUACCAGCUGUCCACGCAACUCUUGAGUCCGUACGACACUUCGGCCGGGCUCUCGUUUCGGAUUAGAUUCAGUUGGGUGGUUCCCUGGAUUAGUUGUGAGGCUUGGAAACGUCGUGUCACCCAAUCCUGCCGACACACGCCUUUGUGUGUUCCUACUCGAGUGGCAACAAGGGUUGGACGAACGUGUACGGGUAAAUUGGCACACUUUGCAGGGAUAAAUCUUUCGGAAAGCCGUGUCCGCGGUCAUGGACGACUUGGUUGGUCAUUACUUCAUCAUAGAGAACUUAACCAACUUAAUCUCAACCACUUGACUAGUAAUUAGGGAUUAUUCAUGGAUAUGCUUAAACUGCUUAAGUGUGAGUGUCCUUUGGAUUGCUUCGUCAUAGGGUGUUGAGGGGGUGAUAUGAGGAUUGUGAUACGGGUGGGGGUGGCCCGAUCUUUCGAUGAGAUUGGUAACUCUCGAUUUGGGUAGGAGGUGACGUUGAUGAUCCGACUACGGCCUAGGAGGCAGCGCCUUAGCAACCGAUACACCAACUCCAAAGGGUUAUUGAUCACGCGGGGGCACGAUCAACCUGACCACGAAGGUCUUUGUUCCUGCAAGCAAUCGAAGAACAAGCAAGAACAAGAUAAAUAGCGGAUGCAAUCUAAAAUUGCGAAUAUACUAUAUCAAACCAAUGUCUCAACGAGACGAUAAGUUGGGGUUCCGAAAGCGGUAAAACAGGUGGUCUAACCGACACACGCGAUUACACGAAGUAGUAGCGAUGGCUAACUUUUAACUAAACAAAACCCAAGGCUCCAUAGGGGGCUCAUGGGGUAUAAAUAGGAGGAGGGAGAGAUACUUUCGUCCACCUUGAGUAAGGAGGCCGAAAUCCAACUCUAUCUCUAACUUCCCUAACAAACUACAACUCUUUAGGAAACAGAAAAACAGAUCCGUCAGCUUGUUUUGUCCGCCACGGUCAGCACGAGUCGAAUCUCUUGAUGGGGCCAGAUCCGUUGGAAAGGUCUUGUAAUUACCUUUCCAACAAGUACUUGUUUGCUUGAUUUGGACUCCGGAUGCGUCCUGGGUGAUUAAAACAAAUUCGGGUCUCCUGGCAGCUCGGACCCGAAUCGGAUUCAAAUUUAAUUCGUGAUAUCUUUCUCUAGCAAGCUCCGAAUCAUGUGCCGUUUGAUUUGUUGGAAAGUACAAUUGAAAUCCUUCCCUCUCAGCUGUAUGAAUGCUUGAUUCUUGUUGGCCCUCCCGUUCGCCUCCAUCGUAUCUCAUCUUGACCUUGGACUUGAAAAGCUCGACAAGAUGCCUACGUAAUAAAACGAGACAAGAUAGUAGUAGCUCCGCCUCUUCAUAAAUAUGACAAUGAAAACAAUUACUACUUGAAUUCACCUGAUUAUAAAUCUUGUCAAAUAUUAUAGAAUUGAGGGUACCAAAGGUCGUAUCCAUGGUUAGCAUGUCCAUAUCAGAUUGUGUUGUUUGGUGUUUAGUAAAUAGGUUAAUCACCUCACUUGGUAGACACUUCUUAUCCUUUACUUAGACGAUGUUAUUAGUGUGUCUCUCCAGAUAUAUCUGCUGCUGCAUAACCCCACUUUACCCUCCUUUGAGACAUGUUGCAUACUAGCAUAGAUCUCCCCAUAAGUCUUGCGAGUACUUUGUACUCAGUUGCUUUGCAACGUUGUUUUCUUCAGAGGUUCUAGCAGAGCAGGUGAGCCGCUAGCUUCUUCGUGGAGCACGAUGUUGGAUUCGAUGUUUAGCCAGGAGACUCGUGGUGGGUUUCCUUCAAGCUUCCAGCCUCUUCAGGCCAUGCUGUAUUCUUGUCCGUACUCGGGCAUAAUUCGACUUCCGCUGAUGUAAUGAUGUAAUGUUGGGACAUGUGUCCUCUCUUUGUAAUAUUUGUUAUUCUACUCCUUGUACGAGCUUUGUAGCUACUCUCUUCUGUAGAGUUUUGGUGAUGAUAUUCAUGUUACAAAAUCCUGCGAUGAGCACAUUAAUGCGUGUAUGUAUUGAGGUGUUUAUCAUAGGUUAAGAACCCGAGGCUUGAAUUAUACAAAGGUUAGCAAUUUUGGGCUAAAUUGUAUAAUUCCGGUCCCGGGGUCUUACAACUACGUGGUCAAUACAUUGAAUGUAUUGGCAAGUUCACCUGAAAGUUAUAACAGACCUAACAAUGUACAUGCAGUAUAUGGCAAGGUGGGGUUUGGCUAUUUGCAUAAAAGCAUCAAUGUUUCAUCCUAUCAUUUUUAACCAAUUAGUUUUAUCACUAUUGGACACGGGGUAGAAACACCCAUGCUCCUAUUAGCCUAGAGCACAAUUGAGUAGAUACAUUGUAACAUCCCAAAAUUUCAAACUUUGACAUAUGCAUUGCAUCCAUGAGCAUCAUGCCACAAUUGCAUUUUUGAUUUCAAAUUUGAAAAAGGCUUUAAAAGAUUUUAUUUCAAUUUAAACCCUAGGGUUUACACCCAUUUGAGCCUUGGAUUUUCAAACCAAUAGGGUUUAACUAUAAAUGGGGUCUAUUGCAUAUAUGAGCUAUCCCAUAAUUUUUAAGGUUAUAUUUGGAGUUGAAAAAGUAUUUUAUUUAAAUAGUUAUAUAGCACUAAAGGCAUUCAUAGGGCAAAUGUAUUUUUAUAUAAUUUAUUUUGAGGGGAAAUUACUCCCAAAAGUUAUACCAUGGUAAAGCAUGAUUUUACAAAUUUUCUGAAAUUUAUUUGGACCAAUUUGGAGUUCAAAAUCAAAGGAUAUCAAAGAAAUAAGAAAAACAGAAAAAGAAAAGGCUAAAAGAAAAAAAAAAGGGAGAAAACCGGACCGGCCCGGCCAAAUGGGCCGAACCGGCCCUGUUGCGCGCGCCCGGACCAGUCCGAGCCGGCCCCGCGCCACGCGCGCCUGCGCCGAGCCACUGACGCGUGGGACCCACGUGUCAGGGUCGUUUUUCUUGGAACGAAAGCGCCUGCGUCCACCGCGCCGCCUGCCAUUUCCGCCGCCGCGCCCUCUCCGCCGCAAUCUCCUCGUCCCGAACUUCCCGAAGUGCCCUGCCCGCGUCAUAUUAAAUCUCUCCCCCUCCUCUCUUUUUUCCCUCUUCUCGCCGCCUCGAUUACGCGCCCACGCCGCCCCGAUUCUUCGCCGAAGAGCUCCGCCACCGCCGCCAUUCUGGCGUCGCGCCCGACCUCGCCAGUGAGCCAUUCCGCCCGCGGUUUCAAAUUUCCGGAGCCCCUCGCGCUUGCUUCGCACGUUUUGACGCGUUCUUUUUGUCGUUUGAUGCACCGUAGCGCCGCCCCCGUCGACGCCUGAAGCUCGCCGGAGCCCGUGAUCGCGCCGCCGUCGCCAUUGCUGUUUUAGGCGAGCUCCCCGCCGUACCCGAGCGCCGCCGACCCCGUCACCGAGCUCGCCGUGCCGCGCCGCUCCGUCCCCGCACCUCCCCAUCAUGCCAGCCUCACCGGAGACGCCGCCCGCCGCCCGCCCGUGCCGCGCCGCCACCCGAGAAGCUCGCCGGAACCCUAGGUUCCCGGAGGUGAGAUCCCGACCGUUGGAUCUUGAUCAACGGUGUAGAUUAGAUCGGAUUAAUUCUUUUAAUCGAACCGGUACCAACCAAUUAGGAGCUGACACGUGGCACCUAUUCUAUAGAACGAAAAUCAAAUUUUAAUCCCUUGGAAUAAUUAAAUGGCACUUUUGCAGAAAAGCCCCUGUAACUUCAAAUGAUCAUAUCUUUUAAUCUGUUUAGCCAAAUUUAAUGAUCCACACCUUUUUGGAAUCCUUAGGAAAUGUAUAAUCUUUUGGCACUAUCCAUUUUCAAAUUUGAAUUUUUGAAUCACAUUCAAAUUACAGAAUAAGGUUUAACACCAUUUAAAUCAUAACUAAUUAUUUAGAAGGUCUUUUUGAAUGAAACCAGUGCCCAAAAUUUAAUUUUGUUAUCCUCUGUCCAAUGGGACAGAGAAAUAAAUAUUUUGAAUUAAUUUAUUUGGCUGAUGCAAAUAAAACCAUAUUUUAUGGUUUAAACCCUAGCCUUUGCCUUUCUAUUUAAAACCCUAAUGCAUUUGUUUUAAUUACUUAUGCUUAGGAUCAGUAGAUCACCCAAAUAAAAUAAACCAAGCUCAUGUCACAUGUUUUACAUGGCAUCAUGGCAUACGUUUUUUUUUCACUCUUGAUUGUAUUGUGUGUUUAUGUAUGCAAUGUUUGUAUUUGAUUAGUUUGCUCUGAGAGCGAACUGUGUGAUUGCGAAGAGUGUUUGAAUACCAACUACUAUCAAGGCAAGUUCACUUUGAUCAUUCACCUAUUACUUUAUUAUGCACUAGAUUUUAUUAGUUGCAUUGUUAGGACUAGUAUUGUAUCUAUGCUAUGCUAUGAUUCUCCUACUAGUGUAGGAUACCUUUGCCAUGUCCCCACCACCAAUUGCCAUCGUGGUAGUAAAAUGUUAGGCUAUGAUAAUAUAUGAGGGUGGUAUUAUUACAAUGUGAUACUAUUGAAUUACAAUAUGGUUUUCCUAGUGUAUGGCAAAACAAGUAAUUCAAUGAACUGUCCUGGGUGGGCUGCUUUGAGGAAGUGAAGAUGUAUGUGACGUCAGGUCCAUUUCUAUGGGUCCAUUUCUAUGAGUCGUCUCGCCAUUUCUAUAGGAGCGCCUGCGUUGCAACUGAGGAAUGCCACCCGGGGUAACCAGAGACUGGACUAGUUUCCUGUUUAGUAGCUUCUAGUACAACCACAUGGUAUUAUGGGCUCUGCUAGGAUAGAUGUAAGAAAUAUGAACCUGGAUCCGAGGUGACAUCGGUAUGUAGCAGUGUAGGUUGGAACGCGUCCCUCAGUUGGUUUGGGGGAAUAUGUUCUGAAAAUUCCUAUAAUCGAUGCCGUUGCUACUCUACCCUGAGGACAGAAAGGGAUUAACACGUCGAUUUCUUGUGGGUAAAGUGUACCACCUCUCGAGAGUGUCAAACUAAGUACUUAGCCGUGUCCCCGGUUACGGACAAUUAUGAGCAACUAGAUAUUGGGGCUGUAAGGAAGGUCUCACUCAUUCCAAUUUUCCUAACAAAAUGAAUGGUUUGAACCGGGCCGGAGCAUUGAUUUUUCUACUCAAUGUGCCUAGGUUAAUAGAAGCAUGGGUGUUUCUACCCUGUGUCCAAUAGAAUUCAAAACUAUUUGUUUAAAAAUGAUAGGAUUGAACUAUGAUGCUUUUAUGCAAACAACCAAACUCCACAUAGCCAAAUUAUGCAUGUACUUGGUAGGUCCUUUAUAACUCUGGUGAACUUGCCAAUACAUUCAAAUGUAUUGACCAAGUAGUGGCUGCAAUUAACAAUGCAGGUGGAUCCGACGAUGAGUAAGGUUCGUCGUUUUGUCGUGGGUCAUGUGCUUACAUUCCAACAUGCUCUCACCUUGGAGUAGUUGAGGCCCUUUUUGUUUUACCCUUUUCCGCUGCAGUUUUGAAACAUUGUUUUAUGAUGAUGAAACAAUAUUUGUUUUAUGCUGGCCCAAGAGGUCAUGCGAGGUUGUAAGUACUAUUUAAAUUCUGGAUGAUGCGAUGUAAUAAAGUACUUUUGACUUUUGUUUCUGUAUACUUCAUCAUGAAACUGUGUGUGCUAGUGAGUCGAUCCAGGGAGUAGCAGAGUAAGCACAGAGAUCGAACCCUAGUAAGGGGGAGGAUCGCUUCAGAUGGUAUCAGAGCAAUUUGUUGCCUGUAGGAACGUGACACUAGUUUUGAUUACGAUAAUACAGACCAAAGACCAAACAUUAGAAUUAUUUCUUAUCCCUAUCUGGUCUUUAUAUUGUAUACUUUAUUCCUUAUCCUUAUUUCAUCUGAAUCUUUGCAUUUAUAUCUUACAUAGACAUGACAUGUUUAUUCCACAAAAACACCAAAUACUAUGCUUUAUACCAUAUAUGAAUGUUUAUUAUAUUAUACCACAGAUGUAUAUUUAUUCUUAUUAUACCAUCCACCACUAUAAUCAUGUUGCCAAUGUUAUUCACAUAUCAGUAUGCACCCAAUUUAAUAUUUGCAUUUCCACCUUUGACAUUAAUGUUUAUCACUUUAUUCUCACUCUACCACUUUUAUUUUUAUUCAUACAUACAUCCGACCAUUUGAUCAUGUCACUGAUACUCCCUUAUCUACUUCCUUUGUUUUCUAUAGAUGGGAAGCCCAACACCGUUCGGCAACGUACCGCCGUUCACCCGCGUCUACUACCCCUCCACGGACGACGACCAGUUGUUCAGUGCCCCUUUGGCGGCGCUGUGUGCAUUCCUCGACCUGCCACAUCCCAGGUUCAGAGGCCGAGUCGAGACCGCCACACCCGAGGGAUGGCAGCCAUGGUGGGAGAUCGAGGCGAAGAUCCGCGGGCGUGAGAUCGUGCCAGCUACGCUGGAUAUCACCUUCAUCAGCCGCUACCCCACCUUCGAGCAGGGCCUUCAGUUCGCCAUGCAGUUCGCCUUCGCACAGGUGUGCCGGGACUAUCAGCACGAGUUCCUCGAGGACUCCCCCUUCCUCCUCUUUGGAAGGCUGAACCAUGCAUGCUCGGCAGUGGCUACAACCAACGACGAGGAUGCAACCCCAGUGACGACCCACUUCGAGAACAUGGAGAUAAACAAAGUGGACUUGGAGUCUUGCCUCGAGCACGAGAUGACCAUGGCCGACCUAGCCGAGGAGCAGGUUGGUAAUCUGAUGGGAGAGAAGACCUAGUGGCUGGAGGACAAGGCCGUGUUGGAGAACACUGUCCUCAACAUGGGAGACGCCAUCGAGCAGCUGUAGUAUGAGAUGGACCAGGCUCGCUACUACUACGAGCAGUUCCAGCCGCACCAGCUGCAGCACCGGCGCCCGUCCAGAUUCCAUGUCCGCCACAGGAUCAGGAGAUGGAGCCUCAGGAGGAGGAACCGACUGAGGAGGAGGAGCCCCAGGAGGUCCACGAGAUGGACACCCCUGCCACCAACACCCGCUCUAAGAGGAAGGCGAACGGGACUGCACCAUCAGCCACACUCCCCUAGAUUUGUUGAUGCUUGCCAGACUUUUUCUUUUCUUUUCAUUAUCAGUAUUGCGAGUUAGUCAUUGACCAUACAAUCUAUGUGUAUGGCAAUGUAGGACGAUUGCUUUUCCUCGUACCCUUUUCUCAUGGGCAGUACCCCGUCAUGAACACGUGUGUUUUCGCUAUAAUUUCCCAAAACCUUUUAUGAUUGAUUGAGUGUAGGAUUGAGAUAUGCUUGAGUUACAUCUUGUUUGGGGGUUUAGUCAUCCUUAGCUCUAUUCUAUCUGUUUCCUCAUCUAUGCUACCCUAAACAAAUGCCUCCAAGACGCCAGAACCCCACCAACAACGCCGAGGCUAACAAUGCCGACGCAGAAGGGAAUGCUGCAACCAUGCAACAACCGUUGGCAACACAGACCCAAUUCUUUCAGAUGAUCACUCAACAAAUGGCCAACAACAACAACAACAAUCAGCAGAACAACAACAACAAGCAGCACCACCCACCUCAAGUGGAUAUGCUGACCAGAUUUCUGCGUUUACGCCCGCCUACCUUUUCCAGCUCCACUGAGCCCAUUAUGGCUGACGAUUGGCUUCAUUCAGUCAACAAGAAUUUGGUCACCAUCAACUGCACUGAGGAAGAGAAAGCGCGGUUUGCAGCGCAUUUGCUAGAAGGACCCGCAGCAUCUUGGUGGGAGAAUUUUCAGAUCACUACCCCCAUCGAGGAUGUCACUUGGGACAUGUUCCAGGAGACCUUCUGCACCGCCCACAUCUCUGUGGGAGUGCUCAGCUUGAAGAAGAAGGAAUUACACAGGCUACGUCAAGGAAGCCGCUCUAUGACGGAAUACAUAGAAGUUUUCAACCAGCUGUCCCGCUACGUGCCGGACGAUGUGAACACCGACGCCAAGCGCAGGGAGAAGUUCUUGGACGGUCUGAACGACGAACUGUCGGUUCAACUUGCUGUUGCUUACACCCCCACUUACCUGUCCUUGAUUGACAAGGCCAUCAUUUUGGAAAGUAAGCUCACUCAAAUGGAAAGCCGCAAGAAGAGACUUCACCAAGGAGGCUUUCACACUAGCCCGCACCAGAAGCAGCGCACCUCCUAUGAUGGAAGCGGCAGUUCCACUUUGAGCAGGAACGGGAACCAGAGCAACCACCGCAGUGGAAGUAAUGGUCACAACCACCGCCAGGGAAACCAAGGACACCACCACCAGGAUGGCAAUGGGAACCGGCACCAUCAGCAGCAUCAGUUCGCUCGCCCAAGGCCCAUCAAUGGCAAUGGCAAUGGCAGGAACAACGGCAAUGGCCAGAGCAACAAUGGUCAGAACCACAAUGCCAACAAGGACAUGAGCAAGGUGGAAUGCUUUAACUGUCACAAGAUGGGACACUACGCCACCAACUGCCCGGAGAACCAGGAUAGCACUGGGAACAAGCCCAAUCCAUUCCAGAAGGGCCACGUGAAUCACGUGGACGUGGAAGAGAUCACCGAGGAACCAGGUAUCAUACUUGGCACCUUCCACAUUAAUGCUUUGCAAGUACUAGUUCUAUUUGACACUAGAGCAUCACAUGCAUUCAUUUCAAGAGUAUUGGUAGAAAGAGGCAAACUACCCUCUGAGACCAUGGGUAGACCUAUGAAAGUAAACUCACCGGGUGGAACAAUAGUAGCAACCCGACACUGCCACCAGUUACCCCUAAGUAUUGGGAGACACACUUUUCCCUCUGAUCUCAUAGUUAUAAAUUCCCGAGGACUGGACCUAAUCCUGGGAAUGGACUGGUUGACACUAUAUGAGGGAUUAGUAGACUAUGCCCAGAGGAGUGUCACACUCACAACCCCAGACAAGAGACGCAUCAGGUACAAGUCAACCCACGAGAUUAAGAAACCCAAGGUAAAUGCUCUUAAGGGGGUUAGCAUGGACGAAGUACCGAUAGUGAAGGAAUACCCGGACGUAUUUCCAGAGGAAUUACCAAGCAUGCCACCAGACUGUGAUGUCGAGUUCCUCAUUGAGUUAAUGCCAGGAAGUGGACCCAUAGCCAAGAGACCAUAUAAGAUGGCUGUGGAUGAAUUAAAGGAGUUAAAGAAACAGCUAGCUGAACAGUUAGCGAAAGGGUUCAACCGCCCCAGUUCAUCACCGUGGGGAGCACCUGUCCUGUUUGUGGAGAAGAAGGACAAGAGCCAACAGAUGUAUAUCGAUUAUCGGUCACUAAACGAGGUGACGAUAAAGAAUAAGUAUCCUUUGCCCAUAAUCAAUGAUCUGUUCGAUCAAUUGAAGGGAGCUCAAGUGUUCUCAUAGAUCGAUCUGCGAUCAGGGUAUUUCCAGCUGAAGAUCCGAGAGAUGGAUAUACGCAAGACGACAUUCACCAUUAGGUAUGGACUGUAUGAGUACACCGUGAUGCCUUUUGGAUUGACCAAUGCACCUGCAUACUUCAUGAACAUGAUGAACAAGGUGUUCAUGGAAUUCUUGGACAAGUUUGUCGUAGUAUUCAUCGAUGACAUAUUGAUCUAUUCCAAGAGCAAGGAAGAGCAUGAGCAGCAUCUGCGCAUGAUUUUGGAGAAGUUGAGAGCGCACCAGCUGUACGCCAAAUUCUACAAGUGUGAAUUUUGGUUAUCAGAAGUCAGCUUUCUUGGACACAUAGUGUCAUGAGCCGGAGUAGCUGUUGACCCAGCUAAAGUUGCAGUAGUUACAAAAUGGGAGGCACCGAAGAACGUCGGAGAAGUCCGCAGUUUCCUUGGACUUGCUGGUUACUACCGAAGGUUCAUCGAGAAUUUCUCCAAAAUAGCGAAACCCAUGACUGAUCUCUUAAAGAAGGAAAAGAAGUUUGCCUGGAACGAGUUCUAUGAAGAGAGCUUCCAGGAAUUGAAGAAAAGACUAGUGUCUGCGCCCAUCCUUGUUUUACCUAACCUGCAGGAGGAUUUUCAAGUGUACUGUGACGCCUCACGUCAAGGAUUGGGAGGAGUCUUAAUGCAAGGAGGUAGAGUUGUAGCGUACGCUUCGCGACAACUGAAAAGCCAUGAGGGCAACUACCCCACACAUGAUCUAGAAUUGGCUUCGGUAGUGCACGCCUUAAAGACUUGGAGACACUACCUGAUGGGGAAGCACUGUGAGUUGUUCACAGAUCAUAAGAGCCUGAAGUAUAUAUUCACCCAGAAGGAGUUGAAUCUGAGAUAGCGGAGAUGGUUACAACUGAUAAAGGAUUAUGACCUGAGUCUGCAAUACCAUCCCGGCAAGGCUAACAUUGUAGCCAAUGCAUUGAGCCGCAAGGGCUAUAUAAAUGGACUGACAGCUGGAUAGUCACCGCCAGAGUUGUGCAAACAGUUCAAGGACUUGAGACUUGAGAUAGUGCCUGAAGGAUAUCUGGCCACUUUGGAAGUACAGCCCACGUUGCUGGAUAGGAUCAGAAAAGUACAGAAGGGCGACUCUGAAAUAAAUUAGAUAAAAGAGAAUAUGGUUGCCGAGAAAGCAAAGGAUUUUCGUGAAGAUGACCAAGGAACCAUAUGGUUCGGAAAACGCAUUUGCGUACCGCAGGAUCUGGAAAUCAGAAAGCUGAUUUUACAAGAAGCCCAUGACUCACCGUACUCAAUCCACCCUGGAAACACAAAGAUGUACAUGGACCUCAAGGAAACAUUUUGGUGGUCCAGAUUGAAGCGAGACAUCGCAGAGUUCAUUGCCUUGUGUGAUGUGUGCAGGAGAGUAAAGGCAGAACACCAGAAGCCAGCAGGAUUGCUAAGACCGCUGCCAAUAUCGGACUGGAAAUGGGAUAAAGUAGGCAUGGACUUUAUCACUGGUUUGCCAAGGACCAGGUCAAGAUAUGAUUCCAUUUGGGUAGUUGUUGACCGUUUGACCAAGGUUGCCCAUUUCAUACCAGUGAAGACCACUUACACCAAUGCACAGUUAGCGAAACGCUACAUAUCCAGAAUAGUGUGUUUACACGGAGUACCCAAGGAAAUAGUUUUAGACAGAGGUACCCAGUUUACCUCAAGAUUUUGGGGACAACUACAUGAGUCUCUAGGAACGAGAAUAGAGUUCAACACAACUUUUCAUCCGCAGACGGAUGGACAAACCGAGAGGGUUAAUUAGAUCCUUGAAGACAUGUUGAGAGCCUGCGCUGUAGAUUAUGGAUCCAGUUGGGAUGACAACCUGCCGUAUGCAUCUCAAAAAUUUCAAACUUUUACAUGUGCAUUGCAUCCAUGAGCAUCAUGCCAUAAUUGCACAUUUGAAUUCAAAUUUGAAUCUCAAAAUGUUUUAAAAGAUUUUUAUUUCAAUUUAAACCCUAGGGUUUACACCCAUUUGAGCCUUCGAUCUUCAAACCAUUAAGGUUUAUUUAUAAAAAGGGGUUUAUUUCAUAAAUGAGCUAUCCCAUAAAUUUUGGAUAAUUAUUUGGAGUUGAAAAAGUAUUUUAUUUAAAUAGUUAUAUAACCCUAAAGGCAUUUAUAGGGCAAAUGUAUUUUUAUACAUUUUAUUUUGAGGGGAAAUUACUCCCAAAAGUUGUAUCAGGAUAAAACAUGAUUUUACAAAAAAAUUGGAAUUUAUUUGGACCAAUUUGGAGUUCAAAAUCAAAAGAUAUCAAAGAAAUAAGAAAAACAGAAAAAGAAAAGGCUAAAAGAAAAAAAAAGGAGAAAGCCGGACCGGCCCGGCCAAAUGGGCUGAACCGGCCCAGAACCGCCGCGCCGAACCGAGCGAGCCGGCCCCACCCGCCCGAUCUGCCCGCGCGCGCGCCCGCUGCGACUAACGCGUGGGACCGUGACGCGCUUAGGAAAGCCCCGCCCCGUCGCCACGAUUCCCGGACGCCGUCCCCCCGCGCCAUCGCCGCUCCCCGCUAAUCCCGACCUUCCCGAAACCCGCCGACCGGGUCCAUAUAAAGCCCGAGCGCCCCUCUCUUAUUUCCUUCUGCUCUCCCCCUCGACUCCGCCGUCCCCGAGCGCCGCCAACCGCGUCCCCGACUCCGCCUCGUCGCGCUGCGCCCGACGCGCGCCUCCCUGUCGCUGGAACCGCCCACCGCCGCCCGCCCGUGUCGCGCCGCCACCGGAGCUACUCACCAGAACCCUGGGUUCCCGGAGGUGAGAUCUCGUCCGUCCAUUCCUAAUCAACGGGUCAGAUUAGAUCGAUUUAUUUCACUUAAACGAACCGGUACCGACGAAUGAGAACGUGACACGUGGCACCUAUUUUAUAAAAUGAAAAUCUAAUUUUAAUUCCCGGAAUAAUUAGAAAUGGCACUUUUGCAAAAAAGCCCCUGUAACUUCAAAUGAUCAUAACUUUACCUUUGGCCAAAUUUGACAAACUUUACCUUUUUGGAAAGCUCUCAACCUGUAGAAUCUUUUGGCACUGUCCAAUUUCAAAUUUGAAUAUUUUAAUCACAUUCAAAUUACAGAAUAGUGGUUAAUGCCAUUUAAAUCAUAACUAAUUAUUUAGAAGUCUUUUUUAAAUGAAACCAGUGCCCAAAAAUUUGUUUUGAUAUCCUCUGUCCACUGAGACAGAGAAAUAAAUAUUUUUAAUUAAAUUAUUUGGCUGAUGCCAAUAAAACUAUAAUUUAAGGUUUUAAUAAUUUGUUUUUGCUCUUUUUGUUUAAAACCCUAAUGCAUUUGUUUUAAUUACUUAUGCUUAGGAUCAGUUGAUCACCCAAAUAAAAUAAACCCAAUCAGGUCACCUUUUUGCAUUGAGCAUACAUUCUUUUGUCAUGAUUGAAUUGUGUGUUUAUGUGUCUGUGUAUUGUUUGUAUUUGAAUAGUUUUCUCGGAGAGCGAACCUUGUGAUUGUGACGUUUGUUUGAACUCCAACUGCUACCAAGGCAAGUUCACUUUGAUCAUAUCCUAUUACUGUUUGUUUUUAAAAAACUUAUGCAUUAGAGUUGUUUGUAGAAAUGCAUUGAUAGGACUAUUACUCGUAUUUAUGCUAGCUAUGAUUGACCUACUAGCUAUAGGGUUACCUUUUCCAUGAAUCCUCCACCAAUAGCCAUCGUGAUUAGUAUUGCUUAGCCAUGCUAUGUUAGUAAGCAUGGGAGGGAAUCUCAAUCACUGUGAAAUGAUGAUGUGGAGUGAUUUUGGAAACUUGGCAAAAACAACCCUAAUGAACCAUCCUGGGUGGGCUGCUUUGAGUAUUCGAGAUGUUAUGCAACGUCAGGUCCAUUUCUAUGGGUCCCUCUGAGUCGAGUCUCCGUGGAUACGGAGAUGGAUCGUCCAUGGACGUCUCUUCCGUGGAUUCAGGGAGCGCUUGCGUCGCAAAUGUGGAAUGCCACCUGGGGUAUCAGAGACUAGACUAGUUUUCUGUUUAGUAGCUUUCAGUACAACCACAAGCUAAAUGGGCUCUGACUGGAUGGAGUAAGAAAUAUGAACCCAGAUCCGACGGAUUGUACUGAGGUAGUUGUGUAGGUGGGAGCGCGGGUCCCUCAGGUGGUCUGGAGGAUUAUGUUCUGAAAAUUCUUGAAGUCGAUGCCGUUGCUACUCCACCCGGAGGACAGCAAGGGAUUAACACGUCGAUUUCUCGUGGGGAAUGUGUACAACCUCUCGAGAGUGUCAAACUAAGUACUUAGCCGUGUCCCCAGUUACGGACAAUCAUGAGCAACUAGAUAUUGGGGCUGUAAGGAAAGUCUCACUGAUUCCAACUUCUUAAAUAAAAUGAAUGGUUUGAACAGGUUAGGGGCACUUGAUGUUUCAACUCAAUGUGCUCUAGGUUAAUAGGAGCAUGGGUGUUUAUACCCCGUGUCCAUUAGUUAACAAUAUUGUAACACUCUCUUGUCGUAAGAUAAACUAUGUUUUGCUACCACGCCAUAAAGCUUGAACCCCACUAUACCUCAAUUGCAUAUACUUGGUAGGAUCUGUUAUAACUUCCAGGUGAGCUUGCCAAUACAUUCGAUGUAUUGACCACGUAGUGGCUGCAAUUAAUAAUGCAGGUGAAUCUGACGAAGAGUGAGGUUCGUCGAUGUUCUUUGGCUCAUGUGCUUACAUUCCAACAUGCUCUCUCCUCUGGGAGUAGAUGAGGCCCAUUUGCUCUACCUUUCCGCUGCAGUUUUAUGAUACAAUGUUAUCAUGGUUUUGAAACAAUAUUUGUUUAUGAUGGCCUAAGAGGUCAUGCAAGUUUGUAAGUACAAUUAAAUUCUGGAUGAUACGAUGUAAUAAAGUACAUUUUGACUAUGGUAUCUUGGUAUUACAUCUUGAACUGUGUGUGCUAAUGAGUCGAUCCAGCGACUAGCACAAAUAAGCACAGAGAUCGAACCCUAGUGAGGGGGAGGAUCGCUUCAGGCGUGCCCGGUGGGGCUCGUAGAAGAUAAGGUUAGCCUUUGGUCCACAUGUCAGUGUGACAUUGGCGGUCCAUAAAUAGGAGCACCACCCCUCCCAGGAUAGGGGUCCUUCACUUAGUCAUCUAGGGUUUUCCCCUUCUUUUUCUUCCUCAAGAAAACUGCUCAAGGAGCAGCAUUGUAGCCCUCGGUAUCUCGGGUAAUACUACAAAGCAGGAGUAGGAGUUUUACCUCAACAAGAGGGCUCCGAACCUAGGUAAACCGUGUGUGUGUUCUAAUCACAUCCUCCCUCCUCCGGUUCCUCCUUCGUCCAUCAGCCCCAACAUAAGCCAUCCUAUGGCAUCUGCCGUGACACCACCACGACACCGGGGAAGCCCCUCCGGCAACCCAAGGAGACCCCGCAGCUGAGGGGCACCAUACCACUGAACUUGUUGCAUGCUUGAGUCGGGUACCGCCACCUUGGGGCACGGAUAUUAUUCGUUACCUGAAGGACGGAACCCUCCCGGAAGAAACAUUGCCUCGGAACGAGUAGCCCGGCAAGAAAAGAUGUACGCUCUGGUAGAUGGGGAUCUCUACUGGAGGCGUCCAAACGGAGUUAUGCUCCUCUACGUGCCCCGGCAGGAAGGGCGCAUGGUGCUGGAGGAUAUCCAUCGAGGCACAUGUUCCCACCACGUGGCCUCCAGGACACUAGCUGGGAAAGCGUUCCGGCAUGGCUUCUACUGGCCAACAGCCUUAGUCGAUGCCGAGCAACUAGUCAAGACCUGUGAAGCAUGUCAGUUUCACACCAAGAAGAGCAAUCAGCCAGCUCAAGCCCUGCAAGUCAUCCCGUCCUCAUGGCCGUUCGUGGUUUGAGGGCUGGACAUCGUCGGCAAGAUGCUGAGAGCUGUCGGCGGUUACGAGUAUCUCCUUGUAGCCAUUGACAAGUUCUCAAAAUGCGUCGAGGUGGAGCCUGUGCGAGCUGUCGCAGCGCAGGCGGCCAUCAAGUUCUUCAAGAGCAUUGUGUGCCGGUUUGGUGUGCCUAACAGCAUCAUCACCGAUAAUGGCACACAAUUCACUAGUGCGGUGUUCCGAGCUUACUGCGAGGACAUGGGCACUAAAAUCCACUUCGCCUCUGUCGCUCAUCCAAGGAGGAACGGGCAACUGGAGCGCGCCAACGCAGAAGUGCUGCGGGGGCUCAAGACGAGAACCUUUGACAAGUUAAAGGGCCACGGGAAACACUGGGUCGAAGAACUCUAGCCCGUGCUGUGGUCAAUUCGGACCACACCAAGUCGGGCGGCAGGCCAAACUCCGUUUGCCCUCGUCUACAGGGCAGAAGCUGUGAUGCCCCUCGAGCUCAAGCAUGGGUCACCUCGUGUACGCACGUACGGCGACGAGAGCCAACACGCCCAGAGGAUUGAUGACCUUAGCUUCAUCGAGGAGAUUCGAUGCCAGGCUGCUGUGCAAGCUACAGGCUACCAACAGGGGCUCCGUCGUUAUCACGACAGGAGAGUGCGUCCCCGGGGGCUCGAGGUUGGAGACCUCGUCCUGCGCCGGAUACAAGGAGCGAAGGCCGAGAACAAGUUGACUCCAAACUGGAAAGGCCCUUUCCAGGUAGUGCAGGUGACCAGACCGGGGGCUGUCCGGCUGGAAACCGAAGAAGGUUUGCCGGUGCCCAAUAGCUGGAAUAUUGAGCACCUGCACAAGUUCUACCCGUGAAACGGUGGCGCCUUACCCAUGGGUGACGCUGUGGCAGCGUGCCCCUUUAAGCUAGUGUAGCUGGGCAAGGCCCGAUUGUAAUCCGCUAGCACAAAGAUGAGUAAAGAUAAGUGUUGUUUCAAUCAAUAUUGUGUUUACUAUUAAUGUUUGCUUCUGUCUUAAUGUUUGCUUCUGUCUCCUGCUCUAGGUGCACAGAAUUGUCUCUUCAUCCAUGGCUGUGAGCAGGGGGCUGCCGGAACAACGAAAACCAAGCUCGUUCUCGGGACAUCCCGGAACGAGGCCUAGCAGUUGCUGAACUCCGUUCACAACGUGCUACCUGCAUGCUCACACCCAAGUUUGAGGUCGACUCUUCUGUGCCCGGGGGCUGGGAGGCAGGAGGUUAUCCAGUUUGUGCUGUUUUUCGUGCAUUUUGAAAACUUUUCUGUGCACCAUGGGCAUGGCAAGAAUCUGACAUGCAGGGUAAAGAUGGGGACGAAGGCACACUGUGAUACUCAUGGGGCGGUCAUGGGUGUCGUUGUCUUGCGAGUAAGUUGUACAUAUAUGGCAAUUACUUCGAGGCUUGAUGCAGGACACUGAGACAGGGCCAGUGCCUCCACGCUCCUACCGGUGGUUCCGCGUGCGUGGCGGCAAGGGCAGCACUUCGGCUAUUUAAAGACCGGAGCAAGCACAAUACCAACAAUGAGCAAGAAGGAAGUGAUGUCACAAAGAGGCGAUGGUGGUGCAUCCCUCUGCGCUUGUCGCUGAGGGUGUUCCCACCAUCGCGGCCCUGCCACAUCACUUAGAAGAGAAUACCAGAGGAGGAAACACCAAAGGCGAGAGGCGUAGCGAAGACGCGGUGGUGGUGCAUGCCUCCGCGUGUGCUGCUGGAGGGUGCACUGUCACCGCGUCCUUGUCGCGACUCUCAACAGGGUGCUCAGAAUGCUGAGAGAACAGAAAGCUAAGUACUUCAUUUCGAGUCCUUAGUUCUUCCUUUAAUCGCACUAGUUUGCCAAGGUAAGUUCAGUCCCCGUGUAGCCGGAGUGUAGGAAGGACGCCUGCGGGGGGAGGACGCCCCCACAAUGGGUCACACAGAUAUACAGAGUUCUAUGAAGAUGAGGAUGCCAACUACAACUACUAGGAGGAUCCCGAUGAGUGAGGUCACGUGGACUACCUCGACUGCCUCUGGCUGAGAUGGAGUCUCUACGCAUUUUAUUUCCGCUGAUUUUCUGAUUGUAUUAAUGUCAUGAGACAUUGCACUUUGUAAGUCUUUUUGCAUAUGAAUAAUAAAGUUUAUUUUAUGUUUACUUUGUUGUGCAAUGGUACUCAUUUUGUCUGUGUUCAUCAGCUUAAUCUUGGACUGAUGAAGUGAAACACAUGGAGGGUCUGGAAGUUAAUUCCGGGUUCUCAUAGUUGUUCUUAAGUUGGGUUGUUGUUUGGCUGUUUCAGGCCAAUUGAUGUUUUAUUUGAAUUCGGCGAGCAUGAAUUCUCGGGGUCAGUCGGGCGCCUGCCACGUGUAUGAGCCCCAACCACCAAUAUCGAAUGCAAGUGUUUGGUUUAAGUUUCGUCGGUUGUCGGUUUCCUGCAUCUGCAUGUGGUUUCCAUGUUGAAUCCUCGCAUUUUGUUAAGGUUCUUGUUUUGCUUUACGAUGAUGCUUAAAAGUGGGGUGUUUGACUAGGAGCAGCUUCAUAUGGCAAAGAGGAAGUAAUCGGUAAGGGGAAUGCAAUUUACCAGAAAAGCGUAACAUGCAACAUAGUGUUUAAGUCUUUGGUGCAGCAAAAGAAGAGCGAAAGCUAAGUGGUGCUGUGGGAGCUCAUUCCGCGCCGGGAUAUGGGGGCUGCUCGUUGGACCCAGGUUCUGCGUUGGGCAGAUGGAUCCGAUCCUUCACCUUUGCAACUAGGUCGGCCACCGCGGCCUCAUGCGGAGCGGCAUCCUCUUCCGAGCACAUUCGGCGAGGAGGGGCUCGAGGACCUGACCAAGUAAGCGGAGGUGGGAGCGGGAGAGGAGACGCCGAACCACCACUCCCGCCGCCGCCCUGCCCACGGUGACCACGCGCUCCCUCACCCUGGAGGUCAAGUUCCUCAGCUCUCAGAGCAGCUCAAAGAAGAACCUGGAGGCGGAAGCCACGUCUAUCGGAUCCAACUCCGGUGGGUUGAGGCCGAGCUCCGGCAUCAAGUUGACGAUGCAACCCCCCAAGUGGACCAAGUAUUUGCAGCUAAUCUGGUCCAUUCGGGAGAGGCUCUGGGAAUCCGCCGUGCUUGCUCCGGCGAGUCGGUCAAGCCUCGGAUGGCAUGCUCCUCAUUGGCAAUGAUGUGGGCCGCCCUUCGGGUCUCGGCUUUGGCCUCCCUUUCGACCAACGGAGCGAAGGCCCGUUCGUCACUCAGCUACUGCACCUCUUGCUGGUGCUGGCUGGCCGCAAGUUGGGCACGGGCAUUCGUGCCCACCUGGCGCUUCUCUAGGCUGAUGAUCUCCUCCUGCAGCGUUGCGACUGUCUUGUGGCGCCGGUCGAAGCGCUCUCGCCAAUCCUUCAUCAAUGCGACAUGAUCACCAGCCAACUGGGGCGCGCUACGCGGAUUCAAUGUGAAGCUCCGCCUACAGUAUCACCACCCGUGCCUGGAGGUCAGACGCCACUGUGGCCGGAGCCGCAUACGUGCUUGUGCAGCGGGCCCAAGGGAUGCCACCUCCGAUCUCAGCUCCCGCACCCGCUCCCUAGGUGAGUCGAAAAGCGUGUGGGCGAGCUGGACCUGCUUGGCGAUGCGGUUGUGGUCAACCUCCAGCUGGUUGAUCGCUGCUCUCGCCUGCUCGUACAGGUGGCGGUCGUCGAUGAGUUGGAGUGGGAACUCUGGCAUAUUUGGCGUCACCGGCAUUCGCAGCCCCAGCAGGGGCCACCGGCGAAGAAGGGGCGGUCGCACGGGCUCCGAACGCCGGGUGGGGCUCCGGGGAUGUGCGCCCACCUGUGCUAGGAGAUGCUCCUGCGGGGGGUGGAGGGGCUGAGCCGGCGCCUCCUGCAGGGGUAGAAGAGGAAGGCCCUGAUGCAACAGAAAGAGUAAGGGAGCUGAGGCAAGAGAGAAAAGAAGAUUCGGUACGAGCCGGAGAGUGUACCUGCCGCAGAAGAUACCCCAGCCUGGCCCACCGAGGCGGAGUCGGAGUAAUAGAGGCCCGGGGGCUGCCUGCAACGUCCCCCGCCGGUGGUUGGGGUCGCGGUCCUCCCUCCGGGGACGCUUUGCAAGCUUCUUCACGCCCAUGCUGAGUGGUGAAGAAAGUUAGGAAGGAUGGGAAAACACAACAGGGAAGAGAAACAAGGAAGUAGCAAACCCAACGGCCUGGCGCUUCGACAUGGUCCGGGUAAGGCCACCGCUGAGGAUAUUUUUCAUGCCCCCGUGGCUGGCCAUAGGAGCGGGGGUCUACAGCGAGCCCCUAGGGAUGGUCGGAGAAGCAGCCCUCACGGAGGCCGCCCUGGGCUCGGGCUUGAACCCCCCGCGGCCUCACUGACAGGUGCGGACCCUGGCCUGCUCGCGGGGGUUGGAGAAGAAGUCCGCGAGGGAGCAUGAGGCUAGCCCUCCUCCGUGCCCGAAGCAAUGUUGAUGGGGUUGGCCGCCUCACCUAGCUCGCUGGCGGCUGCGCUGGUUUCCUGACAGGCGCUGUCAGGCUCGGCGGUGGAUGCAAGGUUGUCCUUGGCGUCGGUGUGUGCUUCACCAACAAUUCACCACUCGUCGCACAAUGGAACUCUGCCGAUGAUGGCCACGAGGUUUCGCUCGCUUGCACUAAGGACGGCGACACAUUCAAAGACGCUCAUGUUCGAGCUCCGGAUGCCGAUGAGCUCGAUGGUGCAGUUUUCGACCGCGCUCGCUAUUGGUGGCCAGUGGGAUGGAGGCGUGUGCGAUAACCAAGCGGGGUGGGAUCGCUCGUGGAGUGGGGCGAUUCCACGACGCAAGAAGUCCACGAUGACAUGCCACCCGGUUAACCCAACCCUGGCCAGGGCAAGGAUGCGCUCGAGGAUCACCCCAAACUGGUCAGCUUGCCAUGGCGCCCGCAUCCCGCCCAGCCGACGUGCGGGCCGGUCCGGUGGGACAUGAAUGGAGUCAUGGCAAGCGGGGAAUGAAAGAUGGCACCACGCAAACCGGUGCUUGCCCCAUUGUCGUCGGGAACCGGGAUGACAGCUUCCUCCAUCUCGUCGCGUGCGAUGAAGGAGAUAGAACCGGAGAAUGGAGAUGUCGUCGCUCGGUGCUCCGACACCGGGGGCGUGCAGCCACGUCCCCCUUUCAGGUUCGGUAGGGGCGUCGGGGGUGGAGACCAGAUGAUCACCGGCACGGCCGACGAGGCCCUACUAGGCCGGCGAGGCAAAGUGCUAGGGGUACGCGCUAGUCCAAGAACAGACGUACGCACGAUUUUUACCCAGGCUCGGGCCACCCGGAGGUGUAAAACCCUACGUCCUGCCUAUCUGAGCUGAUAUUGAUUACGGAUCAAAUGUUUACAGGUUGCCAGGCAAGCUCCCGGGCUUUCUCUCAGUGGCUAGGCACUCCUCACCGCUCUCUGCUGGCUGCAUACUGGAGCCACUAAGCAUCUAUCGAGCAAACUUCGUCCGAACCAAUUAACUGACCAACUGACUAACCCGUCAACCCUCUCUUCCUCCAUAGACCGUUGGCAUGGGUCCUCCUUUUAUACACAAGGGGAUGCCACAUGUGCCACGGUGCAUGGGCUACAAGUGUCCAACGGGGAGGCAUGCAACUCUCCCUGGUGAGUUGGUGGCAUGCAUGGGUGCCACCUCCGCUGCUAGGGGCCUAAGACCCUAGGGUAGGAUUGGACAACCACUGUUCCUUCGACCCGACGGGUAACUACCCGUCGGUCGGCUCGUUUACUGAGCCGCGCGCCUUACUCCUUGCCUUGGUGGGACCGCGCGUUCCGUGCCCGCCACGCGCCCGUGUGGCACUGUCCAGUGGGCCCCACGACCUGAGGCGGGGGCACGCGUCCGGGAGCCUCCAGCCCCCGCAAGUCGGCCCAGGAAGCACUCGGGCCCAGCGCGCCCGGGAACCUCCUCCCGGGAAGCAGCUUCCCGGGAGGUGCCUAAUCGGGAAUAUUCCUGGAAGCCCCGCUAGCCCAUUUCGGGCUGGUAGCUUGCCGGGAAGCUCGUUGGCGCUCCCCGGGAUGAGACCUUCCCGGGAACUCGGGGGAGGGGGCCACGCGUCGCGCAGCGGUGGUACCCCGGGUGCCACUGGUGCGACAGUAGCCCCCGGGCGUGGGCCGGCAUCACCUGUCCCCGGAAGGGUCUCUUCCUAGCCGGUUGCCGGGCUACGCCCUUAACCGACGCGUGGGCCCCCGAUCAGUUGCAGGCCCGCGUCCCUUCGCUGCCCCGUGUACGGCACCGCCAAAAGCGGAGUAGUGGGCGCGAGAUUUCCGCCCUAAUCCCCCCCCCCCUAAAUGGGGUAGCUAUGGCCACUCCGCGCAUUACUCGCAGUGAUUAGGAGUUAUCCCCGCGCACCCGUAGGGUAUGGAAUCGGCUGUUACCAAACGACCGGGCGUCAUAAAGCUUCCACUGUUGGCAACGGGGAGCAACACUUUGCCCUUUCGCCUCCAUCCUCUUCCGCAUCUCGCAUCCCUGCGCUCUUGCCAGCUUCCACCCUCGCUCCUCAUGGCGCCCCCCACCACCAGAAAGGGGAAGGAGGUCCAGUCUUCGAAGAAGACCGCGACCAGCAAGACCGAGGCGGCACUCAAAGCGGCCGCCGCCAAGGACCAGAAGAGGCGGGAGAUGCGCGCGAAAGUAGCCUUCUUCCGCCCCGGCUACAACGGCGAGGCGCUGGCGAAGCUCCGGCACGCCGUCGCCUCCAACUUCAACGAGCACGGGGAGACGCGGAUUUCCCGGCGGGCGUCGAACACCAAGAUAACAACUUCCGGGUGUUCGCGCGCUUCCUCCUCUGCGGCAUGGUGCCGCCCUUCUCUCUGUUCCUCCACGCGCUGAUGGAGUCCUAUCAGCUGCGGGUGGCGCAGCUCCACCCCACCUCGCUCUUCCUCCUCGCCACCUUCCUGUUCCUCUGCGAGGCGUUUGUGGGGGUGAUGCCGUCGGUGGGGCUCUUCCGGCAUUACUUUUACCCGCGCAUCGACAAUGCGAAGGCGAUGUCGUCGGGGGUGGUUUUCCGUGCCCGCGACCAGAUGAAGUCGGAGUUCAUCGUCCGGUCGGGGAAGAAGAUCGAAAAAGAAUGGCAGGGCAACUGGUGCUGGGUCUGAGUGGAGGACCCCCAGGAGUUCAUCCAGCCGCCGACGGGGCUGCCGGUGCCCCAUAUCGGCUGGCAGGAUAGGUACCGCCGCGAUGCCGACCUCCUCCCCAUCGUUAAAGGCAAAAGCUGUCCAGUGGGCCCCACGACCCGAGGCGGGGGCACGCGUCCGGGAGCCUCCAGUCCCCGCAAGUCGGCCCGGGAAGCACCCGGGCCCAGCGCGCCCGGGAACCUCCUCCCGGGAAGCAGCUUCCCGGGAGGUGCCUAAUCGGGAAUAUUCCUGGAAGCCCCGCUAGCCCAUUUCGGGCUGGUAGCUUGCCGGGAAACUCGUUGGCGCUCCCCGGGAUGAGACCUUCCUGGGAACCCGGGGGAGGGGGCCACGCGUCGCGCAGCGGUGGUACCCCGGGUGCCACUGGUGCGAUAGUGCGGGCUCGAGCGCGCGUCCCGGCAAGGGGCGAGGGCUCCGGGAGGAGGCCGCCAAAGUGAAGAAGCUGCCCCUCCAAGCCGGCGACAAGGAGCGCACCGUUACCGUCGAUGCGAACCUAACCGCCGAAUAGGAAAGCGCCCUCGUCACCUUCCUCCGGGAAAAUGCCGAUGUGUUCGCCUGGGAACCGUCGGACCUUCCCGGAGUCCCCAGGGAAGUGAUUGAGCAUCGGCUCGCGGUGCGCCCGGACGCGCACCCCGUCAAGCAGAAGAUCCGGCGGCAGGCACAAGAGCGGAAAGAUUUUAUCAAGCAAGAAUUGGGCAAGCUCAGGGCUGCCGGGGCGAUCAGGGAAGUUUUGUACCCCACUUGGCAGGCUAACCCUGUAGUGGUGCCCAAAGCGGGGAAUAAGCUUCGCAUGUGUGUGGAUUUUACCGAUCUUAAUCGUGCAUGCCCCAAGGAUCCCUUCCCUGUACCCCGUAUCGACCAGAUAGUUGAUUCUACCGCUGGUUGUGACCUGUUGAGUUUUUUGGAUGCUUUCUCCGGCUACCAUCAAAUCAAGAUGGCGGUCGAGGAUGAGGAAAAGACAGCGUUUAUCACCCCGGUUGGCUACUACUGCUAUACAUGCAUGUCUUUCGGGUUGAAGAACGUGGGCUCCACAUUCCAGCGCGCCCUGCGAGAAUGUUUGGGGCCCUAGCUAGGCCACAACGCGGAGGCCUAGAUGGAUGACAUCGUCAUCAAAUCGAAGCGUAGGGACUCCCUGAUUGAUGACCUGCGGGAGACAUUUGACAACCUCCGCAAGAUCAAGCUCGGACUGAACCCGGAUAAGUGCAACUUCGGGGUCAACUCCGGGCAGCUUCUGGGUUUCUUGGUUUCACACUGGGGGAUACAGGCCAACCCGACCAAAAUAGAAGCCAUCGAGAAGAUGGAGGCCCCCCGCAAGGUGAAAGAUGUCCAGCGCCUCAACGGCUGCGUUGCCGCGCUUGGAUGCUUCAUCUCCAGGCUGGGCGAGCGUGCCCUGCCUUUCUUCCGGGUAAUGAAGAAGAAGGGUCCAGUCGACUGGAUUGUCGAGGCCGAGGCGGCGCUCCAGGAACUCAAGCGAUACCUGAGGUCACCGCCCAUCCUCGUCGCCCCCAAGUUGGGCGAGCCGCUGCUACUCUACCUAGCGGCGACUGACCAGGUGGUCAGCUCGGUGCUGGUUGCCGAGAGGGAGGAAGACGUCCCGGGGAUUGGGGCUGCGGGGCAGGUGGCGGAGCAGCCUCUGGCAACCACCUCAAGCCCAGGGACCACCCCAGAGCCGGCAACCUCGGCGCCGCGGAAGCGGUUGGUGCAGCGACCGGUGUACUUCGUCAGUACGGUGUUGCGCGACGCGCGGACAAGAUACCCGCAAGUACAGAAGCUCCUUCUGGGGAUUCUCCUUGCGUCCCGCAAGUUGUGCCAUUACUUCCAGGCGCACCGCGUCACGGUGGUUUCCGGGUUCUGCCUCGGGAAGACCCUCACCAACCGUGAAGCCACCGGGAGAGUGGGCGAAUGGAGGAUGGAGCUGUCGGAGUUCGACCUCCACUUUGCCAACUCCAAAAGCAUCAAGAGCACAGCCCUGGCGGACUUCGUCGCGGAGUGGACGUCCACGGGCGUAGAAGAAAGUGAGUCGGAGACCGGCCUUCCCGGCAAGCUGGACGAGGGUACUUCGACGGUGCGUUCAGUCUCCAGGGAGCGGGAGCCGGGGUCGUCAUCGAGUCACCCACAGGGGACCAGCUGCGGUUCACCGUCCAACUCGACUUCGCUAACUCCACCAACAACACGGCGGAGUACGAAGGCCUGCUUGCCGGGCUGCGGUCGCCCUAGACAUUAAGCGCCUGGUUGUUCGCGGUGAUUCCCAGCUUGUGAUCAACCAAGUGAACAAGGACUACGAUUGCCCUCAAAUGGCGCCGUACGUGGAAAAGGUCCGCAAGCUGGAACGGAAGUUCAAGGGUUUGCGCUUCGAACAUGUCAAGCGGAAGGACAACUUCGCUGCUGAUGAGCUGGCCAAGAUGGCAGCAGAGCACCGGAAGCCUCCGGCGGGGGUGUUCUGUCAGAAGCAACUGGCUCCUUCAGUCACCCCCCAGACGGCUGCCGAGGACGCCCCUUCAGCAACCGAGGGACCCCUUGCAGCAGCAGGGGUCCAUGCCGCUGAUAUUGCGGCAUGCACGGGCAGAGAAAUUCCUCCCUGGGCGGAAGAGAUCGCCCGCUAUUUGAAAUGGGAGGCUCUCCCGGAGGAUGACGUCGCCGCGGAGCACGUAGCGUGGCGAGCCAAGAUGUACACCGUGAUAGACGGCAGCGUCUACCGCAGGCGUGCGAAUGGUGUAAAACUCCUCUGCGUGCCGCAGGAGGAAGGGUGUGCACUGUUGGAGGACAUACAUCGAGGCACAUGUUCACACCAUGUGGCCUCCCGGGCUUUAGCCGGCAAGGCUUUCCAGUAUGGUUUUUACUGGCUCACGGCCCUGGCCGACGCAGAGCGGAUGGUGAGGAUGUGCAAAUCGUGCCAGUUCCACUCGAAGAAGAGCAACCAAGCAGCCCAGGCCCUGCAUGCCAUCCCGUCCUCAUGGCCGUUCGCGGUCUGGGGACUAGACAUCGUCGGCAAGCUACCAAGGGCGGUUGGCGGUUACGAAUACUUGUUUGUGGCCGUCGACAAGUUCUCCAAAUGGGUGGAGGUGGAACCAGUGCGCAAGGUGACCGCCUAGUCGGCCAUCAAGUUCCUUAAGGGCAUUGUGUGCCGGUUCGGGGUUCCCAACAGCAUCAUCACCGAUAACGGCACGCAAUUCACGAGCGCAGCGUUUCGCGCCUACUGUGAAGACAUGGGCACUAAGUUGCGCUUCGCGUCCGUCGCUCACCCGAGGAGCAACGGACAGGCAGAGCGAGCCAACGCAGAGGUUCUGCGGGGGCUCAAGACGAGAACCUUUGACCAGCUCAAAGGCCACGGGAAGCACUGGAUCGAAGAACUCCAGCCCGUGCUGUGGUCCGUUCGGACCACACCUAGUCGGGCAACGGGCGAAACUCCUUUCGCCCUUGUCUACGGGGCAGAAGCGGUGCUGCCCCUCGAGCUCAAGUACGGAUCUCCCCGAGUACGCGCGUACGGCGACGCCAGCCAACAUGAGCAAAGGGUCGACGAUCUAAACUUCAUCGAAGAGCUUCGGUGCCGGGCUGCUGUGCGAGCCGCGCGCUACCAGCAGGGACUCCGUCGUUAUCACGACAGACGAGUCCGUCCCCGGGGGCUCGAGAAUGGAGACCUUGUCCUGCGUCGGAUACAAGGAACGAAGGCCGGGAACAAGUUGACUCCGAAAUGGGAGGGCCCCUUCCGGGUAGUGCAGGUGACCAGGCCGGGGGCUGUCCGCCUGGAAACCGAAGACGGCUUGCCGGUGCCCAAUAGCUGGAAUAUUGAACACUUGCGCAAGUUCUACCCGUGAAGCGGCAGAGCCCGACCCUCAGGUGAUGCCUCCGAUGCAUACCUCUCGAACUAGUGUAACCGGGCAGCCCCCGUGUGUAAACCGCUAGUUAACUGUGAAUAAAGAUAAGUGUUUCAUCCCUUAGCUUUGUUCUUGCCUUGUUCAUUCGCUUGUUGUCCCCCUCUUGCCUCCUGCUUUAAGUGCACAAAGGUGUCUUUCCCUACUUGGUUGUGAGCAAGGGGCUGUCGUGGCCCCGAAACGAAAACCCGUUGCCGGAUCGUUCCGGCACUGGACAUGCCGUUGGCGGGCUUCCCGCAAGGUGCAUCACUGGUCGUGCCAUUGGCGGGCUUCUCGCAACGUGCACCACUAGGCGUGCGGUUGCUCGGCCUCCCGCCGCCCGCACCGCGCAGUCGCUGCGCCCGGGAAGGAAAUGCUCACAUCCAAGUUUGGCAUCGACCCCUUUGUGCCGGAGGCUGGGAAGCAGGAGAGAUGAGAUUUAUCUGAUUUACCUGUGUUACUUGUUUUCAUAAGUUUCGAAAUUUUUUCGGCACCUCAGAUCUGGUAAGAGUCUAACCUGCAGGAAAGGGAGGAAUCUUGUACACUGUGGUGCCUGUGAGCUGCCCACGGGGCACACCAUACACUGGUGCCUUGUGGUGCGGGAGGACCGCAACACAAGGGGUUCACCGCACACCGAGGCUUCUGGGUUGUCGGCUGGCCGCCACGUGUGCCGUGGUUACCCGGUAAGCAUGGCGGCGGAAACGGCGCUGCGUUCGGGGAAAAGGCGCCACGGUGCCGCGCGGAUCCGUCGCGCGCGGUGGCAAGCCGCGGGGAAUUGCUCAGAGCGAAGCCGGGUUCAGGGCCGUGAAAGCAGGUGGUGCGACAGAGGCGCGGAGGUGGUGCUUCCCGCCGGCGCCUAGCACCGGCGGAUGCGCCGCCCUCGCGCCCCUGCCGCACCACCCCAUCGAGCCCACCCCGAGGGGCGCCGCAGAGGCACGGGGGUAGUGCGUGCCAUCGGCGUCCCGCGCCGACAGGUGCACUGCCGUUGUGCACCUGCUGCGCUUCCUCAAAGGGGCGGUUCCGGGGCGAGGGUCGCCGCAGAGGCACUGUGGCGGUGCGUCCCGUCCGCGUCCGGCGCCGACGGGGUGCAUUGCCACAGCGCCCUUGUCGCCCCCCUCCGUAGGACACCUCCGCAAGGAGCAGGGUCGACCGCGGAGACUCUAUGGUAGUGCGUGCCAUCCGUGCCUUGUGCCGGGGGGUGCACUGCCACAGAGACCCGGCCGCAUUCCCUUUGAGAGAGUCUUUUUCGGGCACGGGUCGUUGCGAGGACGCUGUGAUGGCGCCGGUGCCGACGCUCGUCGCUCGUUCCGGCCCAUCACCGCGUCCCUGCCGCGGCCCUCGAGCAGUUUAGCUCCCGGGUAACAAGGGUCGUCGCAUCCCUUGGGGCGAGUUCCCCAGAAAAACCAGGUUUCCCUAGUUGCGGGGGCUGUCGCUGGGAGGCUAUAACUUCCUCGCCACCCGUGCCCGCCGUUCGGGGUGGGGCGCAGCUGGCGGCGAGGACGUUAUAGCCGUCUUGCGGCUGCUCCCGGGGCGGAGUCCUCCUAAACCAGGGUUCCCCCCUGAAGGCCAGGGUCUGUCCCUGAAGGCGAGGGUUGCCGCAUGGGCAUGGUGGUAGCAUCGUCGGCGCCGGUUGCCGCUGGCGGCGAUCCUGCCCCCGCGCUCCUGCUGCAUCCCUCAGAAAUCGUUUCCCUUGAACAGGUACCCCGGGAGGGUCCCUACCAAGGCGGUGCCCCGUCUGCACUCUACCGCAGAGCAUCGCGGAACGUUGGACCAAACGGAAAGCUAAGUAUCUGAACAUGAAUGCUGAAUUCGCUAAGAGCUGAACGAAACUGAGCACUGCCCCGCUGGGUGCGGCCCCGGAUCCCGCGCGUAGCCGGAGUGUUACAAGGGAUGCUUGCGGGGGGAGUGCGCUCCCCAUGUGGCUCCCGGGCCCGCCCCGGGAGGACACGGCUUGCGGGGGGUUACCCCCCAAGCGGCGUGACUCCCCGCUACCGCUUGGCCCCAGGUCGGCACCGCGGGUCCGUCCCGGGUCCCUGGUCUGGUCAAGGGUGAGGCGUGCGCGAGUCCCCCCGCAACACAAGGCAAGACACGCACAGGCUAUGGGAACCACCCCGCGAGGCGGCCUCGGGAAUAAAGGACAAAAAUUGAGCAAACUAACGAGCUUGAUUGACUAGGUGUCGAGUGGUUACAUGGACUAACCAAAAGAGUAUAGCCAGGGGCCGCGGCAGCUAGUUGUCGUCGUCUUUGGUCGGGGGGUCGACGGGGGGUUCAGGCUCCGGCUUCAUCUGCAUCCGCUCGACGACCUCGUCGACGAACUCGCGCACUGCCUGGGUGUGCGUGGGCUCGUCCUCGCUGUCGGACCAAGCGUCCAGCAGGGACUCGAAGGGGAAUUCUGGGUCCCGGAGAUGAAUCCGCGGGAGGAUUGUCCCGGCAACCUCCCGGGCGCAGUUGGCGACUUCGUUGGCGCCGUACUUGGCGAUCCAGACGUCGAGCGCCCCGAGCUUCCCCAACAAGUCGGAGAAGAAGGGGAUCAGCGUCGUGUCGUCCGUGCUGUCCACCUCCGCCGCCUGCAGCUCGAACUUGGGCAGCAAGUCGUGCAGCGACUCGGCGAUCUUCGCCUGCUUCUCCGUCUCGAGCUGCCGCUGCCCGAUCAGCGUGCUGUGAUGGAGUCGGGCGUCUUGCGCGGCCUUCUUGGCCUUGCUGACACGGCCCUCCAGCUUCGAAAGCUCCAAGGCCUGGGCUGCGGUUGCCUCGCCGGCCUUGGCGAGCUCUUCCCGGACGGUGGCCAACUCGUCCUCAAGCCCGGCCGCUUUGCCUUUAACCGAGUUGAGCUCGGCCUCGUGCUGAGUCGCCGCUCUCGCCGCGCCCUCGGUGGCCUUGACCUGCACCUCCAGCAGGACGCGGAGGCCUUCGAUCUCGCCACGAUAGUUGGCGAUCAGCUCGCUCUUCUCGUCCAGCCGUGCCCCGACAACUUCCCCCGCGCCCAGGCUCCGGGACACCGGGGUUGGAGAGGGUUCCCUGCUUCCGACGGGGGUCGUCCCCUGCUGGACGGCGGGUGAGCCCGAGCCGGCCACGUCCGUGGCUUCUGGCGCGUCGCCGGGUGCCGCGGCGGCGGCGGCGGUCCCCACUAUUGCCGCUGUGUCCGUCGCGGCGGGGGCGGACACGGGAGCCGUUUCCGACUCCACCUCCGCCCCCGUGGCCCCGACGACCGUGUCGGGGUCGACCAUGGCCACGCCCGUUCCGGGCGCGGGCGCGCUUGUGUCGGCACCCGUGGAGAAGCAUGAGGGUCGGCGAUGGUUGGUGUUAUUGAAGGCAAAUAGGGGCGACCAGGGCGGUUACCUUGUGCGGCCGUCGGGCUUGCCGAUGCAGCCUCCGCUCCCUCGCCUGCGCCAGCAGGAGCGUCCAAGGGUCUUGCCGCGGGCGAGUUGCCGCUCGCUGCAGAAAGAGAAGGCAUGUUUGUGAAUUUGGCUAGAAGGAAUUGCAGGUGCAGGGAAUCGACGAAGACAUACCUGGUGCCGGCCCUUUCUCCGCUUGGGCUGGGUCGCCGAGGGGCGCGCCCGUGCCGACGCUGGCCCCCGAGGCAGCGGGGUCGGUGGCGCCGCCAGUGUCCGCACGCGUCCUCUUGCUUGGCGAGCCGGUCGGGGAAUCACUCCUCGCCCUCUUGCUGGCGCCCGCCGGCGAGGAGGACUUCGGAGGGUUGCGCCGGAGCGCGAAGCCCCGGAAGACCCCCCGGGCGGGCGGCGGCGUGGGCACCCGCGGUGUCGUCGUGACCCGGAGAACUCCAGGUGUCGAUGGCGAUGCCGCCGCGCCGCCGGGCGCCAAGCUCGCGGAGGCCCCCACUACCGGAGCGAAGGCCGUCGCCGAGGCGCCGAAGGCCCCCGUAGGUGCUGACAUUGCCGGGGUGCCGGCGAGCACCCCGGAGCCGGUUCCCGCCGCGGAGCCGGCGGCCGCCGAGGCACUCGCGGCCCCUGUUGUCGCUGUUGAGGAAGUGGCCUUCGCUCUCCUCGAGCACCUGCUUCCCGCGGGGUGCUUGCGGGGGAGCGUGCGAGACGCGGGUGGGGGUGUCGUCCAUCAGCCCCCACUCAUUGCAGGGCGGGAAGGCGCCGACGAUGUCGCUGAGCGCCUUGACGCCGGCGUGGAGAGCGGAGACCCCCGGCGGGAACUCUAUCGACUGGAAGACCUCGCCGGAGAUCCCCUUCACGCACGUCUUGAGGGACUCCAAGUCCAUGCCGUCCGCCUGCAGGCGUGUCCUGUCCGUGGAGCCCGUGUACAUCCACGCGGGCCGGGAACGCAGCUGCAGCGGGGCUAUGCGCCGAAGGACGAAGGUGCGCGCCACGUCGACAUCUGUGAGCCCCGCUAGCCGCAACGCCUUGAUCUUCUCCACGAUGGGGAGGAGGUCGGCGUCGCGGUGGUACAUAUCCUGCCAGCCGAUCUGGGGCACCGGCAGCCCCGUCGACGGCUGGAUGAACUCCUAGGGGUCCUCCACUCGGACCCAGCACCAGUCGCCCCGCCAUUCUUUUUCGAUCUUCUUCCCCGACCGGACGAUGAACUCCGACUUCAUCUGGUCGCGGUCACGGAAAACCACCCCCGACGACAUCGCCUUCGCAUUAUCGAUGCGCGGGUAAAAGUAGUGCCGGAAGAGCCCCACCGACGGCAUCACCCCCACGAACGCCUCGCAGAGGAACUGGAAGGUGGCGAGGAGGAAGAGCGAGGUGGGGUGGAGCUGCGCCACCCGCAGCUGAUAGGACUCCAUCAGCGCGUGGAGGAACAGAGAGAAGGGCGGCACCAUGCCGCAGAGGAGGAAGCGCGCGAACACCCGGAAGUCGUUAUCCUGGUGUUCGACGCCCGUCGGGAAGAUCCGCGUCUCCCCGUGCUCGUUGAAGUUGGAGGCGACGGCGUGCCGGAGCUUCGCCAGCGCCUCGCCGUUGUAGCCGGGGCGGAAGAAGGCUACUUUCGCGCGCAUCUCCCGCCUCUUCUGGUCCUUGGCGGCGGCCGCUUUGAGUGCCGCCUCGGUCUUGCUGGUCGCGGGCUUCUUCGAAGACUGGACCUCCUUCCCCUUUCUGGUGGUGGGGGGCGCCAUGAGGAGCGAGGGUGGAAGCUGGCAAGAGCGCAGGGAUGCGAGAUGCGGAAGAGGAUGGAGGCGAAAGGGCAAAGUGUUGCUCCCCGUUGCCAACAGUGGAAGCUUUAUGUACCCUAGGGGUGCGCGGGGAUAACUCCUAAUCACUGGGAGUAAUGCGCGGAGUGGCCAUAGCUACCCCAUUUAGGGGGGGGAUUAGGGCGGAAAUCUCGCGCCCACUACUCCGCUUUUGGCGGUGCCGUACACGGGGCAGCGAAGGGACGCGGGCCCGCAACUGAUCGGGGGCCCACGCGUCGGUUAAGGGCGUAGCCCGGCAACCGGCUAGGAAGAGACCCUUCCGGGGACAGGUGAUGCCGGCCCACGCCCGGGGGCUACUGUCGCACCAGUGGCACCCGGGGUACCACCGCUGCGCGACGCGUGGCCCCCUCCCCCGGGUUCCCGGGAAGGUCUCAUCCCGGGGAGCGCCAACGAGCUUCCCGGCAAGCUACCAGCCCAAAAUGGGCUAGCGGGGCUUCCAGGAAUAUUCCCGAUUAGGCACCUCCCGGGAAGCUGCUUCCCGGGAGGAGGUUCCCGGGCGCGCUGGGCCCGGGUGCUUCCCGGGCCGACUGGCGGGGACGGGAGGCUCCCAGACGCGUGCCCCCGCCUCGGGUCGUGGGGCCCACUGGACAGCGCCAGACGGGCGCGUGGUGGGCGCGGCACGCGCGGUCCCACCAAGGCAAGGAGUAAGGUGCGCGGCUCAGUAAACGAGCCGACCGACGGGUAGUUACCCGUCGGGUCGAAGGAACAGUGGUUGUCCAAUCCUACCUUAGGGUCUUAGGCCCCUAGCAGCGGAGGUGGCACCCAUGCAUGCCACCAACUCACCAGGGAGAGUCGCAUGCCUCCCCGUUGGACACUUGUAGCCCAUGCACCGUGGCACAUGUGGCAUCCCCUUGUGUAUAAAAGGAGGACCCAUGCCAACGGUCUAGGGGAGAGGGGUUUUUUUUUAGACGGUUGACGGGUCAGACAGUUGGGAGGAUAGUGAGUUGGUCAGUUGGUUCCAGUAGAUAGCAAGCAGAGAAUAGUAAGGAGUACUUAGACAUUGAGAGGAAACCCAGGAACUGGCCCGGCCAAAACUUGUAAAUGCUUGAUCCGCUAUCAGUAUCAGUUCAGACAGGCAGGACGUAGGGUUUUACACCUCUCGGUGGCCCGAACCUGGAUAAAAAACGGGUGUGCAUUUGUUCUGGUACUAGCGCGCCCUUGGCACUUGGUCUCACCGGCCCCAUAGGGCCUCAUCGGACAUGCCGACGAUAACCGGGUCUCCGCCCCAGACGCCCCUACCGAACCUAAAAGGGGGACGUGGCUGCACGCCCCCGGUGUCGGAGCACCGAGCGACGACACGCACCUCCUCCGGCUAGCCCUUGCGGGGUGGCGCGGGCCUUCUUCGUUGCCGGGGCGUCCCCCUAUAACAUCCCAAUUUUCAAAAUUCUUCAUAUGCAUUGCAUAUCAUAAGCAUCAUGUCACCCUUGCAUCUGAACACUUUCAAAACCCUAAAGUUUUCCCAGAAAACCCUUUUGCAAAAAUGCUUUUAUUUGUUUUUGGGCUUUGAUCUUGCUCUUGACUAUUUGCAUUUUUAACCCAUGAGGGUAUUGUGAUAAAAAGGGAUUUAAUGCAUAUAUAAAGCUAUCCCAUAAUUGGCUUUUGAAAGUAUUUUGAAAAAAAUAAUUUGAUUCGAUAGCCUAAGGGCCAUAAAAGCCAUUUUAUAUGCAAAUAUAUUUUUAAAUAUUUUAUUUUGAGAAAAUUCUUGCUCCAAAAGUUAGAUCAUAUGAAAAUAUGAUUUUACAAAUUUUGUUGCAUUUUAUUUGGAGUGAUUUGGAGCUCCGAAUCAAUUUUGAGGUUCGAAAACAGAAAAUAGAUAAAAGAAAAGGAAAAACCGAGGAAAACCGAACCGGACCGGCUCAGCCCGCCCGAGCCGCCCGCUCUCACUGACCGGUGGGACCCACGCGUCAUCCUCAACCUCCGUCCGAAAAAUCCGGCCACGCACGCCCGCGAACUGCCCAUGACUCCACCUCCGAUUUCUCCGCGCUCAGGCCGUUUUCUCCAAAUCCUUGCGCGUCACCCCGAAGGCCUCGCUUUUCUCCUCCACUUCCCCCAAACCCCACGUUCAAUUUCGCACCGGUUAGAAAGUAAUUGCUCGCCGGAGUUUGUUGCUGCCACCGCCAUUCUUCGCGUUUCUCCGCCGUUCCGGUGAGGUUCUUCCCGCGCCACUCCCCUAGCCUCUCUCCUCUCCCCGUCCCGAACGUCGUGACGCGCUCGCCUUGGCGUUUGGCCGCCGCCGCCGCCUCCGGCCGCCGCGCCGGUCAUCUUCCUCAGCGCCGGCAGCCGUCCGCGCGCCGCCUGGCCGCACCCCUGCCCGCGCCCGUGCGCCGCGCCGCCCGCCGCCCUCCGCACGCUGUCCGUGCCCGCGCAGCCGCCUGCGCCACCCCGCUCCGCCCGCGCGCCGCCUCCGCGCGACCCGCUGCCCCGCGCCGCCCGCCGCCGCCGUGCGCGCGCCGCCCCUGCUGCUCGCCCGCGCUGCCCCUGCCCGCGCCGCCGCCGGCGAGCUAGCCGCCGGCCGGAACCCUAGAAACCGGCCAGUCCCGCGCUGCCACCUGGCAGGGUUUUUUUUAUUUAUUUUAUUUUAUUUUAUUUUCGGCCGAAGUGGAUAAUGCACUUUUGCAGAAAAGACCCUACAACUUCAAACCUUUAUAUCUUUCAAACCGUUUGUCCAAAAUUUGUGUUCCGCACCUUUCUGGAAUCGUCGUAAUGUGUAGAAUAUUUUGGCAGGGUUUAUUUUCAGUUUUAAACAACUUAGACAGUAGCUAUUUACAGAAGGGUUGAAUAUGGUUCAAAUUUCAAAUGAAUUGUUUCAAAAUAGUUUUGAGCAUGUUAUCUUGCUGUAAAAUUAUUUAAAGUUGUUCUCUAUCCAUUAGGACCAGAGAAGAAAUUAUUUUGUGUAUAAUCAUGACAUGCAAGUUAAAUGUUGCUCUAUGUUACAAAAGCCGCACAAUCUUUUGUUUUAAACCCUAUCCAUGUUUCUUGCAUAUUAAUUACCACUUUGAUGUUGUAUAAUCUGUCCAAAUCUUUUGAGAGCCUUUUCAAAACAGAAACAAAACUUUGUACGUUAGAAGUAACCUUUGUGUGCAUCAGCAUAGCAUGUGCAUCAUGGCAUGGUUUUUGUAUUGAAUGUUGUGUUUAUUGUGUGUGUUCCUUUUAUUUUAGAUUGUGUGGAGUGUAAUCAUUGUUGUUGCGAAGAGUGCGAGAACUACCACAACCUUGGACAAGGCAAGUUCACUUUGAUCAUUCUCCUAAAUAUUUUUACUAUGCACUAGAUGUUUCAUUAGAUGCAUCAGGAAUAUUACUCGUACUUCUAUGCUAGCUAUAAAUCCCAGGUAGUCUAGUUUACCCUCGCCAUUACCUUGCUACCAUAUUGCCAUCGAUUGUAGUAUCGUGGGGGAAAUAACUACAUUAUUUAUUGUUAUGCCUUUGGCGAUAUGAAAUGAUUUUAUUAGAUGUAAGGCAAAACAAUUAAUUAAAUGAACCGUCCUGGGUGGGCAGCUUUGAAGAUUUUGAGGAUUAGCGGCGUCAGGUCCAUUUCUAUGGGUCCCUCUGAGUCGAGUUCCUGUGGAUUCAGGAAUGGAUCGUCCAUGGACGUCUCUCCCGUGGAUUCGGGGAGCGCCUACGUUGCAAAUGUGGAAUGCCACCUGGGGUAACCGAGACUGGACUAGUUUCCUAUUUAGAAACUUCUAGUACAACCACAAUGCUAUAUGGGCUCUGGUGAGACAAGAGUAAGUUGUAUGAACCUAGACCCGAGGAAUUGUACUGAGGUAGCUGUGUAGGGGGAGCGUGAUUCUCUCGUGGUGUAGAGAAUUACCUCUGAAAAUCUCGUAAUCGAUGCCGUUGCUACUCUACCCAGAGGACAGCAAGGGAUUAACACGUCGGUUUCUUGUGGGGAAUGUGUACAAACUCUCGAGAGCGUCAAAACUAAGUACUUAGCCGUGUCCCCGGCAACGGACAAUUUGAGCAACUAGAUGUGGAGCUGUAAGGAAAGUCUCACUCAUUCUAACUUCUUAAAUAAAAUGAAUGGUUGAACAGGGUAGGGGCACUUGAUGAAUCCACAUCAAUGUGCUCUAGGAUAAUAGGAGCAUGGGUGUGUCUACCCCGUGUCCAAUAGUGAUAAAAUUCUAUUUGAUUAAAAGAUAGGAUUCAAUAACUAAGCUUUUAUGCAAAUAGCUUGAACCCCACUUUACCACACUAUGCAUAUAUUUGGUAGGCUCUGGUAUAACUCCUAGUGAAUCUUGCCAAUACAUUCAAUGUAUUGACCCUAGUGGCUGCAUCGUCUAAUGAUGCAGGAAGCUCCGACAACGAGUAAGACGUACGUUCUGCAUAUUUGGGUUACGGGCCUACAUUCCAACACGCUCUCACCGUGGUGUUGAUGUGCCCUUGUAUCUUCCGUUUUCCGCUGCUAAACAAUUGUUUUAUUUCUAGCUAACCCGUGAGGUUAUGCGAAUUGUAAGUACCCUUUUAUAUUCUGGAUGAUACGUUGUAAUAUUGAGACCUUUGUUCUAUGAUAUUACAUCUUGAAAUUGUGUGUGCUAGUGAGUCGAUCCAGGGACUAGCACUAAAGCACAAAGAUCGAACCCUUUUACGGGGGCGGUCGCUUCAGAUGGUAUCAGAGCAUUGUGUUGCCUGUAGGAACGUGACCCUAGCAUGGAUUAGACUAAAAGAGACCAUAGGAUUGUUCUAUGCAUUUCAUACCACUCUAAAUUUGCAUAUUGAGAUACAUGCAUAAUCAUAUACACUUGCAAUCAUACCAAGGUCCAAUGCAUAUGUACUACUUGUAUUUUAUUUCAUCCACUUGCAUCUAAAGAUUUUAUAUGCAUUUAUUUACACCUCAUACUACAAUAUCAUGCUUUCCACUAUUACAAUCAUACGUCAUGUUUGCAUAACCUACACCUUAUAUUGUCAUUAUUACAUUUAUGCAUCCACCUACUUGAUCAUGUGACUAAUUCUUUUCCCCCACCAUCAAUCUUGUAGAUGAAUGGACCGCCAAAUUUCGGAGAUGAGCCACCUUUCACACACGUCCAUUACCCGACAGUUGACGAUGACAUCCCGUUUGGGAGGCAGCUUGCUACUUUGUGCACGACACUACACCUGGCAGCACCUUGUUUCCGAGGACGUGCUGAGCCGGUGGGAUCUCAGGGAGGUGCACGCCACGGGGAGAUCGACACGGAGAUCAAGGGACGGACUGUUGUUCCAUUGACGCCCGACAUCACCUACUCCGUGCGCUACCCCGACUUCAUGCUGGGACUCCAGUUCGCCAUGCAACAUGCGAUAGCUCGUGUGUGCGAGGCGUACCAUGAUGAACUGCCUCCGGACUCUGUCUUUCGUAGCUUCGGAAGGCGAGUUGUUGGCGGGAAUGCCGUGGGACCGGAGAUCCUAGGCGAGGAUCCACACAUGGAGGAUGUUCAGUUUCAAGCUCUGGAGCAGAACAUGGUGGACAUAGGAAAGAGUCUCUACAACGAGAUGACCCGUGCAGAUAUAGCUGAAGACCAGGUGGGGAUACUCCAAGGUCAACUGACGAUGAAGACAAACGAGGUGAACCGCAGGGGAGAUGUUAUCCUGAACAUGCACGCGAUCAUGGAGCAGAUUAUGUACGAGAAGGAUCUUCUGCAACUUCAGUAUGAUCAGCUCCAAACCCAGGUCAACAACGCCAACCCUGCACCUGCACCAGCACAAGCUCCACCACCCCCUCAGGACGAGGAGAUGGAGCCACAGGAGGAGGAACCUCAGGAGGCGCAGGAGAUGGACACACCUGCCACCCGCACCCGUUCCAGGGCGAAGAACUUCGGGAACACCAACUUCCUCUCACUUCCUUAGUUUCAGUUUAGAGCCGCUGGACUAUUUAUUAUACUAUAUUCGUUAUCGUGUUAGUCAUUGACCAUGCCGUCGUUUUGGUAUGGCAAUGUAGAUUCGUGUGUUUAUUUGCAACUCUAUACUUGUGUUUAGGCUGGUACGCCGGGUGAACUAUUCGUUUUGGAUGUUAAAAUCCUAGUGAGUGCUAUUGCUUGUUUUUUUUGAUGACUUGUUUCAUAAUUGAAUUGUUAUGCUUGUUGUUUGAACUGUUGUAUUGCCUGUGCUGUGGGGCUUAGUUUCCUCUUAGAUCCUGUCUAUCUAUUUUCUCAUCUAUGCUGUCCCGAAACAGAUGCCGUCGAGACGCGAUACUCGCCGCCCUGCUGACAACAACAAUGAGGAGGGUCAGGACAACAACGCCGCCACCAUGCAGCAACUGCUGGCUGCACAGACUCAGAUUUUGCAAGCCUUGACCCAGCAGAUGAACAACAACAACAACAACAACAACCACAACAACCAGAACCCCAACCCACCACCUCAAGUGGACAUGUUAACCAGGUUUCUAAGGCUGCGUCCACCAACAUUCACCAGCUCCCCGGAACCGAUUGUAGCUGAUGAUUGGCUCCGUUCUGUGAGCAAAUGCCUAGUGACAAUUGGCUGCACUGAAGCUGACAAGGUGAGGUUUGCUGCUCACCUGCUUGAAGGACCCGCCGCAGCUUGGUGGGAGACUUAUCAGAUGACCACACCCAUGGAAGAAGUCACAUGAGAAAUGUUCCAAGAAGCCUUCCGCACCGCCCACAUCUCUGCAGGCGUGCUGAGCUUGAAGAAAAAGGAAUUCCACAAACUGAGGCAAGGGAACAGGACUGUGUCAGAGUACAUCGAAGUUUUCAACAAGUUGUCUCGCUAUGCCCCGGAUGACGUCAACACCGAUGCUAAACGCCGGGAAAGAUUUUUGGAUGGCUUGAACGACGAACUCGCCGUUCAACUGGCAGUUGUUUACAUCCCUACAUACCAGUCCCUCAUGGACAAAGCCAUCAUUCUGGAGAACAAGCAGAAUCAGAUGGAGAACAGAAGGAAGAGGCCUCACCAUGGCAACAACCACGCUGGUCCACACCAGAAGCCGCGCACCUCGUACGAGGGUAGUGGCAGCUCCUCGAGGGUUAAGCAUGGUGGAAAUCAUCAGAGUCACCAUGGAGGGAGUGGACACUAUCAUCGCCAUGGAAAUCAAGGACACCACCACCACCACCAGGGAGGAAAUGGCAGCCGGAACCACCAGCACCAACACCAACACCAGCAUCCAAGGAUCAACAGCAACAAAGGCAGUGGCCAUAACAAUGGAGGAAACUCAGGACAGAACCGCACCACUGGCAGGGAUAUGAGCCAAGUGCAAUGCUUUAAGUGUCACAAGAUGGGGCACUACUCCAACGAUUGUCCGGAGAAGUUCAAUGAGGCUGGAGCAAAGCCUAACCCAUUUCAGAAGGGCAAUGUGAACCACGUCAACGUGGAAGAAAUCACGGAGGAGCAAGGUAUCGUAAUCGGCACCUUCCGUCUAAAUUCUUUUGAAGCACUCGUACUGUUUGAUACCGGUGCAUCGCAUUCUUUUAUCUCAAGGAGUUUUGUGCAUGAGAAUGGAUUAAACACUACUACCUUAGUGAACCCUAUGAAAGUGAAGUCACCUGGGGGAGAGAUGAUAACGGCUCAUGAAUGUCGAAUGCUGACACUAGAAAUUGGAAAACACAAUUUCCCCACAGACCUGAUAGUGUUAGGAUCAAAAGACUUGGAUGUGAUCCUAGGAAUGGAUUGGCUAGCCAAGUAUGAAGGACUUAUAGAUUGUGUCAAGAGGACUAUUACACUCACCACUCCAGAGAAGAAGCGAAUCCGCUUCAAGUCAAACUAUGAGCUUAAAUUAACCAAGGUAAAUUCUCUUAAGGGGGUUAGCCUAGAGGAUGUACCGAUAGUGAAAGAAUAUCCGGAUGUGUUUCCAGAAGAAUUACCAGGCAUGCCACCGGACCGAGAUGUGGAAUUCCUUAUUGAGUUAUUGCCAGAAAGUGGACCUAUAGCCAAGAGACCGUAUAAGAUGGCUGUAGAUGAAUUAAAGGAACUGAAGAAGCAACUUGCAGAACAAUUGGCCAAAGGAUUUAUUCGCCCUAGCUCAUCACCAUGGGGAGCACCUGUUCUAUUUGUGGAAAAGAAAGACAAAAGCCAAAGGAUGUGCAUAGACUAUCGCUCACUAAAUGAGGUGACGAUAAAGAACAAGUACCCACUACCCAUAAUCAAUGAUCUAUUUGAUCAAUUGAAAGGAGCCUGUGUUUUCUCAAAGAUCGAUCUUCGAUUAGGUUAUUUUCAGUUAAAGAUCCGAGAAGUGGAUAUACCCAAGACAGCGUUUACCACUAGGUAUGGCCUGUAUGAGUACACAGUGAUGCCUUUUGGAUUAACCAAUGCCCCGGCUUACUUCAUGAAUAUGAUGAACAAGGUAUUCAUGGAAUAUUUGGAUAAGUUUGUCGUAGUAUUCAUCGACGACAUUUUGAUCUACUCGAAGAGCAAAGAAGAACAUGAAGAACAUUUGCGUCUGAUCAUGGAAAAGCUUAGAGAGCACAAGCUUUAUGCAAAAUUCAGCAAGUGUGAAUUUUGGUUGUCCGAAGUUGGAUUCUUGGGACACAUUGUGUCAGGAAAUGGAAUUGCCGUCGACCCUGCUAAAGUAGCAGCGGUGACUGAAUGGGAAGUCCCUAAGAACAUCGGAGAUGUUCGUAGCUUUUUAGGACUUGCUGGAUAUUACAGGAGGUUCAUAGAGAAUUUCUCCAAGAUUGCCAAGCCUAUGACUGAACUUUUGAAGAAAGAAAAGAAGUUUGAAUGGACUGAUAAGUGUGAGGAAAGUUUUCAGGAUUUGAAGAAGAGGCUAGUAUCAGCACCCAUCCUCGUUUUACCCAACCUACUGGAAGACUUUCAAGUGUACUGUGACGCUUCGCGUUUAGGAUUGGGCUGUGUUUUGAUGCAAGGAGGAAGAGUCGUAGCAUACACCUCAAGACAACUUAAGAAUCAUGAAGGAAAUUACCCACUCAUGAUCUGGAACUAGCAUCGGUAGUGCACGCACUCAAGACUUGGAGGCACUAUCUCAUGGGAAAGCAAUGUGAGUUAUUCACCGAUCAUAAAAGCUUGAAGUAUAUAUUCACACAGAAGGAAUUGAACUUGAUACAAAGAAGAUGGUUAGAGUUAAUCAAGGAUUAUAAUCUGAAUCUUCAAUACCAUCCGGGCAAGGCUAACGUAGUAGCUGAUGCUUUGAGCCGCAAGGGCUAUGUUAAUGGACUUACAGCUAGAGAGUUACCUGCUGAAUUGUGUGAGCAAUUCAAAGACCUCAGAUUGGAGUUAGUUCAAAAAGGUUACUUAGCCAACAUGGAAGUACAACCCACUCUGCUGGACAGAAUUAGAGAAGCCCAGAAAGAAGACUCAGAAAUAAGAACGAUAAAGGAUAAUAUGGCUGUUGAGAAAGCAAAAGGAUUCGUUGAGGACGAUCAAGGUACCGUAUGGUUUGAGAAGCGUAUUUGUGUACCACAGGACCCCGAGAUCAGAAAGCUAAUACUACAGGAAGCUCAUGAUUCACCGUACUCAAUCCACCCCGGUAAUACAAAGAUGUACAUGGACUUGAAAGAAAAGUUUUGGUGGACGGGAUUGAAGCGAGACAUCGCUGAGUAUAUCGCUCUGUGUGAUGUUUGUAGCAGAGUCAAGGCUGAACAUCAGAAACCAGCUGGAUUACUACGACCAUUGCCAGUGCCAGACUGGAAAUGGGAUAAGGUAGGCAUGGACUUCAUCACCGGCUUACCAAGGACGAGAUCGGGAUAUGAUUCAAUAUGGGUAGUAGUCGACCAUUUGACCAAAGUUGCUCAUUUCAUACCUGUAAAGACUACCUAUACAAGUGCACAGUUGGCCAAACGAUACAUGUCUAGGAUUGUAUGCCUACAUGGAGUCCCUAAAGAGAUCGUUUCAGACAGAGGUACCCAAUUUACCUCAAGAUUUUGGGGGCAAUUGCACGAGUCUCUAGGCAUGAGACUAGAGUUUAGCACAGCGUUUCAUCCACAGACAGAUGGACAAACAGAAAGAGUGAACCAAAUUCUUGAAGAUAUGUUAAGAGCUUGUGCUCUGGACUAUGGUUCUAGCUGGGACGAGAAUCUACCAUAUGCAGAGUUCUCAUACAACAACAGUUUCCAAGCGAGUAUUGGAAUGGCACCGUUCGAAGCGUUGUAUGGCAAGAAGUGUAGGACACCAUUGCUAUGGGAUGGUGUAGGAGACCGCAGUCUAUUCGGACCCGACAUGAUAAAGGAUGCUGAAGAGAAGGUCAGACUGAUUCGAGACAGACUCAAGAUAGCUCAAUCCAGACAAAAGAGUUAUGCAGAUUCCAAACGAAGGGAUGUCAUCAAUGAGAUUGGUGACAGAGCGUAUCUCAGAGUUUCCCCGAUACGCGGAGUUAAAAGAUUCGGGAUUAAAGGAAAACUAGCGCCACGCUAUAUUGGACCCUACAAGGUGUUAGCACGCCAGGGAGAGGUUGCUUACAAGUUGGAGUUACCCGAAAAGUUGACCAGUGUCCACGACGUAUUCCAUGUGUCACAGCUAAAGAAGUGCCACCCGAAAAUGGCCAAUACGCCACUAAGGGAUACGGUUUCACUUGACGAAGUGGACAUUCAAAGCGAUCUCACAUACGAAGAGAAACCAACCAGGAUCUUGGAAACAGCGGAAAGACAUACCCGUUCCAAGACAAUCAGGUUCUGCAAGGUCCAAUGGAAUCACCACACUGAAGAAGAAGCUACGUGGGAACGAGAAGAUGAUCUUCGAGAAGACCACCCACACCUUUUUGCUAACCAACAGGAAUCUCGAGGACGAGAUUCAUCUUAAGGGGGUUAGUUCUGUAACAUCCCAAUUUUCAAAAUUCUUCAUAUGCAUUGCAUAUCAUAAGCAUCAUGUCACCCUUGCAUCUGAACACUUUCAAAACCCUAAAGUUUUCCCAGAAAACCCUUUUGCAAAAAUGCUUUUAUUUGUUUUUGGGCUUUGAUCUUGCUCUUGACUAUUUGCAUUUUUAACCCAUGAGGGUAUUGUGAUAAAAAGCGAUUUAAUGCAUAUAUAAAGCUAUCUCAUAAUUGGCUUUUGAAAGUAUUUUGAAAAAAAUAAUUUGAUUCGAUAGCCUAAGGGCCAUAAAAGCCAUUUUAUAUGCAAAUAUAUUUUUAAAUAUUUUAUUUUGAGAAAAUUCUUGCUCCAAAAGUUAGAUCAUAUGAAAAUAUGAUUUUACAAAUUUUGUUGCAUUUUAUUUGGAGUGAUUUGGAGCUCCGAAUCAAUUUUGAGGUUCGAAAACAGAAAAUAGAUAAAAGAAAAGGAAAAACCGAGGAAAACCGAACCGGGCCGGCUCAGCCCGCCCGAGCCGCCCGCUCUCACUGACCGGUGGGACCCACGCGUCAUCCUCAACCUCCGUCCGAAAAAUCCGGCCACGCACGCCCGCGAACUGCCCAUGACUCCACCUCCGAUUUCUCCGUGCUCAGGCCGUUUUCUCCAAAUCCUUGCGCGUCACCCCGAAGGCCUCGCUUUUCUCCUCCACUUCCCCCAAACCCCACGUUCAAUUUCGCACCGGUUAGAAAGUAAUUGCUCGCCGGAGUUUGUUGCUGCCACCGCCAUUCUUCGCGUUUCUCCGACGUUCCGGUGAGGUUCUUCCCGCGCCACUCCCCUAGCCUCUCUCCUCUCCCCGUCCCGAACGUCGUGACGCGCUCGCCUUGGCGUUUGGCCGCCGCCGCCACCUCCGGCCGCCGCGCCGGUCAUCUUCCUCAGUGCCGGCCACCGUCCGCGCGCCGCCUGGCCACACCCCUGCCCGCGCCCGUGCGCCGCGCCGCCCGCCGCCCUCCGCGCGCUGUCCGUGCCCGCGCCGCCGCCUGCGCCACCCCGCUCCGCCCGCGCGCCGCCUCCGCGCCGCCCCCGCGACCCGCUGCCCUGCGCCGCCUCCGCACCGCCCGCGCGACCCGCUGCACCGCGCCGCCCGCCGCCGCCGUGCGCGCGCCGCCCCUGCUGCUCGCCCGCGCUGCCCCUGCCCGUGCCGCCGCCGGCGAGCUAGCCGCCGGCCGGAACCCUAGAAACCGGCCAGUCCCGCGCUGCCACCUGGCAGGGUUUUUUUUAUUUAUUUUAUUUUAUUUUAUUUUCGGCCGAAGUGGAUAAUGCACUUUUGCAGAAAAGACCCUACAACUUCAAACCUUUAUAUCUUUCAAACCGUUUGUCCAAAAUUUGUGUUCCGCACCUUUCUGGAAUCGUCGUAAUGUGUAGAAUAUUUUGGCACGGUUUAUUUUCAGUUUUGAACAACUUAGACAGUAGCUAUUUACAGAAGGGUUGAAUAUGGUUCAAAUUUCAAAUGAAUUGUUUCAAAAUAGUUUUGAGCAUGUUAUCUUGCUGUAAAAUUAUUUAAAGUUGUUCUCUAUCCAUUAGGACCAGAGAAGAAAUUAUUUUGUGUAUAAUCAUGGCAUGCAAGUUAAAUAUUGCUCUAUGUUACAAAAGCCGCACAAUCUUUUGUUUUAAACCCUAUCCAUGUUUCUUGCAUAUUAAUUACCACUUUGAUGUUGUAUAAUCUGUCCAAAUCUUUUGAGAGCCUUUUCAAAACAGAAACAAAACUUUGUACGUUAGAAGUAACCUUUGUGUGCAUCAGCAUAGCAUGUGCAUCAUGGCAUGGUUUUUGUAUUGAAUGUUGUGUUUAUUGUGUGUGUUCCUUUUAUUUUAGAUUGUGUGGAGUGUAAUCAUUGUUGUUGCGAAGAGUGCGAGAACUACCACAACCUUGGACAAGACAAGUUCACUUUGAUCAUUCUCCUAAAUAUUUUUACUAUGCACUAGAUGUUUCAUUAGAUGCAUCAGGAAUAUUACUCGUACUUCUAUGCUAGCUAUAAAUCCCAGGUAGUCUAGUUUACCCUCGCCAUUACCUUGCUACCAUAUUGCCAUCGAUUGUAGUUAAAUGCUAGGCUAUGGUAGUAUUGUGGGGGAAAUAACUACAUUAUUUAUUGUUAUGCCUUUGGCGAUAUGAAAUGAUUUUAUUAGAUGUAAGGCAAAACAAUUAAUUAAAUGAACCGUCCUGGGUGGGCAGCUUUGAAGAUUUUGAGGAUUAGCGGCGUCAGGUCCAUUUCUAUGGGUCCCUCUGAGUCGAGUUCCUGUGGAUUCAGGAAUGGAUCGUCCAUGGACGUCUCUUCCGUGGAUUCGGGGAGCGCCUACGUUGCAAAUGUGGAAUGCCACCUGGGGUAACCGAGACUGGACUAGUUUCCUAUUUAGAAGCUUCUAGUACAACCACAAUGCUAUAUGGGCUCUGGCGAGACAAGAGUAAGUUGUAUGAACCUAGACCCGAGGAAUUGUACUGAGGUAGCUGUGUAGGGGGAGCGUGAUUCUCUCGUGGUUUAGGGAAUUACCUCUGAAAAUCUCGUAAUCGAUGCCGUUGCUACUCUACCCAGAGGACAGCAAGGGAUUAACACGUCGGUUUCUUGUGGGGAAUGUGUACAAACUCUCGAGAGCGUCAAAACUAAGUACUUAGCCGUGUCCCCGGCAACGGACAAUUUGAGCGACUAGAUGUGGAGCUGUAAGGAAAGUCUCACUCAUUCUAACUUCUUAAAUAAAAUGAAUGGUUGAACAGGGUAGGGGCACUUGAUGAAUCCACAUCAAUGUGCUCUAGGAUAAUAGGAGCAUGGGUGUGUCUACCCCGUGUCCAAUAGUGAUAAAAUUCUAUUUGAUUAAAAGAUAGGAUUCAAUAACUAAGCUUUUAUGCAAAUAGCUUGAACCCCACUUUACCACACUAUGCAUAUAUUUGGUAGGCUCUGGUAUAACUCCUAGUGAAUCUUGCAAAUACAUUCAAUGUAUUGACCCUAGUGGCUGCAUCGUCUAAUGAUGCAGGAAGCUCCGACGACGAGUAAGACGUACGUUCUGCAUAUUUGGGUUACGGGCCUACAUUCCAACACGCUCUCACCGUGGUGUUGAUGUGCCCUUGUAUCUUCCGUUUUCCGCUGCUAAACAAUUGUUUUAUUUCUAGCUAACCCGUGAGGUUAUGCGAAUUGUAAGUACCCUUUUAUAUUCUGGAUGAUACGUUGUAAUAUUGAGACCUUUGUUCUAUGAUAUUACAUCUCGAAACUGUGUGUGCUAGUGAGUCGAUCCAGGGACUAGCACUAAAGCACAGAGAUCGAACCCUUUUACGGGGGCGGUCGCUUCACCCCCGGCAGGGGGUCGUCCUCGACAACAACUUUGAGAUCACACCCAAUGGAGAGGACUCCGUAAACGGACGGGAUCUUCAUCACGCCGUAGGCGCAAUGCGUAGCCGCCAUAAACUUGAUCUGCGCCGGACGGCCAAGGAUCCCGUUGUAGGGCAACGGGGUAUGCGCCACGUCGAACACUAUGUGCUCGGUCCUGAAUGCUUCCCGGGACCCGAAGGUGACCGGCAGCGUGAUGCGUCCCAGCGGGCGCACGAUCCCGGGGUUCACCCCCUGGAACGGUUCGGUGGGCUUCAGCUGCUCCAUCGGCAGCUGGAGCUUUUCCACCAGCCUGGCGGACAGGAGGUUAAGCCCCGCUCCGUUGUCCACCAGGACCUUGGUCACCAUCAUAUUGCUAAUGAUCAGCGAGACGACGAAGGGUAUUACUCCGGAACCCAAUUGUCGCACCAAGUGGUCGUCGGCGCUGAAGGUGCUCGGCACGUGCGACCACCUCAGCGGCUGUUGCGGCUCCGCAUCUGGCAACAGCGCGCACACGUCGCGGGUGAGGCGCUUCACCGCGGCGUGGGAUGGGAGAGCGUAAGAUCCCCCAUGGAUACAGGCGACGCCACGAGGCUCCUAGAAGCCCGGCUCGUCGCCGCCGGAAUGGUCGGACAUGCGUUGCUCCUCAGCGCGCACCCUGUCGCGCCCGCGAGGAGGGCGUUCCCGCACAGCGAGGGGCUGGCUGCGCCCUCCUUGGGGUUCGACCCUGCCGGCACCCCCGCCGGCCGGCCUCGGACCCGCUCCGGGGUCGUUCGGGCAAUCUCGGGAGAGAUGCCCCAUGUCGCCACAAUUGAAGCAGGCGCCGGCGGCGGCGCUCCUUGUGGCGCUGCUCCCGCCGCUGCUUGAUCCCUUGCAGGACGCGACAACUCUGCGCGUCGUGGGUGGAGUUGUUGUGGAUAGGACAGCGGGACGCGUCGCCCUGCUUCCCGCCAGAUUCUCCCCCCGGCGAGGCCUUCUUCGUGGGCCUCGCGGCCGGAGCCCCCGAGUCCGCAGCGAGGACUUGCUUCCCGCUGCGCUUACGGGAACCCUUCUUCGGCGAGCCCUCGCCCGGUCUCGCGGCAGCCUGGCUUGCCAGCUCGGGCGCUAGGCGCCCCUCCUCGGCCAUGGCGCACUUGUGCGCCAAGGCGUACAAGUCCUGCGUCGUCAGGAUCCGAUGCUUGCUCAGCUUCUCACGCAUCUUGGGUUCGCGGACGUUGAUGGCGAAGGUGUUUAUGAUGGCGGCCGCCUCCGCCUCUGGGAUAGAAUAGGAGAGAUUGGAGAAGCGGUUGACGAAGGCCCGCAACGUCUCUCCCAGUUUUUGCAUGAUGGUGUGCAGCUCCGCCAUGGUUCCCGGGCGCUUAUAGCCGCCCUGGAACGCACUCACGAACUGCUCGCGCAGGUCUGCCCAGGUGGCGACGGAUUCGGCGGGCAGGUUGAGCAACCAGGUUCGCGCUGAUCCCUUCAGGACCAUCGGGAACCAGUUUGCCCUGACCUUGUCGUCGGCGCCGAUGGCAUGCAUGCCCAGCGUAUAGGUCAGGAGAAAAUCUUUGGGGUUAGCGGUCCCGUCGUACGUACCGAACGCAGGCGCUCGGAACUUACGGGGCCACACCACCCACCGCAACUCGCGCGCGAACGCAGUGCCGCCGUCUUCUGGGCCCAGGGGAGCAUCUUCUUGCUCCAGUGGGUGCCGGCGCUCCAAGCGCCGGCGUAGAUCCUCCUGUUGUCGGGCAUUCAAGAUGCCACGCGCAUCGCCCCCUGGGACGGUGGGCGAUGAAUUCGAGAACCCCUCCGGGCUGCCGUCUACCAGGACCCGCUGAGGAGGGGGAGGGUUCUCCCCUUGUCGUGAGGCGGGCGGCACGCCUUCGCGCUCUGAGUUCGGCCCGUGGCCGGAGCCUACCGGGGCGCCCUCGUUUUGCGGCUAUUGGGCGGCCAGGGCGAGAAGCGCCUCCAACUCCUCGCCCCACAUCUCGUGCACCGGCGUGCCCUGCUGCGGCUCGUACCGCACCAUGACGCGCGCGGCGACGAUGGCUUCAGCCGGGGGGCAACCGGUGUCCUGAACGGCUGCUUCCCGCCCUGGCCCCGGACGACUCCGGGCGUUCAGGGUGCGAACCUCCAGGGGUCGCCCGGGACGCGGCGUGCUCCGGGUGCCGCUGCCGCGGGGCAUCCUCGGGUCGCGUCUCCCCCCGUUGCCUGGCCCGGGCGACGCCAUGCGUGCUCGCCCGACUGCCCCCAGUGCUGGGGGCAGCCGGUCCCCUCGGCCGAUUGUCGGUUGACGGUCGGGGAGGCGGUGGAGGCAGCUGCGUUUGCUGCACCCUCGAGGGCUCGGGAUUCUCUUGAGCUCCCGAUCCGGGUCGCACGUCGUGCGACCGCGUGUGCGCCGCUGGGGCCUCACGCGGGUCUAUGCGUGAAUCACCAGCCCGCUUGGAGGGCAUGGUGACAAGGCUCGUCGACGAAGAAGAGUGAAGCUGAUGCCGAUGGGAACUUCCGCUGCCGGCGAUCUCCAGCGCCGAUCACUCCCGCGCCCCCUAGCUGGCGCGCCCGAUGUCGUCGCUCGGUGCUCCGACACCGGGGGUAUGCAGCCACGUCCCCCUUUCAGGUUCGGUAGGGGCGUCGGUGGUGGAGACCAGAUGAUCGCCGGCACGGCCGACGAGGCCCUAUUGGGCCGGCGAGGCAAAGUGCUAGGGGUACGCAGUAGUCCAAGAAUAGACGUACGCACGAUUUUUACCCAGGCUCGGGCCACCCGGAGGUAUAAAACCCUACGUCCUGCCUGUCUGAGCUGAUAUUGAUUACGGAUCAAAUGUUUACAGGUUGCCAGGCAAGCUCCCGGGCUUUCUCUCAGUGGCUAGGCACUCCUCACCGCUCUCUGCUGGCUGCCUACUGGAGCCACUAAGCAUCUAUCGAGCGAGCUUCGUCCGAACCAAUUAACUGACCAACUGACUAACCCGUCAACCCUAUCUCCCUCCCUAGACCGUUGGCAUGGGUCCUCCUUUUAUACACAAGGGGAUGCCACAUGUGCCACGGUGCAUGGGCUACAAGUGUCCAACGGGGAGGCAUGCAACUCUCCCUGGUGAGUUGGUGGCAUGCAUGGGUGCCACCUCCGCUGCUAGGGGCCUAAGACCCUAGGGUAGGAUUGGACAACCACUGUUCCUUCGACCCGACGGGUAACUACCCAUCGGUCGGCUCGUUUACUGAGCCGCGCGCCUUACUCCUUGCCUUGGUGGGACCGCACGUUCCCCGCCCGCCACGCGCCCGUGUGGCGCUGUCCAGUGGGCCCCACGACCCGAGGCGGGGGCACGCGUCCGGGAGUCUCCAGCCCCCGCAAGUCGGCCCGGAAAGCACCCGGGCCCAGCGCGCCCGGGAACCUCCUCCCGGGAAGCAGCUUCCCGGGAGGUGCCUAAUCGGGAAUAUUCCUGGAAGCCUCGCUAGCCCAUUUCGGGCUGGUAGCUUGCCGGGAAGCUCCUUGGCGCUCCCCGGGAUGAGACCUUCCCGGGAACCCGGGGGAGGGGGCCACGCGUCGCGCAGCGGUGGUACCCCGGGUGCCACUGGUGCGACAGGAGAUGACGGAGCAGCGGCGGCAGGCACGAAAGAAGUGGUGGAUGAGGGCAACCGAGGGCAGCACGCCCACGAAUCCCUCGCACAGGUGCUGGGAGAUGGCGAGGAGGACGAUAGAAACGGGCGCAUGCACGAGAUCGGUGAGGCAGAUGUCGUCCCACUGCAUCACCGCUACGAGAAAGUGCGACAUCGGCGGUACUGUCCCUGGGCGGAUGACGGUCCGUAUAUGCUCGUGGGUGUCGGAGCACGGAACUCUUGCACCGGGGGUGCUGGACACCCCCGUUUUGGUUCGGUGGAGGGCAAGACGAUUGCUCCAGCGAUCGCCGACAUGACGAAAGACACGAAGUGUCGACGCGUGAGUUUACCUAGGUUCAGGCCACCCAGAGGUGUAACAGCCUAUGUCCUGCUUGGAGUUGUAUUCACGAGAAUGUGUGUAUGUUUUUAUAGGUUGCCCUGGGGAGUUUCCGGGGGAGCUACUUGUUCUCCUAAGAGAUUUUUUGCUAUGAACAAGAGCAAUACUCCUUGCUACUACUAACUGGGGUUCGAACCCUUUGACCAAUGGCGUACCCCUGUCCCGCCUGCCUGCAGUGCCACGGAGCCAGCGUGGGGGCAGCCCGCCGGCCCGGAAGGUUUGCCACGCCCGCAGCAGUAUUCCUCCCUGUCGUUUUUUCUUGUCUUGUGCUUCAUUCUUCCUAGAUAUUCUCCUUGCAGCUCCUCCUGCCGCCACAACCACGGGAGCGGAGGCCGCAGAGCUCACCCCAGGGGGCACCGCGACCGAUGCGGAAGCCAUCCUUGAGGUGACAGUGGAGCUCACCCCAGGGGGCUCUCCUGGCGUCCAAGACACCGACCCGGCGUUAACCGGGGAGGUAACGGACACCGGGUCUGAGCCCCUCAGCCCCUCGAUCUUGCCGCACCGGAGGCCAACUGCGAGCGGCCGCCCAGCCCCCCGGCGGAGGCAAGGGACGAGCUCGCGGCCAGUGGAAGCGGGAGGACGCCCUCGUCUUCACCGGCGCCCGAGGAGGUGGUGCGGUCACAAACGGUGGCCGUAGGUGCCUCCUCGAGUUCCGAGGCGAUCGCGGGCGCGGGUUGGAGUCCGCUGAACUGGGACCCCAGCAUCUUUGACCAGGGGCACGAGAUCAUAGAGGGCAUCAAGCGGCAGCAGCUGGGAUUCGUCAGCUGCUACAACAGGGUGCACCAACAGCUCUCGGUAGCCCAUGGUCGGCUGGACAGCGCGGGGGAGGAAGUUGAGGAGCGUCGGCAGGAGCUGGCGCGCCUCCAGAGGAGAUCCGGGUGGCGCAGCAAGCCCGGGCCGAGGCAUCCGAGCCCUCCGUCCCGGAAGCGCACAUCCAGCGCUAGCUACUGGAGCUGCGGCGGAGCACCAGCAGGUGCUCGAGUCGGUGGAGGUGGCGCGCCUUCGCGCCGAGGAGGAGCACCAGAAAGCACUAAGGGGCUUCCAGGAGCGCCUCGAUGAGAAGAGCAGCCUCAUUUCCACCUACUCCUUCGAGAUCCAGCAGCUGCGGCAACAACUCGGGGAGCAGGCCACGGCAGCCCAGGCUGCGACGACGCAAGCCGCGUCCCGGGAGAAGGAGUUGCAGGAGCAGCUCCAAACCCGGGAACGCGAGUUCCAGGAUCCAACGCCAGGAUCGACGCCAACGCAGCCCUGAAGGGCGAGCUAGACGUCGCGAGGAGCGAUCUUCGACAAAGAAAACUCGGAGAAGACGUUGAAGAUCUCCCGGCUGAAGGACGAGCUCCGGAGCCAGAAGGCGGAGACCAAGCUCGCCCGCCGCAACCACGCGAAGCUUGGGAGCCAGCGCCAACAGAACACAGACCUGCUUCGCAGGUUGGCGGUGGUGGGGAACGAGUCGCGGGCGAAGCUGGGGGUACCCCCGGCAACCAUCGACGACAGCGAUGUCAGCACCCUCAUCCCCUUCUUCGAGGAGUUCGUGGGGAGGCUGACGACCGUGGAGGACCGCAUCGGCAGCUUCAGGGACCGGCAAGUGGGUGGAGGGUGCUCUCCAUGCCCCGAGACGCGGAGCGCGUCUCCGCGUCCCGGGUUCUGCCCCUGGCCCGAACUGGCCGGGCCGCCCUCACCUUGCGGCUGUUGGGCAGCGAGCAUGAGGAGCGCGUCCAUCUCCGCGCUCCACGCGUCAUGCGCUGGCAUGCCUGGUGGUGGCUCAUAGCGCACCAUGACACGCGCAGCGAUGAUAGCUUCCGCCGGGGUUUGCGCAGGAGGCUGUCGGUUCUCCGACCGGCUGCCUUCCGCCCGGUCACCCGGUGCCCUCGGAUGCGAGGGCCAAGACUCCGUUGGCGUCGCACGCAACGCACUGUGGUUGUGGCGCAGCUGUCGCUGCGCGUCCUCAGCCCGCGAGUGGGCUCGCUGGUUGGCGCAUGCGACGUUGAGGUCACUCGCGCGGCUGGCUUCGGCGUUAGGCGCCACAGGCCCCCUGGGACAGUUAUCCGUCAAUGGCCGAGGAGGUGGGGGUGGCAGCUGCGGUUGCUUUUGCUGCCGUGGAGAGGACCCCUGGUCCCCUUGACCUUGCGACUCACGUGCGGUGUUGUGGGAUCAAGUGCGCAUGGCGAGGGUGUCGCGCAAGUUGACCCGGGGCUCAUCUGCCUUCUUGGGUGGACGAUGUCGCGGAUGAAGGAGCCGGUGAUGAAGACGAUGACGCCGGUGGUCACACGAAGCUCUCUGCACGCCCCCCAACCUGGCGCGCUAGAUGUCGGAGCACGGAUCUCCGGCACCGGGGAUGUCGAGCACCCCCUUUUUGGUUCGGUGGAGGGCGAAGGCGAUUGCUCUGGCGAUCGCCGGCGUGGCUAAUGACACGAAGUGUCGACGCGUGAGUUUACCCAGGUUCGGGCCACCCUGAGGUGUAACACCCUAUGUCCUGCUCUGUGUUUUAUUCACGAGAAUGUGAAUGUUUACAGGUUGCCCUAGGGAGUUCCCGGGGGAGCUAUUGUUCUCCUAAGAGAAUUUGCUGAGUACCCGAGCAACACUCCUUGCUACCACUGACUAUGACUCCAACUGGAACUAGAACCCUUUGACUGGUGGCGUUGGUCCUUCUUUUAUAGACAAGGGGAUACCACAGGUGCCGAUGCAUGUAGCGUGACACGUUUCCUACAUGAGUGUCAUCUCCACAGGAAUUACAUUACUGUUGAUCCACGCUGGGCGCUAUGCAGCGCCCAAGCCACUAUACACGGUAGAAAAAAUGUAUUAUAGGGUAGACGCCCUAGCCUUGCUGAGGAAGAUUAGCCCUGACGAUGUGACUCCUGUCCGUGCAUUACAUGCACUGCAUCUGCUGUCUCGUCCUGUCUUCGCUGUUCUUCGGGCCCCGCGUGCAUGUCCGAGCGCAAGUUGUUGGGGAGCCCCUUCCCGGCUAGCGCACCCGGCCAGUUGCCGGUGCAGCGUUCCUUCCACUUCCCGGGACCAGGGUUCUCGGGUACCCACUGAGGCGGGUGCUUCUCCUGUUCUGGCCUUUGGCUUUGUGUCCACCAACGACCGUCUCCUUGGGGCGGGCUUCUUGGGCCUAUCGUCCGCGGGAGGUCAACCUGGCAAGGCUUUGUCACUCGCGACCCACGCAUUCCGUAUCAGUAGGACCCCGUGGACCACUGGUACGACACUUCAAGGUAAUGAAGAAGAAGGAACCAAUAAAUAGCACGUGCCAAGUUAUUAGAACAACAGGUGAACUCACUCCUAGCUGCACCUAAUGUUUAUAUUGAUGAGAAUUUUAUACUGCCUAAGUCUUUGUAUCUUUGUGUGAUCAGGUUUGAGGCUGUCGCAACCGUGGAGCGUGGAGGAGAGGAGGCCACGUGCAAGGAUCAUCAAGUGCUGUUAUCCAACAUCAAGAUAUGCGCGAGGGAGGAGAGGGAGGCAGGCGCACCACAAAUGAAGAUGGAGGAUACAAAAUGCUAGAAGAGCAACUUGUGAGCAAGGGGCAGCCAACGACAAGAAUGAUCUGCCCACCACAAGUUGAUUACGAGUACGAAGCGCACCAGGACAGCUUACGACGAGUCAGACACGUCUAAGGGGCGCCCGGACCUGCGAGUCCUAAUUUAAGUCAAGUCCUAUUCGGAUUGGUUGUAUGUGUUUAAGUCAAACCUAGUUUGAGUCUGAGUCCAUUUGUGUGUUUGGCUGCCCCUCGCAUAUAUAUACAAGGGGUACGCUUAGGGUUAGGGUUAGACCACGUUUUAGCUAUUUUCGAGACUCUUGUUGAUUGCGAGAAGCAUUCAUCUGGAAUCAUAUACACCAUAUUCGUUUUGAUAGGGUGUUUGUUAUUUACUGAAAGUUCGAGCGUAAUCUGUCGUUCCGCUGGGAAUUGGAAGAUUGCGAAACCGCUUGUGGUCGGUGAACUACUGCGCAAGUGUGUGGUGUUGCGAAUUUCCAUUGGGUUGCAAGUUCGUCGUGCGGCGACGGGUGAACAGCCGGAAGAUUUGUAGAAUCAUGCAAGUUAUCCACAUUGCUCUCUGAGAAGAUCGGGCCACCCCUUAUCAUAAGUACUUAGCCGUGUCCCCGGUUACGGACAAUUAUGAGCAACUAGAUAUGGGGGCUGUAAGGAAGGUCUCACUCAUUCCAAUUUCUUAAAUAAAAUGAAUGGUUUGAACAGGGUAGGAGCACUUGAUGUAUCUACUCAAUGUGCUCUAGGUUAAUAGGAGCAUGGGUGUUUCGAUCUCGUAUCCAAUAGUGAUAAAAAUAUUUAAUAAAAUGAUAGGAUGAUACAUUGAUGCUUUUAUGCAAAUAGCCAAAUGCAUAUACUUGACAGGUCUGUUAUAACCCUUUUGUGAACUUGCCAAUACAUUCAAUGUAUUGACCCCCUAGUGGCUGCAACGUUUAAAUGUUGCAGGUUAACCAGGUGAAGAGUGAGGUACAAAUUGUUAGGGUUACGAGUUUACAUUCCAACAUGCUUCGACUGUGGAGUUGUUAUGGGGCUCCUACAUCUUCUGCUUUCCGCUGCAAGAUUUUAUCUUCUUCUGAGCUAACCCACGAGGUUAUACAAUAUGUAAGUUUCUGGAUCAAUGCGAUGUAAUAUACUUUUGACCUUUGUAUCUUGAUAUUAAAUCUUGAAACUGUGUGUGCUAGCGAGUCGAUCCAGGGACUAGCUCUGUAAGCACAGAGAUCGAACCCUGUACGGGGGAGGAUCACUUCAUAAAGAUAAGUGUUCCUUCAGUAAUUAUUGUGCUUUACUAUUAAUGUGUGCUUUUGUCUCCUGCUCUAGGUGCACAGAAUUGUCUCCUCAUCCUUGGCUGUGAGCAGGGGCCUGCCGGAACCUCGAAAACCAAGCUCGUUGCCGGGACGCCCCAGAACGAGUCCUAGUAGUUGCCGGACCCGUCCGCAACAUGCUACGUGCCAACAAGGCACCAUGGAAGUAUGAAAAUGCUCACACCCAAGUCUGAGGUUGACCCUUCUGUGCCCGGGGGCUGGGAUGCAGGAGGUUAUCCAGUUUGUGCUGUUUUUCGUGCAUUUCGAAAUUGUUUGCUAUACACCUUGGGCGCUGCAAGAAUUUGACAUGCAGGGUAAAGAUGGGAACGGAGGCACACGGUGACACUCGUGGUGCGGUCGUCUUGCGAGUAAGUUGUACAUAUAUGGCAAUUAUUUCGAGGCUUGAUGCAGGAAACUGAGACAGGGCCAGUGCCUCCACGCGUCAACCGGUGGCUAUUUAAAGACUAGAACAAGCGCAACACCAGCAACAGGCAAGAAGGCAAGAGAUGUCGCAGAGAGGCGAUGGUGGUGCAUCCCUCUACGCUUGUCGCUGAGGAUGUUCCCACCAUCGCGGCUGCCACACGUCUUAUGAAAGGACACCAGAAAUGGUGAUGCAAGAAGCGAGAGGCGUCGCGAAGACGCGGUGGGGGUGCAUGUCUCCGCGUGUGCCGCUGGAGGGUGCACGGCCACCGCAUCCUUGCCACGGCUCUCAACAAGGUGCUCCAAGAGCAAAGAGAACGGAAAGCUAAGUACUUUGUUUUGAGUCCUUGGUUCUUCCUUUAGUAACACUGGUUUGCCGAGGUAAGCUCAGUCCCCGUGUAGCCGGAGUGUAGGAAGGACGCUUGCAGGGGGAGGACGCCCCCCACAUGUGGCUCGCGGGUCUGUCCCGGAGGCGUGCGCGCUGGGGUAGUUAACUCGCAGGCUGCUGUUUGGCCCUAGGUCGGCACCGCGGGUCCGUCCCGGGUCCCUAGUCUGGCCGAGCACAUAGUUGGCAAGUCCCCGGAUACGCAACGUUAAAACACGGGAAGGACAGAGCCCCUCCCCGGAAAGCUAGUCUUAAGCGAAAAAGCAAGUAAAAUAGCAUUGUAUAUAAUAAAACUCAAACAAACGAGUUCACAAAUAGCAUUCAGGAUGACAAAAAAGGCUAACACACAGAAGUUCUAAGGCGCCUUGCUCCACUUGCAGGAAAGUAAAAACAAAGAACAAGCAGAUAAUUAUGUAGGAGGUGCUCCCAGGGCAGCUGCGUCGGCGUCAGGUGCCUCCUCGACGCCGGGGGCUUCUCUGGCAGCCUCCUCGUCAACAGCUUCGGCUUCAUCAACUUUGCCCUGCAUCCGCGCCACCAUCUCGUCCACCACGCCCUGCACCGCUUCUCGGUGGGUCUUGGCGUGUUCCUCGUCUGGCCAGGCGUCGAAGACCGACUCGAAUGGGAAGUCGGGAUGGGCGGAGCGGACCCGGGUAAGAAUUUGUCCGGCGACCUGCCCGGCUGUGAGGCCGACCUGCCAGUCCCUGAAAGCCGUGACGCAGUUUUGUAGGCCGUGCAACCGGCCGAUGAAGUCUGUGAAAAAGGAGGUGAAGCUUCCCAUGUCCGUCCCGUCGAAGGAGGUCACCGGGAUGUCGAACCCCUGCAGCGCCUCCAUCACCGAGUCCGCCAGCUUCUUCAGCCUGGCUACCUCCCCCGUCCUGCGGGCCUGCAGCUCGGUGCACGCGCCGCGAGCCUCCUGGGCCUGCAGCUUGUGCUCGCGACAUUCGGACUUCAGCUUGCCGAUCUCGGAUGCCUUCUUGGUGUUGUCCUCGUCGUCGAGCCAAAGCUCCUUCCACGCCAUGUCAAGCUCGCCCUGAAGGGACGAGCUGGCAUCCUGGGCGGCCUUGAGCUGCCCCGCAAGCUCGCGCUCCCGGAAGCGAGCCUGGUCUUGCAGCUCCUUCUCCCGACGCACCGAGGCUUCGGCUGCCGUCUCCAGCUCUCCGACCUCGCGGCGGAGGCGCUGGAUCUCCAGGGAGUAGUUGGACAGUAAGUCCGUCUUCUCCCAGAGACGCUCCUGGAACGAGUCCAGGGCCGCCUGGUGCUCCUCCUCGCUCUUGGCGUGCGCGGCCUUCACCAGCUCGAGCUCUUGCCGGUGCUCUUGCUGAAGGUCCCACAGUUGCCGAAGGACUUCGGCCUCCGGCACUCCUUGCAAGGCAGGCACCGCCCUAGCUUGCUGCGCCUGCUGGCGCUCCCCCCGGAGCCGUUGCAGCUCAGUGUGCUGCUCCUCCGCUCCCGUCUCGCGGUGCCCAGUUCCACCACCACGCGAGCAUGGUGCUGCUGCGCGUCAUUGAAGAAAUCGACGAACAUCCGCUGUUGCUGCUGGAUGUUGUCGAUCACCUGGUGCCCCUGUUGGAACACGCUGGGGUCGAAAAUGAUCCGACCCCAUGACCGCCCGGUGAGCUCCCCUGCUCCCUGGCUGAAGGCGGCUCAGGCGGAGAAGGAGGACCCCGCCGCACCCGUCUGCGACCCCGAGGCUGCGUCAGGGUUCGAUGACGUGGCUCCGGCUUGGCCGAGCCCCACCGCAACUUGCCCGUCCAAAGGGGCGGGCUGGGGGCUCGAGGGCUUCUCCAGGGCGCCGCUGCUUGCCUCGGCCCCCAUGUCGCUUGCCGCGGGGGGCGCCAUCUGCAUGGCAUCACCUGCGGCAGCAGUCGCGUCCUCGGUAGGCGCCGGGGCAGGUUGUUGAAGGGCUCCGGCGGAGGCAACCUCCUCCGGAGCAUCCUCGUCUACCUCGCCGGUGAGGUCGAUUACCCGCACCUCGGCAACUGCACGAAGAGCACCUGCGUCAGUCUAGGAGAUGGCGCAGAUGAGUGAAAGAAGUGUUUGAGCUUGCACGUACCUGCUGCCGGGCCGGUGCCCUUUGAGCUCGAAUCGGGGACCCUUGUGUCCCCAGCGGCCGCUGCCGCUGCAGUAAAAGCCACAUCAGCGGCGUCCUGGUCACCGCCGCCCGACGUCGGGCGUGGCUUCUUUGUCGGGGCCGCCGGCGAAGUGCUGGCCUGCCCCCUCUUCCUCGAAGACCUGGGAAAUGUAAAAGUAAGCUAACAAGAUAUGUAAAAUUCGUGAAAACCAAAAUGUUUAGAGCAACGUCAAACUCACCCCGGCGGGUUGUGCUUGAGCACCCUGUCCGCCCGGAUGCUCCUCACCGGGGGGGCGCUUCGUAUGGGGGGAACUAGCGGAGCCGUCAGGGUACCCGGGGCGGCUGCUCCAGCCGCACCGCUGCCAGCGGAGGCCCGAGUCCCCACAUUGGCGUGAGGCUCCUGAGGCUACGGGCUGGCCUCCUGCCUGCUCGCUCGGUCUGCCGCAUACUGCCUCACCAGGGGGAUAUCGUCUUCAUCGUCGUCCCCCUCCUGUGCGACCCCGCUGGCUUCCGGGGGAGCGCCGCUGUCGUCGUCGUCAUCGUUGGAGUCUCCUCCGACAUCCAGCGAGGAAUCGUCAGAGUCCGAGUCCUCCGGCCUGGCAGAGCCCUGGUCCUACCCCCCCUUCCCGAAUCGGCAGCCGGCUCCUUGCCCUUGCGGGGCCUGGGUUGCGGAGGGGAGGGCUGCGCCGAAGGGUCUUCCAUGAUCCCGCACUCGUCACAGAGUGGGAGAUCCCGGGCUCCCGGGUUCGGGAUCCCGGCGUGGAGCAGCGGCAACAGGAAGGCUUCGUCCUCACCGGUGAUGCCCUUUACCCAGAAUUGUACCUCGUCCGGCAAGAGCUCUGUGCGCUGCAACCGGGUUCGGUCACCUGGCCCCGUGUACAUCCGUGCCGGAUGUGAGCGCCGUUGCAGGGGAGCCACGUGCCUCCUGAUGAAGGGGCAUGCCACGUCCGUGUCCGUGAGCCCAGCCUCGUGGAGCGCUUUGAUCUUGGCGCAGAUCGAGGCCAGCUCCUCGUCCUUCUGGUCGCGGAGUGUCCAGUCGUGAGAGCCCUUUGGGGGUCCAAGGGGCUCCUCGUGGAAUUCUUGGAGCUCGUCGGUGCGCACCCAGCACCAGUCGCGGCGCCACUCGUGCUCGAUCUUCUUCUUCCCCAGCUGGAUGAACUCUGACUUGAGCCUAUCGCGGAACCGGAACACCACACCCGAGAACAGGGGAGCCUUCGCCUCCGUCUCGGUUAGUAGUAGUGGCGAAACGGAGCCACCGAUGGCAUCACCCACACGAAUGCUUCACGGAGGUGUUGGAAGACAGCCAAUGUGAAGAACGACAUAGGGUGAAUUCGGACCAUGAUGAGCCCGGAGGUCUCCAUGAUGGAAGAAAGGAAAAAAGAAUGCCGCGGCACGAACCCGGCUAGGAUGAACCUCCUGAAAAUCCGGAAGUACUGCGGGUCGCGCUUUGCGCCGACGGGGAGAACCCGCAUCGGCCCAUGCUCGUUAUGCUUAGUGGUGAGCGCCAAGACCAGCUUCUCCACCCCCUCGCUGUUGUACCCGGGGGAGAAGAAGGCAAACUUGGCCCGCAUCUCUUCAUCCUUCCGAGCUCGGUCCGACAGCUCCUUCUUGCUGGCCUUCUCGCGCUUCUCUCCCUUGCUGGUGCUCCCCUUGGGUCGGUUCUGGCCCUUGGAAGACAUCGGUGGGAGUAAGGGAGUGAUUUGGCUAGAGUCGGGGCGCGGAGAGCUUGGGAGGCAAUGGCGGAAGCAGGAAGCAGUGGGGAGUGCCCGCCGCCAGCCUCGGGUAUUUAUCGAGGCUGGCGGGCUGCAACGGACACCCCCAAGAUCGGCAAUAAAGUGAAUCGGGAAUUAAGAUGAGGGUGCGCGACGUGGCCUUAACUCUCUGGUGAUUAUGGGGGAUAAGGCACGAAAUCAUGCGCCUGACCGUUUCGCUCGGGAGAGUGUAACUGCAAAUCUGGCCCACAAGGCGGGGUGCCGAGAUACUCACCUCAGGACCCACGCGUCGGAUAGGGCAUAGCCCGGCAACCGACCAAGGAUAGCACUCACCGGGGGCCUCAAGGCGGCCAGCCCACCCCCGGGGGCUACUAUCGUACCAGUGGCCCAUGGGGUCUCACUGCUACGGGACGCGUGGGUUGCGAGUGACAAAGCCCCGCCAGGUUGGCCUCCUGGGAACGAUAGUCCCGGGAAGCCUGCCCCAAGGAGACAGUCGUUGGCGGAGACAAAGCCAAAGAUCGGAACAGGAGAAGCGCCCGCUUCGGUGGGUACCCGGGAACCCUGGUCCCGGGAAGUGGAAGGAACGCUGCAUCGGCAACUGGCCGGGUGCGCUAGCCGGGAAAGGGCUCCCCAACAACCCGCGCUCGGACCUGCAGGCGGGGCCCGAAGAACAGUGAAGACAGUAACAGACAGCGGACGCAGUGCAUUUAUUGCACCGACAGGAGUCACACCGUCAGGGCUAGUCUUGCUCAGCAAGGCUAGGGCGUCUACCCUAUAAUACAUCUUUCCUACCGUGUACAGUGGCCUGGGCGCUGCAUGGCGCCCGACGUGGAUCAAUAGUAAUGUAAUUUCUAUGGCGAUGACACGCGUGUAGGAAACGUGUCGCACUGCAUGCAUCGGCACCUGUGGUAUCCCCUUGUUUAUAAAAGAAGGACCAAUGCCACCGGUCAAAGGGUUCUAGUUCCAGUUGGAGUCAUAGUCAGUGGUAGCAAGGAGUGUUGCUCGGGUACUCAGCAAGUUCUCUUAGGAGAACAAGUAGCUCCCCCGGAAACUCCCCGGGGCAACCUGUAAACAUUCACAUUCUCGUAAUACAACACAGAGUAGGACGUAGAGUGUAACACCUCAGGGUGGCCCGAACCUGGGUAAACUCACACAUCGACACUUCGUGUCAUUAGCCACGCCGGCGAUCACCUGAGCAAUCGCCUUUGGCCUCCACCGAACCAAAAAGGGGGUGCUCGGCAUCCCCGAUGCCGGAGAUCCGUGCUCCGACAUGAAGAAAGGCAGGGCUCGCUCGCCCAGCCUUGGGAUGAAACGCCCGAGCGCUGCAAUGCACCCGUUGAGGCACUGGACGUCUCUAACCUUGCGGGGUGCCUCCAUCUUCUCGAUUGCCUCGAUCUUCAGUGGAUUGGUUUCGAUUCCCCGGUGAGACACCAAGAAGCCCAGCAGGUGCCCUGAGUCCACGCCGAACGUGCACUUCUCGGGGUUAAGCUUAAGCUUGAUCCUGCAGAGAUUAUCGAAUGUCUCCUGCAGGUUGCCGACGAGCGAGUCCGCGCCGCGACUUGACAACGAUAUCGUCCAUGUAGGCCUCGAUAUUCCGGCCUAGCUGGGGUCCCAGACACUCGCACAGAGCGCGCUGAAAUGUCGAGCCCGCAUUCUUCAGCCCGAAAGGCAUGCAUGUAUAACAGUAGCAGCCAACCGGGGUGAUAAACGUUGUUUUCUCCUCAUCUUCGACCGCCAUCUUAAUCUGAUGGUAGCCGGAGAAGGCAUCCAGAAAGCAUAAAGACUCACAACCUGCUGUGGAAUCUACUAUUUGAUCGAUCCGGGGUACGGGGAAGGGGUCCUUAGGACAUGCACGAUUAAGAUCAGUAAAAUCUACACACAUACGCAAUUUAUUCCCAGCCUUAGGGGUUACAAUAGGAUUUGCUAACCAAGUAUGGUACAACACUUCCCUGAUUGCCCCGGCUUCUUCAGCUUCUCCACUUAUUGCUGGAUGAAGUCCUUGCAUUCCUGUGCUUGCCGGCGAACCUUUUGCUUGACGGGCGGCGCAUCUGGCCGCACCGCCAGCCGAUGCUCGAUCACCUUCCUAGGGACUCCGGGAAGAUCUGACGGCUCCCAAGCAAACACGUCAGAAUUCCCCCGGAGGAAGGAGAUGAAGGGCGCUUUCCUAUUUGUCGCCGAGGCUCGCACCUUCUUGACCUUGGCACCCUCCUCCUUCAGCUUCAUGCCCUUGCUAACACGCGGGCUGGAGCAGGAGCUGCCCCCGGUGUCCUGCUCGGGAGCGGCUCGUGCCUUCUUCUGUGUGGGCUGUUCACACGCAAGUGGAUCCUCAUUCCUGGCAACGUCGUAGUCGCCGGGAUCCGCCGCUGCGAAGGCCUUUAUCACCUCGCCCACGCACCAAGCGGCGUCCUUCAGGUCGCACUUGAUGGAGAGUACACCGUACGUUGACUGCAUCUUCAUCACGCCGUAGGUGCAAUGGGUUGCCGCCAUGAACUUGAUCAGCGCCGGCCGACCAAUAAUCGCGUUGUACGGUAACGGGGUGUGAGCCACGUCGAAAACGACGUGCUCAGUCCGGAACGCCUCCCGAGACCCGAAGGUCACCGAGAGCGUGAUUCGCCCCAUGGGCUGCACCACUCCGGGUUGAUUCCUCGAAACGGGUCAGUGGGCUUCAUCUGCUCCACAGGCGGCUGAACCUUCUCCAGCAACUUGGCGGACAGGAGGUUAAGGCUUGCCCCGUUGUCCACCAGAACCUUGGUCACCAUCACAUUGUUUAUGAUCAGUGACACCACGAGGGGCAGUACCCCUGAUCCCAAAGGACGAAUCAGAUGAUCGUCCGAGUUGAAGGUGCUCGGCACAUGCGACCACCUCAACGGCUACUGCGCCUCCAGGCUGGGGAGGAAGGCGCACACCUCACGAGUGAGCCGCUUCAUGGCUGCGUGAGGCGUGAGGCGUGAGAGCGGAUGCUCCCCUGUCGUCACUGCAGUCGUCCUCAUGUUGUUCGACGCAAGGUUUGACGCGUCCCCGGGCAGGCCGGUCCUUGCCGCCGCGGGCUUGACCGUGACCCCCCGCGGGUUCUCCUUUGUUCCCGCCGCCGGCUGCGCCCCGGCCCGCUCCGUUGCGGAUGUUGUUCGGGCAAUCUCAGGAGAGGUGCCCAAUUUCCCCGCAGUUGAAGCAAGCCCCGGCAGCACGACGCUCCUCGUGGCAUUGCUCGUGCUUCUCCUUGAUGGUCUGGAGAGUGCGGCAGUCUUGCGCGUCGUGGGUGGCGUUGGUGUGGAUGGGGCAGCGUGCAGCCGCCGCCAGCUUGCUACCCGAUGCUCCUGCCAACGCAGCCUUCUUGGUGGGCCUCUGGGGAGCCCCUGAUUCCGCGGCAAGCACUUGCUUCCUGCCGCGCUUCCGGGAGCCCUUCUUCCCGGAACCAUCGGGUGGGUUUGCCACCGCCUUGGCGGCAAGCUCAGGCGCUAAGCGCCCUUCCUCGCUCAUCGUGCACUUGUGCGCGAGAGCGUAGAGAUCCCUUGUGGUCCGGAUCCGGUGCCUGUUCAACUUCUCACACAUCUUCGGGUCACGGACGUUGAUAGCGUAAGUGUUGAUGAUGGCGGCCGCUUCCGCCUCUGGGAUGGAGUAGGAGAUGUUGGAGAACCUGUUGGUGAAGUCCCACAACGUCUCCCCCGGUUUCUGCACUACCGUGUGCAGCUCCGCCAUGGUUCACGAGUGCUUGUAGCCACCCUGGAACGCGUUCACAAACUGCUCGAGCAGGUCAGCCCAUGAGGUGAUGGACCCGGCGGGCAGGUUGAGCAACCAGGUUCUCGUUGAUCCUUUCAGGACCAUCGGGAACUAGGUGGCCCUGACCUUGUCGUCGGCACCAAUAGCGUGCAUGCCUAACGUGUUGGUCAGGAGGAAGUCCUUGGGAUUCACGGUCCCGUCGUACGUCUCGAGCACUGGCGCUGGGAACUUUCGGGGCCAUGUCACCCGGCGUAGCUCGCGAGAGAAUGCGGCACAGCAAUCAUCGGCGGCCAUGGGACUGUCUUCCUGCUCCUCUGGACACUGGCACUCCACCUCACGCCGACACUAGAGCUGCUAGCGCUGGCGAAGAUCCUCUUGCUGGCGGGCGUUCAGGAUGCCCCGCGCGUCACCUGGCGUGACAGUCGGCGACGAGUCCGAGUAGUCCUCGGGAUCCUCGUCCCCUUGUCCUCCCGAUGGUGGAGGAUGCUCCGCGUCCCGGGUUUUGUCCUCGGCCCGAACCGGCCGGGCCGCCCGCGCCUUGUGGCUAUUGCGAAGCGAGUGCGAGGAGCGCAUCCAGCACCCCGCUCCACGCGUCGUGUGCUGGCGUGCCUUGCGGUCGCUAAUAGCACACCAGGACACGCGCAGCGAUGAUGGCUUCCGCCGGGUGUUUUGGUAGGGGGCUACUGGUUCUUGGACCGGCUGCCGUCCGCCCGGUCUCCCGGUGGCCUCGGAUGUGAGGGCCGAGAUUUCGUUGGCGUCGCUCGUGAGACGCUGUGGUCAUGGCGCAGCUAUCGCUGCGCGUCCUCAGCUCGCGAGGGAGCUCACCGGCUGGCACGUGCGACGUUGAGCACGCCCGUGCGGCUGGCUCCGGUGCUAGGCACCGCAGGCCCCCUCGGAUGGUUGUCCGUCGACGCCCGUGGAGGUGGCGGUGGAAACUGCGGCUGCUGCUGCUGCUGCUGUUGAGGAGACCCCUGGUCCCCUUGACCUUGCGACGCAUGUGCGGCGUCGUGGGAUCGAGUGCGCAUGGCUAGUGUGUCGCGCAAGUCGACCUGGGACUCGUCUGCCUUCUUGGGUGGCAUGGCAAGCUAGCAUGGAUGAUGCCGCUGAUGAAGAAACCAACGAAGAAGCCGAUGACGAAGACGAUAACGCCGGCGGUCACUCGAAGUUCUCCGCACGCACCCCUACUUGGUGCGCCAGAUGCCGGAGCACGAAACUCUGGCACCGGGGGUGCUGGACACCCCCUUUUUCGCUCGGUGGAGGGCGAGACGAUUGCUCCGGCGAUCGCCGACAUGACGAAAGACACGAAGUGUCAACGCGUGAGUUUACCGAGGUUCAGGCCACCCGGAGAUGUAACACACUACGUCCUGCUUGGAGUUGUAUUCACGAGAAUGUGUGUGUGUUCUUACAGGUUGCCCCGGGGAGUUCCCGGGCGAGCUACUUGUGCUCCUAAGAGAUUUUUUGCUAUGAACAGGAGCAAACUCCUUGCUACUACUAACUGGGGUUCGAACCAUUUGACCGAUGGCCUUGGUCCUCCUUUUAUAGUUAUGGGGAUACCACAUGUGCCAAUGCAUGCAGCGUGACACGUUUCCUAUACGCGUGUCAUUGCCACAAAACUAUCCCUACUGUAGAUCCACACCAAGCUUCAUGCAGCGCCCAAGCCAUUGUGCAUCGUAGGCAAAAUAGCUCCUAGGGUAGCCGCUCUAGACUUGUUGAGCAAGACUAGCCCUGUCGAUGUGUGGUCUUGUCUCCACUGUUUUGUUUGGCCCACCUGCGACCCCCGAAGCCCCGGUACCCGGGAGCGCCCUGGUACCGUUGCCCGGCAAGUUGCGGGGGAGCGAACUGGUAGCUUCCCGGGUUCGCCCUUCCCGGGAAGCCAGCCUUGCGGGAUCUCAUCAGUUGCGACCCACGUAUCCCGUGCCAGUGGGGCCCCGCGGGCCACUAGUACGACAGUGGGCGUCGGUGGCACCGAGGAAGGAGAGCUGACUGGUCUCCCUCUCGUUGAGACCGGUGCCAAAGAAAGCUUUGACAGGGCGGAGCGCAUCCCACUGUUGCUCCGAGGUGGGCAGCCCGGCGAGCCGGUCUUGGGCUUGCGAGCAGGGGGUCAAAGGGGAUGGCGAGGAACUCGAGGAGUCGCAGAGUUUGGAAGCAGAAGGGGUGGAAGUGAAGAAAGAAGAGCCGAUGCGGGCACCCAGCUUAAGUAAGAGGGGACACCCGCAUGACGCCUACUAGGAAACCGCCUCAUGCAACGUGGAUUGCUCACGGGAUGGCACGCCGCACACCUCCGACGCUUCGGUACCCGAGGCACUGACUGGGAAGGGCCAGCUAACGGAUGUGUGCAGGACCUGCCUGGUGGGCCCACACGCCAAUUAAGGGGCGUGUGCCAGCUGUCAAGAAGGACAACGGGACUCGCGCUGACCCACGCCCAGGGGCUGUGUCGCACCCGCACCCUCGGGGGUUGCGGUUGCAAGGAGCUUGGGCCCAGGAGAGUGCCCGGGCUGGGUGCGGCGCCGUGCAAGAAGCCUGAGCAAAGGCCCCCACGGGGACGCAGGAGACAUGCAUCCCGGGCAGGUCAAGCUGUCAGGUGUUGGUGCAGGCUCAUUGAGUGCGGCCACGUGGCUUAGCAGGCUUGUGCCUACGAUAGCGUGGGCAUGCAGGAGGGCGUAGGGUAGGCCGACGCAGGUGCAGGUCAAGAAUCCCUCCUGUUCAUUGACGGGACGCGUCCCGACCCGUCAGUCAGGGGGGCAGAGCAUCAUGUCCCAUCCGGUGCAGGAGGAGGAAGGACGCAUGGAGGAAUGUUGCUGACGAUUGCACAGCCCAUCACGGAUGUUGACGCGUGUAUAGUUGUCGUGCUCAAACUGUGGAAACCCCUUGCUGUAUAAAAGGAGGACAACGGGCAAUAGGAGAGGAGGAUGAAAAACGGCAGUAUACCAGAAGGCUAGAUAGGCUUGAGUAGAAGAACUGACAAGGGAGAGUGCCCCGGGGAGAUAGCAAGGAACCCCCGGGACCUUUGUACUCAUCUGCACGCCCCAAGAAUCCUGACAAGCAGGACGUAGUGUGUUACAGUUCAGUGGCCUGAACCUGGGUAAAUCUUGGUGUGCUUUUGUGUUGUGGGUGUUUGAGUUUGUAGCCAUCUCUUGCGCAGCCCCCUCGCCCUCCACGAACAAAAACGGGGUGUGUUGAGUCCCCCAGUGUCGGAGCUCAGGCAACGACACGAUGAUUCAAUCGUACUCUGUCGGAGCCCGAAACUCCGGCACCGGUGAUGUUGGGCACCUCCUUUUGAUUCGAUGGAGGGCGAACGGGAUUGCUCUGGCGAUCACCGGCGUGGCCAAAGACACGAAGUGUGGGACAAUGGAUUUUUACCCAGGUUCGGGCACCUGAAGGUGUAACACCCUACGUCCUGCUUUUGGCUUUGUAUUCGAUGAGUUUAAGGAUUACAGGUUGUCGGGGAGUUCUCGGGUUUAGCUACUUGUCUUUCUAAGGAUCUGCUUACUCGGUCGGAUUCUGAACCCUUUGACCGGUGCCAUUGGUACUCCUUUUAUAACCAAGGGGAUACGACAGGCGCCAAUGUCUACAACGCGACACGUUAGCUACACGCGUGUCAAUGCAACAAGUAGUACUUCACUGUUGAUCCACGUUGGGCUUACUGCAACGCCCAUGCCACUGCUCAUGGUGAAUAAAAUGACUCAUAGGGUAACCGUCGUAGCCUUGCUGUGCAAGACUAGACCCACCUCUAUAGCCUCUGUUGGAGGAUUUAAUGCUCUUUCUCCACUGUUCUGCUGACCCCACCUGUAAGCCCAGGUGCACGUUCCGGGGAGGCGCUCCAGCACUUGUGCCAGGGACGUUGUGGGGGCAGCGCGUCUUGACCUUGCCGGGACGACGCUUCCCAGGUUGCCACUGUAGGAGGGCAUCUUCCUACUAUGGAUCUUGAUUUUGACGUUGUCAAUGGUGUCAGAACUCUCGACCUCCAGUGUGAUGGUCUUGCUAGUGAGUGUCUUCUCGUAGGCCUGUUGGUUGGCCUUGCGGGGGGUCACUACAAGAAUUUGGUCGAAUUAUGACGUUCUCACGGUGACGUUCUAGUAGACGGUCACCUAAAAUGAGAAAUCCUGCCGAUUUGGUCUCGGAUGGUCGGAAAGCCCAUGGGCCUCGGGAAUAUGAUGUCAAAGUCGCUCUUUCCGUCUCCGAUCGAGAUUCGCGGGACGCAUCGAGCUACAACACCCCUUAUUGCGCUGGCUUUGUAUGAUCCAGUUGAUACAAUUGACGGUCAGGUGCCUCGUGUCAGACUCGCUCCCACGUUUUUGUCAGUUCCACCGACCUGGGGCCCGCAUGCAGGGUACGGAAGGACGUGCGUCCUCACUACAAGCUAUCGCGUGUCCAGAGCUGCCGCUACAUCUCCAGGUGACCCCGCAUGUUAGGUUUUUACCUUGUUUGACGAGCACGUGCGUUAUUUGCUCCAGACGACUGAGCCCGCCUGUCAGACACGAGAUCACGUUUCCUUACGAACUGCUCCCACGUGUCCACCCAGUUCAUGCAUGGGCCCGCAUGGUGAGUUCGUCCAACCUGGUGGACCCACAUGCAAGGUACCGAAGGACACGCGUCCUCACUAGGUACCACCGCGUGUCUAGGUCGGCCUCUACAUCCUCGAGUGAUCCCACAUGUUUGGACUAGCACGUGCUUUAUUUGCACCAUACGACUGAGCCCGUCUGUCAGACCCGACCACACCUGUCCUUACAAACUGCUCCCACCUGUCCACCCCGUUCAUGUGUGGGCCCUUACUGUCAGUCCGUCCAACCUGGUGGACCCACCUAUCAAACGGGGCGACCUGUCAGAGUAAGGGGACGCACGAGUCCGUUUCAUGCCGUUCCUCUUGGGUCCGCCUAUCAGUCGGUUUGUCCCACCUUUCAGGUACGCCAGCGGGAACACCCGUCAAGAGCAUACAAAUUGGCCCGCGUGUCAAAAUCGAACCACAAGCUGACAUGCCUGUCAGACCUUUUUUGUUUUGAGCGAAACAUCUGCGGGUCUAGAGAUGGCCCCAAUUAGUUGGUCUAGCUAAUGGGCUGUCGUGCAAAAUAGGCAAGUAUGGCCCAGCUAUUUGGCAGCAAAUACAAGUCUGUUUGAGGUAAACUUAAUGGGCUGUAGGCGGUGAGGCCUUGCAACUAGUUUCGCUAGAGUCCAGUGGGUCGCAGAAAUACCGGUGCUCUUACGCCCUAUUGCUACAUGGGCUUUUGAGUGCGAAGGGCAGCCCGCGGCCUUGCACGUGAGACCAAAUUGGGGAAUAAUAACGUAACCCAGUACGAGGGGCAAAACGCUAUUCAUGGGCUGUAGGGCAGCCCACGGCCCUGCACGUAGCUCCGCUACUGUACAGCCGUCUAGGUGAGUCCCGAUAGAAAAAAUACAACCCCAACACAAUAACAACGGUUGCCAUUGUGAUGCAUCGAACACGGGAUGAAACGAGUCCCCUCGUACCAACAUACCAGCGACAAACGUUGUGCAUACACGACAUUCUCGCGGCUCCAGUCUUAGGUGUCAUUGCUAACCCAACUUGUCUCGGCGGGGGUGGUGGGACCAUGUUGUCAGAUCUAGAAUAUACAGUUUGGGACUUGCAUACGUAGGGCGAUAGUUCAUGAGGGACUUUAGAUUACGAGAGUUGACCACCAGGAUUCACGCGGCAGUCCACGACCAGCCACGGUGGACAUCAGCGCAGUAUUGCAGUCGCCCGCCAUUGGCAUUGACGUCUUCAUCUCUGCUGUAGGGGCCUAGCUUCGAAACAGUUGUUCAGUGGGAGGGGAAUGGGCUGAACUUGGGCCAGAUUGUGGGCCGCAAAUUGGGCUCAGGCCUACUUCGAGAAAACUUCAUGUGCGGCGGGCGGCAGGCCGGCAGCCCCCAUGCGCAUGGUGAAGAAAAAACAACCAAAAAAACAAAAGGGUUAUUAAUGGGUGCCUAACACCGCAUUUCGUCCAAAUUUCGCGUUCAUUCCUAAUAAGGCUUCUCGACCUGUUCCACUUUCUGUGAGAACUUGGUUGUCAAGACAUAUUAUUUCAUCUUCGUGCUGCUCUUAGUGCAGAAUCAUAAACAGGACUACAUUAAUUUCUCAUUGGAGUCAACAUAGUUGUGUCACAGGAUAAAGGCAUAUAUAUGGGAGAAAAUGCAUGUUUCCACUACAACAUGCACUACAAUAUGCAAAUGUUGAAUCACAAGGUAAAAUCAACAGAAGCAAAUUUAUUCAUAUAAAUAAGGGACGUUUAGACAUGGGAUGCCCAACGGGAAUGAAUAGUUCGUUAGCACGUAACACAGAGACAUCGUUGAUGUUGAAGUCUUUUUCUGGAGAGCAAUCUGAAGCUCAACCUUCGAAAACCACUGAGAUAUCCAUUAAAACCUCUGCAAUAUUCACAUCACGGCAGGAACAUCUGGCAGGUUACUAAACCAGGAGAGCUUCACAUAUUUCGGCAGUGUCGAUGAAAUACACGAGUUGGCGUUGCAAAUACAAUGAAGUCGUCGUGUGACAAGCAUGGCAGGCACAUCUGAAGGGUAAGUACACCAAAAGAAAAAAGGAUAACCAAAUGACCCUAUACAAGCACAGGACAAAGGAACUGAGCCAUCAUAUGAUACAAACAGGUAGCACAAGGGUUACUACACCAGGAGAGCUUCACAUCUUUCUGCAGUGUCGAUCAAAUCCACGACUUGGCGUUGUGAAUACAAUGGAAGUCGUCGUGUUACAAGCAUGGCAGGGACAUCUGAAGGGUAUCUACACCAAAAGAAAAAAGGAUAACUACAAGCACAUCACAGAGGAACUGAGCCAUCAUAUGAUUAUAACAGGUAGCACACAUAUGAAGCCUAAACAUGUAGAUCUAGAUUCAGAACAUCGCAAUAAAACCAUGCCUAAAAAUUGUGAUGGACAAAGGAACUGAGCCAUGAUUCGAUCGUGAAAGCAAUACACUGGAACCCAAACAGAUCACGUCCUUAUAACUAGGCUGGAACUACAUUUUAACAGGUUGAAUGAUGUAUGAAAUUCUUACCCAAAACUCCCUCCUCACUCAAUCUGCAUGGGUUACUCCAUCAUCUGGACAAAGAUAUAUAGUGGUCAUCCCAAGUGGUGGAAGCUACGUACUUACUUAUCACCAACAGGUUAUAAGACAAUCUUGGGUUCAUAAUCAAUUGUUGAGUUGUUGUUGCAAGCAACAUAAUAUGUGCUGGAACGAGGCCUCCACGUCCUCCACUCCCUCCACGACGAAUGGAAGCACGAACACUAUUUUGUCUCCUACAGAAGUACUACUCCCUUCAUCCAACAAAAGACAUCUGAUGGGCAACUACACCAAAAGAAAAAAAAGAAUAACUACAUGCACAGGACAAAGGAACUGAGCCAUCAUAUGAUUCAAACAGGUAGCACACGUAGGAAGCCUAAAGAUGUAGAUUUAUAUUCAGAACAUCGCAAUAAAACCAUGCCUAAAAAUGAUGCUGGACAAAGGAACUGAACCACGAACCAUAUUCUGUCUCCUACAGAAGUACUACCUGAUAAUACACAACUACACAAGAUUCAGUCGCAUCUUCUUCUGAAUCAGCAUCCUGGCCUUGCAAAGAUUAAAAUCAGCUAACAGCGAGUGAUAAAUGGACUAUUAUUCAAACACUGAUCACACAUACGAAGCCUAAACAUGUACAUUUAAACUCAAAACAGCACGGACCGUGCCCAAAACAGGUGCUGGACAAAGGAACUGAGCCAUGCUACGAGUGAAAGCAGUACACUGGAAGGCAAACAAAUCACGUUCUUACAGUCAGCUAAGAGGGAGUAACAUACCUGGACCAUGAUUCAAAUAGCGAGCACACAUUAACGGAGCCUAAACAUGUACAUUUGAACACACAACAGCACCGUAAAACCAUGCCUAAAAAUGAUGCGGGACAACGGAAAUGAACCUUAACAGCAGAUGCUAUCUCGGUUAUAUCAUCUCCAAUAUAUUUCUUACCCAUUCCUUUAAAAUGUAUCUUUGUACUGACCUACAGAAGUACUACAUCAUUAUACACAACUACACAAGAUUCAACCGCAUCUUCUUCUGAACCAGCAUGUUGGCCUUGCAAAGAUUAAAAUCGGCUAACAGGGAGUGAUAUACAUGGACUAUGAUUCAAACAGCGAGCACACAUACGAAGCCUAAACAUGUACAUUUAAACUCAAAACAUCAUGGCAAAACCAUGCCCAAAACAGGUGAUGGACAAACGAACGGAGCAAUGGUAAUAGAGUGAAAGCAGUACGCGGGAAGGCAAAGAAAUCACGUCCUUAAAAUCAGCCAACAUGGAGUAACAUACAUGGACUAAGAGCACACAUAUGAAGCCUAAACAUGUACAUUUAAACUAGGAACAGAACAGUAACAACAUGCCUUAAAAUUGUGGUGGACAAAGGAUCUGAGCCAUGAUACGAGAGUGAAAGCAGUAGGCUGGAAGGCAAAAAAGCACAUCCUUACAAUCAGCUAACAGGAAGUUCAUUAAACCUAAGAACGGCGUAUUAAAAAGAAUCUUAAAAAUAACCUCAACAGCAAAUGCUUCAACUGCGGCGAGCACGGCCAGUUUCCUGGUGAUAGUCCCGGAGCUGUACUGUAUCAAAUGCUCUGGCUUUCUGGAGCAUCAUCGCUACAUGUGAAAAGGGAACGCGCAGAUCAGUUAUAUUGUCAUAGCGAGUACGAAACAGUCGGCAAAAAAGUGCGAGAUCCGCCCUGUACGUACCCAGAAACUCGAUCUUCAUUUUGUGCAGUGCAACAGAAAUAAUCAAUCUCCUACUGUAGAAGGCAAGCAUUUUAGCAAUGCGACAAAAGAAUAACCAAAUGGCCUUAACACUCCCAAGCACAAACCACGUCCUUAAAAUCAGUGACAGUGAGUAACAUAACUAAAGAUAGAGUACGAUUCAAUCAUCGGCACGAACGCGGUGUGUACCUGUAUCAGCGGGAGGUCUCGUCGUGGACCUGUGUUCGGGAGAGUACAGACGGCAGCGCCGCCUCCGGAUCAAUGCUGCAUGGUACAGAUCGAUCUUACUGUAGCAACGCGAGCUUUCCUGCGCGCCGAAGAGAAAAGGGGGAGCCGCCGGACAAAAUACGCCAGAAACCCUGAGCGCCGCUCGCCGUCUAGAUUGGGCUUUUCUUUCUGAGGUAGUAGUAGUGUAGAUGGAAUUGGGAACACGGGAGGAGCCGGGAUAGAUGAUGUUAUUCUCAGGCAUGUAUAUCUGACUCACUUUAAAGCAAUCAGAUGUAUAUCUCAGGCAUGUAUUUCAGUGGAUUUUGUGCCGAGUGACGUAGCGUCAACGAAUGCGACUCCGUUAAAUACGCGUCUGUGGCUUGGGUACAUUUGCCACGUAGCUUGCCGCCCAAAAUUUUCAAAUAACCCUGUCACAUGUCUCUCUCUGUUCCAAGCCAAGUCAAACCAAGCUGCCGAGCCAUCGUAUCAACGUUAAAUGUACACGCAAAGACUGAUGACACAGCAUGCUUAGAGCUCUGGAAUUAAUUAAUGAGACGGCAGCAGGCGUGGCUCCUGAUGAAGGAAUGCAUGACAGAGAAAAUCUCGAUUAGAGAUUUACUGUCGCCUCAUACGCAAUGUUCAUCAUUGCCACGGCGCACCAUAUGUCACCGUGCCCAUUUGUGUUCCAGACGUACAGUACCUGAAUGAAACCCACCUGCAUACUAGUAGUACUAGUACCCAGCUAGUUCGAUCGAUUACUUUUGCGGGGAAGUAGAUUCAUACGAAUCGAACGCAAAAUAACAAAUUGCACGUAACAGUUGUCAAAUUAGAUUAAUUUUUGACAUGGUGUUGGUGUCCUGUUAAGCAUCCAUACUCUUUAGAAAUACUGCCUCUGUCGUACCAGUGGCCCGCGGGGUCCCGCUGAUACGGGACGCGUAGGUCGCGACUGAUGAAACCCAUUGCUGGCCUCCCGAGAAGCUCACCCCAAAGAGACAGUCAUUGGCGAAGACAAAGUCGAGAACUGGAACAGGAGAAGCGCCCGCUUUGGCGGGUACCCGGGAACCUUGGUCCCGGGAAGUAGAAAGCAUGCUGCCCCGGCAACGAGCUGGGCGCUCUCGCCUAGAAGGGCACCCAGCAAUCCACACUCGGGCAUGUAAAUGGGGCCCGCAAAACAGUGAACACAGGACGAGACAGCGGACGCAGUGCAUUUAAUGCACCGACAGGGGUCACAUUAGUAGGGCUAGCCUUGCUCAGCAAGAUUAGAGCGGCUACACUAUAAUUCAUUUUAUUUACCGCGUACAGUGGCCUGAGUGCUGCUUGGUUUGGCACCUGUGGUAUCCCCUUGGCUAUAAAAGGAGGACCAAUGCCACCUGUCAAAGGGUUCCAACCUUAGUCAAUAGCAAGCAAUAUUGUGUUCACCCGUAGUAGAGUUCCUUAGACGGACAAAUAGCCAACCCGGGAACCCCCAGCGAUCUGUAAAGCAUUCUCAUUCGUGAAUACAACUAAGAGCAGGACGUGGCGUGUUACACCUAGCAGUCGACACUUCGUGUCUUUGGUCAAGCCGGCGAUCGCUGGAGCGAUCUCCUCGCCCUCCACCGAACAACAAGGGGCUUCAUCACCAGCAACACCGUCUUCAUCAGCUCGCCACGCCGCCCGAGAAGGCAGACGAGCCCCAAGUCGACUUGCGCGACACGCUCACCAUGCGCACUCGAUCCCAUGAUGCCGCACGUGCGUCGCAAGGUCAUGGGGAACAGUGGUCCCCCUAGCGUCAGCAACCUCAGCAGCAGCAGCAACCGCAGCUGUCACCGCCACCUCCUCGGGCGUCAACGGACAACCUUCCGAGGGGACCUGCGGCGCCUAGCGCCGGAGCCAGCUGCACGGGCCACCUUAACGUCGCACGUGCCAGCCAGCAAGUUCACUCGCGGGCUGAGGACGUGCACCAACAGCCGCGUCACGACCACAGCGCGUCGCGUAAGAUGCCAGCGAGAUCUCGGCCCUCUCAACCGAGGGCACCGGGUGAACUAGGGGACGGCAGCAGGUCUGAGAACCGGCAGCCUCCCGCCCAGACCCCACCGGAAGCUAUCAUCACCGCGCGUGUCAUGGUACGCUAUGAGCCAACGCAGGGCACGCCAGCGCACGACGUGUGGAGUGCGGAGCUGGACGCUCUCCUUGCGCUCGCCGCCCACCAACCGCAAGGUGAGGGUGGCCCGGCCGGUUCAGGCCGAGGACCGAACCCGGGACGCGGGGAAGUUCCCCGCGCCUCGGGGCAAGGGGAGCAUCCUCCACACGCGGGAGGACAGGACGGUGAGGAUCCCGAGGAUGACUCGGACUCGUCACCGACCGUCACGCUAGGUGACACGCGAGGCGUCUGGAACGCCCGCCAGCAGGAAGAUCUACGUUAGCGCUUGCAGCGCCGGCGCCGGCGCGAGAGAGAGCGCCCGCGUCUAGAGGAGCAGGAAGAUGCUCCCAUGGGCGCCGAUGACGGCUGCGCCGCGUUCACCCGCGAGCUGCGCCAGGUGACAUGGCCCUGCAAGUUUCGAGCGCCAGUGCUCGGGACGUACGAUGGGACCGUGAACCCUAAGGAUUUCCUCCUGACCUACACGUUGGGCAUGCAUGCUAUCGGUGCCGACGACAAGGUCUGGGCCAAUUGGUUCUCGUUGGUCUUGAAGGGAUCAGCGAGAACUUGGUUGCUUAACCUGCCGGCUGCGUCCAUUGCCUCCUGGGCUGACCUGCGCGAGCAGUUCGUGAACGCGUUCCAGGGUGGCUACAAGCACCCGGGAACCAUGGCAGAGCUACACACAGUGGUGCAGAAGCCGGGGGAGACAUUGCGGGACUUCACCAACAGGUUGUCCAACAUCUCCUACUCCAUCCCAGAGACUGAAGCGGCCGCCAUCAUCAACACAUACGCCAUCAACGUCCGCGACCUGGAGAUGCGUCGAAACUGAACUCGCACCGGAUCCGGACUACCAGGGAUCUGUACGCCCUCGCGCACAAGUGCGCGAUUGUCGAGGAAGGGCGCCUACCGCCUGAGCGUGCCGCCAAAGCGGCGGCGAACCCACCUAAGGGCUCCAGGAAGAAGGGCUCUCGGAAACGUGGCGGGAAGCAAGUGCUUGCCGCGGAACCGAGGGCUCCCCAGAGGCCUACCAAGAAGGCGGCGUCGGUGGGCACAUCAGGUAGCAAACCGUCGGCGGCCGCACUGUCGCACCAGUGGCACCCGUGGUACGACCGUUGCACGACGCGUGGAUCACAUCGCUGGGUUCCCGGGAGGAUCCCACCCCGGGCGGCAACGUAUAGGCUGCCCGGCAAGCUACCAGCCCGGAAGAGCUAGCGGGGCUUCGAGGAAUAUUCCCGCCGGGGCACCUCCUGGGAAGGCACUUGCCGGGAGGAGGUGUUCCCGGGCGCAGGUUCCCGCCGUGAGGGCGGGGCCGAGCGAGCAGAGCAGCGACGCCACGUGGGCGCGCGGUAGGCGCCCAGUGUGCAGUUUCGCCAGGGCAAGGAGUGAGGCGCACGGCACAUUUAAUGAACCGACAGGAGGGGCGUUACCCGUCUAGUCAGGCGAACAGUGGCUGUUCAGUCCUAUUUUUUAGGCCCUAGAUCCCUACCCGCAGGGUUGGCGGUCAUGCAUGCAUGCCAGCACGCCGAGGAGGAGCUGCCCAAGCUCCUUGCUCGCCACUUGUAAACCAUGCACCGUGGCACCUGUGGUAUCGCCUUGGCUAUAAAAAAGGACCCCCGCCAACGGUCAAAGGGGUUUUUUUUCGUUGGUUCGUUUCUGGUCGGUUUUGGUUCAGUUCGUUCGCUCGUUCGUUGAGCCAACUCGUAGUGCAACACUGGCAACAGCCUGAAGUAGAAAAGAACAGUUAGCCAAAAAAGAGACCACUCGGGGGCUUCCCCCGGCAACCUGUAAACAGCCGGUUUCACAAUAAUACAAGCUCAGACAAGCAGGACGUAGGGUUUUACACCGCAAGGUGGCCCAAACCUGGGUAAAAAGCGUGUGCAUGUGUCCUUGAUAGCGUUCUCGAUGUGUUCUUACACUUCCCAUUGGCCCCGCCGGCGAUCGUCGGAGCGAUCCCCGUAGCCCACUGCCGAUCCUAAAAAGGGGGUGCCCGCGCAUUGCCGGUGUCGGAGCCCCGUGCGAUGACAUCUGGCGCGCCAGGUAGGGGGCACGUGAGGAGAGCCGCCGGUGACCGCCGGCGGCGACAUCUGCACCAGCAUCGGCUUCGUCUUUCUCGACGACAAAGCCAGCCACCAUGCCUCCCAAGCGGGCUGGUGACUCGAGGAUCGUCCGGCUCACCCUAGGGUUUCCGGGGAUAGAACGGAGGGGAACCGGCAGCCUCUCGCGCAAACCCCGGCGGAGGCCAUCAUCGCCGUGCGAGUCAUGGUGCGCGACGAGCCGCCACAGGGCACGCCGGCGCACGAGGCAUGGAGCGCCAAGUUGGACGCGCUCCUCGCACUCGCCGCCCAACAGCCACAGGGCGAAUGCGGCCUGGCAGGCUCAUGCCACGGGUAGAACCCGGGGCGCAGAGACGCGCCCCGCGCCUCGGGGCAAGGCGAAAACCCUCCCCCGUAGGAAGGCCCGGGAGGCGGGGACCCGGAGGGGUCCUCGGACUCGUCACCCACCGUCGUGCAAGGUGACGCGCGCGGCAUCUUGAAUGCCCACCAGCAGGAGGACCUGCGUCAGCGCCUGGAGCGCCCGCGCCGGCGCGAGGUGGAGCGCCCCCGCCCACAGGAGCAGGAGGAUGCUCCUAUGGGCCCCGAGGACGGGUGCACUGCGUUUACGCGCGAGUUGCGGCGGGUGAUAUGGCCCCACAAGUUCCGAGCGCCCGCGCUCGGUACGUACGACGGGAUCGUGAAUCCCAAGGAUUUUCUUCUGACCUAUACGUUGGGGAUGCAUGCCAUCGGCGCCGACAACAAGGUCAGAGCCAACUGGUUCCCUAUGGUUCUGAAAGGAUCAGCAAGAACCUGGCUGCUCAACCUGUCUGCUGGGUCCAUCGCCACUUGGGCGGACCUGCGCGAGCAGUUUGUGAGCGCGUUUCAGGACGGCUACAAGCGCCCGAGAACCAGGGUGGAGCUACACACUGUAGUGCAGAAGCCGGGAGAGACGCUCCGGAGCUUCGUCAACCGUUUCUCCAGUCUCUCCCACUCCAUUCCGGAGGUGGAGGCUGCUGCCAUCAUCAACACCUUCGCAUCAACGUCCGUAACCCCAAGAUGUGCGAGAAGCUGAGCACGCAUCGGAUCUGGACGACGCGGGAUUUGUACGCCCUAGCGCACAAGUGUGCCAUGGCCGAGGAAGGGCCCCUAGCGCCCGAAUUUGCAGCUAAGGCUGCCGCGAGCCCGGGAGAGGGUUCGCAGAAGAAGGGUUCCCGCAAGCGCAGCGGGAAGCAAGUCCUCGCCGCGGAGUCAGGGGCUGCUGCGAGGCCUGCAAAGAAGGCCUCACCUGGUGGCGGGUCUGGUGGCAGGCAGGGCGAUGCGUCCCGCUGCCCCAUCCACGCCAACUCCAUCCAUGACGCGCAGGACUGCCGCAUCCUGCAAGGUAUCAAGCAGCGGCGCGAGCAGCGCCACGAGGAGCGCCGAGCAGCCGGCGCCUGCUUCAACUGCGGCGACAUCGGGCAUCUCUCCCGAGAUUGCCCGAACGACCCCAGAGCAGGGCCGAAGCCUGCCGGCGGCAACACCGGCGGCAACGCAGGCAGGGAGGAAGCCCAGGGGGACGCGGCCAAGCCUGCGCUGGCAGGAGCGCCCUUCCCGGGGACGAGACGGGGCUCGUGCUGAGGAGUAGCGCGAGUCUGACUUCACUGGUGGCGACGAGCCGGGCUUCCAGGAGCCUCACGGCGUCGCCUACAUCCAUGGGGCGAGCGUAGCUCGCCCAUCCCACGCCGCGGUGAAGCGCCGAGUUGGACACGCGCGUGCGUGCUGUUGCCGGACGCAGAGCCGCAGCAGCCGCUGAGGUGGUCGCAUGUGCCGAACACCUUCAGCGCCGACGAUCACCCAGCGCGGCAGUUGGGUUCAGGGGUCAUACCCUUUGUGGUUUCACUGAUCAUCAGCAACAUGACGGUGACCAAGGUGCUGGUGGAUAAUGGAGUGGGGUUGAACCUCCUGUCCGCCAGGUUGGUGGAGAAACUCCAGUUGAAGCCCACCGAGCCGUUCCGGGGGGUGACCCCCGGGAUCGUGCGCCCCCUAGGGCGCAUCACGCUGCCGGUGACCUUUGGGUCCUGGGAAGCGUUCAGGACUGAACACAUAGUGUUCGACGUGGCGCAUAGCCCGUUGCUCUACAACGGGAUCCUUGGUCGGCCGGCGCUAAUCAAGUUCAUGGAGGUGACCCAUUGCACCUACGACGUGAUGAAGAUGCCAUCCGUGUACGGUGUCCUCUCCAUCAGGUGCGAUAUCAAGGACAUGGCCUGGUGUGUGGGCGAGGUCGUCAGAGCCGCCGCCGCGGCCGACGCCGGUAACGAAGACGUUGCCGGGGACGAAGGCUUGCCGGGCAACAGCCUGGCAACGAAGAAGGCCCGUGCUGCCCCGCAAGAGCUUGCCGGGGGAAGCACAGGCUCGAGCUCAUGCCCCAGCAAGGGCCAGAAGCUCCGGGAGGAGGCCGCCAAGGUGAAGAGGCUGCCCCUCCAAGCCGGCAGCAAGGAGCGCACCGUCACCGUCGGUGCCAACCUUACUGCCGAAUAGGAAAGUGCCCUCAUCACCUUCCUCCGGGAGAAUGCCGACGUGUUCGCUUAGGAGCCGUCAGACCUUCCCGGAGUCCGUAGGGGGGUGAUUGAGCAACGACUCGCGGUGCGUCUGGACGCCCGCCCCAUCAAGCAGAAGAUCCGCCGACAAGCACAGGAGCGGAAGGAUUUCAUCAAGCAAGAGGUGGACAAGCUCAAGGCUACAGGGGCUAUCAGGGAAGUUCUGUACCCCACUUGGUUAGCUAACCCUGUAGUAGUACCCAAGGCGGGAAAUAAGCUUCGCAUGUGUGUAGAUUUCACUGAUCUUAACCGUGCAUGUCCCAAGGAUCCUUUCCCUGUACCCCGCAUCGAUCAGAUAGUUGAUUCCACUGCUGGUUGCGACUUGUUGAGCUUUUUGGAUGCUUUUCUGGCUACCAUCAAAUUAAGAUGGCAGUUGAAGACGAGGAGAAAACUGCGUUCAUCACCCCGGUUGGCUGUUACUGUUACACGUGCAUGCCUUUCGGGUUGAAGAAUGCGGGCUCAACAUUCCAGCGCGUGCUGCGCGAGUGUUUGGGACCCCAGCUAGGCCGGAACGUGGAGGCCUACAUGGACGAUAUUGUCAUCAAAUCGAAGCGCGGGGACUCGCUGAUUGAUGACCUGCAGGAAAUGUUUGAUAACCUCCGCAGGAUCAAACUCAAGCUGAACCCUGAGAAGUGCACCUUUGGUGUAGACUCGGGCCAGCUUCUGGGUUCUUAGUUUCGCAUAGGGGGAUACAAGCCAAUCCAGACAAGAUAGAAGCAAUCGAGAAGAUGGAGGCCCCCCGCAAGGUAAAGGAUGUCCAGCGCCUCAACGGUUGCGUUGCUGCGCGGGGCCGCUUCAUCUCAAGGCUGGGCGAGCGCGCCCUGGCUUUCUUCAAAGUGAUGAAGAAGAAGGGCCCGAUAGAGUGGACCCUCGAGGCCGAGGCGGUGUUCCAGGAUCUGAAACAAUACCUAAAGUCGCCGCCCGUCCUCGUCGCCCCCAAGUCGGGCGAGCCACUGCUCCUCUACCGAGCAGCGACUGACCAGGUGGUCAGCUCGGUGCUGGUUCCCGAGAGGGAGGAAGAUGUUCCGGGGACUGAGGCUGCGGGGCAGGGGGCUGAACGGCCCCCGGCAACCACCUCGGACCUGGGGACCGCCCCCGAGCCGGCAACUUCAGCACCGCGCAAGCGGCUCGUGCAGCACCCAGUGUACUUUGUCAGCACGGUGCUGCGCGACACCAGCACGAGGUACCCGCAGGUGCAGAAGCUCCUCCUGGGGAUUCUGCUCGCCUCCCGCAAACUGCAUCACUACUUCUAGGCGCACCGCGUCACGGUGGUGUCGGGGUUCUGCCUCGAGCGAGCCCUCACCAACCGUGAAGCCACCGGGAGGGUGGCCGAGUGGAGGAUGAAGCUGUCGGAGUUCGAUCUGCACUUCACCAACUCCAAGAGCAUCAAGAGUGUGGCCCUGGCGGAUUUCGUCGCGGAGUGGACGUCGACGGGUGUAGAAGAGGAGGCGCCGGAGACCAGCCUUCCAGGCAAGCUGGGCGAAGGCCACUGGGUCCUCUACUUCGACGGCGCAUUCAGCCUCCAAGGAGCCGGCACCGGGGUCGUCAUCGAGUCACCGACGGGGGAUCAGUUGAGGUUCGCUAUCCAACUCGAUUUCCCGAACUCCACCAACAACACGGCGGAGUACGAGGGUUUGCUCGCCGGGUUGCGGGCAGCUAUCGCCCUGGACAUCAAGCGCCUGGUCGUUCGCAGGGACUCCUAGCUCGUGAUCAACCAGGUUAACAAGGACUACAACUGCCCGCAGAUGGCACCAUACGUGGAGGAAGUCCGCAAGCUAGAACGCAAGUUCAAGGGUUUGCGAUUCAAGCACGUCAAGCGAAAGGACAACUUCACGGCUGAUGAACUGUCCAAGAUGGCAGCAGAACGCCGGAAGCCUUCGGCGGGGGUGUUCUGGCACAGACAAGCCACACCCUCAGUCGCCACCGAGCCGAUUGCCGGGGAAGCCUCUCUAGCAACCGAGGGAAACCCCGCAACAGCAGGGGUCCAUGCAUUGGCAGGGAGACCCCUCUCUGGGCGGUGGAAAUCGCCCGUUACCUGAAGAGAGAGGCUCUCCCGGAAGAUGACGUAGCUGCGGAGCGAGUGGCUCGACAAGCCAAGAUGUACACUGUCGUGGACGGGAACCUCUACCGCAGGCGUGCAAAUGGAGUCAAGCUCCUCUGCGUGCCCCAAGAUGAAGGGCGUGCACUGUUGGACGAGAUACAUCGAGGCACAUGUUCGCACCAUGUGGCCUCCCGCGCGCUGGCCGGCAAGGCGUUUCGCCACGGUUUUUACUGGCCCACGGCCCUGAACCGACACGGAGCAGCCGGUGAAGACGUGUGAGGCGUGCCAGUUCCACUCAAAGAAGAGCAACUAGCCGGCGCAGGUCCUGCAGGUCAUCCCGUCCUCGUGGCCAUUCGCUGUCUGGGGGCUGGAAAUCGUCGGCAAGCUGCCGAGAGCGGUCGGCGCCUACGAGUACUUGCUCCUGGCCAUCGACAAGUUUUCCAAGUAGGUGGAGGUGGAACCGGUGCGGAAGGUGACGACCCAGGUGGCCAUCAAGUUCUUCAAGAACAUUGUGUGCCGGUUUGGUGUGCCUAACGGCAUCAUCACCAACAAAGCCACGCAAUUCACGAGCAUAGUGUUCCAGGCCUACUGCGAGGGCAUGGGCACCAAGAUACACUUCGCGUCCGUUGCUCACCCAAGGAGUAACGGGCAGGCGGAGCGAGCCAACGCAGAAGUGCUGCGGAGGCUCAAGACGAGAACCUUUGACAAGCUCAAAGGCCACGGGAAACACUGCGUCGAAGAACUCCAGCCCGUGGUGUGGUCAAUCAGGACCACACCUCGUCGGGCAACGAGCGAAACCCCUUUCGCCCUUGUCUACAGGGUAGAAGCGGUGCUGCCCUCGAGAUAAAGCACGGAUCUCCCCGAGUACGCGCGUACGGCAACUCCAGCCAACACAAGCAAAGGGUUGACGAUCUGAACUUCAUCGAAGAGCUUUGAUGCCGAGCUGCUGUGCGAGCCGCGUGCUAUCAGCAGGGACUCCGUCGUUAUCACGACAGACGAGUCCGUCCCCGGGGGCUCGAGAAUGGAGACCUUGUCCUGCGCCGGAUACAAGGAACGAAGGCCGGGAACAAGUUGACUCCAAAAUGGGAGGGCCCCUUCCGGGUAGUGCAGGUGACCAGGCCGGGGGCUGUCCGGCUGGAAACCGAGGAAGGCUUGCCGGUGCAAUAUAGCUGGAAUAUUGAGCACCUGCGCAAGUUCUACCCGUGAAGCGACGGAGCCCGACCCUCAGGUGAUGCCGCCGAUGCAUACCUCUCGAACUAAUGUAGCCGGGCAACCCCUGUGUGUAAACCACUGGUUAUUGUGAAUAAAGAUAAGUGCGUUUCCUGAAUAUUUGGUUGCCUCGUUUCAUUUGCAUGUUCCUUUCACUUCUGUCUCCUGCCCUAGGUGCACGGAAGUGUCUUUCCAUACUUGGUUGUGAGCAGGGGGCUACCGGAGCCUCGAAAACGUAAACCCGUUGCCGGAUCGCUCGGGCACGGGGCAUGCAGUUGCCGGGCUUCCCGCAACAUGCAUCACGAGACAUGCAGUUGCCGGGCUUCCCGCAACGUGCAUCACGAGACAUGCAGUUGCCGGGCUUCCCCCAACGUGCAUCACGGGACGUGCAGUUGCCGAGCUCACCGCAACGUGCACCACGCAGUUGCUGCGUCUUGGGAAUAAAGUGCUCACAUCUAAGUUUGGCAUCGACCCUCCAGAGGGCGCCUCCAGAGGCAAGGGUCGUCGCGAGGACGCUGUGAUGGCGCCGGUGCCGGCGUUCGCCGUUCGCUCUGGCCCACCACAGCGUCCCUGCUACGUCCCUCAGGAAGAUUUUUCCCCAAGCAGCGAGGGUUGCUGCGGGGACGCCGUGAUUUCUUCGCCACACGCGUUCACCGGUGGUGGCGAGGAAGUCACGACGUCCCUACUGCACCCCUCGGAACAAGUUCUUCCGAAAGCAAGGGCUCUUCCAAAGGCGAGGGUUGCUGCGGAGACACGGCGGUAGCAUCGUCGUCGGCGCUUGUCGCCGGCGACAAUCCUGCCGCGGCGUUCCCACCGCAUCCCUCAAACAGGCUUUCUCAAGGGCGAUGUACCAGGCGUACACCUCCGGCAAGUGUACCGAGGACGCGACUGAAUGAAAAGCUAAGUGCUUGAACCUAAACGAUGAACUCUUUGAGAACUAAACGUAAUUGAACGCUACCUCGCUAAGUGUGACUCCGAAACCUGCGUGUGGCUGGGGUGUUAGAAGGACGCUUGCGGGGGGAGUGCGCUCCCCGUGCGGCUUCUGGGUCCAUCCCGGGAGAGCAUGGCUUGGAGUAGUUACCCCGCAAGCGGAGUGGCUCGCCGCUGCCGCUUGACCCUAGGUCGGCACUACGGGUCCGUCCCGGGUCCCUGGUUUGGUCAAGGGUGAGGCGCUUGAGUCCCCGGUGACAUAAAGCACAACACACAAGGGCGAGGGGAUCCACCCCACGAGGUAGCCCCAGGAACAAGGAACAAGGAUUAAGCAGAACUAAAGAGCUUGGUUAACUAAGUAGCAAACGAUUACAUGAGCUAAUGAAUCAGUAAUUGUUCAAACGGCGCCAAGCGCCAUACUUGCAGGACGAAAGCAAAAGAAGAUAAACAAGAAAGCAGCAAGGGCCGGCAGGAGGCUGCGGCAACUAGUUGUCGUCGUCUUCCGCCGAUGGCUCCGGGGACGGCUCGGGGUCCGGCUUCCGCUGCAUCCGCUCGACCACCUCGUCGACGAACCCACUCACCGCCUGAGUGUGGGUGGGCUCGUUCUUGCUGUCCGACCAGGCGUCCAGCAGCGUCUCGAAGGGAAACUCCGGGUCCCGGAGGUGUAUCCUCGGAAGGAUCGUCCCGGCAACCUCCCGGGCGCAGUUGGGAACCUCGUUGGUGCCAAACUUGGCGAUCCCGACGUCGAGCGCCCCGAGCUUCCCCACCAGGUCGGAGAAGAACGGGAUCAGCGUGGAGACGUCUGUGCUGUCCACCUCCGCGGCUUGCAGCUUGAACCUGGGCAGCAGAUCGCGCAGCUCCUGAGCGAUCUAGAGCAGCUUCUCGGUCUCCAGCUACCGUUGCCCGAUCAACAUGCCGUGGUGGAGCCGGGCGUUGAGCGUAGCCUUCUUGGCCUUCCGGAGGCGGCUCGCCAGCAACGGGAGCUCUGCGGCUUGGGCCGCUUUGUCCUCGCCGGCCUUGGUGAGCUCCUCCCGGACAGUGGCCAGCUCGGUCUUGAGCCGGGCCGCCCUGUCCUUGGCGGCGCCGAGCUGGAUCUCAUGCCGGGCCGCCGCGUCCACCGCGCUUUCGGUGGCCUUGACCUGCACCUCCAGCUUGACGCGCAGGCCUUGGAUCUCGCCGCGAUAGUUGGCGAUCAGAUCGCUCUUCUCGUCGAUCCGAGCCUGGGCUGCAGCGAGCACCUCGACGUGCUCCUUCUUGGUUUCCGCUUGAGCCACCAGCAGCGAGUCCAGAGCUCCCUGGAGCUUGGCGCGCUGGGCCUCCAGUCGCCGGUAGAGCUCCUCUUCCGAGACGGCCGGUGUGGCGGCAUCCUCCAAGGCUUCCUGGGCAAGGCGCGCCUCCUCCCUGGCGAGGUGCGUCUCCUCCCGUAGCCGGGAGAGUUCUUGCCGCUCUUUCUCCACGGCCUGCCGUAGCUCACCAAGCUGGCCCUUGGUGAUCGCGUGAUACUCCCUCACCUCGUUGAAGGAGGUGACGAAGGCCAGUUGCUGGUCCUUGACGGUGUCGAGGAACCGGUGCCCCUAGUCGAAGACGCUCGGAUCCCAGGUGAUGGGAUUCCAAGCCACCCCGGCAAGGGUGUCGAGGUCGGUGUCGAAGGUAGCGGCCGAUGACGAUGAGGCCCCCGCCGCUACCGUAUAGCUGGGCAGGGGGUCGUCCGCUUGCGGCGGAGCGUCCGGCCGCUCCUCUCCGGCAACCUCCCCCUCACCCGCGCCCGGGGACUGCGGGGCUGAUGACGUUGCCGCGCACCCGGCAGGGGCCGCCCCCUGCUCGGUGGCGACGAAAUCCGCGUCAACGGCGUCUACGACCGCCGGCGCGCUGCCGGACGCCAUCCCUGCGGCGGCGGUGGCCACUGCUGCCGCUGCGGCCAGUGCAACAGGGCUUGGCGUGGGGGCUGCCUCCGGCCCCUCGGCCGUCCUCGUAACCUCGACGUCAGGGUCGAGGUCAACCACCGUAGAACCCGCUUCCAGUGCGGGCGCGCUUGGGCCUGGAACAGCGAGAAGGUUGAGAAGCAUGAAGCUAAACGAAUUGCCUGGAGACAGACGCGGGGGCUCAGGACGGUUACCUUGCGGGGCCACUGGACUUGCGGGGGGAGCAUCCCCCUCCUCCUCCGUGCCGGUGAGGGUCUCUAGGAGGUUUGUUGCGGGUGAAGCGUCCCCUACAAACAGAAGGUACGAUUACGUGAUUAACUGACAAUUGAAAACCAAGGAAAGGAGGCAGGAAGGAGCUGUACCUGUUGCCGGCACCACCUCCGUUGGGCUGGGUCGCCGGAAGGUGCGAUGGCGGCGCCGCUAGCCCCUGUGCCGGCCGGGUCGGCAGCGGUGCCGGCGUCUGCGCGCACCUUCUUGCUCGGCGCGGCAGGUAGGGAGUCGUCUCUCCCCCUCUUGCUGGCGCUUGCCGACGAAUAGGCCUUCGGGGGGUUGCGCCGGAGCGCAAAGCCUCGGAAGACCCCUCGAGCAGGCGGGGUAGGGGGUGCUCGUGGAGGUGCCGCAGCCCGGGGCACCGUAGGCACCGACGACAAGGUGUGGCUGCGGCCACGGCCCCGGCAGCUGCUGCUGAGGUAGUCGCUGCCGGGGUGGUCACCGCCGCGGCUCCGGCAACUACGACGAUUGUGGUCGCCGCCGAGGUGCCGGCGGACGCCCCUAGGGGGGCCACCGCCGCUGGGGCGGAUGCCGCCGCCGCCCCCGUGGAGGUCGCCGCGUGCGCCCUUGAUCUUCGCACGAUCAGGGGCGCGUCGUCGCUAUCCUCCUCAUCGUCAUCCAUGGGGACAACCACCUGGGACGCGGCAGGCUGGCCCGCCUCGUCGUCCGAAAACCGAAGGGACAGCCAGCUUACCUCCGACUCACCCCCGCUCUCCUCAAGCACCUGCUUCCCGCGAGGUGCCGGCGGGGGAGCGCGCGGGGUCCGAGUGGGGGAGCCGUCCAUCAACCCCCACUCGUUGCAGGGCGGGAAGGAGGCGACGAUGUCAUUCAGCUCCUGAACGCCGGCAUGGAGGGAGAUAACCCCUGGGGAACCCAGUAGCGGGAAGGUCCUCGCCGGAGAUCCCUUUCACCCACACCUGGAGGGAUUCCCGGUCCACGGCCUCGCGAUGGAGGCGUGUCCUGUCCCCGAGCCCCGUAUACAUCCACGCGGGCCGGAAGCGCAGUUGGAGCAGCGCGACACGCCGGGUGAUGAAGGUGCGCGCCACAUCAACAUCGGUGAGCCCUGCCAGCCGCAAAGCCUUGAUCUUCUCCAUGAUGGGGAGGAGAUCGUCGUCGCGGUGGUACCGGUCUCGCCAGCCGUUGUGGGGUUGCGGCAGCUCGGUAGGCGAGAGGAUGAACUCCUCGGGGUCUUCUACCCGGACCCAGCACCAGUCUCCCCGCCACUCCUUCUCGAUCUUCUUCUCCGACCGGACGAUGAACUCGGGGCCGAGCGAGCAGCGCAGCGACGCCACGUGGGCGCGCGGCAGGCGCCCAGUGUGCAGUUUUGCCAGGGCAAGGAGUGAGGCGCACGAUGCAUUACCCAUCUAGUCAGGCGAACAGUGGCUGUCCAGUCCUAUUUUUUAGGCCCUAGACCCCUACCUGCAGGCUUGGCGCUCAUGCAUGCAUGCCAGCAUGCCGAGGAGGAGCUACCCAAGCUCCUUGCUCGCCACUUGUAAACCAUGCACCGUGGCACCUGUGGUAUCCCCCUGGCUAUAAAAGGAGGACCCCCGCCAACGGUCAAAGGGUUUUUUUUUCGUUGGUUCGUUUCUGGUUGGUUUUGGUUCAGUUCGUUCGCUCGUUCGUUGAGCCAACUCGUAGUGCAACACUGGCAAUAGCCUGAAGUAGAAAGAACACUUAGCCAAAAAAGAGACCACUCGGGGGCUUCCCCGGCAACCUGUAAACAACUGAUUUCACAGUAAUACAAGGUCAGACAAGCAGGACGUAGGGUUUUACACCACAAGGUGGCCCGAACCUAGGUAAAAAGCGUGUGCAUGUGUCCUUGAUAGCGUUCUCGAUGUGUUCUUACGCUUCUCAUUGGCCUUGCCGGUGAUCGUCGGAGCGAUCCCUGUAGCCCACUACCAAACCUAAAAAGGGGGUGCCCGCACAUCCCCGGUGUCGGAGCCCCGUGCGACGACACGCACGCUGCCACAGCCGCGCCAACGCCACCCACGACGCAUAGGACUACCGCACUCUCCAGACCAUCAAGGAGAAGCGCGAUCAGCGCCACGAGGAGCGUCAUGCUGUCGGAGCCUGCUUCAACUGCGGGGACAUCGGGCACCUCUCCCGCGACUGCCCGAAGAACCCCCGCAACAGACCGGGCCGUGGCGCGGCCAACAGUGGAAACAAGGGAGAACCCGCGGGGGGUCGCGGCCAAGGCCGUGGCGGCAAGGACCGGCCUCCCUGGGGAUGCGACAAGCCUCGUGAAGAUCAGCGCGAGGACGACUGCAGUGACGACUUCGACGAGCCUGGCUUCCAGGAGCCCCGUGACGUCGCCUGGAUCCACGGGGGAGCAUACGAUCUCACGUCUCACGCCACCGUGAAGCGGCUCACCUGUGAGGUGUGCGCCCUCCAUCCCAGCGUGGAGGCACAACAGCCGUUGAGGUGGUCGCACGUGCCGAUCACCUUCAACUCGGACGAUCACCCGAUCCGUCCCUUGGGAUCAGGCGUACUACCCCUCGUGGUAUCACCGAUCAUCAAUAACGUGACAGUGACCCAGGUUCUGGUGGACAACGGAGCAAGCCUUAACCUCCUGUCCGCCAAGUUUUGGUCGAAAAGCUUUAGCUACCCCUGGAGCAGAUGAAGCCCACCGACCCGUUCCGGGGGAUUAACCCCGGAGUGGUGCAGCCCAUGGGGCGAAUCAUGGUCCCGUUGACUUUCAGGUCCGAGAAGCGUCCUGGACUAAGCACGUUGUCUUCGACGUGGCUCACUCCCCGUUGCCGUACAACGGGAUCAUUGGUCGGCCGACGCUGAUCAAGUUCAUGGCGGCGACUCAUGGCGCCUGUGGCGUGAUGAAGAUGCCGUCGACAUACGGUGUACUCUCCAGCAAGUGCGACCUGAAGGACGCUGCUUGGUGUGUAGACGAGGUCGUGAAGACCUCCGCAGUGGCGAAUUCCAGCGACUAUGAUGUUGCAGGGAACGCGGAUCCACUUGCGGCUGAGCAGCCCGCACACAAGAAUCUGCACGCCACCCCCGGGCAGGAUGCCGGGGGCGGUACCAGCUCCAGCCCGUGUGUCAGCUAUGGCGUGAAGUUGAAGGAGGAGAGUGCCGAGGUCAAGAAGGUACCCCUGCAAGCCGUCAAUGAGGCGCGCACCGUUUCUAUCGGUGCGAGCCUCGGUGACAAAUAGGAAAGCGCCCUCAUUGCCUUCCUCCGGGGAAAUUCUGACGUGUUCGCUUGGGAGCCAUCGGAUCUUCCCGGAGUCCCCAGGGAGGUGAUCGAGCAUUGGCUGGCGGUGCGGUGGGACGCGCGCCCCGUGAAGCAGAAGGUUCGCUGGCAAGCACAAGAACGCAAGGACUUCAUCCAGCAAGAAGUGGAGAAGCUCAAGAACGCGGGGGCAAUCAUGGAAGUGUUGUACUCUACUUGGUUAGCAAAUCCUGUUGUAGUUCCUAAGGCUGGAAAUAAAUUACGCAUGUGUGUAGAUUUUACUGACCUUAAUCGUGCAUGCCCUAAGGACCCUUCCCUGUACCCCGUAUUGAUCAAAUAGUAGAUUCCACAGCGGGUUGUGAGACGUUGUGCUUUUUAGAUGCCUUCUCCAGCUACCACCAUAUCAAGAUGGCAGUCGAAGAUGACGAGAAAACAACAUUUAUCACCCUGGUUAGCUGCUACUGUUAUACAUGCAUGCAUUUCGCGCUGUAGAACGCGUGCUCGACAUUUCAGCGCGCUUUGUGCGAGUGUCUAGGACCCCAGCUAGGUCGCAAUAUCGAGGCCUACAUGGAUGAUAUCAUCGUCAAGUCGCAGCGUGGGAACUCGCUCGUCGGUGACCUGCAGGAGACAUUCGAUAAUCCCCGCAGGAUCAAGCUCAAGCUCAACCCCGAAAAAUGCACAUUUGGCGUGGACUCGGGGCACUUGCUAGGCUUCUUGGUAUCUCAACGGGGAAUCGAGGCCAACUCACAGAAGAUCGAAGCGAUCGAGAAGAUGGAGGCACCCCGCAAGGUCAGAGAUGUCCAGCGCCACAACGGUUCCGUUGCGGCGCUCGGGCGUUUCAUCUCAAGGUUGGGCAGGCGAGCCUUACCUUUCUUCAAGGUCAUGAAAAUGAAGGGCCCAGCCAACUGGACCCCCGAGGCAGAAGCGGCAUUCCAGGACUUGAAGCAGUACCUGAAGUCGCCUCCGAUCCUUGUCGCCCCUAAGCCGGGCGAGCCGUUGCUAUUUUACCUAGCAACGAUAGUGUAACAUCCCAGAAAUUUCCAAUUCUGAAAUGUUAAAUAAAAUAAUUAAUUUAAUGAAAAUAUUGGCUUUGGAAAUAUUUUGGUUGUGAAUUUCUGAAGGAUUUGAAAUUUUUAGGACUUAUUUAAAUUUUUCCACAUCAUGUUUAAAUAUUCAACAAAAGAGUGGAUUAAUAUGACUAUCCAAAUUAUACGACAUGGUUCGGACAUUUAUAUAAGUCCAAAGUAUUCUAUUUGGAACCAUUUGCAUAUUAUGAUUCUAGCCGAACUAUUAUUCGCAUCUAGUAAAUCCUAUUUUUUUUUUGAAGAAUUUACUAGCACACUAAGUUUCCAAUUUGGAUGCCAUGACCAUUUGAGAGCAUCGUUGGAAUACUUAAAUCGAUUAGAAAUGUUCUCUAACAUUUAUUUAAAUGUUAAAGAAAAGGGAAUAAUAUGACUUUCCCAAGUAUGGUUGGAAAACAUAUAUAAUGAUUCACCUAUGUUUCUCUUGAUAUUUGCUUUGUCAUGUUUAUUUUGUUUUCGAGAAGAAGUUAUUAAAUAUUCGAGAAGAGGAUAACGUGACAUCCUCAUGUGCAAAUGUUAUUCCAACAUUUAUUACGUCGUUGAGAGUGGGAUAAUGUGACUUCCCAAAUUAUAUAUAGUUGGAAACAUUUGCUAUGAUUUCAAAGUGAGUGAUUUGGUGUUGUAAAGCUAUUUGACAAUUUUAUUGAACCGUAUAAUUAUUAUGAGAUUUUAUUUGGAGUUCAACCCAAUGAGGUAUCUAGCUAAGGAAGGGUUUUAGUGCAAAGUAUGCCAACCCAAUAUUUUAUUAGAUUUUAAACUAAUUUAUGAAACAAAGGUUUCAUGAUAGAUUUCAAAAUCUAUUUUAUGUAUUACUUAUAAAGCCCAAAUGACAUUUAUAUAAGCAAAAGUAUUUUUACCUAUUUUAUUUUGAAAGGAUUCAAGUCCCAAAAGUUCACACUUUGGAGGAUUUGAAUUUACAAAUUUACUGGAGUUUAUUUGGACUUAUUUGGAGUUAGUAAUCAAAAGUUAUUAAUAAAAACAGAAAAAAAAAGGAAAAAAAAAGAGAAUGGACAGACCCAACUGGGCCGGCCCAUCUCCACACCCAGCGAGCACCAUGAGCAGGAGCUCGUGCACGUAAGGAAUUCUUUCCUUCCAUAUUUUCUUUCUUCAAUUUCUUUCCUUCCCGCACGUUUCUCUCCGAAAACUCUCCAUCCCGGGAACCCAUUCAGAAAAUCAAUUUGAAGUUUCCUCUCAUAAUCGCAGUUUCCAAAAAAGGCGCUCCGAAUGUCGGCCGUCGACAUCCACGCCCGAUCUCCCUCCUCGGCCACUAUAAAAGGAUUCCACGCGCGUCACUUUGAGCCUUUACUUCUCCUCUUCCAAUCCCAUGUAGAAAGUUUGGCCCCAAAACCUCUGUACAACCGGCUACGUCGACGUUUUCCUCCGCCGGUCACCGCCACCAUUGUUGCCGGUGAGAUCACCCCGAACCUCCGUUCUUUGAUUCCUUUCACCGGUAGACUCAUGUGACCCUUACCUACCUUUGUGACAAGGUUUCGUGACCUCUUGAUGCCGUUGGCCGCGCCGUCCCCGACCCCAUGCCAAAGCCGCGUCCGGAGCUCCGCCCGUCGCCGUCCGGAGACGCCCUCAACCCCGAAAACCGCGUCACGAUGUCCACCUCGAUGUCUUCCACGGCCCCAUCGAAUCUACGUCGACAUCGUCGCCGUCCUCCUUCAACUCCGGCGAACUCCGUGUCUUUUCCGGUGAGCAACUUUUCAGCCGCAGCAGUUUUGAUUAGCCAUGUUUAGAAGCCCGUAUCUUUUGAUCAGUGUAUCAUUUUUGGCCGAAUCUUUCUUUUGUAGUCGGAGCACGUCCACCUCUCUAGACCAGACCAGAUUGUAUACCCCUUCUACAUGAUCUUCUGUACGGCAUCUUCGUUGGAAAUUGCUAUUCACAGUAUGCUGUUUCUGGAUUAGCCAAUUUUCGAAAUUAAUAUAAAUUGUUCCAUUGAUCCGUUUGGUUCCAAACCUUCUGUAGUUCAUCAAUUAGAUCAUGUUCUACCCAUUAAUGUACACCUUGCACAACUUAGGAUUCAUCUACAGAGGUGCAUUUUCAAUCAAAAGUCGUAUCUGUUAACACUGUCACAUCAGUUAGCUGUUUUCCGAAGCCUAUUUCUUUUGAGUCAUUACUUGAAAUUAGAUGAUUCUUUCUUUCAUGUCAAGAUCAAAUCCAAAUAUAAAUCCUAGACCUCUUUUAACACCUUCCAAAGUUCAUCCACACUAGUGAAUCAUUGUUGCAAUACAGUACCUUCAGCAGUUUCCCACACUGCCAAUUCUAAGCCUUUAGUUACAGAAACUUCGUUAUAAAUUAGCCUGUUUUGUAAGCCUGUAUAUUUUGACUCACAACUCUUAUUUUGGUUAAACCAGUGGCUGUUGAAAGCUUGUUAGGUCUAGUUUAAUUCAUCCCAUUGGCCCACUGUCUUUUGAAGCCAUUAGUACCAGUAUAUUUUCAGUAGAAGUUAGUAUCUUUAAUCUGUCAGAAGCAGACUAGCCAGCUUUGCAAGCCAGUAGCUAAUUCUCUGUAGAUUCUUUUGGGAUGAGACUUGUUGUGUUAGCAAGUAAAAUCUUAAUACUAUAUAGUAGUAUACUUUUCAUCCCAUGUUCUGCCAUUUAGCACCAUUUGCCAAACAGCCAAAGUAUCUAAGUUAUAACAAUUCCUAUAGACUUAAAUUCCAGACUUAGCCACACUAGUCCAUGCCCAACCAAACUUUGUAUCUGUUAACACUAUCUUAUUGAUUAGCAAUGUUCCAAAGCCCAUACAUGUUGAUCCAUAUUUUCAAACCAGUUCAUUCUUUCUGUUGUGACAAGAGUACACCAAAUUCUAAUUUCUAGACCACUUUGUACACCUUCCAAAGUUAAUCUACAGUAACCCAUGACCCCUAGAAAAUUGUAUCUGUUAACAGCCAAUGACUUCACCAUUUCAACUCCGAUAGAACCCAAGCCUUGUUCCUACCUCUUAGAUCUAUGACUAGGACAACCUAAUAAUAGUUAGGUACUAUUUAAUUUAAACUUUGUAUUUGCUUUUGGUUCUUUAAUUGGAGUUAUGAUCUGGAGUUCUCGAAUGGUUAUUUAUUAUUGCUUUUCAUUCUUCACGAUAGAUUCGGGGAGCGCCUUCGUCACAAUGUGGGAUGCCACCCGGGAUAACCAGAGACUGGACUAGUUUCUUGUUUAGUAGCUUCCAGUACAACCACAUGGAAAUAUGGGCUCUGCCUGGUUGGAGUAAGAAAUGUUUACCCAGAUCCGAGGGAUUGUACUGAAGUAGUUGUGUAGGUGGGAGCGCGGGUCUCUCAGGUGGUUUGGGUGAACAUGUUCUGAAAAUUCUUGAAGUCGGUGCCGUUGCUACUCCACCCGGAGGACAACAAGGGAUUAACACGUCGAUUUCUUGUGGGUAAAGUGUACCACCUCUCGAGAGUGUCGAACUAACUACUUAGCCGUGUCCCCGGUUACGGACAAUUAUGAGCAACUAGAUAUUGGAGCUGUAAGGAAAGUCUCACUCAUUCCAAUUUCAUAAUAAAACGAAUGGAUUGAACCGGGUAGGAGCAUUGAUGUUUCUACUCAAUGCGCCUAGGUUAAUGUGAGCAUGGGUGUUUCUAUCCCGUGUCCAAUAGAAAUAAAACUAUUUUGGGUUAAAAAUGAUAGAAUGAAACAUUGAUGCUUUUAUGCAAAUAGCCCAAAACCCCUAUCUUGCCAAAUAUUGCAUAUACUUGAUAGGAUCUGUUAUAACACUUGGGUGAACUUACCAAUACAUUCAAUGUAUUGACCCCCUAGUGGCUGCAACGUUUAAAUGUUGCAGGUGAACCAGGUGAAGAGUGAGGUAAGAAUUGUUAGGGUUGCGAGUUUACAUUCGACUGUGGAGUUGUUAUGGGACUCCUGUAUCUUCUGCCUUCUGCUGCAAGAUUGUAUUUUCUCUUGAGCUAACCCACGACGUUAUGCAAUAUGUAAGGUAUUAUUUAAUUCUGGAUCAAUACGAUGUAAUAUACUUUUGACCUUUGUAUCUUGAUAUUACAUCUUGAAACUGUGUGUGCUAGCGAGUCGAUCCAGGGACUAGCACAGUAAGCACAGAGAUCGAACCCUUGGUGAAGGGGGAUCGCUUCAGACAGAUCAGGUGGUGAGCUCAGUGCUCGUUCCCAAGAGAGAAGAGGAAAUCCCGGGGGCUGAGGCAGCAGGGCUGGGGGCUCGCGGAAAUCCGGAAGAACACCCAGCUUCUCCUCCGCAACCUCCCCCUCACCCGCGCCCGGGGACUGUGGGGCUGGUGAGGUUGCCGCGCCCCCGGCAGGGACCACCCCCUGCGAGGCAGCAGAAGAAUCCUCGCCAGCGGCGUCUGCAGCCGCUGGCGCGUUGCCGGACGCCGUCCUGGUGGCGGCGGUGGUCGCAGCUGCCGCUGCGGCCGGCGCAGCAGGGCUUUGGGACUGCCUCCGGCUCCCUCGCCGUCCCCGUAACCCCGACGUCGGAGUCUAGGUCAACCGCCGUAGCACCCGCUUCCGGUCCGGGCGAGCUCGGGCCUGCAACAGUGAGAACGUACAGUUGUAGGGUUAACUGGCAAAUGGAAAUGCAAGUAAGGAAGCGGGAAGGAGCUGUACCUGUUGCCGACACCACCUCCAUCGUGGCACCUAUGGUAUCCCCUUGGUUAUAAAAGGAGUACCUCGGCCAAUGGUCAAAGGGUUGGGUUUUUGGUUCGCAAAUUCAACCAACAAGCAGUUCUCCACUGAUAGUAGCCCAGAAUAGAAUAGAGCACUUAGCCAAAAAGAGAGCACCCGGGGACCCUUCCCCCGGCAACCUGUAAACACUCGAUCUUACGAUAAUACAAGCUCAGACAAGCAGGACGUAGGGUUUUACACCUCCGGGUGGCCCAAACCUGGGUAAAAAGCGUUUUCGUGUUCAUUGCAUUCGCACGGUUCGCAUUAGCCCCGCUGGCGAUCACCGGAGCGAUCCCGGUAGCCCACUGCCGAACCUAAAAGGGGUGCCCGCGCAUCCCUGGUGUCGGAGCCCCGUGCGACGACAGGAUCAAAGUUUACCACCGACUCCGAUUUGGCCAAAUUGUCCGCCCUAGUGAGUGACCAUGCUUAGCGAGUCCGUACAAGUGGUCUAGUCCCGUUUCGCUUCGAUGAGUAGCUUUGUUUGGUGUGCUCAUUUUAGUACAUCAAAUGGACACAUCCGGAUCAAAGCAUAGCCCUGACUCCGAUCGGGCCGAAUUGUCCGUCCUAGUGAGAGAAUAUGCCUAGCGAGUCCGUAGAAGUGGUCUAGUCUUGUUUCGCUUCGAUGAGUAUCUUUGUUUGGUGUGCACAUCUUAUAACACCAAACGGCACCGUUCCGGAUCAAAAGUUAGCACCGACUCCAGUUUGGCCGAAUUGUCUUCCCUAUUGUAGGACCAUCCCUAGCGAGUCCGUACAAGUGGUCUAGUACUGUUUCGGAUGAGUAGCUUUGUUUGGUGUGCUCAUCUUAGUAUCUCAAAUGGACACAUUCCGGAUCAAAGAUUAGCACCGAUCGAUUUGGCGAAUUGUCCGUCCUAGUGAGGGACCAUCCCUAGCAAGACCGUACAAGGGGUCUAGUCUUGUUUCGUUUCGAUGAGUAGCUUUGUAUGGUGUGCUCAUCCUAGUACCUCAAAUGGUCACGUUCCGGAUCAAAGUUUAGCACCGACUCCGAUUUGGCUACAUUGUGUGUCCUGGUGAGAGACCAUCCCUAGCGAGUCCGUACAAGUGGUCUAGUCUUGUUUCGCUUCGAUGAGUUGCGGUUCUUGGUAUGCACAUCCUAAUACCCGAAAUGAAACUGAGUCCGAGUAGAAGUUUAGCAUCGACUCCGAUCUGGUCGAAUUGUCCGUCCUAGUGAGAGACCUUCCCUAGCGAAUCCGUACAAGUGGUCUAGUCUUGUUUCGCUUUGAUAAGGAGCUUUGUUUGGUGUGCUCAUCUUAUAACGCCAAACGGACCCGUUCCGGAUCAAAGUUUAGCACCGACUCCGAUUUUGCCGAAUUGUCCGGCCUAGUGAAGGACCAUGCCUAGCGAGUCCGUACAAGUGGUCUACUCUUGUUUCGCUUCGAUGAGUAACUUUGUUUGGUGUGCUCAUCGUAGUUCCCGAAAUGGACCUGACUCCGAGUAGAAGUUUGGCACCGACUCCGAGCCGGCCAAAUUGUCCGUCCGAGUGAGGACCAUGCCUAGCGAGUCCGUACAAGUGGUCUAGUCUUGUUUCGCUUCGAUGAGUAGAUUUUUUUAGUUUGCUCAUCCUCGUACCUCAAAUGGUCACGUUCCGGAUCAAAGUUUAGCACCGACUCCGAUUUGGCCGAAUUGUUCGCCCUAGUGAGGGACCAUGCCUAGCGAGUCCGUACAAGUGGUUUAUUCUUGUUUCGCUUCGAUGAGUAGAUUUGUUUGGUGUGCUCAUCCUAGUACCCAGAAUGGACCCGACUCCGAUUAGAAGUUUAGCACCGAGUCCGAUCUGGCCGAAUUGUUCGCCCUAGUGAGGGACCAUGCCUAGCGAGUCCGUACAAGUGGUCUAUUCUUGUUUCGCUUUGAUGAGUAGCUUUGUUUGGUGUGCUCAUCCUAGUACCCAGAAUGGACCCGACUCCGAUUAGAAGUUUAGCACCGAGUCCGAUCUGGCCGAAUUGUCCGUCCUAGUGAGGGACCAUGCUUAGCGAGUCCAUACAAGUGGUCUAGUCUUGUUUCGCUUCGACGAGUAGAUUUGUUUGGUUUGCUCAUCCUAGUACCUCAAACGGAGCCGUUCCGGAUCAAAGUUUAGCGGCGACUCCGAUUUGGCCGAAUUGUCCACCCUAGUGAGGGACCAUGCCUAGCGAGUCGGUACAAGUGGUUUAGACUUGUUUCGCUUCGAUGAGUAGCUUUGUUUGGUUUGCUCAUCCUAGUACCCGAAAUGGACCUGAGUCCGAGUAGAAGUUUAGCACCGACUCCGAUCGGGCCGAAUUGUCCGUCCUAGCGAGGGGCCUUGCCUAGCAAAUCCGUACGCGUGGUCUAGUCUUGUUUCGCUUCGAUCAGUAGCUUUGCUUGGUGUCCUCAUCCUAGUACCCGAAAUGGACCUGAGUCUGUGUAGAAGUUUAGCACCAACUCCGAUCUGGCCGAAUUGUCUGUCCUUGUGAGGGACCUUGCCUAGUGAGUCCGUACAAGUGGUCUAGUCUUGUUUCGCUUCGAUGUUUAGAUUUGUUUGCUUUGCUCAUCCUAGUACCUCAAACGGGCACAUUCCAGAUUAAUGUUUAGCACCGACUCCGAUUUGGCCGAAUUGCCGCCCUAGUGAGGGACCAUGACUAACGAGUCCGAACAAGUGGUCUAGUCUUGUUUCGCUUCGAUGAGUAGCAUUUUUUGGUGUGCUCAUCCUAAUACCCAAAAUGGACCCGACUCCGAUUAGAAGUUUAGCACCGUCUCCGAUCUUGCCGAAUUGUCCAUCCUGGUGAGGGACCAUGCCUAGCGAGUCCGUACAAAUGGUCUUGUUUUGUUUCGCUUCGACGAGUAGAUUUGUUUGAUUUGCUCAUCCUAGAACCUCAAACGGAGCCGUUCCGGAUCAAAGUUUAGCCCCGACUCCGAUUUGGCCGAAUUGUGUGUCCUAGUGAGAGACCAUCCCUAGCGAGUCCGUACAAGUGGUCUAGUCUUCUUUCGCUUCGAUGAGUUGCGUUUUUUGGUGUGCUCAUCCUAGAACCCGAAAUGAAACUGAGUCUGAGUAGAGGUUUAGCAUCGACUCCGAUCUGGUCGAAUUGUCCGUCCUAGUAAGGGACCUUGCCUAGCGAAUCCGUACAAGUGGUCUAGUCUUGUUUCGCUUUGAUGAGGAGCUUUGUUUGGUGUGCUCAUCUAAUAAUGCCAAACGGACCUGUUCCGGAUCAAAGUUUAGCACCGACUCCGAUUUUGCCAAAUUGUCCGCCCUAGGGAGGAACCAUGCCUAGCGAAUCCGUACAAGUGGUCUAGUCUUGUUUCGCUUUGAUGAGUAGCUUUGUUUGGUGUGCUCAUCCUAGUACCCGAAAUGAAAGUGAGUCCGAGUAGAAGUUUAGCAUCGACUCCGAUCUGGUCGAAUUGUCCAUCCUAGUGAGGGUCCAUGCCUAACGAGUACAUACAACUGGUCUAGUCUUGUUUCGCUUCGAUGAGUUGCGUUUUUUCGUGUGCUCAUCCUAGCACCCGAAAUGAAACUGAGUCCGAGUAGAAGUUUAGCAUCGACUCCGAUCUGGUCGAAUUGUCCGUCCUAGUGAGGGUCCAUGCCUAGCGAGUCCGUACAACUGGUCUAGUCUUGUUUCGCUUCCAUUAGUAGAUUUGUUUGGUUUGCUCAUCCUAGUAGCUCAAUUGGACACGUUCCGGAUCAAACUUUAGCACCGACUCCGAUUAGGCCGAAGUGUCCGUACUAGUGAGGGACCAUGCCUAGCGAAUUCGUACAAGUGGUCUAGUCGGGUUUCCCUUCGAUGAGCAGCUUUGUUUGGUGUGCUCAUCCUAGUACCCAAAAUGGACUCGAGUCCGAGUCAAAGUUUAGCACCAACUCCGAUUUGGCCGAAUUGUUCGUGCUAGUGAGGGACCAUCCUUAGCGAGUCCGUUCAAGUGGUCUAGUCUAAUUUCGCAUCGAUGAUAGCUUUGUUUGGUGUGCUCGUCCUAGCACCUCAAAUGGACACGUUCCAGAUCAAAGUUUAGCACCAACUCCGAUGUGGCCUAAUUGUCCGUCCUAGUGAGGGAGCUUGCCUAGCGAGUCCGUACAAGUGGUCUACUCUUAUUUCGCUUCAAUGAGUAGCUUUGUUUGGUGUGCUCUGUAACCGAAAUGUACCUGAGUCCGAGUAUAAGUUUGGCACCGACUCCGAUCUGGCCGAAUUGUCCGUCCCUGUGAGAGACCAUGCCUAGCGAGCCUGUACAAGUGGUCUAGUCUUGUUUCGAUUCGAUGAAUAGCUUUCUUUGGUAUGCUCAUCUUUUAACGCCAAACGGACCCGUUCCGUAUCAAAGUUUAGCACCGACUCCGAUUUGGCCGAAUUUUCCGUCCUUGUGAGGGACCAUCCCUAACGAGUCCGUACAAGAGGUCUACUCUUGUUUCGCUUCGAUGAAUAGCUUUAUUCGGUGUGCUCAUCCUAGCACCUCAAAUGGACACGUUUCGGAUCAAAGUUUAGCGCCGACUCCGAUUUGGCGGAAUUGUCCGUCCUAGUGAGGGAGCAUGCCGAGCGAGUCCGUACAAGAGGUCCAGUCUUGUUUCGCUUCGAUGAGUAGCUUUCUUUGGUGUGCUCAUCUUAUAACGCCAAACAGACCCGUUCCAGAUCAAAGUUUAGCACCGAAUCUGAUUUUGCCGAAUUGUCCGUCCUAGUGAGGGACCAUGCCUAGCGAGUCCGUACAAAUGGUCUUGUCUUGUUUUGCUUCCAUGAGUAGCUUUGUUUGGUGUGCUCAUCGUAGUACCCGAAACGGACCCGUUCCAGAUCAAAGUUUAGCACCGACUCCGAUUUGGCCGAAUUGUCCGCCCUAGUGAGGGACCAUGCCUAGCGAGUCCGUACAAGUGGUCUAGUCUUGUUUCGCUUCGAUGAGCAGCUUUGUUUGGUGUGCUCAUCCUAGUACCCCAAAUGGACAUAAUUCCGACUAGAAGUUUAGCACCGACUCCGGUCUGGCCGAAUUGUCCGUCCUAGCGAGUCCGUACAAGUGGUCUAUUAUUGUUUCACUUCGACGAGUAGAUUUGUUUGGUUUGCUCAUCCUAGUACCUCAAACGGAGCCGUUCCGGAUCAAAGUUUAGCACCGACUCCGAUUUGGCCGAAUUGUUUGUCCUAGUGAGGGUCCAUGCCUAGCGAGUCCCUACAAGUGGUCUAGUCUUGUUUCCCUUCGAUGAGUAGCUUUGUCUGGUGUGCUGAUCCUAAUACCUCAAAUGGACACGUUCCAAAUCAAAGCUUAGCACCGACUCCGAUCUAGCCGAAUUAUCCGUCCUAGUGAGAGACCAUGCCUCGCAAGCCCGUACAAGUGGUCUAGUCUUGUUUCGCUUCGAUGAGUAGCUUUGUUUGGUGUGAUGAUCUUAUAACGCCGAACGGACCCGUUCCAUAUCAAAGUUUAGCACCGACUCUGAUUUUGCUGAAUUGUCCGUCCUAGUGAGGGACCAUGCCUACCGAGUCCGUACAAGUGGUCUAGUCUUGUUUUGCUUCGUUGAGUAGCUUUGUUUGUUCUCCUCAUCCUAGUAUCUCAAAUGGACACAUUCGGGAUCAAAGUUUAGCACCGACUCCUGUUUGUCCGAAUUGUUCGUCCCAGUGAGGGACCAUCCCUAGCGAGUACGUACAAGGGUCUAGUCUUGAUUCGCUGCGAUGAGUAUCUUUGUUUGGUGUGCUCAUCCUAGUAUCUCAAAUGGCACGUUCGGGAUCAAAGUUUAGCACUGACUCCGUACAAGUGGUCUAGUCAAGUUUCGCUUCCAUGAAUGCUUUGUUUGGUGUGCUCAUCCUAUCACCUCAAAUGGACACGUUCCGGAUCUAAGUUUAGCUGCGACUCCGAUUUGGCCGAAUUGUCCGUCCUAGUGAGGGAGCAUGCCUAGCGAGUCCGUACAAGAGGUCUAGUUUUGUUUUGAUUCGAUGAGUAGCUUUCUUUGGUGUGCUCAUCUUAUAACGCCAAACGGACCCGUUCCAGAUCAAAGUUUAGCACCGACUCCGAUUUGGCUGAAUUAUCCAUCCUAGUGAGGGUCCAUGCCUAGCAAGUCCGUACAAGUGGUCUAGUCUUGUUUCGCUUCCAUGAGUAGAUUUGUUUGGUUUGCUCAUCCUAGUAGCUCAAUUGGACACGCUCCGGAUCAAAGUUUAGCACCGACUCCGAUCUGGCCGAAUUGUCCGUAGUAGUGAGGGACCAUGCCUAGCGAAUUCGUACAAGUGGUCUAGUAUUGUUUCGCUUCGUUGAGUAGUUUUCUUUGGUGUGCUCGUCUUUUACAAACGGGCCCGUUCCCUAUCAAAGUUUAUCAUCGACUCUGAUUUGGCCGACUUGUCCGCCCUAGUGAGGGACCACACCUAGCGAGUCCGAACAAGUGGUCUAGUCUUGUUUCGCUUCGAUGAGUAGCAUUUUUUUUUGUGCUCAUCCUAGUACCCGAAAUGGACCCGACUCUGAUUAGAAGUUUAGCACCGUUUCCGAUCUUGCUAAAAUGAUCCUCCCCCUUACUAGGGUUUGAUCUCUAUGCUUACUGUGCUAGUCCCUGGAUCGACUCGCUAGCACACGCAGUUUCAAGAUGUAAUAUCAAGAUACAAAGGUCAAAAGUAUAUUACAUCGCAUUGAUCCAGAAUUUUAGUAGUAACUUACAUAUUGCAUAACCUCAUGAGUUAUCUCAAAGAAAAUAAAAUCUUGCAACGGAAGGCAGAAGAUACAGGAGUCCCAAAACAACUCCACAGUCGAAACAUGUUGGAAUGUAAACUUACAACCCUAACAAUUCGUACCUCACUCUUCACCUGGUUCACCUGCAACAUUUAAACGUUGCAGCCACUAGGGGGUCAAUACGUUGAAUGUAUUGCCAAGUUCACCAAAGGGUUAUAACAGAACCUAUCAAGUACAUGCAGUAUUUGGCAAUGUGGGGUUCUGGCUAUUUGCAUAAAAGCAUCAUUAUUCAAUCCUAUCAUUUUUAAACAAAUAGUUUUAAUUCUAUUGGACACGGGGUAGAAACACCUAUGCUCCUAUUAACCUAGGCACAUUGAGUAGAAACAUCAAUGCUCCUACCCAGUUCAAUCCAUUCGUUUUAUUAGGAAAUUGGAAUGAGUGAGACCUUCCUUACAGCUCCAAUAUCCAGUUGCUCAUAAUUGUCCGUAACCGGGGACACAGCUAAGAACUUAGUUUGACACUCUCGAGAGGUGGUACACUUUACCCACAGAAAUCGACGUGUUAAUCCGUUGCUGUUCUCAGAGUAGAGUAGCAACGGCAUCGAUUACAGGAAUUUUCAGACCAUAAUCAGACCACCUGAGGGACCUACGUUCCCACCUACACGGCUACAUCUGCACAAUCCUUCGGAUCCAGGAUCAUAUGUCUUACAUCCAUCCUGGCAGAGCCCAUAUUACCAUGUGGUUGUACUGGAAGCUACUAAACAGGAAACUAGUCCAGUCUCUGGUUAUCCCGGGUGGCAUCCCACAUUGUGACGCAGGCGCUCCCCGAAUCGCACGGGGAGACGACCAUAGACGCUCCCGAAUCACACGGAGAGACGACUCAGCGGGCCCCAUAGAAAUGGACCUAACGUCACGACAUCCAAAAAUUCAAAGCAGCCCACCCAGGACGAUUCAUUGAAUUACGUGUUUUGCCAUACACUAGGAAAAUCAUAUUGUAAUUCAAUAGUAUCACAUUAUAAUAAUACCACCCUCGUAUAUUAUCAUAGCAUAGCAUAUUUUUACUACUACGAUGGCGAUUGGUGGUGCGGUCAUGACAAAGGGUAUCCUAUACUACUAGGACAGAUCAUAGCUAGCAUAGAUACAGUAAUAAUCCUAACAAUGCAACUAAUAAAAUCUAGUGCAUAAUAAAAUAAUGGGUAAAUGAUCAAAGUGAACUUGCCUUGAUAGUAGUUGGUAUUCAAACACUCUUCGCAAUCACACAGUUCGCUCUCCGAAAAAACUAAAUAAUACAAACAAUGCAUACAUAAACACACCAUACAAACAAAAGAACAUGUAUGCCAUGAUGCAAUGCAAAACAUGUGACAUGAGUGGGUUUAUUUUAUUUGGGUGAUCUACUGAUCCAAAGCCUUGAGAAUUAAGCACAUGCAAUUAGGGUUUUAAACAAAAGGCAAAAGCUAGGGUUCAAACCCUAAAAUGAGAUUUUAUUUGCAUCUGCAAAGCAAUUUAAUUCAAAAUAUUUAUUUCUCUGUCCCAUUGGACAGAGGACAAUAAAACAAAAUUUUGGGCACUUGUUUCAUUCAAAAAGGACUCAUAGAUAAUUAGUUAUGAUUUAAAUGGCAUUAAACCCUAUUCUGUAAAUUGAAUGUGAUUUAAAUAUUCAAAUUCAAAUUUAAACAGUUCGAAAAUAUUCUACAAGUUGUGACGAUUCCAGAAAGAUGUGGAUCAUUAAAUUUGGCCAAACAGAUUUAAAGUUAUGAUCAUUUGAAGUUAAAGGGCCUAUCUGCAAAAGUGCAGUUUUAUUUUGGCCGAAAAUAAAGACAAAAACUCAAAAGAAAGAACCUGCCACGUGGCGGCGCGGCACUGACUGGCGUCUAGGGUUUUACCCGGGCGGCGCGGCCUCGCCGGACGGCGGCGUGGGGCGCGGCGUAGGGCAGCACGCGGGGGGCCCGCACGGUGCGGGGCGGCACGCGGGGCGGCGCGGCUCGGGGCGCGCGGGGGGCCCGCACGGUGCGGGGCGGCACGCGGGGCGGCGGGGGGCCGGCGCGGCGGCGUCGGGUCGGCGUGGACGACGGCCGGGCUCGCAGAGGCGGGCGGAAGAGCGGCGCGGGCGGCACGACGCGGGCAACGGGCACGAGACGCGCGGGCGACGGCGUCGACGACUCGGGCGGCGCGGGUCACCGGAGCUCGAGGAGGAGGCGGCGGCAAGGAUCUCCGGCGAGAAAUUCCAGUGAGCCGAGGGUGAUAUCGGGAGCGGGGAAAAGGGGAAAGGCAAGAGGAGGUCGAGGGCUUUUAAGGGACGCGCUCGGGCUCCCGAUUAAAGGACAGGGCGAGGAGUUCUCGGCGGUGAUGGCGCGGCCGGCGAGGAUGGCAGGCGCGGGAUCUUCGGUCGGAAUUGGGGAAGGAGAUGCUGACGCGUGGGCCCCGUGCGUCAGUGGCUCGGGCGCGCAUGCGGCUGGUCGGGUCCGGCAUGGACGGUUCGCGUGGGACCGGGCCGGUUCGGCCAAAAAUGGCCGGUCCGGUCCGGUUUCCCCUUCUUUUUUUUUCUUUUUUUUUCUUUUUCCCUUUUUCUCAUUUCUUCGAUAACUUUUGACUUUGAACUCGAAAUUGGUCCAAAAAAAUUCCAGAAAAUUUGUAAAAUCAUGUUUUACCAGCAUUCAACUUUUGGGAGUAAUUUCCCCUCAAAAUAAAGUACAUAAAAAUACAUUUGCCCUAUAAAUACCUUUAGGGUUAUGUAACUAUUUAAAUAAAAUACGUUUUCAACUCCAAAUAAUUAUCCAAAAAUUAUGGGAUAGCUUAUAUAUGCAUUAAACUCCUUUUAUACAAAACCCUAUUGGUUCGAAAAUCCAAAGCUUAAAUGGGUGUAAACAAAGUCUUUUAAAGCCUUUUGAGAUUCAAUGCCUAGCGAGUCCGUACAAGUGGUCUAGUCUUGUUUCGCUUCGAUGAGUUGCGUUUCUUGGUAUGCACAUCCUAGUACCCGAAAUGAAACUGAGUCCGAUUAGAAGUUUAGCAUCGACUCUGAUCUGGUCGAAUUGUCCGUCCUGGUGAGGGACCAUGCCUAGCGAAUCCGUACAAUGUUCUAGUCUUGUUUCACUUGGAUGAGUAGCUUUGUUUGGUGUGCUCAUCUUAAAACGCCGAACGGGCCCGUUCCAGAUGAAAGUUUAGCACCAACUCCGAUUUGGCCAAAUUGUCUGCCGUAGUGAAGGACCAUGCCUAGCGAGUCCGUACAAGUGGUCUAGUCUUCUUUCACUUCGAUGAGUAGCUUUUUUUGGUGGGCUCAUCCUAGUACCCGAAAUGGACCUGAGUCCGAGUAUAAGUUUAGCACUGACUCCGAUCUGGCCAAAUUGUCCGUCUUAGUGAGGGACCACCUAGUGAGUCCGUAUAAGUGGUCUAGUCUUGUUUCGCUUCGAUGAGUAGAUUUGUUUGGUUUGCUCAUCCUAGGAGAUCAAACGGGCACGUUCCGGGUCAAAGUUUAGCACGAACUCCGAUUUGGCCAAAUUGUCCGCCUUAGUGAGGGACCAUGCGUAGCAAUUCCGUACAAGUGGUCUAGUCUUGUUUCGCUUCGGUGAGCAGCUUUGUUUCGUGUGCUCUUCCAGGUACGUCAAAUGGACACGUUUCGGAUCAAAGUUUAGCACCGACUCCGAUCUGGCCGAAUUGUCUGUCCUUGUGAGGGACAAUCCCUAGCGAGUCCGUACAAGGGAGAUCGAACCCGUGUACGGGGGCGGUCGCUUCACUUUCUCCUUUGUAAACCUCUUCUUCUUUUGUAAAGAACCACUCAAGUUGAGCUUUUUUUUAAAUGAAAUCGAAGAUUUUUGCAAACCCACUCCGUCGAGAGGAGACUUGCUUGCGCUUUAGUGACCUGGGUCUUUUCGCGCAGAAGCCGCAAGGAGGACUGAAUCGUUCGACCUCGACUGCGAAAGUUGCUCCUUCGAGUGACCCUCGAUUUGACUUGGGCAAAAGACCUCAAGUCGACUCCGGACUCCUGCAAAGACAGUUGCAGGAUGCUGAGGCUCAAUUAACAAAGCUAAAGCGUGACGCUUUGGGUGACGCCCAAAUCAACAAAGCCAAGCUGAAGGCUGCAGUCAACCGAGAGGAGUUUAUCUUUGAAGAGCUUCGAGACUUGAGCAGUCAGCUCCAAUGUAACUCUUUCUUAUAUCUCAUGAUUUUCUCUCUUGCCAUCCUGAAAAAAUCAUGACCUCAUCUGAUCUGCAGAUAUCUGAUGGGAUCCUCGCGCAUAGCGGGAUAGGGUGAACACUGCUGUGCAAGCUCGUCAGGCCGUUGAUCACUCGUCUUUUUGGUCUAACCGAUCGAGGGGCAAUGACUUGAUGCUGUUGUGCGAUCGAGUCGAACAAGUCAGGAGAUACAUUGCCUCCUGCAGAUAUAUGCUGCUUUCGACUCAUUGAGCCUUCUGGCCGCUAGAGGACGUGCCCCCAGGUCUUGGGAGCCUGAUGGUAAAGUGUAACAUCCCAAAUUUUCAAAUCCUUUCAUGUGCAUUGCAUCCAUGAGCAUCAUGCCAUCAUUGCAUAUUUGAAUUCAAAUUUGAAUCUCAAAAAGCUUUUAAAAGAUUCUAUUUUCAAUUUAAACCCUAGGGUUUUCACCCACUUGAGCUUUGGAUCUUCAAACCAAUAGGGUUUAGUUAUAAAAGGGGUUUAUUGCAUAAAGAAGCUAUCCCAUAAUUUUGGGAUAAUUAUUUGGAGUUGAAAAACUAUUUUAUUUAAAUAGUUAUAUAGCCCUAAAGGCAUUUAUAGGGCAAAUGUAUUUUUAUAUAUUUUAUUUUGAGGGGAAAUUACUCCCAAAAGUUGAAACAUGAUAAACAUGAUUUUACAAAUUUUUUGGAAUUUAUUUGGACCAAUUUGGAGUUCGAAAUCAAAAGAUAUCAAAGAAAUGAGAAAAAGGAAAAAAAUAUAAAAGGCUAAAAAAGAGAGAAAGAGAACCGGACCGACCCAACUGGGCCGGCCCCGUCUCGCGCGCGCUAGAUUGCUCGCCCGCAGCCCCCCCGCGCGCCCCGCACCUGGGCCACUGACGAGCGGGGCCUGCUCGUCAGUCGUCGUCUUCCCCAGGAAGGCAAGUGCGGAAAUCUCGCUGCCGACCGCCCGCGUGUUCCUUGCCGGCGACGCCGUGCCGCUAAUUCCGGCGCUCCCCUCCACUUUCCAUCCGCGUCACUAUAAAGCCCGGACCUCCCUCUCUCAUUUCCCUCUUUCCCCGCUCGCGAUUGCGCCCCGGUUUCGCUGCAAUUUCUCGCUGGAGUUGCUUUCGGCCAGCGCCGUUUUUGCGCCUCCGCCGCCGCUCCGGUGAGCGUUUCUCAUCUCCCCCGUGCGCCUCUCGUGACGUGUGUGCUUUUUCUUCAGGACAUCCACAGCUCCUCGCCGCCACAGCAGUGCCCGCCGGCCACCGCCUGUCGCGCCCGUCGCCCGCCACCCCGAGCCGCCCGCCUCCGUCCGUCCCCCCCCCCCCCUCCGCAAGCCCGAGCCGAGCCGCCCCCGACCGUGCCGCCGCUGCCGCCGGCCGUCUUCUCCAAGUCCGGCCCCCCGCGCCGCCAGGGUAAGCCCUAACCCUAAACUUGAACCGGACCAAUCCCGGGACGCCACGUGGCGGAGUUUUCUUUUAAUUUCUUUUUCGGCUGGAAAAAAAAUGCACAUUUGCAGAAAAGCCCUAUAAAUUCAAAGCAUCAUAACUUUUAAACCGCUUGGCCAAAAUUUAUGAUCCACACCUUUCUGGAAUCCUUAGGAACUGUAGAAUCUUUUGGCAUUGUCCAAUUUCAAAUUUGAAUAUUUGAAUCACAGUCAAUUUACAGAAUAGGGUUUAAUGCCUUUUAAUUCAUAACUAAUUAUUUAGAAAUCCUUUUUAAUUGAAACCAGUGCUUUGGGACAGAGAAAUAAAUAUUUUGAAUCAAAUUAUUUGGCUGAUGCCAACAAAACUAUUAAUUAGGGUUUGAUCAAUUGUUUUUGUCUUUUGUUUAAAACCUAAUGCAUUAAUUUUGAUUACCAAUGCUUAGGAGCAGUUGAUCACCCAAAUAAAAUAAACCAAAUCAUGUCACAUGUUUUGCAUUGCAUCAUGGCAUAUAUUUUCUUUUGAUUGUAUUGUGUGUUUAUGUAUGCAAUGUUUGUAUUUGAUUAGUUUUCUCAGAGAGCGAACUGUGUGAUUGCAAAGAGUGUUUGAAUACCAACUGCUAUCAAGGCAAGUUCACUUUGACCAUCAUCCCAUUAUUUUAUUAUGCAUUAGAUUUUAUUAGUUGCAUUGUUAGGAAUAUUAUUGUACCUAUGCUAGCUAUGAAUCUCCUAGUACUAUAGGAUACGCCUGCCAUGCCCUUACCACCAAUCGCCAACGUAGGUAGUCAAAUGCUAUGCUAUGUUAGUAUUCGAGGGUGGCAUUAUUACAAUAUGUUAUCAUUGUCAUUGAGGAGUAAUUUUGGAUACUUGGCAAAACAACCCCAAUGAAUCAUCCUGGGUGGACGGCUUUAAGACUUUGAGAUGUUAUGCGACGUCAGGUCCAUUUCUAUGGGUCCCUCUGAGUCGAGUCUCCGUGGAUUCGGAGACGGAUCGUCCAUGGACGUCUCUUCCGUGGAAUCGGGGAGCGCUUGCGUCGCAAAUGUGGAAUGCCACCUGGGGUAUCAGAGACUGGACUAGUUUCUUGUUUAGUAGCUUUCAGUACAACCACAUGGUAAUAUGGGCUCUGCCAGGAUGGAUGUAAGACAUAUGAUCCUGGAUCCGAGGGAUUGUGCAGAUGUAGCCAUGUAGGUGGAAACGUAGGUCCCUCAGGUGGUCCGGGUGAUUAUGGUCUGAAAAUCCUUGUAAUCGAUGCCGUUGCUACUCUACAUCUUGAUACUACAUCUUGAAACUGUGUGUGCUAGCGAGUCGAUCCAAGGACUAGCACUGUAAGCACACAGAUCGAACCCUAGUACGGGGGCGGUCGCUUCAGAUGGUAUCAGAGCAUUGUGUUGCCUGUAGAUUUGUGACCCUUAGAUUGGAAUUAUCUUAUUAGGUACCUAUUUACCAAACUAAAAUUAUUUUUGAAAACUCUCAUAUUCUAUCCUCGUCCAGUUCUUUCACUCUCUCAUCCAGUUUUGAACGUUUCAAAUCGAAACCAGCAUACUUAGUCACGGUAGACGUAAUUUCUGAGCUGUCAUUUUGGAUUUAUUGAUGGCCACAAAUGAUCAUAGUAAAUUAUUGUGAAUAACAAAAACUUUGUUCUUUUGCUUUUGAAACUUAUUUUCUUGGGCUUGGAUGCCUGAACUAUGCCAUUGCUUGUUGGAUCUUACUUGGUUGGUGAUUGUUAUGCCUUACUUGCCUGCCGUUGGGUAAGCUUCUUUUAGACCCCAUCUGUCUAUUUUCUCAACUAUGCUAUCCUAAACAGAUGCCUCCAAGACGUACCCCCAACAACAACAGAUCACACACCACCAGUAACAGUGACAACCAUGAGGAAGGGAACAACAGUUCAGUUGAUGUGUAGACUCUGCUGGCAGCCCAGACUCAAUUUUUCUAGUUGAUAACCCAGCAGAUGACCAGCCACCAGAAUAUUGACCAGAAUAACCAACACCCCAACACGCCACCUCAAUUGGAUAUGCUUACAAGAUUUCUGAAGUUGCACCCACCUACUUUCACCACCUCCACUGAACCCAUGGUAGCAGAUGACUGGCUGCGUUCAAUGAACAAGAACUUAGUAACUUUGGGCUGCUCAGAUGCUAAGAAAGUGAGGUUUGUAGCACACUUGUUGGAGGGACUAGCCGCAUUAUGGUGGGAGAACUACCUGAUCACCAACCCGAUUGAAGAUGUCACUUGGGAGAUGUUCCAGGAUGCUUUCCGCACCGCCCAUAUCCCCGCGGGAGUGCUAAGCCUGAGGAAGAAGGAGUUCCACAAACUGAAGCAAGGAAACCGCACCGUGAUGGAAUAUAUUGAGGUAUUCAACAAACUGUCUCGCUAUGCACCUGAUGAAGUAAAUACCGAUGCCAAGUGCCGUGAGAAGUUUUUGGAUGGACUGAUCGACGAGCUUUCCUUUCAGCUGUCAGUUUCUUACACUCCCACCUAUCAAUCCCUGGUAGACAAGGCUUUUAUCUUGGAAGACAAGAUAAACCAGAUUGAGGGCUGCAAGAGAAGACAUCGCCAUGGAAGCAUUAACACUGGACCACACCAGAAGCCGCGCACCUCUUAUGAGGGUAGUGGUAGUUCAUCAAGGAUCAAACAUGGAAGCCACCACCACCACCAUAUCCAUGGAGGGAAUGGCCACCAUGUGCACUAUCAUGGGAAUGGACACCGACACCAGCACAAGGGCAUUGACCAUGGAAAAGGGAACACCAUUGGUCAGGGCAGUGGAAACAACAACGAGCAGAAUCAGAAUGACGACUUCACCCAGUUUGACUUGAGUCAAGUGGAAUGUUUCAAGUGCCACAAGAUGGGGCACUACUCAAACGAUUGCCCGGAGAGGUUCGAAGGGAAUGGAGUCAAACCCACCCCGUUCCUGGAAGGUCAUGUGAACCAGGUCAGUGUAGAAGAAAUCACAGAGCCGGGCAUUGUGAUUGGUACAUUCCGCGUGAAUUCUUUCCAAGCACUCGUACUCUUUGACACGGGUGCAUCACACGCAUUCAUAUCAAGAAUGUUCGUGAAUGAGAACAAGAUACCUACAAACACCCUAAGAAACCCUUUGAGAGUGAGUUCACCUGGAGGACAAAUGGUAGCGACUCAAGGGUGCCGCUAGCUACCCCUAGAGAUUGGAAAACACACUUUUCCCUCCGACGUUAUUGUGUUGGAUUCCCGAGGUCUGGACAUAAUUCUGGGAAUGGAUUGGAUGACCUUAUAUGAAGGACUGGUAGACUGCACCGAGAGAAUAAUUACACUCACAACCCCUGAGAAGAAGCGAAUCCGCUUCAAGUCUACUAUGGAACUUAAGAGACCUAAGGUCAAUUCUCUUAAGGGGGUUAGCAUGGAGGAUGUACCAUAGUGAAGGAAUACCCGGAUGUUUUCCCCGAGGAUUUACCAGGUAUGCCACCAGACCGAGAUGUUGAGUUUCUCAUCGAAUUGAUGCCAGGAAGUAGACCCAUAGCCAAGAGACCAUAUAAGAUGGCUGUGGAUGAGUUGAAAGAAUUGAAGAAGCAGCUAGCUGAACAGUUAGCGAAAGGUUGCAUCCGCCCCAGUUCAUCACCAUGGGGAGCACCUGUCCUAUUUGUGGAAAAAAAGGACAAGAGCCAACGGAUGUGUAUUGACUAUCGUUCACUAAAUGAGGUGACGAUAAAGAAUAAGUACCCCUUACCUAUAAUUAACGAUCUUUGCGAUCAGUUGAAAGGAGCCUAUGUGUUCUCAAAGAUCGAUCUACAAUCAGGGUAUUUUUAGUUGAAGAUUCGAGAAACAGAUAUAUCCAAAACAGCUUUCACCACUAGGUAUGGGUUGUAUGAGUACACCGUGAUGCCUUUUGGUUUGACCAAUGCACCAGCUUACUUCAUGAACAUGAUGAACAAGGUAUUCAUGAAAUAUUUGGACAAGUUUGUCGUAGUGUUCAUUGACGAUAUCCUGAUCUAUUCCAAGAGCAAGGAAGAACAUGAGCAGCAUCUGCGCUUGAUUUUGGAGAAACUGAGAGAACACAAGCUGUACGCCAAAUUCAGCAAGUGCGAAUUUUGGUUGUCAGAAGUUAGCUUCCUUGGACACAUAGUGUCAGGAGUCGGAGUAGCUGUUGAGCCAACUAAGGUUGCAGCAGUUACAGAAUGGGAGGCACGGAAGAACGUCGGAGAAGCCCGCAGUUUCCUUGGACUUGCUGGUUACUACCGGAAAUUCAUUGAGAACUUCUCCAAGAUAGCAAAACCCAUGACUGAGCAAUUAAAGAAGGAGAAAAAGUUUGCCUGAAAUGAGAAAUGUGAAGAGAGCUUUCAGGAAUUGAAGAAAAGACUAGUGGCUGCGCCCAUCCUUGUUUUGCCUGACCUGAGUCUGCAAUACCAUCCCGGCAAGGCUAAUGUUGUAGCCGAUGCAUUGAGCCGCAAGGGCUAUAUAAAUGGACUGACAGCUGGAGUACCCAAGGAAAUAGUUUCAGAUAGAGGUACCCAUUUUACCUCAAGAUUUUGGGGACAACUACAUGAGUCUCUAGGAACGAGGCUAGAGUUCAGCAUAGCUUUUCAUCCGCAGACGGAUGGAUAAACCGAGAGGGUUAAUCAGAUCCUUGAGGAUAUGUUGAGAGCCUGUGCUCUAGAUUAUGGAUCCAGUUGGGAUGACAAUCUGCCGUAUGCAGAAUUCUCAUACAACAACAGCUUCCAAGCCAGCAUUGGGAUGUCACCGUUUGAAGCUUUGUAUGCAAGGAAGUGCAGAACACCGUUGUUAUGGGAUGGUGUAGGAGACCGUAGCCUAUUCGGCCCUGGUAUGAUAAAGGAUGCCGAGGAAAAGUUUAGACUCAUCCGAGACCGACUGAAAGUAGCUCAAUCAAGGCAGAAGAGCUACACAGAUUCCAAACGUAGGGAGGUUACGUACGAGAUUGAAGGUAGAGCGUAUCUCAGAGUUUCACUGAUACGCGGAGUAAAGAGAUUUGGUAUAAAAUGAAAGUUAGCACCCCGUUUCAUUGGACCUUUCAAGAUCUUGUCACGCCAAGGAGAAGUGGCCUACAAGUUGGACUUACCAGAAGCACUGUCAAACGUCCACAAUGUCUUCCAUGUAUCGCAACUGAAGAAGUGUCAUCCUGAGAUGGCCGACACACCACUGAGGGAUACAAUACCGCUAGAGGAAGUCCAACUGCAGAGUGACCUCACCUAUGAGGAGAAACCGAUCAGAAUCUUGGAUACAGCUGAGCGACAAACCCGAUCCAAGACCAUCAGGUUUUGCAAAGUUCAGUGGGACCAUCACACUAAAGAGGAAGCCACAUGGGAACGCGAAGUCGAUCUUCGAGAAGACCACCCACACCUCUUUGCUAACCACACCAAAUCUCGAGGACGAGAUUCAUCUUAAGGGUGUUAGGUCUGCAGAUAUAUGCUGCUUUCGACUCAUUGAGCCUUCUGGCCGCUAGAGGACGUGCCCCCAGGUCUUGGGAGCCUGAUGGUAAAGUGUAACAUCCCAAAUUUUCAAAUCCUUUCAUGUGCAUUGCAUCUAUGAGCAUCAUGCCAUAACUGCAUAUUUGAAUUCAAAUUUGAAUCUCAAAAAGCUUUUAAAAGAUUCUAUUUUCAAUUUAAACCCUAGGGUUUUCACCCACUUGAGCUUUGGAUCUUCAAACCAAUAGGGUUUAGUUAUAAAAGGGGUUUAUUGCAUAAAUAAGCACUCCCAUAAUUUUUGGAUAAUUAUUUGGACUUGAAAAACUAUUUUAUUUAAAUAGUUAUAUAGCCCUAAAGGCAUUUAUAGGGCAAAUGUAUUUUUAUAUAUUUUAUUCUGAGGGGAAAUUACUCCCAAAAGUUGAAUCAUGAUAAAACAUGAUUUUACAAAAUUUUUGGAAUUUAUUUGGACCAAUUUGGAGUUCAAAAUCAAAAGAUAUCAAAGAAAUGAGAAAAAGGAAAAAAAAAGAAAAGGCUAAAAAAAAAGAGAAAGAGAACCGGACCGACCCAACUGGGCUGGUCCGGUCUCGCGCGCGCCAGCCCGCUCGCCCGCCGCCCACCCGCGCGCCCCGCACCUAGGUCCCUGACGAGCGGGGCCCGCUCGUCUGUCGUCGUCUUCCCCACGAAAGCAAGCGGAAAUCUCGCCGCCAACCUCGCGCGUGUUCCUCGCCGUUGACGCCGCGCCGCUAAUUCCGACGCUCCCCUCCACUUUCCAUCCGCGUCACUAUAAAGCCCGGACCUCCCUCUCUCAUUUCCCUCUUUCCCGGCUUGCGAUUGCGCCCGGGUUUCGCUGCAAUUUCUCACCGGAGUUGCUUUCCGCCAGCACCGUUUUUGCGCCGCCGCCGCCGCUCUGGUGAGCGUUUCUCGUCGCCGACCACCUCCUCUCUCCCCUCUCCCCAUGCGCAUCUCGUGACGCGUGCGCUUUUUCUUCAGGACGUCUGCAGCUCCUCGCCCCGCCGGAAGCCCGAGCUGAGCUGGCCCCGACCGUGCCGCCGCCGUGCCCGCCAACCGCCGCUGGCGCCGGCAGUCUUCUCCAAGUCCAGCCACCCGCGCCGCCAGGGUAAGCCCUAACCCUAAACUUGAACCGGACCAAUCCCGGGACGCCACGUGGCCGAGUUUUCUUUUAAUUUCUUUUUCGGCCGAAAAAAAAUGCACAUUUGCAGAAAAGCCCUGUAAAUUCAAAGCAUCAUAACUUUUAAACCGCUUGCAUAUACAUCCAAACCCCACCUUGCCAAAUACUGCAUAUACUUGACAGGAUCUGUUUUAACUCUUUCGUGAGCUUGCCAAUACAUUCAAUGUAUUGACCCCCUAGUGGCUGAAAUGUUUAAAUGUUGCAGGUUAACCAGGUGAAGAGUGAGGUAUGAAUUGUUAGGGUUACGAGUUUACAUUCCAACAUGUUUGGACUGUGGAGUUGUUAUGGGGCUCCUACCUCUUCUGCUUUCCGCUGCAAGAUUUUAUCUUCUUCUGAGCUAACCCACGAGGUUAUGCAAUAUGUAAGGUUCUGGAUCAAUGCGAUGUAAUAUACUUUUGACCUUUGUAUUUGAUAUUACAUCUUGAAACUGUGUGUGCUAGCGAGUCGAUCCAGGGACUAGCAUUGUAAGCACAGAGAUCGAACCCUAGUACGGGGGCGGUCGCUUCAUAAAGUUCCACGGCGAGGGCAAGAUGAAGGAGUUGGUACGGCUUCAACUGGUGAAGGAUGCCAAGAUUGCUCUUGCCUUUGUGCGAAUCACCUAUCCAGACUUGGACCCUCAGCGAGUCGUUACUCUGCCAGCUGUUCUUGGUCAAGGUAUAGGGCCAUAUCUAGAAGCAGAGCAGGCGAAUGACGAAGGGGUGACUUCGACAAUGUUCAUAUUGAUGGACUUGUAUCUAGGAAAGAUUUCGAGUUUGUGUUGACGAACUCGUCGGCUAACAAGGAUACAGGGAACACGAUUUACCCAGGUUCAGGGCCCUCGAUGAGGUAAUAUCCCUGCGUCCUGCUUGUCUGAUAUGUAUUGAAGAGUCAAUUACAAUGGGGUGCCGCAGAGGCUAGAUGCACAGAUUGAUCUAGCGAGUGCGUCUAGGCGACUUCUAUCUAAGUUGGGGUGUCUCUUUGGCUCCCCCUCCUAUUCCUUUUUAUAUCCAGGAACCCAGGUCUAAGGUAGAGUCCAAGUCGGUAAGAAUGAAGAAAUAUACUCUAAUUAAUCUUCCUUGUCUUGAGUCGCAAGAUUUUGUACGUGGACUCCUGGAGUCAUAGUAGGCUUCCUUGUGGGCCCCUAGCUGGACUGUAGCAGGUAUACUCGAGUCGAGUACGUGAUUAGUCAUAACCACAUCAGUAGCCCCCAAGUGCCUAGUUGAGUCGAAGACUUGACUAGCGACUUCUCCCGUAAAGAAUGAACUCAUUUUGCUGUUGAGUCAGUUGCAUAGUGUUGCAAACUCGGUAUUUCAUCGAGUUGGACUUCGAAUGAGAAGCAAAUCGACUCCGAGAAUGUCCGAGCCGAUGUUCUAGUGUUUGACUAUUAAGUAACAGUUUCACAAUCUGAUUUUGAUAGCAGGUCAAAUCAAAUGCAAUGAGUAGGGGUCAUAGGGAUAUAUGCUUAAUGUGCCCACAUACUCAAGAAGUCGGGUCCAGUUAAUCUUCAGUAUUCGAGUCCCCGGGCUCGAACCUGGCAACUGGCGAAAUUCGACUUAGCCUGCUGGGGUCUUAUAGAAUCGAACUUCAGUUUUUUAAGUACUCGACUCGUUCGUCAAGAUUGUGUACACUGGAAAUACGCAGCCGGUACGUUUCCAGGCCCUAUAGGAAGCCUAUGGGUCUUACCUUCAUGUAAUGAACAUGGCUGUAGGGAGCGACCGUCAAAUGAAAAUUAUUACUGGAGGGAUGCAGUCGUUGCAUAUCCAGGCCUAAUUGUUUGGGAUUACCUUCAUACAAUGUGUAUGGAUUCGACUGGAAUAAUGUAGCUGGUAUGAUUUCAGGCCCCGUAGAGAACUUUCGGGUCUUAUCUUCAUGCAAUGAGCAUGGGUUUGUUGAAAUAACGCAGCUGGUACGAUUUCAGGCUCGAUGGAAUGAUCCAUGAGACUUAUCUUCAUGCAAUGAGCAUGGGUUUGUUGAAAUAACGCAGCUGGUACGAUUUCAGGCUCGAUGGAAUGAUCCAUGAGACUUAUCUUCAUGCAAUGAGCAUGGGUUAACUAGAGCAAGGCAGUUGGUGCGGCUCCAGGCUCUAUGGAUGGAAUGAUCCACGAGACUUAUUUCCAUGCAAUGAGCACAGUUUAACUAGAGCGACGCAGCUGGUGCGGCUCCAGGCACUAUGGAUGAAAUACACGUGGCUUAUUGAUAUGCGAGUGAGCUCAAACAACUGAGGUGACGCAACUGGUGCGACUCAAUUGUGUCGACUGUAUGAAAUCGACUGUCUUAUGUCGGGAUCGUUACCCUGAUUUUACUGAUGUAAGUAAAAAAUAAACAAUAGCUGACUAUGUAAGGCUUUAGUUAAUAUAAACCAACAGUUGGUUAGUUAGCGACUCAAAUGAGAGUCCUUGUAUUCACAAUCCUGUAUGAAAGAUAGUUUAGAGUCAUGAUAUUCGAGUCAGACUUCGCCAUUGUUGACGUACCUGUUGGAGGUGAAGAGCCGUUUGGUCAGCCGAUGUGACUGGUACACAGGCUAGCCUGACAGCUAGGCGCACUGUUGGCGUGCGUCAGUGGGAAAACGAUCACACUUCACGCACUAGAUAAGGCAUAAUGAUUUCAUCUAUUCUUGCGACAGAAAUGUGGGUGGAUUCUUUGCCAGGGUUCGGUUUAUAUAAAGAGGAGGGUGGAAAGGGAACGCCUUUUUACCCUUCUUCUUCCUCGCGACCCCAGCUCAAGCGCUCAAGCUCUCUGCCUCCAUAGCCAGAAACUUUCCGCGAGUUUCCCUAGUGACCAAGAAGCUCUCACCAUCCAGAGAUGGGCACGACCAAGGCCACGAGCUCGAAGACCGACGCCGGCAAGGGAGGUGCUGGCAAGGGAGCCAUCCCCUGGCCGGGCGUGGCUGACCAUCGUAUCAAGAUCCUCGAACUUCAAGAUGAAGGCUUGCUGCCGGGAGGCCCCGACGGGGUUCGCUUCCCGGCAAAGGAGGAGUACCCGCGACCUUUGCUAGGUGAGCAGGUUAUCUUCAUCGACUACGUGUUGCGGGGGCUUUCUUUCCCCCUUCAUGCCUUUUUCCGUGCCAUGCUGUUAGCCUAUGGGCUGUAGCUGCACGAUCUCCCCCCUAAUACUUAUUUGCACGUCGCGUGCUUCAUCACUGUGUGAAUGUUUCUUGGGGGUAAGCCCACAUUGGGGGCUCUGGAAGCGGAUCUUUAUGAUCAAAGGCCAGAAGGCGGACGCUGUUGGGAGCGUCAACUUCCAAGUGAUAUCCGACGCCAAAUACUUCUCCCUCCAGCAGCGCGAAUCUGUGCAAAGCUAGAUGUCCAAGAUGAUGCCUCGGCUGCCGACCCGAAUCUUCCUGCCUUAUCAAUCAAGAAGAAGGUAAAGAAGAUGGCGGCAUGGAGCCAUGAACUGACGCCUGCAGAGGAGUCGGAGGCGGCCUCCCUAAUGACUAAGUUGCACUCCCUUAUGGGGCAGGGGUUGACAGGUGUUCACCUGAUGGCUCUGUUCCUUAGGAUGAGGAUCUAGCCGCUGCAGGCUCGCGUUCAACCCGAUGUGGUCCUACGAAGGACUGGGGGAUCCCACUCGAGUGAAUGCAGGAGAACUCUCGUCAGAUGAGGUGGAGUCGCGGGUGCGAAGAUUGACUCGCCAGUAAUCCCUUAUGGCCCUGACAGGUCGAGGGAAGAGGUAUUCUAUAUUUCAACUGCUUUAAUUUUGCAUUUGUAUGUUGCUGACCAGUUUGCUGGUUGCAGGGACUCGAAGAUCCUUUGAGUCAACCUCCCCCUGCUAGGGGGGAAGAGCUGGCUGACGAGUCCUCAAAGUCGCCGGACCAGGUAAGCGACUCCAAGACUGAAGAAGUUGCCCUGGAGAUGAGGAGCAAGCGCAGCAGGGAGUCGAACCCGAAGUCUAGUGACUAGUUGACGGGAGUUGAAGGUCCACCUGCUGCAACCUCGUCUCCUCCUCCUUCAGCUAAGAAGACCAAGACAGGCGGACCAGCGCCUGUCCGAUGAUUUGGCCUUCUUGGCCGAGUCACCCAGACUAGGUAUGUGGUCUUUCGGGUGGUAGUUCGUAAAUAAUGCAGUCUGAUUUAUGAACGAGGAAAUUUCUUUUGUCAGCUCCGCGGUCUUGGGUGACCAACCAAUGACCCAGGCUAUUGAGCCCAAAGGGUCGGAUCCGAAGGCUUCGGGUCCCUCAAUCGUCAUUGAGACAGUUGAGCCUCAGGUAGCAAUGCCUGAGGCGCCUUCUCCAGCGAGUGGGGAACAUCAACUCCAAGGGUUGCCCCGCUCAUCGACUCGCUUGGAGAGCGGCAGAGCCGAAAGGGCUCCCUCAGCUUCAACUUGCCAUGUAAGUUUCGAACUCUUUUAAAAAAAAAAUUUGUUCUCCCGGUGGGAGUAUGUCAGAUAUUGACGCCAUCAUUGUCGCAGCCGAUCAUCCGCUCCAAAACGGAGUUUGUUGAUCGCUUUGAGGAGGCAGUGGCUGACCGAGAUCAGCUUCGCCGAGAAUUGGAGCGGAGCCAACAAGAACUGAGAUCUUCUCGAGGUAAUACUUCUGAGUCAAUCUGUAUUUGAGUCUAAAGACUAUUAUUGUUUGUCGUGUAGAUCUUCUUUCUCAGGCUAGCUCCCUCAAAUAUGUCGCCGAGCUUCCUUCCAAGAAUUUGGAGGAAAAGCUUGUUGAUCUGGCCAGGGAGUCAGCAGAGAAGUUAGAGGCUGAAAAACACCUAGCCCAGGAAGCUUCGGACACCAUUCUCGCCAAGGAGGCCGAGAUGGAGAAGACGCGAGCCGUCCGACUAAGCGGAGUCGCCGGCCCCCUUGCAGGUAAAAACGUUGCAUUUGAUUCCAUUCGUUUGAAUGCUUUGUUAAUGCUUUGGCUCUUUUGUAGGCCUGCUUUCCUCAUCUGGUCUCUUGACCUCGCGUGAGGAUUCACUCGACACGGUGAUUGACGCUGUGGCAAGCGUCAGCUCGGAAGUGGUGACUGGUUUCCAGCAAGCUUCCAGGGUGCUCACCGGGUUGUUCGGGAAGAUGUUUCUUGACGAGCCGCUGCCGGAGUCGCUUGGGAAACUCAUAGAGUUUUUCAGUGAUGACCCGGAUCCCCUGGAGGAGUUCAGCCGAGUCCAGACCAACUCCGGAGCGGAGUCGACGUUCGUGUUAGCAUUACCGUACGGCAUCGGCGAGGACGUGCCGCAGAAGGUGGCUUCAGGCCGUCCGUUGUUACCCAGCGAGGAGGAGAUGGCCUUGACGCCUUUCUUCCAGCUUGGGGAAGAACUGGCGACCCAGCUGUCGGCUCAGCUUGGUAGUAUGGCCGUUGAGGGGGAAGCGGCUUCACAGUCGUCGACUCCUGCGCCAAGCCAGGAGGUGGGCCAAGCUUGAAAUUUAGACUUCUUAGGCUUUCUCCUUUCCUCUUUGUAAUUUCUCUUUUUUUUUUGUACCGUCCUUGCUCGAAUGUGAGCGUUAUCAAUAAAGAAAUGCCUCUGUUCCUUUGUACUGAUAUGAGUCGGACACCUUGCUUCUAGUUAGGAUUGAUGUCUUUGAAUCCUUCUCGGGACUAAAGGGAAUUUCUUCUGCAGAGGCAGAAAGAGCCCAUGAUUACAAUAGUCAAAGUAGACGUCGAGAAAGUCGUAACUCCUGAGUCGAAUAUCGCGAGUGCUGAGGUCUCGGUUGAAGUGAACCCUCCUGAAGCUCCGAAAGUCGUGGAAUCGAUGGCUCCGAAGGAGGUUGCUUCCUUGGACAAGACUCGAAGUGAACUGGACUUCCUUCGUCGACGUCUCCAAGAACCCGAAACCCAAGCAGAGGACACGACGAUGCAAAGUCGGUGUCGGAGCACGGGUCUCCGGCACCGGGGAUCCUGGGAACCCCCUAGUUGUUUGGUGAGAGGCGAGGCGAGCGCUCCGGCGAUCGUUGGCGUGACGUAAGACAUGAAGUGUCGACACACUUGGAUUUACCUAGGUUCAGGCCACCCGGAGGUGUAACACCCUACGUCCUGCUUAGAGUUGCUACUGACUGGGGUUCGAACCCUUUGACCGAUGGCUUUGGUCUUCCUUUUAUAGUCAAGGGGAUACUACAGGUGCCGAUGCAUGCAGCGUGACACAUUUCCUACACGCGUGUCAUUGCCACAAAGCUCUCCCUACUGUAGAUCCACGCUGGGCUUCAUGCAGCUCCCAUGCAUCUGUGCAUUGUAAACAAAACAGCUCUUAGGGUAGCCGCUCCAGACUAUUAAAUGCAUUGUUGUAAACAAAACAGCAUUGUUGGGCAAGAUUAGCCUUGCCGAUGUGACUCCUGUCGGUCCAUUAAAUGCACUGCGCCCGUUGUGUGGUCUUGUGUCCACUGUUCCGUCGGCCCCACCUGCGACCCCUGAAGCCCCAGUACCAGGGAGGUGCCCCGGUACCGUUGCCCGGUAAGUUGCGGGGAGCGAACUGGGUUUGCCCCUCCCGGGAAGCCGGCCUAGCACGAUCUCAUCAGUUGCGACCCACGCGUCCCGUGCCAGUAGGGCCCCGUGGGCCACUAGUACGACAGUAGCCCCCAGGUGUGGGCCGGCAACCUUGAGUUCCCGGGCAGUUUCAUCCUUGGUCGGUUGCCGGGCUAUGCCCUUCUGACGCGUGGAUCCCAAGCCAAGCUGGUAACUCGGCCACGUAGGCUGCCGUUACACCUCCUUCCGUUGGAACGGGAGGGGCGGGUGCACGAUCUUGGGCCCCACUAUCCUCCUGUGAGCAGGGAGUUAUGGCCACAUUGCGCAUGCUGUCUUGAUUCCUCCAAAUCUUUAGGGCGCUUGAUUACUUGUCGUGGGGGGCGUCCGUUGCAAUUCCGCCUGCCAGGUAUAAAUAUCCAGGGGUGGCGUCACAAGGACUCCCCUCCGCCACUGCCCCUGUCGUUGCCUCCCCCAAGCCCCUUGCGCUCCAACUCCCGAGAAACCUUCCCCUGCCUCCCCCGUCCUUCCACCAAUGGCACCCAAAGGCCCAGCACGUCCCAAGGGCGCCAGCUGCAAGGGAGAGAAGAGCAGCAAGAAGGAGAUGUCGGAGCGAGAGCGCAGAGACAAGGAGAAGAGGGCCUAGUUCGCGUUCUUCAAGCCCGGCUACAACGGCGAGGCUGUGGAGAAGCUACGCUUGGCGGUGGCCACCAAGCACAACAAGCACGGCCUGACGGGCAUCCUGCUUGUCGGGUCGGACCCUGGAUAGCACUACUACCGGGUGUUCGUGAGGUUCAUCCUCUCCGGGUUCGUGCCGCCGUACUCCCUUUUCCUCCAUGCUAUCCUCUCCGCGUACCGCCUGCAGCUGGCGCAGAUUCAUCCCACCUCCUUCUUCAAGCUCGCCAUCUUCCAAUACCUCUACGAGGUGUUCGUGGGGGUGAUGUCGUCCGUGGCGUUGUUCCGCCUCUACUACUACCCUUGCGUCGAGAAGGACGAGGCGGUAUCUUCCGGGGUCUCGUUCCUGUUCCGGGACGGGCUCAAAUCUGAGUUCAUCAUCACGGAGGACCGCAAGAUCAAGAUGGAGUGGCGUGCGGACUGGUGUUGGCUGUACAUCGAGGAGCACGAUGAGGUCUACACCAAGCCCACUGCGCUGCCGAAGAAGUCCCGCGACUGGCGGGACCGCGACGCCAGGGACGUCGAGCUCGCGCCGAUCUGCGACAAGAUCAUAGCGCUGCGGCGCGCGGGGCUCACGGAUCUGGACGUGGCCCGAAGAUUCAUCGCGAGGCGCAUCGCUCCGCUGCAGCACCGAGCCCACCCGGUCUGGACCUAUUCGGGGAAGAGCGACCGGAUGAGGCUGCAUCGAGGCGGUCUGACGACGGAGCAGAUCCGCACAUGGCUCAGGGGGAUCACCGGCGACAACUCCCCCUUCGCCGGGCUUCCUCCGGGUGUGCCCGCGCUCCACACGAAUGUCGCCGACCCGGGAGCCCGCAACUACCCUCCCUGCAACGAGUGGGGCAUCAUGGUGGGGACCCCGUCGAGCAGCCCUCCCCCGCGUCCAAGGGCCCAGACCGAGAAGCAACCGGCGGCCGAGAGCGAGGGGGAGGAGGACGACUCGGAUGGGGAUUUCGAGGGGCCGGCGGGCGCCUCCGCCGGUGACGACGUCUCCCGCGAUCUCCCCGGCACCUCCGGGGACGAGGUGUCCCGGGGUGCUGACAGCCCCACGGAAGGGGACAGCGACGACGACGACGUCGUGCCCCUGUCCCGCCUGCCCGCCGUGCAAUGGAGCCAGCGCGGGGGCAGCCCACCGGCCCCGGGCUCAGCCCCCGGCGCGGUAGGGGGCUCUGGCGGUAGCGGGAACGCUCCGCCCGCACGGAAGGCGCUUCCCACAGGAGGAAUCUUCGCCGACCGCAGGCUGGUGUUGAACCCAGCGAAGUAAAUUAUUUUCCCUUAACCCGUGCUUCGUUUCCCUUGGCAUUUAUUUGGCGAAUAAUUCUUCUUGCUUCAGGCCGGUGGGGAAGAAUGGUCCGGUGAGCUCUCCACCGGCAACCUCGAGCAAGAAGCUGCGCACAGCCCCCGACAUGAGUGGGGAAAGCCCCCAGGCUGGGACAGGGGGCGCGGCGACGGCGGUAGCAGUGGGUGAGGGCGACGCCGCCUAGACCGCAAGCAAGCCGGCGGCCCUGGGAGCAGGUGCACCCGGCAACCUGGUCGUGUACAUUUCUCUCUUCUUCCUUUUCAGCGCCUAACACUCCUUUCUGCUCUCUUAUCCAGUACCGGGAAGCGUUGCCAGGGUCGACCUGGCAGCUUUCGACGGCGGCCGCCAAGAGGCGCCCGUCGCAGGGGGGAGGGGACAUUGCGCAACGUAUGCCACGCCCGCCCCAGAAUUCCUCCCCGUCACUUUUUCUUGUCUUGCACUUCAUUUCUUUCUAACAAUUCUCCUUGCAACCCCUCCUGCCGCCACAACUGCGGGACCAGAGGCCGUAGAACUCACCCCAGGGGACGCCGAGGCCGAUGCGGAAGCCACCCCUGUGGUGUCGGUGGAGCAAACCCCCACCGGAGAGAGCAGGGAUGAACGGGGCUCUACCGGUGGCCAAGCCACCAACCCAGUGUUAACCGGGGGGGCACCGGACACCGGGUCUGAGCCCCUCGAUCUCGCCGCAAAGGAGGGAAGCCGCCAGCGGCCGCCCAGGCCCUAGGCGGAGGCAAUGGAUGAGCUCGUGGCCGAUGGAAGCAGAAGGACGCGCUCGCCUUCGCCGGCACCAGAAGAGGUGGUGCGGCCACAGACGGUAGCCACAGGCGCCUCCUCGAGGUCCGUGGCGAUCGCGGGCGCAGGUUGGGGUCCGCUGAACUGGGACCCCAGCAUCUUCGAUCAGGGGCACGAGAUCAUCGAGGGCAUCAAGCGGCAGCAGCUGGGAUUCAUCAGCUGCUACGACAAGGUGUGCCAGCAGCACUCGGCAGCUCAGGGUCGACUGGACGGUGCAUGGGAUGAGGUCGAGGAGUGUCGGCAGGAGUUGGCGCGCCUCCAGGAGGAGAUCCGGGUGGCGCAGCAAGCCCGGGCCGAGGCAUCCGAGCCCUCGAUCCCGGAAGCGCACAUCCAGCGCCAGCUACAGGAGCUGCACGCGGAGCACAAGCAGGGGCUUGAAUCGCUGGAGGCGUGCGUCUUCGUGCCGAGGGGGAGCACCAGGAAGCACUAAGGGGCUUCCAGGAUUGCCUCCACGAGAAGAGCGGGCUUAUCUCCAGCUACUCCUCCGAGAUCCAGCAGUUGCGGCAGCAGCUCGGGGAGCAAGCCACGGCAGCCCAGGCUGCGGCGACGCGAGCCACGUCCCGGGAGAAGGUGUUGUAGGAGCAGGUCCAAACCCGGGAACGCGAGUUCCAGGAUCAGCUCAAGGCCGCGACUGACGCCAAUGCAGCCCUGAAGGCGGAGACCGAGCUCGCCCGCCGUAACCACGCGAAGCUCGGGAGCCAGCGCCAAGAAAGCACGGCCCUGCUCCGCAAGUUGGCGGAGGUGGGGAACGAGUCACUUGCGAAGCUUGGGGUACCCCCGGCAGCCAUCGAUGGCAGCGACAUCUGCACCCUCAUCCCCUUCUUCGCGGAGUUCGUGGGAAGGCUGACGGCUGUGGAGGACCGCAUCCGCAGCUUUGGGGACCGGCAAGUGAGUGUCGCUGCAUCUCAGCUUGCCAGCGCCAUCCUGCCGAGGGUCCACCAGGCCUACCCGGAGUUCCCCUUCGGGGACCGGCAAGUGAGUGUCGCUGCAUCUCAGGUUGCUGGCGCCAUCCUGCCGAGGGUCCCUAGAGGAGAACAAGGAGUUGCACGCCCACGCCGUCAGCGGCUUCAUCGACGAGAUGGUCGCGCGGAUGACGGGGCAGGCUGGUGCUGGUGACGAUGAGGAGGAGGCCGCACUGUCUCAGAGUCUUGCAUCAAGCCUCGAAGUAAUUGCCAUAUACGUACAACUUACCCGCAAGACGAUGACACCCAUGACUGCUCCACGAGCGUCACCGUGCGCCUUCGUCGCCGCUUUUACCCUGCAUGUUAGAUCUUUGCAAUGCCCAGAAUUUUUUUCGAAAUGCACGAAAAAGAGAACGCUAACUGGAUAACCUCCAGCAUCCCAGCCCCCGGGCACAGAAAAGUCGACCUCAGGCUUGGGUGUGAGCAUCUUCUCUUUUCCACGGUGCCGUGCUGGCACGCAACACGUAGUGAACAGGUUCACCAACUGCUGGGCCUCGUUCCGGGGUGGCCCGAAAACGAGCUUUGUUUUCGGGGUUCCGGCAGCCCCCUGCUCAGAGCCAAGGAUGAAGAGACAAUUUUUUGCACCUAAAGCAGGAGACAGAUGCACACGUUAAUAGUAAAGCACAAUACUUACUGAAGCAACACUUAUCUUUAUUCAACUUUGUGCUAGUGUAUUACAAUCGAGCCUUGCCCGACUACACUAGCUUAAAGGGGCAUGCUGCCGCAGCGUCACCCGUGUGUAAGGCAUCACCGUUUCACGGGUAGAACUUCCGUAGAUGCUCAAUGUUUCAACUAUCGGGCACCGGCAAGCCUUCUUCGUUUUCUAGCCGGACAGCCCCCGGUCUGGUCCCCUGCACUACCCGAAAAGGGCCUACCCAGUUUGGAGUCAACUUGUUCUCGGCCUUCGUUCCUUGUAUCCGGCGCAGGACGAGGUCUUCAACCUCGAGCCCCUAGGGACGGACUCUCCUUUCGUGAUAACAACGGAGCCUCUGCUGGUAGCCUGCAGCUCGCUCAGCAGCCCGAAAUCGAAUCUCCUCGAUGAAGGUAAGGUCGUCAAUCCUCUGUGCGUGUUGGCUCUUGUCGCCGUACGUGCGUACCCGAGGUGACCCAUGCUUGAGCUCGAGGGGCAGCACAGCUUCUGUCCUGACUUGGUGUGGUCCGUAUCGACGACAGCACGGGCUGGAGUUCUUCAACCCAGUGUUUCCCGUGGCCCUUGAGCUUGUCAAAGGUUCUCGUCUUAAAUCCCCGCAGUACCUCUGCGUUGGCGCGCUCCACUUGCCCGUUGCUCCUUGGAUGUGAGCGACUGAGACGAAGCGAAUUUUAGUGCCCAUGUCCUCACAGUAAGCUUGGAACACCGCACUGGUCAAUUGCGUGCCAUUAUCGGAGAUGAUGCCGUUAGGCACACUAAACAGGCACACAAUGCCCUUGAAAAACUUGAUGGCCGCCUGUGCUGUGACAGCUCGGACAAGCUCCACCUCGAUCCACUUCGAGAACUUGUCGAUGGCCACAAGGAGGUACUCGUAGCCGCCCACAGCUCUCGGCAACUUUCCGACCAUGUCCAGCCCCCAGACCGCAAACGGCCACAAGGACGGGAUGACUUGCAGGGCUUGCGCUGGCUGGUUGCUCUUCUUGGCAUGGAACUGGCACGCUUCACAGGCCUUGACUAGUUUCUCGGCAUCGGCUAAGGCUGUUGGCCAGGAGAAGCCGGGCCGGAAUGCUUUCCCAGCUAGCGCCCUGGAGGCCACAUGGAGCGAAUGUGUGCCUCGAUGGAUAUCCUCCAGCAGCGUGCGCCCUUCCUCCUGGGGCACGCAGAGGAGCAUAACUCCGUUAGGACGCUUCCGGUAGAGAUCCCCAUCUACCAGAGUGUACCACUUAGCUUGCUGGACCACUCGCUCCAUGGCAACGUCUUUCUCCUGGAGGGUCCCGUCCCUGAGGUAGCGAACAAUAUCCGCCCCCCUAGGGUGGCGGUUCCCGGCUCACGCAUGCCACGAGCUUGGGGGCAUCGUGCCCCGCAACUGCGGGAUCUCCUUGGGCUGCUGGAGGGGCUUCCCCGGCAACAAUCUUGGAAUUGACGGAGGGCUUUAACUGCCUCUGUACAAACACACCAGGAGGCACCUUGCUGCGUUCCGCUGCCUACUUGGACAAUUCAGCCGCAACAAAGUUGUCCUUGCGCUUCACGUGCUCAAACCGAAGUCCCUUGAACUUGGACUCCAGCUUCUGCGUUUCCUCCACGUAUGCUGCCAUCUGGGGGCAGUCGUAGUCCUUGUUCACCUGGUUUAUCACGAGUUGUGAAUCCCCGCGAACGACCAGGCGCUUGAUGUCGAGGGCGAUCGCCGCGCGUAGCCCGGCUAGUAGCCCUCGUACUCUGCUAUGUUGUUGGUGGAGUUGGCGAAGUCGAGUUGUAUCACGAAUUUGAGUUGAUCUCCAAUGGGCGACUCGAUCACCACUCCGGCACCGGCGCCCUGCAGACAGAAGGCGCCGUCGAAGUACAUGACCCAGUACCCUUCGUCCAAUUUGCCGGGAAGGCUCGCUUCCACCUCUUCCUCCUCUAUCCCUGUUGACGUCCACUCCGCCACAAAGUCAGCGAGAGCGGCCCUCUUGAUGCUUUUAGUAUUCGCGAAACGCAGCCCGAACUCCGCCAGCUCCAUUCUCCAUUCGGCCACCCUCCCGGUGGCUUCACGGUUUAUGAGGGCUCACUCCAGGCAGAUCCCCGACACCACCGUGAUGCUGUGCGCCUGAAAGUAGUGGCGCGGCUUCCGUGAAGCGAGCAUGAUCCCAAGCAAAAGCUUCUGGACCUGCAGGUACCGUACCCGGGCAACGCGCAACACCGUGCUGAUGAAGUACACGGGGUGCGGCACGAGCCGCUUGUGGGGGGUAGCCUGAGGGCACUGCCCCUCGGCUCCCGGGGCGGAGGCGGUAGCCGGGGGUUCCUCCGGCUCGCCGGGAGCCCCCAGCCCCCCUACCUCAGCCCCCGGGACUUGGUCUUCCUUCUCGGCAACGAGCACGGAGCUCACUACCUGGUCUGUUGCUGCCAAGUAAAGAAGCAAUGGCUCGCCCCGCUUGGGGGCGACGACGAUAGGCGGUGACUUCAGGUACUGCUUCAAGUCUUGGAACGCCGCUUCCGCCUCGGAGGUGCAAUUGAUUGGGCCCUUCUUCUUCAUUACCUUGAAGAAAGGCAGAGCUCGCUCGCCCAGCCUUGAGAUGAAACGCCCGAGCGCCGCAACGCAACCGUUGAGGCGUUGGAUGCCUCUAACCUUGCGGGGUGCCUCCAUCUUCUCGAUCGCCUCGAUCUUCUGUGGAUUGGCUUCGAUUCCCCGGUGAGACACAAAGAAGCCCAGCAAGUGCCCCGAGUCCACGCCGAACGUGCACUUCUCAGGGUUCAGCUUGAGCUUGAUCCUGCGGAGAUUAUCGAAUGUCUCCUGCAGGUCGCCAACGAGCGAGUCCCUACGCCGCGACUUGACAACGAUAUCGUCCAUGUAGGCUUCGAUAUUCCGACCUUGCUGGGGUUCCAGACACUCGUGCAAAGCGUGCUGAAAUGUCGAGCCCGCGUUCUUCAGCCCGAAAGGCAUGCAAGUAUAACAGGAGCAGCCAACCGGGGUGAUAAACGUUGUUUUCUCCUCAUCUUCGACCGCCAUCUUAAUCUUAUGGUAGCCGGAGAAGGCAUCCAAAAAGCAUAAAGACUCACAACCUGCUGUGGAUCUACUAUUUGAUUGAUCCGGGGUACAGGGAAGGGGUCCUUAGAACAUGCACGAUUGAGAUCAGUAAAAUCUACACACAUGCGCAAUUUAUUCCCAGCCUUAGGGACUCCAACAAGAUUUUUUAACCUAGGGUACAACAGUUCCCUGAUUGCCCCGGCGUUCUUAAGCUUCUCCACUUCUUGCUGGAUGAAGUCCUUGCGUUCCUGUGCUUGCCGACGAACCUUCUGCUUGACGGGCCACGCGUCUGGUCACACCGCCAGCCGAUGCUCGAUCACCUCCCCGGGGACUCUGGGAAGAUCUCACGGAUCCCAAGCGAACACGUCAGAAUUCCCCCGGAGGAAGGCCAUGAGGGCUCUUUCCUAUUUGUCGCCGAGGCUCGCACCGAUGGAAACGGUACGUGCCUCGUUGCCGGCAUGCAGGGGCACCUUCUUGACCUUGGCGUCCUCUUCCUUCAGCUUCAUGCCCUUGCUAACGCGCGGGCUGGAGCUGGUGCUGCCCCCGGUGUCCUGUCCGGGAGCGGCUUGUGCCUUCUUCUGUGCGGGCUUUUCACCCGCAAGUGGAUCCUCGUUCCCGGCAACGUCGUAGUCGCCGGAAUCCGCCACUGCGGAGGCUUUUACGACCUCACCCACGCACCAAGGGGCGUCCUCUAGGUCGCACUUGAUGGAGAGUACACCGUACGUUGACGGCAUCUUCAUCACACCAUAGGCGCAAUGGGUUGUCGCCAUGAACUUGAUCGGCGCGGGCCGACCAAUAAUCCCGUUGAACGGCAACGGGGUGUGAACCACGUCAAAAAUGAUGUACUCAGUCCUGAACGCCUCCCGAGACCCGAAGGUCAGCGAGAGCGUGAUUCGCCCCAUGGGCUGCAACACUCCGAGGUUGAUUCCCCGGAACGGGUCGGUGGGCUUCAUCUGCUCCAAAGUCAGCUGAAGCUUCUCCACCAACUUGGCGGACAGGAGGUUAAGGCUUGCCCCGUUGUCCACCAGAACCUUGGUGACCAUCACAUUGUUUAUGAUCAAUGACACCACGAGGUGUAGUACCCCUGAUCCCAAGGGACGAAUCGGAUGAUCGUCCGAGUUGAAGGUGAUAGGCACAUGCGACCACCUCAACGGCUAUUGCGCCUCUAUGCUAGGAAGGUGGGCCAGACCUCACGCGUGAGCUGCUUCACUGCGGCGUGGGACGUGAGAGCGGAUGCACCCCCGUGGAUCCAGGCGACGUCGCGGGGCUCCUGGAAGACGGGCUUGUCGGCGUCGUCAUUGCAGUCGUCCUCGCGCUAUUCGGCACGAGGCGUGUCACGUCCCCCGGGAGGCUGGUCCUUGCCACCGCGGGCUUGACCACGACCCCCUGCGGGUUCUCCUUUGUCGCUGCCGCCGAUUGUGCCCCAGCCCGCCCCAUUGCAGGGGUUGUUCGGGCAAUCUCGGGAGAGGUGCCCGCUAUCCCCGCGGUUGAAGCAAGCCCCGGCAGCACGGCGCUCCUCGUGGUGCUGCUCGCGCAUCUCCUUGAUUGUCUAGAGAGUGCGUCAGUCCUGCGCGUCUUGGGUGGCGUUGGUGUGGAUGGGGCAGUGCGCGGCCGUCACCGGCUUGCUACCGGAUGCUGCUGCCGACCCGCCUUCUGGGUGGGUGUAAGAGCCCAAGAGCAACAUUUACAUUUAAACCCUUGUGUGGACCUGUUUGUAAUUUAAUUCUUGUCGCAUAACAUUUUGCAUUUGCAUCCAUGCCAUGCAAUCACUUCUUUGUUGCACAUAAAUUUGAAAAUUACAUUUUAACUGGUGAUUUGAAGUCUUUGAGUUUUAAUUCCUUUUUCCUACAUGUUACAAAUGACAUUCAAAUGGAUUUUUUUUCAAACCUUUAACCCCAUUUGAAUAUUUCCAAAUACUAGCACCAUAUUUGAAUUCUCCUACUUCUAAGCUUUUCAAAAUGGUAUUUGAAAUUUGAAUACAAAAGCAUUUGCAAAAACAGAAAAAAGAAAAAGGAAAAAGAAAAAGAGAAAAGAGAAAAACUUACCUCAGGCCUGAGCCGGCCCAACCGCCUCGGCCCCGCCUCGCGCGCGCCAGCCUCGCGGCCCCCUUCUCCGGCGCGCGCCUUGCCGCCCAGCGCGGCCCAUCCUCACCGCGCGUGCCCGCGUUGCACCUCCCAGCCGCGAAGACGGAUUUUUCUGGAAUGCGCCAUCUCUCACGGGGUCUUCUUCCUCCUCUACUUUCUCCUUCCCGACCGGUGAGCCCCGCGCGCCACGUCGGCCUUCGACAGCGACAGCUCCCCUCUGUGCCUCCUUAUAAGCUGCGCCGCGUCCUCCUUUCUCCCCAGCGCAAGGCAAACCCUAGAAGGGUUUCCUCUCCCCCAUUUCUUGCGCCGCCGUCGCCGUUUUCUUCCGGGUCGUGGACGCCGCUGCGUCGCACCGCCGCCUCCGGCCGAACCUCGACGCACCGAUCGCGUCACCAAGCGCGCCUCUUCUUCCUCUACGCGUGGGUGCAAGGAAUCAGAGCGAGAGCGUCUACGUCGACGCCUAGGUCUUCUUCCCUAACUCCGGCCGCUAUCUCUUCUCCGGCAAAAUUCCGGCGAACCGUCCGCCCAUUCCUUGUCAGCUUCCUCCCAAGGCUUAGCGGUGAGCUCCUCUCUCUCCUGCUCCUUUCCGCUCGCAAAUUGGUGCCCCGUACCCUUGUAGCCGCACGCAUGCGCUCCGGCUUGCUGCCGGCAAGUUCCUGCUCGUCGCCGCGCCGUCGUCUCCUCAAGCAUGUUGUGGUGGUCUUCGUGCCACUUAGGGUUGUUCUGCGCGCCGUUUCCAUUUUUCGUGCUAGGUAGAACCCCCGCCGUGUCGUUUGGUCGCCGGCGUUCGUGCCCUGCCGGGGCCGCCGCGCGCAGCCAAAGGCCCCGCCUUUCGGUUGUGUUAAGUGGUUGUGCACCCCUUAGCUAGCAAGAUCUGAUCGCUGUCCCAGCUAGCUAGCUCGCUCGUCUGUUCGCUCCACACCGACCCGACCCGCGUUCGAAUCCCCGCGGCGCAAGGAUAAAACACCAUUUUUGGGUUGUACCGGCCACUGACAUGGGGGCCCCACGGACCCACCUCUCAGCGACCUGGUGCACCGCUGCGCCCGGAGGAACGAGUCCACGAGCCUGUGCCGCGUCAGUGAGCCCGGGUCCACACGUCAGUGACCGUGGCUAGGACCUGACCGUGUGCGUUUGGGGUUUUCUUUUCGGAGUUGUUUUUAAAUUUCAGAAAUGUGUCAAAUCUUGUUUAAAUCUUAGAAAAUGCAUUCUAUAUCCAAAUUGGGCAAACCAUAUAUGUUUUGGAAUCAGAAAAAUGCAAGGGAUUCAAAUGUGCAAUUAGAUUUAUAUUUUGAGGUUUCAAAUUUCAAAUCUGUCCCAGAUUUGAAAUUCAAAAGUAUGAACUUGUUUCGUCUCUAGUUUAAAAUUGGUAACUCUUCUGUGUUUGUUGUAAACAUCAAAGUUGGUCACUGCAACUUGUAGAACACAGUAGCAUACAUGGUUAGGCCAUUUAUGUAAUUUAAAGCUGCUGUCUACCAUGUUCUAAUCACCUAAUGGUUAACUUUGUUGCUAAAUGGAAUCAUUUCACAUGUAUUUUUGUGGCAUCAUGUUGUCACAUGCCAUCUCAUGUUGUAUUGCGCAUUGCACCUAUGAAUGGUUACUUAUUUGUGUAAUUGUGUGAUUUGGAUCUUACGAUAGCGACUCCGACUUACUCCGUCGAUGAUCCGGCUUUCCAUACUUCUUUGGAUCCCCUCACUUGGUGCCCAGCGACCGAGAAUCCAGGCAAGCAGCCAUUCCUUGAACAUGUUGUUUAUACCCAAUGCCUCUCUCUCGUUCUUGCAUUAAGUUACGUUCUCAGUUCUUGUAACGAUGCCUCUAGGAUUGCAUAGCUUUAGACAGCUCUACUCAAAUGCCUGUUGUCUUGUUCCAUGUCCUAUUACCAUGUCACAUGUUUGUCAUUGCCCUAGUUGGUUGGUAGAAUUCUUGCUCAGAUGGUUAGUCUAGUGUCCUUACUUGGGGUUAUACAAUUGCUACAUCCACAUGCUACUUUUCUAUAUUUAAUUACAAUUGCUAAACUGUGACAUGUUAUUACCUGCACAAAGCAACGAUGCGAGGCCGUGCUAACGCAUUGGUGUUUUGUUCCAUUGGCGCUGACUUAAGGAUUGAGUUCUCGUUUUCACCGACCCAAGAAACUUCGCGCUUACCACUCGUGGGAGAAUAUAUGGGUUUCCCUCGGCUUAGUACUCGUUUCAUAGCUCUUCCAGGGGCCACAUAGUUCAGGCGUUCCAUUUGGCAUAUCGCAUAUACACCGGUGUUGUGUUUGGAGAUUUGUUGGUACUUUGCAUACAUAUAGGAUUGCGGCACUAGUCUGGAGUGGUCAUUCUGCGGACACUAAACCACUACCGGCUAUCCUCGCAACUCUUGAGUCCGUACGACGCUUCGGCCGGGCUCUCGUUUCGGAUUAGACUCAGUUGGGUGGUUCCCUGGAUUAGUUGUGGGGCUUGGAAACAUCGUGUCGCUCAAUCCUGCCGGCACAUGCUUUUGCGUGUGUUCCAUGCUAGUGGCGUCAAGGGUUGGACGAACGUGUACGGGUAAAUUGGCACACCCUGGAGAGAUAAAUCUUUGGAAAAGCCGUGUCCGCGGUCAUGGACGACUUGGUUGGUCAUUACUUGAUCAUAGAGAACUCAUACCAAUUAAUUAACUUAAUCUCUUAAACUUGAGUAGUAAUUAGCCUUAAUCAUGGAUAAGCUUAAAACUGCUUAAGUGUGAGUGCCUUUGGAUCUUUUCCUCACAAGGGGUUGAGGGGGUGAUAAGAGGUUGUAUUUGUUUGGUGUUAGUUAAUAGUGAUCCCCUCACUUUGUAGACGCUUCUUAUCCUCCUUUUAGACGAUGUUCUUUCUGUGUCUCUCCAGAUAUAUCGCUGCUGCAUAACCCACCUUUGAUCCAUCCUUUGAGACUUGUUGCAUAUCUAGUUUAGAUUCCCCGUAAGUCUUGCGAGUACUUUGUACUCAGUUGCUUCGCAACGUUGUUUUCUCUAGAGUUUCCGGAGGAACAGGUGAGUGGUUACUUCGUGGAGUUCGACGACGACAGCUUCGACUUUUAGCCAGAAGAUUCUAGAGCAGGGUUCUGAGAACUUGUGGUGGGCUCUCCUUUUCAGUUUCAGCCUCUUAGGCAAUAAUUAUAAAAUUGUCCGUACUCGGGCCUAAUUUUCUUCCGCUGAUGUAAUGAUGAUUGUGGACAUGUGUCCAUGAGUUGUAGUAACUUGGUAUUUCGCUCCUUGUAUGAGUUUGUGAUACGGGAUGGGGAGGCCCGAUCUUUCGAUGAGAUUGAUAGCUUUCGAUUUGGGUAGGAGGUGACGUUGACGAUCCGACUACGGUCUAGGAGGCAGCGCCUUAGAAAUCGAUACACCAACUCCAGAGGGUUAUUGAUCACGCGGGGGCACGAUCAACCUGACCACGAAGGUCUUUGUUCCUGCAAGCAAUUGAAGAACAAGCAAGAACAAGAUAAAUAGCAGAUGCAAUCUAAAAUUGCGAAUAUACUAUAUCAAACCAAUGUCUCAACGAGACGAUAAGUUGAAAUCUUGACGACGGUAAAACAGGUGGUCUAACCGACACACGCGAUUACACGAAAGUAGCAAAGAUGGCUAAACUUUAUCUAAUCAAAACCCAAGGCUCCAUAGGGGGGCUCAUGGGGUAUAAAUAGGAGGAGGGAGAGAUAUUUUCGUCCACCUUGAGUAAGGAGGCCGAAAUCCAACUCUAUCUCUAACUUCCCUAACAAACUACAACUCUUUAGGAAACAGAAAAACAGAUCCGUCAUCUUGUUUUGUCCGCCACGGUCAGCACGAGUGGAAUCUCUUGAUGGGGCCAGAUCCGUUGGAAAGGUCUUGUAAUUACCUUUCCAACAAGUACUUUUUUGCUUGAUUUGGACUCCGGAUGCGGCCUGGGUGAUUAAAACAAAUUCAGGUCUCCUGGCAGCUCGGACCCGAAUCGGAUUCAACUUUAAUUCGUGAUAUCUUUCUCUAGCAAGCUCCGAAUCAUGUGCCGUUUGAUUUGUUGGAAAGUAGACUUGAUAGGCUUUACUUUGAAUCUCCCUUUGCAGGCUAUCACACUUCAUCUUCACUUUGGAUUUGUAAAGUUCAUUAAGAUGCCUACAUAAUAAGAUUACACAAGAUAGUAGCUCUGCCUCAUUGCAAGUAACAUAUUGAAAACAUUUUGUAAUUGAAUUCACCUAAUUAUAAUUGUUAUUAGAUACACCAACAAUUAGGGUUCUAAUGGUCGUAUCCAUGGUGAUCAUGUCCAUAUCAUCCUCCCUUUCUUGAAAGAAAAGCCGUCAUCGGCGUCGUUUGUGCUGAAAAGAGACUGACAAAAUAGACAAAGUGUGUGCAUGGUAUAUGUAUAUGUCAUCAAUUUUAACUCCACUCCCAUGCUGCACAUUCGAUGUUUCACGUAAAUAAAACUCAUAAUAGUGCAAAAGAUUAAUAGUCAUAUUCCAACGGCAAGUAUCACAUUUUAAUUUGUAAUUCUCAUCAUUAAACCAUCCUAAUGUAGGUGAACAAUAAUUCAAAAUUCCCAAAUGGCGAACUACAAUAUGCGUCAAUGUGCAAUCAUGCCACAAGUUAUUUGUCGUACAACUAUCACCAAUAUUAGAGGUCAUAUCAAAAUGAUUGAGCAUACACAAAAUAUUGUUGUCUCUCAAAUCAAGAAAGUUAUCACAAGCAAUGCAAAUCUGAUGCACCAAAACUUUAUUGUUGACAUCAUGUUCUCCAAUUAAUGGAAUAGUGUAUCCGUGGGCAUUAGCAAAAGAUUUUGAAAUUGUUAACUCAGAAACUUUAUCCAUUGCAUGUGACAAAUAUAUAGGUGUAUCAAGUGUAAUAUAACACAAAGAAUUAAUAGGUGGAUCCUUAUCAAUCACUCCAUGUCUAAUCAACUCGACACAACCUAAAUCAAAUUUAUCUAUCUCACUUGUUUCUCCCAAAACAUUAGUUAUUUCCUCACAUGAUUCAUUCUCAUCAAUAUCAAAAUUAAUUUGUGCACUCAAAUCAUUAGAAGAAUUAAUUUCAGCAGUAGGUGCACUUGAAUCACCAUGUACGACAAUAAUUUCACAUGGUGCCGAAAAUUCAACAGGUAUCACAUGUAUUUCAUCACAUGCCCUUUUUAGUUCAGCAACAUAAUCCUCUGUAUCACUACCUUGUGGGCUCGACUCAUUUGUAGUAGACCCUCGCUGUAAUUUUCUCUCAACUUUAUGAGCAAGAUUAAGCAAACUCAAAAGAGAGUCGUAUUUUCCAUAUUCACUCAUGUAAGAAAUAUCAAAGUUAAGCCCACAAUAAAACCUAUCCAUUUUUCUUUAUUCGGUUUCAUCUAAACCAGAUUGCAAGGUUAUAAUUUGGAACUCAUUGUAGUAAUCAUCAACAGUUUUAUCAUCUUGUGCCAAACGUCGUAAUUUUGAACGCAAGUUAAAAGCAUAACUAAAAGGGACAUAUUUUUCUCUCAUGAUUUUCUUCAUAUCAACCCAAGUGUGGGGCAUUUUCUUUUCUCUAACUAUCUCAUUCCACCAAGAUAAAGCAGCAAAAAUAAAUUUACUACUAGCAAUUUGAACCUUGCGACUAUCAAGUACAUGUAAGCAUGUGAAUUGUGCAGUUAAAGCUAGCUCACAAUCUAUAUACGUUUCAGCAUCAUUUUUCCCCUCAAAGAAAGGUACACACAAUUUAAUUGUAUUAGAAGGAGUGUUUUGUACCGUUGCCGUGGCAUUAUCAACAAGAGACGUGGAGGAUGGCCGUGGUGAAAAGCACUCAUCGCGGUCACGGGAUAGCAUCGGUCUAGUUGCCAUGCUUCGUGUAAGUCCAGUCAUGGUUAGUAGAAAACAAGAAACAAAUCACAGUAAUAUGUUCCUAUCAACUAUUAGGAUGUGGCUACAAGUCGCUCAACUCUCAAGCUAAAAAUCAAGUUCUUACGAGUUCUUACCAUGCAAAACAGGAAGUUGAUGGCCAGCGGCGUAACCAAGCCCUCCGAAGAUUAAAUUUAUCGAUGCCUCGGUAACAAACCAACCUAGGUGUAGAAUCUGUGGAGCUUGGAGGCUUUUGUGAGUAGCAAAUAAUCAAAUCAGCACUGCAAAGUUGAAAAUAUGCUCAAUAAUGCUAGUCCUAGCUGCUGGAGUCGAUAAGAACGAAUUACAGAAAUAAUCUAAGCCUAGAUACUGAAGAAGGUAGGAAUAGAUAGAUCAAAAGAUGGCACAACAAGUAAAUCCCUGGGAUUUUUUUUUCUUUUUUUUUCUUUUUGUGGCCUACUGUUUGGCUUCUUAUUCUUUUCUUCUUCUUUUUUUCUUUUUUCUUUUUUAACCCCAGAAACUCACGCAAAAGAAGGACCGGAAAACUGUACGUCGGUCUGUCGAAAAACAGCAAAUGCUGCAGUAAAAAAAAUUCAGAAAAAUAUGAAAAAAUAUAGGUUAGAAGGGUAUCGACACAAGCUUUCCAGCAAGGGCAAGAUCACUCAAAACGGAUGUCGGACGGUGAAGAAAACUGAGAAACACCGGGCUGCAGCGACGCCGGAAAACGGAUGCAGAAACUUAGAAACUCCAAAAGUCCACCUUACAAACCGAAUUUGAGGGUCAAAGUGCAGGGCCAAGCCCUGAAUAUUUCCUGAUGCACCUCGUCGUGAGCUUUCCAAAAAGUCCAAGAACGUCCAAAUCCGAGUUGGUACGCAAAAGAUACGCCCGUUUUACUGAACACGGGUCAAACCCACCCGAAACUAAAAUUCUACUCGGACUCGGGUCCGAAACUGACUCGAACUCUUUCUCUUUUUUUUUCCUUUUUUUUUCUUUCUUUCUUUCCUUUUUUUUCUUUCCUUUUUUUUUCAACUUUCCAAACAACUUGAUAUCUAAACAAAAUUUGAUCUAUGAUGAAACACUUUCCAAAAGCACUCCUUAUUGGACUCGGACUCGAACUCGCGGCUGAAAACUAUUACUUGCCGACAUGAUGUAGAACUCGAAGAGGGACUCAGUGUAGGACUCGAAGAGGGACUCGGUGUAGGACUCGAUGAGGGACUCGGUGUAGGACUCGAAGAGGGACUCGGUGGAAGAUAUGGUGGCGACGGGAGAUUAUGGCGGUGGUGUGGCAGGAAGUUUGGCGGCAGAAGAUUGAUGAAGGAAACCUGCGUCACACGAAGAACAAGAAAACCAAAAGCGAGUUCGAUCUAGUAAAAAAAAAUCUGAAAAACGAUCCAAUCUAAUCCAGCAACUCGACACGAUUAAUGCAGCAAAGAUUCAACAAUGCAAAUACUAAAGUGAAAAUUGCAAGGCUCGGAUUGGUUCUAGGACAAGGUAACUAUUUCUAAUUUUUAUUUGGCUUUUUUUGGACGAUAGGUAAAAACAGAUCUAAACUACGGAUAAACUGGAAAAAUCUCACCGAGCAACCUUAAGCUCUGAUACCACGUGAUACGGGAUGGGGUGGCCCGAUCUUUCGAUGAGAUUGAUAGCUUUCGAUUUGUGUAGGAGGUGACGUUGACGAUCCGACUACGGCCUAGGAGGCAGUGCCUUAGUAAUCGAUACACCAACUCCAGAGGGUUAUUGAUCCCGCGGGGGCACGAUCAACCUGACCACGAAGGUCUUUGUUCCUGCAAGCAAUCGAAGAACAAGCAAGAACAAGAUAAAUAGGAGAUGCAAUCUAAAAUUGCGAAUAUACUAUAUCAAACCAAUGUCUCAACGAGACGAUAAGUUGGAAUCUUGACGACGGUAAAACAGGUGGUCUAACCGACACACGCGAUUACACGAAAGUAGCAAAGAUGGCUAAACUUUAUCUAAUCAAAACCCAAGGCUCCAUAGGGGGGGCUCAUGGGGUAUAAAUAGGAGGAGGUAGAGAUAUUUUCGUCCACCUUGAGUAAGGAGGCCGAAAUCCAACUCUAUCUCUAACUUCUCUAACAAACUACAACUCUUUAGGAAACAGAAAAACAGAUCCGUCAGCUUGUUUUGUCUGCCAGGGUCAGCACGAGUGUAAUCUCUUGAUGGGGCCAGAUCCGUUGGAAAGGUCUUGUAAUUACCUUUCCAACAAGUACUUUUUUGCUUGAUUUGGACUCCGGAUGCGGCCUGGGUGAUUAAAACAAAUUCGGGUCUCCUGGCAGCUCGGACCCGAAUCGGAUUCAACUUUAAUUCGUGAUAUCUUUCUCUAGCAAGCUCCGAAUCAUGUGCCGUUUGAUUUGUUGGAAAGUAGACUUGAUAGGCUUCACUUUGAAUCUCCCUUUGCAGGCUAUCACACUUCAUCUUCACUUUGGAUUUGUAAAAUUCAUUAAGAUGCCUACAUAAUAAGAUUACACAAGAUAGUAGCUCCGCCUCAUUGCAAGUAACAUAUUGAAAACAUUUUGUAAUUAAAUUCACCUGAUUAUAAUUGUUAUUAGAUACACCAACAAUUAGGGUUCUAAUGGUCGUAUCCAUGGUGAUCAUGUCCAUAUCAGUUUGACUUAUUUUUGUGUCUUAGAGUGAUGUAAUGAUAUCCUUGUUGCUCCAACCUGCGGUGAAUACAUUGCGUGUAUGUUGUGAAGUGUUCAUCGUAGGGAGGCACUGGGAGUUCAUUUAUGCGCGAGUUGGCACUUGGGGCUAAAUUGCAUAAUCCAGUCUCGGGGUCUCACAUGGUAUCAGAGCCUCGCUGCCCUUAGGUUUCUCCCUGGUUAGAAAUGGUCAAAGUUGAGUCUAGUAACUAUUUUCAUCUCUAAAAUAUUUGAAAAAUGGAAAAGUAGACUCUGAUUUUUCUUCUUUUCCCACCCACCCACCCUUCUUGUUUUGGAAAAUUCCCUCUUUCCUCAGUUUCUAAACUAGGUAUCUCGGGGUUUGUUUUCUGUAGUUCCUUUUUAGUUGGUGGCAUUCAAGUUCUUUUGUGGUUUUCGUUGUCAAAGAAAAGACCAUUCCUUCUUGUUUAGCUCAUAUCUAUAGUGCAUAGAUAAACCUAGUUCUUCCAAAGUUCUAAUCCUGCAAUCACUUUCUUUCAGAUGUCGCUCUACACUCCUCCUCAUCCACAGGUGGUCUUUAUGUCCAACUGUGAGACAACGCAAGGUUUCCCUGAAGUGCUCCGUUAGAUCAUGAGGCAAAUCAGUUUCUGAUACCAGCCGGAGUACACGGUAUUUGAGGAUUACCGUGACUUCAACCAGGAGUACUACCUUGCCGUUGUCCGCAUCCACCAAGUCGUGCCUUCAGAAAAGUUUCCAGUGCACAAAGCAGUGGGAACUGGGCAUACCAUCGAGUUGGCUAUCCAACAGGUGGCUGUGCGUGACCCUACUCCGCAGGAAGUACGAAAAGCUGGACACAGGACCAUUCAAGCACAUCCCAAGAGGCCUCAUCACGUGCGAGAACAAGUUCUUCACACUUCCAGGCUUGCCUGAGGAGAAGGUUACCAAUGACAGCUAUGAUCUCUGCAACUUUGUGUCAAGCCAGCAGCACAUGAUGGCGAACAUGCGCGCCGAGAUCGACCACUACCGCAAGCAGCUGUGGAUAGAACUCGGUCACCUCUCCGCCGUGGUUGAUGCAGGAAUGUACCAGAAUGAAGUUCGCUAUCCUUCGAGGCCUCCUGCUCCUGAGAGACUCCAUGCGUUUCCAGUGGAUGGGUUUACUCCAGCACGUGGCCCACCAAGAGUGUUCGAGAGUACGUACCUUCCGCGUCAGUUCUUGUAUGGGGAACAGAAGGCAGAUGCGUACGUGUUUCCGUACUCUCCGCAGCUACUGCUGAGGUCUUGACAGCUUUGUCAGGAUAGGUCUCUGUAUCCGUAGUUCCAUCUAUGGCCACACUUCUUGUGCAUUGUGAAUGGCAAGAUGAGUAGUGUAAUCUUUCUUUGCUUUGGAUGAUUGUAAUCACUAAAUCUUUGGAUGGCACAAUGUGGUAUCUCAGAUUUCAUGUUAUCCUUUAAUCCUAUCUUUGAGGCUUUACGUCAUGCAUUAUGUUUCAACUGUUGUGUAAACCAUUGUGCAAACAGGAUGGCACCUGUUCGUCGUGAUCCUUCUCCUCCACCUGAGUUGGGCAACAUACUUCUUCAGAUGGGACAAAUCUUUAAGCGUAUGAAUGACCAGCAAAACAAUCAAGGCAACAAUGCAAACAAUGGAGCUAAUGGCAGGGUUUCCAUCAAGGAAUUCCUUGCUCUCAAUCUGUAACAUCCCAAAAUUUCGAACUUUUACAUGUGCAUUGCAUCCAUGAGCAUCAUGCCACAAUUGCAUAUUUGAAUUCAAAUUUGAAUCUCAAAAAGGCUUUAAAAGUUUUAAUUUCAACUUGAACCUUAGGGUAUACACCCAUUUGAGUUUUGGAUUUUCAAACCAAUAUGUUUUAUGUAUAAAAGGGGUUUAGUGCAUAUAUAAGCUAUACCAUAAUUUUUUGGUUAAUUAUUUGGAGUCGAAAAAGUAUUUUAUUCAAAUAGAUAUAUAGCCCUAAAGGCAUUUAUAGGGCAAAUGUAUUUUUAUAUAUUUUAUUUUGAGGGGAAACUACUCCCAAAAGUUGUAUCAUGGUAGGACAUGAUUUUACAAAUUUUCUGGUUUUUAUUUGGACCAAUUUCGAGUUCAAACUCAAAAGAUAUCAAAGAAAUAAGAAAAGCAGAAAAAGAAAAGGCAAAAAGAAAAAAAAAGGGGGUAAACCGGACCGGCCCGGCCACUUUGGGCCGAACCGGCCCAGUCCGACCGCGCCCGACCGCGACACGCGCCGGACCCGCCCGCCCGGCCGCUCCACGCGCGCGCCCGCACCCGCUGACCGGUGGGGCCCACCUGUCAGGGGCUUCUUCCCCGUUUGGAAGGCGCCCGCGACGCGCGCCGCCUUCCUUCUUCGACGCCGCGCGCCGUCACCGCCGUGAUCUCCGCAUCCCGUGCCUCCCGUGCCUCCGUGCCCGCGUCCCUAUAAAGCCAGCGCGCCCCUCUCUCUCUUCCUCCUCUUUCCCCUCUCUAUUGCGCCCCCAGGCUCGAGAAAUUUCUCGCCGGAGCUUUGCCCGCGCCGCCGCCGUUCUCCUCCGUCUCCGGUGAACCCUAAGGGUAAGCGCCGCCAUCUUCUUUUCCCUCUUCCUCUACUCCUCCGUGCCCUUCGGUUGACGCGCUCCAUCUUCGCCCCCGUGCAAUGCAGCCUCCGGACGCCGCCCGCUCGUCCUCGCCGGAGUCCGGUGACCGCGCCGCCGUCUUCGCGCGUCCUAGGUGAGCCCUCCGCCCUCCCGAAGACGCGCCGACCCCGUCACCGAGCGCGCCGUGCCGCGUCGCGCCUCCCCGUGAUUUCCCCGAGCCGCCCGCGACGCCCGAGCACCCCGCGCCGCCACGCCCGUGCCCGCGCCGCCGUCUCCUCCAACUCCGGCCGCCCGCGCCGCCCGGUAAAACCCUAGAACUCCCCUCGUCCGUCCGAUCCGGAUCCGAGGGCUAAGAUUAGAUCCCGUUUUAAGUUUUAACCGAACCGGUACACACCAAUUGGAUGCUGACAGGUGGCACCCGGUUUUAUAAAAUAAAAAUGUAAUUUUAAUCCCCCGGAAUUAAUAAAAGGCACUUUUGCGGAUAGGCCCCUGUAAAUUCAAAUGAUCAUAACUUUAAAUCUGUUUGGCCAAAUUUAAUGAUCCACACCUUUUUGGAAUCCUUAGGAAAUUUAGAAUCUUUUGGCACUGUCCAAAUUGAAAUUUGAAUAUUUAAAUCACAUUCAAAUUACAGAUUAGGGUUUUAUGCCAUUUAAAUCAUAACUAAUUAUUUAGGAGUCCUUUUUGAAUGAAACCAGUGUUCAAAAAUUUGUUUUAUUGUCCUCUAUCCAAUGGGGCAGAGAAACAAAUAUUUUGAAUUAAAUUGUUUUGCAGAUGCAAAUAAAACCUCAUUUUAGGAUUUAAACCCUAACCUUUGUUACUAGUUUAAAACCCUAAUUGCAUGUGCUUAAAUUAUUUAUGCUUUGGAUCAGUAGAUCACCCAAAUAAAGUAAACCAAACUCAUGUCACAUGUUUUGCAUCGCAUCAUGCCAUACAUAAUCUUUUGUUUGUAUGGUGUGUUUAUGUAUGUGUAUGUUUGCUUGAUUGUAUAGUUUUCUCGGAGAGCGAACUGUGUGAUUGCGAAGAGUGUUUGAAUACCAACUACUAUCAAGGCAAGUUCACUUUGACCAUCAUCCCAUUAUUUUAUUAUGCACUAGAUUUUAUUAGUUGCAUUGUUAGGGUUAUUAUUGUAUCUAUGCUAGCUAUGAUCUGUCCUAGUAGUAUGGGAUACCUUUGUCAUGACCUUCACCACCAAUUGCCAUCGCAGUAGUAAGAUGCUAUGCUAUGAUAAUAUACGAGGGUGGUAUUAUUACAAUGUGAUACUAUUGAAUUACAAACAUAGUUUUCCUCGUGUAUGGCAAAACAAGUAAUUCAAUGAACCGUCCUGGGUGGGCUGCUUCGAGUAUUCGGAUGUCGUGACGUUAGGUCCAUUUCUAUGGGUCCCUCUGAGUCGAGUUCCUGUGGAUUCAGGAAUGGAUCGUCCAUGGACGUCUCUCCCGUGGAUUCGGGGAGCGCCUUCGUCACAAUGUGGGAUGCCACCCGGGAUAACCAGAGACUGGACUAGUUUCCUGUUUAGUAGCUUCCAGUACAACCACAUGGUAAUAUGGGCUCUGCCUGGAUGGAGUAAGAAAUGGUUACCCAGAUCCGAGGGAUUGUACUGAGGUAGUUGUGUAGGUGGGAGCGCGGGUCCCUCAGGUGGUUUGGGUGAACAUGUUCUGAAAAUUCUUGAAGUCGAUGCCGUUGCUACUCCACCCGGAGGAUAGCAAGGGAUUAACACGUCGAAUUCUUGUGGGUAAAGUGUACCACCUCUCGAGAGUGUCAAACUAAGUACUUAGCCGUGUCCCCGGUUACGGACAAUUAUGAGCAACUGGAUAUUGGGGCUGUAAGGAAAGUCUCACUCAUUCUAAUUUCCUAAUAAAAUGAAUGGUUUGAACUGGGUAGGAGCAUUGAUGUUUCUACUCAAUGUGCCUAGGUUAAUAGGAGCAUGGGUGUUUCUACCCCGUGUCCAAUAGAAUUCAAAACUAUUUGUCUAAAAAUGAUAGGACUUGAAUAAUGAUGCUUUUAUGCAAAGUAGCCAAACCCCACUUAGCCAAACUAUGCAUGUACUUGGUAGGUCCUUUAUAACUCUAGUGAGCUUGCCAAUACAUUCAAAUGUAUUGACCACGUAGUGGCUGCAAUUAAUAAUGCAGGUGAAACUGAUGAAGAGUGAGGUUUGUCGAUAUUUCUUUGGGUCAUGUGCUUACAUUCCAACAUGUUCUCUCCUCUGGGAGUAGAUGAGGCCCUUUUACUCUACCUUUCCACUGCAGCUUCAUGAUACAUUGUUAUCAUGGUUUUGAACAUUAUUUGUUAUGCUGGCCUAGGAGGUCAUGCAAGUUUGUAAGUACAAUUUAAGUUCUGGAUGAUACGAUGUAAUAAAGUACUUUUGACCUUUGUAUCUUGGUAUUACAUCUUGAACUGUGUGUGCUAGUGAGUCGAUCCAGGGACUAGCACAAGUAAGCACAGAGAUCGAACCAUUGGUGAAGGGGGAUCGCUUCACAAUCCAAGGACUUUCUCUCUACCUUCAGAACCACUUGAUGCUGAUGAUUGGCUUCGUGAGAUGGUCCCGUGCUCUUUGCAUGGUUCGUGUGGCAAAUGAGGACAAGAUUCCUUUUGCGAGCUACCUCCUCCGAGGUGAAGCAGCUGCAUGGUGGGAGAAUUUCCAAGCCUCCAAGCACCCUGAUGAAGUCAUCACUUGGUUUGAAUUCCAGGACGCUUUCCUAAAGCACCACAUCCCAGCUGGUCUGAUGGACAGAAAGCGUGAGGAAUUCUGCAGUCUGACUCAAGGCAAGAGUUCUGUUCUCGAAUACUUCAAGGAUUUCAACCGUCUUACUCGCUAUGCUGGCGAUGAGAUCUCUACUGACUUGAAGAAACAAGAAAGGUUUUGCAAGGGUCUCAGUCCGUCGGUGAAGUAUGCUCUCAAUCUCAUCAGGUGCAAUUCUUUUGAAGACUUGGUCAAUACUGCUCUGCAAGCUGAACAUGGCCGUUCACAGUUUGAGGAUUCUCGCAACCACUCUCGUGAUACUGGGUCUUCACCGACGGAGGUUGUGGGUUCCCAACAACGCAACUGUCCGUCCAGCAUAUGGUCAGAGGAACGAUUGUCAAGGUUCCCGCCCACCCUCCCAGGCUGUCUCUCUUAAGAGCUACAAUGGGCAGCAAAGACCUCAGAAUCAGAACAGUGACACCAGAGUCUGUUACAAGUGCAAACAGCCAGGCCACAUUGCGACUCACUGCCCUAUGAAUCAGAUUCAGGCAGCACCUCGCCCUCCUCCAAGCCAGGCGAUGGUUCCAGCUCAGGGUAAUCAGCAAAGCUCUUAUGACAACAACAAGUCCAAUGCUAGCCGUGCCCGUGUCAAUCGUGUCAAUGCGGAACAAGCAGAGGAAGCUACCGACGUUGUCAUCGGUAAUUUGCAUGUUAAUUCUGUUCUUGCUAAAGUAUUAUUUGACACUGGAGCAUCGCAUUCUUUUGUUUUGCACUGCUUUCCACGAGCAAUCGACUUGCAGCAGGACACCUUGCUUACCCCUGUUCUAAUCCAAACCCCUGGGUCCAAGUCUAGGUCAAUUAAGAUAAGUCAUGGCACCCGAAUCCAAAUCAACAAUUUUGUCUUCUUUGCCGACCUCCUAGCCCUCGGACCCUCUGACAUUGAUGUCAUUCGAGGGAUGGAUUGGCUUAAACCUCAUCAAGCUUUGAUAGACUGUGCUACUAAGUCUGUCAUUCUAACACAUCCCACUAGCCAGAUAGUCACUUUCCACUCUUCAAAGGCCACAAACACCCAGCUCUACUCUCUAGACGCAAAGCCACUUCCAACUUUGGAAUCUGUUAAGGUGGUUUGCGAAUUCCCGGAUGUUUUUCCUGAAGGCUUACCAGGUAUGCCUCCCGACAGAGCGGUUGAGUCUGUGAUCGAACUCGAAGCAGGAACUGCUCCUGUUCAUAGGCGCCCAUACAAGAUGUCUCCACCAGAGUUGGCGGAACUUAAAAGACAACUUGAAGACUUGGAGAAGAAAGGAUAUAUCCGUCCAAGCUCCUCUCCUUGGGGUUGUCCCACUCUGUUUGUGCAGAAGAAGGACAAACCGAACGUCUGUGUGUUGAUUACCGUCCUCUUAAUCAACAUACAAUCAAGAACAAAUACCCACUUCCUAGAAUCACCGAUCUGUUUGACCAACUAGCCGGAGCCGCAGUUUUCUCAAAACUCAAUCUACGCUUAGGGUAUCAUCAAAUCAAAAUCUGGUAGGAGGACAUUCCAAAGACCGCUUUCACAACUCGUUGUGGUCUUUACGAGUACACUGUCAUGUCUUUUGGACUCACCAAUGCUCCAGCUAUCUUCUCUCGUCUGAUGAAUUCUAUUUUCAUGGAAUAUCUGGACAAGUUCGUUGUGGUCUACUUGGAUGACAUUCUUGUCUAUUCCAAAUUCGAGGAAGAACAUGAAGGACAUCUUCGUCUCAUCCUUUCCAAACUUCGUGAAAAUCGACUCUAUGCUAAGUUCUCCAAGUGCGAGUUCUGGCUUCCACAAGUCAAUUUCUUGGUCACGUCAUCUCAGCAAAGGGAAUUGUUGUCAAUCGAGAGCGAAUUCAGGACAUUGUCGGGUGGUCUCAACCCAAAAGUGCAAAGCAAAUCCGGAGUUUCCUUGGUUUGGCAAGUUAUUGCCGACGUUUCGUCCCCAAUUUCUCCAAAAUUGCCAAGCCUUUGACCGACCUUCUCAAGAAAGACAAGAAGUUUGUUUGGACUUCUCAGUGCGAAGAGGGCUUUAAACUUUUGAAGGAAAAACUCACUACACCUCCUAUCUUGGCUCCUCCAGAUACUACGCAACCUUUCCAAAUCUAUUGCGAUGCAUCUCGCCAAGGUCUAGGCGCUGUCCUUUUCCAAGAUGGGAAAGUUGUGGCAUAUGCGUCUCGCCAACUUCGUCCAAAUGAACUCAAUUAUCCCACGCAUGACCUUGAACUCGCUGCAGUUGUUUUUGCAAUCAACCUUGUGAGAUCUUUACAGAUCAUAAGAGCCUCAAGUACAUCUUCACCCAGCCUGAUCUCAAUCUCAGACAGCGACGAUGGAUGGAGUUGAUCUCAGAAUACAAUCUGUCGAUUAAUUACACUCCAGGCAAAGCUAAUGUUAUGGCUGAUGCCCUUAGUCGCAAAUCUGAUAGCAACUCUCUCACAGUCACGGAGUUAUCUCCUGAUCUUUGUGAGGACUUCAAGAAUCUAAACCUCGAGCUUGUUCCAAAAGGUUAUCUUGCAAAUCUGGUCGUUACUUCUGUUUCAUCUUUGGAAGACAGAAUUUGUAAAGCUCAACUCCUUGAUUAUUGAGUCAAGAAGGUUUCUGAUCAGAUAAAAGCUAAAGAUCCCAAGUCUAAGAGAUUCUCACUUGAUGACAAAGGAACGGUGUUCUUUGAUGAUGGCAUGGUUGUUCCUAAUAAUCAAGACAUAAGAGAGUCUAUUCUCAAAGAAUCCCAUGACACACCUCUUGCUAUCCAUCCUGGUUCUACCAAGAUGUAUCAAGACAUCAGAAAAGAGCUAUUGGUGGACUGGAAUGAAAGAGCACAUUGCCAGAUAUGUGUCUGAAUGUGAUGUAUGUCGCCGUGUUAAGGCAGAGCAUCAGAAGCCUGCUGGUCUUCUUCAACCACCGAGUGUUCCAACAUGGAAGUGGGAGAAGAUUGAAAUGGACUUCAUGACUGGGUUUCCAAAAUCUCGCAAGGGCAAUGAUGCAAUCUUUGUGGUGAUUGAUCGACUUUCUAAAGUCGCUCACUUCUUGCCUGUCCAAGAAACAAUCUCAGCUAGUCAAUUGGCCGAAUUGUACACUGCCAGAAUUGUCUGUCUCCAUGGUGUCCCAGUUGAAAUCAGCUCCGAUCGUGGAAGUAUCUUUACAUCCAGAUUUUGGGAAAGCUUUUAGAAGGCAAUGGGAACUAAUCUCCUUUUCAGCACCGCUAAUCAUCCUCAGACUAGCGGUCAAGUUGAAAGGGUAAAUCAGGUCCUUGAAUACAUGCUUCGAGCUUGUGUCAUAUCCUUUGGUAUGAAAUGGUAGGAAUCUCUGCUGUUUGCGGAGUUCUCUUACACUUGUAGCCCAUGCACCAUGGCACAUGCGGCAUCCCCUUGUGUAUAAAAGGAGGACCCAUGCCAACGGUCAAAGAGGUUAGGAAGUUAGACAGUUGGUAGGUUAGUGAGUUGGUCAGUUGGCUCCAGUAGACAGCCAGCAGAGAGCAGUAAGGGGUACUUAGACAUUGAGAGGAAGCCAGGGAACUGGCCCGACAACUUGUAAACGUUUCCUCCGCAAUCAAUAUCAGUUCAGACAGGCAGGACUUAGGGUUUGACACCUCCGGGUGGCCCGAACCUGGGUAAAAAACGUGUGUGCAGUUUUUCUUGUACUAGCGCGCACCCUUAGCACUUGGUCUCACCGGCCCCGUAGGGCCUCAUCGGCCGCGCCGGCGACCACCGGGACUCCGCCCCCGACGCCCCUACCAAACCUAAAAGGGGGACGUGGCCGCACGCCCCCGGUGUCGGAGCACCGAGCGACGACAUCUCUCGCGCCAGGUAGGGGGCGCGGGAGUGGUCAACGCCAGAGAUCGCCGGCAGCAGAAGUUUCCAUCGGCGUCGGCUUCGCUCUUCUUUGCCGACGAGUCUAGUCACCAUGCCCCCAAGCGGGCUGGUGACUCCCGCAUAGACCCGCGUGAGGCCCCAACGGUGCACACGCGGUCGCAUCCGAGUCGGGGGCUCAAGAGAACCCCGAGCCCUCGAGGGUGCAGCAAACGCAGCUGCCUCUGCCGCCUCCUCGGCCGAGGGGACCGGCUGCCCCCAGUGCCGGGGGCAAUCGGACGAGCACGCAUGGCGUCGCCCGGGCCAGCCAACGGGUUGAGUCACGGCCCGAGGAUGCCCCGCGGCAGCGGCACCAGGAGCACGCCACGUCGCGGGCAACCCCCGGGGGUUCACACCCUGUACACCCGGAGGUGUCCGGGGCCAGGGCGGGAAGCAGCCGUUCAGGAAACCGGCUGCCCCCCGUCCGGACCCCGGUUGAAGCCAUCGUCGCCGCGCGUGUCAUGGUGCGGUACGAGCCACAGCAGGGCACGCCGGUGCAUGAGACGUGGGGCGAGGAGUUGGAAGCGCUUCUCGCACUGGCCGCCCAGCAGCCGCAAGGCGAGGGCGCCCCGGUAGGCUCCGGCCACGGGCAGAACCUGGAGUGUGGAGACGCGCCACCCGCCUCACGACAGGGGGAGAACCCUCCCCCUCCUCAGCGAGGCCAAGGGGACGGGGGCCCGGAGGGUUCCUCGAACUCGUCGCCCACUGUUCCGGGGGGCGAUGCGCGUGGCAUCCUGAAUGCCCGCCAGCAGGAGGAUCUGCGCCAGUGCUUGGAGCGCCGGCGUAGGCGCGAGAUGGAGCACCAGCGCCCACGGGAGCAGGAAGACGCUCCCUUGGGCCCCGAGGACGGCUGCACCGCGUUCACGCGCGAGCUUCGGCGGGUGCCGUGGCCCCGUAAGUUCCGAGCGGCUGCGCUCGGUACGUACGACGGGACCGCUAAUCCCAAAUAUUUUCUACUGACCUAUACGUUGGGCAUGCAAGCCAUCAGCGCCGACGACAAGGUCAGCGCGAACUGGUUCCCGAUGGUCCUGAAAGGAUCAGCGCGAACCUGGUUGCUCAACCUGCCCGCUGGGUCCGUCGCCACUUGGGCAGACCUGCGCAAGCAGUUCGUGAGCGCGUUCCAGGGGAGCUAUAAGCGCCCGGGAACCAUGGCGGAGCUGCACACUAUCAUGCAAAAACUGGUGGAGACGCUGUGGGCCUUCGUCAACCGCUUCUCCAACCUCUCCUAUUCCAUCUCGGAGGCGGAGGCAGCCGCCAUCAUCAACACCUUCGCCAUCAACGUCCGCGAUUCCAAGAUGCGUGAGAAGCUGAGCACGCAUCGGAUCCGGACGACGCAGGACAAGUGCGCCAUGGCCGAGGAAGGGCGCCUAGCGCCCGAGUUGGCAGCCCAGGCUGCAGCGAGCCCGGGCGAGGGCUCACAAAAGAAGGGUUCCCGCAAACGCAGCGGGAAGCAAGUCCUCGCUGCGGACUCAUGGGCUCCUGCCGUGAGGCCCGCGAAGAAGGCCUCGCCGGGUGGAGAGUCUGGCGGGAAGCAGGGCGACGCGCCCCGAUGCCCUAUCCACAACAACUGCACCCACGACGUGCAGAGUUGCCGCGUCCUGCAGGGGAUCAAGCAGCGGCGGGAGCAGCGCCACGAGGAGCGCCAGCGGCGCCGGCGCCUGCUUCAAUUGUGGCGACAUCGGGCAUCUCGAGCGGGUCCGAGGCCAGCCGGUGGUGGUGCCGGCAGGGGUGAGCCCCAAGGGGGGCACGAUGAACCCUGUGCUGUGCGGGAACGCCCCCCUCGGGGAGGCGACAGAGUCCGCGCUGAGGAGCAGCGCGAGUCCGACUAUACUGGCGGCGACGAACCGGGCUUCCAGGAGCCUCGUGGCGUUGCCUGCAUUCAUGGGGGAGCUUACACUCUCCCAUCCUACGCCGCGGUGAAGCACCUCACCCGCGGCAUGUGCGCGCUGUUGCCGGAUGCGGAGCUGCAACAGCCGCUGAGGUGGUCGCAUGUGCCGAUCACCUUCAGCGCCGAUGAUCACCCAGCGCGACAGUUGGGUUCCGGGGUAAUACCCUUCGUCGUCUCGCCGAUCAUUAGCAAUAUGACGGUGACCAAGGUGCUGGUGGACAAUGGAGCGGGGCUUAACCUCCUGUCCGACAGGCUGGUGGAAAAGAUCCAGUUGCGGAUUGAGCAGCUGAAGCCCACCGAACCGUUCCGGGGGGUGAACCCCGGGAUCGUGUGCCCGCUGGGACGCAUCAUGCUGCCGGUCACCUUGGGGUCCCGGGAAGUGUUCAGGACCGAGCACAUAGUGUUCGACGUGGCGCAUACCCCGUUGCCCUACAACGGGAUCCUUGGCCGGCCAGCACUGAUCAAGUUCAUGGUGGCUACGCAUUGCCCCUAUGGCGUGAUGAAGAUGCCGUCCGUCUAUGAAGUCCUCACCAUCAGGUGCGACCUCAAAGACGCGGCUUGGUGCGUUGGCGAGGUCGUCCGGGCCGCUGCUGCAGCUGACGCCGGCGACGAGGAUGUUGUCGAGGACGACGGCUUGCCGGGUGAUGCCUCGGCAGCGAAGAAGGCCCGCGCCACCCUGCAAGGGCUUGCCAGGGGAGGCCCAGGCUCGAGCUCGUGCCCCGGCCAGGGGCAGGGGCUCCAGGAGGAGGCCGCCAAAGUGAAGAAGCUGCCCCUCCAAGCCGGCGACAAGGAGCGCACCGUUACCAUCGGUGCGAACCUGGCCACCGAAUAGGAAAGCGGCCUCAUCACCUUUCUCCGGGAUAACGCCGACGUGUUCGCCUGGCAACCGUCGGACCUUCCCGGAGUCCCCAAGCAAGAGGUGGGCAAGCUCAGGGCUGCCGGGGCGGUCAGGGAAGUUUUGUACCCCACAUGGCUGGCUAACCCUGUAGUAGUGCCCAAAGCAGGGAAUAAGCUUCGCAUGUGCGUAGAUUUUACCGAUCUUAAUCGUGCAUGCCCCAAGGAUCCCUUCCCUGUACCCCGUAUCGACCAGAUAGUUGAUUCUACCGCUGGUUGUGAUUUGCUGAGUUUUCUGGAUGCUUUCUCCGGCUACCAUCAAAUCAAGAUGGCGGUCGAGGAUGAGGAAAAGACAACGUUUAUCACCCCGGUUGGCUGCUAUUGCUAUACAUGCAUGCCUUUCGGGUUGAAGAACGCGGGCUCCACAUUCCAGCACACCCUGCGCGAAUGUUUGCGGCCCAGCUAGGCCGCAACGCGGAGGCCUACAUGGACGACAUCGUCAUCAAAUCAAAGUGUAGGGACUCGCUGGUUGAUUACCUGCGGGAGACGUUCGACAACCUCCGCAGGAUCAAACUCAAGCUGAACCCUGAUAAGUGCACCUUCGCUGUCAACUCCGGGCAGCUUCUGGGUUUCUUGGUUUCACACCGGGGGAUACAGGCCAACCCGACCAAAAUAGAAGCCAUCGAGAAGAUGGAGGCCCCCCGCAAGGUGAAAGAUGUCCCACGCCUCAACGGCUGUGUUGCCGCGCUGGGACGUUUCAUCUCCAGGCUGGGCGAGCGUGCCUUGCCUUUCUUCCUGGUAAUGAAGAAGAAGGGUCCAGUCGACUAGACUCUCGAGGCCGAGGCGGCGUUCCAGGAACUCAAGCAGUACCUGAGGUCACCGCCCAUCCUCGUCGCCCCCAAGCUGGGCGAGCCGCAGCUACUCUACCUAGCGGCGACUGACCAGGUGGUCAGCUCGGUGCUGAUUGCUGAGAGGGAGGAAGACGUCCCGGGGACUGGGGCUGCGGGGCAGGGGGCGGAGCGGCCUCCGGCAACCGCCUCAGACCCGGGGACCGCCCUCGAGUCGACAACCUUGGCACCGUGGAUGCGGUUGGUGCAGCGCCCGGUGUACUUCGUUAGUACGGUGCUGCGCGACACGCGGACGAGGUACCCGCAAGUACAGAAGCUCCUUCUGGGGAUUCUCCUUGCGUCCCGCAAGCUGUGCCACUACUUCCAGGCGCACUGCGUCACGGUGGUGUCCGGGUUCUGCCUCGAGCGAGCCCUCACCAACCGUGAAGCCACCGGGAGGGUGGCCGAAUGGAGGAUGGAGUUGUCGGAGUUCGACCUCCACUUCGCCAACUCCAAAAGCAUUAAGAGCACGGCCCUGGCGGACUUCGUCGCGGAGUGGACGUCCAUGGGCGUAGAAGAGAGUGAGCCAGAGAUCAGCCUUCCCGACAGGUUGGAUGAGGACCACCGGGUCCUCUACUUCGACGGUGCGUUCAGUCUUCAGGGAGCGGGCGUCGGGGUCGUCAUCGAGUCACCCACAGGGGAUCAGUUGAGGUUCGCUGUUCCACUCGACUUCGCUAACUCCACCAACAACACGGCGGAGUACGAGGGCCUGCUUGCCGGGUUGCGGGCAGCGGUCGCCCUCGACAUUAAGCACCUGGUUGUUCGCGGCGAUACCCAGCUCAUGAUCAACCAGGUGAACAAGGAGUACGAUUGCCCUCAAAUGGCGCCGUACGUGGAGGAGGUCCGCAAGCUGGAACGAAAGUUCAAGGGUUUGCGCUUCGAGCACGUCAGGUGGAAGGAUAACUUCGCUGCUGACGAGCUGGCCAAGAUGGCAGCGGAGUGCCGGAAGCCUCCGGCGGGGGUGUUUUGUCAGAAGCAAGUGGCUCCUUCAGUCGCCUUACAGCCGGCUGCCGGGGACGCCCCUCCGGCAACCGAAGGAACCCCUGCAGCAGCAGGGGUCCAUGCCGCCGAUACGGCGGCAUGCGUUGGCAGGGAGAUUCCCCCCUGGGCGGAAGAAAUCGCCCGCUAUUUGAAAGAGGAUUUCGCCGCGGUAGUUGGCGAUCAGCUCGCUCUUCUCGUCCAGCCGCGUCUGGGCCAUCGCGAGCACCUCGCAUGCUCCUUCCAAGCCGUUUCGAGAGUUGCCGCCAUCGUGUCGAGCCUUCCUUGGAGCUCCGCGCGCUGGAUCUCUAGUUGCCGACGGAGCUCGGUCUCCGGGACUACCGGCUCCCGUGCAGCCUCCAGGGCUUGCCGGGCCAGCCGCGCCUCCUCUUCGGCGAGACGCGCCUCCUCGCGCAGCCGGGAGAGUUCGUGCCGCUCUCUCUCCACGGCCUCCCGCACCUCGCCGAGCUGAUUCUUGGCGGCGGUUUGGCGCUCCCUCACCUCGUUGUAGGAGGUGACAAAGGCAAACUGCUGGUCCCGGACGGUGUCCAGGAACUGGUGCCCCCGCUCGAAGACGCUCGGAUCCCAGGUAAGAGGGUUCCAAGCGACCCCGGCGAGGGUGCCGAGGUCGGUGCCGGGAGAGCCCCCGAGGAUGAUGAAGCCCCUGCUGCCGAAGUGGGGCUAGGCGCGGGAUCGCUAACUUGCUCCCGGGGGCCUUGCCGUCCUUCCCCGGCAGCUUCCUCGUGCUUGCGCUCGGGGACACCGGGGUUGGAGAAGGCUCCCUUCUCCUGGCAGGCGUUGCCUCCUAUCGGGCGACAGGUGAGCCCGUGCCUACCACGUCCGCGGCUUCGGGCGUGUCUCCAGGAGCCGUCACGGUGCCGACGGUAUCCUCUGCUGCCGCAGCGUCCAUUGCAGCAAGGCCGGACGUGAGAGCCGGUUCCGCCUCCACCUCCGCCCCCGUGGCCUCGACGACCGAGUCGGGGUCGACCACGGCCGCGCCUGUUCUGGGCGCGGGCGCACUUGUGCCUGCAACCAUGAAGAAGUAUGAGGGUCGGCGAUGGCUGGUGCUACCGAGGGCGAACAAGCGCGACCGGGGCGGUUCCCUUGUGCGGCCGUCGGGCUUGCCAGGGCAGCCUCUCCUACCUCGUCUGCGCCAGCGAGAGCGUCCAAGGGGCUUGCCGCGGGCGAGCUGCCGCUUGCUGCAGAAAGAGAAGGUAUGUUCGUGAGUUUGGCUAAUAGGAAUUGCAGUUGCAGAGAAUCAACGAAGACAUACCCGGUGCCGGCCCUGCAUUUGUCGGGGUUGGGUCGCCAAAGGACACGCCGGCGCCGCUGCGGACCCCUGCGGCCGUGGGCUCGGCGGCGCCACCGGCGCCCGCGCGCGUCCUCUUGCGUGGCGUGCCGGGCGGGGAACCGCUCCUCGCCCUCUUGCUGGCACCCGCCGGCGAGGAGGACUUCGGGGGAUUGCGCCGGAGCGCGAAGCCCCGGAAGACCCCCCGAGCGGGCGGCGCCUUGGGCGCCCGCGGUGUCGUCGUGACCCGGAGACCUCCGGGUGUCGAUGGCGAGGCCGCCACGGCGCCGGGCGCCAAGCUCGCGAAGGCCCCCGCUACUGGGGCGAAGGCCGUUGCCGGGGCGCCGGUGACCCCCGCAGGUGCUGGCGUUGCCGGGGUACCGGCGGGCACCCCGGGACCGGUUCCCGCCACGGAGCUGGCGGCCGCCGCCAAGGCAGGGGCCGCCGCCGAGGCACUCGCGGCCCCUGUUGCCGCGGAUGCCGUCGGGGAACUGACGGGCACCCCGGGAGCUGCCGCCAGCGCCAGGUCAGGGGCCGAUGCCGGAGCGGACGUCGCCGUUGAGGAGACGGCUGCGGCCGCUGCGAACGCCCUCGAUCUUCUUACAAUCAAGGGCGCGCUGUCGCUGCUUUCCUCGUCGUCGUCCUCCAUGGCGACGACUUUCGGGGACGCGGCCACCUGGCCCGCCUCGUCAUCCAGCGACCGAAGGGAGGGCCAGCUGGGCUUGGACCCGCCCUCGGUCUCCUGGAGCACCUGCUUCCCGCGGGAUGCCUGCGGGGGUGCGUGCGGGACCCGGGUGGGGGUGUCGUCCAUCAGCCCCCACUCGUUGCAGGGCGGGAAGGCGCCGACGAUGUCGCUGAGCACCCUGACGCCAGCGUGGAGAGCGGAAACCCCCGGCGGGAACUCCGUCGACUGAAAGAUCUCGCCGGAGAUCCCCCUCACCCACGUCCUGAGGGACUCCAAGUCCAUGCCGUCCGCCUGGAGGCUUGUCCUGUCCCCGGAGCCCGUGUACAUCCACGCGGGCCGGGAACGUAGCUGCAACGGGGCUAUGCGCCGAUGGACGAAGGUGCACGCCACGUCGACAUCGGUGAGCCCCGCUAGCCGCAACGCCUUGAUCUUCUCCACGAUGGGGAGGAGGUCUGCGUCACGAUGGUACCUAUCCUGCCAGCCGUUCUGGGGUACCGGCAACUCUGUUGGCGGCUGGAUGAACUCCUGGGGUUCCUCCACCCGGACCCAGCAAUAGUCGGCCCGCCACACUUUUUCAAUCUUCUUCCCCGACCGGACGAUGAACUCGGACUUCAUCUGGUCGCGGGCACGGAAGACCACCCCUGACGACAUCGCCUUCGCGUUGUUGAUGCGCGGGUAGAAGUAAUGGCGGAAGAGCCCCACCGACGGCAUCACCCCCACGAACGCCUCGCAGAGGAACUGGAAGGUGGCGAGGAGGAAGAGCGAGGUGGGGUGGAGUUGCGCCACCCGCAGCUGAUAAGAUUCCAUCAGUGCGUGGAGGAACAGAGAGAAGGGCGGCACAAUGCCGCAGAGGAGGAAAUGCGCGAACACCCGGAAAUUGUUGUCCUGGUGCUCGACGCCCGCCGGGAAGAUCGGCGUCUCCCCGUGCUCGUUGAAGCUUGAGGCGACAGCGUGCCGGAGCUUCCCCAGUGCCUCCCGUUAUAGCCGGGGCGGAAGAAGGCGACUGUGGCGCGCAUCUCCCGCCUCUUCUGGUCCCUGGCGGCGGCCGCUUUGAUGGCCGCCUCGGUCUUGCUGGUCGCGGGCCUCUUCGAGGUUUGGACCUCCUUCCCCUUCCUGGUGGUGGCGGGGACCAUGGAAAGCGAGGGCGGAAGCUGGAGGAGCGCAGGGAUACGAGAUGCGGAAGAGGAUGGAGGCGAAAGGGCAAAGUGUUGUUCCCCUGUUGGCAACAGUGGAGGCUUUAUGACGCCCGACCGUUUUGUAACGGCCGGUUCCGUACCCUACGGGAGCGCGGGGAUAACUCCUAAUCACUGGGAAUAAUGCGCGGAGUGGCCUUAACUACCCUAUUUGGGGGGGGGAGUUAGGGCGGAAAUCGCGCGUCCACUGCUCCGCUUUGAACGGCGCCAUACACGGGGCAGCGACGGGACGUGGGCCCGCAACUGAUCGGAGCCCCCGCAUCGGUUAAGGGCGUAGCCCGGCAACCGACUAGGGGGAGACCCUUCAGGGAAUAGGUGAUGCCGGCCCACGCCCGAGGGCUACUUUCGCACCAGUUGCACCCGGGGUACCACCGCUGCGCGACGCGUGGGCCCCUCUCCCUGGUUCUCGGGAAGGUCUCAUCCCGGGGAGCGUCUAUGAGCUCCCCGGCAAGCUACCAGCCUGAAAGGGGCUAGCGGGGCUUCGGGGAAUAUUCCCGCUUGGGCACCUCCCGGGAAGCUGCUUCCUGGGAGGAGGUUCCCGGGUGUGCUGGGCCCGGGUGCUUCCCGAGGUCGACUUGCGGGGACUGGAGGUUCCCGGGCGCGUGCCCCCGUCUCACGCGUGGGGCCUGGUGGACAGCGCCGCGCAGGCGCGUGGCGAGUACGGGACGCCCAGUCCCACCAAGACAAGGAGUAAGGCGCGCGGCUCAGUAAACGAGCCGACCGACGGGUAGUUACCCGUUCGAUCCAAGGAACAGUGGUUGUGUAAUCCUACCCUAGGGUCUUAGGCCCCUAGCAGCGGAGGUGGCACCCAUGCACGCCACCAGCUCACCGGGGAGAGCUGCAUGCCUCCCCGUUGGACACUUGUAGCCCAUGCACCAUGGCACAUGGGGCAUCCCCUUGUGUAUAAAAGGAGGACCGAUGCCAACGGUCAAAGAGGUUAGGAAGUUAGACAGUUCGUAGGUUAGUGAGUUGGUCAGUUAGUUCCAGUAGACAGCCAGCAGAGAGCAGUAAGGGGUACUUAGACAUUGAGAGGAAGCCAGGAAUUUGGCCCGGCAACUUGUAAAUGUUUCCUCCGCAAUCAAUAUCAGUUCAAACAGGCAGGACGUAGGGUUUGACACCUCGGGGUGGCCCGAACCUGGGUAAAAAACGUGUGUGCACUUGUUCUUGUACUAGCACGCACCCUUAGCACUUGGUCUCACCGGCCCCGUAAGGCCUCAUCGGCCCCGCGGGCGACCACCGGGACUCCGCCCCAGACACCCCUACCGAAUCUAAAAGGGGGAGGUGGCCGCACGCCCCCCGGUGUCGGAGCACCGAGCGACGACAUCGGGCGCGCCAGGUAGAAUAUAUGGGUGCAAGGAAUCGGAGCAAGAACGUCUAUGUCAACGCCUAGGUCUUCUUCCCCAACUCCGGCCGCCGCCUCUUCUCCGGCAAAAUUCCGGCGAACUGUUGGCUCGUUCCUCGUCAGCUUCUUCCCAAGACUUAGCGGUGAGCUCCUCUCUCUCCCGCUCCUUUCCGCUCGCAAAUUGGUGCCCCGUAGCCUAGUAGCCGCACACACGCGCUCCGGCCUGCCGCCGGCGAGCUCCUGCUCGUCGCCGCGCCGUCGUCUCCUCAAGCAUGUUGUGGUGGUCUUCGUGCCACUUAGGGUAGUUCUGCAUGCCGUUUCCAUUUUCCGCGCUAGGUAGAACCCCCGCCGUGUCGUUUGGUCGGCGGCGUUCGUGCCCUGCCGUGGCUGCCGCACGCAGCCAAAGGCUAGCAAGAUCCAAUCGUUGUCCCAACUGGCUAGCUCGCUCAUCUGUUCGCUCCACACCGACCCGACCCGCGUUCGAAACCCCGUGGCGCAAGGAUAAAACCCCAUUUUUGGGUUGUACCAGCCACUGACAUGUGGGCCACACGGACCCACCUGUCAGCGACCUGGUGCACCACUGCGCCCGGUAGAACGAGUCCAUGCGCCUGUGCCGCGUCAGCGAGCCCAGGUCCACACGUCAGUGACGAUGGCUAGGACCUGACCGUGUGCGUUUGGGGUUUUCUUUUUGGAGUUGUUUUUAAAUGCCAGAAAUGUGUCAAGUCUUCUUUAAAUCUUAGAAAAUGCAUGCUAUAUCCAAAUUGGGCAAACCAUAUAUGUUUUCGAAUAAAAAAAAUGCAAGGGAUUUAACUGUGCAAUUAGAUUUACAUUUUGAGGUUUCAAAUUUCAAAUCUGUCCCAGAUUUGAAAUUCAAAAGUAUGAACUUGUUUAGUCUCUAGUUUAAAAUUGGUAACUCUUCUGUGUUUGUUGUAAACAUCAAAGUUGGAAAGUUGGUCACUGCAACUUGUAGAACACAGUAGCAUACUUGGUUAGGCCAUUUGUGUAUUUUAAAGCUGCUGUCUACCAUGUUCUAAUCACCUAAUGGUUAACUUUGUUGCUAAAUGGAAUCAUUUCACAUGUAUUUUUGUCGCAUCAUGUUGUCACAUGCCAUCUCAUGUUGUAUUGCGCAUUGCACCUAUGAAUGGUUACUUAUUUGCGUAAUUGUGUGAUUUGGAUCUUACGAUAGCGACUCCGACUUACUCCGUCGACGAUCCGGGUUUCCACACUUCUUCGGAUUCCCUCGGUGCCCAGCGACCGAGAAUCCAGGCAAGCAGCCAUUCCUUGAACAUGUUGUUUAUACCCAAUGCCUCUCUCUCGUUCUUGCAUUAAGUUACGUUCUCAGUUGUUGUAACGAUGCCUCUAGGAUUGCAUAGCUUUAGAGAGCUCUACUCAAAUGCUUGUUGUCUUGUUCCUUGUUCUAUUACCAUGUCACAUGUUUGUCAUUGCCCUAGUUGGUUGUUAGAAGUCUUGCUCAGAUGGUUAGUCUAGUGUCCUUACUUGGGGUUAUACAAUUGCUACAUCCACAUGCUACUUUUCUUUAUUUAAUUACAAUUGUUAAAUUGUGACAUGUUAUUACCUGCACAAGGCAACGAUGGGAGGCCGUGCUAACGCAUUGGUGUUUUGUUCCAUUGGCGCCGACCUAAGGACUGAGUUCUCGUUUUCGCCGACUCAAGAAACUUCGCGCUAACCGUUCGUGGGAGAAUAUAUGGGUUCCCCCUCGGCUUAGUACUCGUUUCAUAUAUCUUCCAAAGGCCACAUAGUUCGGGCGUUUCAUUUGGCAUAUCGCAUAUACACCGGUGUUGUGUUUGGAGAUUUGUUGGUACUUUGCAUACAUAUAGGAUUGCGGCACUAGUCUGGAGUGGUCAUUCUGCGGACACUAAACCACUACCGGCUGUCCUUGCAACUCUUGAGUCCGUACGACGCUUCGGCCAGGCUCUCGUUUCGGAUUAGACUCAAUUGGGUGGUUCCCUGAAUUAGUUGUGGGGCUUGGAAACGUUGUGUCGCUCAAUCCUGCCGGCACAUGCUUUUGCGUGUGUUCCAUGCUAGUGGCGUCAAGGGUUGGACGAACGUGUACGGGUAAAUUGGCACACCCUGCAAGGAUAAAUCUUUCGGAAAGCCGUGUAUGCGGUCAUGGACGACUUGGUUGGUCAUUACUUGAUCAUAGAGAACUCAUACCAAUUAAUUAACUUAAUCUUUUAAACUUGAGUAGUAAUUAGCCUUAAUCAUGGAUAAGUUUAAAACUGCUUAAGUGUGAGUGCCUUUAGAUCUUUUCCUCACAAGGGGUUGAGGGGGUGAUAAGAGGUUGUGUUUGUUUGGUGUUAGUUGAUAGUUAUCCCCUCACUUGGUAGACGCUUCUUAUCCUCUUUUUAGACGAUGUUCUUAGUGUGUCUCUCCAGAUAUAUUGCUGCUGCAUAACCCACCUUUGAUUCAUCCUUCGAGACUUGUUGCAUAUCUAGUUUAGAUUCCCCGUAAGUCUUGCAAGUACUUUGUACUCAGUUGCUUCGCAACGUUGUUUUCUCCAGAGUUUCCGGAGGAACAGGUUUGACUUCAUGGAGUUCGACGACGACAGCUUUGACUUUUAGCGAGAAGAUUCCAGAGCAGGGUUCUGAGAACUUGUGGUGGGCUCUCCUUUUCAGUUUCAGCCUCUUAGGCAAUAAUUGUAAACUUGUCCGUACUCGGGCCUAAUUUGCUUCCGCUGAUGUAAUGAUGAUUGUGGACAUGUGUUCGUGAGUUGUAAUAACUUGGUAUUUCGCUCCUUGUUGCUCCAACCUGCGGUGAAACGUGUAUGUUGUGAAGUGUUCAUCGUAGGGAGGCACUGGGACUUCAUUUAUGCGCGAGUUGGCACUUGGGGCUAAAUUGCAUAAAUCCCGUCUUGGGGUCUCACAGCGGGCCUCUGGGGAGCCCCCGGUUCCGCGGCGACCACUUGCUUCCCGCCACGCUUCCGGGAGCCCUUCUUCUCGGAGUCCUCAAGUGGGUUUGCCGCCACCUUGGCGGCACGCUCAGGCGCUAGGCGCCCUUCCUCGGGCCAUCGUGCACUUGUGCAUGAGAGCGUAGAGUUCCCUCAUGGUCCGGAUGCGGUGUGUGUUCAACAUAUCACGCAUCUUCGUGUCACGGACAUUGAUAGCGUAAGUUUUGAUGAUGGCGGCCGCUUCUGCCUCUGGGAUGGAUUAGGAGAUGUUGGAGAACCUGUUGGUGAAACAAUCUCAGCUUGUAGCCACCCUGGAACGCAUUCUCAAACUUCCGCCUCUGGGAUGGAGUAGGCAUCGUCUUCCCCGGUUUCUGCACUACCGUGUGCAGCUCCGCCAUGGUUCUGGAGCGCUUGUAGCCACCCUGGAACGCGUUCUCAAACUACUCGCGCAGGUCAGCCCAGGAGGCGAUGGACCCGGCGGGCAGGUUGAGCAACCAGGUUCUCGCUGACCCUUUUAGGACCAUCGGGAACAAGUUGGCUCUGACCAUGUCGUCGGCACCGAUAGCGUGCAUGCCAAACGUGUAGGUCAGGAGUAAGUCCUUGGGAUUAACGGUUCCAUCGUACGUCCUGAGCGCUGGCGCUCGGAACUUGCAGGGCAUGUCACCCGGCACAGCUCGCGAGAGAACGCGGCGCAGCCAUCACCGGAGCCCAUUGGAGCGUCUUCCUGCUCCUCUGGGCGCGGGCGCUCCACCUCGCGCUGGCGCCGGCGCUGCAAGCGCUGGCGGAGAUCCUCUUGCUGGCGGGCAUUCUGGACGCCGCGUGCGUCACCUGGCGUGACGGUCAGCGACAAGUACGAGUAGUCCUCGGGGUCCUCGUCCCCUUGUCCUCCCGAAGGUGGAGGAUGCUCUCCAUGCCUCGAGACGCGGGGCGCGUCUCCGUGUCCCUGGUUCUGUUCCUGGCCCGAACCGGCCGGGCCGCCCUCACCUUGCGGCGGUUGGGCUGCAAGCGCGAGGAGCGCAUCCAGCUCCGUGCUCCAAGCAUCGUGCGCUGGCAUGCCUUGCGGUGGCUCGUAGUGCACCAUGACACGCGCAGCAAUGAUGGCUUCCGCCGGGGUUUGGGCGGGAGCUUUGCCGGUUCUCCGACCGGCUGCCGUCUGCUCGGUGCCCUCAGAUGGGAGGGCCGAGACUCCGUUGGCGUCGCGACACGCUAUGGUCGUGGCGCAGCUGUCCAUCGACGGUUGUCCAUCGACGCCCUAGGAGGUGUCGUCGCUCGGUGCUCCGACACCGGGGGCGUGCAGCCACGUCCCCCUUUCAGUUCGGUAGGGGCGUCGGGGGUGGAGACCAGAUGAUCGCCGGCACGGCCGACGAGGCCCUACUGGGCCGGCGAGGCAAAGUGCUAGGGGUACGCGCUAGUCCAAGAAUAGACGUACGCACGAUUUUUACCCAGGUUCGGGCCACCCGGAGGUGUAAAACCCUGCGUCCUGCCUGUCUGAGCUGAUAUUGAUUACGGAUCAAAUGUUUACAGGUUGCCAGGCAAGCUCCUGGGCUUUCUCUCAGUGGCUAGGCACUCCUCACCGCUCUCUGCUGGCUGCCUACUGGAGCCACUAAGCAUCUAUCGAGCGAGCUUCGUCCGAACCAAUUAACUGACCAACUGACUAACCCGUCAACCCUCUCUCCCUCCCUAGACCGUUGGCAUGGGUCCUCCUUUUAUACACAAGGGGAUGCCACAUGUGCCACGGUGCAUGGGCUACAAGUGUCCAAUGGGGAGGCAUGCAACUCUCCCUGGUGAGUUGGUGGCAUGCAUGGGUGCCACCUCCGCUGCUAGGGGCCUAAGACCCUAGGGUAGGAUUGGACAACCACUGUUCCUUCGACCCGACGGGUAACUACCCGUCGGUCGGCUCGUUUACUGAGCCGCGCGCCUUACUCCUUGCCUUGGUGGGACCGCGCGUUCCGCGCCCGCCACGCGCCCGUGUGGCGCUGCCCAGUGGGCCCCACGACCCGAGGCGGGGGCACGCGUCCGGGAGCCUCCAGCCCCCGCAAGUCGGCCCGGGAAGCACCCGGGCCCAGCGCGCCCGGGAACCUCCUCCCGGGAAGCAGCUUCCCGGGAGGUGCCUAAUCGGGAAUAUUCCUGGAAGUCCCGCUAGCCCAUUUCGGGCUGGUAGCUUGCCGGGAAGCUCGUUGGCGCUCCCCGGGAUGAGACCUUCCCGGGAACCCGAGGGAGGGGGCCAUGCGUCGCGCAGCGGUGGUACCCCGGGUGCCACUGGUGCGACAGGAGGUGGUGGUGGCAGCUGCGGUUGCUGCUGCUGUUGUUGUCGUGGAGGGGACCCUUGGUCCCCUUGACCUUACGACGCACGCGCGGCGUCGGGGGAUCGAGUGCGCAUGGCUAGCGUGUCGCGCAAGUCGACCUGGGGCUCGUCUGCCUUCUUGGGUCCAUGGCAAGCUAGCGUGGAUGAUGUCGCUGAUGAAGAGGCCGAUGAAGAAGUCGAUGACGCCGGCGGUCACCCGAAGUUCUCUGCACGCCCCCUACCUGGCGCACCAGAUGUCGGAGCACGGGUCUCCGGCACCGGGGAUGCUGGGCACCCCCUUGUUGUUCGGUGAGAGGCGAGGCGAGCAUUCCGGUGAUCGUCGGCGUGACGUAAGGCACGAAGUGUCGACACUUGGAUUUACCCAGGUUCGAGCCACCCGGAGGUGUAACACCCAACAUCCUGCUUAGAGCUGUAUUCACGAAAUGUGUGUGUGUUCUUACAGGUUGCCCCGGGAAGUUCCCGGGUGAGCUACUUGUUCUCCUCAGGGGUUCUGCUAUGAACAAGGGCAAUACUAGUUGCUACUGACUAGGGUUCGAACCCUUUGACCGAUGGCUUUGUUCGUCCUUUUAUAGUCAAGAGGAUACCACAGGUGCCGAUGCAUGCAGCCUGACACGUUUCCUACACACGUGUCAUUGCCACAAAGCUCUCCCUACUGUAGAUCCACGCUGGGCUUCAUGCAGUGCCCAGGCCAUUGUGCAUUGUAAACAAAAUAGCUCUUAGGGUAGCCGCUCUAAACUUGUUGGGCAAGACUAGCCCUGCCGAUGUGACUCCUGUCGGUGCAUUAAAUGCACAACUCCAGCUGUGUGGCCUUCUCUCCACUGUUCUGUCGGCCCAACCUGCGACCCCCGAAGCCUCGGUACCCGAGAGGCACCCUGGUACCGUUGCCCGGCAAGUUGCGUGGAGCGAACUGGUAGCUUCCCGGGUUCACCCCUCCCGAGAAGCCGACUUAGCGGGAUCUCAUCAGUUGCGACCCACGCGUCCCGUGCCAGUAGGGCCCCGUGGGCCACUGGUACGACAGUCGGAGAACCUUGGGCGAGUUGCAGAUCGCCAAGAUCAAACUGAAGGCGCCUGCUGCCUGCGAUGAGUUUAUCUUCGGGGAGCUUCGCGAGUUGAGUUCUAAGCUUCAAUGUGAGCCACCGCAUCCUUUUUUCUUGACUUCUCUUCUUUUUGAGUUGUGCUUUAUUCACAGGCGUGAGUUGUCUGCAGAUGUGCAAACCGACCCGCGAGCCGAGCAAGAUCAGCUGAACAGUGCCCUGAAUGCCCGUCAAACUAUCGAUCGAUCAUCGUUCUGGUCUGAUCGAGCAAGGGGUCAUCAUCUGAUGCUGCUGCGAGACCGCAUAGACCAGAGAAAAACCUUUUUUGACUUGCACUUAGAAACUCUGAAGGCGAUUCAUCAGGCAUUCUGGCCCUUGGAGGAGGUGCCCCAGGAGCUGAGUAAGCUGACCCGAAAGCUUGGACAAGAUAGCAUCUUCCGGGAUUUGAUGUACCGUCAACUGGUCAGUGGAGCGAACUUAGCCCUGGCGUUCGUGCAGAUCCAGCACCCUCGGCUCGACCUCAGCCGAAUCUCUGAGCUUCCCAUCGACCCUGACGAUGAGAUCAAUAUGCAACCGCAUUUCCAGGUGGCGAGGAUCAUCGGCUGACGAUACUGGAAGGAAGAAGACCUUAUAGCUCAACAGCAAUCACAGCGUCGAUUGCCGAGCCCACAGUAGAUAGCAGCAGAAUAGAUUCUACCGGGGGCGCGACCAGCACUCCCGGUGGGAGUAGCCCCCGAGUCUGGUGACGAUUGUUUGCGGUGGUAACCGGACUUAAGUUAUGUACUCAAGGAUUUGCUUAAAGGGGGGUCGUCUUUUGUCGAAAGAACUUUUGCAUAACUAUAAUUACAUCUGGGUGUAAAUUUGAACCUAGAGACUCACGGUGGGAGUGAUUCUGGAAUCGUUAUCCUUCAUUGAAUCUUAUAAGUGCAGAGACGCAAGUAAUAUCUACCGGGUGUGCGACCAGCGCUCUCGGUGGGAGUAGCCCCCGGGUCGGGGGUCGACUACGAGUAGUCGAGCGCGGACCCAGGUGAGUUUUUUGCUUGAGUAUUCCUCCAUUUACUUGCUAAUUGGACGCAGCUUCCGGGUGUCAGGUCCGUCCAAGACAAGCAUUAGAAUCGAUUGGACACAGCCCCCGAGUGUCGGGUGUGUCCAAGACAAGCAUUAGAGUCGAUUGGACGCAGCACCCGAGUGUCGGGUGCAUCCAAAACAAGUAUUGGAGUCGAUUGGACGCAGCUCCUGAGUGUCGGGUGCGUCCAAGACAAGCAUUAGAGUCGAUUAGACACAGCCCUCGAGUGUCGAGUGCGUCCAAGACAUGUAUUGGAGUGGAUUGGACGCAGUUCCCGAGUGUCAGGUGCGUCCAAGACAAGCAUUGGAGUCGAUUGGACGCAACCCCCGAGUGUCGGGUGCGUCCAAGACAAGCAGUUUUUGGGUCCAUCCUUCUGAGUGGAAGAGAGCUGAAAAUUGAGCUUUGCGCCGUGUGACUUGCGAUAAGAUGUUAUAGCAAGCACGGGUGAAGCCCCCAAAGCAGGUGGUGAGCCCAAAAAGCAAGUAAAAGACCUCUGAGUAGAGAAGGUUGAAAGCUUUAUUAAGUACCAAGUACACGAGUGGAAUCAGAACAAUUGUAGUCUAAGGAUGCUAAAAAAAAAGGCUUUAAGAAAAAGGUGGAAAAACGUUGGAAAAGAUUUAGGCGUAGAAUCGUCAAUGUUGUGCGACGUUCCAAGGCCUGUUGUAGUGGACGCCACUCUUCAUGUCUUUGAGAUAGUAAUCGCCUCCCGGAAUCACCUUGGUGACCACGUAGGGUCCCUCCCAAGGUGAUUGGAGCUUGUGAUGACCCUUUUGCUUGAGUCAAAGUACAAGGUCACCUUCAACGAAGGAGUGGCUGCGCAACCGAUGGCUGUGGUAGUUACGCAGGCUCUGCUCAUAGACGGCUGCUCGUGCGAGCGCGACGUCGCAAGCUUCGUCGACUGCGUCGAGUGCGUCCCCCAUUGGCAUGUCAACUUCCGGUCCAGAGUACGCCGUGACUCGAGGAGCGCUGAACCGGACGUCAGCUGGCAGUACUGCCUCAGAACCGUAUACCAUGAAGAACGGCGUGAACAUGGUACUGCCAUUUGGAGUUGUCCGCAGGCUCCAGAGUACGGAGGGCAGUUCUUCAACCCAUGCCCGAGCUGCACGAUGUAGGGGAGUCAUGAGCCGUUUUUUGAUGCCGCCUGAACAGGCCGUUCGUUUUUUCGACCUGCCCGUUAGUCUGUGGAUGCGCCACUACUGCGUAAUUGAGGUGGAUCCCCAUCUUUUCGCAGAAGUCUUGGAACUCGUUAGAAAGGAAGUUUGACCCAUUGUCGGUGAUAAUGCUGUGAGGAACCUCGAAGCAGAAUAUGAUGGAGCGGAACGCCACGGCAGUCGUUCCCGUGGCGUUUGUGAUGGGCAUGGCCUCAAUCCAUUUGGUGAACUUGUCGAUAGCGACAAGCACGAAAGUAUGACCCCCUUCUUUUGAUUGUUGAAGUGGUCCGACCAUGUCGAGUCCUCAUUGAGCGAAAGGCCAAGCCAAUGGUAUUGUUUUGAGUUUUGAGACCGAGGCAUGCGGCUUAGUUGCGAACAUCUGACAAGCCACGCAUCGGGUGACCAUGUCAGCAGCGUCCUGCAUUGCUGUCGGCCAGUAGAACCCGGCUCGAAAUGGCUUUGCCGCGAUAGCAUGGCUGCUCGCGUGGUGACCGCAUGUGCCUUGAUGUAUGCCGAUCAAAAUCUCCCAUCCUUCCUCGGGUGGAAUGCAGCGCUGCAGGACCGCGGAGACGCUUCGUUUGUAGAGCUCGCCUUCACUGACGGUGAAAGCUUUAGACCGCCGGGCGAUUCGGCGCACUUCUGCGACGUCUGCACGUAGUUCUUGGCACAUCAUGUACGCAAGGAAAGGUUGCAUCCAAGUUGGCUCGCUCAUGAGCACCUCGUCGGGUUCUUUUUCACCGGUUGCGACUGCGGGGUCGUCCGGUGAGUUAGGGUCGAGAAGUUUUUGCUCACCGUCCAUCGGCAUCGACUUCUUGGGAGGCGAAGUAUUAUUUUCCUUGAUGGAUCUCUGGUGGAUGACCUCUAAGAAUACUCCGGACGGGAUUGCGGAAUGAGUCGAGACAAUGUUCGCCAGACUGUUGGCCUCGUCAUUGCUGUUUCGGCCAAUGUGACGUAGCUCGCAUCCUUCGAACUGGCCUUCUAGUAUAUUGUAGAGAUCGCAAUAAGCAAUCAUAGAGUCGGAGAUGGCGUCACAUGACUUCAUCGUUUGCUGAACGACGAGGUAGGAGUCGCCGUAUAUCAUGAGCCUGGUGGCCUGGCAUGCCUUGGCCAUGCGCAUGCCGUGUAGGAAGGCAUCGUAUUCAGCUUCAUUAUUAGAAGGGUUGUGAAAACGCAUCUAAAGCACGUAACAAAGUUUGUCACCUUUGGGCGAAAUAAGCAUGACACCCGUGCCGGCCCCUUCAUGUCGCUUCGACCCGUCAAAGUACAUCGUCCAUGAGCUGGACAUGUUGGGCAGGCCCGGAGUCUGAGCCUCGGUCCACUCGGCGAUGAAGUCGGGGAGCACUUGUGAUUUGAUCGACUUCAGUUAUGUUGCGAACAGAGAGCUCGAUUCCCUAAUCGGCGACUCGCCCAGUCGCUUCUGGGUUGCUCAGAAUGUUGGCGAGAGGAGCUUCACUGACAACCACAACUGUGUAUUGCUGGAAAUAAUGUCUCAGCUUGCGUGAUGUUAGGAAAACUCCAUACGCAAGCUUUUGAUAGUGGGGGUAGCGCUGCUUUGUAGGCAAAAGGACCUCACUGAUGUAGUAUACUGGGCGCUGAACAUCGUGGGUCUUGCCUUCUUCGGCUCGCUCAACUACGAUCGUUGUGCUGACCACCUCGGUGGUAGCUGCGAUGUACAACAAGAGCUGCUCAUCUUCUUGUGGGGCGACGAGAAUCGGCGAGGUUGAUAGCAGAUGCUUUAAGUCUGCGAAAGCAGCACUGGCCUCUGGUGUCCACCCGAAGUCAUCUUUCUUCUUUUUCAGAAGAUGGUAGUAGGGCAAAGCUUUCUCGCCUAGCCUACCGAUGAAUCGGCUUAGAGCCGCGAGUCGACCUGUGAGCUACUGAAGCUCAUGAAUUUUAGUCGGCUCCUUCAGAGUUAGGAUGGCUCUGAUUUUUUUCAGGUUUGCUUUGAUGCAUCGAGCCGAUAGGAAGUAUCCAAGGAGUUGCCCGGCAGGUACCCCGUAGGUGCACUUGGUGGGGUUCAACUUGAUUUUGUACUUGUCAAGGUUGUCGAAUGUCUCCCGUAUGUCGUCGAGAAGCGUUGCUUCUUUCUUCGUUUAGAUGACGAUAUCAUCUAUAUAAACUUGGACAUUGUUUCCCAGCUGAGGCUCAAGGCAUGCCUGCAUGCAGCGCUGAUAGGUGGCACCUGCAUUUUUGAGCUCGAAGGGAAUUGUUGUGUAAUAGAAGACUCCGUAUGGAGUGACAAAUACUGUCUUUUCCUCGUGUUUGAACUUGAGUCGAAUCUGGUUGUAACCUGAGUAGGCGUCCAAAAAGGACAAUCGUUCGCAGCCGGCGGUUCAGUCGACGAUCUGGUUGAUCCGCGGCAAAGGGAAAUGAUCCUUUGGGCAGUGCUUAUUAAACGACGUGAAGCCGACACAAUGCUUAUUAAGGGACUGUGGUAUUCUUCUUGGGGACAAGGACGGGCUUUGCUACCCAGGUCGCUUGUUUUAUCUACCUGAUGAAUUUAGCUUCGAGGAGCCGUUUAACUUCUUCCGUGAUGGCUUUGCGCUUUGGCUCCGAGAAACGCCGCACGGGUUGUCGCACCGGCUUUGCGUUCUCGUCCACUUUAAGUGCAUGCUCGGCAAGUUCCCUGGGAAUUCUUGGCAUGUCAGCUGGCACCCAGGCAAAGAAUUCCCAGCGCUCACGGAUGAACUCGACGAGCGCGCUUUCCUAUGCAGGAGGAAGGCUUGUUGAUAUGACAGCGGUCUUGCUGGGGUCAGUCGGAUGAACCUGAACGUCCUUGGUAUCCGCUUUCUUGUUGAACUCAGGAUGAUAAGCCGGUUUUUUGGAGACUGGUGUUUGCUCUAGACCGGUUGAAGCUUUUAGCUGCUCGAACUCCAUGCCGAGUUUUUAUGAAACUCCUUGUCGCAGCUAUCUGAACGUGUGAAGUUUUCUGAAACGAUGAUCACGCCUUUUCCACAGACCGUGCCAAUGACGAAGGGUGACUUCGACAAUGUCCAUAUUGAUGGACUUGUAUUUAGGAAAGAUUUCGAGUGUGUUGGCGAACUCAUCGGCUAACAAGGUGCAACAUCCCAGAAUUUCCCAUUUUGAAAUGUUAAAUAAAAAAAUUAUUUUAAAUAAAAUAUUGGCUUUGGAAAUAUUUUCGGAUGGAUUUCAAAUUUUUAGGACUUAUUUAAAAUUUUACACACCAUGAUUCAAUAUUGAACAAAAGAGCGGAUUAAUAUGACUAUCCAAAUUAUACAAUAUGGUUGGGAGAUUUAUGUAAGUUCCAAGACAUUUCUAUUUUGACCCAUUUUCAUCUUAUGAUUUUAACUGGAUUAUUAUUCGCACCUUAAUAAAUCCUAUAUUCUUUUUGAAGGAUUUAUUGGCACACCAAGUUUCCAAUUUGGAUGCCAUGACCAUUUGAGAGCAUCGUUGGAGUAUUUGAAUCGAUUAGAAAUGAUUUCCAACAUUUAUUUUAAUGUCAAACAAAGGGAAUAAUAUGGCUUUCCCAAGUUAUAUAGUUGGAAAGCAUAUUUAACGAUCCACCUAUGUUUUUUUUCUCGAGUUCUAUUUUGUCAUGUUCAUUUUGUUUCCGAGAAAAAAUUAUCAAAUUUUCGAGAAGAGGGUAACAUGACAUCCUCUCGUGCAAAUGCUUUCCCAACAUUUAUUUCAUCAAUUUGACUAGGACAAUGUUCUUUCCCAAAUAUAUAUAUAGUUGGAAACAUUUGUGAUGGUUUGUAAGGUUGGUGAUUUGGUGUUAUAAAUUUAUAUGGGAAUCAAUUGAACCUUAUAAAUAUUAUAAGAUUGUCCAACCCAAUGGAGUAUUUAGCUUAAGAAAGGGUUUUAGUGCAAAGUAUGCCAACCCAACAUUUUAUCGGAGUUUAAACUAAUUUAUGAAACAAAGGUUUCAUAAUAGAUUUCAAAAUCUAUUUUCUUUAUUACUUAUAAAGCCCUAAUGACAUUUAUAUAAGCAAAAGUAUUUUUACUUAUUUUAUUUUGAAAGGAUUCAAGUCUCGAAAGCUCACACUUUGGAGGAUAUGAAUUUACAAAUUUUCGGAAGUUUAUUUGGACUUAUUUGGAGUUAGGAAUCAAAAGAUAUAGAUGAAAACAGAAAAUAGAAAAGAGGUAAAAAAAAAGAUUGGACCAACCAAACUGGGCCGGCCCACUUACCUGCCGAGCGCCCAGCCCACCGAGCGCACGAGCUUCGUGCUCGUCUUCCUCCUGGCACGCCACGAACAGAAGCUCGAACCAAUCACGUCGCAAUCUCCGCCCCCGAUCCCCGCCCUUCCGUAUCCCAUUUCGCGUCCAGGUGCUAUGAAACUAAGCCCACGGCCCUCCUCUCUCCAUUUCUCUCCUUAACUUCCCCAAAUCAUGGCUUUCAAUGCCUUUAAGCACCGGCGCCCCGAAUGCCGCCCGUUGGCAUCCCGCUCGCGAUCUCCUUCCUCGGCCGUUAUAAAAGAAUUCCCCGCGUGUCACUUUGAGCCUUUGCCUCUUCUCUCCCAUUUCCAUAUAGAAAGUUUUCCCUAUAGACCUUUUUACAGCCGGCUACGUCGACGUCUUCCUCCGCCGGUCACCGCCACCAUUGUUGUCGGUGAGAUCUCUCCGAAGCUCGUUUUCAAAAUUCCUUUCACCGGUAGCCUCCUAUGACCCGUGUCUACCUUUGUGACAAGGUUGUGCGAACAACCGUCGCCGUUGGCCGCGUCUUUCCCAACGUCAUGCCAACGCCACGCCCAGAGCUCCGCCCGUCGCCGUCCAGAUGCCUCUCCGACCACUCCGACCGCGUCACGAUGUCCGCCUCGAUGUCAUGCAUGUCCCUAGCCUCUUCCACGACCACAUCGACGCUGUCGACGACUCUUUUGCCAUUUUCCGAACUCUGGCGAACUUUCAGCAUGAUCUGUUUUGAUUAGCCAUGUUUAGAAGCACAUAUCUUUUGAUCUGUGAAUCAUUUUCGGCAUACUCUUUCUGUUGUAGCUAGAUCACGUCCUCCGCUUUAGAUCAGAUCAGAUUGUAUACCCCGUCUCGAUGAUUUUCUAUAGCGCAUCUUCGUUGGAAAUUGCUACUCACAGUAUGUUUCUUCUGGAUUAGCCACCUUUCGAAAUUCAUGUAGGUCGUUCCAUUGAUCCGUUUGGUUCCAAACCUUCUGUAGUUCAUCAAUUAGAUAAUGUUAUACACAUAAGUGUACUUUUUGCAUAACUUAGGAUUCCUCUACAGACGUGCAUCUUCAAUCAAAAUUCAUAUCUGUAAACACCGUCACAUUGGUUAGCCAUCUUCCAAAGCCUAUAUGUGUUGAUCCGUAGAUCCGAAUCAGUUGAUUCUUUCUGUUCUCACAAGAUUACAUCCAACUCUACAUUUUGUACCCCUUUACACAGCUUUGCAAGUUUAUAUAAAAUAUACCAUGGUCCAUAGAACUUUGUAUCUGUUAACAGCCAGAACUUCACUAUUUCAAUUCCAAUUCAAUCCUAGCCUUUUGUAUGACCUUCUAAUCUAGAUUUUCUUUGCAUCUAUCGUGUGUUUAUGAUCUGAUCAUAACAUGUUCACGUCUUUAAACUCAUUUAGCUUAGUUUUUCCAUUCUCUAAUUUGUUCCAACAACUUGGAGAUUCAUAUCAAAUCUUGAUAUCUUAAACCCUAGGUUCUUGAUCUAUUUUUUCUUGGUUUGGGUAUCACUAAAAUAAUUUAUGUAAACAUAUUUUCAUACCUAUAAAUUGCAUCAUGAGAUUUAUGUCAUUGUUAGCCUCGGCAUGAUAAUAAAUUAGAGCUAAUAAAAUUAACUCUCAUGUAGCUUAGACAAUUAGCAUGUAUAGUUAUGUUAGAAUUGCAUAGAUGAAUUUGAUGCAUUCAAAUUAAUUACUUCAUUAACUAAAUUAACUAAAUAAUAGUAGCAUAUCAUGCUAGAACAACAAUUAUCAUGAUGUUUUGCUAUCUGUCAUGUUCACUUAAGAUUCGUAGUCUGCAUGAUAGUUGGAUCGUGAGAUGUGCAUUGUCCAUGUUUUCAUAAAUACAACAUGUGGGAUACAAAGGGGUAUAGUAUUAGUUCCUUAGUUAUAACUCCUUUCGAACCAUUCCCAUCCUUUUCAAACCCAAACCUACGCUUUAGCAUUAAGGAUAAUCAUUGAUUGUCACCUUUGGUUCUUUAUUUGGAUUUAUUUGGAGUUAUCGAACUAUGUGUUUAUUAUUGUUAUUCAUUUCUUCACAAUAGAUCACUCGGAGUGCGAUUGUAGUGAUUGUGUGUCGUUUAAGAAGAAAGCUUCAACAAUCUUAACCAAGGUAAGUUCACUUUGAUCAUAAAUUCCCAUUACAUUCCUUAUUUUAAAUACUUAUGCACUAGUGUUGUGUAGUUUGCAUUGAAAGGGAUAUUAUUCGUAUCUAUACUAGCUAUAUUUUGUCCUAGUAGAGCAGGAUACCUGUGCCAUUACCCUUCCACCAAUUGCCAUCCUAAGUAGUUGAUUUGCUAUGCUAUGUUAGUAUACGUGGGAGGGAAUUUCAAUUACCAUGAAACUGAUAAUCUGGAGUAUUUUGGAAACCUGGCAAAGACAACUUUAACGAACAUCCUCGGUUGGCUGCUUUGAGCUUUUGAGAUGUUAUGUGGUGUCAGGUCCAUUUCUAUGGGUCCCUCUGAGUCGUCUCCCUGUGGAUUCGGGGAGGGAUCGUCCAUGGACGUCUCCCCGUGGAUUCGGGGAGCGCUUGCGUCGCAAAUGUGGAAUGCCACCCGGGGUAUCAGAGACUCGACUAGUUUCCUGUUUAGUAGCUUCCAGUACAACCACAUGGUGAUAUCGGUAUGUAGCCGUGUAGGUGGGAGCGCGUCCCUCAGGUGGUCUGGGGGAUCAUGUUAUGAAAAUUCUUGUAAUCGAUGCCGUUGCUACUCUACCCUGAGGACAGCAACGGAUUAACACGUCGGUUUCUUGUGGGAAAUGUGUACAACCUCUCGAGAGUGUCAAACUAAGUACUUAGCCAUGUCCCCGGUUACGGACAAUUAGGAAGGUCUCACUCAUUCCAAUUUCUUAAUAAAAUGAAUGGUUUCAACUUGGGAUAGGAGCAUUGAUGUGUCUACUCAAUGUCCAUAGAUUAAUAGGAGCAUCGGUGUUUCUACCCGGUGUUCAUUAGUUAACAUUAUUGUAACAUUCAAUUGUAGUAGGGUGAAUUGUGUUCUGCUUCCAUUAAAAAAAGCCUGAACUCCACCUAGCCAAAUACUACAUGUACUUGAUAGGAUCUGUUAUAGCCUUUUAGUGAACUUGCCAACACAUUCAAUGUAUUGACCCCCCCUAGUGGCUGCAACGUUUAAUGUUGCAGGUGUUACCGGUGAAGAAUGAGGUACGAAUUGUUAGGGUUGUGAGUUUACAUUCCACCAUGUUUCGACUGUUGAGUUGUUAUGAGACUCCUGUAUCUUCUGCCUUCCGCUGCAAGAUUUUAUUUUCUUUUGAGCUAACCCAUGAGGUUAUGCAAUAUGUAAGGUAUUAUUAAAAUUCUGGAUCAAUGCGAUGUAAUAUACUUUUGACCUUUGUAUCUUGAUAUUAAAUCUUGAAACUGUGUGUGCUAGCAAGUCGAUCCAGGGACUAGCAUUGUAAACACAGAGAUCGAACCCUGUACGGGGGCGGUCGCUUCACAAGGACACAGGGAACACGAUUUACGCAGGUUCAGGGCCCUCGAUGAGGUAAUACCCCUACGUCCUACUUGUCUGAUAUGUAUUGAAGAGUCGUUUAAAAUGGGUGCCGCAGAGGCUAGAUGCACAGAUUGACCUGGAGAGUGCGUCUAGGCGAAUUCUAUCUAAGUUGGGGUGUCUCCAUGGCUCCCCCUCCUAGUCCUUUAUAUAUGCAGGAACACAGGUCUAAGGUAGAGUCCAAGUCAGUUACAAUGAAGAAAUAUACUCUAAUUAAUCUUCCUUGUCUUGAGUCGCAAGAUUUGGUACGUGGACUCCUGGAGUCAUAGUAGGCUUCCUUGUGGGCCCCUAGCUGGACUGUACCGGGUAUACUCGAGUCGAGUACGUGAUUAGUCAUAACCACGUCAGACCGCCCUACACGUGAUCCAGCGAUGGGAAACAACAGAGGAGGACUCACCACGCGGCACGAAAGACAGUGAUUUGUAUUUUGUUGUAGAGUAGUUUCUACCGGGUGUGCGACCAGCGCUCCUGGUGGGAGUAGCCCCCGAGUCCGGUGGCGACUGUGUGCAGUGGCGACCGGACUUUAAAUUGUAAUCUUGUAACCUUGUAACCUUGCAAAGGCUUUGUUUUUGGAAAGAUAUAGUCUGAGUUGGUUUUGAUUCCGAGUCCAACUCCAACUUUCCUGAAUAUGAACUCUGAUCGAACUCCAAAUACUCCCGGUGGGAGUAGCCCCCGAGGCUGCAGCAGACUAUAAGUAGUCGGGUGCGGGCUCGAGCUGAAUAAUCUGUUUUAAAUGCGACUGGCUGACUUACAGAUAGAUUUCCUGCAGGAAAGGAUGGAUUCUUCAGAUGAACUUGAGAUUAUGCACAUUCGUCUGAGACAUGCCGAACGCCAACUUGCGCUAGCACAGGAUGAAAUUUCCAUACUCCGGUCAAAAAAUCAAGCUACGUCAGGGCAAGAAGACUUCCUUCUUGGAGAGGUGGUGAAACUGAGUGGUGACUUACGAGGUAACCGCUUGCUCCCAUGGUUGGAAAGUUGUGAUAGCCGGAUCUCCUGCUGACUUUGACUUGUUUCUUCUUGCAAAAAUGAUUCCAGAACCGUAUGUUCAAGCCGAGCGUGGGAAGAGUCGUCUUGAUGCAAUAACACAAUCGGGUCCCAUGACCCCAGCCUGUCUGAAGUCCUGUAGCCGCUCCAUGAUUGAACUGCACCAUAACUUGUUUCCAGAAUUGCCUAUUCCGGUGGAUCUGAAAGGUUUGAUCGAGAGAUUCUGCGAGGGUGCAGUGGUUAGGGGGGCUACACACGAACAAUUGGUGGAACGGGCAGUGCUAGCCCUUGCAUUUGUUCGGCUCCGCUACCCCUCAUUGAACUUGGAUUUCUUGUACCUUACUCCCUCCGAGUGUCGGGUGCGUCCAAGACAAGUUUUGAGUCGAUUGGACGCAGCCCCCGAGUAUCGGGUGCGUGCAAGACAAGUUUUGGGUCGAUUGGACGCAGCCCCCGAGUGUCGGGUGCGUGCAAGACAAGUUUUGGGUCGAUUGGACGCAGCCCCCGAGUGUCGGGUGCGUGCAAGACAAGUUUUGGGUCGGUUGGACGCAGCGCUCGAGUGUCGGGUGCGUGCAAGACAAGUUAUGGGUCGAUGGGACGCAGCCCCCGAGUGUCGGGUGCGUCCGAUGACCAGUUUUGGGUCGAUUGGACGCAGCCCCGAGUGUCGGGUGCGUCCGAUGAAAAGUUUUUGUAGCGUGCAAUCCUGAGUUUGUUGAUGCGUCCAUUGCAAGGUAAUUAAACUCUGAGUAGAGGAUAGUAAAGGAUCUUUAUUAAGUGCUGAAGUACAAAGGUGUUGUAUGAGGUAAAAGAGAGGAAAACACGAAGGGUGAUAAAGUGAAAGAAAAGCUGCAAGGGCCGGGCGCAUUGGCGCCGCAAUUGUGUGGUGUUCCGCGUCCUGCUGUAUGUGUCCCCUGCUCUAAGUUGGAGCCUUAGGGGGAGUCGUGGUACUUGUAUCGCGCAGUCGAGUCGACUGUAUGGUCAGGUCGAGGCGUGGAUGAUCCUUCGGGUGCUUGUUGGAACCGAGUCACUCUAUGGUAGAUGGCUUUGUGAGGUGGCUUUGAGAUGCACCACAUGGGUUGUUGUGUCGCUUGGCAUUCUCAUUGCCGUAACGCACCCGCUCAAAGAGCUCCCGAUAUUGUAUGGGGAGCCCUCAAGCCCGCCUUCCUAUGCGAUGGGGCUGCUGGCUAAGUCUGCGUUGGUCUCACUUGAUGAGUGGACAUGAACAUCUCUGCCAUCGGAUUCUUGCUGCUUUUAACCUCAAUGGCCCUUUUCUUAUGGACGGAAUUUUGAUCGUCGUCUGUUAAGAAGAAGGCCUGACUGGACUGGUCAUACAUGCCGAGCGACUCGGAGAUUUUAUGAAAUUCCCUGUCGCAGUGGUCGGAUCGCAUGAAGCUUCCAGAGAUGGUUAUCACGCCAUUGGGUCCAGGCAUUUUGAGCUUAAGGUAAGCAUAAUGCGGGACUGCCAUGAAGCGAGCAAGCGCGACUUGGCUCAGGACCACAUGGUACUGGGAAGGCCAGUCGACCACUUCGCAGUCGAGUCUCUCGCGUCGGAAGUUAUCGGAGGUGCCGAACACCACAUGACGAAGGGGUGACUUUGACAAUGUCCAUAUUGAUGGACCUGUAUCUAGGAAAGAUUUUGAGUGUGUGUGUUGGCGAACUCGUCGGCUAACAAGGACACAGGGAACACGAUUUACCCAGGUUCAGGGCCCUCGAUGAGGUAAUAUCCCUACGUCCUGCUCGUGUGAUCUGUAUUGCAGAGUUGAUUACAAUGAGGUGCCGCAGAGGCUAGAUGCACAGAUUGAUCUGGCGAAUGCAUCUAGGGGAGUUCUAUCUAAGUUGGGGUGUCUCCUUGGCUCCCCCUCCUGGUCUUUUAUAUAGGUAGGAACCCAGGUCUACGGUAUAGUCCAAGUCGGUUACAAAAGAGAGUUAUACUCUAAUUAAUCUUCCUUAUCUUGAGUCGCAAGAUUUGGCAUGUAGACUCCUGGAGUAGUAGUAGGCUUCCUUUUGGGCCCCCAGCUGGGCCGUAACGGGUAUACUCGAGUCGAGUAUGUGGUUAGUCAUAACCACGUCGGUAGCCCCCAAGUGCCUAGUUGAGUCGAAGACUUGAGUACGGACUUUUUCUGUAAAGAAGGAACUCAUUUUGCUAUUGAUCUAGUUGCAUAGUGCUGCAAACUUGGUAUUUCAUCGAGUUGAACUUCGAAUGAGAAGCACUUCGACUAAGAGGAUGUUUGAGCCGAUACUUUAGUAUUCGACUGUUAAGUAACAGCCUCACAAUAUGAUUUUGGUAGCAGGUCAAAAUCAAAUGCGAUGAGAAGGGGUCAUAGGGAUAUAUGCUUAAUGUGCCUUGAUACUCGAGAAGUCGAGCCCAGUUAAUCGCUCUAGGGUGAAUACAACACUAGUUUUCAUCAGCAUUCGAGUCCCCGAGCUCGAACCUGGCAACUGGCGAAAUUUGACUUAGCCUGCUGGGGUCUUAUAGAGUCAAAUUCCAGUUUUUUUUAAGUACUCGACUCGUUCGUCAAGAUUGUGUACACAGGAAAAUACGCAGUUGGUACAUUUCCAUGCCCUAUAGGAAGCCUGUGGGUCUUAUCUUCAUGUAAUGAACAUGGUUGUAGGGAGCGACCCUUAAGUGAAAAUUAUUAUUGGAGGGAUGCAGUCGAUGCAUAUCCAGGCCUAAUUUUUAGGGCUUACCUUCAUACAAUGAGUAUGGAUUCGACUAGAAUAACGUUACUGGUAUGAUCCUAGGCUCGAUGGAAUGAUCCAUGGGUUUGCUGAAAUAACGCAGGUGGUGCGAUUUCAGGCUCGAUGGAAUGAUCCAUGAGACUUUUCUUCAUCCAAUGAGCACGAGUUAACUAGAGCGACGCAGCUGGUGCGGCUCCAGGCUCUAUGGAAUGAUCCAUGAGACUUUUCUUCAUGCAAUGACCACGGAUUAACUAGAGCGAUGCAGCUGGUGCGGCUCCAAGCUCUAUGGACGAAAUCCAUGAUGCUUAUUGUUAUGUAGAGCUUAAACAACUGAGGUGACGCAGCUGAUGCGACUCAAUUGUGUCGACUGUACGAAAUUGACUUUUUUACGUCAGGAUCGUUACCCUGAUUUUACUGAUGUAAAUAAACAAUAGCUGACUGUAUGAAGUCUUUAACAAAUAUAAACCAAGAGUUGAUUAGUUAGCGACUCGAAUGAGAGUCCUUGUAUUCACAAUCGAGACUCAAGACGAGUCUCAACAUUUUUAUGGUAAACUCCAUCAUCCUGUAUGAAAGAUAGUUUCGAGUCAUGAUAUUCGAGACAGACUUCGUCAUGAUAUUCGAGUCAUUAGUUUUGCAAUGAGCACGGAUUAACUAGAGCGACAUACCUGCUGAAGGUGAAGAGCCGUUUGGUCAGCCGAUGUGACUGGGUACACAGGCUAGCCUGACAGCUAGGCGCACUAUUGGCGUUGCGUCAGUGGGAAAACGAUCACACUUCGCGCGGUAAAUAAGGCAUAAUGAUUUCAUCGAUUGUUGCACCCGAAAUGCGGGUGGCCAUUUCUGUUUUCACCGCUUCGUAUCCCGAUCGAGGUGGGACACAUGGCCAAGAUAAGGAUCUUGCGGCCCGGAUUCUUCGCUAGUGUUAGGCUUAUAUAAAGAGGAGGGUGGAAAUGGAAUACCGUUUAACCCUUCUUCUUCCUCACGACCCCAGCUCAAGCACUCAAGCUCUCUGCCUCCAUAGACAAAAACGUUUCGCGAGUUUCCCUAGCGACCAGGAAGUUCACACCAUCCGGAGAUCGGCAAGUCAAGGGCCACGAGUUCGAAGACCGACGCCGGCAAGGGAGCCAUUGACGAGGGAAUAACUCUUUGAGUCAUCAACCUUCAUAUACCUCAUAUAGCUCAUCAGGGGGUCCACUCAAAGGCCCACCAAGUAUAUGCAGGUCGAAUCCCUCAAAGUGCGGUUCAAGUCAAGGAACACGAUCUUUUCAUACCAAAAUAAGCUGAUUUGAUUGUAACCUUCCCGAUUAUCACGCCCGAGACCUAGCCGCCUGAAGCGACCGCCCCUCGUAAAGGGUUCGAUCUCUGUGCUUACUGUGCUAGUCCCUGGAUCGACUCGCUAGCACACACAGUCUCAAGAUGUAAUAUCAAGAUACAAAGGUCAAAAGUAUAUUACAUCGUAUUGAUCCAUAAUUAAAUAGUACCUUACAUAUUGCAUAACCUCAUGGGUUAGCUCAAGAAAAAAUAAAAUCUUGCAGCGGAAGGCAGAAGAUACAGGAGUCCCAUAACAACUCCACAGUCGAAACAUGUUGGAAUAUAAACUCGCAACCCUAAUAAUUCGUACCUCACUCUUCAUCUGGUUCACCUGCAACAUUUAAACGUUGCAGCCACUAGGGGGUCAAUACAUUGAAUGUAUUGGCAAGUUCACCAAAGGGUUAUAGCAGACGUAACAAGUAUAUGCAUUAUUUGGCAAGGUAGGGGUUUGGCUAUUUGCAUAAAAGUAUCAAUGUUUCAUCCUAUCAUUUUUAAACAAAUAGUUUUAUCACUAUUGGACAGGGGGUAGAAACACCCAUGCUCCUAGUAACCUAGAGCACAUUGAGUAGACACAUCAAUUGCUCCUACCCUGUUCAAACCAUUAAUUUUAUUAAGAAAUUGGAAUGAGUGAGACCUUCCUUACAGCCCCCAAAUCUAGUCGUUCAAAAUUGUCCGUAACCGGGGACACGGCUAAGUACUUAGUUUGACACUCUCGAGAGGUUGUACACAUUCCUCACAAGAAAUCGACGUAUUAAUCCCUUGUUGUCCUCAGGGUAGAGUACCAACGGCAUCGAUUACAAAAAAUUUCAGACCAUAAUCACCCAGACCACCUGAGGGACCAACGUUCCCACCUACAUGGCUACAUCUGCACAAUCCCUCGGAUCCAGGAUCAUAUGUCUUACUCCAUCCAGCCAGAGCCCAUUUAGCAUGUGGUUGUACUGGAAGCUACUAAAUAGGAAACUAGUCCAGUCUCUGGUUACCCCGGGUGGCAUCCCACAUUUGCGACGCAGGCGCUCCCAUCGAAAUGGCGAGACGACUCAUAGAAAUGUACCUUACGUCGCAUACAUCUCAAUUACUCAAAGCAGCCCACCCAGGACGGUUCAUUGAAUUACUUGUUUUGCCAUACACUAGGAAAACCAUACUUUAAUUCAAUAACAUCACAUUGUAAUAUUACCACCCUCGUAUACUAAUAUGGCAUAGCAUUUACUAGUACGAUGGCAAUUGGUGGUGAGGAAAGGCCAAGGGUAUCCUAUAUUACUAGGAGAAAACAUAACUAGCAUAGAUACAAUAAUAAUCCUAACAAUGCAACUAAUAAUAUCUAGUGCAUAAUAAAAUAAUAGGAUGAUGAUCAAAGUGAACUUGCCAGAUUAGUGUCUUUGUAUUCUUCUUCUUUUCGAUACUCACAGUUACCGCACUAAGUAUAAUCUAUUGCGAAGAGCGAAAAGUAAUAAUAAAUAACCAUUCCACAACUCCAAAUCAUAACUCCAAAUAAAGAACCAAAGCAAUAUACAAAGUUUAAAUUAAAUAGUACCUAACUACUGUUAGGUUGUCCUAGGCAUAGAUCUAAGAGAGUAGGAACAAGGCUUGGGUUCUAUCGGAGUUGAAACGGUGAAGUCAUUGGCUGUUAACAGAUACAAUUUUCUAAAAGUCAUGGGCUAUGGUAGAUGAACUUAAAAAGGUGCACAAAGUGGUCCAGAAUCAAAAGUUGGGUUUAGUCUUGUCAACACAGAAAGAAAGAACUGGUUUAGAACUACGGAUCAAUAUGUUUGGGCUUUGCAACAUUGCUAAUCAAUAAGACAGUGUUAACAGAUACAAACUUUGGUUGGGCAUGGACUAGUGUGGCUGUGUGGGAAAAGUGCACCAAAUGGCCUAAACUGCAGACCAUGGUGUUCUCUACACCACACUGAAAUAAUCGGCCGAAAAAGAACUAUGGUUCAGAAGAUACCAGGCCUGGAAUGAAGCUACUCAAAACAGUACUGUUUUUCUGUCGAUGAUACAGUUUUGCAACGACUAUGUACUGGUGUGGAUGAAAUAGGCAAGGUGCUAAAAGAGGUCUAGGUUGUAGAUUUGGAUUCGAUCUUGACAUGAAAGAAAGAAUCAUUUAAUUUGAAGUAAUGGAUCUAAAGAUAUAGGCUACGGAAGACAGCUCACUGAUGUGACAGUGUCAACAGAUACGACUUUUGAUUGAAGAUGCAUUUAUGUAGAAAUAUCCUAACUUGUGCACCAAGUACACUAAUGUGUAGAACAUGAUCUAAUUGAUGAACUAAAGAAGGUUUGGAACCGAACGGAUCAAUGGAAUAAUUUAUAUUAAUUUCUAAAGGUGGCUAAUCCAGAAGCUACAUACUGUGAAUAGCAAGUUCCAACGAAGAUGCACUACAGACGCUCAUAGAGACGGGGUAUACAAACUGAUCUGAUCUAUAGUGAAGGACGUGAUCUAACUACAACAGAAAGAUUCGGCCAAAAAUGAAACACAGGUCAAAAGAUAUGGUCUUCUAAACAAGGCUAAUCAAAACAGAUCAUGCUGAAAGUUUUCUCACCGAAACGGAGUUCGCCAGAGUUCGGAAAAUGGCAAAGGAGUCGUCGACUGGGUCGAUGUGGUCGUGGAAGAGUCUAGGGACGUGCGCGACAUCGUGACGCGGUCAAAGCGGUCGGAGAGGCAUCUGGACAGCGACGGGCGGAGCUCCGGGCUUGGCAUCGGCAUGACGUCGGGGACGGCGCGGCCAAUGGUGACGGUUGUUCGCAAAACCUUGUCAAAGGGGUAGGUGAGGGUCAUACAAGUCUACCGGUGAAAGGAAUUUGGAAACGAAGCUUCGGAGAGAGCUCACCGGCAACAAUGGCGGUGGCGACCGGCGGAGAAGACGGUCAUGGCACUGGACAUUACACAGCUCUAGGGGCAAAACUCUCAAUAGAGGAAUGAGGGAGGAGGGGUGGGGGCUCAAAGUGAUGCGCUCAGAAUUCUCUUCCAUAGGCCAAGGAGGGAGAUCGGGCGAAGGAUGCCACCGAGCGGUAUUCGGGGCGCUGGCGCUUAAUGGUAUGGGAAGCCAUGAUUCUGGGAAGUUAAGGAGAGGAAUGGAAAGAGCAGGGCAGUGGGCUUAGGUUCAUAGCUCCUGGACGCGAAACGGAAUAAGGAAGGGCGGGAUUGCGGAGGAGAUUGUGGCCUGAUGCCCGUGCUCCUUCUGUUCCUGUUCCUGUACGAGAAGAGGAGGAACACGCUCGGCUGGGCUGGGGCAGGUAAGUUGGGCCGGCCCAGUUUUGGUCGCUCCAUUCUCUUCUUUUUUUUUUCCUAUUUUCUGUUUUUAUUAAUAACUUUUGAUUACUAACUCCAAAUAAGUCCAAAUAAACUCCAGAAAAUUUGUAAAUUCAAAUCUUCCAAAGUGUGAGCUUUUGAAACUUGAAUCCUUUCAAAAUAAAAUAAGUAAAAAUACUUUUGCUUAUAUAAAUGUCAUUAGGGCUUUAUAAGUGAUAAAUAGUUAUCCUCUUCUCGAAUAUUUGAUAACUUCUUCUCGAAAACAAAAUUAAUCAAAUUAAAAAUCUAGAAAACAUAGGUGCAUCAUUAAAUAUGUUUCCAACCUUAUAACGAGGAAAGUCAUAUUAUUCCCUCUCUUUAUCAUUUAGAUAAAUGUUGGAGAUCAUUUCUAAUCGAUUCAAAUAUUCCAACGAUGCUUUCAAAUGAUCAUGGCAUCCAAAUUGGAUACUUGGGAUGUUAAUAAAUCCUUCAAAAGAAAAUAGAAUUUAUUAAGAUAGAAAGAAUAAUCCAGAUAAAUCAUAAUAUGCAAAUGGUUCCAAAUAAAGUACUUUGAACUUACAUAAAUGUCCCAACCAUGUUGUAUAAUUUGGAUAGUCAUAUUAAUCCACUCUUUUAUUGAAUAUUCAAACAUGGUGUGAAAUAUUUAAAUAAGUCCUAAAAUUUUUAAUUCCUUCAGAAAUUCACAACCAAAAUAUUUCCAAAGCUAAUAUUUUAUUUAAAAUAAUUAUUUUAUUUAACAUUCCAAAAUGGGAAAAUUCUGGGAUGUUACACUGCCAGUAUAUAAGGCUAAGAGGGGGAGUCAGGAAGGGGAACUUGGACACACACACGCCGGAUCCAUCUGCGUAUCACAGCUUCCUAGCUACUCUGUAAUCUCGAUCAAUACAAUACACCAAAAGCAGGACGUAGGGGUUUUACUUUUCGAGGGCCCUGAACCUGGGUAAACCUUGCGGCUCCCCUAGUCUUUGUUAGUUGACGAGAUCGCUGGUGCACCCCGUGCUCUCCUUUAGUCGAAAACCCUCGAAUCAGGGUAUUGCCGAGGUAGCCCCUCGUCAUUGGUGCCGACCGUGGGGAAGAAGUGCAUGAGAUCUAUGAUCUUCUUGACCAUGUUGUUCUCAAUUCACAACGCAUCAAUGACAGAGGGGUCGAUCCGCUUCGGGUCCUUGAGCUUCUCAGCUCACCCGCCAGUAUUUCGCUCCACUUUCCGCAAUCUCGACGGUCUUCGGGACAUAUCGUUUGGAGGCUUUAACCUCUGAGUCAGCCACGAAGGAAUUGGAGGCUUUAACCUCUGCGAUUCUUCGAAGGCGUCAUCAACAGAUCACUCACCCCCGAUGCGUUCGCUGGGUGAGGCAGGGCCAAUCUUGGCCAAAUUUUUUUGCACCGAGUGCGAUUCACAUCACUCGGUGUUCUCUGAAGAUCCCACUCCUUACAGCGUUAAUACCUGUUCGAGUGCGGCAAUCAACCCCAAGGAUGCAAUCGCGAUUCCUCGCAAAACCUUAGCAUGGGUUUUCGUGGCGGAAGUAGGGGAGAGUAGUGGAGUUGGACGCCGCGUUGGUCGAACCAUCUUCGCCGAGGCGUGUGCAGGAGACGAGGCCACUGAUCGCCCAACAAUCAUUCUCACGUAGGAAGAGGAAAUGCAGGUCGAGGCCGCAAUUAACGGCACUGCCCUCUGCCGGCAGACGCCACGCUCAACGAGAUGAUGGCAUAUCAUCAUGCGCUGAAUACUACGCAUGCUCGACUGCGAGAUGAGCAGGCAGAGCUACAGCGACGGCGAGAGAUCGCCGAUGCCUCGAGUGCCCGCCGACAGCUCUCAACGCAGAGUCGCAGUGCGUGCCCGAAGCACCCGUAGAUAUAGAGCGUCGUGCUAUCAAUCUCGGUUGAACAAUAUCCCCGAGAGAGAUGACAUCGGCAUGACACGCAGUAUGGAUGAUGAACUGAUGACAGUCAAUACCCAGGGGGAGGUGCUCCCCCGGACGCCACACGGAGCCGUGGCUGCUGCAAAAAGAUACCUCCUAUCCACUAUGCCACCAGAUGACGACCCGAGGGCAGCCAUUCACAAGCAGGUCUCGGCAGGCUUAGGCCUCAUCGGGAAUGUCCUCAUGGGCCCGAACCCGAACUAGAUGGAGGCCCAGCGGCAUAGGGACGACGGCGCCCAACGGCAAAAUAAUCGCACGACUCCUCGACGAUGGGGACUGGAGAAAUAGCCUAAUCACCGCCGCAACACCCUCGUGCUAGGAGAUGCUCGUGACAUUAUUACUCAGCAGAGAAUCGAUUGCGAGCGAUCAGCCCGUGCUGACCGCAUCACAGAAGAAGAGGAUGAACCUUGCGGCGCGACCUGCUUUAGCCGUCGCGUUCGCAAUUCGAAGAUGCCCAGCAACUUUUCGGUUUCAGCGAGUGCGAUCAAGUUUGACGGAUCUCAGGAACCGCGAGCUUGGUUAGAAGAUUACCUCACCAUGGUGCGACUACAUGGAGGAUGAAAUCGACUCAAGGGGAACGCUCGCACAUGGCUGGCGAGUCUGCCAGAGGGUGAAAUCGGCUCGUGAGAUGUAACAUCCCAAUUUUUAAAACCCUUCAUAUGCAUUGCAUAUCAUAAGCAUCAUGUCACCUUUGCAAUUUACCCAGAAAACCCCUGUUUAAAAGUGCUUUUAUUUGAUUUUGGGCUUUGAUCUUGCUUUCAAGCAUUUGUGUUUUAACCCAUGAGGGUUUUGGUAUAAAAAGGGAUUUAAUGCAUAUAUAAAGCUAUCCCAUAAAUUGGCUUUUGAAAUUAUUUUGAAAAAUAAUUUAUUUUGUUAACCUAAAAGGCCCUAAAAGCCAUUUAUAGGAAAAUAUAUUUUUAAGUAUUUUAUUUUGAGGAAAUUCUUGUUCCAGAAGUUAGAUCAUAUGAAAAUAUGAUUUUACAAAUUUUGUUGCAAUUUAUUUGGAGUGAUUUGGAGCUUUGAAUAAUUUUUGAGGUUCAAAAACAGGAAAUAGAAAAAAAAAGGAAAAGAAAAACCGGCCGACCAGACAAGACCGGCCGAACCGAACCGAACCGAACCGGACCGGCCCAGCCUGAGCCGCCCGCGGACACUACCAGGCGGGCCCCGCCAGUCUCCUUCCCCAACCGCCUCCGGAGACCACGCUGCGCACGUCCAGUUUCCAUGCCCGAGUCUGCCCACGAGUCCCUCUCCGAUUUCCUCGCGCACGAGCCUUCAUCUCCAAAUCCUUGCACGUCAUCCCGAAGCCCUCGCUUUUCUCCUCCACUUCCCCCAAACCUCACGCCCGAUUGCGCCUCGGUUUGCAACUAAUUGCUCGCCGAAGUUUCGCUCCUGCCGCCGCCGUUUUCCGCCGUCACCGCUGCUCCGGUGAGCUCCUCACGCCGCCGAUCCCCUCCCCUCUCUUCUCUCUUCGUUGCGCACACAGUGACGCGGUUAGAUUUGAGUUUGUUCGCCACAGCCUCACCGCUGUCGCCGCCAGCCGCCGUCCGCGCCGCCGUUCGCCCACGCCGCCGCCGCUCGCCCGUGUCGUCCGCCCUGAGCCCCACGCCGCGUCCGUGCCCGCGCCGCCGCGCGUCCGCCCCGCGCCGCCCGCGCCGCCGUCGUCCGCCCGCCGCCCGCGUCCGCCCCGCGCCGCCCGUCGCCGCCGAGCUGCUCCGCCGUCUGCCGCGCCGCCGCCGUCCGGCCACCCGCGCCGCCCGUGUAAACCCUAGCCCAACCCGACCAAUGCCGCACUGCCACGUGGCAAAGCUAGUGUUUUUUUAAAAAAUUUCGGCCGAAUUAAAAUCGCACUUUCCAAAAAAGACCCUGUAACUUCAAAACAUCAAAACUUUUAAACCGCUUGUCCAAAAAUUAUGAUCCGCACCUUUCUGGAAUCCUCACAACUUGUAGAAUAUUUUAGCACCGUCCAAUUUCAGUUUUGAACAACUUUACCAGAAGAAAAUUACAGAAUGAUUGAAUAUGGUUUAAAACUCAAACGAAUUAUUUCAAAAUGGUUUUGAGCAUGUUAGCUUGCUAGAAAAUUAAUUGAACAUGUUCUUGUCCAAUAGGACCAGAAGAGAAAAAAAAAUUAUGAAUGACAUGACCCUACGAGUUUAAAUCUUUCUCUAUGCAUGCAAAAACCAUAUAAUCUUUUAAUUAAAACCUAUCCUUGUUCAUGCAUAUUAUUUACAAACAGAAGGUUUUACAUUAGAAGUAACCAAGUGUGCAUCAUCAUGGCAUAUGCAUCAUAGCAUGAUUUUGUAUUGAAUGUUUUGUUUAUUGUGUGUGUGUUUUCUUUUAUUUUAGAUUGCGUGGAUUGCGAACCUUGUUGUUGCGAAGACUGCGAGAACUACCACAACCUUGGACAAGGCAAGUUCACUUUGAUCAUUCUCCAAAAUAUUUUACUAUGCACUAGUUGUUUUAUUAGAUGCAUUAGGAAUAUUACUCGUACCUCUAUGCUAGCUAUAAAUCCCACGUGGUAUAGUUUUACCCUUGCCAUUUCCUUGCUACCAAAAUUGCCAUCGAUUGUAGUUGAAUGCUAGGCUAUGGUAGUAUCGUGGGGGAAAUUACUACAUUAUGAUAUUCUUAUGCCUUGCGAUAUGUCCUGGGUGGGCUGCUUUGAGGAUUUUGAGGAUCAGCGGCGUCAGGUCCAUUUCUAUGGGUCCCUCUAAGUCGAGUUCCCGUGGAUUUGAGAAUGGAUCGUCCAUGGACGUCUCUCCCGUGGAUUCGGGAAGCGACUACGUUGCAAAUGUGGAAUGCCACCUAGGGUAACCGAGACUGGACUAGUUUCCUAUUUAGCAGCUUCCAGUACAACCACAAUGCUAUAUGGGCUCUGGCGAGACAAGAGUAAGUUGUAUGAACCUAGACCCGAGGAAUUGUACUGAGGUAGCCGUGUAGGGGGAGCGUGAUUCUCUCGUGGUUUAGGGAAUUACCUCUGAAUAUCUCAUAAUCGAUGCCGUUGCUACUCUACCUUGAGGACAGCAAGGGAUUAACAUGUCGGCUUCUUGUGGGGAAUGUGUACAAACUCUCGAGAGCAUCAAAACUAAGUACUUAGCCGUGUCCCCGGCAAUGGACAAUUUGAGCAACCAGAUGUGGAGCUGUAAGGAAAGUCUCACUCAUUCUAAUUUCUUAACAAAAUGAAUGGUUUGAACUUGGAUUUAGGAGCAUUGAUGUGUCUACUCAAUGUCCUUAGUUUAAUAGGAGCAUUGGUGUGUCUACCCCAUGUCCAUGAGUGAUAAAAUUCUAUUUGAUUAAAAGAUAGGAUUAAAUAACUAAGCUUUUAUGCAAAUAGCCUUGAACCCCACCUUGCCACAUUAUGCAUAUACUUGGUAGGUUCUGAUAUAAUUCCUGGUGAAUCUUGCCAAUACAUUCAAUGUAUUGACCCUAGUGGCUGCAUCGUUUAAUGAUGCAGGAAGCUCCGACGAAGAGUAAGAGUACGUUCUGCUUGUUUGGGUUACGGGCCUAUAUUCCAACACGCUCUCACCGUGGUGUUAAUGUGCCCUUGUAUCUUUCGCUUUCCGUUGUUGAACAGUUGUUUUAUUUCUAACUAACCCAUGGGGUUAUGCGAGUUGUAAGUACUUUUAAAUUCUAGAUGAUACGUUGUAAUAUUGAGACCUUUGUUCUAUGAUAUUACGUCUUGAAACUGUGUGUGCUAGUGAGUCGAUCCAGGGACUAGCACUAAAGCACAGAGAUCGCACCCGUGUACGGGGGCGGUCGCUUCAGAUGGUAUCAGAGCAUUGUGUUGCCUGUAGGAUCGUGACCCUAGUGUUGGAUAAGACCUAAGGAUUUAUUUGCAAAACUAGAUAUCUAUGAAAUCUCUCAUAUUCUCAACUCAUCUACUCUUCCAUUAUCUUAUCUCCAUUUUGAAAGUUUUGAAACAUUCUCCUCCUUUUCAAAAGUAUUAGAGUUACCGUAGAGGAUGAAGAAGGAGAAGUUGAGGAUCGAGAUUGCGACAAGGGUUCGUGAAGAUUUCAGCGAAUGAAGUUACGAAGAACUACAAGAUUUGAAGGUGACCUUGAUAGCAUAAUAACCCAUUGGUACGUACUUACUCAUGGUAGACGUAAUAUGUGAGCUAUCACUUUUGGUUUUAUUGAUGGCCACAAAUAAUAGUAGUAAACUAUUUUGGAUAACAAAACUUUGUCCGUUUCCUUUUUGAACUUCUUUUCUUGGGCUUGGAUGCCUGAACCAAGUUAUUUGCUUGUUGGAUCUUACCCUUUUGGUGAUUGCUAUGCCUUGCUUGCUCGUUGUUGGGUUAAGGUUCUUUUAGACCUCAUCUAUCUACUUCUCAUCUAUGCUGUCCCAAAACAGAUGCCACCGAGACGCGAUAAUUGCCGCGAUGCCGACAACAAUGAGGAGGGCCAGGACAACAACGCUGCCACCAUGCAGCAACUGCUCGCCGCACAGACUUAGAUUCUACAAGCUUUGACCCAGCAGAUGAACAACAACAACAACCACAACAACCAGCACCCCAACCCACCACCUCAAGUGGACAUGAUAACCAGGUUUCUGAGGUUGCGUCCACCUACUUUCACCAGCUCCUCAGAACUGAUUGUGGCUGAUGAUUGGCUCUGUUCUGUGAGAAAAUGCCUAGUAAUAGUGGGCUGCAAUGAAGCUGACAAGGUGAGGUUUGCUGCUCACCUACUCGAAGGACCUGCCGCGGCUUGGUGGGAGACUUAUCAGAUUACCACACCCAUGGAAGAGAUCACAUGGGAAAUGUUCCAAGAUGCCUUCCGCACCGCCCACAUCUCUGCGGGCGUACUGAGCUGAAAGAAGAGGGAAUUCCACAAACUGAGGCAAGGGAACAGGACCAUGUCAGAAUACAUUGAAGUUUUCAACAAGUUGUCUCGCUAUGCCCAGGACGAUGUCAACACUGAUGCCAAACGCCGGGAAAGGUUUCUGGAUGGCUUGAACGACGAACUCGCCGUUCAACUGGCAGUUGUUUACAUCCCUACCUACCAGUCCCCCAUGGACAAAGCCAUCAUUCUUGAAAACAAGCAGAAUCAGAUGGAAACAGGAGGAAGAGGCCUCACCAUGGCAACAACCACGCUGGUCCACACCAGAAGCCGUGCACCUCGUACGAGGGUAGUGGCAGCUCUUCAAUGGUUAUGCAUGGUGGAAAUCAUCAGAGUCACCAUGGAGGGAGUGGACACCAUCACCGCCAUGGAGGUCAAGGACACCACCACCAGGGAGGUAAUCGCAGACGGAACCACCAGCACCAGCGUCCAAGGAUCAACAACAACAAGGGCAAUGGCCAGAACAACAGAGGCAACCCAGGGCAGAACCGCACCACUGGCAGGGAUCUGAUCCAAGUGCAAUGCUUUAAGUGUCACAAGAUGGGACACUACUCCAAUGAUUGUCCUGAGAAGUUCAAUGAGGCGGGAGCAAAGCCCAACCCAUUCCAGAAGGGCAACGUGAACCACGUCAACGUGGAAGAAAUCACGAAUGAGCAAGGUAUCGUAAUCGGCACCUUCCGUCUAAAUUCUUUUGAAGCACUCGUACUGUUUGAUACCGGUGCAUCGCAUUCUUUCAUCUCAAGGAGUUUUGUGCAUAAGAAUGGAUUACCCACUAGUACCUUAGUGAACCCUAUAAAGGUGAAGUCACCUGGGGAAGAGAUGAUAACGACUUAUGAAUGCCGAAUGCUGGCACUAGAAAUUGGAAAACACAACUUCCCCAUAGACCUGAUAGUGUUGGGAUCAAAAGGUUUGGAUGUGAUCCUAGGAAUGGAUUGGCUAGCCAAGUAUGAAGGACUUAUAGAUUGUGUCAAGAGGACAAUUACACUCACAACUCCGGAGAAGAAGCGAAUCCGCUUCAAGGCAACCUAUGAGCUUGAGUUACUCAAGGUGAAUUCUGUUAAGGGGGUUAGCCUAGAGGAUGUACCGAUAGUGAAAGAAUAUUCGGAUGUGUUUCCAGAGGAAGUAUCAGGCAUGCCACUGGACCGAGAUGUGGAAUUUCUUAUCGAGUUAUUGCCCGGAAGUGGACCUAUAGCCAAGAGACCGUAUAAGAUGGCUGUAAAUGAAUUGAAGGAACUGAAGAAGCAACUUGCAGAACAGUUGGCUAAAGGAUUUAUUCGCCCUAGCUCAUCACCAUGGGGAGCACUUGUCCUAUUCGUGGAAAAGAAAGACAAGAGCCAAAGGAUGUGCAUACACUAUCGUUCACUAAAUGAGGUGACGAUAAAGAACAAGUACCCACUACCUAUAAUCAAUGAUCUAUUCGAUCAAUUGAAAGGAGCCUGUGUUUUCUCAAAAAUCGAUCUUCGAUCAGGUUAUUUUCAGUUAAAGAUCCGAGAAGUGGACAUACCCAAGACAACAUUUACCACUAGGUAUGGCCUGUAUGAGUAUACAGUGAUGCCUUUUGGAUUAACCAAUGCCCCGGCAUACUUCAUGAAUAUGAUGAACAAGGUAUUCAUGGAAUAUUUGGACAAGUUUGUCGUAGUGUUCAUCGACGGCAUUUUGAUCUACUCGAAGAGCAAAGAAGAGCAUGAAGAACAUUUGCGUCUGAUCAUGGAAAAGCUUAGAGAACAUAAGCUUUAUGCCAAAUUCAGCAAGUGUGAAUUUUGGUUGUCUGAAGUAGGUUUCUUGGGACACAUUGUAUCAGGAAACGGAGUUGCCGUUGACCUUGUGUCAUCGCACAGGGCUCCGACACCGGGGGCGCGCGGCCGCGCCCCCUUUUUAGGUUCGGCAGAGGCGUCGAGGAUCACUCCGGCAUGGCCGAUGGUCCUACGUAACCGGAGAAGUGAUGUACCCGAGGUGCGCACAAACCAAGAACGUAUGCACGCACGUUUUUACCCAGGUUCGGGCCACCUGGAGGUGUAAAACCCUACGUCCUGCCUGUCUGAACUAGUAUUUGCAAUGGAUCAAGUGUUUACAUGUUGCCGGGGAAGGGUCCCCGGGCGCUCUCUCCUUUCUUGCUAAGUGCGACUUGUUAUUCUUGGACUAGGACUCGUUGAAAACCUAACUGAACAGAACUGAACUCGAAUCAACCAACCUUCCAACCCCUUUGACCGCCGGCGCUGGUCCUCCUUUUAUACUCAAGGAGACGCCACAGGUGCCGCGACGCAUGCAUUACAAGGGUCGAACGGGGAGGCAUACAAAUCCCUCUCGGUGAGCUGGUGGCACGCAUGGACCCCGUUUGCACGCCUGUUGUAGAGGUUUCCAUCCACCACAGUGUACAUUUUGGCUUGCCGUGCUACUCGUUCCGUAGCAACGUCAUCUUCCAGGAGAGCCUCCCCUUUCAAGUAGCGGGCAUCUCCACCGACCAAGGAGGGAUCUCCCUACCAACGCAUGCCGCUAUAUCAGCGGCAUGGACCCCUGCUGUCACAGGGGUUCCUUCGGUUGCCGGAAGGGCGUCCCCGGCAGCCGGCUCGAGGACGACUGAAGGAGCCGCUUGCUUCUGGCAGAACACCCCCAUUGGAGCUUCCGACGCUCUGCUGCCAUCUUGGCCAGCUCGUCAGCAUCGAAGUUAUCCUUCCGCUUGACGUGCUUGAAUCGCAAACCUUUGAACUUAUGUUCUAGCUUGCGGACUUCUUCCACGUACGGCGCCAUCUGCGGGCAGUCGUAGUCCUUCUUCACCUGGUUGAUCAUGAGCUGGGAAUCCCCGCGAACAACUAGGCGCUUGAUGUCAAGGGCGAUUGCCGCCCGCAACCUGGCGAGCAAGCCCUCGUACUCGGCCGUAUUGUUGGUGGAGUUCGGGAAAUCGAGCUGGACAGCGAACCUCAACUAGUCCCCUGUCGGUGACUCGAUGACGACCACGGUGCCAGCUCCUUGGAGACUGAACGCGCCGUCGAAGUAGAGGACCCAAUGGUCCUCGUCCAACUUGCCGGGCAGGUUGGUCUCCGGCUCAUUCCGUUCCACGCUUGUUGACGUCCAUUCCGCGAUGAAGUCCGCCAAGGCCGUGCUCUUGAUGCUUUUAGAGUUGGUGAAGUGGAGGUCGAACUCCGACAACUCCAUCCUCCAUUCGGCCACCCUCCCAGUGGCUUCACGGUUGGUGAGGGCUCGCUCAAGGCAGAACCCCAACACCACCGUGACGCGGUGCGCCUGAAAGUAGUGGCGCAGCUUGCGGGACGCAAGGAGAAUCCCCAAAAGGAGUUUCUGUACUUGCGGGUACCUUGUUCGCGCGUCGCGCAGCACCGUGCUGACGAAGUACAUCGGGCGCUGCACCAAUCGCUUCCGCAGUGCAGAAGCCGCCGGCUCGGGGGUGGUCACUAGGUCCGAGGCGGAUCCUCUGGACGAGUUCAGCCGGGUCCAGACCAACUCCGGUGCAAAGUCGACGGUCGUGUUAGCAUUUGCGCACGGCAUCAGCGAGGAUGUGCUGCAGAAGGUGGCUUCAGGUCCUCCGUUGUUUCCUGGCGGGGAGGAGAUGGCCCUGUGAUAUGGACAUGCUAACCAUGGAUACGACCAUUAGAACCCUAAUUGUUGGUGUAUCUAAUAACUAUUAUAAUCAGGUGAAUUGUAACAUCCCAAAAUUUCAAACCUUUACAUGUGCAUUGCAUCCAUGAGCAUCAUGCCACAAUUGCAUGUUUGAAUUCAAAUUUGAAUCUCAAAAAUCUUUAAAAGAUUUGGUUUACACCCAUUCGAGCUUUGGAAUUUUCAAACCAAUAGGGUUUAUGCAUAAAAGGGGUUUAAUGCAUAUAUAAGCUAUCCCAUAGUUUUUGGAUAAUUAUUUGGAGUUGAAAAAGUAUUAUAUUCAAAUAGAUAUAUAGCCCUAAAGGCAUUUAUAGGACAAAUGUAUUUUUAUAUAUUUUAUUUUGAGGGGAAACUACUCCCAAAAGUUGUAUCUUGGUAGAACAUGAUUUUACAAAUUUUUUGGAAUUUAUUUGGACCAAUUUGGAGUUCAAACUCCAAAGAUAUCUAAGAAAUGAGAAAAACAUGAAACAGAAAAGGUCUAAAAGAAAAAAAAAAGGGGGUAAACUGGACCGGCCCGGCCACUUUGGGCCGAACCGGCCCAGUCCGACCGCACGCGCGCCGGCCCCGCCCGCCCGGCCGCCCCUCGCGCGCGCCCGUACCCGCUAACAGGUGGGGCCCACCUGUCAAGGGCUUCUUCCCCGGAAGGAAAGCGGCCGCGCCGCCGCCGCCGCGAUUUCUGGCCGCCGUCCCCGCGCGCCCGCCACCGCAAUCUCCUCCUCCCGCCUUCCAUUUUCAUGCCCGAGCACGUCUUUAUAAUCCCCGCGACCCCCUCUCUCUUUCCCCCUUGUUUCCCCAUGCAAUCGCGUCGCCAGGCUGCCCUGAUUUCUCGCCGGAGUCCGACCGCGCUGCCCGCCCGUCUUCGUCCUCGGCGCCAACCCCGCCGUCCCCGACCGUCCCCGACCGCGCCCCCGUCUCCGUCGUGCCGCGCCGCGUCUCCCCGUGAACUCCCCGCGUCACCGGCCUCGUCGGAGCACCCCGCCUGCCGCCCGCCCGUGGCCGCGCCGCCGUCCGCCGACUGCGCCGCCCGCUCGUCCCGUCCUAGGCGCCGACCUGCGCCGCUCGAGCCCCCGCCGACCGCGGCCCCGUCUCCGCCGUGCCGCGCCGUCCUCGCCCGUCACUUCCCCGUCGCGCCUGACGCCGGAGCGCCCCCGUGCCGCCCCGCCCGUGCCGCGCCGCCGCCGGUUUCCGUCGCCGAAACCCUAACCCGCCGGUGAGCUUCCCCCGAUCGAUCUCGUCCGUCCAUCCAUCUCCAACGGUGUAGAUUAGAUCGUCCUUAUUCACUUAAACCGAACCCGUACCAACGAAUAGGAAUGCGCCACGUGGCACCAAAGUUAUAAAAUAAAAAUGUAAUUUUAUUUCCCCGGAUUAAUUAAAAGGCACUUUUGCAGAUAGGCCCCUGUUAUUUCAAAUGAUCACAACUUCAAAUCUGUUUGGCCAAAUUUAGUGAUCCACACCUUUUUGGAAUCCUUAGGAAGUGUAGAAUCUUUUGGCACUGUCCAAAUUCAAAUUUGAAUAUUUGAAUCACAGAUUAGGGUUUUAUGCCAUUUAAAUCAUAAAUAUUUAUUUAUAAGUCCUUUUUGAAUGGAACCAGUGCACAAAAUUUUGUUUUAUUGUCCUCUGUCCAAUGGGACAGAGAAAUAAAUAUUUUGACCUAAUCUAUUUGGCUGGUGCCAAUAAAACCUCAUUUUAGGAUUUAAACCCUAACCUUUGUUACUAGUUAAAAACCCUAAUUGCAUGUGUUUAAAUUAUUUAUGCUUUGGAUCAGUAGAUCACCCAAACAAAAUAAACCAAACUCAUGUCACAUGUUCUGCAUUGCAUCAUGGCAUACAUAAUCUUUUGCUUGUAUGGUGUGUUUUAUGUAUGUGUAUUCAAAUCACAGAUUAGGGUUUUAUGCCAUUUAAAUCAUAACUAUUUAUUUAAGUUCUUUUUGAAUGGAACCAGUGCCCAAAAUUUUGUUUUAUUGUCCUCUGUCCAAUGGGACAGAGAAAUAAAUAUUUUGACCUAAUCUAUUUGGCUGGUGCCAAUAAAACCUCAUUUUAGGGUUUAAACCCUAACCUUUGUUACUAGUUAAAAACCCUAAUUGCAUGUGUUUAAAUUAUUUAUGCUUUGGAUCAGUAGAUCACCCAAACAAAAUAAACCAAACUCAUGUCACAUGUUCUGCAUUGCAUCAUGGCAUACAUAAUCUUUUGCUUGUAUGGUGUGUUUUAUGUAUGUGUAUUCAAAUCACAGAUUAGGGUUUUAUGUCAUUUAAAUUAUAACUAUUUAUUUAUAAGUCCUUUUUUAAUGUAACCAGUGCCCAAAAUUUUGUUUUAUUGUCCUCUGUCCAAUGGGACAGAGAAAUAAAUAUUUUGACCUAAUCUAUUUGGCUGGUGCCAAUAAAACCUCAUUUUAGGGUUUAAACCCUAACCUUUGUUACUAGUUAAAAACCCUAAUUGCAUGUGCUUAAAUUAUUUAUGCUUUGGAUCAGUAGAUCACCCAAACAAAAUAAACCAAACUCAUGUCACAUGUUCUGCAUUGCAUCAUGGCAUACAUAAUCUUUUGCUUGUAUGGUGUGUUUUAUGUAUGUGUAUUCAAAUCACAGAUUAGGGUUUUAUGCCAUUUAAAUCAUAACUAUUUAUUUAAGUUCUUUUUGAAUGGAACCAGUGCCCAAAAUUUUGUUUUAUUGUCCUCUGUCCAAUGGGACAGAGAAAUAAAUAUUUUGACCUAAUCUAUUUGGCUGGUGCCAAUAAAACCUCAUUUUAGGGUUUAAAUCCUAACCUUUGUUACUAGUUAAAAACCCUAAUUGCAUGUGCUUAAAUUAUUUAUGCUUUGGAUCAGUAGAUCACCCAAACAAAAUAAACCAAACUCAUGUCACAUGUUCUGCAUUGCAUCAUGGCAUACAUAAUCUUUUGCUUGUAUCGUGUGUUUUAUGUAUGUGUAUUCAAAUCACAGAUUAGGGUUUUAUGCCAUUUAAAUCAUAACUAUUUAUUUAAGUUCUUUCUGAAUGGAACCAGUGCCCAAAAUUUUGUUUUAUUGUCCUCUGUCCAAUGGGACAGAGAAAUAAAUAUUUUGACCUAAUCUAUUUGGCUGGUGCCAAUAAAACCUCAUUUUAGGGUUUAAACCCUAACCUUUGUUACUAGUUAAAAACCCUAAUUGCAUGUGUUUAAAUUAUUUAUGCUUUGGAUCAGUAGAUCACCCAAACAAAAUAAACCAAACUCAUGUCACAUGUUCUGCAUUGCAUCAUGGCAUACAUAAUCUUUUGCUUGUAUGGUGUGUUUUAUGUACGUGUAUUCAAAUCACAGAUUAGGGUUUUAUGUCAUUUAAAAUAUAACUAUUUAUUUAUAAGUCCUUUUUGAAUGUAACCAGUGCCCAAAAUUUUGUUUUAUUGUCCUCUGUCCAAUGGGACAGAGAAAUAAAUAUUUUGACCUAAUCUAUUUGGCUGGUGCCAAUAAAACCUCAUUUUAGGGUUUAAACCCUAACCUUUGUUACUGGUUAAAAACCCUAAUUGCAUGUGCUUAAAUUAUUUAUGCUUUGGAUCAGUAGAUCACCCAAACAAAAUAAACCAAACUCAUGUCACAUGUUCUGCAUUGCAUCAUGGCAUACAUAAUCUUUAGCCGUGUCCCCGGUUACGGACAAUUAUGAGCAACUAGAUAUUGGAGCUGUAAGGAAGGUCUUACUCAUUCCAAUUUCAUAAUAAAACGAAUGGAUUGAACCGGGUAGGAGCAUUGAAGUUUCUACUCAAUGUGCCUAGGUUAAUAGGAACAUGGGUGUUUCUACCCCGUGUCCAAUAGAAUUCAAAACUAUUUGUCUAAAAAUGAUAGGAUUUGAAUAAUGAUGCUUUUAUGCAAAAUAGCCAAACCCGACUUAGCCAAACUAUGCAUGUACUUGGUAGGUCUUUUAAAACUCUAGUGAGCUUGCCAAUACGUUCAAAUGUAUUGACCACGUAGUGGCUGAAAUUAACAAUGCAGGUGGAUCCGACGAUGAGUGAGGUUCGUCGUUUUGUCAUGGGUCAUGUGCUUACAUUCCAACAUGCUCUCACCUUGGAUUAGUGUGGCCCUUAUGUUCUACCCUUUUACGCUGCAGUAUUUUGAAACAUUGUUUUAUGAUGUUGAAACAGUAUUGUUUUUAUGCUGGCCCCAGAGGUCAUGCGAGGUUGUAAGUACUAUUUAAAUUCUGGAUAACGCGAUGAAAUAAAGUACAUUUGACCUUUGUUUCUGUAUACUUCAUGAAACUGUGUGUGCUAGUGAGUCGAUCCAGGGACUAGCACAGUAAGCACAGAGAUCGAACCCUUGGUGAAGGGAGAUCGCUUCAUGAAUUCAAUUACAAAAUGUUUUCAAUAUGUUACUUUCAAAGAGGCGGAGCUACUAUCUUGUGUAAUCUUAUUAGGUAGGCAUCUUACUGAAACUUUAGAAGUCCAAAGUGAAGAUGAAGUGUGAUAGCCUGCAAAGGGAGAUUCAAAGUGAAGCCUAUAAAUUCUACUUUCCAAAAAAUCAAACGGCACAUGAUUCGGAGCUUGCUAGAGAAAGAUAUCACGAAUUAAAGUUGAAUCCGAUUCGGGUCCGAGCAGUCAGGAGACCCGAAUUUGUUUUAAUCACCCAGGCCGCAUCCGGAGUCCAAAUCAAGCAACCAAGUACUUGUUGGAAAGGUAAUUACAAGAACUUUCCAACGGAUCUAGCCCCAUCAAGAGAUUCGACUCGUGCUGACCGUGGCGGACAAAACAAGCUGACGGAUCUGUUUUUCUGUUUCCUAAAGAGUUGUAGUUUGUUAGGAAAGUUAGAGAUAGAGUUGGAUUUCGGCCUCCUUACUCAAGGUGCACGAAAAUAUCUGUCCCUCCUCCUUUAUAUACCCCAUGAGCCUCCCUAAGGAGCCUUGGAUUUUGUUUAGUUAAAAGUUAGCCAUCGCUACUACUUCGUGUAAUCGCGUGUGUCGGUUAGACCACCUGUUUUACCGCUUUCGGAACCCCAACUUAUCGUCUCGUUGAGAAAUUGGUUUGAUAUAGUAUAUUCACAAUUUUAGAUUGCAUCCGCUAUUUAUCUUGUUCUUGCUUGUUCUUCGAUUGCUUGCAGGAACAAAGACCUUCGUUGUCAGGUUGAUCAUGCCCCCACGUGAUCAAUAACCCUCUGGAGUUGGUGUAUCGAUUGCUAAGGCGCUGCCUCAUAGGCCGUAGUCGGAUCGUCAAAGUCAUCUGCUACCCAAAUCGAGAGUUACAAAUCUCAUCGAAAGAUCGGGCCACCCCGACCCACAUCACGUGGUCUCAGAGCUUAAGGUUGCUCGGUGUGAUUUUUUCCAGUUUAUCCGUAGUUUAGAUCUGUUUUUACUUAUCGUCCAAAAAAAGCCAAACAAAAAUUAGAAUUAGUUAACUUGUCCUAGAACCAAUCUGAGCCUUACAAUUUUCACAUUAGAAUUUGCAUUUUUGAAUCUUGGCUGCAUUAAUCGUGUCGAGUUGCUGGAUUAGAUUGGAUCUGUCGUCGCUCGGUGCUCCGACACCGGGGGCGUGCAGCCACGUCCCCCUUUCAGGUUCGGUAGGGGCGUCUGGGGUGGAGACCAGAUGAUCGCCGGCACGGCCGACGAAGCCCUACCGGGCCGGCGAGGCAAAGUGGUAGGGGUACGCGCUAGUCCAAGAACAGACGUACGCACGUUUUUUACCUAGGUUCGGGCCACCCGGAGGUGUAAAACCCUACGUCCUGCCUGUCUGAGCUGAUCCCCUUGGCGACCCAGCCCAAGCGGAGACAGGGCCGGCACCAGGUAUAUCUUCGUCGAUCCCCUGCAACUGCAAUUCCUGCUAGCCAAAUUCACAAACAUACCCUCUCUUUCUGCAGCGAGCGGCAACUCGCCCGCGGCAAGACCCUUGGACGCUCCCGCUGGCGCAGGCGAGGGAGCAGAGGCUGCACCGGCAAGCCCGACGGCCGCACAAGGUAAGCACCCCGGUCGCCCUUAUUCGCCUUCGAUAACACCAACCAUCGCCGACCCUCAUGCUUCUCCACGGGUGCAGGCCCAAGUGCGCCCGCGCCCGGAACGGGCGCGGCCGUGGUCGACCCCGACACGGUCGUCGGGACCACGGGGGCGGAGGUGGAGUCGGAAACGGCUCCCGUGUCCGCCCCCGCCGCGACGGACACAGCGGCCGCUGCGGGGACCGCCGCCGCCGCGGCAGCACCCGGCGACGCGCCAGAAGCCGCGGACGUGGCUGGCUCGGGCUCACCCGCCGUCCAGCAGGGGGCGACCCCCGCCGGAAGCAGGGAACCCUCUCCAACCCCGGUGUCCCGGAGCCUGGGCACGAGGGAAGUUGGCGGGGAAGGACGGCAAGACCCCCGGGAGCAAGUUGGCGACCCCGCACCCAGCUCCACUUCAGCAGCUGGGGCUUCGUCAUCCUCGGGGGCUCUCCCCGGCACCGACCUCGGCACCCUCGCCGGGGUCGCUUGGAAUCCUCUUACCUGGGAUCCGAGCGUCUUCGAGCGGGGGCACCGGUUCCUGGACGCCGUCCGGGACCAGCAGUUCGCCUUCGUCACCUCCUACAACGAGGUGAGGGAGCGCCACACCGCCGCCAAGAAUCAAUUCGGCGAGGUGCGGGAGGCCGUCGAGAGAGAGCGGCGCGAACUCUCCCGGCUGCGCGAGGAGACGCACCUCGCCGAAGAGGAGGCGCGGCUGGCCCGGCAAGCCCUGGAGGCUGCUCGGGAGCCGGUAGUCCCGGAGACUGAGCUCCGUCGGCAACUGGAGGUCCAGCGCACGGAGCUCCAAGGUAGGCUCGACGCAAUGGCGGCAACCCUAGAAGCUUCCCGGAAGGAACAUGCCGAGGUGCUCGCGACGGCCCAGGCGCGGCUGGACGAGAAGAGCGAGUGGAUCGCCAACUACCGCGGCGAAAUCGAAGGCCUCCGCGUCCUGUUGGAGGUGCAGGUCAAGGCCGCCGAGGGCGCGGCAAGAGCGACGACUCAGCACGAGGCCGAGCUCAACUCGGUCAAAGGCAAAGCGGCCGGGCUUGAGGACGAGUUGGCCGCCGUCUGGGAAGAGCUCGCCAAGGCCGGUGAGGCCAACGCGGCCCAGGCCUUAGAGCUUGCGAAGCUGGAGGGCCGCGUCAGCAAGGCCAAGAAGGCCGCGCAAGACGCCCGACUCCAUCACAGCACGCUGAUCGGGCAGCGGCAGCUCGAGACGGAGAAGCUGGCGAAGAUCGCCGGGUCGCUGCGCGACCUGCUGCCCAAGUUCGAGCUACAUGCGGCGGAGGUGGACGGCACGGACGUCAUGACGCUGAUCCCCUUCUUCUCCGACUUGUUGGGGAAGCUCGGGGCGCUCGACGUCUGGAUCGCCAAGUAUGGCGCCAACGAAGUCGCCAACUGCGCCCGGGAGGUUGCCGGGACAAUCCUCCCACAGAUUCAUCUGCGGGACCCGGAAUUUCCCUUCGAGUCCCUGCUGGACGCUUGGUCCGACAGCGGGGACGAGCCCACGCACACCCAGGCAGUGCGCGAGUUCGUCGACGAGGUCGUCGAGCGAAUGCAGAUGAAGCCGGAGCCUGAACCCCCUGUCGACCCCCCGGCCGAAGACGGCGACAGCUAGCUGCCGCAGCCCCUGGCUAUAUUCGUUGCUUCCCCUGUACCUCUUUCUUGUUUGCUUUACCUGCAAGUAUGGCGCUUAGCACCGUUUGGACAAUGACCUUUUGAUUAGUAGUCCAUGUAACCACUUGACACCUAGUCAAUCAAGCUUGUUAGUUUGCUCAAUUUUUGUCCUUUAUUCCCAAGGCCGCCUCGCGGGGUGGUUCCCAUAGCCUGUGCGUGUCUUGCCUUGUGUUGCGGGGGGACUCGCACGCGCCUCACCCUUGACCAGACCAAGGACCCGGGACGGACCCGCAGUGCCGACCUGGGGCCAAGCGGUAGCGGGGAGUCACUCCGGUUGCGGGGUAACUACUCCAAGCCGUGUCCUCCCGGGGCGGACCCGGGAGCCACACGGGGAGCGGACUCCCCCCGCAAGCGUCCCUUCUAACACCCCGGCUACGCGCGGGAUCUGGGGCCGCACCCAGCGGGGCAAUGCUCAGUUUCGUUCAGCUCUUAGCGAAUUCAGCGUUCAUGUUUAGAUACUUAGCUUUUCCGUUUGGUCCGACGUUCCGCGAUGCUCUGCGGUAGAGUGCAGACGGGGCGCCACCUCGGUAGGAAACCAUCCGGGGUACCUGUUCAAGGGAAACGAUCUCAGAGGGAUGCGGCAGGAACGCGGGGGCAGGAUCGCCGCCAGCGGCAACCGCCGUCGACGAUGCUACCACCACGCUAACGCGGCAACCCUCGCCCUCAGGGGCAGACCCUGGCCUUAAGGGACGAACCCUGGCUUAGGAGGACUCCGCUCCGGGAGCAGCUGCGAGACGGCUAUAGCGUCCUCGGCGCCGGCUUCGCCACACCCCACACAGCGGGUACGGGUGACGAGGAAGUUAUAGCCUUCCAGCGACAGCCCCCGCAACUGGGGAGACUUGGGUUUUCUCUAGGGGACUCGCCCCAAGGGAUGCGACGACCCUUGUUACCCGGGAGCUAAACUGCUAGAGGGCCGCGGCAAGGACGUGGUGAUGGGCCGGAACGAGCGACGAGCGCCGGCACCGGCGCCAUCACGGCGUCCUCGCAACGACCCGCGCCCGAAAAAGACUCUCUCAAAGGGAAUGCGGCCGGGUCUCUGUGGUAGUGCACCCACCGGCAGAAGGGACGGAUGGCACACACUACCAUAGAGUCUCCGCGAUCGACCCUGCUCCUUGCGGAGGUGUCCUACGGAGGGGGGCGACAAGGGCACUGUGGCACUGCACCCCGUCGGUGCCGGACGCGGACGGGACGCACCGCCACAGUGCCUUUGCGGCGACCCUCGCCCCAGAACCGCCCCUUUGAGGAAGCGCAGCAGGGGCACAACGACAGUGCACCUGUCGGCGCGGGAUGCCGAUGGCACGCACUACCACCGUGCCUCUGCGGCGCCCCUCGGGGUGGGCUCGAUGGGGUGAUGCGGCAGGGGCGCGUUGGCGGCACAUCCGCCGGCGCCUAGCGCCGGCGGGAAGCACCACCUGCUUUCACGGCCCCGAACCCGGCUUCGCUCUGAGCAAUUCCAUGGUUGGGGCGUGCCUUUUAUAGACACGGGGGGGGUGGGGGGGGGGCUUGCCACCGCGCGUCACCGUGGCGCCUUUUCUCCGAACGCGGCACACGUCGCGGCCAGCCGCCAACUCAGAAGCCUCGGAGUGCGGUGAAACCCUUGUGUUGCAGUCCUCCCGCACCACAAGGCACCGGUGUAUGGUGCGACCCGUGGGCAGCUCACGGGCACCACAGUGUACAAGAUUCCUCCCUUUCCUGCAGGUUAGACUCUUACCAGAUCCGAGGUGCUGAAAUUUUUUCGAAACUUACGAAAACAAGUAACAUAGGUAAAUCAGAUAAAUCUCAUCUCUCCUGCUUCCUAGCCCCCGGCACAAAGGGGUCGAUGCCAAACUUGGAUGUGAGCGUUUCCUUCCCGGGCGCAGCAACUGCGCAGUGCAGGCGGCGGGAGGCCGAGCAACCGCAUGCCUAGUGGUGCACGUUGCGGGAAGCCCGCCAACGGCACGACCAGUGAUGCACGUUGCGGGAAGCCCGCCAACGGCAUGGUCAGUGCCGGAACGAUCCGGCAACGGGUUUUCGUUUCGGGGCCACGGCAGCCCCUUGCUCACAACCAAGUAGUGAAAGACACCUUUGUGCAUUUAGAGCAGGAGGCAAGAUGGGGAAAACAAGCGAAUGAACAAGGCAAGAACAAAGCUCAGGGGUGAAACACUUAUCUUUAUUCACAGUUAACUAGCGGUUUACACACGGGGGCUGCUCGGUUACACUAGUUCGAGAGGUAUGCAUCGGAGGCAUCACCUGAGGGUCGGGCUCUGCCGCUUCACGGGUAGAACUUGUGCAAGUGUUCAAUAUUCCAGCUAUUGGGCACCGGCAAGCCGUCUUCGGUUUCCAGGCGGACAGCCCCCGGCCUGGUCACCUGCACUACCCGGAAGGGGCCCUCCCAUUUCGGAGUCAACUUGUUCCCGGCCUUCGUUCCUUGUAUCGGACGCAGGACAAGGUCUCCGUUCUCGAGCCCCCGGGGACGGACUCGUCUGUCGUGAUAACGACGGAGUCCCUGCUGGUAGCGUGCGGCUCGCACAGCAGCCCGGCACCGAAGCUCUUCGAUGAAGUUUAGAUCGUCGACCCUUUGCUCGUGUUGGCUGGUGUCGCCGUACGAGCGUACUCGGGGAGAUCCGUACUUGAGCUCGAGGGGCAGCACCGCUUCUGCCCCGUAGACAAGGACGAAAGGAGUUUUGCCCGUUGCCCGACUAGGUGUGGUCCAGACGGACCACAGCACGGGCUGGAGUUCUUCGAUCCAGUGCUUUCCGUGGCCUUUGAGCUUGUCAAAGGUUCUCGUCUUGAGCCCCCGCAGAACCUCUGCGUUGGCUCGCUCCGCCUGUCCGUUGCUCCUCGGGUCAGCGACGGACGCGAAGCGCAACUUAGUGCCCAUGUCUUCGCAGUAGGCGCGAAACGCUGCGCUCGUGAAUUGCGUGCCGUUAUCGGUGAUGAUGCUGUUGGGAACCCCGAACCGGCACACAAUGCCCUUAAGGAACUUGAUGGCCGCCUGGUGAUAGCCUCGAGGGUGUCCCGAUCUUUCGAUGAGAUACCUAAUUAUCGAUUUGGUAGGAGGUGACGUUGACGAUCCGACUACAACCUAGGAGGCAGCGCCUUAGCGAUCGAUACACCAACUCCAGAAGGUUAUUGAUCCCGCGGGGGCACGAUCAACCUGACCACGAAGGUCUUUGUUCCUGCAAGCAAUCGAAGAACAAGCAAGAACAAGAUGAAAAGCAAUCUGAAAUUGUGAAUAGGAGAUAUGAAGGUUCACGAAUCUGAAUACUCAAUAUAGUUGGAGUCUUGAUGAUGGUAAAACAGGUGGUCUAACCGACACACGCGAUUACACGAAAGUAGCAAAGGCUAAACUUUAUCUAAUCAAAACCCAAGGCUCCAUAGGGGGGCUCAUGGGGUAUAAAUAGGAGGGGAACUAGGUGGUUUUCGGCCAGGCCCUGUGGGACUCCGAAACGGCCUAGGAAUCCUCCUAAAACACAACAAAAAAUCUAAUAAUUGGCUGGACCCUAUUACAUGGCCUUAGGCCCAAUAAAACAAGGUUAUAACCCUCAUCUUUGGCCCAUAGAUACCCUUUGGAGGGGGAAUCCUCACUUGGCCGAAAUCCCAUUGAUGAAGAGGAUGCGGCCUUCUUCUCAUCUCUUUAUGGCGGUUUCAAUGUUCUGAAAUCAACACUUGAGCUAACUCCCGCCACCUUGCUGCCACCUCCAUGGUUUGCUGUCCAACGCUGAUCCUUGAGGUCCAAGCUAGGUCCUUCAUUCCUAAAACACAUAAAAGAACCCAUCUUAGGCAGCAGCAUAUUCUCAUUAAUAUUAAAUGAAGUAUCGAUGAACGAAAGUACCUGAUAAUUUAGUUGUCGUGCACGAGCCCUAGUAAUUGGUCCAUGUAUCUCCGGUACUUGAGGUGUAGGUGCUGUAGGGGCUGUGGUUGUAUCAUUAGUUGGAAUGUCCUCAUCAUCCUCCCCUUCUUGAAUCGAAGUCGUCCUCGACGGUAGUUCAUCUUCUUCUCCCAAAUAAGGCUUCAAAUCUGCAAUAUUAAACGUGGGACUAACCCCAAAAUCUGCAGGUAGCUCAAGUUUAUAUGCAUUAUCAUUAAUUUUCGCUAACACCUUAAAGGGACCAUCAGCUCGUGGCAUUAACUUAGACUUGCACAAAUCAGGGAAACGAUCUUUGCACAAAUGCAACCAAACAAGAUCUCCAGGUUCAAACACAACUUGUUUUCUGCCCCUAUCUCCCGCAAGUUUAUACUUAGAAUUCAUGCGCUCAAUGUUCUCUUUAGUCGUCUCAUGCAUUUUUAUUAUAAGUUCAGCACGUUCCUUAGCAUCAAAGUUAACUUUUUCAGAAGUUGGCAAAGGUAACAAAUCUUGCACGAGGUAUAAAACCAUAAACAAUUUCAAAAGGGCACAAUUUUGUGGUUGAAUGCAGUGAACGAUUAUAAGCAAAUUCAAUAUGAGGUAAACAUUCUUCCCACAUUUUCAAGUUCUUCUUUAAAACAGCCCUAAGCAUAGUAGAUAAUGUUCUAUUAACAACUUCAGUUUGUCCAUCUGUUUGGGGAUGACAUGUAGUACUAAAAAGCAAUUUAGUCCCCAACUUAGCCCAUAAACAUCUCCAAAAGUGGCUAAGAAAUUUUGUGUCACGAUCUAAAACUAUAGUAUUGGGCACACCAUGCAAGCGAACAAUUUCACGAAAGAAUAAAUCAGCAACAUUUGUAGCAUCAUCGCUCUUAUGACAAGGUAUAAAAUGUGCCAUCUUAGAAAAUCUAUCAACAACAACAAAUAUAUAUCUUCCCAAGGAACAUUAGGAACAGGGAGAGGCAUAUAUAAACCAUGAGGAUUGAGUCGUGACUUAGCUUUUUGACAUGUAGUGCAGCGAGCGAUAAAUCUCUCAACAUCCCGUCUCAUCCGAGGCCAAAAGAAAUGAUCAGCGAGCACAUCUUCGGUCUUCUUCACGCCGAAGUGACCCAUCAACCCUCCUCCAUGUGCCUCCUGUAACAACAAAAGAUGAACGGAGCUAUCUGGGAUGCAUAGCUUGUUAGCACGGAACACAAAUCCAUCAUUAAUGACGAACUUGUUCCAUGUUCUGCCCUCUUUACAAUGCUGCAAAACAUCCUUAAAAUCUGCAUCAUGUUCAUAUUGUUCUUUUAUAGUCUCCAAUCCAAAUAUCCGAAAAUCAAGCUGAGAUAACAAGGUAUAACGACGUGAUAACGCAUCAGCAAUAACAUUAUCUUUACCCUUCUUAUGUUUAAUAACAUAUGGAAAAGGCUCAAUAAAUUCAACCCAUUUAGCAUGACGACGGUUCAGCUUUGCUUGACUACGAAUAUGCUUCAAAAAUUCAUGAUCAGAAUGUAUAACAAAUUCUUUGGGCCAUAAAUAAUGUUGCCAUGUUUCUAAAGUCCGAACGAGAGCAUAUAAUUCCUUAUCAUAAGUAGAAUAAUUCAGACUAGGCCCACUCAAUUUUUCACUAAAGUAUGCAACAGGUUUUCCGUCUUGUAACAACACACCUCCUAAACCGAUUCCACUAGCAUCACACUCCAACUCAAAACUCUUAUUAAAAUCAGGAAGUUGGAGUAAAAGAGCAUGUGUCAACUUAUCUUUCAAUAUGAGAAAAGCUUCUUCUUGUGCAGCGCCCCAUACAUAUGGAACGUCCUUCUUUGUGAGCUCAUUAAGCGGUGCAGCAAGGGUGCUGAAAUCCUUUACAAAGCGGCGAUAAAACCCAGCGAGUCCAAGAAAGCUCCUCACUUGGGUGACUGUUGUUGGAGUUGGCCAGCUUUGAAAAGCGUUGAUCUUGGCCUUAUCAACUUCUAUGCCCUGUGGAGUGACAACAUAGCCAAGAAACGAAACUCGAUCGGUGCAAAAGGUGCACUUCUCAAGGUUACCAAACAAACGUGCAUCUCUCAAAGCAUCAAAAACAGCACGUAAAUGAUUCAAGUGGUCUUCUAAAGAGCUGCUGUAAAUCAAUAUAUCAUCAAAAUAAACCACCACAAAUCGUCCUAUGAAAGCACGUAAAACUUCGUUCAUUAACCGCAUGAAAGUGCUAGGUGCGUUAGUAAGACCGAAAGGCAUGACUAACCACUCAUAUAGUCCAAACUUAGUUUUAAAUGUUGUUUUCCAUUCAUCGCCUAAUUUCAUUCGAAUUUGGUGGUAACCACUACGUAAAUCAACUUUAGAGAACACGGUAGAGCCACUUAAUUCAUCUAACAUAUCAUCAAGUCUAGGAAUUGGGUGACGAUAGCGAAUAGUAAUGUUAUUAAUAGCUCUACAAUCUACACACAUACGCCAAGAACCAUCUUUCUUUGGUACCAAAAUAACAGGAACAGCACAAGGACUAAGGGAUUCACGAAUAUAACCUUUGUCGAGCAAUUCUUGAACUUGUCGUUGAAUCUCCUUCGUCUCCUCUGGAUUGGUACGGUAGGGCGCACGGUUGGGCAGCGAAGCACCAGGAAUUAAAUCAAUUUGAUGUUCAAUCCCUCGAAUAGGUGGUAAUCCUGGUGGUACGUCUUGUGGAAAGAUGUCGGAAUACUCCUGCAAAACGUGAGUAACAGCAGGGGGCAAAGAGGGAGGCAUAUCCUCAAAUGAAAACAAAGCCUCUUUGCAAAUGAAUGCAUAGCAAACAGAAUUAUUCGUAUCUAACUCAGAAAUAUCGGAUUUACUUGCAAGCAAGCAUGCACCUUUCAAUUUAAUUUCAUUAACAUGUUUCGGUUCAGAUUUGCUAGUAGACGCUUGGUGCUUAAAUUCUUUAGCGACAUUAUGGUUCUCACUCUUAUCCUUCUCUUUGCUCUUUGCUCUACUAGCUCUAGCAAGAUCAUCUUUCACAAUUUGUUCAGGAGUCAUAGGUUUCAAACCAAUUUUCUUACUAGCAUGCAUAAAAAAAAUAAUGAUUAGUUCUACCAUGAUGAACAGAAUCUGUAUCAUAUUGCCAUGGACGACCGAGUAACAUAGAACAUGCUUGCAUAGGUACCACAUCACAAUCCACAAAAUCAAAAUAUGUACCAAUAGUAAAGUGUGCACGGACUGUUCUAGUUACCUUGAGCUUACCGCUGUUGUUAAACCAUUGAAUGUAGUAAGGGUGGGGGUGCGGCCUGGUGGUAAGAGCAAGUUUUUCCACCAUCUCCGUGCUGGCCAAAUUAUUGCAACUUCCCCCAUCUAUGAUGAUACGAACAGCGCGCUCCUUGAUGACCCCUUUUGUUUGGAACAAGUUAUGCCGCUGAUUUUGUUCGGCGUGGCUCAUUUGGACGCUCAAGGUGCGUUGUGCAAUCAAACUCAAGUACUGAUCAGCGGCUUCAGCUCCCAUUAACUCCUCGUCAUGGUGGGCAGCGGGGUCUUCUUGCUCUUCCUCCGCAAUGAGAGCAUAGGUAGCUUCGUCAAAAUCACUGGCUGAAUCAUAUACUCCGUCUUCACGUAUGAUCAUAACGCGUUUGGUUGGACAGUCCCGCUGAAAAUGCCCGUAUCCUUUGCACCUACGACAUUGGUUAUCUCCGGUCCGUCCGGUGGAAGCAACGGACGCUGCUGAACUUUGUGCAGAGGCAGCGGGUGUAUUUCUUGUUGCUGCUGGUCCAACCUUUGCGGAUGUAGGUGUAGAGGUACUUUGCUUGUUGGUGGAAGUAGUCGGAACAGCCGGACGUGUAGGGGGUGCAGCUGGGCGUGUGGAAGGGGCAGCGGGGCUGCGUGCUGCCCAUGAGGAAGUACGACCUGCAGAAAAGUUAGUCCGCGCGUUCGCGUGUCGUCCCUGCACUUCCCUUUCAGCUUUGCAAGCAAUGUGAAACAAUCGAUUGAUAGAAUUAUACUCCUUAUAAUCAACAAUGUCAGCAAUUUCACGAUUUAAACCACCAAAGAAUCUAGCCAUAGCAGCUUCCUCAUUCUCAACUAAACCACAACGUAACAUGUUCUUUUGCAUUUCUUGAUAAUAAUCUUGGACAGAAUUACUACCUUGCCUUAAUUGUUGUAGUUUCUUUAACAAGUCACGCGAAUAGUAUGAAGGGAACAUAUCUAGCGCGCAUAAUUUUUUUCAAAUCAUCCCAUGUUGGUGGUAUAGCGUUAGGAUGUGCAAUACAAUACUAAUGCCACCAAACAGAAGCAAAAUCAGUAAACUCAUUAGUAGCAGCCCUAACCCUCUUAUUAGCAGGAAAAUCAUGGCAAGUAAAUUUUUGACUCAAUUCUAAUUCCCAUGUAAGGUAAGCAUCAGGGUCAUAUUUUCCAUCAAAAGGAGGAACCUUAAGUUUAAUAGAAUGCAGCGCGUCAUGUUCCUCUCUGUGAGGUCGUGUCGGUCCCAUACCUCGGCGGUUGAAACGAGUUCGGCGAUGAUCACGGUCGUUGUGAUGGUUUACGGCCCCGUCAUGUUCCGUAUCCGCGGAGUAGUCGUCGUCGCUCUCCUCAACCUCGCUUGCGAAGGUACCGUUAUUAGCGGUCCGCUGGUUGUGUGUAUUGUUUCCUCCCGGUGUAGCGAUGGUCGUUGCAGCAAUUGCCGCCAGUUGCAUCGUGAUUUCUGCCAGAGAAGUACUGAUGGUAGCAACAGAAUUAUGUAAAGAUGUUAGCUUGGUAUUUGUUUCAAUGUGCGCGCUCUCCAAGGUUCCAAGUCUCUCAUUCGCAACCCGAACGUCCUCAUCCAGCUCCUCGUUACGGAGCCUAAGCUUGCGAUCAAAAUGUGAAAUAAUGCCCUUUGUGCGUGGAGAGUGGCCCUGUAAAUCAUCGUCAGAACCUGCCAUCGUUAGGAGAAAACAAGAAACAAAUCACAAGGAAAAGUCCCUAUGCACUACUAGGAUGUGGGGUUCCAAAGAUCACUCCACUCAACUUUUAAUCAAGUUCUUACUCAUUCUUACCCAGCAAACAGGAAGGUGAUGGCCAGCGGCGAGAACAAGCCCUCCGAAGAUUAGUGUAUCGAUGCCUCGAGGCAAACCAACCUAGGUGUAGAAUCUGUGGAGCUUGGAGGCUUAUGUGAGUAGCAAGGAAAAGCGAAUAAUCAAAUCAGCAACGCAAAGUUGAAAUAUGCUCAAAAAUGCUAGUCCUAGUUGCUGGAGUUGACAAGAACGAAUUACAGAAAUUAACUAAGCUUAGAUACUGAAAAAGGUAAAAAGGAAAGAUCAAAUGAAAGGUAAAACAAGUAAAUAUCUGGGGAACAUUUUUUUCUCUUUUUUUUUUCUUUUUGUGGCCUUCCGUUUGGCUUCUUAUUCUUUUCUAUUCUUUUUCUUUUUUUUUUAACCCCAAAAACUCACGCAAAAGAAGUUAAGACCGGAAAGCUGCACGUCUGUCUAUAAGAGAAUAGCAAAGGCUGUAGUAAGGAAAACUCAGAAAAAUAUGAGAAAAUAUGGGUUAGAAGCUUAUCAAAACAAGCUUUCCAACAAGUGCAAGAUCACUCGAAACGGAGGUCGGACGGUGGAAAAAACUGAGAUAUACUGCGCUGCCCCGGUGCCGUAAAACGGGUGCAGAAAUUUUGGAGCUCGAAAAGUCCACCUUAGAAGCCGAAUUUGAGGGUCAAAGUACAGGGCAGCGCCCUGGAUAUUUCCUGAUGCGCCUCGUCGUGAGCUUUCCAAAAAGUCCAAGAACGUCCAAAUCCGAGUUGGUAUGCAAAAGAUACGUCCGUUUUACUGAACACGGGUCAAACCCACCCGAAACUAAAAUUCUACUCGGACUCGGGUCCGAAACUGACUCGAACUCUUUCUCUUUUUUUUUUGUUUUUUUUCUUUCUUUCUUCCUUUUUUUUUCUUUCCCUUCUUUUUUUUUCACAACUUUCCGAACAAUUUGAUCUCUAAACAAAAUUCGAUCUAUUAUGAAACACUUUCCAAAAGCACUCUUGAUUGGACUCGGACUCGAACUCGCGGCUGAAAACUAUAACUUGCCGACUCGAUGUAGGACUCGACGAGGGAUUCAGUGUAGGACUCGAAGAGGGACUCGGUGUAGGACUCGAAGAGGGACUCGGUGGAAGAUAUGUUGGCGGCGGAAGAUUAUGGCGGUGGUGUGGCAGGAAGUUUGGCAGCGGAAGAUUGAUGGAAAGCCUGCGUCACACGAAAUGAAAAAACAAAAACAAGUUCGAUCUAGUAGAAAAAAUCUGAAAAACGAUCCAAUCUAAUCCAGCAACUCGACACGAUUAAUGCAGCAAAGAUUCAACAAUGCAAAUACUAAUGUGAAAAUUGCAAGGCUCAGAUUGGUUCUAGGACAAGGUAACUAAUUCUAAUUUUUGUUUGGCUUUUUCUGGACGAUAGGUAAAAACAGAUCUAAACUACGGAUAAACUGGAAAAAUCUCACCGAGCAACCUUAAGCUCUGAUACCACGUGAUAGCCUCGAGGGUGUCCCGAUCUUUCGAUGGGAUACCUAAUUAUCGAUUUGGUAGGAGGUGACGUUGACGAUCCGACUACAACCUAGGAGGCAGCAUCUUAGCGAUCGAUACACCAACUCCAGAAGGUUAUUGAUCCCGCGGGGGCACGAUCAACCUGACCACGAAGGUCUUUGUUCCUGCAAGCAAUCGAAGAACAAGCAAGAACAAGAUGAAAAGCAAUCUGAAAUUGCGAACAGGAGAUAUGAAGGUUCACGAAUCUGAAUACUCAAUAUAGUUGGAGUCUUGAUGACGGUAAAACAGGUGGUCUAACCGACACACGCGAUUACACGAAAGUAGCAAAGGUUAAACUUUAUCUAAUCAAAACCCAAGGCUCCAUAGGGGGGCUCAUGGGGUAUAAAUAGGAGGGGAACUAGGUGGUUUUCGGCCAGGCCCUUGUGAGACUCCGAAACGGCCUAGGAAUCCUCCUAAAACACAACGAAAACAUCUAAAAAUUGGCUGGACCCUAUUACAUGGCCUUAGGCCCAAUAAAACAAGGUUAUAACCCUCAUCUUUGGCCCAUAGAUACCUUUUGGAGAGGGAAUCAUCCACUUGGCCGAAAUCCCAUUGAUGAAGAGGAUGCGGCCUUCUUCUCAUCUCUUUAUGGCGGUUUCAAUGUUCUGAAAUCAACACUUGAGCUAACUCACGCCACCUUGCUGCCACCUCCAUGGUUUGCUGUCCAACGCUGAUCCUUGAGGUCCAAGCUAGGUCCUUCAUUCCUAAAACACAUAAAAGAACGCAUCUUAGGCAGCAGCAUAUUCUCAUUAAUAUUAAAUGAAGUACCGAGGAACGAAAGUACCUGAUAAUUUAGUUGUCGUGCACGAGCCCUAGUAAUUGGUCCAUGUAUCUCCGGUACUUGAGGUGUAGGUGCUGUAGGGGCUGUGGUUGUAUCAUUAGUUGGGAUGUCCUCAUCACCUGGGCGGUCACCUUGCGCACUGGUUCCACCUCCACCCAUUUGGAGAACUUGUCGAUGGCCACAAACAAGUAUUCGUAACUGCCAACCGCCCUCGGUAGCUUGCCGACGAUGUCUAGUCCCCAGACCGCGAACGGCCAUGAGGACGGGAUGGCAUGCAGGGCCUGGGGUGGUUGGUUGCUCUUGUUCGAGUGGAACUGGCACGCUUCACACAUCCUCACCAGCCGCUCUGCGUCGGCCAGGGCCGUGGGCCAGUAAAAGCCAUGCCGGAAAGCCUUGCCGGCUAAAGCCCGGGAGGCCACAUGGUGUGAACAUGUGCCUCGAUGUAUGUCCUUCAAUAGUGCACACCCUUCCUCCUGCGGCACGCAAAAGAGUUUAACACCAUUCGCACGCCUGCGGUAGACGCUGCCGUCUAUCACGGUGUACAUCUUGGCUCGCCACGCUCCGCAGCGACGUCAUCCUCCGGGAGAGCCUCCCAUUUCAAAUAGCGGGCGAUCUCUUCCGCCCAGGGAGGAAUUUCUCUGCCCAUGCAUGCCGCCAUAUCAGCGGCAUGGACCCCUGCUGCUGCAGGGGUUCCCUCGGGUGCUGGAGGGGCGUCCCCGGCAGCCGUGUGGGGGGUGACUGAAGGAGCCAGUUGCUUCUGGCAGAACACCCCCGCCGGAGGCUUCCGGCGCUCUGCUGCCAUCUUGGCCAGCUCAUCAGCAGCGAAGUUGUCCUUCCGCUUGACGUGUUCGAAGCGCAAACCCUUGAACUUCCGUUCCAGCUUGCGGACCUCUUCCACGUACGGCACCAUUUGAGGGCAAUCGUAGUCCUUGCUCACCUGGUUGAUCACAAGCUGGGAAUCACCGCAAACAACCAGGCGCUUAAUGUCGAGGGCGACCGCUGCCCGCAGCCCGGCAAGCAGGCCUUCGUACUCCGCCGUGUUGUUGGUGGAGUUAGCGAAGUCGAGUUGGACGGCGAACCGCAGCAGGUCCCCUGUGGGUGACUCGAUGACGACCCCGGCUCCCGCUCCCUGGAGACUGAACGCACCGUCGAAGUAGAGGACCCAGUGGCCCUCGUCCAGCUUGCCGGGAAGGCCGGUCUCCGACUCACUUUCUUCUAUGCCCGUGGACGUCCACUCCGCAACGAAGUCCACCAGGGCCGUGCUCUUAAUGCUUUUGAAGUUGGCGAAGUGGAGGUCGAACUCCGACAGCUCCAUCCUACAUUCAGCCACUCUCCCGGUGGCUUCACGGUUGGUGAGGGUCUUCCCGAGGCAGAACCCGGACACCACCGUGACGCGGUGCACCUGGAAGUAGUGACGCAACUUGCGGGACGCAAGGAGAAUCCCCAGAAGGAGCUUCUGUACUUGCGGGUAUCUUGUCCGCGCGUCGCGCAACACCGUACUGACGAAGUACACCGGUCGCUGCACUAACCGCUUCCGCGGCGCCGAGGUUGCCGGCUCUGGGGUGGUCCCUGGGCUUGAGGUGGUUGCCGGAGGCUGCUCAUCCCCCUGCCCUGCCGCCCCAAUCCCCGGGACGUCUUCCUCCCUCUCGGCAACCAGCACCGAGCUGACCACCUGGUCAGUCGUCGCUAGGUAGAGUAGCAGCGGCUCGCCCAACUUGGGGGCGACGAGGAUGGGCGGUGACCUCAGGUAUCGCUUGAGUUCCUGCAGCGCCGCCUAGGCCUCGACAGUCCAGUCGACUGGACCCUUCUUCUUCAUUACCCGGAAGAAAGGCAGGGCACGCUCGCCCAGCCUGGAGAUGAAGCGUCCAAGCGCGGCAACGCAGCCGUUGAGGCGCUGGACAUCUUUCACCUUGCGGGGGGCCUCCAUCUUCUCAAUGGCUUCUAUUUUGGUUGGGUUGGCCUGUAUCCCCCGGUGUGAAACCAAGAAACCCAGAAGCUGCCCGGAGUUGACGCCGAAGGUGCACUUAUCCGGGUUCAGCCUGAGCUUGAUCUUGCGGAGGUUGUCAAAUGUCUCCCGCAGGUCAUCAAUCAGGGAGUCCCUACGCUUCGAUUUGAUGACGAUGUUAUCCAUGUAGGCCUCCGCGUUGCGGCCUAGCUAGGGCCCCAAACAUUCUCGCAGGGCGCGCUGAAAUGUGGAGCCCGCGUUCUUCAACUCGAAAGGCAUGCAUGUAUAGCAGUAGCAGCCAACCGGGGUGAUAAACACUGUCUUUUCCUCAUCCUCGACCGCCAUCUUGAUUUGAUGGUAGCCGGAGAAAGCAUCCAAAAAACUCAACAGGUCACAACCAGCGGUAGAAUCAACUAUCUGGUCGAUACGGGGUACAGGGAAGGGAUCCUUGGGGCAUGCACGAUUAAGAUCGGUAAAAUCCACGCACAUGCGAAGCUUAUUCCCCGCUUUGGGCACUACUACAGGGUUAGCCAAUCAAGUGGGGUACAAAACUUCCCUGAUCGCCCCGGCAGCCCUGAGCUUGCCCACCUCUUGCUUGAUGAAAUCUUUCCGCUCUUGUGCCUGCCGCCGGAUCUUCUGCUUGACGGGGUGCGCGUCCGGGCGCACCGCGAGCCGAUGCUCAAUCACCUCCCUGGGGACUCCGGGAAGGUCUGACGGUUCCCAAGCGAACACGUCGGCGUUUUCCCGGAGGAAGGUGACGAGUGCGCUUUCCUAUUCGGCGGUCAGGUUUGCACCGACGGUAACGGUGCGCUCCUUGUCGCCGGCUUGGAGGGGCAGCUUCUUCACUUUGGCGGCCUCCUCCCGGAGCCCCCGCCCCUUGCCGGGACGCGCGCUCGAGCCCGCACCUCCUCCGGCUAGCCCUUGCAGGGUGGCGCGGGCCUUCUUCGUUGCCGGGGCGUCACCCGGCAGGGCGUCGUCCCAGAACCCAAUUGUCGCACCGGGUGGUCGUCGGCUCUGAAGGUGAUCGGCACGUGCGACCACCUCAGCGGCUGUUGCAGCUCCGCGUCCGGCAACAGCGCGCACUUGUCGCGGGUGAGGCGCUUCACCGCGGCGUGUGAUGGGAGAGCGUAAGAUCCCCCAUGGAUACAGGCGACGCCACGAGGCUCCUGGAAGCCCGGCUCGUCGCCGCCGGAAUGGUCGGACUCGCGCUGCUCCUCGGCGCGCACCCUGUCGCGCCCGCGAGGAGGGCGUUCCCGCACAGCGAGGGGCUGGCUGCGCCCUCCUUGGGGUUCGACCCUGCCGGCACCCCCGCCCGCCGGCCUCAGACCCGCUCUGGGGUCGUUCGGGCAAUCUCGGGAGAGAUGCCCGAUGUCGCCACAAUUGAAGCAGGCGCCGGCGGCGCGGCGCUCCUCGUGGCGCUGCUCCCUCCGCUGCUUGAUCCCUUGCAGGACGCGGCAACUCUGCGUGUCGUGGGUGGAGUUGUUGUGGACAGGGCAGCGGGCCGCGUCACCCUGCUUCCCGCCAAACUCUCCCCUCGACGAGGCCUUCUUCGUGGGCCUCGCCGCAAGAGGCCCCGAGUCCGCAGCGAGGACUUGCUUCCCGCUGCGCUUACGGGAACCCUUCUUCCACGAGCCCUCACCAGGGCUCGCGCACUUGUGUGCCAAGGCGUACAAGUCCUGCGUCGUCCGGAUCCGAUGCGUGCUCAGCUUCUCACGCAUCUUGGGAUUGCGGACGUUGAUGGCGAAGGUGUUGAUGAUGGCGGCCGCAUCCGCCUCCGGGAUAGAAUAGGAGAGAUUGGAGAAGCGGUUGACGAAGGCCCGCAACGUCUCUCCCGAUUUUUGCACGAUGGUGUGCAGCUCCGCCAUGGUUCCCGGGCGCUUAUAGCCGCCCUGGAACGCGCUCACGAACUGCUCGCGCAGGUCUGCCCAGGUGGCGACAGAUCCGGCGGGCAGGUUGAGCAACCAGGUUCGCGCUGAUCCCUUCAGGACCAUCGGGAACCAGUUCGCCCUGACCUUGUCGUCGGCGCCGAUGGCAUGCAUGCCCAGCGUAUAGGUCAGGAGAAAAUCGUUGGGGUUAGCGGUCCCGUCGUACGUACUGAGCGCAGGCGCUCGGAACUUACGGGGCCACACCGCCUGCCGCAACUCGCGCGCGAACGCAGUGCAGCCGUCUUCUGGGCCCAAGGAAGCAUCUUCUUGCUCCAGUGGGUGUCGGCGCUCAACCUCACGCCGGCGCAGAUCCUCCUGUUGUCGGGCAUUCAAGAUGCCACGCGCAUCGCCCCCCAGGACGGUGGGCGAUGAAUUUGAGGACCCCUCCGGGCCCCCGUCUACCAGGCCCCGCUGAGGAGGGGGAGGGUUCUCCCCCUGUCGUGAGGCGGGCGGCGCGCCUUCGCGCUCUGAGUUCGGCCCGUGGCCGAAGCCUACCGGGGCGCCCUCGCCUUGCGGCUGUUGGGCGGCCAGGGCGACAAGCGCUUCCAACUCCUCGCCCCACGUCUCAUGCGCCGGCGUGCCCUGCUGCGGCUCGUACCGCACCAUGACGCGCGCGGCGACGAUGGCUUCAGCCGGGGUUCGCACGGGGGGCAACCGGUUUCCUGAACGGCUGCUUCCCGCCCUGGCCCCGGACGCCUCCGGGCGUGCAGGGUGCGAACCUCCAGGGGUCGCCCGGGACGCGGCGUGCUCCGGGUGCCGCUGCCGCGGGGCAUCCUCGGGUCGCGUCUCCACCCAUUGGCUGGCCCGGGCGACGCCAUGCAUGCUCUCCUGACUGCCCCCGGCGCAGGGGGCAGCCGGUCCCCUCGGCCGAUUGUCGGUCGACGGUCGGGGAGGCGGUGGUGGCAGCUGCGUUUGCUGCACCCUCGAGGGCUCGGGAUUCUCUUGAGCUCCCGACUCGGGUCGCACGUCGUGGGACCACAUGUGCGCCGCUGGGGCCUCACGCGGGUCUAUGUGUGAAUCACCAGCCCGCUUGGAGGGCAUGGUGACAAGGCUCGUCGACGAAGAAGAGUGAAGCCGAUGCCGAUGGGAACUUCCGCUGCCGGCGAUCUCCGGCGCCAUCCACUCCCGCGCCCCCUACCUGGCGCGCCAGAUGUCGUCGCUCGGUGCUCCGACACCGGGGGCGUGCAGCCACGUCCUCCUUUCAGGUUCGGUAGGGGCGUCUGGGGUGGAGAGCAGAUGAUCGCCGGCACGGCCGACGAGGCCCUACCGGGCCGGCGAGGCAAAGUGCUAGGGGUACGCGCUAGUCCAAGAACAGACGUACGCACGUUUUUUACCCAGGUUCGGGCCACCCGGAGGUGUAAAACCCUACGUCCUGCCUGUCUGAGCUGAUAUUGAUUACGGAUCAAAUGUUUACAGGUUGCCGGGCAAGCUCCCGUGCUUUCUCUCAGUGGCUAGGCACUUCCCGCUACUCUCCGCUGGCUGCCUACUGGAGCCAGUAAGCGUCUAUCGAGCGAGCUUCGUCCGAACCAACUAACCGACCAGCUGACUAACUUCUCCAACUGUCUGACCCGUCAACCCUCUCUUACCCCUAGACCGUUGGCAUGGGUCCUCCUUUUAUACACAAGGGGAUGCCACAUGUGCCACGGUGCAUGGGCUGCAAGUGUCCAACGGGGAGGCACGCAACUCUCCGUAGUGAGCUGGUGGCAUGCAUGGGUGCCACCUCCGCUGCUAGGGGCCUAAGACCCUAGGGUAGGAUUGGACAACCACUGUUCCUUCGACCCGACGGGUAACUACCCGUCGGUCGGCUCGUUUACUGAGCCGCGCGCCUUACUCCUUGCCUUGGUGGGACCGCGCGUUCCGCACCCGCCACGCGCCCGUGUGGCGCUGUCCAGUGGGCCCCACGACCCGAGGCGGGGGCACGCGUCCGGGAGCCUCCAGUCCCCGCAAGUCGGCCCGGGAAGCACCCGGGCCCAGCGCGCCCGGGAACCUCCUCCCGGGAAGCAGCUUCCCGGGAGGUGCCUAAUCGGGAAUAUUCCUGGAAGCCCCGCGAGCCCCUUUCAGGCUGGUAGCUUGCCGGGAAGCUCGUUGGCCCUCCCCGGGAUGAGACCUUCCCGGGAACCCCGAGGAGGGGGCCACGCGUCGCGCAGCGGUGGUACCCCGGGUGCCACUGGUGCGACAGGAUCGUUUUUCAGAUUUUUUCUACUAGAUCGAACUUGCUUUUGGUUUUCUUGUUCUUCGUGUGAUGCAGGUUUCCUUCAUCAAUCUUCCGCGCUAAACUCCCUGCCACACCACCGCCACGCCAUAAUUUUCUGCUACCCAAAUCGAGAGUUACAAAUCUCAUCGAAAGAUCGGGCCACCCCGACCCACAUCACGUGGUAUCCACCAUAUCUUCCAUGAGUCCCUCGUCGAGUCCUACACCGAGUCCCUCUUCGAGUCCUACACCGAGUCCCUCGUCGAGUCCUACAUCGAGUCGGCAAGUUAUAGUUUUCAGUCGCGAAUCCGAGUUCGAGUCCAAUCGGGAGAGAGUUGGGAAAGAGUUUCAGAAAGAGGAAAGAUAUUAAAAAAAUCUUGGAGAUCAAGUUGUUCGGAAAGUUGUGAUACGGAAAGAAAAAGGAGAGAAAAAAAAAAGACAGGGAGUUCAAGUAAAUUUCGGACCCGAGUCCGAGUAGAAUUUUAGUUUCGGGUGGGUUUGACCCGUGUUCAGUAAAACGAGCGUAUCUUUUGCGUACCAACUCGGAUUUGGACGUUCUUGGACUUUUUGAAAAGCUCACGACGACGCGCAUCAGGAAAUAUCCAGGGUGCUGCCCUGCACUUUGACCUUCUAAGGUGGACUUUUGGAGCUUCCAAGUUUCUGCAUCCGUUUUCCGGCAUCGCUGCAGCCCGAUGUUUUUCAGUUUUCUUCACCGUCCAACAUCCGAUUUGAGUGAUCUUGCCCUUGCGGGAAAGCUUGUGUCGAUACGCUUCUAACCCAUAUUUUUCCAUAUUUUUCCGGAUUUUUCUUACUGCAGCCUUUGCUGUUCUUCUAUGGACCGACAUACAAUUUUCCGGUCCUUCUUUUGCGUGAGUUUCUGGGGUUAAAAAAAAAGAAAAGAAGAAGAAGAAAAGAAUAAGAAGCCAAACAGAAGGCCACAAAAAGAAAAAGAAAAAAAAAUAAAAAAAUCCCAGGGAUUUACUUGUUGUGCCAUCUUUCUAUCCUACCUUCUUCGGUAUCUACGCUUAGAUUAUUUCUGUAAUUCGUUCUUAUCGACUCUAGCAGCUAGGACUAGCAUUAUUGAGCAUAUUACACUUGAUACAUCCAUGUAUUUGUCACAUGCAAUGUUUAAAGUUUCUGAAUUAACAAUUUCCAAAUCUUUUGCUAAUGCUCAUGGAUACGCUAUUCAUUUAAUUGGAGAACAUGAUGUGAACAAUAACUUUUUUUUGGAUGAAAUUUGCAUUACUUGUGAUAAUUUUCCUUUCUUGAGAGAAAAUAAAUUUUUGCAUAUGCCUAAUCAUUUUGAUAAGAGCUCCAAUAUUGGUGUUGAUUAUUUGCCAAGUAGUUCUUUACACGAUUGUUUGAAUAUCAGUGCUUUGACAUGCUCUAAAUUUCAGCAUCUUGUAAUAACUAAUUUGGGUAACAUUAAUUAUUAGUCUCCAGUGUUGGGAUGGUAUAAUGGUGAGCGGUGCAAACCAAAUAUAAGAUAUUGUUUUCACUUAUAUAUGCAAAACAUAUUGUCAAUCUUCUUGCUGGAAUGAUAUUCAUGAUGAUUGUUUGACUAAUUAUCUCAUGAGAUUGUGUUAUAAAACAUUAAUUAUGCAACAUGUGAGUGGAGUUAAAAAUAACGAUAUAUACAUAUAUCAUGCGCAUACCUUGUCUCUUUUGUUAGCAUAUUUUCAGCAUAAACGACGCCGAGGACGGCUUUCCUUUCAAAAAAGGGAGGAUGAUAUGGACAUGCUAACCAUGGAUACAACCAUUAGAACCCUAAUUGUUGGUGUAUCUAAUAACAAUUAUAAUCAGGUGAAUUCAAUUACAAAAUGUUUUCAAUAUGUUACUUGCAAAGAGGCGGAGCUACUAUCUUGUGUAAUCUUAUUAUGUAGGUAUCUUAUUGAACUUUACAAGUCCAAAGUGAAAAUGAAGUGUGAUAGCCUGCAAAGGGAGAUUCAAAGUGAAGCCUAUCAAGUCUACUUUCCAACAAAUCAAACGGCACAUGAUUCGGAGCUUGCUAGAGAAAGAUAUCACGAAUUAAAGUUGAAUCCGAUCCGGCUCCGAACUGUCAGGAGAUCCGAAUUUUUUUUAAUCACCCAGGCCCCAUCCGGAGUCCAAAUCAAGCAAACAAGUACUUGUUGGAAAGGUAAUUACAAGACCUUUCCAACGGAUCUGGCCCCAUCAAGAGAUUCGACUCGCGCUGAUCGUGGCGGACAAAACAAGCUGACGGAUCUGUUUUUCUGUUUCCUAAAGAGUUGUAGUUUGUUAGGAAAGUUAGAGAUAGAGUUGGAUUUCGGCCUCCUUACUCAAGGUGGACCAAAAUAUCUCUCCCUCCUCCUUUAUAUACCACAUGAGCCCCCCUAUGGAGCCUUGGGUUUUAUUUAGUUAAAAGUUAGCCAUCGCUACUACUUUGUGUAAUCACGUGUGUCGGCUAGACCACCUGUUUUACCGCUUUCGGAACCCCAACUUAUCAUCUCGUUGAGACAUUGGUUUGAUAGUAUAUUCGCAAUUUUAGAUUGCAUCUGCUAUUUAUCUUGUUCUUGCUUAUUCUUCGAUUGCUUGCAGGAACAAAGACCUUCGUGGUCAGGUUGAUCGUGCCCCCGCGGGAUCAAUAACCCUCUGGAGUUGGUGUAUCGAUUGCUAAGGCGCUGCCUCUUAGGCCGUAGUCGGAUCGUCAACGUCAUUUCUUAUCCAAAUCGAGAGUUACAAAUCUCAUCGAAAUAUCGGGCCACCCCGACCCACAUCACCCUGACUCCCUACUUCUAGCUUGGGGGAGAACUGGCGACCCAGCUUGGUAGCAUGGCCAGUGAGGGGGAAGCGGCUCCACAGUCGUUGACUCCUGCGCCAAGUCAGGAGGUGGGCCAAACUUGAAGUUUAGACUUCUUAGGAUUUCUCUUUUCCUCUUUUGUAAUUUCUCUUUGUUUGUAUGGUCCUUGCUCAAGUGUGAGCGUUGUUAAUAAAGAAACGCCUCUGUUCCUUUGUACUGAUAUGAGUCGGAGACCUUGCUUCUGGUUAGGCUUGAGUCUUUGAAUCCUUCUCGGGACUAAAGGGAAUUUCUCUUCUGCAGAGGCAGAAAGAGCCCAUGAUUCCAAUAGUCGAAGUAGACGCCGAGAAAGUCGUGACUCCCAAGUUGAGUAUCGCAAGUGCUGAGGUCUCUGCUAAAGUGAAUCCUCCUGAAGCUCCGAAAACCGUGGAGUCGAUGCCUCCUAUGGAGGUUCCUUCCUUGGUCAAGACUCGAAGUGAACUGGAGUUCCUACGUCGACGUCUCCAGGAAACCGAAACCCGUGCCAAGGACUCGGCAAUGCAGAGUCGGAGAACAUCAGGCGAGUUGCAGAUCGCCAAGACCAAGCUGAAGGCGGCUGCUGCCCGUGAAGAAUUUAUCUUCGAGGAACUUCACGGGCUGAGUUCUCAGCUUCAAUGUGAGUCGCCGCAUCCUAUUUGCUUGACUUCUUUUUUUUUAUUUGUGUUUUAGUCGAGUUGUUUGUAGAUGUGCAAACCAACCCACGAGCCGAGCAAGAUCGAGUGAACAGUGCCCUGAAUGCUCGUCAAACGAUCGAUUGAUCAUCGUUCUGAUCUGACCGAGUUCUACGACAAAAUAGCCCCGGGUAGAAAUGCUUUUCUUAGCACGCUUUUUACUUUCGUCUCUAUGUGCCCGACCCGUACCGUUAUCUGAGACGUUGUGUGAGUCGUCUCAAUUUCCAGCUUCUCCGCACGUACCGUGACUUUUAAAAAUAAAUAAGUCAUCUCAGAAAACUAAAGCCUUCGUCUUCUUCCAUAACCAACCUGAUGGAGGCGGACAAACCCUAGAUGAGUCCCGUAGGUUCCCGUCCUGGCGGCUGGCGCCCCUUGCCGGCAAACUCUCCCCUUCUGCACGUGAGUUCCAUCCUCCUCUUUCCGAAGUUCUUUGGAAUUACCGGAUCUCUUUUCUGUCAUACCCCUGGAGGCACCCUGCUCCAAGAUCGAUCCAUCAGGACGGCCUGAGCGACCUAUUCCCUGCGGCUGGUCUCCUGUGCAACAACCCAAUCCAGCCAUCCAGGCCAUCCACGAAGGUGCACAACCGUCCGCCUCCCCCUCAUCUCCCCUCUCAGAUCUCUGAUUUUGUUUUCUUGUAUGCUGCAGAUCUGUACUUUAUGUGAUUGGGUUGUCAUGGCAAUUGUUGUUGAGAUAAGAUAAUCCAGCGCUGACAAUCACGAGACAGGAGAAAAACAAGUAAAUUUUUAUUUACCAUUGCCUCACUUGAAUUGAUUGUGCCUGUUCAGGCUUGUUUCAGUUAAUUGUGAUCUUCAGGUCACUCGGCUGCAGGACAGCCAUGCCACAUUCAACAGGUGAUCGACCAGUUCAUCUAUGAAAACUGAGGUAUUUUAUUAUUUUUGUUACAGUUAUCUGAUCAAGUACGCCCAAUAAAAAGAUUAGCCAUGUCGCUUGUGUAAUCAAAAUAAUUUUUUGCUCCAGGGAAUCUAACUCCGCUGACAUACCCAUGUACUAUAGCUUGAUGCGUAAUUACUUUUUGCAUCGUAGGAAUUCAACUCUGAUGCCAUAAUUUAUACCCAGAAUUUACUACUUUAGUAGAAUUUGUAUCCAGAAUUUAUUUAUGCCUCAUUUAACUUUAUUUGCAGAAGAACUUCCAUGGGAGAAUUUGCAAGGAGCACAAGAAAUGGCCUUAAGGAAAAGCUAUGAAAAGAUACAAGAGCAGAGCAGAGAAGAUUGGGGGAGCAGAUCCGCGUGUAGAUAUAUAGGUUUCAACUAGUUAGCAUUACAUUAUAUAUUUUUCCAGUGACCUGUGCAAUGUUUUAUGGAUCUUGUACCUUUCAGUUGUAAAGAUUGUUUUUUUAUAAUAUAAUUUCUUAUUCACCACCGUGUUAUGAUUUGUGAGUAGAAGUAAGAUUAUUUCUUGGGUAUUAAUUGGCCAUAUCUAAUUACAUAAAUUUAAACACAUCACCUUGUAAAAAAAGAAAAUGUCUCUAUGAGUUCUUUGGCACGCAAUAAAGCGGCUCAACAUAAGUAUCGACGAGUGUGCAGGUGCAACUAUCAUGAAUUUACCAAUACGUCUCAACUGGCAUAGACAUGCUCUUAAAACGUCUCACUAUCAGAUAGAGAUGCUUUCUAUGCGUAUCUACAAAUUUUGACACGGUGCGGGAGGAGGCGCUUCUAGGACGCUUUACAAAGCGACUUUACAAUCUUGUAGAGAUGAAUUAAAGCGUCUUUAACACCUAUAUUAGAUGUCCCUACAAGGCUAUUUUGCGAGCAAGGGGUCGUGACCGGAUGCUGCUGCGAGACCGCAUAGACCAGAACAAAACCUUCUUCGACUCGCACUUAGAAACUCUAAAGACGAUUCAUCAGGCAUUCUGGCCCUUGGAGGAGGUGCCCCAGGAGCGGAGUAAGCUGACCCGAAAACUUGGGCAAGAUAGCAUCUUCCGGGAGCUGAUGUACCGUCAGCUGGUCAGGGGAGCGAAGAUAGCCCUGGCGUUCGUGUAGAUCUAGCACCCUCUGCUCGACCUCAGCUGAAUCUCUGAGCUUCCGCUCGACCCUGACGAUGAGAUCGACAUGCGACCGCAUUUCCAGGCUGUGUAUGUGCAGGCGGCGAGGAUCAUCGGCUGGCGAUACUGGAAGGAAGAAGAUCUUAUUUCUCGACAGCAAUCACAGUGUUAACUGUCGAGCCCACCGUAAAUAGCAGUAGAGUAGAUUCUACCGGGUGCGCGACCAGCGCUCCCGGUGGGAGUAGGCCCUAAGUCUGGUGACGACUGUUUGUAGUGGUGACCGGACUCAAGUUAUGUACUCAAAGACUUGCUUACAAAGGGUUGUUCUGUUCUUGUUAGAAAGAACUUUGUGUAACCUAAACCGUAUUUGAAUAUAAAUUUGAACCCGAAGACUGCCGGUGGGAGCGACCGGCGAAGUGGUGUACCCGGGAUGCACACAAACCAAGAACGCAUGCACGCACGUUUUUACCCAGGUUCGGGCCACCCGGAGGUGUAAAACCCUACGUCCUGCCUGUCUGAACUAGUAUUGAUUAUGGAUCAAGUGUUUACACCUUGCCGGGGGAGGGUCCUCGGGCUCUCUCUCCUUUCUUGCUAAAUGCUACUUACUAUUCUUCGACUAAGACUAGUUGUGAACUGUGAGUCCAUGUAACCGUGUGACCGUUGAACCCUUUGACCAUUGGCGGGAUCCUCCUUUUAUUCUCAAGGUGAAGCCACAGGUGCCACGGUGCAUGCACUAUAAGUGUCGAACGGGGAGGCAUACAACUCCCCCUCGGUGAGCUGGUGGCAUGCAUGGGCGCCACCUCCGCCGAUAGGGGCCUAAAACCCUAGGGUAGGAUUGGACUGCAACUGUUCACCUGAUUCGGACGGGUAACGCUCCUCCUGUCGGCUCAUUUAAUGAGCCGUGCGCCUCACUCCUCGCCCUGGUGAGGCCGCGCACCCGGCGCCCGCCACGCGUGAUAUGGGUGUGGGUGGCCCGAUCUUUCGAGGAGAUUGAUAACCCUCGAUUUGGGUAGGAGGUGACGUUGAUGAUCCGACUACGGCCUAAGAGGCAGCGUCUUAGCAAUCGAUACACCAACUCCAGAAGGUUAUUGAUCCCGCGGGGGCACGAUCAACCUGACCACAAAGGUCUUUGUUCCUGCAAGCAAUCGAAGAAAAGGGAAGAACAAGAUAAAUAGCAGAUGCAAUCUCAAAUUGCGAAUAUACUAUACCAAACAAAUGUCUCAACGAGACGAUAAGUUGGAGUCUUGACGACGGUAAAACAGGUGGUCUAACCGACAUACGCGAUUACACGAAACUAGUAAAGAUGGCUAAACUUUAUCUAGUCAAAACCCAAGGCUCCUUAGGGGGGCUCAUGGGGUAUAUAAAGGAAGAGGGAGAGAUAUUUUCGUCCACCUUGAGUAAGGAGGCCGAAAUCCAACUCUAUCUCUAACUUUGCUAACAAACUACAACUCUUUAGGAAACAGAAAAACAGAACCGUCAUCUUGUUUUGUCCGUCACGGUCAGCACGAGUCGAAUCUAUUGAUGGGGCCAGAUCCGUUGGAAAGGUCUUGUAAUUACCUUUCCAACAAGUACUUGUUUGCUUGAUUUGGACUCGGGAUGCGGCCUGGGUGAUUAAAACAAAUUCGGAUCUCCUGACAGCUCGGACCCGAAUCGGAUUCAACUUUAAUUCGUGAUAUCUUUCUCUAGCAAGCUCCGAAUCUUCUGCCGUUUGAUUUGUUGGAAAGUAGACUUAAUAGGCUUCACUUUGAAUCUCCCUUUGCAGGCUAUCACACUUCAUCUUCACUUUGGACUUGUAAAGUUCAAUAAGAUGCCUACAUAAUAAGAUUACACAAGAUAGUAGCUCCGCCUCUUUGCAAGUAACAUAUUGAAAACAUUUUGUAAUUGAAUUCACCUGAUUAUAAUUGUUAUUAGAUACAGCAACAAUUAGGAUUCUAAUGGUCGUAUCUAUGGUUAGCAUGUCCAUAUCAUCCUCCCUUUUUUGAAAGGAAAGCUGUCCUCGGCGUCGUUUAUGCUGAAAAUAUGCUAACAAAAGAGACAAGGUAUGCGCAUGAUAUAUGUAUAUAUCGUUGUUUUUAACUCCACUCCCAUGUUGCACAAUUAAUGUUUUAUAACACAAUCUCAUGAGAUAAUAAAAUUAAUUUGUGCACUCAAAUCAUUAGAAGAAUUAAUUUCAGCAGUAGGUGCACUUGAAUCACCAUGUACGACAAUAAUUUCACAUGGUGCAGAAAAUUCAACAGGUAUCACAUUUAUUUCAUCACAUGCCCUUUUUAGUUCAGCAACACAAUCCUCUGUAUCAUUACCUUGUGGGCUCGACUCAUUUGUAGUAGACCCUCGCUGUAAUUUCCUCUCAACUUUACGAGCAAGAUUAAGCAAACACAAAAGAGAGUCGUAUUUUCCAUAUUCAAUCAUGUCAGAAAUAUCAAAAUUAAGCCCACAAUAAAACCUAUCCAUUUUUCUUUGUUCGGUUUCAUCUAAACCAAAUCGCAAGGUUAUAAUUUGGAACUCAUUGUAGUAAUCAUCAACAGUUUUAUCAUCUUGUGCCAAACGUUGUAAUUUUGAACGCAAGUUAAAAGCAUAACUAAAAGGGACAUAUUUUUCUCUCAUGAUUUUUUUCAUAUCAACCAAAGUGUGGGGAAUUUUCUUUUCUCUAACUAUCUCAUUCCACCAAGAUAAAGCAGCAAAAGUAAAUUUACUACUAGCAAUUUGAACCUUGUGACUAUCAAGUACAUGGAAGCAUGUGAAUUGUUCAGUUAAAGCUAGCUCCCAAUCUAUAUACGUUUCAGCAUCAUUUUCCCCCUCAAAGAGAGGUACACACAAUUUAAUUGUAUUAGAAGGAUUGUUUUGUACCGUUGCCGUGGCAUUAUCAACAAGAGACGUGGAGGAUGGCCGUCGUGAAAAGCACUCAUCGCGGUCACGAGAUAGCAUCGGUCUAGUUGCCAUGCUUCGUGUAAGUCCUGUCAUGGUUAGUAGAAAUGUAACAUCCCAAUUUUCAAAACUCUUCAUAUGCAUUGCAUAUCAUAAGCAUCAUGUCACCCUUGCAUUUAAUCACUUUCAAAACCCUAAAAAUUUGCCCAGAAAACCCUUUUGCAAAGAUGCCUUUAUUUGAUUUUGGGCUUUGAUCUUGCUCUUGAGUAUUUGCAUUUUAAUCCAUGAGGGUAUUGCGAUAAAAAGGGAUUUAAUGCAUAUAUAGAGCUAUCCCAUAAAUUGGCUCUUGAAAUUAUUUUGAAAAAAUAAUUUGUUUUGAUAGCCUAAUGGGGCCAAAAGCCAUUUUAUAGGCAAAUAUAUUUUUAAAUAUUUUAUUGUGAGGAAAUUCUUGUUCCAAAAGUUAGAUCAUAUGAAAAUAUGAUUUUACAAAUUUUGUUGCAUUUUUUAUUUGGAGUGAUUUGGAGCUUCGAGUCAAUUUUGAGGUUCAAAAACAGAACAUAGAUAAAAGAAAAGGACCGGACCGACCGGAUCCGCCCCGCCCGAGCCGCGUGCUCCCCCUGACCGGUGGACCCCACAGUCUUCUUCAACCUCCGUCCGUUUUUCCCGGCCACGCACGAGUCCGUGUCGCCCACGACUCCACCUCCGAUUUCUCCGCGCUCGGGCCGUUUCAAAUCCUUGCGCGUCACCCCGAAGCCCUCGCUUUUCUCCUCCACUUCCUCCAAACCGCUCGCCCGAUUUCGCACCGGUUAGAAAGUAAUUGCUCGCCUGAGUUCAUUGCUGUCGUCGCCGUUCUUCGCGAUUCGCCGCCGUUCCGGUGAGGUUCUCCCCGCGCCAACCCCCUAGCCUCUCUCCUCUCCCUGUCCCGAACGCCGUGACGCGCUCGCCUUUGUGUUUGGUCGCCGCGCCGCCAUCUUCCCCCACGCCGGCUGCCGCCCGCGCUCCGCCCACCUGUGCGCCGCCGCUCCUCCUUCGGCCCAGCCGCCCCGCGCCCCGAGCCCGCGCCCGUGCGCCGCCGCCUGCGCGCCCGACCGUGCCCGCCGCUCGGAGCCGACCGCGCGUGCCGCCCGCCGCUCGCCCGCGCCCAUGCCUUUGCGUCGCCCUUGCGCCGACUCCGCGCCGCCCGCCGCCGUUGCCGGCUGUCCGCGCCACCGGCCGGAAACCCUAGGCUCCGGCCACUCAUGUUCUGCCGCGUGGCAGUGCCUUUUUGUUUUUAUUUUAUUUUAUUUUAUUUCGGCCGAAUUAGAUAAUGCAAAUUUUGCAAAAAGGCCCCUAACUCUUCAAAGCCUCAUAUCUUUCCAACCGUUUGUCCAAAAAUUUGUGAUCCGCACCUUUCUGAAAUCGUCACAACGUGUAGAAUAUUUUGGCACUGUUUAAAUUCACUUUUGAACAACUUAGAGAUUAGGUAUUUACAGAAUGGUUGAAUAUGGUUUAAAUCUCAAAUGAAUUGUUUCAAAAUAGUUUUGAGCAUGUUAUCUUACUGUAAAAUUAUUUAAACUUGUUCUCUGUCCAUUAGGACCAGAAAAUAAAUUAUUUUGUGAAUAAUAAUGGCAUACAAGUUUAAAUCUUGCUCUAUGUUGCAAAAGCCACACAAUCUUUUGAUUUAAACCCUAUCCUUGUUCAUGCAUAUUAAUUACCUUUUUGAUGUUGUAUAAUCUGUCCAAAUCAUUUGAAAGACUUUUCAAAACAGAAAUGAAACUUUUUACUUUAGAAGUAACCUUUGUGUGCAUCAUCAUGGCAUAUGCAUCAUGGCAUGGUUUUUGUAUUGAAUGUUGUGUUUAUUGUGUGUGUUUCUUUUAUUUUAGAUUGUGUGGAGUGUAUUCCUUGUUGUUGCGAAGAGUGCGGGAACUACCACAUCCUUGGACAAGGCAAGUUCACUAUGAUCAUUCUCCUAAAUAUUUUUACUAUGCACUAGAUGUUUUAUAAGAUGCAUCAGGAAUAUUACUCGUACUUCUAUGCUAGCUAUAAAUCCCAGGUAGUAUAGUUUACCCUUGCCAUUACCUUGCUACAAAAAUUGCCAUCGAUUGUAGUUGAAUGCUAGGCUAUGGUAGUAUCGUGGGGGAAAUAGCUACAUUAUGAUAUUGUUAUGCCGCUGGCUAUAUGAAAUGUUUUGUUAGAUGUAAGGCAAAACAAAUAAUUCAAUGAACCCUGCUGGCUGGGCUGCUUUGAAGAUUUUGAGGAUUAGCAGCGUCAGGUCCAUUUCUAUGGGUCCCUCUGAGUCAAGUUCCUGUGGAUUUAGGAACGGAUCGUCCAUGGACGUCUCUCCCGUGGAUUCGGGGAGCGCCUACGUUGCAAAUGUGGAAUGCCACCUGGGGUAACCGAGACUGGACUAGUUUCUUAUUUAGAAGCUUCUAGUACAACCACAAUACUAUAUGGGCUCUGGCGAGACAAGAGUAAGUUGUAUGAACCUAGACCCGAGGAAUUGUACUGAGGUAGCCGUGUAGGGGGAGCGUGAUUCUCUCGUGGUUUAGGAAAUUACCUCUGAAAAUCUCGUAAUCGAUGCCGUUGCUACUCUGAUGUGGGUGGGGGUGGCCCGAUCUUUUGAUGAGAUGGAUAACUCUCGGUUUGGGUAGGAGGUGACGUUGACGAUCCGACUACGGCUUAAAAGGCAGCGCCUUAGCAAUCGAUACACCAACUCCAGAGGGUUAUUGAUCACGCGGGGGCACGAUCAACCUGACCACGAAGGUCUUUGUUCCUGCAAGCAAUCGAAGAACAAGCAAGAACAAGAUAAAUAGCGGAUGCAAUCUGUAGUUGCGAAUAUACUAUAUCAAACCAAUGUCUCAACGAGACGAUAAGUUGGGGUUCCGAAAGCGGUAAAACAGGUGGUCUAACCGACACACGCGAUUACACGAAAGUAGCAAAGAUGGCUAAACUUUAUCUAAUCAAAACCCAAGGCUCCUCAGGGGGGCUCAUGGGGUAUAUAAAGGAGGAGGGAGAGAUAUUUUGCUCCACCUUGAGUAAGGAGGCCGAAAUCCAACUCUAUCUCUCACUUUCCUAACAAACUACAACUCUUUAGGAAACAGAAAAACAGAUCCGUCAGCUUGUUUUUUUCGUCACGGUCAGCACGAGUCGAAUCUCUUGAUGGGGCCAGAUCCGUUGGAAAGGUCUUGUAAUUACCUUUCCAACAAGUACUUGUUUGCUUGAUUUGAACUCGGAUGCGGCCUGGGUGAUUAAAACAAAUUCGGGUCUCCUGGCAGCUCGGACCCCAAUCGGAUUCAACUUUAAUUCGUGAUAUCUUUCUCUAGCAAGCUCCAAAUCAUGUGCUGUUUGAUUUGUUGGAAAGUACACUUGAAAUCCUUCCCUCUCAGCUGUAUGAAUGCUUGAUUCUUGUUGGCCCUCCCGUUCGCCUCCAUCGUAUCUCAUCUUAACCUUGGACUUGAAAAGCUCGACAAGAUGCCUACGUAAUAAAACGAGACAAGAUAGUAGUAGCUCCGCCUCUUCAUAAAUAUGACAAUGAAAACAACUACUACUUGAAUUCACCUGAUUAUAAAUCUUUCCAAAUAUUAUAGAAUUGAGGGUACCAAAGGUCGUAUCCAUGGUUAGCAUGUCCAUAUCAUACUCUACCCUGAGGACAGCAAGGGAUUAACACGUCGGUUUCUGGUGGGGAAUGUGUACAAACUCUCGAGAGCGUCAAAACUAAGUACUUAGCCGUGUCCCCGGCAACGGACAUUUUGAGCGACUAGAUGUGGAGCUGUAAGGAAAGUCUCACUCAUUGCAAUUUCUUAAAUAAAAUGAAUGGUUGAACAGGGUAGGAGCACUUGAUGAAUCCACUUCAAUGUGCUCUAGGAUAAUAGGAGCAUGGGUGUGUCUACCCCGUGUCCAACAGUGAUAAAAUUCUAUUUGAUUAAAAGAUAUGAUUCAAUAACAAAGCUUUUAUGCAAAUAGCUUGAACCACACUUUGCCACAUUAUGCAUAUAUUUGGUAGGCUCUGAUAUAACUCCUAGUGAAUCUUGCCAAUACAUUCAAUGUAUUGACCCUAGUGGCUGCAUCGUUUAAUGAUGCAGGAAGCUCCGAAGACGAGUAAGAUGUACGUUCUGCUUGUUUGGGUUACGGGCUUACAUUCCAACACGCUCUCACCGUGGUGUUGAUGUGCCCUUGUAUCUUUCGUUUUCCGCUGCUAAACAGUUGUUUUAUUUCCAGCUAACCCGUGAGGUUAUGCGAGUUGUAAGUACCUUUAAAUUCUGGAUGAUUCGUUGUAAUAUUGAGACCUUUGUUCUAUGAUAUUACAUCUUGAAACUGUGUGUGCUUGUGAGUCGAUCCAGGGACUAGCACUAAAGCACAGAGAUCGAACCUGUGUACGGGGGCGGUCGCUACAAGAAAACAAGAAACAAAUCACAGUAAUAUGUUCCUAUCAACUACUAGGAUGUGGCUACAAGUUGCUCAACUCUCAAGCUAAAAAUCAAGUUCUUACGAGUUCUUACCAUGCAAAACAGGAAGGUGAUGGCCAGCGGCGUAACCAACACCUCCGGAGAUUAAAUGUAUCGAUGCCUCGGUAAGAAACCAACCUAGGUGUAGAAUCGGUGGAGCUUGGAGGCUUUUGUGAGUAGCAAGGAAUAGCAAAUAAUCAAAUCAGCAAUGCAAAGUUGAAAAUAUGCUCAAUAAUGCUAGUCCUAGCUGCUGGAGUCGAUAAGAACGAAUUACAGAAAUAAUCUAAGCAGAAGAUAUGGUGUAGGACUCGACGAGGGACUCGAUGGAAGAUAUGGUGGUUGCAGAAGAUUAUGGCGUGGCGGUGGUGUGGCAAGGAGUUUGGCGGCGGAAGAUUGAUGAAGGAAACCUGUGUCACACGAAGAACAAGAAAACCAAAAGCAAGUUCGAUCUAGUAGAAAAAAUCUGAAAAAUGAGCCAAUCUAAUCCAGCAACUCAACACGAUUAAUGCAGCAAAGAUUUAACAAUGCAAAUACUAAUGUGAAAAUUGCAAGGCUCAGAUUGAUUCUAGGACAAGGUAACUAAUUCUAAUUUUAGUUUAGCUUUUUCUGGACGAUAGGUAAAAACAGAUCUAAACUACGGAUAAACUGGAAAAAUCUCAUCGAGCAACCUUAAGCUCUGAUACCACGUGAUAUGGGUGUGGGUGGCCCGAUCUUUGGAUGAGAUUGAUAACUCUCGAUGUGGGUAGGAGGUGACGUUGAUGAUCCGACUACGGCCUAGGAGGCAGCGCCUUAGCAAUCGAUACACCAAUUCCAGAGGGUUAUUGAUCACGCGGGGGCACGAUCAACCUGACCACGAAGGUCUUUGUUCCUGCAAGCAAUCGAAGAAAAGGGAAGAACAAGAUAAAUAGCGGAUGCAAUCUCAAAUUGCGAAUAUACUAUACCAAACAAAUGUCUCAACGAGACGAUAAGUUGGAGUCUUGACGAUGGUAAAACAGGUGGUCUAACCGACACACGCGAUUACACGAAACUAGUAAAGAUGGCUAAACUUUAUCUAAUCAAAACCCAAGGCUCCUUAGGGGGCUCAUGGGGUAUAUAAAGGAGGAGGGAGAUGUAUUUUCGUUCACCUUGAGUAAGGAGGCCGAAAUCCAACUCUAUCUCUAACUUUCCUAACAAACUACAACUCUUUAGGAAACAGAAAAACAGAUCUGUCAUCUUGUUUUGUCCGCCACGGUCAGCACAAGUCGAAUCUCUUGAUGGGACCAGAUCCAUUGGAAAGGUGUAAUUACCUUUCCAACAAGUACUUGUUGCUUAAUUUGGACUUGGGAUGCGGCCUGGGUGAUUAAAACAAAUUCGGGUCUUCUGACAGCUCGGACCCGAAUCGGAUUCAACUUUAAUUCGUGAUAUCUUUCUCUAGCAAGCUCCGAAUCAUGUGCCGUUUGAUUUGUUGGAAAGUAGACUUGACAGGUUUCACUUUGAAUUCUCCCUUUUCAGGCUAUCACACUUCAUCUUCACUUUGGACUUAUAAAGUUCAAUAAGAUGCCUACAUAAUAAAAUUACACAAGAUAGUAGCUCCGCCUCUUUGCAAGUAACAUAUUGAAAACAUUUUGUAAUUGAAUUCACCUGAUUAUAAUUGUUAUUAGAUACACCAACAAUUAGGGUUCUAAUGGUCGUAUCUAGGUUAGCAUGUCCAUAUCAACGCGUUCGCCUGGCGCUGUUGCUCUGCUCGCUGGGCCCCACCCUUGAGGCGGGAGCCUGCGCCCGGGAACCCUUUCUCCCGGCAAGUCGCUCCCCGGAAAGCGCCCAGGCCCAACGCACCAAGGAACCUCCCUCCCGGGAAGCGGCUUCCCGGGAGGUGCCCAGGCGGGAAUAUUCCCCGAAGCCCCGCUAGCCGACGGAACCUUCCCGGGAACUCGGGGACGGGGCCCACGCGUCGCGCAACGGUGGUACCCCGGGUGCCACUGGUGCGACAGUAGCCCCUGGGCUUGGGCCGGCAUCAUCUAUUCCCGGAUGAGUCUUCCCCAGGUCGGUUGCCGGGCUACGCCCUCAACGGACGCGUGGGCCCCGAUUCGCCUCGGGCCCGCGCCCCUUCGUUGCCCCGUGUACUACAUCGUUACAGAUGGAGUAGUGGGCGCGUGAUUUCUGCCCUAACUUCCCCCUUAAAUAGGAAAGUUAAGGCCACUCCGUGCAUUACUCCUAAUGAUUAGGUGUUAUUCCCGCGCACCCGUAGGGUACGGAACCGGCCGUUACCAAACGGCGGGGUGUUAUAAGGCUCUUACUGUUGCCAAAAGGGGAAAGACACUCUGCCCCCCAUAUCCCUCGUCUUCAUCCUCUUUCACAUCUCGCAUCCAAGCGUGCUUGCUAGCUUCCCCCUUCGUCCCCCAUGGCGCCCCCCACCACCAGGAAGGGGAGGUGCAGGUCUCGAAAAAAGCUGCGACCAGCAAGAGCGAGGUGGCAACCAAGGCAGCCGCCGCCAAAGACCAGAAGAAGCGGGAGAUGCGGGCCACGCUCGCUUUCUACCGCCUUGGCUACAACGGCGAGGCGCUGGAGAAGGUCCAGCAUGCCGUCGCCUCCAGCUUCAACGAGCACGGGGAGACGCUGAUCUUCCCGGCGGGCGUCGAGCACCAGGACAACGACUUCCGGGUGUUCGCGCGGUUCCUCCUCACCGGUCUGGUGCCGCCAUUCUCACUAUUCCUCUACGUACUGAUGGAGUCUUACCAGCUGCGGGUGGCGCAGCUUCACCCCACAUCGCUGUUCCUCCUGGCCACCUUCCAAUUCCUCUGCGAAGCGUUCGUGGGGGUGAUGCCAUCGGUGGGGCUCUUCCGCCACUACUUCUACCCCUGCAUUGAAAAUGCGAAGGCGAUGUCGUCAGGGGUGGUGUUCCGCGCCCGCGACCAGAUGAAGUCCGAGUUCAUCGUCCGGUCGGGGAAGAAGAUUAAAAAGGAGCGGCGGGGCGAUUGGUGCUGGGUCCGAGUGGAAGACCCACAGGAGUUCAUCCUCUCGCUCACGGAGCUGCCGCAACCCCAAAAUGGCUGGCAAGAUAGGUACCAUCGCGAGGCCGAUCUCCUCCUCAUCGUGCUUAUCAAGGCGCUGCGGCUAGCGGGGCUCACCGACGUGGACGUGGCGCGCACCUUCAUCCACCGGCGUAUAGCGCCGCUUCAACUGCGCUCCAGGCCAGCGUGGAUGUACACGGGCCCCGGGGACAGGACACGCCUCCUGCAGGACGGCGUGGACUUGGAGACCCUCAGGACGUGGGUGAGGGGAAUCUCCGCACGACCUUCCAAUCAACAAAGUUCCCGCCGGGGGUCUCCUCCCUUCAUGCUGGCGUUGCGGCGCUCAGCGACAUCGUCAGCGCCUUCCCGCCCUGCAACAAGUGGGGGUUGAUGGGCAACACCCCCACUCAGGCCCCGCGCGCUCCCCUGCCAGCACCCCACGAGAAGCAGGUGCUCGAGGAGAGCGGGGGCGGAUCCGAGCCCAGCUGGCCCUCCCUCCAGUCACUGGAUGACGAGGCGGGCCAGGAGGCAGUGUCCCCUGAAGUCGUCACCGUGGACGACGACGACGAGGACAGCGACAGCGUGCCCCUGAUCGUGCGGAGAUCAAGGGCGUUUGUAGCGGCUGCGGCUGUCUCCUCAACGGCGACAUCCGCCCCAGCAGCGGCCACCAACCUCGCGGCGGCGGUCGCUUCAGGGGCGCCCGUCGGUACCUCGGCGGCGUCCGCGGCCGCAGGGGUCGCCGGAACUUCAGCGAUGGCUCCCGCCCCAGCGGCGGCCGCCAGCACCAUGGCGGGAGCCGCUCCCCGGGCGCCCGUCGGUACUCCGGUAGCGCCCGCAUCCGCAGAGGUCGCCGGAGCCUCGACGGCGGUUUCCACCCCAGCGGCGGCAGCCUCCCCAGGGUUGGCUCCUGACACCGCGGUGGCAUCACCGCCGACUUCCGCGACACUUCGGGCCCCGGCGACCUCACGGGCGCCUACGGCGCCGCCCGCUCGGGGGGUCUUCCGGGCGUUCGCGCUCCGGUGCAACCCCCCGAAAUCCAAUUCGCCGACGGGCGCCAACAAAAGGGGGAGGAGCAACUCCCCGCCUGCCAUGCCGAGCAAGAGGGUGCGCGCGGACGCUGGCGGUGGCGUCGAUCCGACCGACACGGGGGCCGGUGGCGUCGCCACCGCGUCCGCCGACAACUCAGCCCCAACAGGGCGGGGCCGGUGACUGGUAUGGCUCCUUUGUUUCUCCUUAGCUGCAUUUUUUCAGUUGUUAGUUAAUCACAUAAACGUGCCUUCUUUUUCAAGCAGGCGAGGCGGGAGAGCUCCCCCCCCCCCCCGCAAGUCUGUCUGCCGCGCAAGGUAACCACCUUGGUCUCCCUUGUCCGCUUCUGAUAGUUCUCUUACUCGCCGAUCUUCACGCUUCUUAUCGCUGCAGGCACGAGUGCGCCCGUGCCGGGAGCGGGCGCUACAGUCGAGAUCACGGGGGCGGUGGAGGAGCCGGAACCGGCUCCCACGUCAAGCCCCACCGUGCCAGCGACGGCGGCGGCGGCGGCCACCGCCGCCCCUGGGACGGCGCUGGGCGACGUGCCCGCAGCCGGGGUGCGCGACUGGCGCGGACUCACCUGUCGCCCAGCAGGAGACACCUCCUGUUGGGAGCAGGGAAGCUUCCCCAGCCCCAGGGUCCCCGGGCGCAGGUGCAGGGGAAGCUGCCGGGGAAGGACAGCCGGAUCCCCUGGAGCAAGUGGGCGACCCCCCGCACAGCCCUAUAUCAGCAGCGGGGGCUUCGUCAUCCUUGGUUGCUCUCCCCAACACCGACCUCGGCACCUUCGCCGGGCUUGCUUGGAAUCCUAUCACUUGGGAUCCGAGCAUCUUCGAGCGGGGACACCGGUUCCUGGACGCCGUCAGGGACCAACAACAAGCCUUCGUCACCUCUUUCAACGAGGUGAGGGAGCACCACGCCAUCGCCAAGAACCAACUCGGCGAGGUGCGAGAAGCCAUGGAGAAGGAGCGGCAAGAGCUCUCCCGGCUGCGCGAGGAGACACGCCUUGCCCGGCAAGCCUUGGAGGACGCCAAGGAGCCGGUGGUCCCGGAGGCCGAGCUCCACCGGCAGCUGGAGGCCCAGCGCACGAAGAUUCAGGGGGAGCUGGACUCGAUGGCGCAACCCUCGAAGCAACCAAGAAGGAGCAUGCCGGGGUGCUUGCGACGGCCUAGGCCUGGCUGGACGAGAAGAGCGACCUGAUCGCCAACUACCGUGGUGAGAUUCAGGGCCUUCGCGUCAUGCUGGAGGUGCAAGUCAAGGCCACCGAGGAUGCGGUGGGAGCAACGGCCUGGCACGAGCUCCAACUUGGCACCGCCAAGGACAGAGCGGCCAGGCUUGAGACCAAGCUGGUCGCCGUCCGGGAGGAGCUCGCCAAGGCAGGAACCGAGAUCGCGGUGAAGACCGCGGAGCUGCUGUUGAAGAUCGCCCAGGCGCUGCGCGAUCUGCUGCCCAAGUUCGAGCUGCAGGCCGCGGCGGUGGACGGCACGGACAUCUCCACUUUGAUCCCCUUCUUCUCCGACUUGGUGGGGAAACUUGGGGCGCUCGACGUCUGGAUCGCCCAGUACGGCGCCAACGAGGUCGCCAACUGCCCAGGAGGUUGCCGGGACAAUCCUCCCACGGAUUCAUCUCCGGGACCUGGAGUUUCCCUUCGAGUCCCUGCUGGACGCUUGGUCAAACAGCGAGGAUGAGCCCACGCACACCCAAGCAGUGCGUGAGUUCGUCGAUGAAGUGGUCGAGUGGAUGCAAAUGAAGCCGGAGCCCGAGCCGUCCGCCGAGCCCCCAGCCGAAGACGCCGGCAACUAGUUGCCGCAGCCCCCAACCGUCCUUUCUGCUUUACAAUGUAUCUUCCUUUGUUUGCCCCUUCCUGCAAGUGUGGCGCUUGGCGCCGUUUGAACAAUUAUCUUCCCAUUAGUUUGUGUAAUUGUUUGACACUUAGACAAUCAAGUUCUUUAACUUGUUCAAUUUCUUGUUCUUUGUUCCCGGUGCUGUCUCGCGGGGCGGUCCUACUAGCCUUUGCGUGUUUUGCCUUGUGUUGCAGGGGACUCACGCGCCUCACCCUUGACCAGACCAGGGACCCGGGACGGACCCGCGGUGCCGACCUAGGUCAAGCGGUAGCGGGGAGCCACUCCACUUGCAGGGUAACUACUCCAAGCAUGCCCUCCCGGGACGGACCCGGGAAGUCACACGGUAGAGUAACAGCGGCUCGCCCGGCUUGGGGGUGACGAGGACGGGCGGCGACCUUAGGUACUGUUUGAGUUCCCGGAACGCCGCCUCAGCCUUGGGAGUCCAGUCAACCGGACCCUUCUUCUUCAUCACCUUGAAGAAGGGCAGGGCGCGUUCGCCUAGCCUGGAGAGGAAACACCCCAGCGCGGCAACGCAGUCGUUGAGGCGCUGGACAUCCUUCACCUUGCGGGGGGCCUCCAUCUAUUCGAUAGCCUCUAUCUUGCUCGAGCUGGCUUGUAUCCCCCUGUGUGAAACCAAGAAACCCAGAAGCUGCCCGGAGUCGACACUGAAGGUGCACUUCUCGGGAUUCAGCUUGAGCUUGAUCCUGCGGAGGUUAUCAAACGUCUCCCGCAGGUCAUCAAUCAGUGAGUCCCCGCGCUUCGAUUUGAUGACGAUGUCGUCCAUCCGUUGCGGCCUAGCUGGGGCCCCAAACAUUCGCGCAGGGCGCGCUGGAAUGUGGAGCCCCUGUUCUUCAACCCGAAAGGCAUGCAUGUAUAACAAUAGCAGCCAACUGGGGUGAUGAACGCUGUUUUUUCCUCGUCUUCGACCGCCAUCUUUAUUUGAUGGUAGCCGGAGAAAGCAUCCAGAAAACUCAGCAAGUCACAACCAGCGGUAGAAUCAACUAUUUGAUCGAUACGGGGUACAGGGAAGGGAUCCUUGGGGCAUGCACGAUUAAGAUCAGUAAAAUCUACACACAUGCGAAGCUUAUUCCCUCCUUUAGGUACUACUACAAGGUUAGCCAGCCAAGUGGGAUAUAGAACUUCCCUGAUUCCCUCGGCAGCCUUGAGCUUGUCCACCUCCUGCUUGAUGAAAUCUUUACACACUUGCGCUUGCCGCUGAAUCUUCUGCUUGACGGGGCCCGCGUCCGGACGCACCGCGAACCGAUGCUCAAUAACCUCCCUGCGGACCCCGGGAAGAUCCGACGGUUCCCAAGCGAACACGUCGGCAUUAUCCCGAAGGAAGGUGAUGAGGGCGCCUUCCUAUUCGGCAGUAAGGUUCGCACUGACGGUGACGGUGUGUUCCUUGUCGCCGGCUUGGAUGGGCAGCUUCUUCACCUUGGCGGCUCCUCCCGGAGCUUCUGCCCCUUGCCGGGGCAUGAGCUCGAACUUGCGCUUCCCCCGGCAAGCUCUUGCAGGGUACCGCGGGCCUUCUUCGCUGCCGGGGCAUCGCCCGACAAGCUGUCGUUUCCAGCAGCAUCUUCGUCGCCGGCGUCAGCUGCGGCGGCGGCCCUGACGACCUCGCCAACCCACCAAGCCGCGUCCUUGAGGUCGCACCUGAUGGAGAGGACUCCAUACACGGACGGCAUCUUCAUCACGCCAUAAGCGUCAUGAACUUGAUCAGCGCUGGCCAACCAAGGAUCCCGUUGUAGGGCAACAGGGUGUGUGCUACGUCGAACACUAUGUGUUCGGUCCUGAACGCUUCCCGGGACCCGAAGGUGACCGGCAGCGUGAUGCGCCCCAACGGGCGCACGAUCCUGGGGUUCACCCCCCGGAACGGAUCGGUGGGCUUCGGCUGCUCCACCGGCAACUGGAGUUUCUCCACCAGCCUGGCGGAUAGGAGGUUAAGUCCCGCUCCGUUGUCCACCAGUACCUUGGUCACCGUCAUAUUGCUAAUGAUCGGUGAGAUGACAAAGGGUAUUACCCCUGAACCCAGCUGCCGCGCUGGGUGAUCGUCGGCGCUGAAGGUGCUCGGCACAUGCGACCACCUCAGCGGCUGUUGUGGCUCCGCGUCCGGCAACAAUGCGCACACGUCGCGGGUCCGGCGUGGGAUGGGAGAGCGUAGGCUCCCCCAUGGAUGCAGGCGACGCCGCGAGGCUCCUGGAAGCCCGGUUCGUCGCCGCCAGUGCAAUCGGACCUACGCUGCUCCUCAGCAUGCGCCCUAUCGCGUCCCUGGGGUGGGCGCUCCCGUCCCGCGUGGGGCUGACCACGCCCCCCUUGGGGUUCGUCCCUGCCGGCACCGUCGCCGGCAGGCCUCGGCCCCGCUCUGGGGUCGUUCGAGCAGUCUCGGGAGAGAUGCCCGAUGUCGCCACAGUUGAAGCAGGCGCCAGCGGCGCGGCGCUCAUGGCGGCAGUUCUGCGCGUCGUGGGUCGAGUUGCUGUGGAUGGGGCAGCGGGGUGCGUCACCCGGCUUGCCGCCAGACCCGCCACCCGGCGAGGCCUUCUUCGCAGGCCUCGCAGCAGGAGCCCCUGAGUCCGCAGCGAGACCCUGCUUCCCGCUGCGCUUGCGGGAACCCUUCUUCUGCGAACCCUCGCCGGGGCUCGCGGCAGCCUUAGCUGCUAGCUCGGGCGCUAGGCGCCCUUCCUCGGCCAUGGCGCACUUGUGCGCCAAGGUGUACAGAUCCUGCGUCGUCCGGAUCCGAUGCGUGCUCAGCUUCUCACGCAUCUUGGGGUCGCGGACGUUGAUGGCGAAGGUGUUGAUGAUGGCAGCCGCCUCCGCCUCCGCCUCCGGGAUGUAAUAGUAGAGAUUGGAGAAGCGGUUGACGAAGCUCCACAAUGUCUCUCCCGGCUUCUGCACGAUAGUGUGCAGCUCUGCCAUGGUUCUCGGGCCCUUAUAGCCGCCCUGGAACGCGCUCACAAACUGCUCGCGCAGGUCCUACCAAGUGGCGAUGGACCCGGCGGGCAAGUUGAGUAGCCAGGUUCUCGCUGAUCCUUUCAGGACCAUUGGGAAUCAGUUGGCUCUGACCUUGUCGUCGGCGCCGAUGGCAUGCAUCCCCAACGUGUAGGUCAGGAGGAAAUCCUUGGGAUUGACGGUCCCGUCGUACGUACCGAGCGCGGGUGCUCGGAACUUACGGGGCCUCGUCACCCGCCGCAACUCGCGUGUGAAUGCGGUGCAGCCGUCCUCGAGGCCCAUGGGAGCAUCUUCCUGCUCCUGUGGGCGUUGGCGCUCUACCUCGCGCCUGCGCCGACGCUCCAAGCGCGGGCGCAGGUCUUCUUGCUGGCGGGCAUUCAAGAUGCCGUGUGCGUCACCCCCCGGAACGGUGGGCGACGAGUUCGAGGACCCCUCCGGGCCCCCGUUUCCCUGGCCUCCCUGUGGAGGGCGAGGGUUCUCCCCCUGUCGCGAGGCGGGUGGCACGUCCCCGCGCUCCGGGUUCUGCCCGUGGCCGGAGCCUACCGGGGCACCCUCGCCUUGCGGCUGCUAGGCGGCCAAAGCGAGAUGAGCGUCCAACUCCUCGCCCCACGCCACGUGCGCCGGCGUGCCUUGCUACGGUUCAUACCGCACCAUGACGCACGCGGCGAUGAUGGCUUCCGUCGGGGUUCGUGCGGGGGGCAGUCGAUUCCCCGAGCGGCAGCUCUCCGCUCUGGCCCCGGACGCCUCCAGGUGCACGAGGUGCGAGCCUCCGGGGGUCGCUCGUGACGCGGUAUGCUCCUAGUGCCGCUGUCGCUGCGCAUCCUCGGCUUGCGACUCGACUCGCUGACCGCUGCGGGCGGCACCAUGCCCGCUCGCGCGACUAGCCCCGGCACUGGGGGCAGCCGGUCCCCUCGGCCAAUUGUCUGCAGACGGCCGAGGAGGCGGGGGAGGCAGCUGUGAUUGCUGCACUCUCGAGGGGUCUGGGUUCUCCUGAGCCCCCGACUCGGGUCGCACGUCAUGCGACCGUGUGUGCGCUGCUGGGGCCUCACGCGAGUCUAUCCGAGGAUCACCAGCCCGCUUGGGGGGCAUGGUGCCUGGUCUCGUCGGCGAAGAAGAUGAAGCCGACGUCGAGGCAAGCACUGCUGCUGGCGAUCACCGGUGAGCUCUACUCCCGCGCCCCCUACCUGGCGCGCCCGAUGUCCUCGCACGGGGCUCUGACACGGGGGGCGUGCGGUCAUGGCCCCCUUUUAGGUUCAGCAAGGGCGUCGGGGAUCGCUCCGACGAUUGCCGGCGUGGCCGAUGGUCCUUUGCGACCGGCGAAGUGGUGUACCCGGGAUGCACACAAACCAAGAAUGCAUGCACGCGGUUUGGGCCACCCGGAGGUGUAAAACCCUACGUCCUGCCUGUCUGAACUAGUAUUGAUUAUUGAUCAAGUGUUUACACCUUGCCGGGGGAGGGUCCCCAGGCUCUCUCUCCUUUCUUGCUAAAUGCUACUUGCUAUUCUUCGACUAGGGCUAGUUGUGAACUGUGAGUCCAUGUAACUGUGUGACCGUCGAACCCUUUGACUGUUGGCGGAGGUCCUCCUUUAUUUCUCAAGGGGAUGCCACAGGUGCCACAAUGCAUGCACUACAAGUGUCGAACGGGGAGGCAUACAACUCCCCCUCGGUGAGCUGGUGGCACGCAUGGGCGCCACCUCCGCCGCUAGGGGCCUAAAACCCUAGGGUAGGAUUGGACAGCAACUGUUCACCUGAUUCGGACGGGUAACGCUCCUCUUGUCGGCUCAUUUAAUGAGCCGUGCGCCUCACUCCUCACCCUGGGGAGGCCGCGCACCCGGCGCCCGCCACGCGUUUGCGUGGCGCUGUUGCUCUGCUCGCUAGGCCCCACCCUUGAGGCAGGAGCCUAUGCCCGGGAACCCCUUCUCCCGGCAAGUCGCUCCCUGGGAAGCGCCCAGGCCCAACGCACCCGGGAACCUCCCUCCCGGGAAGCGGCUUCCCGGGAGGUGCCCAGGCGGGAAUAUUCUCCGAAGCCCCGCUAGCCCUUCCGGGCUGGUAGCUUGCCGGGCUGCUCGUGGCUGCAGCCCGGGACGGAACCUUCUCAGCAACUCAGGGAUGGGGCCCACGCGUCGCGCAGCGGUGGUACCCCGGGUGCCACUGGUGCCACAAGAGUGGAGACGCAAGUGGUAUGUACCGGGUGCGCGAUCAGCGCUCCUGGUGGGAGUAGCCCCCGGGUCGGGGGUCGACUAAAAGUAGUCGAGCGCGGACCCCAGUUCUCUAUUUCCUGAAUAUUCCUCUAUUUACUUGCUAAGGAAGGUCGCGGCCUCAAGGUAAGGCCUACUCACGCAGGCUUUGCUGCCGUGUGUUUUGUAGACGAGGACUCCACUAAAUUGGACGCAGCUUGGGUGUGUCCAAAAUAGGGUUCAGAAUCGAUUGGACGCAGACAAGCAGCUUUUGUUGGGUCCAUCUUGCUGAGUGGGCGAGAGCUGAUUAUUGUCCUUUGCUCCAUGUGACUCGCAAUAAGUUGUUAUAGCGAGUACGGGCGAAGCCCCCCGAGCAGGUGGUGAGCCAAAAGACAAGUAAAAUACUUCUGAGUAGAGAAGGCUGAAAACUUUAUUAAGUACCGAAGUACACGAUUGAAACAAUUGUAGUCUUAAAGAAAUAAGGAUGCUAAAAAGGUUUUAAGAAAAAGUAGAAAACACUGGACAAGGUUAGGUGUAGAAUCGUCGCAGUUGCGACGUUCCAAGGCCUGCUGUAGGUGACACCACUCUUCAUGUCUUUGAUAUAGUAAGCGCCUCCCGGAAUCACCUUGGUGACCACGUAGGGUCCCUCCCAAGGUGAUUGGAGCUUGUCAUGACCCUUUUGCUUGAGUCGAAGUACAAGGUCACCUUCGACGAAGGAGCGGCUGCGCAACCGACGGCUGUGGUAGUUACGCAGGCUCUGCUGAUAGACGGCUGCUAGUGCAAGCGCAAUGUCGCGAGCUUCGUCGACUGCGUCGAUUGCAUCUUCCAUUGGCAUGUCAACUUCCGGCCCAGAGUACGCCAUGACUCGAGGCGCGUUGAACCGGACGUCAGAUGGUAGUACUGCCUCAGCACCAUACACCAUGAAGAACGGCGUGAACUUGGUGCGGCCAUUUGGAGUUGUCCGCAGGCUCCAGAGUACGGAGGGCAGUUCUUCGACCCAUGCCCCAGUUGCACGAUGUAGGGGAGUCAUGAGCCGUUUUUUUAUGCCGACUAUGAGCAGGCCGUUCGCCUUUUCGACCUGUCCGUUAGUCCGUGGAUGCGCCACUGCUGCGUAAUUGAGGUGGAUCCCCAUCUUUUCGCAGAAGUCUUGGAACUUGUUAGAAAGGAAGUUUGACCCGUUGUCGGUGAUAAUGUUGUGAGGAACCCCGAAGCGGAAUAUGAUAGAGCGGAUGAACGCCACGGCAGUCGCUCCCGUGGCGUUUGUGAUGGGCAUGGCCUCGAUCCAUUUGGUGAACUUGUCGAUAGCGACAAGCAGGAAAGUAUGACCCCCUUCUUUUGAUCGUUGAAGUGGUCCAACCAUGUCGAGUCCCCAUUGAGCGAAAGGCUAAGCCAAUGGUAUUGUUUUGAGUUCUGAGGCCGGGGCAUGCGGCUUCAUUGCGAACAUCUAACAGGCCACGCAUCGGUUGACGACGUCAGCAGCGUCCUCCAUCGCUGUCGGCCCGUAGAACCUGACUCGAAAUGCUUUUGCCGCGAUAGCACGGCUUCUCGCGUGGUGAUCGCAUGUGCCUGGAUGUAUGUCGAUCAAAAUCUCCCGUCCUUCCUCGGGUGGGAUGCACCUCUGCAGGGCGCCAGAGACGCUUCGUUUGUAGAAAUCGCCUUCAAUGACGGUUAAAGCUUUGGACCGCCGGGCGAUUCAGCGCACUUCUGCAUCGUCUGCAGGUAGCUCUUGACGUAACAUGUACGCAAGAAAAGGUUGCAUCCAUGUUGGCUCGAUCAUGAGCACCUCGUCAGGUUCUUCUUCACCAGUUGCGACUGCAGGGUCGUCCGCUAAGUGAGGGUCAAGGAGUUUCUGCUCACCGUCGAUCGGAAUCGACUUCUUGGGAGGAAGUAUUCUUUCCUUUGAUGGAUCUCUGGUGGAUGACCUCUAAGAAUACUCCGGAUGGAAUUGGGGAACGAGUCGAGCCAAUGUUGGCCAGACUGUCAGCCUCGUCAUUGCUGUUUCAGCCAAUGUGACGCAGCUCGCAUCCUUCGAACUGGCCUUCCAGUAUAUUGUAGAGAUCGCGAUAAGCAAUCAUAGAGUCGGAGAUGGCGUCACAUGACUUCAUCGUUUGCUGAACGACGAGGUAGGAGUCGCCGUAUAUCUUGAGCCUGGUGGCCCCGCAAGCCUUGGCCAUGAGCAUGCCGUGCAAGAGGUCUUUCACCUUUGGGCACGUAACUGGUGGCACCUUUCUAUUUGGCUUCAUUAUAAGAAGGGUUGUGACAAUGCAUCUGAAGCACGUAACGAAGUCUAUCACCUUUGGGCGAAAUAAGCACGACACCCGCGCCGGCCCCUUCAUGUCGCUUCGUCCCAUCAAAGUACAUCGUCCAUGAGCCGGACAUGUCGGGCGGGCCUGGAGUCUGAGCCUCGGUCCACUCGCGAUGAAGUCGGGGAGAACAUGUGAUUUGAUCGACUUCCGUCGCUCGCAAGUUAUGUUGCGAGACGAGAGCUUGAUUCCCCACUCGGCGGCUCGCCCAGUCGUUUCUGAGUUGUUCAGAAUGUUGGCGAGAGGAGCCUCGCUGACAACCACAACUGUGUGUUGCUGGAAAUAAUGCCUCAACUUGCGUGCUAUUAGGAAAACUCCAUACGCAAGCUUUUGGUAGUGGGGAUAGCGCUGCUUUGUAGGCGAAAGGACCUCACUGAUGUAGUAUACUGGGCGCUGAACACCGUGGGUCUUGCCUUCUUUGGCUCACUCAACUACGAUCGUUGUGCUGACCACCUGGGUGGUGGCUGCGAUGUACAAUAGGAGCUGCUCAUCUUCUUAUGGGGCGAUGAGAAUCGGUGAGGUUGACAGCAGAUGCUUCAAGUCUGCGAAAGCAACAUUGGCCUCUGGUGUCAACGCGAAGUCAUCCUUCUUUUCUUUCAGAAGAUGGUAGAAGGGCAAAGCUUUCUCGCCUAGCCUACCGAUGAAUCUGCUCAGAGCCGCGAGUCGACCUGUGAGCUACUGAAGCUCAUGAAUUUUAGUCGGCUCCUUCAUGGUUAGGAUGGCUCUGAUUUUUAUCGGAUUUGCUUCGAUGCCUCGAGCCGACAAGAAGUAUCCAAGGAGUUGCCUAGCAGGUACCUUGAAGGUGCACUUGGUGGGGUUCAACUUGAUUUUGUACUUGUCAAGGUUGUUGAAUGUCUCCUGUAUGUCGUCGAGAAGCGUUGCUUCUUUCUUCAUUUUAAUGACGAUAUCGUCGAUAUAGACUUGGACAUUGUUUUCCCAGCUGAGGCUUGCUGCACGCCUACAUGCAGCGCUGAUAGGUGGCACCUGCGUUUUUGACCCCGAAAGGCAUUGUUGCCUAACAGAAAACUCCGUAUGGAGUGACAAAUGCUAUCUUCUCCUCGUCUUCGACCUUGAGUCGAAUCUGAUUGUAACCUAAGUAGGCGUCCAAAAAGGACAAUCAUUCGCAGUCGGCGGUUGAAUCGACGAUCGGCAAAGGGAAAUGGUCCUUUGGGCAGUGCUUAUUGAGCGACCUGAAGUCAACGCCCAUACGCAGGACUGUGGUAUUCUUCUUGGGGACAAGGAUGGGGUUUGCUACCUAGGUCGCUUGUUUUAUCUCCCUGAUGAAUUUAGCUUCAAGGAGUCGUUUAACUUCUUCCCUGAUGGCUUUGCGCUUUGGCUCCGAGAAACGCCGCAUGGGUUGUCGCACUGGCUUUGCGUUCUCGUACACUUUAAGUGCAUGCUCGGCAAGUUCCCUAGGAAUUCCUGGCAUGUCAGCUAGCACCCAGGCAAAGAUUUCCCAGCGCUCACGGAGGAACUCGACGAGCACGCUUUCCUAUGCAGGAGGAAGGCUUGUUGAUAUGAUAGCGGUCUUGCUGGGGUCACUCGGAUGGACCUGAACCUUCUUGGUGUCCGCUUUCUUGUUGAACUCGGGCUGAUAAGCCGGUUUUUUGGCGACUGGUGUUUUCUCUAGGCCGAUUGAAGCUUUUAAUUGCUCGAACUCUUUAUGCAUGCCGAAGGACUCGGAGAUUUUAUGAAACUCCUUGUCGGAGGUGUCUGAGCCUGUGAAGUUUCCUGAAACAGUGAUCACGCCGUUGGGCCCUGGCAUUUUGAGCUUGAGAUAAGCAUAAUGCGGGACCGCCAUGAAGUGAGCCAGUGCGACUCGACUCAGCACCACGUGGUAUUGUGAAGGCCAGUCAACUACUUCGAAGUCGAGUCUUUCAUGCCGAAAAUUGUCGGGUGAGCCGAAUACCACAUCAAGGCUGAUUCUUCCCAGCGGCGUGGCUGCUUUGCCUGGGAUGAUGCCGUGGAAGGUUGUGUCCGUUGCAGGAAGCUUUGUCAUGGAGCGAUUCAUCCCUCGGAGGGUGUCAGCGUAAAUAAGGUUGAGACCGCUUCCGCCGUCGACAAAUACUUUGCUCAUCAUGUACCCGCCGAUCUGGGCUUUGAGUACUAGAGCGGCGUGUCCAGGACGUGGGAGUCUGGGAGGGUGAUCCUGUCGAGAGAAACUGAUUUCUGUUUCAGACCAAGGUAUUGUGGCACGGCUGGUGGAGUGGCCACGAGCAUAUGUUCUUGGCGGGUUAUUAGCUUCUGGACCCAAUUUGUUGGCCUGCCCUUCUGAAUCAUGCAAACGUGACCUGCUGGGGCUGGAUACGACUCGACAGCAGCAGGUGUUUGCUCCGAAGAGUGGUUCGCUACCUCGACCAUGUUGGUUUGGAGCAAGCGAGCCGACGAAGCUCCGAUGGCCAGAGUCGCCGGAUGCUGAGCCGGUGGCAACAUGGCGACUCCAUUGCCAGGGUAAUGGGAGUAACCCAUUUGCACGGUUGUUUGCUAUGCUCUAGUAAACUCGAGAUGUAACUCUUUCAAUCGCCUGCACUCCCUCAGGGGAUGGCUAGGCUUGAUGUUGCCCUGUUCGUCUUUGUAGACAUGGAACGGGCAAGAAGCUGCCAACUACUGAGAGAGUGUAAACUGGCCUCCCUUGCAUCGCCACUGAGGAUUAGGCUCGCGGAUUUCACCGCUGCGGUCACCUUCUAUUUGAGAGGUGGCUGCGACAAAAUCAGGCGAGGUUGGUUCCUCGAACGUGCGACCCUUGCGCUUCCUUCGUCUCUCGAAGGCGCGAUCUGCGCUAUUGGCUGGGGAUUGAGCUCGUUCGUUGCAAACUGAGUCCUCCCCAUCAGCCUAUCGGUUGGUGAUUUCAAUCAGAAAGCUGAUGGUAGUAGGUCAAACGUGACCCGAUUCUUCUUUGACCUCGACUCGACGAACGCCUCGUUUGAAUGCGUCUUUGGCGUUUUCAUCUGAGAGUUCCUCGGAGGCAUGCUUCGAGUUGGUCCAUCGUUGGAUAUAGGAGCGGAUAUACUCUCCCUUGCGCUGAACGCACGAUUGAAGUUGUUCAAGAGAAACUGGUCGCUUAUACGUGGCUUUGAAAUUGCGCAUAAAAGCUUGUACCGGCUCAUCCCAUGAAGUGAGCUCGCCAUCACGCAAGCUGUUUGUAACAUCCCAAAAAUUUCAAACUUUUACAUGUGCAUUGCAUCCAUAAGCAUCAUGCCACAAUUGCAUAUUUGAAUUCAAAUUUGAAUCUCAAAAAGGCUUUGGAAAGUUUUUAUUUCAAUUUAAACCCUAGGGUUUACACCCAUUUAAGCUUUGGUUCUUCAAACCAAUAAGGUUUAUCUAUAAAAGGGGUUUAUUACAUAUAUAAGCUAUCCCAUAAUUUUUGGAAAAUUAUUUGGAGUUGAAAAAGUAUUUUAUUUAAAUAGUUAUAUAGCCCUAAAGGCAUUUAUAGGGCAAAUGUAUUUUUAUAUAUUUUAUUUUGAGGGGAAAUCACUCCCAAAAGUUGAAUCCUCGUAAAACAUGAUUUUACAAAUUUUCUGGAAUUUAUUUGGACCUAUUUGGAGUUCAAAAUCAAAAGUUAUCAAAGAAAUGAGAAAAAGGGAAAAAGAAAAGAAAAAAAAAGGUAAACCGGACCGGUCCGACUGCAUGGGCCGAACCGGCCUAGAACUGACCGCGCCCGACCGCACACGAGCUGGCCCAACCAGCCCGGUCUGCCCCCCGCGCGCGCUGAGUCGCUGACAGGUGGGGCCCACCUGUCAGGCUCUUCUUCCUCGUUUGGAAAGCGCCGGCCGUCACGCGCGCCGAGUCUGCGCCUGAUCCGCCGCGCGGCUUCGCUGCCCCGCCGAUUUCGGCCUUCCCAGAACCGCCCGAGCGCACCACUAUAAAGCCCGGAGUUCCCCCUCUCUUUUCCCUCUCUUGCUCGACCGAAUCCUCGCGCCCACGCCUCCCGAUUCCUCGCCGGAGCCGCACGGACGCUGCCGCUCGUUUUGGUCACCGCCGACAACCCUAAGGGUUAGCUCCGCCAUCUUCUUCUCCCUCUACUUCUUCAUCUCCGUGCGCUUCUUUUGACGCGCGCCUCGUCGCGUUUCGUGCCCGCAGCCAUCGCCCGAAGCUCGCCGGAGCUCUGCCACCCGCGCCGCCGCCUCAUCUUCGUCCUAGGCGAGCGCGCCGACGUCCUCGAGGAGUGCCGACCCCGCCAUCGCCCUCGCCGUGCCGCGCUGCGUCAACCCCGCACCUCCCUGCGCCGCCGUCUCCCUCGUCUCCGGCGACCGCCGCCGCCGCGAAGGUAAACCCUAGCCCGCCCCGACCGUCCGAUCGUGAUCCCACGGUCAAGAUUAGAUCCCCAUUUUAUUUUUAAUCAAACCGGUACACACCAAUGAGGAGCUGACACGUGGCACCUAUUUUAUAAAAAAAUUCUAAUUUUAAUUCCCCGGAAUAAUUAAAUAGCACUUUUGCAGAAAAGCCCCUGUAACUUCAAAUGAUCAUAUCUUUUAAUCUGUUUGGCCAAAUUUAAUGAUCCACACCUUUUUGGAAUCCUUAGGAAAUGUUGAAUCUUUUGGCACUGUCCAUUUUCAAAUUUAAAUUUUUGAAUCACAUUCAAAUUACAGAAUAGGGUUUAAAACCAUUUAAUUCAUAACUAAUUAUUUAGAAGUCCUUUUUAAAUGAAACCAGUGCCCAAAUUUUUUUUUUAUUAUCCUCUGUCCAAUGGGACAGAGAAAUAAAUAUUUUGAAUUCAUUUUUUUGGCUGGUGCCAAUAAAACCUCAUUUUAUGGUUUAAACCCCAACUUUUGCAAAUUGUUUAAAACCCUAAUUACAUGUGGUUAAUUAUCAAUGCUUAAGAUCAGUAGAUCACCCAAAUAAAAUAAACCAAAUGAUGUCACAUAUUGCAUUGCAUCAUAACAUACAUUCUUUUGUCAGGUUUGAAUUGUGUGCUUAUGUGUGUGUAUGUUGUUUGUAUUUGAAUAGUUUUCUCGGAGAGCGAACCUUGUGAUUGUGACGAGUGUUUGAGCUCCAACUGCUACCAAGGCAAGUUCACUUUGAUCAUAUCCUAUUACUGUUUGAUUUUAAAAUACUUAGGCAUUAGAAUUGUUUAUAGAAAUGCAUUGAUAGGACUAUUACUCGUACUUAUGCUAGCUAUGAUUGACCUACUAGCUAUAGGGUUACAUUUGCCAUGAAUUCUCCACCAAUAGCCAUCGUGAUUAGUAUUGCUUAGCCAUGCUAUGUUAGUAAACAUGGGAGGGAAUCUCAAUCACUGUGAAAUGACGAUGUGGAGUAAUUUUGGAAACUUGGCAAAACAACCCUAAUGAACCAUCCUGGGUGGACUGCUUUGAGAUUUUGAGAUGUUAUGCGACGUCAGGUCCAUUUCUAUGGGUCCCUCUGAGUCGAGUCUCCGUGGAUUCGGAGAUGGAUCGUCCAUGGACGUCUCUUCCGUGGAUUCGGGGAGCGCUUGUGUCGCAAAUGUGGAAUGCCACCUGGGGUAUCAGAGACUGGACUAGUUUCCUGUUUAGUAGCUUCCAGUACAACCACAUGGUAAUAUGGGCUCUGCCUGGAUGGAGUAAGAAAUGUUUACCCAGAUCUGAGGGAUUGUACUGAGGUAGUUGUGUAGGUGGGAGCGCGGGUCCCUCAGGUGGUCUGGGUUAACAUGUUCUGAAAAUUCUUGAAGUCGAUGUCGUUGCUACUCCACUUGGAGGACAGCAACGGAUUAACACGUCGAUUUCUUGUGGGGAAUGUGUACAACCUCUCGAGAGUGUCAAACUAAGUACUUAGCCGUGUCCCCGGUUACGGACAAUUAUGAGCAACUAGAUAUUGGGGCUGUAAAGAAAGUCUCACUCAUUCCAACUUCUUAAAUAAAAUGAAUGGUUUGAACAGGGUAGGGGCACUUGAUGUUUCUACUCAAUGUGCUCUAGGUUAAUAGGAGAAUGGGUGUUUCUACCCCGUGUCCAUUAGUUAACAAUAUUGUAACAUUCAAUUGUAGUAAGAUAAACUAUGUUUGCUACCACGCCAUAAAGCCUGAACCCCACUAUACCUCAAUUGCAUAUACUUGGUAGGAUUUGUUAUAACUUCCAGGUGAACUUGCCAAUACAUUCAAAUGUAUUGACCAUGUAGUGGCUGCAAAUAACAAUGCAGGUGAAUCUGACGAAGAGUGAGGUUCGUCGAUGCUCUUUGGGUCAUGUGCUUACAUUCCAACAUGCUCUCUCCUUUGGGAGUAGAUGAGGCCCAUUUGCUCUACCUUUCCGCUUUAGUUUUAUGAGACAAUGUUAUCAUGGUUUUGAAACAAUAUUUGUUUAUGCUGGCCUGAGAGGUCAUGCAAGAUUGUAAGUACAAUUAAGUUCUGGAUGAUACGAUGUAAUAAAGUACUUUUGACCGUUGUAUCUUGGUAUUACAUCUUGAACUAUGUGUGCUAGUGAGUCAAUCCAGGGACUAGCACAAAUAAGCACAGAGAUCGAACCCUAGUAAGGGGGCGGUCGCUUCAGAUGGUAUCAGAGCAAUGUGUUGCCUGUAGGAACGUGACCCUAGUUUGGAUUAGGAUAAGACAGACCAAAGACCAAACCUUAGGAUUACUUCUUAUCCCUAUCUGAUCUAUAUAUAUACAUAUAUUUAUUCCUUAUCCCUAUUCAUCUGAACCUUUGCAUUUAUAUCUUACAUAUGCAUGACAUAUUUGUUGUUUUAUUCCACAUAUACACCAAAUACUAUGCAUUAUACCACAUAUGCAUGUUUAUUAUCUUAUACCACAGAUGCAUACUUAUUUUUAUUACACCAUACACCACUAUAAUCAUGUUGACAUGUUACCCAUAUAAUAUUAUGCAUCCAAUUUUAUAUACGAGCAAGAUUAAGCAAACACAAAAGAGAGUCGUAUUUUCCAUAUUCAAUCAUGUAAGAAAUAUCAAAGUAAAGCCCACAAUAAACCUAUCCAUUUUUCUUUGUUCGGUUUCAUCUAAACCAGAUCGCAAGGUUAUAAUUUGAAACUCAUUGUAGUAAUCAUCAACAGUUUUAUCAUCUUGUGUCAAACGUCGUAAUUUUGAAUGCAAGUUAAAAGCAUAACUAAAAGGGACAUAUUUUUCUCUCAUGAUUUUCUUCAUAUCAACCCAAGUGUGGGGAAUUUUCUUUUCUCUAACUAUCUCAUUCCACCAAGAUAAAGCAGCAAAAGUAAAUUUACUACUAGCAAUUUGAACCUUGCGACUAUCAAGUACAUGGAAGCAUGUGAAUUGUUCAGUUAAAGUUAGCUCCUAAUCUAUAUACGUUUCAGCAUCAGUUUUCCCCUCAAAGAAAGGUACACACAAUUUCAUUGUAUUAGAAGGAUUGUUUUGUACCGUUGCCGUGACAUUGUCAACAAGAGACGUGGAGGAUGGCCGUGGUGAAAAGCACUCAUCGCGGUCACGGGAUAGCAUCGGUCUAGUUGCCAUGCUUCGUGUAAGUCCUGUCAUGGUUAGUAGAAAACAAGAAACAAAUCACAGUAAUAUGUUCCUAUCAACUACUAGGAUGUGGCUACAAGUCGCUCAACUCUCAAACUAAAAAUCAAGUUCUUACGAGUUCUUACCAUGCAAAACAGGAAGGUGAUGGCCAGCGGCGUAACCAAGCCCUCCGAAGAUUGAAUGUAUCGAUGCCUCAGUAACAUACCAACCUAGGUGUAGAAUCUGUGGAGCUUGGAGGCUUUUGUGAGUAGUAAGGAAUAGCAAAUAAUCAAAUCAGCAAUGUAAAGUUGAAAAUAUGCUCAACAAUUCUAGUCCUAACUGCUGAAGUCGAUAAGAACGAAUUACAGAAAUAAACUAAGCCUAGAUACUGAAAAAGGUAGGAUAGAAAGAUGGCACAACAAGUAAAUCCAUGGGAUUUUUUUUUUCUUUUUGUGGCCGUCUUUUUGGCUUCUUAUUCUUUUCUUCUUCUUUUUUUCUUUUUUUUAACCCAGAAACUCACGCAAAAGAAGGACCGGAAAACUGUACAUCGGUCUGUCAAAGAACAGCAAAGACUGCAGUAAGAAAAAUUCAGAAAAAUAUGGAAAAUAUGGGUUAGAAGCGUAUCGACACAAGCUUUCUAGCAAGGGCAAGAUCACUCAAAACGGAUGUCGGACGGUGGAGAAAACUGAAAAACACCAGGCUGCAGCGACGCCGGAAAACGGAUGCAGCAACUUGGAAACUCCGAAAGUCCACCUUAGAAGCCGAAUUUGAGGGUGAAAGUGCAGGCCGUUGCUCUAGAUAUUUCCUGAUGCGCCUUGUCAUGAGGUUUUCAAAAAGUCCAAGAACGUCCAAAUCCGAGUUGGUAUGCAGAAGAUACGCCCCUUUUACCGAACAGGGGUCAAACCCACCCGAAACUAAUAUACUCUCAACGUGGAUCUGAAACUGAUUCUUUCUCUCUUUUUUUUCGUUUACUUUCUUUCUUUCCUUUCUUUUUUUUCAAAACUUUCCGAACAACUUGAUCUCUAAACAAAAUUCAAUCUAUUAUGAAACACUUUCCAAAAGCACUCUCGAUUGGACUCGGACUCGAACUCGGAGAAGUACUCGGUGUAGGACUCGAUGGAAGAUAUGGUGUGUAACAUCCCAAAAUUUCAAACUUUUACAUGUGCAUUGUGCAUCCAUAAGCAUCAUGCCAAAAUUGCAUAUUUGAAUUCAAAUUUGAAUCUCAAAAAGGCUUUAAAAGAUUUUAUUUCAAUUACAACCCUAGGGUUUUCACCCAUUUGAGCUUUGGAUCUUCAAAACCAAUAGGGUUUAUUUAUAAAAGGGGUUUAUUGCAUAAAUAAGCUAUCCCAUAAUUUUUGGAUAAUUAUUUGGAGUUGAAAAACUAUUUUAUUUAAAUAGUUAUAUAGCCUAAAGGCAUUUAUAAGGCAAAUGUAUUUUUAGAUAUUUGAUUUUGAAGGGAAAUGACUCCCAAAAGUUGUAUCAUGAUAAAAAAUGAUUUUACAAACUUUCUGGAAUUUAUUUGGACCAAAUUGGAGUUCAAAAUCAAAAGUUAGAAAAGAUUUACAAAAAAAGAAAAAGGAAAAAAAGAUUAAAGGAGAAAAAAGUGGGAACGGACCCGCCCGGCCGAAUUGGGCCGAACCGGCACAACUUCCCGCGCGCGCCCGAGCCAGCCCAGCCAGCCCCGCAUGCGCUCGCGCCCAAGAGUCACUGACAGGUGGGGCCCACCUGUCAGUCUUCGUCUUCCCCGGAAUCACGCUCGCGACGCGCGCGCGCUUUCCUUCUUCGCCGCCACGCGCUCACCGCCGGAUUCCCCUCGCUCCGCCCUUUAAUCCUCGAGCCCAUGCGCGUCCCUAUAAAGCCCCGCCCCUCCUCUUCUUUUCGCCCUUUUCGCCCCCGCUCGCAUGCACCCACGCCGCCGAUAUCUUUCGCCGGAGUUCCGCGGACGCCGCCGCCGUUUUUCGUCACCGCCGGUAAGCCGCGAAGCCUAGCUCCAAAUUGACCGCUGCUUCGUCUUCCUUGCUUCCUCGCGCACACCAUGACGCGCGCCGUCUUCGCUUUCGUGCCCUGCAGCGCCCCGACGACCCAAGGCCGAAGCUCCGCCGCCCGUCGCCGACCGCCGCCGUGCUCGAUACAUCCUAGGCGACGCCCUCGACCCCACCUCGCCUCGAAGACCGCGCCAUCGACUUCGUCGUGCCGCGCCGUGCCUCCCGCGCACUUCCCCGAGCCGCCCUCGUCGCUGGAGCACCCCGCGCCGCCGCCCGAGCCCGCACCGCCGCCGGAACCCUAGACCUCGCCGAUGAGCUCCAUCUUCGAUCCCGACCGUCCAUCCUUGAUCCACGGCCGAGAUUAGAUCUCGGUUUUCAUUUUAAAUCGAACCGGUAUGCACCGGUGAGAUUGCAACACAUGGCACCUUAAUAGAAAAAUAAAAAUGUAAUUUUAAUCCCCCGGUUUAGAAUAAAUGGCACUUUUGCAGAAAAGCCCCUGUAACUUCAAAAGAUCAUAACUUUCAAACCCUUUUGAAUAUUUGAAUCACAGUCAAUUUACAGAAUAGAGUUUAAUGCCUUUUAGUUCAUAACUAAUUAUUUAGAAGUCCUUUUUAAUUGAAACCAGUGCCCAAAAUUUUGUUUAAAUAUCCUCUCUCCAUUGGGACAGAGAAAUAAAUAUUUUGAAUUAAAUUAUUUGGCUGAUGCCAAUAAAACUAUACUUUAGGGGUUUUAAUAAAUUGUUUUUGCCUUUUUGUUUAAAACCCUACUGCAUUUGUUUUAAUCACCAAUGCUUUGGACCAGUUGAUCGCUCAAAUAAAAUAAACUCACUCAUGUCACAUGUUUUGCAUUGCAUCUUGGCAUACAUCUUCUUUUUUUUAUUGUAUUGUAUGUUUAUGCAUGUAUUGUUUGUAUUGUUUAGUUUUCUCGGAGAGCGAACCUUGUGACUGUGCAUCAUGGCAUACACCUAGGUUGGUUAUUUACCGAGGCAUCGAUACAUUUAAUCUUCGGAGGGCUUGGUCACGCCGCUGGCCAUCACCUUCCUGUUUUGCAUGGUAAGAACUUGUAAGAACUUGAUUUUUAGCUUGAGAGUUGAGCGACUUGUAGCCACAUCCUAGUAGUUGAUAGGAACAUAUUACUGUGAUUUGUUUCUUGUUUUCUACUAACCAUGACAGGACUUACACGAAGCAUGGCAACUAGACCGAUGCUAUCCCGCGACCGCGAUGAGUGCUUUUCACCACGGCCAUCCUCCACGUCUCUUGUUGAUAAUGCCAUGGCAACGGUACAAAACAAUCCUUCUAAUACAAUUAAAUUGUGUGUACCUUUCUUUGAGGGGAAAAAUGAUGCUGAAACGUAUAUAGAUUGGGAGCUAGUUUUAACUGCACAAUUCACAUGCUUCCAUGUACUUGAUAGUCGCAAGGUUCAAAUUGCUAGUAGUAAAUUUACUUUUGCUGCUUUAUCUUGGUGGAAUGAGAUAGUUAGAGAAAAGAAAAUUCCCCACACUUGGGUUGAUAUGAAGAAAAUCAUGAGAGAAAAAUAUGUCCCUUUUAGUUAUGCUUUUAACUUGCGUUCAAAAUUACGACGUUUGGCACAAGAUGAUAAAACUGUUGAUGAUUACUACAAUGAGUUCCAAAUUAUAACCUUGCGAUCUGGUUUAGAUGAAACCGAACAAACAAAAAUGGAUAGGUUUUAUUGUGGGCUUAACUUUGAUAUUUCUUACAUGAUUGAAUAUGGAAAAUACGACUCUCUUUCGUGUUUGCUUAAUCUUGCUCGUAAAGUUGAGAGGAAAUUACAGCGAGGGUCUACUACAAAUGAGUCGAGCCCACAAGGUAGUGAUACAGAGGAUUGUGUUGCUAAACUAAAAAGGGCAUGUGAUGAAAUAAAUGUGAUACCUGUUGAAUUUUCUGCACCAUGUGAAAUUAUUGUCGUACAUGGUGAUUCAAGUGCACCUACUGCUGAAAUUAAUUCUUCUAAUGAUUUGAGUGCACAAAUUAAUUUUGAUAUUGAUGAGAACGAAUCAUGUGAGGAACUAACUAAUGUUUUGGGAGAAACAAGUGAGAUAGAUAAAUUUGAUUUAGGUUGUGUCGAGUUGAUUAGACAUGGAGUGAUUGAUAAGGAUCCACCUAUUAAUUUUUUGUGUUAUAUUACACUUGAUACACCUAUAUAUUUGUCACAUGCAAUGGAUAAAGUUUCUGAGUUAACAAUUUCAAAAUCUUUUGCUAAUGCCCAUGGAUACACUAUUCAAUUAAUUGGAGAACAUGAUGUCAACAAUAAAGUUUUGGUGCAUCAGAUUUGCAUUGCUUGUGAUAACUUUCUUGAUUUGAGAGAAAAUAAUAUGUUGCAUAUGCUUAACCAUUUUGAUAUGACCUCCAAUAUUGGUGUUGAUUAUUUGCCAAUUAGUUCUUUACACGAUUGUUUGAAUAUUAGUGCUUUGACAUGCUCUAAAUUUCAGCAUCUUGUAGUAACUAAUUUGGGUAACAUUAUUAUUAUUAUUCUCCAGUGUUGGGAUGGUAUAAUGGUGAGCGGUGCAAACCAAAUACAAGAUAUUGUUUCACUUAUAUAUGCAAAACAUAUUGUCAAUCUUCUUGCUGGAAUGAUAUUCAUGAUGACUGUGUGACUAAUUAUCUCAUGAGAUUGUGUUAUAAAACAUUAAUUGUGCAACAUGGGAGUGGAGUUAAAAAUAACGAUAUAUACAUAUACCAUGCGCAUACCUUGUCUCUUUUGUUAGCAUAUUUUCAGCAUAAACGACGCCGAGGACGGCUUUCCUUUCAAGAAAGGGAGGAUGAUAUGGACAUGCUAACCAUGGAUACGACCAUUAGAACCCUAAUUGUUGGUGUCUCUAAUAAUUAUAAUCAGGUGAAUUCAAUUACAAAAUGUUUUUAAUAUGUUACUUGCAAAGAGGCGGAGCUACUAUCUUGUGUAAUCUUAUUAUGUAGGCAUCUUAUUGAACUUUACAAGUCCAAAGUGAAGAUGAAGUGUUAUAGCCUGCAAAGGGAGAUUCAAAGUGAAGCCUAUCAAGUGUACUUUCCAACAAAUCAAACGGCACAUGAUUCGGAGCUUGCUAGAGAAAGAUAUCACGAAUUAAAGUUGAAUCCGAUUCGGGUCCGAGCUGUCAGGAGACCCGAAUUUUUUUUAAUCACCCAGGCCGCAUCCGAGUCCAAAUCAAGCCAACAAGUACUUGUUGGAAAGGUAAUUACAAGACCUUUCCAACGGAUCUGGCCCCAUCAAGAGAUUCGACUCGUGCUGACCGUGGCGGACAAAACAAGCUGACGGAUCUGUUUUUCUGUUUCCUAAAGAGUUGUAGUUUGUUAGGAAAGUUAGAGAUAGAGUUGGAUUUCGGACUCCUUAUUCAAGGCGGACGAAAAUAUCUCUCCCUCCUCCUUUAUAUACCCCAUGAGCCCCCCUAAGGAGCCUUGGGUUUUGUUUAGUUAAAAGUUAGCCAUCGCUACUACUUCGUGUAAUCGCGUGUGUCGGUUAGACCACCUGUUUUACCGCUUUCAGAACCCCAACUUAUCGUCUCGUUGAGACAUUGGUUUGAUAUAGUAUAUUCGCAAUUUUAGAUUGCAUCCGCUAUUUAUCUUGUUCUUGCUUGUUCUUCGAUUGCUUGCAGGAACAAAGACCUUCGUGGUCAGGUUGAUCGUGCCCCCGCGUGAUCAAUAACCCUUUGGAGUUGGUGUAUCGAUUGCUAAGGCGCUGCCUCUUAGGCCGUAGUCGGAUCGUCAAUGUCACCUCCUACCCAAAUCGAGAGUUACCAAUCUCAUCGAAAGAUCGGGCCACCCGCACCCGUAUCAAGCGUAUUUGUGUACCACAAGUCCCCGAGAUCAGAAAACUAAUACUACAAGAAGCUCAUGAUUCACCGUACUCAAUCCACCCCGGUAACACAAAGAUGAACACGGAUUUGAAAGAAAAGUUUUGGUGGACAGGAUUGAAGCGAGAUAUCUCCAAGUAUAUCGCUCUGUGUGAUGUUUGUAGCAGAGUCAAGGCUAAACAUCAGAAACCAGCUGGAUUACUACAACCAUUGCUAGUGCCAGACUGGAAAUGGGAUAAGGUAGGCAUAGAUUUCAUCACUAGCUUGCCAAGGACAAGGUCUGGUUAUGAUUCAAUAUGGGUGGUAGUCGACCGUUUGACCAAGGUUGCCCAUUUCAUACCUGUGAAGACCAACUAUACAAGUGCUCAGUUGGCCAAACGAUACAUGUCUAGGAUUGUAUGCCUACAUGGAGUUCCCAAGGAGAUCGUUUCAGACAGAGGUACCCAAUUUACCUCAAGAUUUUGGGGACAAUUGCACGAGUCUGUAGGCACGAGACUAGAGUUUAGCACAGCGUUUCAUCCACAGACAGAUUGACAAACAGAAAGAGUGAACCAAAUUCUUGAAGAUAUGUUAAGAGCUUGCGCUCUGGACUAUGGAUCUAGCUGGGAUGAGAAUCUACCAUAUGUAGAGUUCUCAUACAACAACAAUUUUCAAGCAAGUAUUGGAAUGGUACCUUUCGAAGCUUUGUAUGGCAAGAAAUGCAGGACGCCUUUGCUAUGGGAUGGUGUAGGAGAUCGUAGUCUAUUUGGACCCGACAUGAUAAAGGAUGCUGAAGAGAAGGUCAGACUGAUUCGAGACAGACUCAAGAUAGCUCAAUCCAGGCAAAAGAGUUAUGCAGAUGCCAAACGAAGGGAGGUCACCUAUGAGGUUGGUGACAGAGCGUAUCUCAGAGUUUCUCCGAUACGCAGAGUUAAGAGAUUUGGGAUUAAAGGAAAACAAGCGUCACGAUAUGUUGGACCCUACAAGGUUUUAGCACCCAAGGAGAGGUAGCUGACAAGUUAGAAUUACCUGAAGUGUUGACAAGUGUCCACGACGUAUUCCACGUGUCACAGUUAAGGAAGUGCCACCCGGAGAUGGCCGAUACGCCACUAGGGGAUACAGUUUCACUUGACGAAGUUGAGAUUCAAAGCGAUCUCACAUAUGAAGAGAAACCAACCAGGAUCUUGGAAACAGCUGAAAGACAUACCCGUUCCAAGACCAUCAAAUUCUGCAAGGUUCAAUGGAAUCACCACACCGAAGAAGAAGCUACGUGGGAACGCGAGGAUGAUCUUCGAGAAGACCACCCACACCUUUUUGCUAACCAACAGGAACUGUUCAAAAAUUGCUUUUAUUUGAAUUUGGGCUUUGAUUCUUACUUUUGAGUAUUUGCAUUUUAACCCAUGAGGGUAUUAGUACAAAAAGGGAUUUAAUGCAUAUAUAAAGCUAUCCCAUAAGUUGACUUUUGAAACUAUUUUGAAAAAUAAUUUAUUUUGAUAGCCUAAGGGCCCUAAAAGCCAUUUUAUAGGCAAAUGUAUUUUUAAAUAUUUUAUUUUGAGGAAAUUCUUGUUCCAAAAGUUAGAUCAUAUGAAAAUAUGAUUUUACAAAUUUUGUUGCAAUUUAUUUGGAGUGAUUUGGAGCCUCGAAGCAAUUUUGAGGUUCAAAAACAGAAAAUAGGAAAAAGAAAAGAAAAACCGGGCCGAACCGGACCGAACCGGACCGGACCAACCGGCCCGCCCCCGCGCCCAAACCGUUGUGCCACUGACAGUGCGCCCCGCCACCCUUCUUCAACCUCCGUCCGUUUUCCACUCGCACGACUCCGAUUCCACGUCGCCCACGCCUCCACUCCGAUUCCUCCGCGCACACACGACUCCAAAUCUGAAACCGAGCACGUCAUCUCGAGCCCCUUCCUUUUCUCCCCCUAUCCCCCCAGUUUUCCCGCUCGAUUGCGCGCCGGUUAGCCACCAAUUUCUCGCCGUUUUUGCUCACGGCCGUCGCCGUUCUUCGCGUUUUUGCCGCCGUUCCGGUGAGAAUCUCCCCACGCCGACCCCCUAUCCUCUCUCCGUGACGCGCGUGCUUUAAUUUUUGGAGCUUCGCCCCGCCGCGCCGCCCGUUCUUCCCCAGCGCCGGCCCCCGCGCGCCGCCGCCUGCGUCCCCCUCCGCCGUGCCCGUGCACCGCCUCUGCCCGCACCGCGCGCCGCCUCUGCCCCGCGAGCCCGCGCCUCCGUCUCCCGCGCCGGCCGCCGCCGCCCGUGCCUCUGCACUGCGCCGCCCGCCGCCGCUCUCCGGAGCCGCCUCUGCCCUCGAGCCCCGUGCCGCCUGCAUCCGCCGCCGCUCCGCCGUGCUCGCCGCGCCGCCCCGCGCCGCCGCGCCCGCAACGCCCCGCGCCGCCGCCGUCCGGCGAGCUCGCGCCACCCUGGGGAAACCCUAGGUCCGGCCAAUCCCGCCAUGCCCCGUGGCGAAGCUUUUUCCUUUUGUUUUUAUUUUAUUUUCGGCCGAAUUAAUAUUGCACUUUUGCAGAAAAGCCCCUGUAACUUCAAAGCACCAUAUCUUUCAAACCGUUUGUCCAAAUUUUGUGUUCCGCACCUUUCUGGAAUCGUCAUAACUUGUAGAAUAUUUUGGCACUGUCUAUUUUCAGUUUUGAACAUCUUAGUCAGAAGCAAUUUACAGAAUGCAUGAAUAUGGUUUAAAUAUAAAAUGAAUUAUUUCAAAAUAGUUUUGAGCUUGUUAGCCUGCUGUAAAAUUAUUUAAGCUUGUUCUAUGUCCAUUAGGACCAGAAGAGAAAUCAUUUUGUGAAUAAUAAUGUCAUACAAGUUUAAAUCUUGUUCUAUGUUGCAAAAACCACACAAUCUUUUAAUUUAAACCCUAUCCUUGUUUCAUGCAUAUUAAUUACCUCUUUGAUGUUGUAUAAUCUGUCCAAAUCAUUUGAAAGACUUUUCAAAACAGAAACAAAUUCAGGUCUCCUGACAGCUCGGACCCGAAUCGGAUUCAACUUUAAUUCGUGAUAUCUUUCUCUAGCAAGCUCCGAAUCAUGUGCCGUUUGAUUUGUUGGAAAGUAGACUUGAUAGGCUUCACUUUGAAUCUCCCUUUGCAGGAUAUCACACUUCAUUUUCACUUUGGACUUGUAAAGUUCAAUAAGAUGCCUACAUAAUAAGAUUACACAAGAUAGUAGCUCCGCCUCUUUGCAAGUAACAUAUUGAAAACAUUUUGUAAUUGAAUUCACCUGAUUAUAAUUGUUAUUAGAUACACCAACAAUUAGGGUUCUAAUGUUCAUAUCCAUGGUUAGCAUGUCCAUAUCACAGGCGCUUGAUGUCUAGGGCGAUCGCCGCGUGUAGCCCGGCUAGCAGCCCUUCGUACUCUGAUGUGUUGUUGGUGGAGUUGGCGAAGUCGAGCUGUAUCACGAAUUUGAGUUGAUCUCGAGUAGGUGACUCGAUCACUACUCCGGCACCGACACCCUGCAGACUGAAGGUGCCGUUGAAGUAAAUGACCCAGCACCCUUCAUCUAAUUUGCCGGGAAGGCUUGCUUCCGGCUCUUCUUCUAUUCCCGUGGACGUCCACUCCGCAACGAAGUCGGCGAGAGCGACGCUCUUGAUGCUCUUGGUAUUCGCGAAUUGUAGACCGAACUCCGCUAGCUCCAUCCUCCAUUCGGCCACCCUCCCGGUGGCUUCACGGUUGAUGAUAGCCCGCUCCAGGAAGAAACCCGACACCACCGUGAUGCUGUGCGCCUGAAAGUAAUGGCGCAACUUCCGUGAAGCGAGCAGGAUCCCAAGCAAAAGCUUCUGGAUCUGCGGGUACCGUACCCGGGCAUCGCGCAACACCGUGCUGACGAAGUACAUGGGGUGCAGCACUAGCCGCUUGCGGGGGGACAGCCUAAGUGGGCUGCCCCUCGGUCCCAGGGGAGAGGCGGUAGCAGGGGGUUCUUCCGGAUCACCGGGAGCCCCUUGCCCCACUGUCUCAGCCCCCGGGACUUGCUCUUCCCUCUCAGCAACGAGCACAGAGAUCACUACCUGAUCUGUCACUGCUAAGUAAAGUAGCAACGGCUCGCCCGGCUUGGGGGCGACGAGGAUCGGCGUCGACUUCAGGCACUACUUCAAGUCCUGGAACGCCGCUUCUGCCUUGGGGGUCCAGUUGACUGGGCCCUUCUUCUUUGUUACCUUGAAGAAAAGUAAGGCUCGCUCGCCCAACCUUGAGAUGAAACGCUCGAGCGCCGCAACGCAACCGUUGAGGCGCUGGACAUUUCUGACCUUGCGGGGUGCCUUCAUUUUCUCGAUCACCUCAAUCUUCUGCGGGUUGGCCAACAAGUGCCCCGAGUCCACGCCGAACGUGCAUUUCUCGGAGUUAAGCUUGAGCUUGAUCCUGCGAAGAUUAUCGAAUGUCUCCUGCAGGUCGCCGACGAGCAAGUCCCCGCGCCACGACUUGACGACGAUAUCGUCCAUAUAGGCCUCGAUAUUACGACCUAGCUGGGGUCCCAAACACUCGUGGAAAGCGCGCUGAAUUGUCGAGUCUGCGUUCUACAACCCGGAAGGCAUGCAUGUGUAACAGUAGCAGCCAACCGGAAUGAUAAACGUUGUUUUCUCUUCAUCUUCGACUGUCAUCUUAAUCUGAUGGUAGCCGGAGAAGGCAUCUAAAAAGCACAAAAACUUACAACCUGUUGUGGAAUCUACUAUUUGAUCAACCCGUUACUUGCGACCCACGCGUCCCAUAUCGGUGGGAUCCCGCGGGCCACGGGUACGACAAGGCCAAUGCAAUUUCUCACCACAGGUCGUCGAUAAGUCGUGGUUGUGCUCUGUACGAUGCUCUGCCACGUAGCACGCCUCAUCACUGCUGCGGAGCAGCCUCAUAAGUGCCGGAAACAUAGACAUUGAAGAUGUCGUAUUUGGUUUAGGCUUGCCCUGCCGCACAUGUUUCAGCAAAAAGGAAUGUCAGCGAUGUCAUGGAUGGUUUAGUCGCUGGCAAGCAGCCGAACGAUGAGGCUAUAUUAUGAUAAGACACAGUAACACUCACCGCACAUCCACAAACAAUUUCCUGCAUGCACUUGGACCCUUAGCAGUUGCUACGGCUCUUGCCGUAUCUAAUGCCGAAACCGACUUCCCAGGAGAACAGAUUAAAUUCGUAAGCUUCUGCCAACGAAUCGAAUCUAGUGCCAAUCACUGGCUCCACGACCAAUCCAGUCCUAGUUUCCGCGUAUGUCUUCAAUGAUUCUUCCAGGGCUGUAACCCUCCCUGGAGAUGCUCCCCUGCCGUCAGCAACAGCACCUACCCUUGGCCUGUCUUUAGCUACACAUUCGUUUCAGUAAAUUCCUACCUCAAUCGAAGCACUUGAUACCACGACAUAGAUGGGCAGGAUUGAUGCACUAACCUUUUCUUCCAUGAUGCGGACCCGUCCGCCACCUCAGAUCCCGCGCCUCCCCCCCUCGGUGCACUUUGAGCAACAUGAGGGUCCAGAAUUCCUUCUCCCCAUGACGAGUCGCAGCUAUCUUAUAUGGCCGUCGCCGCCGUGCUCGAAUGGAGAGACUGCCGCUCGGUCUCACGGACCGCUUCGACCAGCGGGUGUAUACCAUCUUCGCCGGCCGGAAAGGCACUCAGCAGCACACACAACAGUGGCCCAAAAGAUCUGGAGAGGCAGCUUACCCGUUAGUUGUCGAGAUCCCUUCAUCCAUGAAGGCUUGUAAGCGCCGCAGGCCUUGGGCUCAGCCAGCCCCUGCCGCCGCGAAGUCGCGCAACCACCUCCUCUGUCUCCGGUGCCGUCCAGGAGGGGCGUCGCUCGCGAUAAUUUCCCAACCCCCAGCGCUGGCGUACAGAGGAACUGAAUGAGAACGGGGGCCCCACCAUGCGGGUCGGAGUCAUGGACAUCUCCACACGCUGUCCUGUACCUGCCAGGCAGUACAGUAAAAACCCUGUACCGGCAUACGGUGGGGAAACCACAAUACAUGUAUUCCGGAAUUUAUGAGUUUCGCAGGUACUGCACUGCUGGACGGUAAAGAUUUCGGGUGCACCCGCACCCGGUUGCACAAAAUCCGCAGAGUUCAGGCCCUCAUACAACGUUCCUGUUACAGAGUUCAUCGUUCAUAACCUAAACAGCGGCGGCAUAGCUAUUUUACAGAGGGCUUCUGGGCUCCCCACUCACGACCAGGCUUUUGCUAUGGGCUCGGUCCAUUCCUUCAGUUGGCCCAUCCGAGUGGUUAUCCACAGCCGUGACAGUCUCCUCCGUGCGCAAAGAUUUAGUGGCACUUAGAGGCUAGAUUGCCAUCAAAAGCGAGCUUAAAACAUCCAAACCAAACGCACAACCUUACCUGCCGAGGCUAGUUUAUCUAUGGCCUAGAAACCAAACGUAAUAACCCAUCCUAUAUUAAGUGACUUAGAUUUAACUAAAUAUGGUCGUAUUUAUAUACUUAAAUACGUCUAAAUACAUGUAAUAUUUUGACACUUAAUACGAGACGAGGAAGUACUAACUGGAGACUUGCGACAGUUUGCCCCUGACCUGAUAAGUAGCUCGGUCGACGCAGAAGAACACUUGGCUCGUGUGCUGGAUUUCUCUAUCUCGGUGAAGGUUGCCAAAUCUAUCCUACCGAAGUUUGGUUUUCGUGAUACGUGGAGUUUACUAAAUACUCAUUCCGUUCAUAAAUACUUGUCGUGCUUUCAGUGCAAAUAAAACCACGAUAAGUAUUUAGAAACGGAGGGAGUAUUUUGUUACGGGGUAUUUUCAAGUGGUCUUUGUUACAUAAUAGUCAAUUUAUUGGCAAGUCAAUGCCUAUUUAUCGACUCCAGUCGAUUUUCUUGCCAAUAAACAACUCAGUGGUAAUCAAAAUCUCCAAAACUUUGUUGGCUUGCCAAAUAUUCCCCCUCUCUCAGAUUGGUAGGCACAGCUCCAAAAACACAAUAACCAAGGAAACUGGGUCACGAUUCAAAGCAAACCAGGAUUUAAACUGACAACACGGGCAGUAGCAGGCUAGCAGCAGCGUUGAGGAGAACAAGAGAUCCCAGACUGUUCUCAUUUUUGCUGGCAGAGCUGUAGCGGAGGCUAAAUUAUAUUGCCUGAGGUUACAGGGCAAAUACAAAAUCUAGCAGACAACUGCUACAAGGAAUGAAUCUUUGAGAAGUUGGGGAGCUCUGAAGUAACUGUAGUAAAUUAUCUGUGCACUCUGAAUAAUCUUGACCAUUUGCAGGUGCAUGGAAGAUGAUAUAUGUUAUUUCUAUAAGUUGCACAACAUGAUAACCCAUACCUUAUUGAUCGGGCACAUGACUUAGACCGUGGAAUAAACAAAAUAUUAUCUUGACAACAAUAUAUUUUUAAUUAGACAAGACUAGGACGUGAACAUUGGCUAUGGUACCGCUUUGGACGCUUUUGUUUUUUUUUUCUAGUCAUCCAUGUACAAAGACGAAAAGCAAUCUGGUUUUUGGUCCCCGUGGCAUGCAUCCAGGGGUUAGGGUGAGCGUUUGGUUAUAACCAAAACUUCCGUACGGUUCUUUGGUUUUUCACGAAAUUUGGUUUUUCAAAAUUGAGGACCAAAAUCACCUUAAAAAAUUUGAUAACCGAAAUUUCGGUUAACUGAAAAUUUGGUUCGGUACUGAACCGAACUAACCGAACAUAGUUGAUUGAGUAAAAACAGUACAGGAAACAUAGUUAGUUCAUUGUUCCAAUUGCAAAAUAAAAAUAGAUUUAAGUGUUGCAAAGUUGCACACAAAAUAAAGAUAUAAUCUUGUGUGACACAGACACAUAAAUGGCAGCAGCCAGCAAGUGACAUCUAACAUGCAAUGAAAACAUAAAAUUUGAUUUUUGAAGAUGGCAGCAUGCGGCAGGUCUGCAAUGCACCAGCCCAACUCCAAGGCUCCAAGCUGUCCAGACUCCAGAAAAUCGAACACUCAAAAGCCAACAUCAAAUCGCCAAAAGGCUAAAGCCUACAGGAAAUAACUUAUACAUUGUAAGUGUUCAAGUGGCAAUAUAUAGACUGAAAUGUAAAAGGAAAUUAUAACCAUGUAACUCUCACCAUAUAAUUUAAGAAGUAAGCUUGCUGGUCGUGGAUUUGGUGGGCUUUCUAGGCAGCCUAGCCUUGCUAGACUCAGAAUCUUCACCAUCAAUUUUUGCUUUGUCACGAAAUUCCUUAGUAAGUUCUGAAAUAAAGUGAAAGACAGCAUGAGACAAAUAAUUUAUUUGAUGAAACAACAAACAGUUGCAUGAUCUAUAUUUUACCUUGUUCUAGCUUUGUCAAUUCUUCGGUGUUCUCUUCAGUGUUGAUGAUCGGUCCAAUCAGUUUCGGUUCAUGGUUCUUCGGUGAUCGGUCUGAAUUUUUAUGCCCACCCCUAUCCAGGGGUUGACCACCGAAGCACAUCUCCCCCUGUGAUUUCUUGCAUUCACAGUACAAUUGAUACAUACGUAUUUAUUUUCCUAUCAAGAAUUCAGAAAGCUAUAACGUUUGAACCAAUCAUCCAAAUUAAGACAUGUUCUCACUGUUGAGUUUCCACAAAAUAGACCCACUUUGGAUAUAUUUUGAUGAGUAUGUUCUAAAAUGCAGCUUUAGUGUAAAAAGAAACAAUUUCAUAGUACUAUUGCUACUAAACCUCGCAACCGUUUUCACCAAAACAAAAACCAAAAUUUCCAGGAGGACUACAAAUUUGCUUAUAAUGGAGCCAAAAUUGUUAGCACUGAAACCAAAGCUGGCACCAACGGAGCAGCUUUUUUCCUGCUCUUUUCAUCUGGAUUCUUCUUCUCCAUUAAAUGAUGGAAUAAUAGAAAAACCUGCUUCCGCUGAGGUGUAGGAGAAAAGGCAAGCCUCGGGCUGUCUGACAACAGCAGAAUGGCUAGCUAGUGCCUGAUCUAAAUUUCCUACUCCCUCCAACCCAUAUUACUUGUUGAAAUAUUACAUGUAUCUAAACGCUCUUUAACAUUGUGCAUUUUGUUGUAUACUGCUAAACCAAAGAACUGGGAAACAUGUUAUUUUCACGUGUAAUUGUUCUUUGCUCCAGAAAUUGCAUUGAUUCAAGCUGAUCGGCCAAAACGGGUCAGUUUUCUGAUGUUUUUGUAGUUCGUAGUUCCAUGCCAUGCUUGCACAAAAGUUCAUUUGAACCCUCUUCCUUACACCGCCUGAAAUCAAUAAGACUAAGUAAAAAUAAUUAUUUAUUGAGUAAAUUAAUUACAUAAUCAGCAGGAAAAUCGUUGCUUACUUUACACCUCAGGAAUUGCUGAUGCUACAUGUCCAGUUGCCAGAAAUGGCAGCAAGGACUAUUCCAUAUAUACACAUAAAAAGAAAUAGGCUUUGUUAUUACAAUCGUGGGUAGAUCUACUUCAACGGUCAAACAUGGUUUUCUGAUCAACAAUUUGAUGAAGAUGGUUCACUUGCUUUUGGGUUUUCAGAGUCAUCUGGAGAUUUUGGUUUUUCCACAGCUUUUAGUGGAAGUAAAUUGGUGCUUACACUCUGAUGUCUUUGAUCUUCCAGCUCCAUAGCAGACUCCGAUAAUAUGUUACCUUCUGUUAUCCCCGCACAGUUAUUAGCGACCCAAGUUCCAAGUUACAUGGAAGGCAGCAAAAGAAAACAUUAAGACUGGAAUACGGAGCAGCUCAUUCCACCAAGCAAAAUUGUAAUGAACCAUAAAGGGAUGCACACAUUAUUGCGUCAGCUAAUAUUUCUUUACAUCUACAACGAUAUAGGUCGACAAGUGUUCACUGACUGGAAUCAUGAUAUGUAGGACUGUUAAAUGUUAAUUAUUAUCGAUCUUGUGUGUAAUUCUGACUUCUAAAAAGUCACAUUUUCUCAAUUUAACUCAUUUUGUUAUAUGAUAACUCAAUUAUUUUAGAGUGGAAAAAUUCAAAACUACGUGCAGUGGCAGAGGGUGAAUUUACUUGCAGUGUAUCUAGAUGUAACAAGCUGGAUAUGUCAAAUCAGUGUCAAGUCGUCAACUUUACGAAGACUAGAAAUAUCUCAGCAAAUUCCUCUCACCAUUUAUCUUUCCACGUGUUAUAACUAGCCGGAGGUAGUCCCGAAACCCUGUCAAAACUGUUUUCUCUUGCACACCAUUUAGCUCUGAAGUGUCCUGAUCAUGCAAUGCCAUCGGAAAUGAACUUCUGUAAUCUGUUCCAAAUGCGGUGCCCUGCUCGUCACACAUCAGUGCCUGUGUUCCUGGGGAGGCAGGUCUAGAAUCCUCUUGGGAGUUAGAGCAAGGGGAUUCAAGAUCACCAACAUUCCGAUGAUCAAUAUAGGUCGCCUCGUCUGGUUGUCUAACAACAGCUUUCUGAACUUCCUGAUUCUUCAUCUUAUCAUUGUUUAGGUCCGUCUUUGUGCAACUUGUCCUCUCUACAUCGAUCUCUACUUUGUGAUCUGCAAUUGUGAAAAUACUUUAGCUGAAAAUAAAUCUGGAGUGGCACUGCUACCUGCAUUUGGUGCUCAAACCAGCAAAGUAUUUCAGGUUUGCAACAAAAUGAUGGUUCAAGCUAGAUAUGUCCUUGACGAAGCAAAGCUAUUAUUCUACAUGCAGAAUUUUUAAAUUGAAACUAGACAAACUCGUAUAAAUGAUAUUUCAGAAGUUUCUAUACAACAUUUAGAAGUCCAUUUUAUCCCCCAGAACUCACUGGGAAGUUCAAAAAAACACCCUGAACUAUGAAACUGGGUAUAAAACCACUCUGAACUUUGAAAACCGGGCAUCCUACCUAACCCCCCUUGGCUGUUUCUCAGUGGAAAGAGGGGGUCGGGAAAAGCGGUUUUCAAGUUCAGGGGGGUUUCAUAGUUCCGGAUGAUUUUUGAACUUUCUGAUGAGUUCGGGGGGGGCGGGGGGUAAAAUGGAGUUCUUCCAUCUUUACUACAUUUUCCUAUGUCCCAAAAUGUUAACUAGUAUACAUGAAAUCCUACAUCCAUGUCCAAUUUACGAGUGUAGUUGAGCCAUCUGGUUGAUGUAUAAGAAAUUUAAUACUUGAAACUAAGAAAACACAAAGAUGUUUUUUUACACCCAACUUUCCGGCAUGAGUAAUUGAAUAGUUCACCUAUUCCCAUGUUCAUUACUAGAAGCUACAAAAAUAACCCAGUCAAAUGAAAAGGAUAACUUUGUACCAGCUAUUGUCAGGAAUGCUUCCGUUGCCUUUCUGCAUACAAUCACCAAAUGAUUGGCUAGAUCAUUAACAUCCGUAGGAUGGAUAGUGUGUGCUAGCGGAGACCUACAAAAAUUCCUAUUUCAUCAAAAGAUUAAAUAGUGGACAAAAUUAGGCAUCAAGGUUCAACUGCAGUGAUAUUUAUUCUUCCAUACAUUUUAGAGUGGAACGUCAAUUUUCAAGCUAUUCUUAUUGACAUAAGGAAAAGUAUUUUGCUUGGUCAUAUAGAAAUAAUAUUUGUAAGAUACACAUAUCGUAACUAUGUCACGUGCUUGGGGAAUUUGGGAACUAGAGGAAGAUCGCAGGAAGUAGGGGUGCUCUACGGGAGGACGAGGCUUGUAACCUCGUCGCCCCGUGGCAGGCCUGGGCGCAGGGGAAAAUAGGGUUUAGGUUUUGAUUGCUUACUUUAUUGAUUGACUAGGGGGGACUAUAAAUAGUCCUUACAAACUUGGAGAACAAGCUAGACUCUUACAGAAUUGGAAUAGGACUCCUAAUCAGACUCGUAAUCAGAUUAGAAAUAGUAGGGAAAACCUUCUACGGGACGAAACCUUUCUAUCUAUAAUCUGGACUCUUAAUUACUCAAAUUAACUAAGCUGACCCAGACAGUGGGUCCUUCUCUACCCUAGGUGGCCGGCGUCUAUACGUGCGCCCCCACAUGACAUCUCCCCCUCCAUUCUGAAACAGCUCGUCCUCGAGCUAAAAAGCUGGGUAGCGCUCCUUGAAGGCGGGACCAUCCUCCCAGGAAGCUGCUGAAGCCGGCUGUCCUGCCCACUGGAUGAGGACCUACUGUACACUGCGGGCAAGGCGAGCACGCAAGGCUUUAGUUGGUGUAGGCUGGACGCGUCCUUGAAACAUAGCGGGCGGUACAGGCGGCGCAUCAGGCGGAGGCCCAUGAUACUUCUUCAAAAGGCCAACAUGGAAGACAUCAUGAAUACGAGCACGAGACGGCAGCUCCAAGCGAUAAGCCACCGAAUCAAUCUUCCCAAUGACUUUGUAUGGACCAUAAAAUUUUGGUGCCAGCUUGCCCUUUGCUCCGGUGCCCAGGAAGGCUGCUGGACGGUGGUGUAGGCGCAGCCAAGCCCACUCGCCGACGUCAAAGGAAAGCAACCGAUGCUUGCCAUCAUAAUAGUGCUUGUAGUGCUGGGCAGCCUGGACAAGACGCUCACGAACGUCAAUAAAAAACUUGUCACGGUCGGCAAUAGACCACACGGAUAGGCGUGUCCUUCAGGGCGGUGUGGAAGGAAGUAUUGUAGCAAUAUUCCGCCCAAGGGAGCCAAUGAAGCCACUGCCGAGGACGGUCGCCGGCAGCGCAAAUACAUGCCAAUGACCCGAUUGACCGCCUCCGACUGGCCAUCCGAUUGAGGGUGAAAUGCCGAACUCAAUGCAAGCGAGAGGCGGAAGCUGCAAAUAGGGCUUUCCAAAAUCCAGAAGUGAAAACCACGUCACGGUCCGAGACGAUGGAGGCCGGAACCCCGUGGAGGCGAACAAUGUCGACAAAGAAAGCCUUGGCCACUGACUCGGCUGUGUAGGGAUGCACCAAUGGAAUAAAGUGGGCAUACUUGGCGAAACGGUCGACGACGGUGAGGAUGACACUCUUGCCACCCACCUUUGGCAGCCCUUCGAUGAAGUCCAUGGAGAUAUCUUCCCAAACACGGGAUGGCACCACUAAGGGCUGACGUAGGCCAGCCGGAUGGAGCUGCUCUGUCUUGUUGCGCUGACAUUGUGCAUGCACAAAUGUAGUCCUGUAGAGCAGCGCGGGCCUGCGGAAGGUGGAAGUCGCUGCGAAGCCGGUGAAGUGAUUUUUGAAUGCCUUCAUGGCCCUCGUCAUGUCCUGCCAGCAGAACACUGGCCACCAAUGGAGACGACGGAGGGACAUAAGCGCGGCGCUCAAAGGUGACCAGUCCAUCCACGAGGGCCCAAGGGGACCCUAACUCGCUGGCCUCCAACGGCUCACGCAAGGCGACAAGAGCAGGGUCAGUAUGGGCUGCUUGGCGAAGAGUGUCGAAGAGGUCGAAGGCGGGACCCAUGAUGGCACAUGCACUAGCGUCGGAGAAGUCGCGCCGAGAAAGAGCGUCAGCCACCGUGUUAAGGCGGCCAGGCUUGUACUCGACGGUGAACUCAAACCCCAGAAGCUUGCCAACCCAAUGAUGUUGGGGUAUGGUCACCAAGCGUUGGUCGAGGAGGAACUUGAGGCUGUAGUGGUCUGUCUUGACGACGAAGGAGCGUCCCCAUAGGUACGGCCGCCAAUGCCGAACUGCCUGGACCAGGCCAAUGAGCUCACGCUCGUAGGCUGCCAGGGACGCAUGACGAGGAGCGAUCGGCCGGCUGAAAUACGCAGUAGGGCCUGCGCCUUGGUGUAGCACGGCGCCGAACCCUGAGCCUGAGGCGUCACACUCCACGGUGAACGGGAUGGUGAAGUCGGGAAGCUGCAGCACGGGCACCGUGGUGAGCGCGGUCUUCAACUGAAGGAAUGCCCCCUCAGCCUCCUCCGACCAGAGAAACCCGUCCUUCAACAACGCCGUGAGGGGCGCCGCAAUGACACCAAAGUCACGGAUGAACUUGCGGUAAUAGCCCGGAAACCCCAGGAAGCCACGGACUGCAUGAACGGACCGUGGCGUGGCCCAAUCGAUGACGGCCAGCACCUUCUGGCCAUCCAUGGCGACGCCAUCUGCGGAGAUAACAUGGCCGAGGUACGCCACCGAUUCCUCCCCAAAGGCACACUUGGAGCGCUUGAGGUAGAGCUGGUGUUGCCGCAUGAGCUCCAGGACAGCCUUGACGUGGCAGAUGUGGUCUGACCAAGACGAGUUGUACACCAAAAUAUCAUCAAAAAACACCAGCACGAAUUGGCGUAAAAAAGGACGAAGGACGUCGUUCAUCAAAGCCUGGAAAGUUGCCGGAGCGUUCGUGAGGCCAAAGGCCAUGACGAGAAACUCAAAGAGGCCUUCAUGGGUGCGGAACGCGGUCUUGUGGACGUCCUCCGGGCACAUGCGCACUUGGUGGUAGCCAGAGCGCAAAUCCAACUUGGUGAACAAGCGGGCGCCCUUAAGCUCAUCGAGUAGUUCAUCGACGACGGGGAUGGGAAACUUGUCUUUGACAAUGUUGGUGUUGAGGGCGCGGUAGUCGACGCAGAAACGCCAAGACCCGUCGCUCUUUGGGACGAGCACUGGGGAAGAGAACUCCGAGGUGCUGCGUCGAAUCAGCCCACGUUCCAGCAUGUCUGCACAUUGCCUCUCGAGCUCGUCCUUCUGGGCAGCAGGGUAGCAGUAUGGGCGGACAGCUACCGGAGCGGCUCCCGGUACCAAACGAAUGCGGUGGUCAUGGGCGCGGGACGGCGGCAGCCCCUUGGGCUCGGCGAAAACGUCCGAGAAGUUGGCGAGGAGGUUGUCAAGGAGGUCACGAGCCGUGCUGACUUGGACAUGGUGGAGGUGGCCCGUGGCUGAGAGGCCGUACCACUCGACGCGAUGAUCUGUCCGCCAAAAGGACAUGUAGAGCCGCUCAAAGUCCCAUAGGAUCGGUCCAAGAGUCUUGAGCCAGCGAGUCCCUAAGACGACAUCGAAGCCGCCCAAUGGGAUGGCAUACAGGUCCACCACAAAGCUCUCUUGACCGAUGGCGAUGGCAGUGUGUCGAAGCAGCCCGCCGCAGGUGACGUGGUCGCCAUUGGCGACGGUCACCCGGAGUCGACGACCAGUAGAGAACGGGGCGCCAACGUGUGCUGCUAACUCCUCGCUGAUGAAGUUGUGGGUGCUGCCCGAGUCGAUGAGGGCGAGGAGCUCACGCUCCCCAACCCACACCACCAGUUGCAUGGUGUCACUGGUGCGGAUGCCGGUGAUGGCGAGGAGUGAGAUUUGGAGGUCCUCCUCAUCCUCCUCCUCCUCGUCGGCGACCUCGAUAUAAAAUAAGCGCUUGCAGCGAUGCCCACGGACAUAUUUCUCAUCACAAUUGAAGCACAGCCCCUUGGCCCGCCGUUCCUCCAUCUCGGCGGCGUUCAGCUUCUUGAAGACGGGUGCUGCUCCUGGGAUCGCAUCGGUAGCGACAACCUCGGCAGUAUUGGACGGAUGCGGCGGCCUGUUUGAGCGUGUGGGGACUGCUGCCGCAGUUACGGAGGCAAGAUGCUCGAAGGAGACAGCCAUGUUCAUGGCAGCCUCGAGAGUGGUCGGGCGAAGCAUCUCGACCUGGGUUUUGAGAGGCUCGCCGAGAUUCUUGGUGAAGAUGUUGCGGUCCGCUUCGUCCGGGAUCCGCUUGACGCGGGACACCAAUUGUAGGAACUGCCUGGUGUAGUCAGCCACCGAGCCAGUGCGCCUCAGGGAAAUCAGCUCGCCGAAGGGGUUGGCGCGUGUAGGAGGGCCGAAGUGCUGGGAGAUGAGGUCGACGAAUUCUGUCCAAGAAGGCCGCCCCAUCUUCUCUUCCAGAUGGCCAUACCAGAGGGCAGCGACAUCCGUGAGAUGGUAGGACGCCAGCCAGGUCUUGUCAGUGGCCGGAGUCCGCUGUCCGAUGAAGAAGAGAUUGCAUCUCGUCAACCAAGGUCGAGGGUCACCGGUGCCGUUGUAGGUGGGAAAAUCGAGCUUGUAGAGGCGAGGUGGCCGGUCUUCUCCUGCCCCAAGCGGCGCGGUCGGGCGGCGAAAGGUGCCAUGAUGCGCGGCUGCCCGCGGCGAAUCCUCUGCGUCAAAGGAGGGACCACCAUGGCGGUCACGUUCCAGCUGAGUGAUGGCCAAAUUUUGCGCCCGUUGCUGCUAAGAUAGAUCAUCGUAGUUCAGUUGCAUCUUCCGCAAAGUUUCGUCGAGGGCGUCAAGGGUCGAUGUAACGUCAUUGCGGAGGAGUUCGAUGCCCUCGGCGACUUCGCCAAGGCUCUGAGUGACGCCUUCAAAAAAAUCUUCGUGCUCCUUGUUGAUGAGCUCCUCUAGGGUUUUGGGUGGAUCGGGCUGUUUGGGGCUGGUCGACAUGGCUUCAGGCGCAGCGGAGAUCGACUGCUCUGAUACCAAAUUGUCACGUGAUUGGGGAAUUUGGGAACUAGAGGAAGAUCGCAGGAAGUAGGGGUGCUCUACGGGAGGACGAGGCUUGUAACCUCGUCGCCCCGUGGCAGGCCUGGGCGCAGGGGAAAAUAGGGUUUAGGUUUUGAUUGCUUACUUUAUUGAUUGACUAGGGGGGACUAUAAAUAGUCCUUACAAACUUGGAGAACAAGCUAGACUCUUACAGAAUUGGAAUAGGACUCCUAAUCAGACUCCUAAUCACAUUGGAAAUAGUAGGGAAAACCUUCUACGGGACGAAACCUUUCUAUCUCCAAUCUGAACUCUUAAUUACUCAAAUUAACUAAGCUGACCCAGACAGUGGGUCCUUCUCUGCCCUAGGUGGCCGGCGCCUAUACGUGCGCCCCCACAUGACAAACUAUCAAUUAUGUGGUUAUAAAAAAAUUCUUUUAUAACAUUACAUAUAUGCAUGAUAUUGUUAACUGUUAGUGAAAUAUGUAGUUUAAGCAGCCAGGAGACAAUAUUAUAUACAAAGAACAUAUAUUUGUCCACUAAAGACAAACCCCAACCCCCAACACAUAGUAUCUUCACAUGAACUGAGUGACUAGGAGCCUAUGACCACUGGAAGAUACAACAAGCCACGAGCAGCUAACGCCAGAGGAAAUUUUCAACAUUAAGUCCUUAUGCUUUCUCAGAUAGCAAAAGCCUCAGGAGAUCACUUGGUCAACCAUUCAAGUCCAAGAGACCAGUACCCUACCAAGAGGUGCUAGCCUGCUUCUCCCCUAUUGCUUUUUGGCUAUGAUUUCAAUUAGGACAUGAUUUGGGAAAACUAAGGGUUUGUAUGAAUCAUUUUUUUAAAGGUUAUUGAAUACUCUAAUGAACCAAUCCGACCACUUUUUACUUACCUAUAGAACAUUUUAGAUUUACUAUGAUAAUUACCAAUACAGCCUUCAAGUCCAGUAGAAGAAGCAACUUGUGAAGCAUCCACGUGGUUAGCCUAGAACAUAAGAAACAAGUAGGAGCGAGGCAAUUUAUAGUCAAAGUUGGAUAGAAUCAGUAACCAGCUCUUGUUGAACAUUGUAGAACCACCUCAUGUCGAAAUUACCUCUGAACCAAGGGGAUCGUCUGGAUGUCUUCUACACGCUGGUGAACACUUAUGCCCGGAGGAUCCGAUGGGACCAUUCAGAGUGACAUUAGUUGCUUGCUGAAUAUUAUUUCGAUCAGAUGCGUUAUACCCUUGAAUUAUAGCCUGUAGCUCCUCACUUCCUUCAAAGUUCUUGCAAUCCAUACAUUUACAAUUUUUGGAGCAAAGGAUAUUUGCUUGGAAGCAUUCACAGUACUUCUUGAGACACCCUGACUUCUUGCAGUGACAGCCUUUAUUAUGUUUUGGAAAUGAAGGGACUCCAGCAUCCUGAUGGUUAGCUAAGAUAAUUAAAUGCAGAAAAACGAAUCACAUGAAAAUAACUUAAUUUAUUUAACGCUAGUAAACUUAAUUUUAAAAUAAUAUAAUUCAAAAAUGCAAAUAAAAAAUUUGGUCCAACAUUAAAAAUCUUAGAUGAAGCAUAAUAUAGCUUAUUUAACUAGCUGGACAGUACAUAAGGAUUUUGGUUCAGAUGUUAACAUACUGGGCCUAAGAUCGAGCCGAAAGGCAUAGUGGAUGGACAACAUGUCCCUAUUAUUGAUUUUCGCCAUGAAAUAUGCCUAUAGUCCACCUACGCACAAGCACAAAGCGUUGGCAGAGAGAUUUGAUCAAAGGUGCAGGGAAGUGGCACCAGAUUUCAAAUGAUAAUGAUGUACGGAGUGAUAAAACAUUAAGAUAAUUCUUGGAGUGUGUCAUAACCCAAGAAUAGUAGCCUUUCUACUGGCCUGUAGUCUCUUUGUACUUCUUUUCUGUCAUUAAUAAAUUUUGUUCUGCAGCCCUUUUAAUAGGGCAGGCAAAAACAAGUGCAGCAACUAAACAACAACGAAAUACAUUCUCACAUAAAACUUGAGAAUUUAGUUGCUGCACUUGACUGAUAGUCGGCAGACCAGACAAUUUUCUAUUUGCAUCACAAACACUGCUUGCUGAAUUGGAAGUGCAUGAUCUAUAUGAAAAAAAUCCACGGGAGUUUAUACAUGAAAUAUAUCCACAUAAUUCAGAAAUCCUGGUUUUGCACAUUGAUCAAAUAGUAAACGAUCUUAAAAAAUACUUUAUAUAUUAGCAUGCCAUGUGCUUUGUUGAUCGCCAUUUUGUAAAAAGUCAUCAAUUUAAGUCCAUGCAAAUAUGCCCAUUUCAUUAUCCAGAUCAAUAUCAGUAGUGUUUUCUUGAGUUCUGGAUGAUUCUGAAUAGGUUUUGUAAGUACAGAGUACGGACAGUCCUUGACAUCUGUUUUAAGAUUCCUUCAAACUUAAUAGGCUUGCAGCAUGCUUAUAGGGGUAUCCACAAGCAUAUCAUGUACUCCCUCCAAUCCAUAAUAAGUGCCUCACAUUUAGUACAAAGCUAGUACAAAGUUGUACUAAGUCUGAGACACUUAUUAUGGAUCGGAGGGAAUAACAUAUAAUCAUUACAUCAUGUAGGGCAUAUCAGACAAAUGUAAGUAGAAAUGCAGAGCUAAUAUUCCAUACUUGUCAAACUUUGAUUAUUCCACUUUAUAUAUACUAUGUGUAAGCUAUUCAGAACUGUACAGAUACACCUAGACCAAUCUAUUAGAGGAAAGAAUAUACCUUCCGAACACUAAGAGUAUUCGAAACAUUUUCGAUCUUAGGUUGAAAGGCCUUUGGAUUCCGUUGCUUUGUAUUGUUAAUAGCCUCCUGCCUAGCCUUUUCAUUCUCAACUCUGUUUCCACAUUGUUUACAAUUGCAGCCAUCACAGUAAAGGCCUGCUGCAAAACACUCGCAGUACCUAAUAAACAAAUAUCAAGUUAGUGAUUGCACCUUCUAUUCACAUGGUGUUGUUUGAUAAUAAUUAAUAAAUGAUUGUAUUUACAAAUUGGAAAAGAUCGGUCAAUAACCAUAUCAACAAAAAACUUGGAAUAUAUAAUAUGAAUUUUGAAACUACCAAAGUGGCAACUUGGCAGGAAAUGUUGAGACUACAACAUACAAUUGACCAAACAGAAGAAAAAGUAAGGACAUGAAGUUGAACCUGCGAAUAUUGUUUCGAAAUGAAUUGAUCUUACUGGUGAAGCUUGAUGUAUUUUAUGAUUCAUAUUUCCUUAUGACUACAAACAUCGCUUUGGAGCAAAAGUUAAUAGAGAGCUUAUACAUAUAAUCAUUUGAUAUGUUAGCUGCAAAUAUUUGUCCAUAAAUGAGGACAAGGAUAAUGGAGAAACUCUUUGUUACUAGAACUGAUAAUCCUAUUCAUCUCGACUUGAUCUCUUACAAGCUAGACGAGGUUUUUGUUCAAACAGCAGCACUCAGUCUAGUUAACCACUGAUACAAAGCUAACCCUCUGUGCAUGGCAUUAUAAUAUAAUAGUAUGCAUUUGCACCCGAACUGAAUAUUUCUAAUACUUGACAGGCAUGGUCAAAAUAAAUUCUCAGGUCCUAGAAAACUCACAGCUUUAAACAAUGCGAGUUUUUGCAAUUACACUGCUUCUUUCUCUUUUGUGGAGUACCACUCUUCACUUCGACCAUAGGCUUCCUGAAGAAAAAAAGAUCAUUAUUAGUAAAGUAGUUGUUUGCAAGUUCAGUACUGUGCUUGCAUUUGUUAUCUCUGACAAAAAAAAUAAUAUAUAACUCAUUAGUUAUAAGCAACAAAGUGAUUUUCGCAAAUAACAGAUAAAAUCAUGAAACUUUGUUUUCCAUAAGAAUCGAGAAUGGAGAUGGCUCUUUUGUAACAAUGGGAUUUGGACAAAUCACUCAAACCCUAAAAGUGCAUGACAAAUUCAGUAACCGCAGCGUUGUCACAACAGGUAAUUACAAAUUACCGUCACUACCACGGGCAUAUAAAAUCUUCAAACAACAAAAAUUCACUAACCGCAUUAAAAAAAAACAUAAACUAAACUUCUUUUCCUUCCUGACUAUAUAAAAACGACAUUGAAAAAAUAAAUGAAAAUUGCACUCUACAAAUCAAAUUUGAAGCGCCUCAGUUUGAGCCAUACCAACACUUGAACAAACCGCAGUAGUAGAUUUCAAAUUGCAAAAACAAAAUAAUUUGCUCACAUAGGCGUGAAGGCCACUGGCCAUGGCCUCGGUACGGGCAUCGCAGGCUGCGUCGAGGCCGCUGGCUUCGGCGGUGGCUGAUGCGAUGGUACCUUCAGCUCAGCGGCAGGGGCCGACGCUGACACAGGUGGCUGCACCAUCUGUUGCUCCUCCGGCUCCAUCGCGAGAUAAAAUUUCCGACUUAUUUAGGUCAGGGGACCAAAUUCCCCCGGCGGGUUCUCCGAUUGAGGAGUCAAUACCACUGUAAGAGACCUCAAAAUCAGACCUCUCGGCGCUACUUCGCGGAAUUGGGGCAGUUUGGAUCAAGGGGUCAAGAACUCGAGUUCUUGGGCGACUCCCAUGUCCCAACUCACCAAGAAGCCAACAGAACACAAAACGAGGGAAUGAAAGGCACCGAGAGAAGGGAUCAAAUCCGAGAAGCUAAGUUUGGAAGGGAGAUGGAGAAGAUUUGGAGAAGAGGAAUCUGAAGAAAUUCGUGUCGCGGGCGGAUUUGGGAGGAGGCGUCGGGGGACAAGGAGCUGAUGGGCAAAGAAGGAGGUUUGUUUGGGAGUGUCUUUCUCCCAAGUUUUUGAAUCUCAUGUGUUCUUAUAUUCCGACUUGCUUUCCCUUUUCUUUCGUUUUUUCCUUUUCUCAUUGUCCAGUGACGUUCUAUUACAUGUAUUUAUAGACUUUUUAUAUAAAUAAAACAAAUUUGAGUCACUUAAUAUGAGACGAAGGGAGUACCUACCAUGCGGUGCGCUUUGUGAUUUGACAUGCGCUACCGUGCCAUCCACCUAACUCCGCCACUGUGUGAAACCCACCAAUCAACCACAUAUCGGUCAUUCCUGAUCUGAUUUUCACUUUUCGAAAUCCAUUUACUUGGGGUGGAAAGCAGGGGAAAAUGGCCGUCGCCGCUCCCUCCUCGUCGUCGCCCACGAGUCCAUCAUGGUCCUGCGUUGUCCUGCGUUGCUCUUCCACCGCACCUCCUCAAGCGCCCACAACCCUUCGCUGCUCCGCUACCACGCCCCUGUCCGCCGCUCCCUCCCCAUCGCUGCCCACGAGUCCGUCGCGGGCAAGCCCAACGCAGGCUCCUUUCGCCGCCCACCAACAACAAAAAUCUACCCGCCUCUGGCAUUCCUCCAGCGCUGCCCUGGCCCUACGGCUAAUCCGCCGCUGCGCCUCACCCAACGCCGUUGCAGCCUGCUAUUGUUGCGCUCCUGCCAGACGAGAUGAAGAUGAGAGGAGGAAGAAUAGAACCGCCGAACUAACCUCUCCCAAAUCACAAAGCGCGCCACAUGGUAGGUACUCCCUCCGUCCGAAAAUCAGAACAAAGCGCGCCGAGGAGGGAGCGGCGACGGCCAUUUUCCCCUGCUUUCCACCCCAAGAAAAUGGAUUUCGAAAAGUGAAAAUCGGGCCCGAUCCGGUCCAUUGAGACUGAAUGUCUCGCAGGAAUGACCGAUAUGUGGUUGAUUUAUGGGUUUCACACAGUGACGGAGCUAGGUGGGUGGCACGGUGGGGCAUGCCCCACCUUAAAAAUAUAGUCUCAUGUAUAGAUGUUUUAUAUAUAAUGCAUAAAGCUCACAAAGACAAUCAAUCUCUUAUACAGGAAAUCUCUAACAAAAUCCCACUUGUCCCACCCUAAACUUUUGUUCUAACUCCGCCACUGGUUUCAGACAUGCUGGUUCGAUUUUCCGAGUUCAAGCCACCGUUAUUGACCACCUCCUGCGGCGGCCGUGCCAUUGCCCACCUCCUCCCCACGUCUCCUUCGUCUACGACCUGCUCCGGUAAAUUCCACCUUCUUACCUGUUCAUGUAUGUCCUACUCUUGGUGAUGUUUGUUGUUGCUAUCUGAUAUAUGAGCUGCUGCUGUUCUGAUUUGCUUAUGAGAGGCCGCCGUCCCGAUCUAUUGUUGUUGUUGUCGCUUAUCAUGGAGCUCAACAUUUUUAGCUUUGCUGCAGCUUCAAAACUGACGACCUAGUUUGAUGUAUUUGAUGGUGUUGUACUGUUCCUAUGAAGAAGCAUGCAUGUAUUAUUGCGAAUUCAGUGGCAGGGCCAUGCAUUUUUCUGAAGACUGAGGGCCACCGGUGCUGGAGGAGGCACGCCGAAUGAAGAGCGCAGGCCCGCGACGGUAGCAUUCCUGCCCUUCCUGCAAUCCCUUCCGUUGAUGUGGCGCCUGCUCGUUUCCCUAUACCAAUGGAUGUGCUGCCACCGUUGACCAAUGCCAAUACGGCGUCCAGUGCUAUUAGGCUAGUCCUCGGACCGCAUGUCAAUGUUGGCCUAUGGUUUAAUAAAAUUGAUAGACUAUCUAUAUCAAUAAGGUGCAUCUUUUUUUCGGAAGCCCAUCUGAAAAAAACCUCAAAGUUAAACGUAUGGAUGAGAACAAUUUUAGGAUGGGUGAUCGAUCAGGAAGUUCCUCUCAGGAGGACAAUCUUGAGACUAGUAUUGGUGUGUUGGGAUACCAGGGGUGACACUGGGGCGUUAAAAAUUGGUAUCAAAGCCGACCCUUGCGGUUGCCGACAUGUGCAGGUCAGGUGGUGCGAACAUGAGGACAUCUGCCGGCACUGGAGGCAUGUGGGCGUGUGCCAAGAGGGGACGAUCUGGCUUAGGCAUCUGACUGACGAGGACGUUAGGUCCUUUGAGGAGGGUUAUGUGUGACAUAUUGACCCUAUACAAAUAAGUUGCAUCUUCAUUUCUGAGAGCCCAUCCGAAAGGAACAUCAAAAUUAAGCGUGCUUGGUUGAGAGAAAUUUGAGGAUGGGUGAUCGACCGAGAAAAGCUGCUAGGAGUAACGUUAGGGCGUUAAACCUCACAUACAUCGCCGACAUGCUCAUGCUCAACCCGGCCAUGCCCGCCACCACCAUCAGUGCUUUAGCAACCAGACCGUUGGGAUCAUGGAGCUCGGACAUGGCACCACGACACCGAGCAACAAUGGGCUGCGUCGAUAUCACAACGGGUGAGAAGUCGCUAUGACCCCAUUGACGUGCGUGUAGGAGGAGAAGGAGCCGCACUUUUGCAUCCUACACAUGUAGAGUGCUGCAUCUCAUGGUAGUGAUACACAAAUAAGCUGGAAACUUUGUGAUACUGAUAAGGUACCCGUGCGCUGCUACGGAACCACUUUACAUUGCUACGAAGUUAAGCGUGCUUGGUUGAGAGAAAUUUCAGGAUGGGUGACCGACCGGAAAAAGCUAUCAGGAGUAACGUUGGGGCGUUAAACCUCACAUACAUCGCCGACAUGCUCAUGCUCAACCCGGCCACGCCCGCCGCCGCCAUCAGCAAGCUUUGGUUUGGCUUGCAUCCACGUGCUAAAGAACCCGAUCGCUUUAGCAACCAGACCGUUGGUGAUGCGCCCCUUGGCUGCUGGGGUGGCCCGAUCUUUUGGUGAGAUGGAUAACUAUGAUUUGGGGCCGAAGUAGACGUUGACGACCCGACUACACCGGACACUAGAUGGUGCGCUUUAUCAAUUGCUACACCAACUACCUGUGGUUAUUGACGGAACCGAAGGCGCGCGUCAACCUGAACACGAAGUUUCAAUCCCUACUUGCAAUCGAGAACAAGCAAGAAUUGAGAUAAGGCAAUCUGAAAUUGCAAGUAUAGAUGAAGUACAACAGUCUCAAGGAGACGAGUAACAAGGUGGGGUUCCGGUAGAGGUUUUUCCAGUAGGUCUAGCCGACACUAGUGGUGAAGCCUGAAGUUGCAGCAAUGGCUAACUUAUCUAAACAAAACUCAACCAGCCAAAGGGGUGGUGGCUGCACUUAUAUAGAGGGUGGGAGGCGGAAGAGAUCUAGGUUUCAGAUCCUAAGAUGGGAUGGGCUGUUAUAUGGCCUUGGGCCCAUUAGAAAUGCAAGUGGCAGCUCAAGCAUCUCUUCUCUUUCCAUGACUUUAAGUGGGUGCAGCUUCUCGUAUUCUUGUGGUAGUUGCUGCACUGUUUUCUUUCGCAUAUGUGCCGUCAUCUUCGAAGUUCGACUCGCUCCCAUUCCUUGUGUCACGGCUCGGUCCUUCAUUUCUAAUCAACAUAAGAACAUCUGAUUUAGGCAGCAUCAGAUUCUCAUUUAGAUUGCCCAUAGUAUCCAGAAACGAAAGUACCUGAUAAUUGAGUUGGCGCGCACGCGCACGAGUAUUCGGUUCUUGUAAUGCCGCGGUUGUAUCUGUGGGCUGGAUGUCCUCAUCAUCCUCACCUUCUUGAAAUGGAGUCAUCCGCGACACCAUCUCAUCAUCCUCGCCCAAGUAGGGUUUCAAAUCUACAAUGUUAAAUGUGGGACUAACCCCACCAUAAUCUGCAGGCAGCUCGAGUUGAUAUGCAUUAUCAUUUAUUUUCGCUAGAACGUUGAAAGGGCCAGCAGCACGUGGCAUAAGUUUAGAACUACGCAAAUCAGGAAACCGGUCCUUUCUUAAGUGUAACCAAACAAGAUCACCAGGUUGAAAAACAACCUCUUUUCUCCCUCUAUCACCGACAAGUUUAUACUUGCCAUUCAUGCGCUCAGUGUUGGCUUUAGUGGUCUCAUGUAAUUUUAGAAUCAUUUCAGCCUGUGCACUAGCAUUAAGAUUAAUCUUUUCAAUAGUUGGAAGGGGCAGCAAAUCAAUGGGUGCACGAGGAAUAAAGCCAUAGACAACUUCAAAAGGGCAUAACUUAGUAGUAGAAUGCAGCGAACGAUUGUAAGCAAAUUCAACAUGAGGCAAGCAUUCUUCACACAAUUUUAAGUUUUUCUUUAAAACUGCCCUAAGCAUGGUAGACAAAGUUCUAUUAACAACUUUAGUUUGUCCAUCAGUUUGGGGAUGACAAGUAGUGCUAAACAACAAUUUUGCCCAUAAACACUUCAAAGAGUGGCUCAAGAAUUUGGUGUCCCAAUCUGAAACUAUAGUGUUGGUUACACCAUGCAAUCAUACAACUUCAUGAAAGAAAAGAUCAGCAACAUGUGUGGCAUCAUCACUCUUGUGGCAAGGAAUAAAAUGAGCCAUCUUUGAAAAUCUGUCCACGACAACAGAUAUGCUAUCCCUCCCCUUCUUAGUUCUAGGUAAUCCCAACACAAAAUCCAUUGAUAUAUCUUCCCAAGGAACAUUAGGGACAAGGAGAGUGCAUAUAUAAACCAUGUUGAUUCGUGACUUAGCUUUUUGGUAUGUGUGGCAGCGAGCAAUGAAUCUCUCAACAUCCCGUCUCAUCCGAGGCCAAAAGAAAUGAGCAGCGAGCACAUCCUCUGUCUUCUUCACUCCGAAGUGACCAAUUAAACCUCCUCCAUGCGCCUCCUGUGAUAACAGAAGACGAACGGAGCUAUCUGGGAUGCAUAGCUUGUUACCACGGAACACAAAUCCAUCAUCAAUGAUGAACUUGUUCCAAGUCUGGCCCUCUCUACAAUACAUCUUUAAAAUCUUCAAAACUUCUUUUAAAUCUGCAUCUUUAAAACAUCUUUAAAAUCUGCAUCUUGCACAUAUUGUUCUUUGAUGGUCUCCAAACCAAAGAUUUUGAAGUCAAGUUGUGAAAGCAUGGUAUAACGGCAUGAUAAAGCAUCAGCAAUAACAUUGUCUUUUCCCUUCUUGUGUUUGAUUACAUAGGUAAAAGACUCAAUGAAUUCAACCCAUUUAGCAUGCCUACAGUUCAGUUUUGCUUGGUGCGAAUAUGCUUCAAAGAUUCAUGAUCUGAAUGUAUAACAAAUUCUUUGGGCCAUAAAUAAUGUUGCCAAGUUUCGAGGGUUCGAACUAGACCAUAUAAUUCUUUGUCAUAAGUAGAAUAGUUCAAUGCAGGCACUCCUAAUUUCUCACUAAAGUAAGCAACAGGUUUGCCCUCUUGUAAUAACACACCUCCCAAACCAAUUCCACUAGCAUCACAUUCAAGCUCAAAGGUUUUGUUAAAAUCAGGAAGUUGGAGUAAAGGAGCAUGUAUCAACUUAUCUUUCAAUAUGUUGAACGCCUCUUCUUGCGUAGGUCCCCAAACAAAGGGAACAUCCUUCUUUGUGAGCUCAUUUAGAGGGGCAGCAAUGGUGCUGAAAUCUCUCACGAAGCGUCGAUAGAAUCCAGCGAGGCCAAGAAAACUCCUCACUUGAGUGACCGUCUUCGGCGGUGGCCAGCUUUGGAUGGCUUCAACUUUGGCUUUGUCCACUUCAAUUCCCUGUGGUGUCACAACAUAGCCAAGAAAAGAAACUUGAUCCGUGCAAAAGGUGCGCUUGUCAAGGUUACCAAACAAGCGUGCAGUCCGUAAGGCAUCAAAAACAGCAUGCAAGUGAUUUAAAUGAGACUCUGAAGAUUUGCUGUAGAUCAAGAUAUCAUCAAACUAAACUACCACAAAGAGUCCAAUAAAAGACCGUAAAACCUCAUUCAUUAGUCGCAUAAAGGUGCUGGAGGCAUUCGUCAAACCAAAAGGCAUAAUUAGCCACUCAUAGAGACCGAAUUUAGUUUUGAAGGCAGUUUUCUAUUCAUCUCCAAACUUCAUACGGAUCUGGUGGUAACCACUACGCAAAUCAACCUUAGAGAACAUGGUAGAGCCACCCAACUCAUCAAGCAUGCCAUCCAAUCGUGGAAUUGGAUGGCAGUAGCAAAUGGUAAUAUUAUUGAUAGCUCUACAAUCAACACACAUGCGGGAGGAUCCAUCUUUCUUUGGUACCAAAAGAAUAGGGACAACACAUGGACUAAGAGACUCACGAAUGUAACCUUUGUCGAGCAGCUCCUGCACUUGUCGCUGAAUCUCCUUUGUCUCCUCGGGGUAGGUACGGUAUGGCACUCUAUUGGGAAGUGCAGCCCCGGGAAUCAAAUCAAUUUGUUGCUCUAUCCCGCGGACCCGUGGUAAUCCUGGUGGUGUCUCUUGUGGAAAGACAUCCUCAAACUUCUGCAAAAGGUUAGCAACAAUAGGGGGCAAAGAGGAAGGCAAAUCCUCAAGCAAAAACAAAGCCUCUUUGCAAAUAAUGGCAUAGCAAGUAGAGACACAAGCGUCAAGUUCAGAAAUAUCAGAUUUGGUAGCAAACAAACAUGUACCCUUUAAACGAAUCUCAUUACCAAGUUUAGGUUCAGAUUUGGGUGCACUUCUUUGCCCUAUAAAUUCUUUAGUAACAAUCUGAUUUUCACUUUUAGCUUUGGCCAGAUUUUUAGCUCUACUAGCCCGAGAAAGAUCAUCCUUUAAAAUCUGUUCAGGAGUCAUUGGUUUGAGGCCAAUCUUCUUUCCAUUAUGCACAAGAGAGUAUUGGUUAGUUCUACCAUCGUGAAUUGACUCUCUAUCAUAUUGCCAAGGUCUACCAAGUAACAAGGAACAUGCUUGCAUAGGUAUAACAUCAGAAUCAACGAAAUCAGCAUAUGUACCAAUUGCGAAAUGUGCACGAACAGUUCGGGUUACCCUGACCUUACCACUUUUAUUGAACCAUUGGACAUAGUAGGGGUAGGGGUGCAGCCUGGUUGUGAGAGCAAGCUUCUCAACCAAAUCCAAACUAGCCAAGUUGUUGCAACUCCCUCCAUCAAUGAUGUUACGAACAGCCCGCUCCUUGAUAACGCCACGUGUUUGGAAUAAGUUGUGGGGCUGAUUUUGGUCAACCGGGCUGGGCUGCACACUUAACACACGUUGGGUAACGAGGCUCUUGUAUUGUUCAGCAUGUUUAGCACCCAUCAUCUCCAUUUCUUGCUCAGCCGUGGCCUCCGCUUUCUCUUGGUCAUCAAUCAAAGCAUAGGUGUCCUCAUCGAGGUCACUAGCUGAAUCGUAGGCCCCAUCUUCAUGAAUGAUCAUCACACGUUUGGUAGGGCAAUCCUUGCGGAAAUGACCAUAACCCUUGCAUUGGUGGUAUUGCACAUCUCCUGUCCAUCCCGUGGAGCCUAUAGAUGAUGUGCUCGGGGUUGGGGCAGCCAGCGUGCUUUUAGUUGUAGUUGGGGAUGGCGUACUCAAACGUGGUUGCCAGGAGCUUGUUUUGUUGGAGGAGAUUGUUCCAGCAGCCGUGCGAGUAGGAGGGGCUGAAGUGGUGCGUGGCGUCCACGAAGUAGUGCGACCUGCAGAAAUGUUAGUCCUUGUCUUCGGUUGGCGGUUUUGCACUUCACGUUCAGCUUUGCAAGCAAGAUGGAAUCGGGUGAUAUUAUUGUACUCGUUAUAAUCAAGUAUGGUUUGAAUAUCCCUGUUCAACCCACCUACGAAUCUAGCCAUCAUGGCCUCAUCAUCUUCAAUGAUAGCACAACGAAUCAUUCCUGUUUGCAGCUCUUGAUAAUAAUCUUCUACAGAUUUAGAGCCUUGAUUUAAACGUUGCAGCUUUCCUAGCAUUUCUCAUUGAUAGAAAGGAGGUACAAAUCAAGCUCUCAUGGCAUGUUUUAACGUAUCCCAAGUGGUGUGAAUAUUAUUAGCAUGCAAACUACAAUGUUCACUCCACCAAGUUGAAGCAAAACUCGUAAACUCAGAAACAACGGUUCUAACUUUUCUAUCUUCGGGAAAGUCAUGGCAAGUGAACCGUUGUUCUACCUCUAGUUCCCAAGUAAGCUAAGCAUCAGGAUCGUAGCGACCCUCAAAUGGCAGCAUAGAAAACUUAACCUUCGUGUGGCGACCCAGACCAUUAAGGACCUGGAAUCACUGUGUUUAUAGUACUAGUCCCUAGAUCAAUGCUAAUACCCACAUUUCAUGAUGAAAUAUCAUAAUUCAUGUCUUUAUUACAACGUAUAAAAGAUAACAAUUCAGAGUAUUAUUACACAACGAAAGUCUAAAAAUAUCAAAUGAAGAUAAAUGAGCUUCCAUCCACGCCACAAGCAAGUUGAAUGUAGACUCGCAACCCUGCGUACCUCCUUCCUUUAAUUAUCGCUCUCUGCACAUGAUAGGUGCAAAUAAGUACAUUGAAUGUACUCGCAAGUAAAUACCUGUGAGGUUAGGAGAAAUGCAAGUACAUGCUUAUUGGAUAGUUCCUAAGUGGCUUUUAUGGUUCUUUUGCCAAAACAGCAAGUUUCAUUUUGAAAUACUAAUAAUAGCUUUUCUUUGGAAAACUCUAAGUCUAGAAUUUCAUAGAAAAAAGUUUUGAAAAUUAGAUGUGGUCUUUCUGUGGAAUCUCCACGACCUAACUAUGCAUUCCGGGUCAAACUGACACUCACAUAGCAACCCUUGAUUUCCCUGACCCAUUCUGUGGGAUCCAUCGAGUAGAUACUCAUUCUGUGGAUGCUUCCAUCGAGUCAAAACAGCUUUUUUUGGUUUUUGAAAACAAAACUAGAAGAUCUCCUCUUAACCAGACUUAGUAGCUCAAAGAUCGCCCGUAACCAAGGACAUGGCUAAUCGAUUAGAUUGACACUCUCGAGAGGUUUGUACACUUUACCCACCAGACACAAUCAGUCCAAAGUGUUGGCUAACGACAAGCGUGCGCAAUAGGUAAAGAUUGUGACAAAAUCUUUCACUACAAACCCCCUAUACUUAAUCCUGGCACCGCCCGCCCCAUAUGAGCACAUUGGCCGCUCUCCGGAUGACGAUACCCAAGUAAGGCUUUCCCGCUAGUUACUCGACUAAGCCAGAGCCAUAAUAGUAGGUGGUUGUAUAGGUAAGCUUUUGGGUUCCAUUGGAAAAGAAUUGAACUUUUAGAUUCUGGACGGCGGUCCCCACCGAAUUCCUGAGCAUCUGCAGAGCCGAACUGGACGCUGCCCUUGUCGACAACCAAUAAUGGUCUCAAACAUACCACUCUGCCUAGUUGAAAACAUUUUGAAGUUUUGUUUCGAAAACAUUUUGAAGUUUUGUUUCGAAAACAUUUUUCCAAACACAUACGACUCAAUUCUGAGCACUUAAUACUUUCAGAAUAGUUUUGGGUCCCUCCCGGUACAAUAAUGUAGAAAGCACUUUGUAAAAUCAUACAAGUAAUAACUUAGGGUAAUUGGUGGCAUGACAAUAACCUAUAAACAUACUACUUAGGACAUAGCUAAUAAAUUGCAAACGCAUUUUAUAAAUACUUCAUAACAAUAUAAACCUACACAUGCAUGCCUAAAACUUGUAAACAAAGUAGCAUAUGCAAAAAUUAUAGGAUUCUAGAUGAUCAAAGGUAUCCACUUGCCUGAGCCUGAGUUGCUGUAACGAUCAGAAUUUCCCAGGCACUCUUCGCACUCACACUCGGGAUAAUCUAUCGCGAAGAACGAAAGCAACAAUGAAUAACUUGUUCAACAACUCCAAAUAAAAACUCCAAUAAGAACCGAAUAAGAAUUACACAAACUUAAAUUUAGAACAGCAGUUAACAAGGCACAACUAAUACUAAUCCAACCGUAAGCACAGAUCUAAUGCUAGGAACAAGAUUUGGAACCAAGUGGAGACAAUUGAUAACCUACAGGCUGAUAGCAGAUAGCGAAUCUAACGGGAAGGGGACCGUCGAAACACGUCUGAACUAACGGUACAGAAGGUACUGAAACUAAGAACGUAACUUAAGGCUUAUAACAUAGAAAGUUUCAUCUAAAACGGAGCUACGAAACAAAAGAUACAAGCCUACGAAAGUAGCAAAUCAAAAACAUGGUUCUGUGAAUACAGUUUUCAAUUAUUAAUCUAGUAAUGUAAUCUAAUUACAUGUUACGUGAAAAGUGUUCUGAGGUGUAGAGUUUUAACCAAUGUUUACAUUACAGAAAGAAUAAACCAAAAGGGAUUUAUGGAUUUUAAACAUUAAGCUCUACAAAGUGUCUAAUCAAUAACACUAGACUAAACCUGAUGAGGACAUCCCAAGUAAUGAUACAACCACAGCCCUUACAGCACCUACACCUCAAGUACAGGAGAUACAUGGACCAAUUACUAGAGGUCGUGCACGACAACUAAAUUAUCAGGUACUUUCGUUCCUCGGUACUUCAUUUAAUAUUAAUGAGAAUAUGCUGCUGCCUAAGAUGGGUUCUUUUAUGUGUUUUAGGAAUGAAGGACCUAGCUUGGACCUCAAGGAUCAACGUUGGACAGCAAACCAUGGAGGUGGUAGCAAGGUGGCGGGAGUUAGCUCAAGUGUUGAUUUCAGAACAUUGAAACCACCAUAAAGAGAUGAGAAGAAGGCCGCAUCCUCUUCAUCAAUGGGAUUUCGGCCAAGUGGAGGAUUCCCCCUCCAAUGGGUAUCUAUGGGCCAAAGAUGAGGGUUAUAACCCUGUUUUAUUGGGCCUAAGGCCAUGUAAUAGGGUCCAGCCAAUUUUUAGAUGUUUUCGUUGUGUUUUAGAAGGAUUCCUAGGCCGUUUCGGAGUCCCACAAGGGCCUGGCCGAAAACCACCUAGUUUCCCUCCUAUUUAUACCCCAUGAGCCCCCCUAUGGAGCCUUGGGUUUUGAUUAGAUAAAGUUUAGCUUUUGCUACUUUCGUGUAAUCGCGUGUGUCGGUUAAACCACCUGUUUUACCAUCAUCAAGACUCCAACUAUAUUGAGUAUUCAGAUUCGUGAACCUUCAUAUCUCCUAUUCGCAAUUUCAGAUUGAUUUUCAUCUUGUUCUUGCUUGUUCUUCGAUUGCUUGCAGGAACAAAGACCUUCGUGGUCAGGUUGAUCGUGCCCCCGCGGGAUCAAUAACCUUCUGGAGUUGGUGUAUUGAUCGCUAAGGCGCUGCCUCCUAAAUUGUAGUCGGAUCGUCAACGUCACCUCCUACCAAAUCGAUAAUUAGGUAUCUCAUCGAAAGAUCGGGACACCCUCGAGGCUAUCACGACCGGUGUGUUAAGUUCUUUUUAACAGGUAGCUAGUUUUGACAAACUUUUAGUUCAUUAUCUAAAUCUACAAAAGGUGCACAAAAUUAACAGGGUGUAACACAAGACCUACUCGUCAAACUACAGAAGCUUACAACCUAAACGGGUCUACAAUCUACUCAACAAGAACGUCGAAAUGUAUCUAAUCUAAAACAGACUACUGGGAUUACCAAUUUGAAACGACGAUGCAGUGCUGAAGAUGAUAGAGACGGGGCUUCUAAAGAGAUCUAAUUUAUAGAACAAGAUGUAAGCUAAGAGAUGCAAAAAGAAUUUCCUAGAUAGGAUCUACGGAACAAAAGAUACGAGGUAUAGAAGUACGCUAAUCAAAACAGACUACAGCUCAAAAACAGAGCAAGAAAGCUCACCGGAGAAGAUGAAAUUGGUGGAAAGAUUGACUGCGGCUUCGAGCUAGGUUUCGAGGGAAUUGUCGGAGCUAUCGAGGGCAUCAGGUUGGGGGUAUUUAUAGGGCGCGGGGCGCUCGGGAUAAGGCCGGCGGCAGGUGAGAUUUGAACAGGAUUCGGUUUCGGUUAAAAUUCGGACGAGAUAGAGUCCGGGAUGGUUUCAAUCUUGUUGGGAUAGACUCCUUGCCGUGUGGGUCACGAAUUGGCGAAGAAAUCACGGAGAAAAACGGUUCGGAUGGUGGAAUUCGAGGUGGGGCGGCCAUGGACGCCGGCGAAAUCGAGCUCGAGCUUGGGCUCGGCCGUGGCAGGGGCAGCGCGGGCCGCCGGCGGGGCUGCGGGGCGAGCGGUGGAGCUUGGCAGCGGGAGGGGGGGCCGGAAGCUGGGCGCGGCCGGAGCUUGGCUUGGCUUGGCCAUGGCUGCAGCCAGGAACAAACGUGAGGAAGAAGAAGGAAGAAAGGAGAAAAAGAAAAAAAAGAAAAGGAAAAAGAGAAGAAAAGGGAAGGGAAAAGAUGGCCGUUGGAUGGAAAAUGGAUGGACAAGAUUAAAAAAUACCCCUUCGGUACACUUAAGUGGAAACGGGUUUCACAAGGAAUACGCCUCCAUGCAGAGAAAACGUGCUCUGCGGAUGAAAAAAUAAAUAAAGAAAUAGCUUUUCUGGGUUUCUAAAUCGCCAGAAAAUCAAAUAAGGCAAAUAAAAUACCAAACGGCAUCGGAAAAAUUCCAGAAAAUUCCUGAAAUUCCAAAUACCUUUUUGGAAGCUAGGAAAAAUAGUUUCCUCAUGGAAUAUAAUUUAUAAAAAUAUUUUUAAUGCAUAUGCAGCUCAAAUAAAUUCCAACAAAUGCAUAUAAUCACUUUUAAGGUCCAAAUAAACUCCCAAUUAAAUUGUAAGAUCAUCUCAAACUCAAAUAUGGUCAAAAUUAUAUGCAUGUGACAUGAGAAAGGUAAUAACAUCCAGAAAAAUUGGGAUGUUACACUUCGGAACAUCAAAAUCAUCACAUACCUCCCGACGUGGCCCCCUACCAUGUCGGUUAUGAAGUAGCCGAUGAGGUUGGCGGUCGUUGAUGCGGUUGUUGUCUCGUGGGUCCUCCGAAUCAGCAGCAUAAUCGGAAUCGUCGGAGGCUGCCAUGUCCUCACCAUGCCCUGCAAGAACUCCAGUGCCGGAUGGAGCGCCUUGUUGCGUCUUUCAGUGCGAAGGGCGCGAGGACGACCAGCUGGAGGUGGUUGUUGUGGUUGUUGCCGAGGUGGGGGCUGUCGGUGUGUUCCAUUCAUGCGAGCAAGGAGGAUGUCAAACUUGGUAUUCAUUUCUAUCCAAACCGUCCAACCGACCAUCUAGUCGUGUGACGGUGGCAGCAUGUGUCUUUUCCAUGUCUGUGACAUGGGUGGACAACCACUUGAUGUCAUCAUGCACCUUGCGUGAGCGAGGGGUGAGGUCAUCGCCGCUGUUCUCUCCAAGGCCUUCCAUGGUUAGUGCAAACAAGGAAAACAAAGCACAGAUACAAAGCUCCUAUGCACUAGUGGGAUGUGGGGAAAAAGGCUCUCAACACUCGUGCCGUUUCACAAUUCUUACAAGUUCUUACCAUGCAGCAGGGGGUGACUUAGCAACCAAUGCUGUCUCACCACAAUGAAGAUUGGAUAAGCGAUUGUCAGGAGACACGAAACUCUGCACAAAGUAGUCUAAAGUGGAGCUUGGGUGGCUGAUAUUAGUAGCAAGGAUAAGCAAUGAACAGAUAGCAGUACAAAGUUGAUAAUAUGCUCACAAAUGCUAGCCCUAUCUGCUAGAGUACAAGUAGGAUAAGAACUUAAGCCCAGAUGCUGAAGUGAAAGGCCGAAAACACAAGCACAAGAACUCAACUUCGAAAAAUUUCCCGAAAUGUCCAGUAGGGUAUUUUUGGGUUUUGACCCUCUUCCCGAGCUCUGAUUAAGCUGAAAUUUUAACACUAGCUUCCUGAGAUGGUCCUUGAUUUUACAAAAUGUUUCCAGAUUUUACUGGGCACUUUGAAUUUUCAAGCCUGAAAGCAAUUUGACCAGAUUUGCCAUUGGUUUUGGCCGAGAUUUUUUAUAAAUGUGAACCAAGCUCAGAUCUAUUAUAUUUGCUUCCUGAACACAGGGAAAUAACUCUCACACAAAAAUUUUGGGGUAGAAAUAGCAGCGGUAAAACGCCCAAAAGUAGCUCUCUGUCUCUCUAGUCUUUGACUUUUUCAGAUCCACGGUGGCUGGGAUUGAUGGGGGUGAUUUGGUGGUGGUGGAUGAGUGAUUUGGCAGCGGUGGAUGAUGCGGGUCGGGGUGGCCCGAUCUUUCGAUGAGAUUGAUAACUCUCGAUUUGGGUAGGAGGUGACGUUGACGAUCCGACUACGGCCUAGGAGGCAGCGCCUUAGCAAUCGAUACACCAACUCCAGAGUGUUAUUGAUCACGCGGGAGCACGAUCAACCUGACCACGAAGGUCUUUGUUCCUGCAAGCAAUCGAAGAACAAGCAAGAACAAGAUAAAUAGCGGAUGCAAUCUAAAAUUGCGAGUAUACUAAUCAAACCAAUGUCUCAACGAGACGUUAAGUUGGAGUCUUGAUGACGGUAAAACAGGUGGUCUAACCGACACACGCGAUUACACGAAAGUAGCAAAGAUGGCUAAACUUUAUCUAAUCAAAACCCAAGACUCCAUAGGGGGGCUCGUGGGGUAUAAAUAGGAGGAGGGAGAGAUAUUUUCGUCCACCUUGAGUAAGGAGGCCGAAAUCCAACUUUAUCUCUAACUUCCCUAACAAACUACAACUCUAUAGGAAACAGAAAAACAGAUCCGUCAGCUUAUUUUGUCCGCCACAGUCAGCACGAGUCGAAUCUCUUGAUGGGGCCAGAUCCGUUGGAAAGGUCUUGUAAUUACCUUUCCAACAAGUACUUGUUUGCUUGAUUUGGACUCCGGAUGCGUCCUGGAUGAUUAAAACAAAUUCGGGUCUCCUGGCAGCUCGGACCCGAAUCGGAUUCAAAUUUAAUUCGUGAUAUCUUUCUCUAGCAAGCUCCGAAUCAUGUGCCGUUUGAUUUGUUGGAAAGUACACUUGAAAUCCUUCCCUCCCAGCUGUAUGAAUGCUUGAUUCUUGUUGGCCCUCCCGUUCGCCUCUAUCGUAUCUCAUCUUGACCUUGGACUUGAAAAGCUCGACAAGAUGCCUACGUAAUAAAACGAGACAAGAUAGUAGUAGCUCCGCCUCUUCAUAAAUAUGACAAUGAAAACAAUUACUACUUGAAUUCACCUGAUUAUAAAUCUUGUCAAAUAUUAUAGAAUUGAGGGUAGCAAAGGUCGUAUCCAUGGUUAGCAUGUCCAUAUCAUCCUCCCUUUCUUGAAAGGAAAGCCGUCCUCGGCGUCGUUUGUGCUGUAAAGAGACUGACAAAAUAGACAAAGUGUGUGCAUGGUAUAUGUAUAUGUGAUCAAUUUUAACUCCACUCCCAUGCUGCACAUUCGAUGUUUCACGUAAAUAAAACUCAUAAUAGUGCAAAAGAUUAAUAGUCAUAUUCCAACGGCAAGUAUCACAUUUUAAUUUGUAAUUCUCAUCAUUAAACCAUCCUAAUGUAGGUGAACAAUAAUUCAAAAUUCCCAAAUGGCGAGCUACAAUAUGCGUCAAUGUGCAAUCAUGCCACAAGUUAUUUGUCGUACAACUAUCACCAAUAUUAGAGGUCAUAUCAAAAUGAUUGAGCAUACACAAAAUAUUGUUGUCUCUCAAAUCAAGAAAGUUAUCACAAGCAAUGCAAAUCUGAUGCACCAAAACUUUAUUGUUGACAUCAUGUUCUCCAAUUAAUUGAAUAGUGUAUCCAUGGGCAUUAGCAAAAGAUUUUGAAAUUGUUAACUCAGAAACUUUAUCCAUUGCAUGUGACAAAUAUAUAGGUGUAUCAAGUGUAAUAUAACACAAAGAAUUAAUGGGUGGAUCCUUAUCAAUCACUCCAUGUCUAAUCAACUCGACACAACCUAAAUCAAAUUUAUCUAUCUCACUUGUUUCUCCCAAAACAUUAGUUAUUUCCUCACAUGAUUCAUUCUCAUCAAUAUCAAAAUUAAUAUGUGCACUCAAAUCAUUAGAAGAAUUAAUUUCAGCAGUAGGUGCACUCAAAUCAGCAUGUAAAUCAACAAUUUCACAUGGUGCAGAAAAUUCAACGAGUAUCUCAUUUAUUUCAUCACAUGUCAUAUUUUGUUCAGCAACACAAUCAUCUUUAUCAUUACCUUGUAGGCUCAACACGUUUCUUGUACACCUUCUCUCCAAUUUCCUCUCCGCUUCACGAGCAAGAGUAAGCAAACACAAUAGAGAGUCGUAUUUUCCGUAUUCAAUUAUGUAAGAAAUAUCAAAGUUAAGCCUACAAUAAAACCUAUCCAUUUUUCUUUGUUCGGUUUCAUCUAAACCAGAUCGCAAGGUUAAAAUUUGGAACUCAUGGUAGUAAUCAUCAACAGUUUUAUCAUCUUGUGUCAAACAUCGUAAUUUGGAACGCAACUCAUAAGCAUAACUUGGAGGAACAUAUUUCUCUCUCAUGAUUUUCUUCAUAUCAAUCCAAGUGUGAGGUAUUUUGUUUUCUCUAACUAUCUCACACCACGAUGAUAAUGCAUCAAAACAAAAUUUACUACUAGCAAUUUGGACCUUACGACUAUCUAGUACAUGGAAGCAUGUGAAUUGUUCAGUUAAAACUAGCUCCCAAUCUAUAUACGUUUCAGCAUCAUUUUCCCCCUCAAAGAAAGGUACACACAAUUUAAUUGUAUUAGAAGGAUUGUUUUGUACCGUUGCCGUGGCAUUAUCAACAAGAGACGUGGAGGAUGGCCGUGGUGAAAAGCACUCAUCGCGGUCACGGGAUAGCAUCGGUCUAGCUGCCAUGCUUCGUGUAAGUCCAGUCAUGGUAGUAGAAAACAAGAAACAAAUCACAGUAAUAUGUUCCUAUCAACUACUAGGAUGUGGCUACAAGUCGCUCAACUCUCAAGCUAAAAAUCAAGUUCUUACAAGUUCUUACCAUGCAAAACAGGAAAGUGAUGGCCAGCGGCGUAACCAACACCUCCGGAGAUUAAAUGUAUCGAUGCCUCGGUAACAAACCAACCUAGGUGUAGAAUCUGUGGAGCUUGGAGGCUUUUGUGAGUAGCAAAGAAUAGCAAAUAAUCAAAUCAGCAAUGCAAAGUUGAAAAUAUGCUCAAUAAUGCUAGUCCUAGCUGCUGGAGUCGAUAAGAACGAAUUACAGAAAUAAUCUAAGCCUAGAUACUGAAAAAGGUAGGAAUAGAUAGAUCAAAAGAUGGCACAACAAGUAAAUCCCUGGGAUUUUUUUUCUUUUUUUUUCUUUCUGUGGCCUUCUGUUUGGCUUCUUAUUCUUUUCUUCUUCUUCUUUUCUUUUUUCUUUUUUAACCCCAGAAACUCACGCAAAAGAAGGACCGGAAAACUAUACGUCGGUCUGCCGAAGAACAGCAAAGGCUGCAGUAAGAAAAAUUCAGAAAAAUAUGGAAAAAUAUGGUUUAGAAGGUUAUCGACACAAGCUUUCCAACAAGGGCAAGAUCACUCAAAACAGAUGUCGGACGGUGGAGAAAACUGAGAAACACCGGGCUGCAGCGACGCCGGAAAACGGAUGCAGAAACUUGGAAGCUCCGAAAGUCCACCUUACAAACCGAAUUUGAGGGUCAAAGUGCAGGGCAGCGCCCUGGAUAUUUCCUGAUGCGCCUCGUCGUGAGCUUUCCAAAAAAUCCAAGAACGUCCAAAUCCGAGUUGGUACGCAAAAGAUACGCUCGUUUUACUGAACACGGGUCAAACCCACCCGAAACUAAAAUUCUACUCGGACUCGGGUCCGAAACUGACUCGAACUCUUUCUCUUUUUUUUUCGUUUUUUUUUCUUUCUUUCUUUCCUUUUUUUUCUUUCCUUUCUUUUUUUUUUCAACUUUCCAAACAACUUGAUCUCUAAACAAAAUUCGAUCGAUGAUGAAACACUUUCCAAAGGCACUCCUUAUUGGACUCAGACUCGAACUCGCGGCUGAAAACUAUAACUUGCCGACUCGAUGUAGGACUCGACGAGGGACUCGGUGUAGGACUCGAAGAGGGACUCGGUGGAAGAUAUGGUGGGGGCGGAAGAUUAUGGCGGUGGUGUGGCAGGAAGUUUGGCGGCGGAAGAUUGAUGAAGGAAACCUGCGUCACACGAAGCACAAGAAAACCAAAAGCAAGUUCGAUCUAGUAGAAAAAAUCUGAAAAACGAUCCAAUCUAAUCCAGCAACUCGACACGAUUAAUGCAGCAAAGAUUCAACAAUGCAAAUACUAAUGUGAAAAUUGCAAGGCUCAUAUUGGUUCUAGGACAAGGUAACUAAUUCUAAUUUUUGUUUGGCUUUUUCUGGACGAUAGGUAAAAACAGAUCUAAACUACGGAUAAACUGGAAAAAUCUCACCGAGCAACCUUAAGCUUUGAUACCACGUGAUAGCCUCGAGGGUGUCCCGAUCUUUCGAUGAGAUUGAUAACUCUCGAUUUGGGUAGGAGGUGACGUUGACGAUCCGACUACGGCUUAGGAGGCAGCGCCUUAGCAAUCGAUACACCAACUCCAGAAGGUUAUUGAUCACGCGGGGGCACGAUCAACCUGACCACGAAGGUCUUUGUUCCUGCAAGCAAUCGAAGAACAAGCAAGAACAAGAUAAAUAGCGGAUGCAAUCUAAAAUUGCGAGUAUACUAAUCAAACCAAUGUCUCAACGAGACGUUAAGUUGGAGUCUUGACGACGGUAAAAUAGGUGAUCUAACCGACACACGCGAUUACACGAAAGUAGCAAAGAUGGCUAAACUUUAUCAAAUCAAAACCCAAGGCUCCAUAGGGGGGCUCAUGGGGUAUAAACAGGAGGAGGGAGAGAUAUUUUCGUCCACCUUGAGUAAGGAGGCCGAAAUCCAACUCUAUCUCUAACUUACCUAACAAACUACAACUCUAUAGGAAACAGAAAAAUAGAUCCGUCAGCUUGUUUUGUCCGCCACGGUCAGCACGAGUCGAAUCUCUUGAUGGGACCAGAUCCGUUGGAAAGGUCUUGUAAUUACCUUUCCAACAAGUACUUGUUUGCUUGAUUUGGACUCCGGAUGCGUCCUGGAUGAUUAAAACAAAUUCGGGUCUCCUGGCAGCUCGGACCCGAAUCGGAUUCAAAUUUAAUUCGUGAUAUCUUUCUGUAGCAAGCUCCGAAUCAUGUGCCGUUUGAUUUGUUGGAAAGUACACUUGAAAUCCUUCCCUCUCAGCUGUAUGAAUGCUUGAUUCUUGUUGGCCCUCCCGUUCGCCUCCAUCGUAUCUCAUCUUGACCUUGGACUUGAAAAGCUCGACAAGAUGCCUACGUAAUAAAACGAGACAAGAUAGUAGUAGCUCCGCCUCUUCAUAAAUAUGACAAUGAGAACAAUUAGUACUUGAAUUCACCUGAUUAUAAAUUUUGUCAAAUAUUAUAGAAUUGAGGGUAGCAAAGGUCGUAUCCAUGGUUAGCAUGUCCAUAUCAGUGGAUGGGGAAAGCGUGGGUGGUAGCAGAUCGGGUGAAGUGGUGGACUGUGGUGGCAGCAAGAACUCCAAGACACUCUCUCUCUAGUCUUUGAGUUUCUCAGAUCCUCGGUGGCUAGGAUUGAUGGGGGUGAUUUGGUGGUGGCGGAUGAGUGAUUUGGCAGCGAUGGAUGGGGGAAACAUGGGUGGUAGCAGAUCAGGUGAAGUGGUGGAGUGUGGUGGCAACAAGAACUCCAAAAACACGAAGAACACGAAGAACAGGGGAUACAAAAGGGGGUACGAUCUGGUAGAAGACAAAUCCAACUCGAACCAACCUAGUCCAGCAACUUGACACGAAGAGUGCAGCAACAAAUCAACAAAGCAAUAGUUAAAUCAAACAUGCACGGCUCAGAUCUGGUGCUAGGACAAGGUAAGUGAACAACAAUAUUUUUGUGGGGCUUUUUCUGGACUGUAGGUAGAAGAAGAACAGUAAACUAAGGGAUACGUGCCGUCAUCUUGUGGUAGUUGCUGCACUGUUUCCUUUCGCAUACGUGCCGUCAUCCUCGAAGUUCGACUCGCUCCCAUUUCCUGUGUCACGGCUCGGUCCUUCAUUCCUAAUCAACAUAAGAACAACUGAUUUAGGCAGCAUCAUAUUCUCAUUUAGAUUGCCCAUAGUACCCAGAAACGAAAGUACCUGAUAAUUGAGUUGGCGCGCACGCGCGCGAGUAAUCAGUCCUUGUAAUGCCACGGUUGUAUCUGUGGGCUGGAUGUCCUCAUCAGUUGGGUUCAUGGAGCUCAGACGUGGCACCACGACACUGAGCAACAAUAAGCUGCGUCGAUAUCGCAACGGGUGAGAAGUCACUACGACGCCAUUGACGUGCAUGUAGGAGGAGAAGGAGCCGCUCUUUUGCAUCCUACACGUGUAGAGUACUGCAUCUCAUGGUAGUUAUACACAAAUAAGCUGGAAACGUUGUGAUACAAGUAAUGUACCCGUGCGCUGCUAUGGAACCACUUUACGUUGCAAAAGAGCUAUAGCACUCUUUCUGUUGUUCAAUUUUCACCACUACUGUUUAUUCUAGUUUAGUUAAGGAUUUGUGGCAAUAGUCUGUCACAUUCGGGCUACAACACUUGUUAAUUUGACAUUAAUAACCCUCAAGACAAACCGAUAUGAAUUAUAUCAGAUCAGCAUGGUAUAUGUCAACAAAUCGGUAGUGUGACAGUUUGCAUAAAAAUACCCUUGUCAUUUCCACAUGAUAGAGUUUAUAUCAGAUCAGCGUUUUAGGCUUUUUGCAAAUGAUUCAGGCAGCAGCCUGCUCAACUUCUCAGAUGCUCAACACUCACAGGUAACUAUCAGAUAACACAAAAAUAGAUGUACCGAAAAUAAUAGAAUAUAAUGUCAUUUUACUUUAGCAAUAUCUUGCCAAAUGUACCUGUCACAGGGAUAUAUCGUAAAUUGUAGUGUGUUCACCAUAUAAUAUAAUUGCUUACUGCAAGAAUAAUGUACAAAAGAUUUAGUCUGUGCACACUAAGGAUUUAUCUCAUCUUCAGAAUUUGAUGGCUCCAUCUCAUGACACAAGUAGCUCAUCUUAAGUCAUCUGCAACUUAGAUGGAGACAAGUACCAUCCAUGCUUUUCAUCUGAGGGAGUACUUGGUGACUUCCUUCACGAAGUAGUUUUCGCGGCCCAAGCAACAGCAAAGAAAAUUUAGUGCAUACUAAUUUCAACAACAACAAUCAAUCAGAGGAUAGAUCAGGCCAAGAGGGCUCAAUUUGGAGAAUUAAGAAUGCAAUAUAUGGGUUUAUUGUUCACCAGAGUAUGGAUAUAUACUAGUCACCCGGCAAAUAUGAACAUAAGCACCAAGCUGGUUGAAACAUGUAUUACCUGGUCACCAUCUCCUUAUAUUUCAACCAUUAUAUGCCAAAUAAUAUGCACUGAUAUGUGGCCUUGAGAAAUAGAAUUCUCAUUUAUGUGCUAUGUAAAACAUUACUAUCAUGUCCCAUAAUUAUCCAAUCAAGGGGUCUAAAUUUGUUAUGCAGUAAAUGUGCUUUCAAAAUCAAAAUUCUGGGCAUAAUUGAUUGUGCAACAAGGGUCACCGUGGCUAUCAGUUUUCUUGAAGAACUAAGCAUAGGCAAUGGUGUAUUGGUUUAUAUACUUUCUGGCAUGCUCGCAACGCAAGAAUCUUUGACAGCAACAACCUUCUUCUACUCAUGUUAUUAAGAUGCUUAGUGCUUAGACUCUUCCUCUCUAGAGCGUUAGAACAAAUAAAGACACUGUCAGGCUCCGUUUGCUUCAGUGGGCUUUUGAUCUAUCCUGAGAUAUCGCUUUGUUGAGUUCUAGUUCUUUUCUUCUUUUUCUGUCUCUCUUGGUGACGAAGGGGUGACUUCGACAAUGUCCAUACUACUGGACUUAUAUCUAGGAAAGUUUCGAGUGUAUGUGUUGGCGAUCUCGUCGGCUAACAAGGACACAGGGGACACGAUUUACCAAGGUUCGGGGCCCUCAGAAGGUAACACGCCUAUGCCCUGCUUGUUUGGAUUGUAUUGAUGAGUCGAUUACAGGGGAGUCGCGGGGGCUAGAUGCACAGAUUCUAUUUGGCAAGUGCGUCUAGGCGGCUUCUAUGCUAGAUUGGUUGAUCUUGGAUCCCCCUCCUGGUCCCUUUAUAUAUGCAGGAGAGCAGGUCCCAGGUAGAGUCCAAGUUGAUUACUAUGUUUAGGCUUCUUUGUCUUGAGCCACAAGUUGGGCGUAUGGACUCCUGGAGUCGUAGUUACUAGGCUUCCUCGUGGGCCCCUUGCUGGGCCAUGAUGGGUAUACUCGAGUCGAGUACGUGGUUAGUCAUAACCACGUCAGUAGCCUCCAAGUGCCUAGUUAAGUCGUAAACUUGAGUAGGGACUUUCAGAGGCUUCAUUAACCUGUUGAGCCAGUUGCGACUAAAGGUGACACAUAGCCCUGUCGACUCGGAAGUGCAUCGAGUCGACGGCCUUUAGACUUCGAAUGAGAAGUAUUCGACUCGGUGAUUGUUCUGAGUCAAACUUCAACGUGUGACUGUUGAAUGACAGUAAUGUCAUUGAUUUGACACUGUUAAAUCGAAUUCUGCUAAGUCUGGCAAUUUUUAGUCAUAGGGAUAAGCUCUUAAUGUGCCUGGAGUACUCGAUGGGUCGAGUCCAGUUAAUUGCUCUAGGGCAAAUAUAACAUUAUCUUUCAUCAUUAUUCGAGUCACCGGGCUCGAACCUGGCAACUGGCGAAAUUCGACUUGGCCCGUGGGGACUUACAGAGUCGAAUCCCAGUUUUUUGACAUUUCAAGUGCUCGACUCGAUGGUCAAGAACACUAACAUAUGCCAUGGGCACGAUUAAUACUGGAAUGGCGCAGCCGGUGCGAUUCCAGGCCCUAUAGGAAGCCUACGGAGUCUUAUCUUCACGUAAUGAACAUGGGUUAGGGGAGCGACCCUUAAGUGAAAGUUUUGCUGGAUGGAUGCAGACGAUGCAUACCCAGGCCUAGUAAUAGGGCUUACCUUCACGCAACAAGCGUGGUUCGACCGGAAUAACGAAGCUGGUGCGAUUUCAGGCCCUAUAGAAGAUCUAUGGGUCUUACCAUCAUGCAAUGAGCAUGGAUAAACUGGAGUAGCGCAGCUGGUGCGACUCCAGGCUCUAUGGAAAGAUCCAUGAGUCUUAUCUUCAUGCAAUGAACAUGGAUAAACUGGAGUAGCGCAGCUGGUGCGACUCCAGGUUCUAUGGAAAGAUCCAUGAGGCUUAUCUUCAUGCAAUGAGCAUGGAUAAACUGGAGUAGCGUAGCUGGUGCUACUCCCAACUCUAUGGAAAGAUCCACGAGGCUUAUCUUCAUGCAAUGAGCUUGGAUGACUGAAGUAACGCAGCAGGUGUGACUUAGCUGCGUUUAACUGUAGUCAGUCGACCUUCAUGUCAUGGACAUGGACUUGGGUUUAUUCGCUCAAUAAGGGUGACCCGUAGAUAGACUUUGUGAAGCCUGGACUGCAGGGAGUCAAAUUAAAAUAAGCCAGGAGAUGGCAAGAACGACUCGACGUGAGUCCAGGUGUCGCAAUGAGCAAAUCACCCCGUUGAGUGGUAAAAGAUUCGAGUCAUGACGUUCAAGUCAAAAUAGUCAUGCAUGUCGUAUCCAGUGAAGGCGAAGAGCCAUUCUGGUCAGCCGAUGUGACUUGGUGUGCAGUCUAGCCUGACAGCUAGACGCAUUGUUGUCGUGCGCGAGUGGAGAAAUGACCGCACGCUGCGCAGUAAACAAGGCAUAAUGAUGACUCCCUCACCCGUAAAGUGGGCAGCCAUUUGCCAAUCUCGCCGUUUCGCAUCCCGGCUGAUGCGGAACGCGUGGCCACGAUAAGGAUCUUGUGGCCCGGAUUUUUUGCCGAAGUUGGCUUAUAUAAGAAGGAGAAGGGGGUAAGCCAGUUUUGCACUGCUUCCUCCUUGCCAAUAGAGUUCAAGCGCCGAAGCUUUCUGCCUCCAUAGCCAAGAACUUGCGAGAUCUCCCAGACUCGACCUAAGUCACCUCGACCCGCUUAGACAAGGAAGCAAGGCUGCCGCCGCCGCCAAGGCCUCCCGCAAGGCAGAUGCUGCCGUCAAGACUGGUGCCAGCAAAGGUGGCGCGGGCAAGGGCAAAGCCGGCUCUAAGGCCUCCUCUGGAAAUGGAGAUGCUAGCCAAGGCACCCUUGUCUGGCCAUCGUUGAUGGACCAGCGGGAGAAGAUGCUGGAGCUGCAGGAGGAGGGACUAGUGCCAAAGGGCGACAGGAUCCGCAUCCCCGCAAGGAAGAGUUCCCUCCCCCGAUGCUUGGGGAGCGGGUCGUCUUCCUCUACUACGUGUUGCAGGGACGUUCCCCCUUCACGCCUUCUUUCAUGCCAUGCUGCUAGCCUACGGGCUGCAGCUGUACGAUUUGCUUCCCAACUCCUACCUGCAUGUUGCGUGCUUCAUCACGCUGUGCGAAUGUUAUUUCGGAGUAAACCCGCAUUGGGGCUCUAGAGGAGGAUCUUCAUGAUCAAGGGUCAGAAGGCUGACACUGUUGGAAGCUAGCGUCAACUUUCAAGUGAGGACGGACGUCAAGUACUUCUGCCUCCAUCAACACGAGUAUGUGCAAAGCUGGAGAUCGAAGUGGUUCUACGGUGGGGACGAGUCGACGGGUGUCGACCCGGACCUCCCCACCUUCACCAUUAAUGAUUCAGUGAAGAAGACGGUUGUGUGGAAACACGAGAUGACAACAGCGUAGGAGUCAGAGGCCGAGUCAAUAUUUGGCUCAGGUUCGCACCCUCAUGGGACGGGGAUUGACAUGUGUUCACUUGAUUGCCACGUUACUGAGGAUAAGGAUCCAGCCGCUGCAAGCUCGUGUUCACCUGAUGUGGUCCUAUCAAGGACUCGGGGAGCCGACUUGGGUGAACGUUGAAGAGUUGACUCCAAAGGAGCUGGAAAAACGCGUGCAUAAGCUCACGUGCUUGACCGCCACGACUAUGCUAGAGAUUGACCCGUCGGUGGUAUGUAAAUCUCUUGAAUACGCAUUACUUGUUUGUAAUGGAAUUUUUUCCAAUGACUGUUUAAUUACAGGGACUCAAAGAUCCCUCGAGUCAACCUCCCCUGGUCGAAGAAGAGGAGCCAGCGGAUGAAGGCUCGGAGUCACCAACUCAGGCAACCGACUCCGAUCUCGAAGAUGCUGGCGUGGAGCCGAGGAAGAAGCACAGCCGGGAAGUUGAUUCCUCAAGGGAUCAGGACCAGUCGACUGGAGUCGAAGGUCCGUCCGCUGCUGCUCCGUCUCCUCUUCCCACAACAAAGAAGACCAAGACAGGUGGGCCUGCCCCUGUACGCCGGUAUGGUCUCUGUCGCCUCCGGGGAUACGAGGGGUAUCCCGGAUCUUAGGAGCGUGGGACGCGGCCCCACCAUGUCAGUGUUAGGCUCCCUAGGGACGGGGUACCCUCGGGACCGCCUUCCCGAGAGACUUGUGACCGUUCUCUCCUCCCUCAGGCCCGAGGCCGAAAGGCUCCGCGGGAGUGCCUCGUCUGGCACCCGAGGAGGAAAUGCAGUCACUGCUUACAUCAGCCGGUCCUGGGCGGCUACUUUGGCACCCACGAGCUGGUAUGAAUCUGCCCGUUCAAAGGGCAUCUUCGGGACUGCGCGACUGUGGUAUGACGAUCGUCGACGACAGGCGGGACGCAGCACGUCCGGCCAGCUUCCAUGACGUGCCAGGACUAUCGCCGUUUCGGCCCACACAUGACCGAAAGCUUCUUUGUGCCCUCGGCAGGGUACAGAUCGCUUUGGACAGGAGUAUGAAUGGCACCUGCCGGGUUCGGGGCCGGGUCCUGCCAUACCAGAGCCGGACCCGGCAGCCCACCCCAGACCCAUGACCCAGACCCGGAUUCGGCACCGGGUCUGAAAAUUUACCAGACCCAGACCCGGUACGGGUCUCGGCGGGGAGACCCGCAGGUCAACCCGACCCGAAUGAACAAAGAAGGGCGCAUCAGUACGAGGCAGUAAACAGUACAGCAAACAAUGAUAGCCAUUAGAAAUUUACUCCGUAUGAUUUAAGAAAUGCAAACAUGCUAAAACCUGGUAGCACACUGGUGAAAUGAAACGGCAAGAAUCAUAUGCAUCACGCAGUAGCAAGAAAACGCACUAGCUUUGCCAAACGAAAUUACGACCACGCAUCAGCUAAUCCAAAUCAAAAAGGAAUAGUUAGCUCAAUACAGUAGCUCUACGGACCUAACGCUGAGAGCGAGCUUGGGCAGCUGAGGGGCGGAGUCCGUGAUCUACCACGCGCUCGGCGUCAUGAGCGCGCGGCCGGCUGCAAGGACCUCCUCAUCGCCAUCCGCAAGCUUGAGGCCUCAGCAGCCUGCAGCUGGUUGGAUUGUAGGAGACUGCGACUGGGGAGCAGCCCGCGGGGGCUGGCGGCGGACGACACAGAGGUGGGGAGAGAGAGGGAGGCCGAUGGGAUUGGGGAUUUGGGGAGAAGGAGAGCAGAAGAAUCGGGCGGCGGCGGAGUGGCGGGGACUGGGGAGUUAGAUCGGGUGAGGCGGCGGCGGCGCAUCGCUCCCUAGUCCCUACUUGUCGGGACAUUCGCUGGCUAGGUUUUCGGGGGAGAGCGCGGCUGCGGCCUGCGGAGGACAAGAAAUCGAUGGGCUGGGCCAGCAGUAACCGUGGACAGAAAUAUGAACUGGGCCGAAAUAAAAUCAGAAAAUGAGUUGGGUCGGGCUUCCGGGUAUCCGGGUUCGGGUGAGGCACUACCAGACCCGAACCCGUUAGACCCGACGGGUCCGAAAUUUUCUCAUUUACAGACCCGCGGGUCUCCUCAAACCCGCAUUGUCGGAGCACGGGUUUACCCGCGGGUCUCCUCUGGGAUCGCCGACGUGACGUAAGACACGAAGUGUCGACACUCGGAUUUACCCAGGUUGGGGUCACCCGGAGGUAUAAUACCCUACGUCUUGCUUAGAGUUGUAUUCACGAAAUGUGUGUGAUCUUACAGAUUUCCCCCCGGCAGUUCCCGGGUGAGCUACUUGUUCUUCUAAGGGAUUCUACUAUGAACGGGGGCACUACUAGUUGCUACUGACUGGGGUUCCAACUCUUUGACUGUUGGCAUUGGUCUUUCUUUUAUAGUCUAGGGGAUACCACAGGUGCCGAUGCAUGCAGCGUGACACGUUUUCUACACGCGUGUCAUUGCCACAAAACUCUCCCUACUGUAGAUCCACGCUGGGUUUCAUGCAGCGCCCAAGCCACUGUGCAAUGUAAACAAAACAGUUCUUAGGGUAGCCGCUCUAGAUUUGUUGGGCAAGACUAGCCCUGCCGAUGUGACUCCUGUUGGUGCAUUUAAUGCACUGCGCCCGCUGUGUGGUCUUGUCUCCGCUGUUCCGUCGGCCCCACCUGCGACCCCCGAAGCCCCGGUACCGUUGCCCGGCAAGUUGCGGGGGAGAGAACUGGUAACUUCCCGGGUUCGCCCUUCCCGGGAAGCCGGCCAAGCGGGAUCUCAUCAGUCGCGACCCACACGUCUCGUGCCAGUGGGGCCCCGUGGACCACUGGUACGACAAUAGUACCCAGGUGUGGGCUGGCAACCUUGAGCUCCCGGGCAGUAUCAUCCUUGGUCGGUUGCCGGGCUACGCCCUUCCGACGCGCUGGGAACCCGGCCACGUAGGUCGUCGUUACGCCUCCUCCCGUCAGAACAGGAGGGGCAGGUGCACGAUCUCUGGCCCCACUAUCCCUCUGCGAGCAAGGAGUUAUGGCCACGUCGCGCAUGCUGUCUUGAUUCCUCCAAAUCAUUAGGUCGCUUGAUUACUGAUCGUGGGGGGCGUCUGUUGCAAUUCCGUCUGCCGGAUAUAAAUACCCAGGGGCGGUGUCACAAGGACUCCCCUCCGCCACUGCCCCUGCCGUUGCCUCCCCCGAGCCCCUUGCGCUGCAACCCCCGAGAAGCCUCCCACCUGUCACCUCCGUCCCUCCACCAAUGGCACCCAAAGGCCCAGCACGUCCCAAGGGCGCCAGUGGCAAAGGAGAGAAGAGCAGCUAGAAGGAAAUGUCAGAGCGAGAGUGCAGAGACAAGGAGAAGAGGGCCCAGUUCGCGUUCUUCAAGGCCGGCUACAACGGCGAGGCUGUGGAGAAGCUGCGCUUGGCGGUGGCCACCAAGCACAACGAGCACGGCCCGACGCACAUCCUGCCCGUCGGGUCGGAUCCCGGCGAGCACUACUACCGGGUGUUCGUGAGGUUCAUCCUUUCCGGGUUCGUGCCGCCGCACUCCCUUUUCCUCCAUGCAAUCCUCUCCGCGUACCGCCUCCAGCUGGCGCAGAUUCACCCCACCUCCUUCUUCAAGCUUGCCGUCUUCCAAUACCUCUGCGAGGCGUUCGUGGGGGUGAUGCCGUCCGUGGCGUUGUUCCGCCACUACUACUACCCUCACCUCGAGAAGGGCAAGGCAUGUCUUCCGGGGUCUCGUUCCGGUUCCGGGACGGGCUCAAAUCGGAGUUCAUCGUCACGGAGGACCGAAAGAUCGAGACGGAGUGGCGCGCGGACUGGUGCUGGCUCUACAUCGAGGAGCACGAUGAGGCCUACACCAAGCCCACCGUGCUGCCGAAGAAGUCCCGCGACUGGCGGGACCGUGACGCCUGGGACGCCGAGCUCGUGCAGAUCUGCGACAAGAUCGUGGCGCUGCGGCGCGCGGGGCUCACGGAUUUGGAUGUGGCCCAGAGCUUCAUCGCGAGGUGCAUCGCUCCUCUGCAGUACCGAACCCAUCCGGUCUGGACCUACUUGGGGGAGAGCGACCGGAUGAGGUGGCAGCGAGGCAGGCUGACGAUGGAGCAAAUCCGAACAUGGCUCAGGGGGAUCACCGGCGACAACUCCCCCUUCGCUGGGCUUCCCCCGGGUGUGACAGUGCUCCACGCGAAUGUCGCCAACCCGGAGCCAAUAACUAACCACCCUGCAACGAGUGGGAAAUCAUGGCGGGGGCCCCGUCGAGCCGCCCUGCCCCGUGACCAAGGGCCCGGACUGGGAAGCAACAGGUGGCCGAGAGCGAGGAGGAGGAGGACGACCUGGACGGGGAUUCCGACGGGCCGGCGGGCACCUUUGCUGGCUACGACGUCUCCCGCGAGGUCGCCGACACAUCCGGGGACGAGGGGUCCUGGGGUGCUGACAGCCCCGCGGAAGGGGACAGCGACGACGACGACGACGAGGUCGUGCCCCUGUCCCGCCUUUCGGCGAAUAAUUCUUCUCGCUUCAGGCCGGCGGGGGAAGAGGGGUCUGGUGAGCUCUCAACCGGCAACCUUGAGCAACAAACCGCGCACAGCCCCCGGCACGAGCGGGGGAAGCCCCAAGGCCGGGACGGGGGGCGCGGCGUCGGCGGCAGCGGUGGGUGGGGGCGGCGCCGCCCCCACCAUAAGCAAGCCGGCGGCCCCGGGAGCAGGUGCGCCCGGCGACCUAGUCGUGUACAUUUCUCUCUUUUUCAGCGUCUAACACUCCUUCCGUGUUUCCUUAUCCAGGACCCGGCAACGAGCGAUGGCGGCCGCUAAGAGGCGACCGACGCAGGGGGAGGAGACACUGCGCAAGGUACGCCACACCCGCCGCAGUAUUCCUCCCUGUUGCUUUUUCUUGUCUUGCGCUUCAUUUCUUCCUAACAAUCCCCUCCGCAGCCCCUCCUGCCGCUGCAACUGCGGGAGCGGGGGCCGUAGAACUCACCCCAGGGGGUACUGCGGCCGAUGCGGAGCCUCCCCUGAGGUGACGGUGGAGCAACCCCCCACCGGACAGAGCGGGGACGGAGGGGACUCUCCCGGCGACCAACCCUCCGACCCGGUGUUAACCAGGGAGGCAGCGGACACCGGGUCCGAGACCCGCGAUCUCGCCGAUACGGGGGCCCGCCGCGAGCGACCGCCCCGCCCCCAGACGAGCUCGCGGCCGGUGGGAGCGGAAGGACACGGUCGCCUUCGCCGGCACCCGAGGAGGUGGUGCGGUCACAGAUGGUGGCCGCAGGUGCCUCCUCGAGUUCCGGGGUGAUCGAGGGCACAGGUUGCGGUCCGCUGAACUGGGACCCCAGCAUCUUUGACCAGGGGCACGAGAUCAUAGAGGGCAUCAAGCGACAGUAGCUGGGAUUCGUCAGCUGCUUCAACAGGGUGCGCCUACAGCUCUCGGCAGCCCAAGGUCGGGCUGGAUGGUGCGCGGGAGGAGGUUGAGGAGCGUCGGCAGAAGUUGGCGCUCCUCCAAGAGGAGAUCCGGGUGGUGCAGCAAGCCUGGGCCGAGGCUUCCGAGCCUUCGGUCCCGGAAGCGCCCAUCCAGCGCCAGCUACAGGAGUUGCGCGCAGAGGACCAGCAGGUGCUCGAAUUGCUGGAGGCGGCGCGUCUUCGCGUCGAGGGGGAGCACCAGGAAGCACUAGGGGGCUUCCAGGAGCGCCUCGAUGAGAAGAGCAGGCUCAUCUCAAGCUACUCCUCUUAGAUCCAGCAGUUGCGCCAGCAACUCGGGUAGCAGGCCACCGCAGCCCAGGCUGCGGCGACACGAGCCACGUCCCGGGAGAAGGAGUUGCAGGCACAGCUCCAAACCCGGGAACGCGAGUUCCAGGAGCAGCUCAAGGCCGCGAUCGACGCCAACGCAGCCCUCAAGGGCGAGUUGGACGUCGCGAGGAACGAUCUCCGACAGCUCGACGAGGAAACCUUGGAGAAGGCAUUGAAGAUCUCCAAGCUGAAGGAUGAGCUCCGGAGCUAGAAAGAGGAGACCGAGCUCGCCCGCCCCAACCACGCGAAGCUUGGGAGCCAGCGCCAAGAAAGCACGGCCCUGCUCCGCAGGUGGGCGGAGGUGGGGAACGAGUCGCUGGCAAAGCUGCGGGGUACCCUUGGCAGCCAUCGACGGCAAUGACGUCAGCACCCUCAUCCCCUUCUUCGCGGAGUUCGUGGGAAGGCUGACGGCCGUGGAGGACCGCAUCCGCAGCUUCAGGGACCGGCAAGUGAGCGUUGCCGCGUCUCAGGUUGCCGGCGCCAUCCUGCCGAGUUUCCACCAGGCCUACCUAGAGUUCCCCUUCGAGACCAACUUCAACGACUGGUCGCCGGAGGAGAACAAGGAGGAGCACGCCAACUCCAUAAACCGCUUCGUCGACGAGAUGGUUGCGCGGAUGACGGGGCAGGUUGGUGCCGGUGACGAUGAGGAGGAGGCCGCCGCCGAGGAGACACCCGCCGCCGAGUCCGCCGCCCCGGAAGCACCCCCCGUGUAGUCAUUCCUUGUCCUUUUCAUUUUUCCCGUUUUUGCUUAUACCCCUGUAACUGGCGCGAGGCACCUUACCUUGUGUUAGCUCUUUGUCACUUUAAAUGUUUAUCGUAAAUUCGUUUGUUUGAAUUUUACUUUAUCGAAUGUCAAUUUUACUUGCUUUUCCGCCUAUGACUAGCUUGCUGGGGAGGGGCUCUAUUUUUCCCGUGCUCUAACCUUGUGUAUCCGGGGACUCGACAACUGCGUGCCUGGCCAGACUAGAGACCCGGGACGAACCCGCGGUGCAAACCUAGGGCCAAACAGCAGCGGCUAGCCACUCCACCUGCGGGUUAACUACCCUAGCGCGCACGCCUCCGGGAUGGACCCGCGAGCCACGUGUGGGGGCAUCCUCCCCCCGCAAGCGUCCUUCCUACACUCCGGCUACACGGGGACUGAGCUUACCUCGGCAAACCAGUGUGACUAAAGGAAGAACUAAGGACUCGAAACAAAGUACUUAGCUUUCCGUUCUCUUUGCUCCUAGAGCACCUCGUUGAGAGCCGUGGCAAGGACGCGGUGGCCGUGCACCCUCCAGUGGCACACGCGGAGGCAUGCACCGCCACCGCGUCUUUGCGACGCCUCUUGUCUCUUGCAUUGCCAUUUCUGGUGUCCUUCCAUAAGAGAUGUGGCAGGGCCACGAUGGUGGGAACAUCCUCAACGACAAGCAUAGAGGGAUGCACCAUCAUCACCUCUCUGCGACAUUGCUUUCUUUCUUGCCCGUUGCUGGUCUCGCGCUUGCUCCAGUCUUUAAAUAGCCAGAGUGCUGCCCUUGCCGCCACGCGCGUGGAACCGCCGGUUGACGCGUGGAGGCACUGGUCCUGUCUCAGAGUCCUGCAUCAAGCCUUGAAGUAAUUGCCAUAUACGUACAACUUACCCGCAAGACGACGACACCCGUGACUACUCCACGAGCGUCACAGUGCGUGUUCGUUCCCACUUUUAUCCUGCAUGUUAGAUCUUUGCAAUGCCCAGAAUUUUUUUCGAAAUGCACGAAAAAAGACAACACUAAUUGGAUUACCUCCUGCCUCCCAGCCAUCGGGCACAGAAGAGUCGAUCUCAGGCUUGGGUGUGAGCGUCUUUUCUAUUCCAUGGUGCCGUGCUGGCACGCAGCACGUUGUGAACGGGUUCACCAACUGCUGGGCCUCGUUCCGGGGUGACCCAAGAACGUGCUUGGUUUUCGAAGUUCUGGCCCCCUUGUCACAGCCAAGGAUGAAUAGACAAUUCUCCGCAACUAGAGCAGGAGACAGAAGCAUACAUUAAUAGCAAAGCACAAUAUUUACUGAUGCAACACUUAUCUUUAUUCAACUUUGUGCUAGCGGAUUACAAUCGAGCCUUGCCCGGCAACACUAGCUUAAAGAGGCACGCUGCCGCAGCAUCAUCGGUGGGUAAGGCACCACCGUUUAACGGGUAGAAGUUGCGCAGGUGCUCAAUGUUACAAAUAUUGGGCACCGGCAAGCCUUCUUCGGUUUCCAGCCGGACAGCCCCCGGUCUGGUCACCUGCACUACCUGGAAAGGGCCUUCCCAGUUUGGAGUCAACUUGUUCCUGUCCUUCGUUUCUUGUAUCCGGCGCAGGACGAGGUCUCCAACCUCAAGCCCCCGGGGACAGACUCUCCUGUCAUGAUAACGAUGGAGCCCCUGCUGGUAGCCUCUCGCACCGCAGCCCGACAUCGAAUCUCCUCGAUGAAGGUAAGGUCGUCAAUCCUCUGCGCGUGUUGGCUCUUGUCACCGUACGCGCGUACCCGAAGUGACCCAUGCUUGAGCUCGAGGGGCAGCACAGCUUCUGCCCCGUAGACGAGGGCAAACGGAGUUUGGCCCGUCGCCCAACUUGGUGUGGUCCGUAUCGACCACAACACAGCUGGGUCUUCAACCCAGUGUUUCCCGUGGCCCUUGAGCUUGUCAAAGGUUCUCGUCUUGAGCCCCCGCAGUACCUCUGCGUUGGUGCGCUCCACUUGCCCGUUGCUCCUUGGAUGAGCGAAGGAGGCAAAGUGAAUUUUAGUGCCCAUGUCCUCGCAGUAAGCUUGGAACACCGCACUAGUGAAUUGUGUGCCAUUAUCGGUGAUGAUGCCGUUAGGCACACCAAACCGGCACACAAUGCCCUUGAAAAACUUGAUGGCCGCCUGUGCUGUGACAGCUCGGACAAGCUCCACCUCGAUCCACUUCGAGAACUUGUCGAUGGCCACCAGGAGGUACUCGUAGCCACCAACAGCUCUCGGCAACUUCCCGGCGAUAUCCAGCCCCCAGACCGCGAACGGCCACGAGGACGGGAUGACUUGCAGGGCUUGCGCUGGCUGGUUGCUCUUCUUAGCGUGAAACUGGGACGCUUCACAGGUCUUGACUAGUUGCACGGCAUCGGCUAAGACUGUUGGCCAGUAGAAGCCGUGUCGUAAUGCUUUGCCAGCUACCGCCCUGGAGGCCACAUGGUGCGAACAUGUCCCUCGAUGAAUAUCUUCCAGCAGCGUGCGCCCUUCCUCCUGGGGCACGCAGAGGAGCAUAACUCUGUUAGGACGCCUACGGUAGAAAUCCCCAUCUACCAGAGCGUACAUCUUGGCUUGCCAGGCCACUAGCUCCGCGGCAACGUCUUUCUCCGGUAGGGUUCCGUCCCUGAGAUAGCGAACAAUAUCCGCCCCCAGGGUGGCGGUUCCCGGCCUAUGCAUGCCACGAGCUUGGUGGCAUGGUGCCCCAAGGCUGCGGGGUCUCCUUGGGUUGCCGGAGGGGCUUCCCCGGCAACCGUCUUGGGAUCGACAGAGGACUUUAACUUCCUCUGUACGAAUACCCCAGGAGGCACCUUGCUGCAUUUUGCUGGCCACUUGGACAAUUCAUCCGCAACAAAGUUAUCCUUGCGCUUCACGUGCUCAAACCGAAGACCCUUGAACUUGGACUCUGGCUUUCGCACUUCCUCCACGUACGCUGCCAUCUGGGGGUAGUCGUACUCCUUGUUCACUUGGUUUAUCACGAGUUGUGAAUCCCCGCGAACAACCAGGCACAUGAUGUCGAAGGCGAUCGCCGCGCACAGCCCGGCUAGCAGCCCCUCGUACUCUGCUGUGUUGUUGGUGGAGUUGGCGAAGUCGAGUUGUAUCACGAAUUUGAGUUGAUCUCCAGUGGGCGACUCGAUCACCACUCCGGCAUCGGCGCCCUGCAGACAGAAGGUGCCGUCGAAGUACAUGACCCAGUACCCUUCGUCCAAUUUGCCGGGAAGGCUCGCUUCCAGCUUUUCUUCCUCUAUCCCCGUGGACGUCCACUCCGCGACAAAGUCGGCGAGAGUGGCGCUCUUGAUGUUUUUGGUAUUCGCGAAACGCAGCCCGAACUCCCAGCUGCAUUCUCCAUUCGACCACCCUCCCGGUGGCUUCACGGUUGAUGAGGGCUCGCUCCUGGCAGAACCCCAACACCAUCGUGAUGCUGUGCGCCUGAAAGUAAUGGCGCAGCUUCUGUGAAGCGAGAAGGAUCCUCAGCAAAAGCUUCUGGUUGCGCGAUGCCCGGGUACGGUACUCGUAGGUCCAGAAGCUUCUGCUUGGCAUCCUGCUCGCUUCACGGAAGCUGCGCCAUUACUUUCAGGCGCACAGCAUCACGGUGGUGUCGGGGUUCUUCCUAGAGCGGGCCCUCGUCAAUCGUGAAGCCACCGGGAGGGAGGCCGAGUGUAGAAUGGAGCUGGCGGAGUUCGGGCUGCGUUUCGCGAAUACCAAAAGCAUCAACAGCGCCACUCUCGCCGACUUUGACGCGGAGUGGACGUCAACUGUCAUAGAGGAAGAAGAACCGGAAGCAAGCCUUCCCGAAAAGAUGGACGAGAGAUACUGGGUCAUGUACUUUGAUGGCGUCUUCUGCCUUCAGGGCGCCGGUGCCGGUGUGGUGAUCGAGUCGCCCACUGGAGAUCAACUCAAGCUCGUGAUACAACUCGAUUUCGCCAACUCCGCCAACAAAACAUCAGAGUACGAGGGGCUGCUGGCCGGGCUACGUGCAGCAAUCGCCCUCGAAAUCAAGUGCCUGGUUGUUCACGGGGACUCAUAGCUCGUGAUAAACCAGGUGAAACAAGGACUAGGACUGCCCCCAAAUGGCAGCGUACGUGGAAGAGGUGCGAAAACGGGAGUCCAAGUUCAAGGGACUCCGGUUUGAGCAUGUGAAGCGCAAGGAUAACUUUGUUGCGGAUGAACUGUCCAAGUGGGCCGCGGAACGCAGCAAGGUGCCUCCUGGGGUGUUCGUACAGAGGCAGUUAAAGCCCUCUGUCGAUCCCAAGUCGGUUGCCGGGGAAGCCCCUCCGGCAACUCAAGGAGACCGCGCAGCUGCGGGGCACCAUGCCACCAAGCUUAUUGCAUGCACGAGCCGGGAACCGCCACCCUGGGGGGCAGAUAUUAUUCGCUACCUCAGGGACGGGACCCUCCCAGAGGAAGACGUUGCCACAGAGCGAGUGGCCUGGCAAGCUAAAAUGUACGCUUCGGUGGAUGGGGAUCUCUACCAGAGGCGUCCUAAUGGAGUUAUGCUCCUCUACGUGCCCCAGGAAGAAGGGUGCACGCUGCUGGAGGAUAUCCAUCGAGGCACAUGCUCGCACCAUUUGGCCUCCAGGGCGCUAGCUGGGAAAGCAUUCCGGCACGGCUUCUACUAGCCAACAGCAUUAGCCAAUGCCGAAGAACUAGUCAAGACCUGCGAAUCAUGCCAAUUUCACGCCAAGAAGAGCAACCAGCCAGCGCAAACCCUGCAAGUCAUCCCGUCCUCGUGGCAGUUCGAGGUUUGGGGGCGGGACAUCGUCGGGAAGUUGCCGAGAGCAGUUGUGAAGCGAUCGCUCCCAUACAGGGUUCGAUCUCUGUGCUUAUAGUGCUAGUCCCUGGAUCGACUCACUAGAACACACAGUUCAAGAUGUAAUAUCGAGAAACAAAGGUCAAGUAAUUUAUUACAUCAUCUUUAUCCAGAACUUUAGAGUACUUACAACUUUACGUAACCACACGGGUUAGCGUUUAAAAAUAACAUAAAUUGUUCAACAGCGGAAAUCGAAGGAAAAAUCGAGCCAUUUCAACACCACAGAGAGCGCAUGUUGGAAUACAGGCUCGUGACCCAACAACGUAACCUUACUCAUCGUCAGAAUUCCCUGCAACAAUUUAAAGGUUGCAGCCAGUAGGGUCAAUACAUUGAAUGUAUUGGCAAGUUGAAGCGAUCCUCCCCCUUACUAGGGUUAGAUCUCUGUGUUUACUGUGCUAGUCCCUGGAUCGACUCACUAGCACACACAGUUUCAUGAUGAAAUAUACAGAAACAAAGGUCAAGUACUUUAUUACAUCGCAUCAUCGAGAAUUUAAAUAGUACUUACAACCUCGCAUGACCUCUUGGGCCAGCAUAAAACAAAUAUUGUUUCAUCAUCAUAAAACAAUGUUCCAAAACUGCAGCGGAAAAGGGUAGAACAAAAGGGCCUCAACUACUCCAAGGUGAGAGCAUGUUGGAAUGUAAGCACAUGACCCACAACAAAACGACAAACCUCACUCAUCGUCGGAUCCACCUGCAUUGUUAAUUGCAGCCACUACGUGGUCAAUACAUUUGAAUGUAUUGGCAAGUUCACCAGCGUUAUAAAGGACCUACCAUGUACAUGUAUAAUUUGGCUAUGUGGAGUUUGGCUGUUUGCAUAAAAUCUAAUGCAUAAUAAAGUAAUAGGUGAAUGAUCAAAGUGAACUUGCCUUGAUAUUAGUUGGUAUUCAAACACUCUUCGCAAUCACACAGUUCGCUCUCCGAGAAAACUAAACAAUACGAACAAUGCAUACAUAAACACACCAUACAAACAAAAGAAUAUGUAUGCCAUGAUGCAAUGCAAAACAUGUGACAUGAGUGGGUUGGUUUUAUUCGGGUGAUCUACUGGUCCAAAGCAUUAACAAGUAACCUCAAGUAAUUAGGGUUUUAAACAAAUAGUAAAGGUUAGGGUUUAAACCCUAAAAUGAGGUUUUAUUUGCAUCAGUCAGAUAAAUUAAUUCAAAUUUUUUUUACUUCUCUGUCCAUUGGGACAGAGGACAAUAAAACAAUUUUUUGGGCACUGGUUUCAAUUAAAAAGGACUCCUGAAUAAUUAGUUAUGAAUUAAAUGGUAUAAAACCCUAUUCUUUAAUUUGAAUGUGUUUUAAAUACUCAAAUUUUAAAUUGGACAGUGCCAAAAGAUUCUACAUUUCCUAAGGAUUCCAAAAAAGUGUGGAACAUUAAAUUUGGCCAAACAGAUUAAAAGAUAUGAUCAUUUGAAGUUACAGGGGCUUUUCUGCAAAAGUGCCAUUUAAUUUUUCCGGGGGGACUAAAAUUAAAUUUUUGCUUUAUAAAGUAGGUGCCACGUGUCAGCUCCUGAUUGGUUGGUACCGGUUUGAUUAAAAAGAAGAAAUCCGAUCUAAUCUACACCGUUGAUCAAGAUCCAACGGUCGGGAUCUCACCUCCGGGAACUUAGGGUUCCGGCAAGGCUUCCGGCGGCGGCGCGGCACGGGUGGGCGGCGGCGGGCGUUCUCCAGUGAGGCUGGCGGCGUGGGGAGAACACGGGCGUGCGCGGCUCGUCGAGGCACUGGUGGCGGUGGCGAGGCUCGGGCGGGACGGAAACGGCGCCUAGGACGACUUGACCGUGACGGCGGGCGGCGGAGCUCCGGCGAGCUUCGGGUGCGGGUCGUCUCGGCGCUGCAGUGGACCAAAAAUGACGGGAUUCGCGUCAGAAGAUGCGCGAGAGCGAGAGGGAGGAGAUAGGGUAGGUGGCGGUGGCUCUCGACCUUUAGGUUGCCGGUGACGAGCUCGAGAAAUUGCAGCGGCGUGGUCGUGCGAUUGACUGGGGAAGCAAGGGGGAAGAAGAGAGGAGGUCGCGGGGCUUAAAUGGACGUGCUCGGGGCUGCAAAAGAAGGACGGGAUGAGGAGAUUGCGGCGGCGGCGAAAACGGCAAGCUUCCUUACGAGGAAGACGACCCUGACAGGCAGGCCCGCGCGCGCGCGGACGCGCGCGUGGACCGGGCCGGUUGGUUCGGCUUGGGCGCGCGGAACUGGGCCGGUUCGGCCCAUUUUGGCCGGGCCGGUUCGGUUUUCUCCCUUUUUUUUUCUUUUAGCCUUUUCUUUUUCUCCUUUUCUCAAUUCUUUGAUAUCUUUUGAUUUUGAACUCCAAGUUGGUCCAAAUAAAUUCCAUAAAAUUUGUAAAAUCAUGUUUUAUCUUGAUUCAACUUUUGGGAGUAAUUUCCCCUCAAAAUAAAAUAUAUAAAAAUACAUUUUCCCAAUAAAUGCCUUUAGGGUUAUAUAACUAUUUAAAUAAAAUAGUUUUUCAACUCCAAAAAUUAUCCUAAAAAUAUGCGAUAGCAUAUUUAUGCAAUAAACCCCUUUUAUACAUAAACCCUAUUGGUUUGAAAAUCCAAAGCUUAAAUGGGUGAAAAACCCUAGGGUUUAAUUUGAAAUAAAAACCUUUAAAGCCUUUUUGAGAUUCAAAUGUGAAUUCAAACAUGCAAUUGUGGCAUGAUGCUUAUGGAUGCAAUGCAUAUGUAAAAGUUUGAAAUUUUGGGAUGUUACACAAGUUCACAGGAGAUUAUAACAGAUCCUAUCAAAUAUAUGCAAUAUUGGCUCGGUGGAGUUUAGGCUUUUUGGCAUGGAAGCAAUAACAUAAUUUUAUCCUACUACAAUUGAAUUUUACAGUAAGAUAAAUCUAUUGGACAUCGGGUAGACACACCGAUGCUCCUAUUAAAAUUAAGGACAUUGAGUAGACACAUCAAUGCUCCUAACCCAAGUUUAAUCCAUUCAUUUUAUUCAGAAGUUUGAAUGAGUGAGACCUUACUUAGUUUCCAUAUCUAGCUGCUCAUAAAUCGUCCAUACCUGGGGACACGGCUAAGUACUUAGUUUUGACACUCUCGAAAGGUUGUACACAUUCCCCACAAGAAACCGAUGGGUUAAUCCCUUGUUGUCCUCAGGGUAGAGUAGCAACGGCAUCGAUUACGAGAUUUUCAGAAGUAAUUCCCUAGACCACGAGAGAAUCACACUCCACCUACACUGCUACAUCAUUACAAUUCUUCGGGUCUAGGUUCAUACAACAUACUGUAUUCUCGCCAGAGCCCAUAUAGCAUGUGGUUGUACUGGAAGCAAUUAAAUAGGAACCCAAUUCAGCCUCUGGUUACCCCGGGUGGCAUUCCACAUUUGCGACACAGGCGCUCCCCGAAUCCACGGGAGAGACGACCAUGGACGCUCCCGAAUCCACGGAGAGACGACUCAGCGGGCCCCAUAGAAAUGGACCUGACGUCGUGUACAACCAUAGUACUCAAAGCCGCCCACCCGGGAUGGUUCAUUAGUAGUUGUUUUUAGCCAUACUUCAAAAUAUCAUUUUACAUCAACAAUAUUUCUAGAAUGAAAGUGGUUCACUCCCACGCAUUUUUACAUAGCACGGCUAAGCGUAACUACUAACGAUGGCUAUUGGUGGGGAUAUGACGGCGAGGAAAAUCUAUUCUACUAGGACAAUAUAGCUAGCAUAAAUAUAUAAUUUAAUCCUAAUGCAAAUCUGCAAACAACGUUAAUACAAGUGUGAUGGUAGGUGAUUCAAGAUCAAGAUGAACUUGCCUUGUCCAAAGUUGUUGCUGUUCUCACACUCUUCGCAAAGACAGGGUUCGCACUUCGAAAAAUCCAACAAUCAAACGUAUAGCAAAAAUAAACAACCAUACAAGACAUACAAGCAAUCAUAAAGUAUGCCAUGAUGCCAUGCACAUGAUGCAAUCCUAAAUUUGGUUUCUGUCAGAAAUAAUUUGUUUAGUGAUUUAAAUCUAUGUGAUGAAUUGUUAGGAUCAUGUUCAUGGUGUGGAAAAAGGAAAUCAUUAAACUAAGCCAGUUUAAUCCAUUUUAAGCUAGAUUAUUCUAACUUUGGUGAUACAUUCAUUUUUAUACAAAAACUAUUUUUCUUCUGGUUCCACUUGGUAGAGGGUGCCCCUAAGAAAUUUUAAGAUUGGAUAAAUCGUCCAAAAUAGUAUUAAAUCAAUUUUUAAGUGAUAACGUUCAUAGUUAAGCAUUCUGUCACUUGGUCCUGUUUCAGUUGUCCAAAACUGAAAACCAAUCGUGCCAAAAGAUUCUACAUGCCAUGAGGAUUCCAAAAAGGUGUUCAUCCAAUUUGGCCAAACGGUUCAAAAGUUAUGAGUGUUUGAAGUUCCAGUGGUUUUUCUGCAAUUUUACCAUUUAUUUCGCCCGGGAAUUUUUUUGCAUUAUUGUUUAUAUGACACGUGGCGCUCUGUGGUUCGUCCAUAUCGGUUCGGGUAAUAUUAAAAUGUAGCCAUUGGAUUUCCUUUAAAGGGGAAUCGAUGGAUGAGAUCGAAGGAUACCCCUUCGAUUUAAUCUUUCUAAUCUCGGCCGUCGGCCGAGAUCUAACGGCUGGGGGAGCUCCGAGCUCACCUUCGGCGUGGCUAGGUCUCUGGCAAGGUGACCAGCAGCGGUGGCGUCACGACGGCGGUGCGCGGGCGUUGUGGGCGGCCUUCGGCCGUCAGGGAUGACUCGGGGCGGCGCGACGUUGCGGAGUCGGUGACGCGGUCGGCGCGUGGAGACGAAGACGACGACGACGCCUAGGACAACAACGAGUGGCGGCGGUGCCAGGGGAGCUCCGGCGAGCUCGGGUGGGCGGCUCGGGGGCUACAGUGCACCAAACAAUAAACGGCUCGCGUCAAAAUGUGCGCAAGGAAGAGAGGAAGAAGAAAUUGAAGGCUUUGGGCUCUAAAGCUCACGAGGUGACCACGGCGAGCGAGAAACGGCAGACGGCCGAAGCAAUUCCGGCGAGAAAUUCUCCGGCAUGGUCGUGAGUAGAGUGAGGGGGGGGGGUGUGGGGGAAAAGUGAGAGGGGGAGGGGCUCUUUAUAGUGAUGUGGGAGAUUCCCGGACUGAGGUUGAAGAUGACCUGUCAGGUGGGUCCCACCUGUCAGUGUCCGUUGGACCAAGGGCGGCGUUAGCUGGGCUGGUUGGGUUGCUCGGCAUGUCCACGGGCGAGGGGCGGGGCCGGUUCGUGGCGCGCUCGCGCGGGCGGGCGCGACGGGGCCAGUUCGGCCCAUUUGGCCGGGCCGGUCCGUCUUUCUUUUUUUUUGUUCUUUUUCUUUUCUCCUUUUCUUUUUCUGUUUUUCCUUUAUAUCUUUUGAUUUUGAACUCCAAAUGACCUCAAAUAAAUUCCAGAAAAUUUGUAAAAUCAUAUCCUCAAAUGUCAUAGCAUCUGGGACAUGAUUUCCCCCAAAAGUAAAUUAUUAAAAAUAGAUCUGCUUAUAUAUUUGCGUCUAGUGCAAUAUUAUAUAAAAGUAAAAUAGUUUUUUUAACUCCAAAUUAAAUUCCAAAAAAAAUAUUAUGGGGUAGCUCAUCUUAUUGCGUUAAACCCCUUUCUAUUGUUUUCAACCCCAUGGGUUGAUAUAUUCCAAAAAGAUGCAAAGUAAAAGUUUAAAAAGGGUAAAAGGCUUAAAAAAGGUUUUAAGAUUUAAAUCUUUGGUUGAAAGGUGCUCAAAAGGCAUAAAUGGUAUGAUGCUCAUAAGUGCAAAUGUAUGAUGCAAAGUUCAGGAAAAUUGGGAUGUCACAGACCUAACCCCCUUAAGCUGAAUCUCAUCCCCGAGAUUCUGGUUGGCUAGCAAAGAGGUGUGGGUGGUCUUCUCGAAGGCCGUCUUCGCGUUCCCAGGUGGCUUCCUCCUCGGUGUGAUGAUCCCAUUGCACCUUGCAGAACUUGAUAGUUUUGGAGCGGGUAUGCCUUUCUGCGGUAUCCGAAAUCCGGAUGGGUUUUUCCUCAUGGGUGAGGUCACUCUGCAAUGGACCUCCUCGAGCAGAACAGUAUCUCUCAACGGGGUGUCGGCCAUGUCGGGGUGACAUUUCUUCAGUUGCGAUACGUGGAACACAUUAUGGACGCUUUCCAAAGUUUCUGGUUGGUCCAACUUAUACUUCUCCCUGGCGUGAUAAGACUCGGUACGGUCCAAUGAAUCGUGGAGCUAAUUUUCCUUUGAUUCCGAACCUCUUCACUCCGCGUAUCGGUGAAACUCUGAGAUAGCGCUAUCACCAACCUGCGUCGAUGCCAGGGCGGACAUCCCGGACGGGAGAUGUUGGAUCUACGGCGGUCUCGGUCUCUCUCGUGGCCUGGGUUGAAGGCUCGGCACGCGGAGAUGAGGCUGCCGGAUCUCGGACGCAAUGCACGUCGGAGACUGCGUAGCUGUCAGAGCCUCCCUGCAGGAAUGAAAGUUUAUUACCUUCAUGACGGUUAAGAAAAAUACUGACAUCAGGGAUCGAAGUGCUGUAAAUCUUACCCAACGACCAUGGGCUUCGGCUUCGGUUGCCGCCCUGCGGUUUUCUUCCGCUUCAUGGUCCUCGGAAGAUCGCUCUCGGCGAUGCGCUUCUCGCGGGCUGGCACCGCAGCGGCAGCCGGACCCGAUGCCACAGCAGCGGCAGGAUCAUUCGAAUCAGCUGUUCCUGGAUUAAUGCAGGCAUGAGCAUUUUAGUAAUAAGUGUUCUAAUAUCCAUGAGAAGAUUUCGGGAGUCAUUACCUCCGGCAUGACGGGGGCCGGCAUGAGCGAUUGGCAUAUGAUCCUCCAAGUCCAGGUCUUCCUGGUCGGGGGUCAAGCGCUCGCUCCCGAAGCGCUUAUCCGGCGAAUGCCCAUCCUCAUUGCGCUGAAGGGUGAACCUCUGUACAAAGGUAUAAGGUUGCGCCGGAAUAAGUCAUUGUCAGAUGGAAGCGGGCAUAACCACCAUGUCGGAUAAAAACGGAAGGCAUACACAAAUAAAGACUUACCAGGCGCGGCCGGUGCUUCUGGUUGAAAGGGACCAUGCCCCAAACCCAGUGCUCGGACAAGUUCGUCUUGGCGAUCGCCGUAACACAGCGCCGGACUUCGAGCUUGUCUAGCCGGACAGUUGAAACCCGGUUCGGGUCGAACUGGCCGCUAUAGAAUCAAUAGGUCGUUGGCCGUCAUGCCGUUCUCCUUGAGGUCGAUGAUGCCGGCAUGAACCUCGUUGAUCUCGGGAAGAGAGUCUUUGGGGUCGUGCUUCCAGUUCUUCUUUUCUUUCGGUGGGCCCACUAUGAAUCUCGGCUGAUUGAUCUUGUCGGUAUCGGAGUCAGAGGAGUUCUUGACAUAGAAGAAGGUCUUGAGCCAUUUCUUGCAGGACUCAAGACCUUGGAUCCAAGGAAAGAUCAAACCUCGGCAGGGUAUGACGGCGGCGGCGCCGCACUGAGUCAUGGGCUUAGCGGCGCCGGGAUUGUCUUUGUCGGGGAGGACUUGCGGCCGGAACAUAAAGUACUUGGCCCACAAGUCGAUAGAAGGCCAGAGGCCAAGAUAAGUCUCGCAGCAGGUGACGAAUGCCGACAGAGUGAAUCCGCGUUCUGCCUAGUGAAGUCGUUAGCCGGGAGAGCGAAUCCGCGUUCGAAAUGAGCAAGGAAGAUGACACACUCACCAGGUUCGGGUGUUGGCACAACCUCGUCAUCGGGGAUCUGGCACUCCACUUCCUCCGGGAUCCGCCGGGUCCGUCGAAGCCAGUCGAUAUCCUCCGGCGAUACAUCGGAGCCUUCCCAUCCGACGCGCUCUGAGCCCGUCUCCUCCUCGACGUGCUGAUCGGCGGGGUCGACGGCGGAGGCAUCACGAGAAGAAGACGCCAUUGCUCGAAACCAGAUCUAGGUUUGGGGGUCCGGCAAGGAGAUGGCGGCGCAAGAUGCGAGCGAGCAGGGAAACAACGGCGGAGGGCUAGGCAAAUGCGUGCAAGGGUGCGACGGCAAGCUUGGCUACCAGAAGCUAGGAGGCACGACGGCAGAGGAGCUCUGAGUUCGUAGCAAUGGUGAGGCGUGUGAGAGUAGAGGAGAGCAAAGGCGUCGGUGGAAAGUGAAGGGUUUUCACCCCGCCCCCUUCCCCUUAUUUAUAACCGCGGCGCACUAAAGGGGUGCGGAUCUUCUACGCCCACGAUCUCCGUGGCCAACGCUAAGGCCACGCACGAUCAUGGGGACAAUCAAUCCCAUUAACAGUGCACACACGCGGUUACUGCACGACGAGGCGCAGUAAAUCCCGCCGAAUCCGGGGAGAUGAGGAUCCGCGUGGGAACUGAAAUUCCCCCUCUUAAUGGCCUGCUGGUUUUCCUGUCCGAUGGGACGACACGCUCGCCUCAAAGGGCGCGCCGGCAGUACUUCAGGUCUUAUCUUCCCGUUAUUUAUGUAGAGCGCAGAAUGUGAGUGACAUGUGGCGCUAAUGUCGGCAGAAACGAGUUUUUUACUGCCGGCCACGAGGAAGAAAGGAAUCUCGGCUCAGGGCUGAAUAAGGACACCGACUCAAUAUGUCAGAGUUACCCGAUCUCGGCUAAGAAAACUCGGGAUUGUCUCGGCAUCUUUCUUGGCUCAGCCCUAGUAGGCUUUGGUGGCUUGAGUUGCGGGAAACUGUCGUGGCCCGGCAUCUUUUCCUGCCUGACCACGACAGCUUUGGAGACUAUUGUCGGGGGGAUGACCCCGAGUAGGGUCAUGACGACACAUCUUAGCCGAGAUGACACAGGCAAAGCCGGCACAAGAAAAUAUGGCGGCAUGUCUAUCUUGUCUUAUGUGAUCGCAGGAUAAGCACAAGCAGUCCGAUCUCGGCCAGCACCGAGACGCGUCAACGGUCAUAUCCUUAUCACAUGGUGCAAAGUAAAGCAACGCCCUCUUUAUCACAGGAAAGCAGUCAUUGCUCACGUUGCGGUGCCAGGCGCCGGCACAAAGAAGCACCGAAGAAGGACCGAUGACGGAAGCCGGUGCAUGGCUACAGUGCGCGCCGCCUGACGCCUGGAAAAGUAAAGCUGUUUUGUCCCCUGCCGUGUCACCCGGAGGGAACCGAGGAGCGUGCCCGGCGGGACCCGUAGAAGAUAAGGUUAGCCUUUGGUCCACAUGUCAGUGUGACAUUGGCGGCCCAUAAAUAGGAGCACUACCCCUCCCAGGAGAGGGGUCCUUCAGUUAGACAUCUAGGGUUUUCCCCUUCUUCUUCUUCUUCUUCCUCAAGAAAACUACUCAAGGAGCACCAUUGUAGAUCUCGGUAUCUCGGCAAAUACCACAAAGCAGGAGUAGGAGUUUUACAUCAACAAGAGGGCUCCGAACCUGGGUAAACCGUGUGCGUGUUCUUGUGUUGUGCGUGGUUCUCAUCACGUCCUCCCUCCUCCGGUUCCUCCUUCGUCCAUCGGCCCCAACAUAAGCCAUCUUAUGGCAUCUGCCGUGACACCACCACGACAAUGAUCCUUUGAGUCAGUCUCCCCCUGCUGGAGAGGAAGAACCGGCUGACGAGUCCUCGGAGUCGCCUGACUAGGUAAGCGACUCCGAGGCUAAAGAAGUUGGCCCAAAGACGAGAAGGAAACGCAGCAGGGAGUCGAAGGUCCAACUGCUGCAACCUCGUCUCCUCCCCCCUCAGCUAAGAAGACCAAGACAGGUGGGCCAGCGCCUGUCCGACUAUUUGGUCUUCUUGGCCGAGUCACCCAGACCAGGUAUGUGGUCUUUCAGGUGGCAGUUUUAAAUAAUACUGUCUGGUUUUAGAACUCGAAAAGUUCUUUUGCCAGUUCCGUGGUCUCGGGUGACCAACCAACGACCCAGGCUAUUGAGCUGGUAGGGUCGGACCCAAAGGCUUCGGGUCCCUCAACCCUUAUCGAGACGGUUGAGCCUCAGGUAGCAAUGCCUGAGGUGCCUUCUCCAGCGAGUGGGGAAAAUCAACUCCAAGAGUUGCCCCACUCAAAGACUCGCUUGGAGAGCAGCGGAGCCGAAAGGGCUCCUUCUAAGACCUCAGCUUCAGCUUGCCAUGUAAUUUACUUCUUGUUAAAUUUUUGUUUUUUGUUCUCCCGGUGGGAGUAUGAGUCAGAUGCUGAUGCCAACAUGCUCGCCGCCGAUCGUCCGCUCCAUAACGGAGUUUGUUGAUCAAUUUGAGGAGGUAGUGGCUGAGCGCGAUCAGUUCCGUCGAUAAUUGGAGCAAAGCCAACAAGAGCUGAGAUCCGCUUGAGGUAAUACCUCUGACUCAAUCUUUCUUUGAGUCGAAAAAUGACCAUAUCUUAUUGUUUUCCAUGUAGAUCUCCUUUCUCAGGCUAACUCCCUCAAGGAUGCCGCCGAGCUUCAGUCCAAGAAUUUGGAAAAGAAGCUUGCUGAUCUGGCCAGGGAGUCGACAGGGAAGGUAGAGGCUGAAAAACUCCUUGCCCAAGAAGCUUCGGACGCCAUUCUCGCCAAGGAGGCCAAGAAGUAGAAAACGCGAGCCGUCCGAUUCAGCGGAAUCGUCGGCCCCCUUGCAGGUAAAAGUUGCUUCCGUUCGUUUGAAUGCCUUGUGAAUGCUUUGGCUCGUUUGCAGGCCUGCUUUCCUUGUCUAGUCUUUUGACCACGAGUGAGAAUUCACUCGAGAAGGUGAUUGACGCCGUGGCAAGCGUCAGCUCAGAGGCGGCGGCUGGUCUCCAUCAAGCUUUCGGAGUACUCACCGGUUUGUUUGGGAAAAUGUUCCCUGAUGAGCCGGUGUCGGAGUCGCUAGGGAAACUCAUACAGUUUUUCAGUGCUGAAUCGGAUCCCCUCGACGAGUUCAGCCGGAUCCAGACCAACUCUGGUGCUGAGUCGACGUUCGUGUUAGCAUAGCGCACGGCGUCAGCGAGGACGCGGUGCAGAAGGUGGCUUUCAGUCCUCCGUUGCUACCUAGCGGGGAGGAGAUGGCCCUGACGCCUUACUUCCAACUCGGUGAAGAACUGGUGACCCAGCUGUCAGCGCAGCUGGGUAGUAUGGCCACCGAAGGGGGAGCGGUUCCAUGGUCGUCGACUCCUGCACUGAGUCAAGAGGUGGGCCAAGCUGAAGUUUAGACUUCUUAGGCUUUUUCCUUUUCUCUUUGUAAUUUUGUCUCUUUGUUUUUGUACGGUCCUUGCUCGAGUUUGAGCGUUAUUAAUAAAGAAAUGCCUUUAUUCCAUUGUACUGAUAUGAGUCGGACACCUUGCACCUAGUUAGGCUUGAUGUCUUUGAAUCCUUUUUGGGACUAAAGGGAAUUUCUCUUCUGCAGAGGCAGAAAGAGUCCACGGUUCCCGUAGUUGAAGUAGACGCCGAGAAGUUCGUGACUCCCGAGUCGAACAUCGUGGGUGCUGAAAUCUCGGCUGAAGUGAACACUCCUGAAACUUCGAAAACCAUGGAGUUGACGACUCCUACGGGGGUUCCCUCCUUGGACAGGACCCGAGGUGAACUGGAGUUCCUUCGACGGUGUCUUCAAGCAGCCGAAGCCCAAGCCAAGGACUCGAUGUUGCAAAGUCGAAGAACCAUGGGCGAGUUGCAGAUCGCCAAGACCAAUCUGAAGGCGGCUGCUGUCCGCGAAGAAUUUAUCUUCGAAGAACUUUGCAGGCUGAGUUCUCAACUUCAAUGUGAGUCGCCACAUCCUUUUUGCUUGAUUUCUACUUUUGUUUGUGUUUAUUCAAAGGCAUGAAUUGUUUGCAGAGGUGCAAACCUGAUACGGGUGCGGGUGGCCCGAUCUUUCGAUGAGAUUGAUAACCCUCGAUUUGGGUAGGAGGUGACGUUGACGAUCCGACUACGGCCUAGGAGGCAGCGCCUUAGCAAUCGAUACACCAACUCCAGAGGGUUAUUGAUCACGCGGGGGCACGAUCAACCUGACCACGAAGGUCUUUGUUCCUGCAAGCAAUCGAAGAACAAGCAAGAACAAGAUAAAUAGCGGAUGCAAUCUAAAAUUGCGAGUAUACUAUAUCAAACCAACGUCUCAACGAGACGAUAAGUUGGAGUCUUGACGACGGUAAAACAGGUGGUCUAACCGACACACGCGAUUACACGAAAGUAGCAAAGAUGGCUAAACUUUAUCUAAUCAAAACCCAACGCUCCUUAGGGGGGCUCAUGGGGUAUAUAAAGGAGGAGGGAGAGAUAUUUUCGUCCACCUUGAAUAAGGAGUCCGAAAUCCAACUCUAUCUCUAACUUUCCUAACAAACUACAACUCUUUAGGAAACAGAAAAACAGAUCCGUCAGCUUGUUUUGUCCGCCACGGUCAGCACGAGUCGAAUCUCUUGAUGGGGCCAGAUCCUUGGAAAGGUCUUGUAAUUAUCUUUCCAACAAGUACUUGUUUGCUUUAUUUGGACUCCGGAUGCGGCCUGGGUGAUUAAAACAAAUUCGGGUCUCCUGACAGCUCGGACCCGAAUCAGAUUCAAAUUUAAUUCGUGAUAUCUUUCUCUAGCAAGCUCCGAAUCAUGUGCCGUUUGAUUUGUUGGAAAGUAGACUUGAUAGGCUUCACUUUGAAUCUCCCUUUGCAGGCUAUAACACUUCAUCUUCACUUUGGACUUGUAAAGUUCAAUAAGAUGCCUACAUAAUAAGAUUACACAAGAUAGUAGCUCCGCCUCUUUGCAAGUAACAUAUUGAAAACAUUUUGUAAUUGAAUUCACCUGAUUAUAAUUAUUAGAGACACCAACAAUUAGGGUUCUAAUUGUCGUAUCCAUGGUUAGCAUGUCCAUAUCAAAACCGACCCGCGAGCCGAGCAAGAUCGGGUGAACAGUGCUUUGAAUGCUCGUGAGACGAUCAAUCGUUCAUCGUUCUGGUCUGACCGAGCGAGGGGUCAUGACUUGAUGCUGCUGCGUGACCGCAUAGAUCAGAACAAGACCUUUGAUUUGCAUCUGGAGACUCUGAAAGAAAUUCAUCAGGCAUUCUGGACCUUGGAGGAGGUUCCUCAAGAGCUUGGUAAGCUGACCCGAAGACUCGGGCAAAAUAGCGUCUUCCGAGAAUUGUUGUACCGUCGGCUGGUGAGGGGAGCGAAGAUAGCCCUGGCGUUCGUGCGGAUCCAGCAUCCUAGGCUUGACCUGAGACGAAUCUCUGAACUUCCUAUCGAACCUGACGAGGAGAUCGACAUGCGACCGCACUUCCAGGCCGUGAACGCACAGGCUGCGAAGAUUAUUGGCUAGCGGUACUGGAAUGAGGAAGUUCUUAUAGCUCAACAGCAGUAACAACGUUGAUUGCUGAGCCCACCGUACAUAGCAGUAGAAUAGAUUCUACCGGGUGCGUGACCAGCGCUCCCGGUGGGAUUAGCCCUCGAGCGUGGUGACGACUGUUUGCAAUGGUGACCGGACUCAAGUUAUGUACUCAAAGACUUGCUUAAAACGUGGGUUGUUCUGUUCUGUAGAAAGAACUUCGUGUAACUAGAACUACAUCUGAAUGUAAAUUUGAACCAGGAGACGCAAGUAAUAUCUACCGGGUGCGCGACUAGCGCUCCCGGUGGGAGUAGCCCUCGGGUCUGGGGUCGACUAAUAGUAGUCGAGCGUGGACCCAGGUGCGUUAUUCCUUGAGUAUACCUCCAUUUACUUGCUUAAAAAGGCCGUGACCUCAAGGUAAGUUUUAUUAGAUAGGCGUUGCCGCCGUGUGUUUUGUAGACGAGGUCUCCACUUAACUGGACGCAGCAUCCGAGUGUCGGAUGCGCCCAAGAUAGGGUUUAGAAUCGAUUGGACGCAGCCCCCGAGUAUCGGGUGCGUCCAAGGCAAGCAUGAGAGUCGAUUGGACGCAGGCCCCGAGUGUCGGGUGCGUCCAAGACAAGCUUUAUUAAGUACCGAAGUACACGAUUGGAAUCGUAACAAUUGUAGUCUUACAGAAAUAAGGAUGCUAAAAACGUUUUAAGAAAAAGUGGAAAAAAAACGAUGGAAAAACUUAGGCGUAAAAUCGUCGCAGUUGUCUGACGUUCCAAGGCCUGCUGUAGGUGACGCCACUCUUCAUGUCUUUGAUAUAGUAAGCACCUGCCGGAAUCACCUUGGUGACCACGUAGGGUCCCUCUGUGGCGACCCAGACCCAUAAGGAUCCGGAAUCUCUAUGUAUUUUGUACUAGUCCUGUCGUACCAAUGGCCCACGGGCUCCCACUGAUAUGGGACGCGUGGGUCGCAAGUGACGAAGCCCCACCAGGUUGGCCUCCCGGGAAGGAUAAGCCCGGGGAGCCCGCCCCAAAAAGACGGUUAUUGACGAACGCAAAGCCAAGAGUUGGAACAGGAGAGGUGCCCGCUUCGGUGGGUAUCCGGGAACUCUGGUCCCGGGAAGAGGAAGGCACGCUGCCCCGGCAACGAGCUGGGUGCGCUUGCCGGGAAGGGGCUCCCUGCAACCCACGCUUGGGCAUGCAGGUGGGACCCGUGGAACAGUGAAGACAGGACGAGACAGCGGACGCAGUGCAUUUAAUGCACCGACAGGAGUCACAUCGACAGGGCUAGUCUUGCUCAGCAAGAGUAGAGAGGCUACCCUAUAAGUCCAUUUUAUUUACCGCGUACAGUGGCCUGGGCGCUGCAUGGCCCCCAGCGUGGAUCAACAGCAGAGUAAGUUUGGUGGCGAUGACACGCAUAUAGCUAACGUGUCGCGCUGCAUGCAUCAGCACCUGUAGUAUCUCCUUGUCUAUAAAAGGAGGACCAAUGCCACCGGUCAAAGGGUUCGAACCCUAGUCAGUAACAAGUAGUAUUGCAACCACUUGUAGCAGAAUCCCUUAGAAGGACAAGUAGCCUCCCCGAGAACCCCCGGGCAGUCUGUAAGAGCACACUAAUUCGUGAAUACAACUAAAAGCAGGACGUAGAGUGUUACACCUACGGGUGGCCGGAACCUGGGUAAAUCCGAUUGUCCACACUUCGUGUUUUUCGUCACGCCGGCGAUCGCCGGAGCGCUCGCCUCGCCCCUCACCGACCAACAAGGGUGUGUCCAACAUCCCCGGUGUCGGAGACCCGUGCUUCGACAUCUGGCGCGCCAGGUAGGGGGGCGUGCAGAAAACUUCGGGUGAUUGUCGGUGUCAUCGGCUUCUUCACCAGCGACAUCGCCUACAUCAGCACGCCAUGCCGCCCUAGAAGGCAGACGAGCCCCGGGUCGACUUGCACGACACGCUGGCCAUGCGCACUUGAUCCCACGACGUGUGCGUCGCAAGUUCAAGGGGACUAGGGAUCUUGUCGUACCAGUGGCCCACGAGGUCCCACUGCUACGGGACGCGUGGGUCGCCAGUGACGAAGCCCUGUCAGGAAGGCCUCCUGGGAAGCGAUGAGUCCGGGAAGCUUGCCUCAAGGAGACGGCCCUUGGUGAAGGUGAAGCUAAGGGCCCGCAUAUAAGAAGCCCCGGGAACCCCGGUCCCGGGACGCUGAAGAAACGCCUCCCGGCAGCUAGCCGAGCGCUCAAGCCGGAAAGGGGCACCCCAGCAACCCACGCUCGGGCAUGCAGGCGGGGCCCGUGGAACACUGAAGACAGGACAAGAUGGUGGGCAUAGUGCAUUUAAUGCACCGACAGGAGUCUUAUCAGCAAGCCUAGACUUGCUUAGCAAGGCUAGGGCGACUACCCUGCGGACCAUUUUUUUACCGUGUACAGUGGACGGGGCGCUGCAUGGCGUCCAACAUGGAUGAGCAGAAAUGUAUUUCGUGUGGGUGUGACACGCAUCUAGGAAAUGUGUCACACUGCAUGCACUGGUACCUGUGGUAUCCCCUUAACUAUAAAAGGAGGACCGAUGCCACCGGUCAAAGGGGAUCCGAUCAGUCUUAGUUGGAGACUUAGUUAGAGCCAUCAGCAAGAAGCUCCCUGGGAACUCCCAGGACACCUUGUAAGCAACAUAUACAACACCUUGAAUACAACAAAAAGUAGGACGUAGGGUGUUACACCUUGGGGUGGCCCGAACCUGGUUAAAUUCACGUGCCCACACUUCGUGUCUAUCGCCACGCCGGCGAUCGCGGCAAACCCACCCGAGGUCUCUGAAGCGACCGCCCCCGUACACGGGUUCGAUCUCUGUGCUUUUAGUGUUAGUCCCUGGAUCGACUCACUAGCACACACAGUUUCAAAAUUUAAUAUCAUAGAACAAAGGUCUCAAAUAUUACAACGCAUCAUCCAGAAAUUAAGAGUACUUACAAACUCGCAUAACCCCCUGGGUUACCUAGAAUUAAAACAAUUGUUCAAUAGCGAAAAACGAAAGAUACAAAGGCUACAUCAACACCACGGUGAGAGCGUGUUGGAAUGUAGGCCCGUAACCCAAAGACCAGAACGUACGCUUACUCUUCGUCGGAGCUUCCUGCAUCAUUAAACGAUGCAUCCACUAGGGUCAAUACAUUGAAUGUAUUGGCAAGAUCACUAGGAGUUAUAUCAGAACCUACCAAGUAUAUGCAUAAUCUGGCAAGGUGGGGUUCAGGCUAUUUGCAUAAAAGCUUAAUUGUUUAAUCCUAUUAUUUUAAUCAAAUAUUUUUUCACUAUUGGACAUGGGGUAGACACACCCAUGCUCCUAUUAAACUAAGGACAUUGAGUAGACACAUCAAUGCUCCUAAACCCAAGUUCAAACCAUUCAUUUUAUUAAGAAAUUAGAGUGAGCGAGACUUUCGUUACAGCUCCACUAUCCAGUUGCUCAUAAUUGUCCAUAACCGAGGACACGGCUAAGUACUUAGUUUUGACGCUCUCGAGAGUUUGUACACAUUCCCCACAAGAAACCAACGGGUUAAUUCCUUGCUGUCCUCAGGGUAGAGUACGAACGGCGUCGAUUACGAGAUUUUCAGAGGUAAUUCCCUAAACCACGAGAGAAUCACGCUCCCCAUACAAAGGCUACCUCAGUACAAUUCCUCGGGUCUAGGUUCAUACGACAUACUCUAUUCUCGCCAGAGCCCAUUUAGCAUUGUGGUUGUACUGGAAGCUACUAAAUAGGAAACUAGUGCAGUCUCGGUUACCCCAGGUGGCAUUCCACAUUUGCGACGCAGGCGCUCCCAUAGACAUGGAGAGACGACUCAUAGAAAUGGACCCAUAGAAAUGGACCUGACGCCGCAUAACAUCAAAAUCCUCAAAGCCGUCCACCCAGGAUGGUUCAUUAAAUUAAUUGUUUUGCCUUACUCUAAAAAAACAUCUCAUUUCUCCAGAGACAUAACAAUAUCAUAAUGUAAUAAUUUCCCUCACGAUACUACCAUAGCUUAGCAUUCAACUACAAACGAUGGCAAAUUGGUAGCAAGGUAAUGGCAAGGGUAAAACUAUACUACCUGGGAUUUAUAGCUAGCAUAGAGGUACAAGUAAUAAUCCUAAUGCAACUAAUAAAACAACUAGUGCAUAGUAAAAAUAUUUGGAAGAUGAUCAAAGUGAACUUGCCUUGUCCAAGGUUAUGGUAGUUCUCGCACUCUUUGCAACAACAAGGUUCACAAUCCACACAAUCUAAAAUAAAAGAAUACACACACACAUAAACAUGCUAUUCAAUACAAAAACAUGCCAUGAUGCAAUAGUCAUGAAGAUGCACACUAAGGUUGGUUUUAAACUUAACAUGUUUAGCUUCUGUUUUAAAGAGCUUCACAAAAGGUUUGGACAGAUUAUAAAUUAAUAAAGGGGUAAUUACUUUGUAUGAAACAAAGAUGAGCUUUAACUAAAAGAUUUCCCUUCUGGUCCUAAUGGAUAGAGAGUAUACUCAAAACAUUUUUCAACAUGCUAACAUGUUCAAAACUAGUUUGAAAUAAUUCAUAUGAAUUUCAAACCCUAAUUAAGCAUUCUGCAAUUUUCUUCUGCUAAAGGUGUUCAAAGUCCAAAUUAAACCACACCAAAAAUUCUACAUGUUGUGAUGAUUCCAGAAAGGUAUAGAACUUCAAAUUUGGUCAAACGGUUUAAAAGAUAUGACGAUUUAAAUAUCCAAGGGUCUUUUUGCAAGAUUCCCAUUUUAAUUCGGCUGGGAAUUAAGUUUUAAUUUUAAUGGCAACACGUGGCGCUAUCCUACUGGUCGGUAGCGGUUCGGGUUAAUGAUCUAAUCUCAGCCGUCCAAAGAAGAAUCAACGGACAGGGUAGCUUGGGCUUACCGGCGACGGCGCUAGGGUUCCGGCGGUCGUCGGUGGCUCGAGAAGACGGUGGCGCGGUGGUUCCGGUGUGCCUGCUGGCUCGGGGAGACGACGGGGUCGCUUGGCUCGGCGAGAUGGAGACGAAGACGGCGGCGGCGAAGCUCGGGGGUGACUGGACGGGAACGAGGCGGUCGGCGGCGGAGCUUCGGGCGAAUGACGGCGAGAGGCUGCGGAGUUCCAAAACGAAAACCAAACAUGUCAAAGGAUGCGCCUGAGAGAGAGGGGGAGGAAGAAGCAAGCGGCGGAGUGAGGGGCUCACCGGGUCGGCGGCGGCAGAAGCUUUUUCCGGCUAGGAAUUUCGGCGAAACGAAAGUGAAAACAGGCGAGAGAGAUGGGGGAAAAGAGAGAGGAGGUUGUGAUUCAUAUCAAAUUCAAAUCAAAUUCAAAUGCCAAGAUAUGGGGUAGCUUUAUAAAUGCAUUAAACCCCUUUUUAUGCUAAAACCCUCAUGGGUUAAAUUGCAAUUAACCAAAAGCAAGAAGAAAGCCAGAUUCAAAUAAAAGUACUUUUGUUAAUGGGUUUUUCUGAGUUAAACUUUAGGGUUUUAAAUUAAAUGCAAAGGUGAUAUGAUGCUUAUGAAAUGCAAUGCAUAUGAAGGGUUUUGAAAAAUGGGAUGUUACAGACCUAACCCCCUUAAGAUGAAUCUCGUCCUCGAGAUUCCUGUUGGUUAGCAAAAAGGUGUGGGUGGUCUUCUCGAAGGUCAUCUUCGCGUUCCCACGUAGCUUCCUCUUCGGUGUGGUGAUUCCAUUGUACCUUGCAGAAUUUGAUGGUCUUGGAACGAGUAUGCCUCUCAGCUGUAUCCAAGAUCUUGACUGGUUUCUCUUCAUAAGUGAGAUCGCUUUGAAUCUCGCCUUCUUCAAGUGGAAUUGUAUCCCUCAGUGGCGUAUCGGCCAUUUCCGGGAGACAUUUCUUCAACUGCGACACAUGGAACACGUCGCGGACGCUUUUCAACACUUCAGGUAAUUCCAACUUCUAAGCUACCUCUCCUUGGCGUGCCAAAACAUUGUAAGGUCCAAUGAAGCAUGGUUCUAAUUUUCCUUUAAUCCUGAAUCUCUUAACUCCGCCUAUUGGAGAAACUCUAAGAUAUGCUCUAUCAUCAACCUCAUAUGUGACCUCCCUUCGCUUGGAAUCUGCAUAACUCUUUUGCCUGGAUUCAGCUAUCUUAAGUCUGUCUCAAAUCAUCCUGACCUUCUCUUCGGCAUCCUUUAUCAUGUUGGGUCCGAAUAAGCUACGGUCUCCUACUCCAUCCCAUAGUAAUGGUGUUCUGCAUUUCUUCCCAUACAAAGCUUCGAAAGGUGCCAUCCCAAUAUUUGAUUGAAAACUGUUGUUGUAUGAGAACUUUGCAUAAGGUAGAUUCUCAUCCCAGCUAGAACCAUAGUCCAGAGUGCAAGCUCUUAACAUAUCCUCGAGGAUUUGGUUCACUCUUUCGGUUUGUCCAUCCGUCUGUGGAUGAAACGCUGUGCUAAACUCCAGUCUCGUGCCUAGGGACUCGUGCAAUUGUCCCCAAAAUCUUGAAGUAAAUUGAGUACCUCUGUCUGAGACGAUCUCUUUAGGAACUCCAUGUAGGCAUACAAUCCUGGACAUGUAGAGUUUGGCCAAUUGAGCACUUGUAUAAGUGGUCUUCACAGGUAUGAAAUGGGCAGCCUUGGUCAAACGGUCAACUACAACCCGCAUUGAAUCAUAACCAGACCUUGUCCUCGGCAAGCCGGUGAUGAAAUCCAUGCCUACUUUAUCCCAUUUCCAGUCUGGCACUAGCAACGGUCGAAGUAACCCAGCUGGUUUCUGAUGUUCAGUUUUGACUUUGCUACACAGAUCACACAGAGCAAUGUACUCAGCGAUAUCUCGUUUCAAUCCUGUCCACCAAUUUUUUUCUUUCAAGUCCAUCUACAUCUUUGUGUUCCCGGGGUGAAUCGAGUAUGGUGAAUCGUGAGCCUCUUGAAGUAUUAGCUUUCUGAUCUCGGGGUCCUGUGGUACACAAAUACGUUUCUCAAACCAUAUGGUACCUUGGUCAUCCUCAAUGAAUCCUUUCGCCUUUUCGGCAAUCAUAUUAUGCUUUAUUUCUUUAAUUUCUGAGUCGUCUUUCUAGGCUUCUAUAAUUCUGUCCAACAAGGUGGGUUGUACUUCCAAGUUAGCUAGGUAACCUUUCGGGACUAUUUCUAAUCUGAGGUCUUUGAAUUGCUCACACAAUUCAGACAGUAACUCUCCAGCUGUAAGCCCGUUGACAUAGCCCUUGCGGCUUAAAACGUCGGCUACUACGUUAGCCUUGCCUGGAUGGUAUUGCAGAUUCAAAUUAUUUCAUCAAGCAAGAAGUGGACAAGCUCAAAGCUACCGGGGCUAUAAGGGAAGUUCUAUACCCAACUUGGUUAGCGAACCCUGUAGUGGUACCCAAGACGGGAAAUAAGCUUCGCAUGUGUGUAGAUUUUACUGAUAUAAACCGUGCGUGUCCCAAGAAUCCUUUCCCUGUACCCCGUGUUGCUAAAAUAGUUGAUUCCACUGCUGGUUGCGAUCUGCUAAGCUUUUUGGAUGCUUUUUCCGGCUACCAUCAAAUCAAGAUGGCAGUCGAAGACGAGGAGAAAACAGCGUUCAUCACCCCGGUUGGCUGCUACUAUUACACGUGCAUGCCUUUCGGGUUGAAGAACGCGGGCUCAACAUUCCAACGCGCGUUGCGCGAGUGUUUGGGACCCCAGCUAGGCCGAAACGUGGAGGCCUACAUGGACGGCAUCGUCAUCAAAUCGAAGCACGGGGACUCGCUGAUUGAUGACCUGCGGGAGACGUUUGACAACCUCCGAAGGAUCAAACUCAAGCUGAACCCUGAGAAGUGCACCUUUGGUGUAGACUCGGGCCAGCUUCUGGGUUUCUUGGUUUCGCACAGGGGGAUACAAGCCAAUCCAUAGAAGAUAGAAGCUAUCGAGAAGAUGCAGGCUCCCUGCAAGGUGAAGGAUGUCCAGCGCCUCAACGGUUGCGUUGCCACGUUGGGCCGCUUCAUCUCGAGGUUGGGCGAACGCGCCCUGCCUUUCUUCAGAGUGAUGAAGAAGAAGGGUCCGGUUGAUUGGACCCCCGAGGCCGAGGCGGCGUUCCGGGAACUCAAGCAGUACCUGAGGUUGCCGCCCGUCGUCGUCGCCCCCAAGCCGGGCGAGCCACUGCUACUCUACCUAGCAGUGACUGACCAGGUGGUCAGCUCGAUGCUGGUUGCCGAGAGGGAGGAAGACGUUCCGGGGACGAAGGCGGCGGGGCAGGGGGCUGAACGGCCCUCGGCAACCGCCUCGGACCCGGGGACCACCCCCGAGUCAGUAACUCCAACACCGCGCAAGCGGCUAGUGCAGCACCCGGUGUACUUCAUUAGUACGGUGUUGCGCGACGCCUGAAUGAGGUACCCGCAAGUGCAGAAGCUCCUUCUGGGGAUUCUGCUCGCAUCCCGCAAGCUGCGCCACUACUUCCAGGCGCACCGCGUCACGGUGGUGUCGGGGUUCUCCCUGGAGCGAGCCCUCACCAAUCGUGAAGCCACCAGAAGGGUGGCCGAGUGGAGGAUGGAACUGUCAGAGUUUGAUCUGCACUUCACCAACUCCAAGAGCAUCAAGAGUGAGGCUCUGGUUGACUUCAUCGCCGAAUGGACGUCAACGAGCGUAGAAGAGGAGGCGUCGGAGACUAGCCUGCCAGGCAAGCUGGACGAAGGUCACUGGGUCCUCUACUUUGACGGCGCGUUCAGCCUUCAGGGAGCUGACGUCGGGGUCAUCAUCGAGUCACCGACGGGGGAUCAGUUGAGGUUCGCUGUCCAACUCGAUUUCCCGUAUUCCACCAACAACAUGGCGGAAUACGAGGGUUUGCUCGCCGGGUUGCGGGCAGCGAUCGCCCUCGAUAUAAAGCGCCUGGUUGUUCGUGGGGACUCCCAGCUCGUGAUCAACUAGGUUAACAAGGAUUAUGACUACCCGCAGAUGGCACCAUACCUGGAGGAAGUCCGCAAGCUAGAACGCAAGUUCAAGGGUUUGCGAUUCGAGCACCUCAAGCGGAAGGACAACUUUGCGGCUGACGAGCUGUCCAAGAUGGCAGCAGAGCGCCUGAAGCCUCCGACGGGGGUGUUCUGGCACAGGCAAGCGGCGCCCUCAGUCGCCCCCAAGCCGGUUGCCGGGGAAGCCCCUCCGGCAACCGAAGGAAACCCCGCAACAGCAGGGGUCCAUGCCACUAACGUAGCAGCAUGCGGUGGCAGGGAGACUCCUCCCUGGGCGGUAGAAAUCGCCCGCUACGUGAGGAAGGGGGCCCUCCCGAAAGACAAUGUCACCACGGAACGAGUGGCCGGGCAAGCCAAGAUGUAUGACGUGGUGGACGGGAACCUCUACCGUAGGCGUGCAAACGAAGUUAAGCUCAUCUGCGUGCCUCAAGACGAAGGGCGCACGCUGUUGGAAGAGAUAGAUCGAGGCACAUGUUCCCACCAUGUGGCCUCCUGGGCGCUGACCGGCAAAGCAUUCCGGCACGGUUUUUACUGGCCCACGGCCCUGGCCGACGCGGAGCAGCUGGUGAAGACGUGCGAGGCGUGCCAGUUCCACUCAAAGAAGAGCAACCAGCCGGCGCAGGCCCUGCAUGUCAUCCCUUCCUCGUGGCUGUUCGCAGUCUGGGGGCUGGACAUCGUCGGCAAUCUACCAAGAGCAGUCGGCGGCUACGAGUAUUUGUUCGUGGCCAUCGACAAGUUCUCCAAGUGGGUGGAAGUAAAACCAGUGCGGAAGGUGACCGCCCAGGCGGCCAUCAAGUUCUUCAAGAGCAUUGUGUGCCGGUUUGGUGUGCCUAACGGCAUCAUCACCGAUAGCAGCACGCAAUUCACGAGCGCGGUGUUCCAGACCUACUGCGAGGGCAUGGGCACCAAGUUGCACUUCGCGUCCGUUGCUCAUCCAAGGAGUAACGGACGCGAACCUUUGACAAGCUCAAAGGCCACGAGAAACACUAGGUUGAAGAACUCCAGCCCGUGUUGUGGUCAAUCAGGACCACACCUAGUCGGGCAAUGGGCGAAACCCCUUUCGCCCUUGUCUACGGGGCAGAAGCGGUGCUGCCCCUCGAGCUCAAGCAUGGAUCUCCCCGAGUACGCGCGCACGACAACUCUAGCCAACACGAGCAAAGGGUCGAUGAUCUGAACUUCAUCGAAGAGCUUCGAUGCCGGGCUGCUGUGCGGGCCGCGCGCUGCCAGCAGGGACUCCGUCGUUAUCAGGACAGACGACUCUGUCCUCGGGGGCUCGAGAAUGGAGACCUUGUCCUGCGCCGGAUACAAGGAACGAAGGCCAGGAACAAGUUGACUCCGAAAUGGGAGGGCCCCUUCCGGGUAGUGCAGGUGACCAGACCGGGGGCUGUCCGGCUGGAAACCGAAGAAGACUUGUCAGUGCAAAAUAGCUGGAAUAUUGAGCACUUGCGCAAGUUCUACCCGUGAAGUGGCGGAGCUUGGUCCUCAGGUGAUGUCGCCGAUGGUACCUCUCGAACUAGUGUAGCCGGGAAAACCCCGUGUGUAAACCACUGGUUAUUGCGAAUAAAGAUAAGUGUUUUUUUCCCUGAGUUUUAAGAUUGCCUCGUUUAUUUGCAUGAUCCUCCUUCUUCUGUCUCCUGCUUUGGGUGCACGGAAGUGUCUUUCCCUACUUGGUUGUGAGCAAGGGGCUGCCAGAGCCUCGAAAACGUAAACCUGUUGCCGGAUCGCUCUGGCAUAGGGCAUGCAGUUGCCGGACUUCCUGCAACGUGCAUCACGGGACAUGCAGUUGCCGGGCUUCCCGCAACGUGCAACACAGGACGUGCGGUUGCUGGGCUCCCCGCAACGUGCACCACGCAGUCGCUGUGUCUGGGAAAUGAAGUGCUCACAUCCAAGUUUGGCAUCGACCCUUCCGUGCUCGGGGGCUGGGAGGCAGGAGCGCAGGAGAUUAUCCAUGUUGCUUUGAGUUCUUCGUGAAUUUCGAAAAAAAUUUGCAGCAUCUCGGGCUUGCUAAGAAUCUAACCUGCAGGGUAAAAGUGGAAUCUUGCGCACUGUAAUGCCCGUGGACCGCCCACGGGUCGCGGCUUGUAGCAGCGCCUUGUGGUGCGGAGCGACCGCACCAUGAGGGACUCGCCGCACUUCGAGGCCCCUGAUUCAGGAGGGAGCCGCCACGUGUGCCACAGCAACUUGACGUGCGGAGUGGCGAAGACUGUACCGCACGUAUGCUGUGUUGACCCAGCAUGUGUGGUGGCGAGCCACCCCCCCCCCCUCCGCGCCUAUAAAAGGAGCGUCCUGGCGAUGGAACGGCUCAGAGCACAGCCAAGAGGCUGUAAAGGUGGGUGGUGCCGUAGAGGCGUGAUGGGAGUGCAUGCCAUCAGCGCCUAUCGCUGACGGGUGCACUGCCAUCGCGCCCUUGCCGCAUUACCCCACCGAGUCCACUCCGAGGGGCGUCGCAGAGACAAGGUGGGGGUGCAUCCCACCUGCGCUCGGCGCCGGCGGGUGCACUACCGCCGUGUCGUUGCCACGUCUCCUCUAGCGACGGCUCCGGGGCGAGGGCUGCCGCAGUGUCCCUGCCGCACCCUCCAGAGGGCGCCUCCAGAGGCGAGGGUCGUAGCGAGGACGCUGUGAUGGCGCCGGUGCCGGCGUUCGCCGUUCGCUCCGGCCCACCGCAACGUCCCUGCUGCGUCCCUCAGACAGAUUUUUCCCCAAGCAGUGAGGGCUGCUGUGGGAACGUCGUGGCGUCCUCGCCACCCGCGCUCACCGGUGGCAGCGAGGAAGUCACGACGUCCCCGCCGCACCCCUCGGGACAGGUUCCCCCGAAAGCAAAGGCUUUUCCAAAGGCGAGGGUUGUUCUGGAUGCGCGGUGGGAGCAUCAUUGUCGGCGCUUGUCGCCGGCGGCGAUCUUGCCACGGCGUCCCCACCGCAUUCCUCCAGCAGGCUCUCUCAAGGGAGACAUGCCAGGCGCGCAUCACCGUCAAGCGUGCCGAGCACAAGACUGAACGAAAAGCUAAGUGCUUGAACCUGAACGAUGAACUUUUUAAGAACUGAACAUAGCUGAACGCUGUCUCGCCAAGGGUGCCCCCGGAACCUGCGUGUGGCCAGGGUGUUAGAAGGACGCUUGCGGGGGAGUGCGCUCCCCGUGCAGCUUCCGGGUCCGUCCCGGGAGGGCAUGGCUUGGAGUAGUUACCUCGCAAGUGGAGCGGCUCGUCACUGCUGCUUGACCCCAGGUCGGCACUGCGGGUCUGUCCCGGGUCCCUGGUCUGGUCAAGAGUGAGGCGUGCGAGUCCCCAGCAACACAAAGUAUAGCACACAAAGGCUAAGGGAUCCAUCCCGCGAGGCAGCCCCGGGAACAAGGAGCAAGCAUUAAGCAGAACUAAAGAGGUUGAUUAACUAGGCAGCAAAUGAUUACAUGGACUAAUCAAAAUGUAAUUGUUCAAACGGCUCAAAGCGCUGCACUUGCAGGACAAGAACAAAAGAAGGUAAACAAGAAAGCAGCGAGGGCCGGCAGGAGGCCACGGCAACUAGUUGCCGGCGUCUUCCGCCGGGGGCUCCGGGGACGGCUCGGGGUCUGGCUUCCGCUGCAUCCUCUCAACCACCUCAUCGACGAACCCACGCACUGCUUGAGUGUGGGUGGGCUCGUCCUUGCUGUCCGACCAGGCGUCCAGCAGAGACUCAAAGGGAAAUUUCGGGUCCCGGAGGUGUAUCCUCAGGAGUAUCGUCCCGGCACAGUUGGCAACCUCGUUGGCGCCGUAUUGGGCGAUCCAGACGUCGAGCGCCCCGAGCUUCCCCACCAGGUCGGAGAAGAAGGGAUCAGCAACGAGACAUCUGUGCCGUCCACUGCCGCGGCCUGCAGCUCGAACCGGGCAGCACGUCACGCAACGCCUGGGCGAUCUUGAGCAGCUUCUCGGUCUCUAUCUGCCGAUGCCCGAUCAGCGUGCCAUGGUGGAGCCGGGCAUCAUGCGCAGCCUUUUUGGCCUUACGGAGGUUGUUCUCAAGCGCCGCGAGCUCUGCGGUUUUCACCGCGUUGUCGUCGCCGGCCUUGGCGAGCUCCUCCCGGACGGUGGCUAGCUCAGUCUCAAGCUUGGCCGCUCUGUCCUUGGCAGAGCCGAGCUAGAUCUCAUGCCGGGCCGCCGCUUCCACCGCGCUCUCGGUGGCCUUGACCUGCCCUCCAGCUUGACGCACAGGCCCUCGAUCUCACAGCGGUAGUUGGCGAUUAGAUUGCUCUUCUCGUCAAGCCGGGCCUGGGCUGCCGUGAGCACCCUUGCGUGCUCCUUCUUGGUUUCCUCGAGGGUCACUGCCAGCGAGUCCAGCGCCCCUUGGAGUGCGGCGCGCUGGGCCUCCAGCCGCCGGUAGAGCUCCGCUUCCAGGACGACCGGUUCAUCGGUGUCCUCCAGGGCUUCCCGGGCAAGGCACGCCUCCUCUCUGGCGAGGCGUGUCUCCUCACGCAACCGGAAGAGCUCUUGCCGCUCCUUCUCCACGGCUUCCCGCACCUCACCAAGCUGGCUCUUGGCGAUUGCAUGGUGCUCCCUCACCUCGUUUAAAGAGGUGACGAAGGCCAGUUGCUGGUCCUUGACGGCGUCCAGGAACCGGUGCCCUUGCUCGAAGACGCUCGGAUCCCAGGUGAUGGGAUUCCCAGCCACCCCGGCAAGGGUGUUGAGGUCGGUGUCGAGGGAGGGGGCCGAUUACGACGAAGCCCCCGCCGCCACCGUAGAGCUGAGCGGGGGGUCGUCUGCAUGUGCCGGGGCGUCCUGUCGCCCUUCCCCGGCAACCUCCCUUCACCCACGCCCGGGGACUGCGGGGCUGGUGAGGUUUCCGCGCCCUCGGCAGGGGCCGUCCCCUAUUGGGCCGCAGACGAAUCCGCGCCAGCUACGUCCACGGCUGCUGGUGCGUCGCAGAGUGCCGUCCCGGCGGCGGCGGUGGUCACCGCUGCUGCCGUGGCCGGCCCGGGAGGGCUUGGUGCGGGAGCCACUGCCGGCUCCUCCGCCGCCCCCAUAAUCUCUACGUCGGAGUCGAGAUCAACCACCGUAGCGCCCGCUCCCCGUGCGGGUGCGCUUGGGCCUGCAGCGGCAAGAAGCGUGAGAAGUGACAAGGAAAAAGUAGCCCAGAGGCGGACAAGGGGGCUCAGGGCGGUUACCUUGCAAGGCCAUCGGACUUGCGGGGGGAGCCUCCCCCUCCUCCUCCGCCCCGGCAGGGGGCUCCAAGAGGCUUGCCGCGGGCGAGGUGCCACCUACGGAAAAGGAAGGUACGGUUAUGUCGUUAACUGACAAUUGAAAAUACAGCGAAGGAGGAAGGAAAGAGCCGUACCUGUCGCCGGCGCCACCUCCGUUGGGGUGGGUCGUCGGCAGGUGCGAUGACGGCGCCGCUAGCCCCUGUGCCAAUCGGGUCGGCGGCGCCGCCAGCGUCCGCGCAUGCCCUCUUGCUCGGUGUGGCGGGCGGAGAGUCGCCCCUCCCCCUCUUGCUGGCGCUCGCCGGUGAAUCGGUCCGCGGGGGGUUGCGCCGGAGGGCGAAGCCUCGGAAGACCCCCUGAUAUGGACAUGAUCACCAUGGAUACGACCAUUAGAAUCCUAAUUGUUGGUGUAUCUAAUAACAAUUAUAAUCAGGUGAAUUCAAUUACAAAAUGUUUUCAGUAUGGUACUUGCAAAGAGGCGGAGCUACUAUCUUGUGUAAUCAUAUUAUGUAGGCAUCUUAUUGAACUUUACAAGUCCAAAGUGAAGAUAAAGUGUGAUAGCCUUCAAAGGAAGAUUCAAAGUGAAGUCUAUCCAGUCUACUUUCCAACAAAUCAAACGGCACAUGAUUCGGAGCUUGUUAGAGAAAGAUAUCACGAAUUAAAGUGUAAUCCGAUUCGGGUCCGAGCUGUCAGGAGACCCGAAUUUGUUUUAAUCACCCAGGCCGCAUCCGGAGUUCAAAUCAAGCAAGCAAGUACUUGUUGGAAAGGUAAUUACAAGACCUUUCCAACGGAUCUGGCCCCAUCAAGAGAUUCGACUCGUGGUGACCGUGGCGGACAAAAGAAGCUGACGGAUCUGUUUUUCUGUUUCCUAAAGAGUUGUGUUUGUUAGGAAAGUUAGAGAUAGAGUUGGAUUUCGGCCUCCUUACUCAAGGUGGACGAAAAUAUCUCUUCCUCCUCCUUUAUAUACCCCAUGAGCCCCCCUAAGGAGUCUUGGGUUUUGUUUAGUUAAAAGUUAGCCAUCGCUACUACUUCGUGUAAUCGCGUGUGUCGGUUAGAUCACCUGUUUUACCGCUUUCGGAACCCCAACUUAUCGUCUCGUUGAGACAUUGGUUUGAUAUAGUAUAUUCGCAAUUUUAGAUUGCAUCCGCUAUUUAUCUUGUUCUUGCUUGUUCUCCGAUUGCUUGCAGGAACAAAGACCUUCGUGGUCAGGUUGAUCGUGCCCCCGCGUGAUCAAUAACCUUCUGGAGUUGGUGUAUCGAUUGCUAAGGCACUGCCUCCUAGGCCGUAGUCGGAUCGUCAACGUCACCUCCUACCCAAAUCGAGAGUUAUCAAUCUCAUCGAAAGAUCGGGCCACCCGCACCCACAUCACACCGAACGGGCGGCGCCGUGGGCGCCUGUGGGGUUGCCGCAGCCAGGGGCACCGCUAGUUGUUGUUGUUCUGCUGAUUGUAGUUGUUGUUGGCCAUUUGCUGUAUAAUCAGCUGGAAGAACUAGAUUUGGGCGGCCAAUAACUGCUGCAUGGUGGCAGCGUUUCCGUCAGCUUCGGCAUUGUUAACCUCGGCAUUGUUGGCGGGGUUUUGGCAUCUCGGAGGCAUCUGUUUAGGAUAGCAUAGAUGAGGAAACAGAUAAAAUAGAGCUAAAGAUGUCUAAACCCCCAAAACAAGAUAGUAACUCAAGCAUAUAUCAAUCAUACACUCAAUCAAUCAUAAAAAGGUUUGAAAAUUAUAGCAAAAACACACUUGUUCAUGAUGGGGUACUGCCCAAAAAAAGAGAGUACGGGAAAAAAAUGCAAUCGAUCUACAUUGCCAUACACAUAGAUUGUAUGGUCAAUGACUAACUCGCAAAGCUGAUAACGGUAAAUAACUGAUAAAGUCUGGCAGGCAUCGAGACUAGGGAGGUGUGGCUGAUGUCGCGGCUCCAUUCACCCUCUUCCUCUUGGAGCGGGUGUUGGUGGCAGGGGUGUCCAUCUCGUGGACCUCCUGGGGCUCCUCUUCCUCAGUCGGCACUACCUCCUGUGGUACCACCUCCUGAUCUUGCGGUGGAGGUGGGGCCUGGUCUAGUGCCGGUGCGGCAGCCGGUGCUGGCUCGGCGGCGGCUGCGGCUACCAUGAAAGCCUUAAACCGCUCGCUGUAGUAGCAGGCCUGCUCUCUCAGGUCUGCAGGUUCGGCUGGGGUGGUGGCCUUGAGGAACGUCUUGAACUUCUCGCGGUAGAAACGAGCUUGGUCCCUCUCAUACAGCAACUGAUUGAUGACUCCUUCCAUAUUGACGGCAGUGUUCUGCAACAAUGCCUUGUCUUCCUGCCACUGAGUCUUCUCUCCCAACAGAUUACCAAUCUGCUCCUCGGCCAGGUCGGUCCUGGUCAUCUCAUGCUCGAGGCAAGAUUCCAAGUCCACGGUGUUAAUCUCCAUGUUCUCGAAGUGGGUCUUCACUGGAGUGGCACCCUUGUCGUUCGUUGUAGCCACUGCCGAGCAUGCAUGGUUCCGCCUUCCAAAGAGGAGGAAGGGGGAGUCCUCGGGGAACUCGUGCCGAUAGUCCCGGCACACCUGCGCGAAGGCGCACUGCAUGGCGAACUGAAGGCCUUGCUCAAAGGUGGGGUAGCGGGCGAUGAAGGUGAUAUCCUGUGUAGCGGGCGCGAUGUCACGCCCACGGAUCUUCACCUCAAUCUCCCACCGUGGCUGCCAUCCUUCUGGCACGGUGGGCUCGACUCGGCCUCUGAACCUGGGUGGUGGCAGGUCAAGAGACGCACACAGUGCCGCCAAAGGGGCACUGAACAACUGGUCGUCGUCCGUGGAGGGGUAGUAGACUCUAGUAAACAGCGGUACGUUGCCGAACGGUGUUGGGCUUCCCAUCUAUAGAAAACAAAGAAGGUCGAUAAGGGAGUAUCAGUGACAUGAUCAAAUGGUCGGAUGUGGUAAAAAUACAAUAAAGGUAGUAGAGUGGAAUAAAGUGAUAAAAUUAAUAUAUGAAUGGUGGAAUUGCAUAAUAAAAUUGGAUGCAUAAUAUUAUGUGAACAACAGGGCAACAUUAUUAUAGUGGUGUAUGGUAUAAUAAUAAAAGAAAUAAAUAUGCAUAUGUGGUAUAAAGCAUAAUAUUUGGUGUAUACGUGGAAUAAAUAAUAAAUAUGUCAUGCAAAUGUAGGAUGUAAAUGCAAAGAUUCAGGUGAAUAGGGAUAAGGAAUAAAAUAUAUGUAUAUAUAUAUAUAGAUUAGAUAGGGAUAAGAAAUAAUCCUAAGGUUUGGUCUUUGGUUUGUCUUAUCCUAAUCCAAACUAGGGUCAUGUUCCUACAGGUAACACAUUACUCUGAUACCAUCUGAAGCGAUCCUCCCCCUUACUAGGGUUCGAUCUCUGUGCUGACUGUGCUAGUCUCUGGAUCGACUCACUAGCACACACAGUUUCAUGAUGAAAUAUACAGAAACAAAGGUCAAAGUACUUUAUUACAUCGCAUCAUCCAGAAUUUAAAUAGUACUUACAACCUCGCAUGACCUCUUGGGCCAGCAUAAGCAAAUACUGUAUCAACAUCAUAAAACAUUGUUUUCGAAACUGCAGCGGAAAAGGGUAGAACAUAAGCACAUGACCCACAACAUAACGACGAACCUCACUCAUCGUCGGAUCCACCGGCAUUGUUAAUUGCAGGCACUACAUGGUCAAUACAUUUGAUUGUAUUGGCAAGUUCAUCAGAGUUACAAAAAACCUACCAAGUACAUGCAUAAUUUGGCUAUGUGGAAUUUGGCUGUUUGCAUAAAAGCAUCAUAGUUCGAUCCUAUCAUUUUUAAUCAAGUAGUUUUUAAUUCUAUUGGACACGGGGUAGAAACACCCAUGCUUCUAUUAACCUAGGCACAUUGAGUAGAAACAUCAAUGCUCCUACCCAGUUCAAACCAUUCAUUUUAUUAGGAAAUUGGAAUGAGUCCUUACAGCCCCAAUAUUUAGUUGCUCAUAAUUGUCCGUAACCGAGGACAAGGCUAAAUACUUAGUUUGACACUCUCGAGAGGUGGUACACUUUACCCACAAGAAAUCGACGUGUUAAUCCCUUGCUGUCCUCCAGAUGGAGUAGCAACGGCAUCGAUUACAGGAAUUUUCAGAACAUAUUCCCCCAAACCACCUGAGGGACGCGUUCCAACCUACACUGCUACAUACCGAUGUCACCUCGGAUCCGGGUUCAUAUUUCUUACAUCCAUCCUGGCAGAGCCCAUAAUACCAUGUGGUUGUACUGGAAGCUACUAAACAGGAAACUAGUCUAGUCUCUGGUUAUCCCGGGUGGCAUCCCACAUUGUGACGCAGGCGCUCCCCGAAUCGCACGGGGAGACGACCAUGGAUGCUCCCGAAUCACACAGAGAGACGACUCAGCGGGCCCCAUAGAAAUGGACCUAACGUCAUGACAUCCGAAAACUCAAAGCCGCCCACCCAGGACGAUUCAUUGAAUUACUUGUUUUGCCAUACACUAGGAAAAAUCAUAAUGUAAUUCAGUAGUAUCACAUUGUAAUAAUACCACCCACGUAUAUUAUCAUAGCAUAGCAUUUUACUACCACGAUAGCAAAUUGGUGGUGAGGUCAUGACAAGGGUAUCCUAUACUACUAGGAGAGAUCAUAGUUAGCAUAGAUACAAUAAUAAUCCUAACCAUGCAACUAAUAAAAUCUAGUGCAUAAUAAAAUAAUAGGAUGAUGGUCAAAGUGAACUUGCCUUGAUAGCAGUUGGUAUUCAAACACUCUUCACAAUCGCACAGUUCGCUCUCCAAGAAAACUAAUCAAAUACAAACAUUGCAUACAUAAACACACAAUACAAUCAGAAGUAAAAAUGUAUGCCCUAAUGCAAUGUAUACAUGUGACAUGACUUGGUUUAUUUUAUUUGGAUGAUCAACUGAUCCCAAGCAUUGGUAAUUAAAAAUAAUGCAUUAAGGUUUUAAACAAAAGGGCAACAAUAAUUUAUUAAAACUCUAAAUAUGGUUUUAUUGGCAUCGGUCAAAUAAGUUAAUUCAAAAUAUUUAUUUCUCUGCCCCAAUAGACAGAGGAUAAUAAAAUAAUUUUUUGGGCACUGGUUUCAAUUAAAAUGGACUCCUAAAUAGUUAGUUAUGAUUUAAAUGGCAUUAUACUCUAUUCUGUAAAAUGACUGUGAUUCAAAUAUUCAAAUUUUAAAUUGGACAUGCUAAAAGAUUCUACAUUUCCUAAGAAUUCCAGAAAGGUGUGGAUCAUCAAAUUUGGCGCUCGUCAGAGUCGGAGGAGACGGGGGCGCGGAACGGGAGGCGGCGGCGCGGGCGCUCCGGCAAAGCUGGCGGCUCGGGGAUGGCCGGGGUCGACGCGUGUCGCACCAGCGGCACCCGGGGUACUACCGCUGCGCGACGCGUGGGCCCCGUCCCCGAGUUCUCGGGAAGGUUCCAUCCCGGGCGGUAGCUACGAGCAGCCCGGCAAGCUACCAGCCCGGAAGGACUAGCGGGUCUUCGGGGAAUAUUCCUGCCUGGGCACCUCACGGGAAACCGCUUCCCGGGGGGAGGUUCCCGGGUACGCUGGGCCCGAGCGCCUCCGGGGAGCGACUUGCCAGGACAGGGGGUUCCCGGGCGCAUGCCCCCGCCUCAGGCGCGGGGCCUAGUAGCCAGAUCUACAGCGCCACGAGGACGCGUGGCGGGCAUGGGAUGCACGGUCCCACCAGGGCAAGGAGUAAGGCGCACGGCUCAUUCAAUGAGCCGACCGACGGGGCGUUACACCUCUGAUCAAAGGAACAAUGGCUGUCCAAUCCUACUCUAGGGGUUUUAGACCCCUAGCGGCGGAGGUGGCAUCCAUGCGCGCUACCAGCUCACCCGGGGAAGUUAUAUGCCUCCCCGCCCGACAUUUGUAGCUCAUGCACCGUGGCACCUCUGGCAUCCCCUUGAGUAUAAAAGGAGGACCCUCGCCAGCGGUCAAAGGGUUCCGGAGGAGAUUAGUUGGCUCCAGUAGACAGUUUGGCUGAGUUCGACUGGCUCAUAGUUAGCUUCCCGCACUAGCAAAGAGUAGGAAGGGGUACCUAGCCAGUGAGAGAGAGCCCGGGAACUUGCCCAGCAACUUGUAAACACUCGAUUCUAAACUAAUACCAACGCGGACAAGCAGGACGUAGGGUUUUACACCUUCGGGUGGCCCGAACCUAGGUAAAAACGUGCGUGUGUUUGUUCUUGAAUUAGCACGCACCCCUAGCACUUCAUCGCGCCGGCCCAGUAGGGCCCCACCGGCCGUGCCGGCGAUACCCGGGGUGAACCCUGACGCCCCCACCGAACCUAAAAGGGGGCCGUAGCCGCACGCCCCCGGUGUCUGAGCACCGUGCGACGACAUCGGGCGCCAGGUAGAGGCGCGGGAGUAGAGCUCCUCAGUAACCGCCGGCAGCAGCGUUAGCAUCGACUCCGGCCUCGCUUUCUUCGCCGAGGGGACUAGUCGCCAUGCCCCCAAAGCGGGCUAGCGAUCCACGGAUAGACUCGCGUGUGUGCCGCUGGGGCUUCCCCCAGUGCCGGCGAUUAGACUCGCGUGAAGCCCCAGCGGCACACACGCGGUCGCACGACAUGCGACCCGAGUCGGGGGCUCAGGAGAACCCCGAGCCCUCGAGGGGGCAGCAACCACAGCUGCCUCCCCUGCCUCCUCGGUAGUCUACGGACAAUCAGCUGAGGGGACCGGCUGCCCCGAGUGCCGGGGCCAGUCGCGCGAGCGGGCAUGGUGCCGCCCGCGCUGGCUAGCGAGUUGAGUCGCGGGCCGAGGAUGCUACGCGACAGCGGCACCAGGGGCACACCGCGUCUCGGGCAACCCCUGGGAGUUCGCACCCUGCGCACCCGGAGGCGUCCGGGGCCAGGGCGGGAAGCAUCCGCUCGGGAAACCGACCGCCCCCCGUGCGAACCCCGGCGGAGGCCAUCAUCGCCGUGCGCGUCAUGGUGCGGUACGAGCCGCAGCAGGGCACGCCGGCGCAUGAGACGUGGGGCGAGGAGUUGGAAGCGCUUCUCGCCCUGGCCGCCCAGUAGCCGCAAGGCGAGGGCGCUCCGGUAGGGUCCGGCCAUGGGCAGAAUCCGGAGCGCGGAGACGCGCCACCCGCCUCAUGACAGGGGGAGAACCCUCCCCCUCCGCAGGGAGGCCAAGGAGACGGGGGCCCGGAGGGGUCCUCAGACUCAUCGCCCACUGUUUCGGGGGCGAUGCGCAUUGCAUCUUGAAUGCCCGCCAGCAGGAGGAUUUGCGCCCGCGCUUGGAGCGCCGGCACAAGCGCGAGGUAGAGCGCCAGCGCCCACAGGGGCAGGAAAACGCUCCCAUGGGCCCCGAGGACGGCUGCACCGCGUUCACACGCGAGCUGCGGCGGGUGACGUGGCCCCGCAAGUUCUGAGUGCCCGCGCUCGGUACGUACGACGGGACCGCCAACCCCAAGGAUUUCCUCCUGACCUACACGCUGGGCAUGCAUGCCACCGGUGCUGAUGACAAGGUUAGGGCAAACUGGUUCUCGAUGGUCCUGAAAGGAUCAGCGCGAACCUGGUUGCUCAACCUGCCCGCCGGGUCCAUCACCACUUGGGCGGACCUGCGCAAGCAGUUCGUGAGCGUGUUCCAGGGCGGCUAUAAGCGUCCGGGAACCAUGGCGGAGCUGCACACUAUUGUGCAGAAGCAGGGAGAGACGUUGGGGGCCUUCGUCAACCGCUUUUCCAACCUCUCCUUUUCCAUCCUAGAGGCGGAGGCGGCCGCCAUCAUCAACACCUUCGCCAUCAACGUCCGCGAUCCCAAGAUGCGCGAGAAGCUGAGCACGCAUCGGAUCCGGACGACGCACGACUUGUACGCCCUGGCGCACAAAUGCGCCAUGGCCGAGGAAGGGCGCCUAGUGCCCGAGCUGGCAGCCAGCUGCCGCGAGCCCUGGUGAGGGCUCGUAGAAGAAGGGUUCCCGCAAGCGCAGCGGCAAGCAAGUCCUCGCUGCGGACUCGGGGGUUCCUGCCGCGAGGCCCAGGAAGAAAGCCUCGCCGGGUGGAGGGUCUGGCGGGAAGCCGGGCGACGCGCCCCGCUGCCCCAUCCACAGCAACUCCACCCAGGACGCGCAGAACUGCCGCGUUCUGCAGGGGAUCAAGCAGUGGUGGGAGCAGCGCCAUUAGGAGCGCCGCGCCGCCGGCGCCUGCUUCAACUGUGGCGACAUCGGGCAUCUCUCCCGAGACUGCCCGAACGACCCCAGAGCGGGGCCGAAGCCUGCCGGCGGUGGUACCGGCAGGGAUGAACCCCAGGGGGGCGCGGUCAGCCCCACGCUGGCCGUGAACGCUCUCCCCGGGGAUGCGACAGGGCAUGCGCUGAGGAGCAGCGUGAGUCCGACUGUACUGGCGGCGACGAGCCGGGCUUCCAGGAGCCUCGCGGCGUCGCUUGCAUCCAUGGGGGAGCUUACGCUCUCCCAUCCCACGCCGCGGUGAAGCACCUCACCCGCGACGUGUGCGCGCUAUUGCUGGAUGCGGAGCCGCAACAGCCGCUGAGGUGGUCGCACGUGCCAAUCACCUUCAGCGCCGACGAUCACCCAGCACGACAGUUGAGUUCAGGGGUAAUACCCUUCGUUGUCUCGCCGAUCAUUAGCAAUAUGACGGUGACCAAGGUCCUGGUGGACAAUGGAGCGGGGCUUAACCUCCUGUCCGCCCGGCUGGUGGAAAAGCUCCAGCUACCGGUGGAACAGCUAAAGCCCACCGACCCGUUCCGGGGGGUGAACCCCGGGAUCGUGCGCCCGCUGGGACGCAUCACACUGCCGGUCACCUUCGGGUCCUGGAAAGCGUUCAGGACCGAACACUAUGACAUAGUGUUCGACGUGGCGCAUACCCCGUUGUGCUACAACGGGGCUCCCGGAGGAGGCCGCCAACGUGAAGAAGCUGCCCCUCCAAGCCGGCAACAAGGAGCGCACCGUUACCGUCGGUGUGAAACUUACUGCCGAAUAGGAAAGCGCCCUCAUCACCUUCCUCCGGGACAAUGCCGACGUGUUCACUUGGGAACCGUCGGAUCUUCCGGAGUCCCCAGGGAGGUGAUUGAGCAUCGGCUUGCGGUGCGCCGGGAUGCGCACCCCGUCAAGCAGAAGAUCUGGCGGCAAGCACAAGAGCGUAAAUAUUUCAUCAAGCAAGAGGUGGACAAGCUCAAAGAUGCCGGGGCAAUCAGGGAAGUUCUGUACUCCACUUGGCUGGCUAACCCUGUAGUAGUGCCUAAAGCAGGGAAUAAGCUUCGCAUGUGUGUAGAUUUUACUGAUCUUAAUCGCGCAUGCCCCAAGGAUCCCUUCUCUGUAUCCCGUAUCGAUCAAAUAGUUGAUUCUACCGCUGGUUGUGAUUUCCUGAGUUUUCUGGAUGCUUUCUCCGGCUAUCAUCAAAUCAAGAUGGCGGUCGAGGAUGAGGAAAAGACAGCGUUUAUCACCCCGGUUGGCUGUUAUUGUUAUACAUGCAUGCCUUUUGGGUUGAAGAACGCGGGCUCCACAUUUCAGCGCGCCUUGCGCGAAUGUUUGGGGCCCCAGCUAGGCCGCAACGCGGAGGCCUACAUGGAUGACAUCGUCAUCAAAUCGAAGCGUGGGGACUCGCUGAUUGAUGACCUGCGGAAGACAUUCGACAGCCUCCGCAGGAUCAAGCUCAAGCUGAACCCCGAUAAGUGCACCUUCGGUGUUAACUCCGGGCAGCUUCUGGGCUUCUUGGUUUCACAUAGGGGUAUACAGGCCAACCCGACCAAGAUAGAAGCCAUCGAGAAUAUGGAGGCCCCCCGCAAGGUGAAGGACGUUGAGCGCCUCAACGGUUGUGUCGCCGCGCUGGGACGUUUCAUCUCCAGGCUGGGCGAACGUGCCCUCCCUUUCUUUAGGGUAAUGAAGAAGAAGGGUCCAGUCGACUGGACUCCCAAGGCCGAGGCGGCGUUCCAGGAACUCAAGCAAUACCUGAGGUCGCCGCCCGUCCUCGUCGCCGCCAAGCCGGGCGAGCCGCUGUUACUCUACCUAGCGGCGACUGACCAAGUGGUCAGCUCGGUGCUGGUUGCCGAGAGGGAGGAAGACGUCCCGGGGGCUGGGGCUGCGGGGCAGGGGGCUGAUCGACCCCCGGCAACCGCCUCGGACUCGGGGACCACCCCCGAGUCGGUGACCUUGGCGCCGCGGAAGCGGUGUACUUUGUUAGUACAGUGCUGCGCGACGUGCGGAGGAGGUACCCGCAAGUGCAGAAGCUUCUUCUGGGGAUUCUCCUUGCGUCCCGCAAGCUGCGCCACUACUUUCAGACGCACUGCGUCACGGUGCUGUCAGGGUUUUGCCUUGAGCGAGCCCUCACCAACCGUGAAGCCACCGGGAGAGUGGCCGAAUGGAGUUGUCGGAGUUCGACCUCCACUUCGCCAACUCUAAAAGCAUUAAGAGCACGGCCUUGGUGGACUUCGUCGCAGAAUGGACGUCCAUGGGCAUAGAAGAAAGUGAACCGGAGAUUAGCCUGCCCAGCAAGCUGGACGAGGACAACUGGGUCCUCUACUUUGACGGUGCGUUCAGUCUUCAAGGAGCAGGUGCUGGGGUCAUCAUCGAGUCACCGACAGGGGACCAGCUGAGGUUCGCUGUCCAACUUGACUUCGCUAACUCCACCAACAACACGGCGGAGUACGAGGGCCUGCUUGCCGGGUUGCGGGCGGCGGUUGCCCUCGACAUUUAGCGCCUAGUUGUUCGCGGUGAUUCCCAGCUCGUGAUCAACCAGGUGAACAAGGACUAUGACUGCCCUCAAAUGGCGCCGUACGUGGAGGAGGUCCGCAAGCUAGAGCGAAAGCUCAAAGGUUUGCGCUUCGAGCACGUCAAGCGGAAGGAUAACUUCGCUGCUGACGAGCUGGCCAAGAUGGCAGCAGAGCGCCGGAAGCCUCCGGCGGGGGUGUUCUGUCAGAAGCAAGCGGCUCCUUCAGUCGCCCCCAGCCGGCUGCCGGGGACACCCCUCCGGCAACCGAAAGAACCCCUGCGGUAGCAGGGGUCCAUGCCGCUGAUAUAGCGGCAUGCAUUAGCAGGGAGAUUCCCCCCUAGGCGGAGGAAAUCGCUCGCUAGUUGAAAGGGGAAGCUCUGCCGGAAGAUGAUGUCGCCGCAGAGCGGGUAACGCGGCAAGCCAAGAUGUACACUGUGGUGGAUGGGAACCUCUACCGCAGGCGUGCGAACGGUGUCAAGCUUAUCUGCGUGCCGCAGGAUGAAGGGCGCACACUGUUGGAGGACAUACAUUGGGGCACAUGUUCACACCAUGUGGCCUCCCGGGCUUUAGCCGGCAAGACAUUUCGACAUGGCUUCUACUGGCCCACGGCCCUGGCUGACGCGGAGCAGCUGGUGAAGACGUGCGAAGCGUGUCAGUUCCAUUCGAAAAAGAGCAACCAGCCGGCGCAGGCCUUACAUGUCAUCCCGUCCUCAUGGCCGUUCGCGGUCUGGGGGCUCAACAUCGUCGGCAAGCUACCGAGGGCGGUUGGCAGUUAUGAAUAUUUGUUCGUGGCCAUCAACAAGUUCUCCAAGUGGGUGGAGGUGGAGCCAGUGUGGCAGGUGACCGCCCAGGCGGCCAUCAAGUUCUUCAGAAGCAUUGUGUGCCGGUUUGGUGUGCCUAACAGCAUCAUCACCGACAACGGCACGCAAUUCACGAGCGCGGCGUUCCAAGCCUACUGCGAGCCGCGCGCUACCAGCAAGGACUCCGCCGUUAUCACGACAGGCGAGUCCGUCCCCGGGGGCUCGAGAACGGAGACCUUGUCCUGCGCUGGAUACAAGGAACGAAGGCCGGGAACAAAUUGACUCUGAAAUGGGAGGGGCCCUUCCGGGUAGUGCAGGUGACCAGGCCGGGGGCUGUCCGGCUGGAAACUGAAGACGUCUUGCCAGUGCCCCAUAGUUGGAAUAUCGAGCACAUGCGCAAGUUCUACCCGUGAAGCGGCGGAGCCCGACCCUUAGGUGAUGCCGCCGAUGCAUACCUCUUGAACUAGUGUAGCCGGGCAGCCCCCGUGUGUAAACCACUAGUUAUUGUGAAUAAAGAUAAGUAUUUCACCCCUGAGCAUUGAAUUUGCCUUGUUUGUUCGCAUGUUCUUCCUUCUUCUAUCUCCUGCUUUAAGUGCACAAAGGUGUCUUUCCGUACUUGGUUGUGAGCAGAGGGCUGUUGGAGCCUCGAAAACGUUAACCCGUUGUCGGACCGUUCCGGCACGAGGCAUGCAGUUGCCGGGCUUCCCGCAACGUGCAUCACUGGACGUGCGGUUGCCGGGCUUCCCGCAACGCGCACCGCGCAGCCGCUGCGCCUGGGAAAGGGAAUGCUCUCACAUCCAAGUCUGGCAUCGACCCCUUUGUGCCCGGGGGCUGGGAGGUAGGAGGAGUUUGUCUGUGUUGCUUCGUGUAUUUUCAUAAAUUUCGAAAAAAAUUGCAGCACCUCAGGCCUGGUAAGAAUCUAACCUGCAGGAAAGGGUGGAAUUUCAUGCACUGUGAUGCCCAUGGGCUGCCACGGGUCGCACUAUGCACCGGUGCCUUGCGGUGCGGAAUGACCGCGACACAAGGGGCUCACCGCACUCCGAGGCUUCUGACUCGGGAGGACGCCGCCACGUGUGCCAUGGUUGCCUAGUAAACAAGACGGCGGAGAUUGUGCUGCAUUUCGAGGAAGGGGUGCCACGGGUGCUGCGUGGGUCCGUCGCGCACGGUGGCAAACCCCCCUCCCGCGCCUAUAAAAGGCGCGCUCCAGCCAUGGAACGGCUCCGAGCGAAGCCGGUCAGAGCGAGGCACGGUGGUAGUGCAUGCCAUCAGCGUCCUGCGCCGACGGGUGCACUGCCACCGUGCUCCUGCCGCGCCUCCUCAAGUGGGUGGCUCCUGGGCGAGGGUCGUCGCGGAGGCACUGUGGUGGUGCAUCCCAUCAGCGUCCGGCGCUGACGGGGUGCAUUGCUGCAGUGCCCCUGCCGCACCCCUCCAUAAGACACCUUCGCAAGGAGCAGGGGCUGCCGCGGAGACUCUAUAGUAGUGCAUGCCCUCCGUGCCUUGUGCCGACGGGUGCACUAUCAUAGAGACCCGGCCGCAUUCCCUUGGAGGGAGCCCUUUUUCGGGCGCGGGUCGUUGCGAGGACGCUGUGAUGGCACCGGUGCCGGCGCCCGCCGCCCGCUCCGGCCCAUCACCACGUCCCUGCCGCGACCCUCGAGCAGUUUUGCUCCCGGGCAAUAAGGGCUGUUACGCCCCUCGGGACGAGCUCCCCAGAAAAACUAGGUCUCCCCAGUGGCGGGGGCUGUCGCCGGGAGGCUAUAACUUCCUCGCCACCCGUGCCCGCCACUCGGGGUGGGGCGCAGCCGGCGGCGAGAACGUUAUAGCCGUCUUGCGGCUGCUCCCGGGGCGGAGUCCUCCUAAGCCAGGGAUCCUCCCUGAAAGCGAGGGUUGCCGCAUGAGCGUGGUGGGAGCAUUGUCGUCGGCGGAUGCCGCAGGUGGCGAUCCUGCCCCCACGCCCCUGCCGCAUUCCUCAGCAACCGUUUUCCUUGAAAAGGUACCCGAGGUGGGUCACUACCAAGGCACUGCCGCAGUUGCACUUUACCGCUGAGCAUCACGAGGCAUUGGGCUGAACGGAAAAGCUAAGUGUCUGAACAUGAACGCUGAAUUCGCUAAGAACUGAACGAAAUUGAGCACUGUCUCGUUGGGUGUGGCCCCUGAUCCUGCGCGUGGCCUUAAUGUUAAAAGGACGCUUGCGGGGGGAGUGCGCUCCCCGUGUGGCUUCGCGGGUCCGUCCCGGAGGGGCACGGCUUGGAGUAGUUACCCUGCAAGUGGAGUGACUCCCCGCUACCGCUUGGCCCCAGGUUGGCACCGCGGGUCCGUCCCGGGUCCCUGGUCUGGUCAAGGGUGAGGCGUGCGAGUCCCCCGCGACACAAGGCCAAACGCGCAAAGGCUAAAGGGGGCACCCCGCUAGACAGCGCCGGGAACAAUGAACAUGUCGACAAAACUUAAUUGAUGAAGAGUCAAACGAUUACAUGGGCUAAUCAGAAAUAUGAUUGUUCAAACGGUGAUAAGCGCCAUACUUGCAGGGAAAGCAAACUAGAGAAGAUACAUUGGGAACAACGAGCAAGGCGGGGGGCUGCGGCGACUAGUUGUCACCGUCUUCGGCCGGGGGGUCGGCGGGGAGAUCAGGCUCCGGCUUCAUCUGCAUCCGCUCGACGACCUCGUCGACGAACUCGCGCACUGUUUGGGUGUGCGUGGGCUCGUCCUCGCUGUCAGACCAAGCAUCCAGCAGGAACUCGAAGGGAAACUCCGGGUCCCGGAGAGGAAUCCGCGGGAGGAUUGUCCCGACAACCUCCCGGGCGUAGUUGACGACUUCGUUGGCGUCGUACCGGGCGAUCCAGACGUCGAGCGCCCCAAGCUUCCCCACCAGGUCGGAGAAGAAGGGGAUCAGCGUCGUGACGUCUGUCCUGUCCACUUCCGUUGCCUGCAGCUCGAACUUGGGCAGCCGGUCGCGCAGCGACUAGGCGAUCUUCAGCAGCUUCUCCGUCUCGAUCUGCCACUGCCCGAUCAAUGUACCGUGAUGGAGUCGAGCAUCAUGCGCGGCCUUUUUAGCCUUGCGGACGUUGCCCUCCAUUGCCACGAGCUCCAUGGUCUUCGCCGCGAUCUCAUUGCCGGCCUUGGCAAGCUCCUCCCGGACGGUGGCCUGCUCGAUCUCGAGCCUGGCCGCUCUGUCCUUGGGGGAGUUGAGCUCGGUCUCAUGCCGGGCCGCUGCUCCCACCACGUCCUUGGUGGCCUUGACCUGCACCUCCAGCAUGACGCGGAGGCCUUGGAUUUCGCCACGAUAGUUGCGAUCACGACGCUUUUUUCGUCCAGCGGGGCCUGGGCCGCCGUGACCACCUCGGCGUGUUCCUUCCUGGUCGCCUCGAGGGUGGCCGACAUCGAGUCGAGCUUCCCUUGGAGCUCUACGCGUUGGGCCUCCAGGUGCCGGUGGAGCUCGGCCUCCGGGAUCACCGGCUCCCGGGCGUCCUCCAGGGCUUGCCGGGCCAGCCGCACCUCAUGUUCGGCGAGGCGCAGCCGGGACAGUUCCCGCCGUUCUCUCUCCACGGCCUCCCGCACCUCGCCGAGCUGAUUCUUGGCGGCGGUGUGGUGCUCCCUCACCUCGUUGAAGGAGGUGAUGAAGGCCAAUUGCUGGUCCCUGACGGCGUCCAGGAACCGGUGCCCCUGCUCGAAGAUGUUCGGAUCCCAAGUAAGGGGGUUCCAAGCGACCCCGGCGAGGGUGCCGAGGUCGGUACCGGGGAGAGCCGCCGAAGACGAUGAAGCCCCAGCGGCCGAAGUGGGGCUGGGCGCGGGGUCGCCAACUUGCUCCCGGGGGUCUUGCAGUCCUCCCCCGGCAACUUCCCCUGCGCCUGCGCCCGGGGACCCCAGGGCUGGGGAAGUCUCCCUGCUCCUGGCGGGGGCUGCCCCCUACUGGGCGACAGGUGAGCCCGUGCCGACCGCGUCCGCAGCUGCGGGCAUGUCGCCAGGCGCAGUCACGGCGGCGGUGGUGUCCACGGCGGCCGCUGCGUCCGCCGCAGCGGGGCGGGACAUGAGAGCCGAUUCCGGCUCCACCUCCGCCCCCACGGCCUCGACGACCGGGUCAAGAUCGACCACGGUCGCGCCCGUUCCAGGCAUGGGCGCACUUGUGCCUGCAACAACGAAAGCAUGAGGAUCGGUGAAGAAUGGCGCUAUUGAAGACGUGCAAGGGUGACCAGCAUGGUUACCUUGUGCGGCUGCCGGGCUAGCCGGGGAAGCCUCCCCUAGCUCGCCUGUGCCAGCAGGAGCGUCCACGAGGCUUGCCGCGGGUGAGCUGCCGCUCACUGCAAAAAAAAAGAAAAGGUACGCUCAUAAGUUUAGCUGACAAAAAUUGCAGUCGCAGAGGAGCAACGAAGACAUACCGGCUGCCGGCCCUGCCUCCGUGGGGGCUGGGUUGCCAAGGGGCACGCCCGUGUCGCUGCCGACCCCUGCGGCGCUGGGGUCGGCGGCGCUGCUGGCACCGGCGCGCGCCUUCUUGCUUGGUGUACCUGGCGGGGAAUCGCUCAUCGCCCUCUUGCUCGCACCGGCCGGCGAGGAGGACUUCAGGGGGUUACGCCGGAGUGCGAAGCCACGGAAGAUCCCCCGAGCAGGUGGCGCCAUGGGCGCCCACGGGGUCGUCGUGACCCGAAGAGCCCCGGGUGUCAACGGCCGAACUCGCGGAGGCCCCCGCUACCGGGGCGAAGGCCGUUGCCGGGGCACCGGCGAUCCCUGCAGGCGCUGGCGCUGCCAGGGUUCCAGCGGGCGCCCCGGGACCGGUUGCCGCCACAGUGCUGGUGGCUGCCGCUGAGGCGGAGGCCGCCACCGAGACACCUGCGGCCCCUGUUGCCGCGGAUGCCGUUGUGAUGCCAACGGGCGCCCCUGAAGCAGCCGCCGCCGCAAGGUUGGUGGCCGCUACCAGGGCAGACGUUGCCGUCGAGGAGAGGACUGCGGCCGCUGCAAACGCCCUCGAUGUCCUCAGGAUCAAGGGCGCGCUGUCGCUGCUUUUGUCGUCAUCGUCCACGGUGACCUUCUCCGGGGACGCAGCCACUUGGCCCGCCUCAUCGUCCGGCGACUGGAGAGAGGACCAGCAGGGCUCGGACCCGCCCCCACUCUCCUCGAGCACCUGCUUCUCGCGGGGUGCUUGCGGGGGAGCGUGCGGGACCCGGGUGGGGGUGUCGUCCAUCAACCCCCACUCGUUGCAGGGCGAGAACGCACCGACGAUGUCGCUGAGCGCCUGGACGCCGGCGUGGAGAGUGGAAACCCCCGGCGGGAACUCCGUUGAUUGGAAGGUCUCGCCGGAGAUCCCCUUCACCCAUGUCCUGAGGGUUUCAAGGUCCAUGCCGUCCUCCUGGAGGCGUGUCCUGUCCCCGGGACCCUUGUACAUCCACGCGGGCCGGGAGCGUAGCGGCAGCGGGGCUAUGCGCCGAUGGACGAAGGUGCGUGCCACGUCCACAUCGGUGAGCCCCGCUAGCCGCAGCGCCUUGAUCUUCUCCACGAUGGAGAAGAGGUCGGCGUCGCGGUGGUAUCUGUCCUGCCAGCCAUUCUGGGGUAGCGCCAACUUCGUCGGCGACUGAAUGAACUCCUGGGGGUCCUCCACUCGGACCCAGCACCAGUCGCUCCGCCACUCUUUUUCAAUCUUCUUCCCUGACCGGACGAUGAACUCAGACUUCAUUUGGUCGCGGGCACGGAAUACCACCCCCGACGACAUCGCCUUCGCGUUGUCAAUGCGGGGGUAGAAGUAGUGGCGGAAGAGCCCACCGACGGCAUCACCCCCACGAACGCCUCGCAGAGGAACUGGAAGGUGGCGAGGAGGAACAACGAUGUGGGGUGGAGGUGCGCCACCCGCAACUGGUAGGACUCCAUCAAUGUGUGGAGGAAUAGGGAGAAGGGCGGCAUCAUGCCGCAGAGGAGGAAGCGCGCGAACACCCGGAAGUCGUUGUCCUGGUGCUCGACGCCCGCCGGGAAGAUCCGCGUCUCCAUGUGUUCGUUCAAACUGGAAGCGACGGCAUGCCGGAGCUUCCCCAGCGCCUCGCCGUUAUAGCCGGGGCGGAAGAAGGCGACUGGGGCGCGCAUCUCCCGCCUCUUCUGGUCCUUGGCGGCGGCCGCCUUGAUUGCCGCCUCGCUCUUGCUUGUCGCACCCUUCUUCGAGACUUGGACCUCCUUCCCCUUUCUGGUGGUGGGAGGCGCCAUGGAAAGCGAGGGCGGAAGCUAGCAGGAGCGCAGGGAUGCGAGAUGCGGAGGGGGGUGGAGACGAAGGAAAUAGGGGCAGAGUAUUGUUCCCCGUUUUGGCAACAGUGAUGGCUUUAUAACGCCCGGCCAUUUGGUAACGGCCGGUUCCGUACCCUACGGGUGCGCGGGGAUAACUCCUAAUCAUUAGGAGUAAUGGGCGGAGUGGCCUUAACUUUCCUAUUUAGGGGGGGAGUUAGGGCGGAAGUCACGCGUCCACUACUCCGUUUCUAACGGUGCCGUACACGCGACGACACGAAGGGACGCAGGCCCGCGGCGAAUCGGGACCCACACGUCGGUUGAGGGCGUAGCUCGGCAACCGACCUGGGGAAGACUCAUCCGGGAACAGGUGAUGCCAGCCCACGCCCGGGGGCUACUGUCGCACCAGCGGCACCCGGCGUACCACCGCUGCGUGACGCGUGGGCCCCGUCCCUGAGUUCCCGGGAAGGUUCCAUCCCGGGCGGCGGCUACGAGCAACCCGGCAAGCUACCAGCCCGGAAGGGCUAGCGGGGCUUCGGGGAAUAUUCCUGCCUGGGCACCUCCUGGGAAGCCGCUUCCAUGGGGGAGGUUCGCGGGUGCGCUGGGCCCGGGAGCUUCCGGGGAGCGACUUGCUGGGACAGGGGGUUCCCGGGCGCAUGCCCCCGCCUCAGGCGCGGGGCCCAGUAGCCAGAUCUACAGCGCCACAAGGACGCGUGGCGGGCGUGUGAUGUGCGGUCCCACCAGGGCAAGGAGUAAGGCGCACGACUCAUUAAAUGAGCCGACCGACGGGGCGUUACCCGUCCGAUCAAAGGAACAGUGGCUGUCCAAUCCUACUCUAGGGGUUUUAGACCCCUAGCGGCGGAGGUGGCAUCCAUGCGCGCUACCAGCUCACCGGGGGGAGUUAUAUGCCUCCCCGCCCGACAUUUGUAGCUCAUGCACCGUGGCAUCUGUGGCAUCCCCUUGAGUAUAAAAGGAGGACCCUCGCCAGCGGUCAAAGGAUUCUGGAGGAGAUUAGUUGGCUCCAGUAGACAGUUUCGCUGAGUUCGACCGGCUCAUAGUUAGCUUCCCGCACUAGCAAAGAGUAGGAAGGGGUACCUAGCCAGUGAGAGAGAGCCCGGGAACUUGCCCAGCAACUUGUAAACACUCGAUUCUAAACUAAUACCAGCGCGGACAAGCAGGACGUAGGGUUUUACACCUCCGGGUGGCCCGAACCUGGGUAAAAACGUGCGUGUGUUUGUUCUUGAAUUAGCGCGCACCCCUAGCACUUCAUCGCUCCGGCCCAGUAGGGCCCCACCGGCCGUGCCGACGAUCGCCGAGGUGAACCCUGACGCCCCCACCGAACCUAAAAGGGGGCAGUAGCCGCACGCCCCCGGUGUCUGAGCACCGUGCGACGACAACGCGGUGUGGCACGGUGGAGACGGGGACGGGGUCGGCGCUCCUCGGGGUCAACGGCGUGCUUGCCUAGGACGAAACGAGCACGGCGGUGGUCGGCGACGGGCGGCGAAGCUUCGGGCUCGGGUCGUUGGGGCGCUGCAGGGCACGAAAGUGAAGACGGCGCGCGUCAUGGUGUGCGCGAGGAAGCAAGGAAGACGAAGCAGCGGUCAAUUUGGAGCUAGGUUUCGCAGCUUACCGGCGGUGAUGAAAAACGGCGGCGGCGUCCGCGGAACUCCGGCGAAAGAUUUCGGCGGCGUGGGUGCGUGCGAGAGGGGGCGAGCAGAGGGGAAGAAGAGAGGAGGGGCAGAACUUUAAAAGGACGUGCUCGGGGCACUUCAAGAAGGCCGGGGGAGGAGAUUGCGGCGGAGACGGCGCACGGCGGCGAAAACAGCAAGCGCGCGCGUCGCGGGGGCUUUCCUUACGAGGAAGAUUGCCCUGACAGGCGGGCCCCGCCUGUCAGCGGUUCGGGCGCGCGGAACUGGGCCGGUUCGGCCCAUUUGGCCGGGCCGGUUGGGUUUUCUUCCUUUUUUUUUCUUUUAGCCUUUUCUUUUUUCUGUUUUUAUUAUUUUCUUGAUAUCUUUUGAUUUUGAACUCCAAAUUGGUCCAACUAAAUUUUAGAAAAUUUGUAAAAUCAUGUUUUAUCAUGAUUCAACUUUUGAGAGUGAUUUCCUCUCAAAAUAAAAUAUAUAAAAAUACAUUUUCCCUAUAAAUGCCUUUAGGAUUAUAUAAGUAUUUAAAUAAAGUAAUUUUCCAACUCCAAAUAAUUAUCCAAAAAUUAUGGGAUAGCUUAUUUAUGCAAUAAACCCCUUUUAUAAACAAACCCUAUUGGUUUGAAGAUCCAAAGCUCAAAUAGGUGAAAACUUUAGGAUUUAAAUUUAAAUAAAAUCUUUUAAAGCCUUUUGAGAUUCAAAUUUGAAUUCAAAUAUGCAAUUGUGGCAUGAUGCUCAUGGAUGCAAUGCAUAUGAAAGGGUUUGAAAUUUUGGGAUGUUACAAGAUUCCAGUGGCAUGUAGAAAAAUUCUCCCUGUUCCGCUAUUAUCAGGGCGGACUACACAAAAGUUGUUUUAUGUUCACUUACAAUAUACAGCAGUAUAAGAGCUCAAUUUAAUUACCAGUUAACGCCGGCUUCGAUUGAUGAUCUCCAGCAAAUGGCAAACCUUAGUUGUCGCAUGCAUGCUGCUUGAAGGUUGAAGCCCCUUCGUCUGCACUGCAUGCGUUCACAUUGCAUGUGCACGGAUCGGAGUUGAUGCAUGCUAUGGGGUAUAUAUGGUCACCUCUUGGCCCUGGAUGCUCUCCGGCUGAGCACGGCCCAAUAGAGCACCCGGUAGAGGAGGAAGAAGCCGAACAGCACUUGCAACCCGGUCCAGCGCUCCUCGGGUGUGAGCCCCCUUGCCGCCAGCACGUCGCGCCCCGUCUGCGAGCACUUAUCCUCUCCUCCAACGCCGAAGCACCGGUUUGCGGCGCAGGAGAACUCGUUGGCGAGCAUGGCGUCCAGCGCGUACUUGUACGGCGAGGCGUAGUGCAUGAACACCCAGUACGUUGGCGUGCUCCCCCUGGACAGGAAGUAUCCGGAGAAGAGGAAGAAUCCCGCCAGUGACACGGACACGAGCGACAUCCCGGCGAUGUAGUCCGGCGCGAAGGAGCUGACAAAGAGCACGAAGGAAUUGGCCGUGAGCACAACGGCCCACACCACGAGCACGAACACCGCGAAGGCGGACGGAGACGCGCAUAGGCCCGCGAGAAAGUAGAGGCAGGAGGAGUAGAGCAGGGCGACCGCCAGGAGGUACGGGAGGAACACCGUAGUGGCCGCCGCCGCGUGGGAGGAGAGCCUGUAGAGCCCCGCGGACGUCUCGGCGAGCACGAUGGGCCGCUCCGUGACGAACGUCGGCAGCGUCUCCGUGGUGGAGGUGAGCAGGAAUGUGAGCGUGAAGGCAAACAGCCCCAGCCGCUUGUGCUCGCCGGCCUCGCCGUAGCCGGCGUUGAUGUAGAUGCUCCCCAGCAGCGUCCCCACCACCACGGCCUCCAGGAAGUUUGUCAUGAGCAGCUGCUUGCUCCGGUACACCACCUUCCAUGCUCUCUUGUACAGAACCGCGAACUCGCGUGCCCGCGAGCACGGCGCCGCCAUUGCCGCUUUGCGGUGGUGGUAUGAUGAUAAAUCGGAUGACGACUUGGUGAGAUUAUUAUUAAGAUCUUGAGUAGUGGACCUGGGUUGUUCAGGGCAGGAGGGUGAGGGGUGGGGGAUCUGGUCGAUGACUUCGAGGGCGAACUCUAACGGGUUGAGCUGAGGCGGGACGGCGAGGCCGUGGGAGAGGAGCGCGGCGUCGAGGGAGGCGAGGGAGCCGUGGUGGAGUACGGUGCCACGGGAAAGGAGGAUCAGGGAGUCGACGGCGGAGAGGAGGCGCGCGCUGGGCUGGUGGAUGGACAGCACCACCGUGGUGCCCCUGGCAGCCGCCACGGCGCGCAGGCAGCCGAUGACGACGAACGCCGAGGAGGAGUCGAGCCCGGACGUGGGCUCGUCGAGGAGCAGCACCCCGGGGUCACGGAGCAGGGCGAGCCCGAUGGACACCCGCCUCCGCUCCCCUCCGGAGAGCCGCGAGGCGCAGACCCGCGUGUGGGCCACGUGCGCCAGCCGGAGAUCCGCGAGCAGCGAAGCCACGGCCAAAGACGACGAGGCCGUACUGUGCAGCAGCGAGGCGGCGAAGGAGAAGGUCUCGGCGACGGUGAGGAGCGAGAGCGCGGCGUCUGCCUGGGGCACGUGGGCGGAGAGGCGGCGGAAGGAGGAGGAGCGGAGCGGGGCCGCGUUGAGGAGGAGGCGACCGUGCGUGGGCGCGGUGCGCGCGGCCAGGAUGUCGAGCAGCGUCGACUUGCCCGCGCCGCUCGGGCCCACGACGGCCAGGAUCUCCCCCGCGCGCGCCGUCAGCGAUACGCCCCGGAGGAUGUAGUCGGGAGCCGCCGGUGCGGCGCCGCACGGCCGCAUCGUCAGGAGGCGACGCGCGAGUAGUACUGCUGACGACGACGCUGCCGGCUUCGCGUAGUAGAUGUCCCGGGCGGCUAGCUCGUACAUCACCUUGUUGUUGCUGCUGCUGCUGUUGGGUGUUGACGCGCCGGCGGCAUCGUCAGCUUCGGCGACGGUUGUAGUGAUUAUGGUUGCCAUAUUUGCCAUCAUCCAGAGGAAACGGGACGAUUCGAUGGAAGGGGUGGUAAUCUAAUCAUGCAUGAUAAGGAGGUAAAUAUAUAUGUCCAGAGGACAGCGAGUUUACGACCCCAUCGAUCGAUCUCUCACUCACCGAGCUAGCUGAGCUGAGGUGCGUCACGGGUCGUUGGAGCUCUCUGCGUUGGAGAAGGGGUGCUCGUGAGCUCUUGUUUGUCGUGGGACAGGUGAAUGUCCCGUGUCGCCUAGGAUGCUUACCAAAGCUAGCUCCAUCUCGUGACGGCACAUCAAGCUGGGGUCACUCACCAGUCACCACGCAGCGCAUUGCCAUACAAAUGAUUCGCUUCCAUGUGGCUCGGCCCGGGCACCACGUACAACGUCGUGCAUUAUAGAGUCCGUUACGUGAAGGCCGACUAGCGGCGACGGCAAACCUCCGGAACGCGCCCGGCCGGGCUGACGUCGAGCUACGCGUCGAGCGGGAAGCGGUGUUGCUAUAGCUUCUGAGUUUGACACGUGGUAGCCGGGUUCCCUGGCGGAGAUCCGCAAACGCCUUGAGGCUGGUCAACAUGCUUAUGUUACUCCUACUCAGUGGAUAAUCACUUAUACGUGGUGUCAUGAGCUCUUCUAUGAUAUGAUUAAUAUGAGUGGUCCGUUUGUCAAGAUCUAACAGUGAAGAUUGAUCUAUACUGGUGUUUUGGGUGAGCAGUACAUACAGAGCAGUCUAUGGAAUCCGAGGGCAAAUUAGGAAAACACAAAAUUCUGCAUGCAUGCCCACCCGUUCACACGAUCCGCUACAUAUCCCUUUUGCUGCCAUAAAUUCGGCUGCUCUCUUCUCAAUACGAAAACUGAAAUGAGAAGAAGUAAUGGUGUCGGCGGAGUGACAGGGCUCAGGGACGCUACAUGCGGCGCAAUACAAGAUGAGCAUGGCGUGCACCCGUCCAGAGAGCCAUGGCGGAUGUGGUUGAGCAGAUCACGCAACUUCUCACCCUCCUAAUUAAGUGGCAAUUAUAUUGAAUCCUGAUAUAAGCGACGACUAUGCCUCCGAUUGUGCUUGUGCAUGCUCGUGAUUUCAAGUUCCAACAUAUGGUUUUACCCCUUACACUAGCUUCACGAUGCCGCUUCAUGGUUGCGGACAGUGAUCCACCAUACUUGCAACAACUAAGAUCGACGAGCAUACGUAUGUACAAGGGUUUUUAUUUCCGUGCCCUCGGUUCCUUAGUUGUACUCAGUUUUGUGCAAGGUUUAAAACGUUGCUCGCUUUUACACUUCGUUUUUUGGCAAAUGCUCGCAAAUGUCCUCAUGGCGGACCUGUUAACGUUCAAGGCCUUUGACCGUUACCUCCUGACGGGUGGGGCCAGGUUAAAUCCUGCCGACUGGGCCAACCUAGCUACUGACAUGUGGGGCUGAAGCAACAGGAAAAUUAUCCCUUUGACUGUAGAAGAAAUGAUUAAUUUGCAAGUGGGUCCACCGUUGGAAGGAAAAAUCGGGCUGCUUCUGGCCACUGCCUCGCCGACGCUUUGCCGUCGCCGGAGUUGCUCUCCUGCGCGACAUAGGCCAGGCAGGGGGUGGGGUGUCUAGCAGGCGCAAGGCCGCUUCACCCUGAGGUGCCGAUGGAGCUUGUCAUUGCUGAAAUCUUGCUGGCCGCGGGCUCGUGCAGUCUGCGGUGGUGGAGGGCUCCGCUAGGAGGCGGGGCGAUACAGAGCACGGGAGAGGCAGGAAAGAGGGGCAAAAGAAUGAGUAGGUCAUCACGAAUCUGACGGAGGCAUUGGAAGGGGAGGAGGAGCACUGCGCGAGAACCUCGACGCCGGCGGGUGGCAGGCAGAGAGGAGCAGUGACUCGGACCACGUGAGGCUCAAUGAGAAUCACCGGAAGGUUCAGAGUGAUCAGGUGGAGCUGAGGGAGGCGGCGGUCGAGUCCGCAGGUCGCCGAAGAAGGAGAUCUGCUCGGUGGCAGCAACCAUUAGGAGCUGAGGAAUAAGAGGGUGACGCAGCGAUUGGAGGUUCCUCGGGUCGAUUACUUCUGCAGGAAGGAUUCUCAAGCCGGUGCGGGUCUCUUGGGCAAGGUGGCGAGGCUUGUGGAGGACGUUGGCCAUGACGGCGCAAUCUAGCGGCGCAUGAGCGUGCUCUGGACGGCGCGAAUGCCAUUCGCGUUCCGGCCAGAAUAGAGCACGAGAGGAUGCGCGGCUUGCGGAUAUAGCUUCGACUUGUCUACGAGGUCGUGGCGGCAAGGUUUAGCGGCCGGGUGAAGAAGCGACAGUGUCGCAAUGGAUGGCAGAAAGAGCGGCCAGGAAGAUGAGCUGCUUUUGUUCAACGGGGGGGAAAUGGAGCCACUUCCUUUGAGCCCACUGGAAUGGACAAUUUUGUAGAAAUCUUGGAAAUUGAACUUCCUCCAAAUUGAUCUCUGAUAGCACAGAUGCAAUCCGAAUGGAAAGUUAUGUAAGAUGACGAAAUUUCAAAUUGUUUUGAGAAAGUUGACUUUUGUUGACCGGACCCACUAUUUGGCAAGUUUAAUGUAAAUUUUGGAAUUGAAUCACAAAACUUUCUCCAAAUGAACUCAAACUUUGCACACUAGUCACAUAUGCGUAUUAAUGUCCUCAUCUCAAAGCUUGUUCAAAUCUGAAUUGUUUACCUAUUUUUUGAAUUUCAAACUCAAACAAAUAUGGAGGAACUGUUACCUCAAUUACCGCUUAGAUUCACAAGUUUCGUCCCAGAAGAUUUUCAUAGCGUUUAGUGUUCAUCCUUGAUGUUCUCUCCAAAUUUUAGAUUUUCUGGAGUUGGGGAACGAUAUUUCGUGCAUUCUUUGAAUUUCCAGUCUUUUCGGCUCAUAAUUCAAAAUUCAAUGAAACUUCGCACAAAUCGAUGUGGAACCAAUAUAACAAAGUCAUGGUUGUGCCAUGGCAUUCCAAAAAACUUGGAAUGCACGGGGUCCAAACGCAUUUGAAUCCUUUUUGCACCUAAACUAUUGUUUUUUCCUAUUCUGCCAAUUGGAAAAAAUAUAAUAACAGGAAAAUUUAUCCGGAAAAAUCUGAAAACCUGCAUGGGCUCUUUAUUUGUCAAUACCUGUCACCAAAAAAAAAUCAGACCAGAAUCUAUUUGUGAUCACAUGCAUGAUGUUCAAAGUAGCACAUUUCUCUGGGAUGUUUUAGAAUCUCUAAAGAAGAUGUUGGAAGUUUGAUGUAAAUUUUGGGAUUGAAUCACAGAACUUUCUCCAAAUGAACUCAAACUUUGCACACAAGUCAAAUAUGCAUAUUAAUGUCAUUAUCUCAAAGUUUGUUCAAAUCUGAAUUGUUUACCUAUUUUUUGAAUUUCAAAUUGAAACAAAUCUGGGGAACUGUUAGCUCAAUCACUGCUUAGAUUCACAAGUUUCAUCCCAUAAGAUUUUCAUAGCGUUUAGUGUUCAUCCUUGAUGUUCUCUCCAAAUUUCAGAUUUUCUGUAGUUCAGGAACGAUAUUUCGUGCAUUCUUUGAAUUUCCAGCCAUUUCGGCUCAUAAUUCAAAAUUCAAUGAAACUUCACACAAAUCGAUAUGGAACCAAUAUAACAAAGUCAUGGUUUUGCCAUGGCAUUCCAAAAAACUUGGAAUGCACCGGGUCCAAACGCAUUUGAAUCUUUUUUGCACCUAAACUACUGUUGUUUUUGCCUAUUCUGCCAAUUGGAAAAAAAUAUAAUAUUCGGAAAUUUUAUUCGAAAAAAUCUGAAAACCUGCAUGGGCUCUUUAUUUGUCAACACCUAUCACCAAGAAAAAUUCAGACCAAAAUCAAUUUGUGAUCACAUGCAUGAUGUUCAAAGUAGCACAUCUCUCUGGGAUGUAUUAGAAUCUCUAAAGGAGAUGUUGAAAGUUUGAUGUAAAUUUUGGAAUUGAAUCAGAAAACUUUCUCCAAAUUAACUCAAACUUUGCACACUAGUCACAUAUGCCUAUUAAUGUCAUUAUCUCAAAGCCUUUUCAAAUCUGAAUUGUUUACCUAUUUUUUGAAUUUCAAACUCAAACAAAUAUGGGGGAACUGUUACCUCAAUCACCGCUUAAAUUCACAAGUUUUGUCCCAGAAGAUUUUCAUAGCGUUUGGUGUUCAUCCUUGAUGUUCUCUCCAAAUUUUAGAUUUUCUGAAGUUGAGGAACGAUAUUUCGUGCAUUCAUUGAAUUUCCAGCCUUUUCGGCUCGUACUUCAAAAUUCAAUGAAACUGCGCACAAAUCGAUGUGGAACCAAUAUAACAAAGUCAUGGUUUUGUCUUGGCAUUCCAAAAAACUUGGAAUGCACCGGGUCCAAAUGCAUUUGAAUCCUUUUUGCACCUAAACUACUGUUUUUGCCUAUUCUGCCAAUUUGAAAAAAAAUUCAGAACAAAAUCAAUUUGUGACCGGCCUUACUUUACCAACAUUGUUUCGUUCAAAAUACUACUACCUUAUGCCGAUACCAUACCCAUUUAUAUAAGAGAAAAAAUGGAUAACAUUCCAUAUAGAUCGAUGGGUACCCAAGAUCGAUUACAAAAUAGGAAUAAAAAUAGAGAUAUGUAGCAACAUAUACAUAUGCAGCUAGAGAUAAAUAGGAUAACAUUAUGCAGCAUCGUCGUCUUCGCCGUCGUUGAGACCGAAGAUGGCGUCGCGCUCCGCCCGGAUUUCCGUGACGUUCUUCCUCCCCCGCUCCUUGAGAAGGUUUCUCCUCUCCGAGUUUAGCGUCGCGAGCUCAAACUCGUACCGCUCCCUCGCCUCCGCCGCCUCUCGUUCGCACUCGUUGGCGAAAUCUUCAGCCACGGAAGCCACCUUCGCGGCAGCCAUGUGCCGCUGGUCGGCUUCCCGCACACGCUGCUGGAGGGGGCGUGGCGCCGAUUGAUCUCGCACUCGGCCUACUCCUCGUCCUUGUCAUCGUCGUCGUCAUCAUCGUUGAGGGAGAGUCGGCCGCAGGACGAGCACGGGACGUCCACAUCGAUGCGGGCACGCUUUGGCGGCGGCGAGCUGCUGCGACGAGCGGCGGCGUCCAUACUGAAUGCAUGAGACAAUGCCGCCAGCGCAUGGCGGCGGGUGCCAGAUGGCAGAGUGGUGGCCAGCUCAUGCCCAUGGCCGCCGCCGACCGAGCUCUUGGUACCGUCUACUAGCUCCUUGUCCUUGGCCAUGGUGGAGAGAAGUGGUAGAUCUCGAGAGAGAGCGAGAGGAAGAAUGUGGAUAAGAUCAGAGGAGACGAGAGAAUCGGUUUACUGGGCACGCACAUAAGUAGUAGUGGGGAGAAGAAGCCGACGGGACCGAGAGAGUAGUGGGGAGAGGAAAUAGACGGGACGAUCUCACAGUUAUUGAGAGUGAGUGGGAAAUGUGCUGGGAUCGCUCUGACUGGGCCGCGCCGCCGUGCACGCCUGCUAUUGACGCCAGUUCGCUCCAACUUCCCACGUACGCUAGUUUUCCAUGCAUUUGAAACUGCGCCGGCGACCGCAUUCAAAGCCCACUGAUCGCCGGAAAACCUCUCCCCUUCCCCUGUCACCAUCGCUAUUUAACCCGGCGCCAUGGCUAUGCUUCUUCUACACAGCUCUCCAUUCUUCUCCUUCUUCUACACAGCUCUCCACUCCACUUCUUCAACCCGCCGCCCAACGUCCCCACUGACGACAAGCAAUGGCGUUCGAAGGCCUCACCUUCAACCCGCCACCCCUCACUGACGAGGCGUUGUUCCCACCUGGCGUGCAUCUGGACCGGACGCUCCAGGUGUGGGCGAUGUCGCGCAGCCGGAUCUCAAUGGCACUGGCCAGGAACUUCCUCAACACCGGCUUCAGUCACCUGGAGGCCAGUGGCCCUCCAAUGUACCGCCUGGAGAGGCUCCGCGAGCACGGCGUCAAAACCGCCCUCCUGGUGCACCUCACCAAUAGCCAUGACGCCGAUUACCUCCUUGGCUGCGUGUACUGGUGUGGAUGCGAGUUCAUUGCAUUCACGUUGUACAACGUGUACACCAACACUACGACCACGUUCCCCCAUGCCGGCGAGAUGCACGGCCUACCGUACAUGGAGGAGGCGGAGGCGCUUGUGGAGGUGGCUGUCAAGGGGCCUGCGCCGCCUCUGGAGGAAUCUGAAGACGAAGCCGAGGAGUGAGCGAUCAAUCGGCGUUUUUUUUUCAAAAUUAUUGUCGUUAAUGUAAGCCCUUGUUGGAAUAUAUGAACUAGGUUCUUUAUUCCAUGGCUGUGUUGUGUCCGCGGCGUGAGCGCGCGACAAUGGCGCAUCCUAGCGUCUGUCCCGCCGACCGAAAGCAUCCUAGCGGUGCGUCCUUGCGUCCACUUCCCCGUCCCGAUCCUUGUCCUCGUUCCGAUCCCCACGCUGUAGCGGCCGUCGUCGCAGUGGCCAGAGUCAAGCUCGCCAAAGCCCGGCCCGGCGCACAGCACGCAUUGGUCCCGCCCGUCAGGCUUAUACCCGGUCCCACCCAUCAGCAGCUAACGGCUUGAUCGAGUUGAACGUGAGGAGGUGCUCCGUGAUGGUAAAAGCGAGCAUUUGCGCAAAGGAGGAGGGUAGAAGCGAGCAGUUUCCAGUAACCCAUCCUAUUGUGCACCGGUGUGUCAAACUUUUAAGUUGUUAAAUCCUAGUUCAAUUUUUUUUCCAGGUAACCUACUCCAGAGAUCUAAGGCCUAGGAUAUGAUACCAACUGUAACACCUUGAACAUCGACCCUAUCUGGAAUAUUACUACACUAUGCAAAUAAAGCUAACUCCUAGGAAAAACUAGAAUUUUCGGCAAAGUCUCCGUUGUUUAUAAGGACAUCCACAACAGGCAAUUUAUAAUAUCUCUCAAAUAUAUCCAGCAACUAGAAAGUCAUGCACACCGUCUCAUAAUAAUUAAGUAGACUCCAAGGAAACUAAAUAGGAAGUCUCAAACAACUAACGUCUCCAACCAACAAAGGUAUAAGAAAGGGGUUCUCAACAUUGACUUUAUCUAGCAUUAAGAAUGAAACUAUCGCUCUGAUUGAUAACGUGUGUUGUGUGCUGUCCAGAUUUAGUGAUGCUACUCCCGCCCAUGCAUGCCAUUAUUCGGAAUACCUGGAAAACCAAAUAAAACAACAAGAGAGCAAGAGUGAGUAAUCCUUACUCAGCAAAGGACACAAUAUGGAGCCAUAAUAACAGCAUACAUUACAUGAAAGCACACUCCAAAUAAAAACCAUAAAACUCUUUUAUAAUCUUUGUACUUUUUGGUUGGAGCAUUCCGGAAUAUUCACGGUUAACUUUCUCACCGUCCACACCGGAAUAGUUAAACACGUGAAUUACUCACCGACCUAGCUCAAGCUCACCGGAAUAGUUACAUAUAAUAACUCACCGACCGCACCGGAAUAGUUACCUGAAACUUACUCACCGCCCUGGCUUAAAACAAAACCUUCCGAUAGCACAAAUCCCAAAGAAAUCAAAUGGCAACUCGGUUAACCAAUCAACAUUGGCACACAAUUUCACAGGAGGCUCGUCAUGUACUUGCCUUAAUCCCGAUAGAGGACGGACAAUUAAUCCGCAGAUCUAUGCCCAACACCCGAAGCUUCUGGACCUGUGGGCAAAGCAAGUCUUAAAACCAACUCAUAUCCUAAAGUUCCAGUUUUUAGAGAUCCUUCUUGUCUACUUAUUAUUGGAACUGAACGUAAAGGUGCUAGUAGCAAACCACCUACUGGACUAAUCAAACGCUAAACAAACAAUACAGAGUUUUCCAUGUUUGACUUCUAGAGCAAGUACUAAAAUUCAUCCAACUAAUUAAUCAAAGCCUUUGCAGCUACUGAUACUAAUCUCCAUGCUUUGCAAUCUGCGGCUGAUUAAACAGCAGGCCAACAAGCUCAAUUUGAUUCAAUCUGCAUCUGUCCGAACAGCAGGCCCACAGCAACAGCCACUGGAAAUCAAUUUUCAAUCAGCUAACUAAGAGCAGCAGCUAGCAAGUCAUUCCAUCGGCCAAAACAAGCAGCCUGUCCAGCUCUAAUUAAUUUCGAUUCUCUGAAACUAACUGCAGCGAACUAGCAGAUUACUUCCAGGCGGCAAGGAACCAGCACAGCUCGUACCUGGCAGCAGUUCCCGACGUAGACGACGGCGAGCAGUGAGAACUGCGACCACGGCGACACCACCAGCAAGGCAGUCACGAGACAGCAGCAGAGGCGAGCUCGUGGCGGCGGCAGCGGCGAACUAACCCUAGGCGCUGGCGGCUGGGUCGGGGAAAAGAAAGGCUCGGCCUUGGGCAGUAAAACAGGGGAUUAAAACCAAGGGUCCCUGAUCCUUCUCCGACUCAGGUUCCACACCGCAAGCUGGUUUUCUUUUCUUUUUUUUUGAAUUUUUUCUUUAAUUCCAAAAUUCACUUAAAAGUUGAAAAUAAAGGUUGCUCGGGCUAAUUGAUUCGGGCUCCGAAAUUAACGAACCUAUGGUCAAUUUCGAUCGACUCGAUGAGACGAAUCUAACCGUGGUCUCAGAUUUUCCGUACGGCUUGUGAUUCGGAAAGAAAAAAUAUGGUCAACUCUGUCGCUUCAAGCUGAAAUUAACCUUUAUAAAAUUCGGGGUAUUACAUUCUACCCCCCUUUAACUGAAUUUGCCCUCGAAUUUCUGGCUUCACUGAUGGGAGAAAGAAUAUCGGAGCAAAAAGAAGUAAAGCUUAAUUACUAGAUCUAGAUACUUUUUCCGCAUCUUUGUUUCAAGCUCCCACAUUGCCUCCCUUCCCGUUUGGUUCGUCCAAAGCACCUUGACGAACUUGAGCAUCCGAUGCCUCAUUACUCUAUUGGCUUCCUCCAAAAUUCUCAUCGGUCGAGCCUCAAAAGUCAAAUCUUGCUCAAUGGCAAUGGGCUCCAAAGUAAUCUGACGCUCUGGAUCUCGAAAAUACUUCCUCAACAUGCUGAUAUAAAACACAUUAUGCACUCCAUUCAUUGACUCGGGCAGCUCGAGAUGAUAGGCUAACUUCCCAGCUCGUCCCACUAUCUUGAAGGGUCCAAUGUACCUUGGACUAAGUUUUCCUUUGAUAUUAAACCUCACAACACCCUUGGUACGUGAUACUCUGAGAAGCACCUCGUCACCUACUUGAAAUUCAACCUGCUGCCUCUUAAGAUCUGGAUAGCUCUUUUGCCUACUCUAUGCUGCCAACAUAAGAUGUCUUAUUUCAACAACCCGCUCUGUGGUUUGUUGUACCCAAUCUGGCCCCAACACAGCCUUCUCGCCCACGGCACUCUAGCCAAGUGGCGAUCUGCACUUCUUUCCAUACAGAGCCUCAAAAGGUGCCUUGCGGAUGCUGGCCUGGUAACUAUUAUUGUAUGAAAACUCAACAAGUGGUAAAUGAUCCUCCCAACUUCCUUGCCACGAUAGAAUACAACACCUUAGCAUGUCUUCAAGUGUCUGAAUAGUGCGAUCUGACUGGCCAUCUGUUUGGGGAUGAAAUGCCGUGCUAAGCCUCAAUUGUGUACCUAAGGCAUUCUGCAAGCUCUCCCAAAACUUCGAGGUGAACUUAGCAUCCCUGUCAGACACAAUGGUUUUCGGCACGCCAUGCAACCUUACUAUCUCUCGCACAUAAAUCAGUGCCAAAUCACUAGCCGAGGUUGUGGAACGAAUAGGAAUAAAAUGAGCUACUUUACUAAGUCGGUCCACAACCACCCAAAUCACAUCCUUCCCUCACGGUGUACGAGGUAGGCCAACAACAAAAUCCAUAGCAAUGUCGUCCCAUGGCCACUCCGGAACUUCUAAGGGUUGCAAUAACCCUGCUGACCUCUUAUGCUCAGCCUUCACCUGCUGACAUACCCCACAAAACGACACAUACUUAGCGACAUCCACCUUCAUCUUUUCCAUCAAAAGCUUUUCUUCAAGUCCUGGUACAUCUUAUUCUCUCCUGGAUGUUGAUGUGGGUCGGGGUGGCCCGAUCUUUCGAUGAGAUUGGUAACUCUCGAUUUGGGUAGGAGAUGACGUUGACGAUCCGAUUACGGCCUAGGAGGCAGUGACUUAGCAAUCGCUACACCAAUUCCAGAGGGUUAGUGAUCACGCGGGGGCACGAUCAACCUGAUGUAACAGCCCAAGAGCAACCCUUUUCUUUUUAAACCCUUUUGGACUUGUUUGUAAUUCAUGCUCAUGUCAUCAUCAACAUUUUGCCAUGUCAUUAGCAUCAUGUCGCCUGAAAGUACUUUCGUUUGCACAAAAGUUGUCGUUUCAUGUGUUUGCCUUUUCGCGUGUUCGCGAAAGCCUAAAAUUAUUUUUGUAGAACAUUUAAUUUGAGUUUGACAAAUUAAUUCCGGCUUUAAUUAGACCUAGCCUCUUGUCUCUUAAUUUGUUGCGAAAAUCUAAAUUUGCAAAACCUAUAUGUUUGUUUGAGACUUUUGUUGGCCCAAAAGCCCAUUAAGACAAACCCUAACCCUACCCUUUUUAAUCCCCUUUUCCUUCUUUCUCUUUUUCUUUCUCUCCCUUUCUUCCCAAGCUGCGCCGCCAGCCCUCUUUCCCCUUUCUUCUUCCCCGCGAGAUCCUCCCGAAGCUAGCUGGCUCGAUGUGCUCCCAUGGCCGAACCCACCGGCCUCUCUCCCCUUCGGCUCUCUCUCUCGCCGAGCCGCCCCCUCUCCUCCUCUCUCCCUCUGUGCCGGCGCCUCCCGCUCCGCCUCCCCUGCCUCAGCGCCGCCUCGCCCGUCCACGCGCGCCCCCUACCGCUCCGCCUCCACCUGCUCCUCUGCGCCGCGCGCCGCCUCCUCCGGCCGUGCCUGCCCACGCCGCCGAGCUCCCUCGUCUGCGCCGCUCCCCGCGCCCUCCUCUGCCGCGACCCGUUCUUGAGUCCGAGCCGCCUCUCCCUGGUCGCCCCUCUUCGCGCGCCUCCCUCUCUUCCGUGCUGUCUCCCCGCGACCACCGCGCCUCCUCCUGCCGAGCGCGCCAAGCCGCCUCCCCGUCGCCGCGCCUGCCCUCGCGCCCCCUUCUCCUCUCUCCUCGCGCGACCGCUCCCCUCUGCUCUUUCUGCUGCGCGUCGCCGCCUGCACCUCGUCGGCCGACCUCCUCCCCAGCUCCGCCCCAAGCACCUGGCCGUGCGUCUCCGAGCUCCAUCACCGUCGACCUGCUGCUCGACCUCGCCUCCAGCACAUUGCCCGCAGGCCCAGCAAGCCCAUCUCCAAGCCCAAGUCCAGCAGGCCCGUGGCCUUCUUCUUUUUCUUUCUUUUCUGUUUUUCUAAAAAUGUUUCCCUUAUGCGUGGGCUCCGUUUGUCAGCCGCCUACUACUUGCUGCUAUUGCCACUGGUGCUUGCUGUUUUGCUGCUGCUGUGCUACUGUUACCGCUGCUCCGCGAGUGCUUCGCCGUGUCGCUGCCCAAGUCCUUGUUGUGCGUCGUGAAGACCGAAGAACCUCCGAGCCGGAGCCGUGAACGACUACGACCACGACGAUUGAACGACUACUUCGCCUACGACGACUACGUGUACGACUACGUCGACUACUUCCUCUACAUCGCGACGCCGCACGUGUCCAAGGUAUAACGAGCGACCGUCCCGUGAACCGACCGUCCCGUGACGUAGACUCGUAGGUUGCGAUUGAUGAUAUGCAUGUGUUGUAUGAGGUGCUGUGUAUGUACCGAUAGUAUCGAUAGUUGCAGGUAUCUCGUUGCCUUUGGCAUGUGCAACCCUGACCUAGUCGGAUCCUUGUGUUGUUCUUGUUUUAAAGCAUGCAUCGCACCUAUUCAUGUAAUUGUCAUGCAUCCUAAUGCAACUAUAACAUUGUUGUGUGUGUAUUUGAUCCAUUAAAUUCUAUUCCUUGCAUAUGGAGUUGUAUAGGUGCUAUGUGUAGUAUUUUCGGACUCCAUUUAACUUGGUAAAUUGUAUAUCGGAUUUACUUUCGAAAUAGUUAAUAUGUCAUGCAUCAUCCUUAUGUCACGUAUCAUUCCUUGAUUGCGCAUAUUAAUUACCAUGUGUAUCGUGUAUGCUUAUACUUCCUUUUAUGUCGUCUAUUUGCUUCUUCCUCGCUAGUCUUCGAUUCCUACGACGACGACUACACUUGUGUUGUUCUUCCAGGAUUCUUGCUCAAUUCCGGGCAAUUGUGUACUCCAGGCAAGCAGCCAUUCCUUGAUCAUGUUGUUUAUACCCAAUGCCUCUCUCUCAUUCUUGCACUAAGUUACGUUCUCAGUCCUGUCACGAUGCCUUUAGGAUUGCAUAGCUUUUUAGUCAGCUCUACUCAAAUGCCUUUGCCUUGUUACUUAUCCUAUUACCAUGUCACAUGUUUGUUGUUGCCCUACAUCUUGGUCAUUAGAUGUCAUGUUUAGUUGCGAGUCUAGUGUCCUUGCUUGGGUUAUACAAUUGCUACAUCCACAUGCUACUUUAUGUUAAUUGCAAUUAUUAAAUUGUGAUAUGAUAUUAAAUUGCAACAAGGCAACGAUGGGAGCCCGUGCUCUAACGCAUUGGUGUUUUGUUCCAUUGGCGCCGACCUAAGGACUGAGUUUCUCGUUUUCGCCGACCCAAAAAACUUCGCGCUAACCGCUCGUGAGAGAAUAUAUGGGUUCCCCCUCGGCUUAGUACUCGUUUCAUAGCUCUUCCAGGGGCCACAUAGUUCGGGCGUUCCAUUUGGCAUGUCGCAUAUACACUGGUGUUGUGUUUGGAGACUUGUUGGUGACUUUGCAUUCAUAAAGGAUUGCGGCACUAGUCUGGAGUGGUCAUUCUGCGGACACUGAACCACUACCAGCUGUCCACGCAACUCUUGGGUCCGUACGACGCUUCGGUCGGGCUCUCGUUUCGGAUUAGACUCAGUUGGGUGGUUCCCUGGAUUAGUUGUGGGGCUUGAAAACGUCGUGUCGCCCAAUCCUGCUGACACACGUCUUUGUGUGUUCCUACUCGAGUGGCAACAAGGAUUGGACGAACGUGUACGUGUAAAUUGGCACACCCUGCACGGAUAAAUCUUUCGGAAAGCCGUGUCCGCGGUUAUGUAUGACUUGGUUGGUCAUUACUUGAUCAUAGAGAACUUAAUCAUUUUAAUCAACUUAAUUUCAUAAACUUGACUAGUAAUUAGGGAUUAUUUAUGGAUAUGUUUAAAACUGCUUAAUUGUGAGUGUCCUUUGGAUUGCUUCCUCACAGGGUGUUGAGGGGGUGAUAUGAGGAUUGUGUUGUUUGGUGUUUAGUAAUAGGUUAAUCACCUCACUUAAUAGACGCUUCUCAUCCUCUACUUAGACGUUGUUAAUAGAGUGUCUCUCCAGAUAUUGUUGCUGCUGCAUAACCCCACCAUAUUAUCCAUCCUUUGAGACUUGUUGCAUAUCUAGUUUAGAUCUCCUGUAAGUCUUGCGAGUACUUUGACUCAAUUGCUUUGCAACGUUGUUUUCUUCAGAGGUUCCAGCAGAACAGGUGAGCCGCUAGCUUCUUCGUGGAGCACGACGUUGGAUUCGAUGUUUAGCCAGGAGAUCCAGAUCAGGGUUCUGAGACUUGUGGCGGGUUUCCUUCCAGCUUCCAGCCUCUUCAGGCCAUGCUGUAUUCUUGUCCGUACUCGGGCAUAAUUCGACUUCCGUUGAUGUAAUGAUGUAAUGUUGGGACAUGUGUCCUCUCUUUAUAAUAUUUGUUUUUCUGCUCCUUGUAUGAGCUUUGUAAUUACUCUAUUCUGUAGAGUUUUGGUAAUGAUAUUCAUGUUGCAAAAUCCUCCGAUGAGCACAUUAAUGCGUGUACGUAUUGAGGUGUUUAUCGUAGGUUAAGAAUCUGAGGCUUGAAUUAUGCAAAGGUUAACAAUUUGGGGCUAAAUCGUAUAAUUCCGGUCCCGGGGUCUUACAACUUGGUAUCCGAGCUAAACUGACUCUAGGAUUUUCUGGCUACUUUUGGUCGAAGUUGUGUCUAGAAAUCUAUUUUGUUCCUCUAAACUAUUUGAAAACGUGAAAAUAGGCUCUAUUUUUCUUCUUUCCCACCCAACCACCUUUCUUGUUUUCGGAAAAGUUCUCUCUCGCCUAAGUUUUGCAAACUAAGUAUCUCGUGGGUUUUCCGUAGUACAUCAGGUGGUGUCUUUCUCGUCUCUUCUUUUGCUUCAAGACUGAUGAAGACCUUCUACUUUCUCUUCUAGCUGGUGGUUCUAUAUGUGUUAUAGACCAAGCUUUUCUUCUCUUUCGCUCGUCUCUUUCUUUUCUUCUUGACUCCCCGACUUGCCUUCUUUCAGAUGGUUUCACAUUCUUUCAAUUGGCUUCGUCAGGUUGUCCGAUUUGACUCGCUGCAAGAUCAACGCUGAUCUUUUGGCCAUGCCGCGUAACAAAAUGAACAUGACAAAAUAAAAAUCGAGAAAACAUAGGUGAAUAAUUAAAUAUGUUUUCCAACCAUAUACUUGGGAAAGUCAUAUUAUUCCCUUUCUUUAACAUUUAAAUAAAUGUCGGAAAUUAUUUCUAAUUGAUUCAAAUAUUCCAACGAUGCUCUCAAAUGGUCAUGGCAUCCAAAUUGGAAACUUAGUGUGCUAAUAAAUUCUUCAAAAAGAAAAUAGGAUUUAUUAGAUGCGAAUAAUAGUUCGGAUAAAAUCAUAAUAUGCAAACGGUUCCAACUGAAAUACUUUGAACUUAUAUAAAUGUCCCAACCAUGUUGUAUAAUUUGGAUAGUCAUAAUCCACUCUUUUGUUGAAUAUUCAAACAUGGCGUGGAAAAAUUUAAAUAAGUCCUAAAAAUUUCAAAUCCUUCCGAAAUUGACAACCAAAAUAUUUCCAAAGCCAAUAUUUUAUUUAAAAUAAUUAUUUUAUUUAACAUUCCAAAAUGGGAAAAUUCUGGGAUGCUACAAUAUACCCCCCUUAAAAGAAAUCUUGUCCCCGAGAUUUGGCAACGCUAGAGGAGAAAGUUCACUCGUCUCUCACUUGUGAUCCUUAGGUCAUGUGUCUCUCACAUAGGGUAAGGUUUUGGAUUCUUCUUGACAAAGUACCUACAAGUGUAGUGGCUUCUUUGCUUGCAACUUUAGCAGAUGAAUCCAUUUAUGAAACUGCCUAAUCUUCUCUUACCUGGUGUGGCUAGGAAUGCUUUUGGUACUACUUACAAUCAUAAGCUCUUGAAAUUCUGUUUCAUAUUCUUCAUUCCAAUUAUACUCUUCUUCUCCUCCUUCAAGGGUCUUGCAGACUUGGUUAUUUCUUGAUGAACCUUGGUGCGGUUGGUCCUGGCACAUUAUAUCUUGGAAAGUGACUCUUUAAUCCAAAACUCGCACUUGUUGAACUCGACUUAGAGCUGGUGUUCCUUGAGGUUUGCCAACACCUUCCGAAGAUGCGUCUUCUUGCUUUUACUUGAUUCAUCGUAGGCAUUGAGCCAAGGAAAGUGAUUCCUUCCUUCUUCGGGGUGGUCAUUCUUUAACUUAGUAGUCAAGAUCACAACCAGAAUUGCUAACCAAGUGCUUUUUCUAGGCUUGAUGUAUGAUCCAAACGUCAUGUUUUCUUUCUUGAGAUUCCACAAAUUUGCAUUGAGCAUGGUCCUCACUUUGCUCACAAACUUCUGAUUUUUAGAUAGGAAAGAAUGGAUCUAAGGGGAAACAAAAAUGUCUAUUACCCGGAACAACAAAAGGUUUUGUUACCAAAAUAAUUUUAUUUGCGGCUGUCAAUAAAUCUGAAAAAUGACAGCUCACAAUUCGCGUUAUCUAACAGGUAACUAUAUACCAAGGGGUUAUAAUCCUAUCAAGGUCAUCUUGAGAUCCUCCAUUUCAUCACAACUUUAUAGUCCGAAAACAUCGGGAAUCCUUGUUGAAAUCCUGAUGUGGCAUCGCUCCACUUGUCAUCUUCAUCUUAUAAGGUAGGAAUUUUUUUUUUGGAAAGGGAGACGGAUGUUUGAAAACUUCCGAAAUGGGGGUAAGGUCAUGAAAGAGUAGAUGAGUAGAGAAUAUCAGAGGUUUCAUAAAUAUCUAGUUUUGCAAAUAAGUCCUUAGGUCUUGUUGAAGGUACCUCUAAUUCUUUUGAAAAGGAAAGAGAUGCUGGAAUUAUUUUAAGAUAAGGUGAGAGUAUGAAAGAAUAGAUGAGAUCAAAGAAUACUAGAGUUUUUGUAAAUACUUAGUUUUUCAAGUAAGUCCUUAAGGUCUAUCCAAUCUAGGGUCACGAAUCUACAGGCAACACAAUGCUCUGAUACCAUCUGAAGCGAUCCUCCCCCUUGCAGUGUUCGAUCUCUGUGCUUACAGUGCUAGUCCUUGGAUCGAAUCGCUAGCACACACAGUUUCAAGAUGUAAUAUCAAGAUACCAAGGUCAAAAGUAUAUUACAUCGCAUUGAUCCAGAAUUUAGUAGUAAUUUACAUAUUGCAUAACCUCAUGGGUUAUCUCAAAAGAAAAUAAAAUUUUGCAGUAGAAGGCAGAAGAUACAGGAGUCCCAUAACAACUCCACAGUCGAAACAUGUUGGAAUGUAAACUCGCAACCCUAACAAUUCGUACCUCACUCUUCACCUGGUUCACCUGCAACAUUUAAAACGUUGCAGCCACUAGGGGGUCAAUACAUUGAAUGUAUUGGUAAGUUCAUCAAAGGGUUAUAACAGACCUAACAAGUAUAUGCAGUAUUUGGCAAGGUGGAGUUCAGGCUGUUUGCGUGGAAGCAGAACAUAAUUUACCCUACUACAAAUGAAUGUUACAAUAAUGUUAGCUAAUGGACACCGGGUAGAAACACCGAUGCUCCUAUUAAUCUAUGGACAUUGAGUAGACACAUCAAUGCUCCUAUCCCAAGUUCAAACCAUUCAUUUUAAUUAGAAAUUGGAAUGAGUGAGACCUUCUUUACAGCCCCAAUAUCUAGUUGCUCAUAAUAGUCCGUAACUGGGGACACGGCUAAGUACUUAGUUUGACACUCUCGAGAGGUUGCACACAUUCCCCACAAAAAAUCAACGGGUUAAUCCCUUGCUGUCCUCCGGGUGGAGUAGCAACGGCAUCGACUUCAAGAAUUUUCAGAACAUGUUCACCCAGACUACCUGAGGGAGCCGCGCUCCCACCUACACAACAACCUCAAUACAAUCCCUCGGAUCUGGGUAAACGUUUCUUACUCCAUCCAGGCAGAGCCCAUAUUACCAUGUGGUUGUACUGGAAGCUACUAAACUGGAAACUAGUCAAGUCUCUGAUACCCCAGGUGACAUUCCACAUUUGCGACGCAAGCGCUCACCGAAUCCACGGAAGAGACGUCCAUGGACGAUCCAUCUCCGAAUCCACGGAGACUCGACUUAGAGGGACCCAUAGAAAUGGACCUGACGUCGCAUAACAUCUCAAAAUCUCAAAGCAGUCCACUCAGGAUGGUUCAUUAGGGUUGUUUUUGACAAGUUUCCAAAAUUACUCCACAUCAUCAUUUCACAGUGAUUGAGAUUCCCUCCCACGUUUACUAACAUAGCAUGGCUAAGCAAAACUAAUCACGAUGGCUAUUGGUGGAGGAUUCAUGGCAAAGGUAAUCCUAUAACUAGUAGGUCAAUCAUAGCUAGCAUAAGUACGAGUAAUAAUUCUAUCAAUGCAUUUCUACAAACAACUCUAAUGCAUAAGUAUUUUAAAAACAAUAAUAAUAGGAUAUGAUCAAAGUGAACUUGCCUUUUUAGUGUCUUUGUAUCCUUCUUCUUUUUCGAUACUCAUAGUUACCGCACUCCGCAUAAUCUAUCGCGAAGAACGAAAAGCAAUAAUAAAUAACUAUUCGAGAACUCCAAAUCAUAACUCCAAUUAAAGAACCAAAAGCAAACAAAGUUUAAAUUAAACAGUACCUAACUACUGUUAGGCUAUCCUAGACAUAGAUCUAAGAGGUAGGAACAAGGUUUGGGUUCUAUUGGAGUUGAAACGGUGAAGUCAUUGGUUGUUAACAGAUACAACUUUCUAGUGGUCAUGGGCUAUGGUAGAUGAACUUAAAAAGGUGCACAAAGUGGUCCAGAAAGAAAGAACUGGUUUAGAACUAGGGAUCAACAGAUAUGCCUCUUCGAAGGGAGCUAACCAGUACUCAGACUGCAGCAGAUACAAUUUUCAACUGAAAAUACACUAUUGAUUAUGAACUAGAACAUGGUGAAAAAAUUGGACUGGUGUGAGGAGGGUGAUCUAUUCUUUGUAUUCCCAAAGGAAUUGGCUUAAUAGGACAGACGGAUAAAAACAUAUGAGCUUGCAAAGACGGCUAGUCAGAAACUGGCAGACUAAAUGUAUUAAUUCCAAUUGAAAGUUUACUGGUGCUUGUCGUCGCACGGUGCUCUGACACCGGGGGCGUGCGGUCACGGCCCCCUUUUAGGUUCGGUAGGGGCGUCGGGGUUCGCCCCGGUGAUCGCCGGCACGGCCGAUGAGGCCCUGCGGGGCCGGCGAAAUGAAGUACUGAAAGUGCGCGCUAAUCAAAGAAUAGACAAACGCACGUUUUUACCUAGGUUCGGGCCACCCGGAGGUGUAAAACCCUAUGUCGUGCUUGUCUGAGCUGGUAUUGGUUUAGAAUCAAGUGUUUACAAGUUGCCGGGUAAGUUCCCGGGCACCCUCUUCCUUUGGCUAGAUACUCCUUACUAUUAUUCGCUAGUGCUGGUGGCUAACUGUGAGCUGGUCGAACUCAACCGAACCCUACUGUCUACUGGGAUCAACAGCAAGUCCAACUGAGCCAAACGAACCAAGACCCCACUUACCCGGAGCCCCUUGACCGUUGGCGAGGGUCCUCCUUUUAUACUCAAGGGGAUGCCACAGGUGCCACGGUGCAUGAGCUACAAGUGUCGAGCGGGGUGGCAUACAACUCGCCUCGGUGAGCUGGUGGCGCGCAUGGAUGCCACCUUCGCCGCUAGGGGUCUAAAACCCUAGAGUAGGAUUGGACAAUCACUGUUCCCUCGAUCGGACGGGUAACGCCCCGCCGGUCCGCUGAUUUAAUGAGUCGUGCGCCUUACUCCUUGCCCCGGUGGGGCCGCGCAUCCCACGCUCGCCACGCGCCACGCUUGCGGCGGGGGCAUGCGCCCGGGAACCCCCUGUCCCGGCAAGUCGAUCCCCGGGAAGCGCUCGAGCCCAACGCACCCGGGAACCUCCCCCGGGAAGCAGCUUCCUGGGAGGUGCCCAGGCGGGAAUAUUCCCCGAAGCCCCGCUAGCCCCUUUCGGGCUAGUAGCUUGCCGGGCUGCUCAUAGACGCUGCUCGGGAUGAAACCGUCCCGGGAACCCGGGAACGGGGCCCACGCGUCGCGCAGCGGUGGUACCCCGGGUGCCACUGGUGCGACAGUAGCCCCCGGGUGUGGGCCGGCAUCACCUGUCCCCGGAAGAGUCUUCCCCCCGGUCGGUUGCCGGGCUACGCCCUUAACCGACGUGUGGGGCCCGAUCUGCCGCGGACCCGCAUCCUUUCACUGCCCCGUGUACGGCGCCGUUACAAACGGAGUAGUGGGCGCGUGAUUUCCGCCCUAACUCCCCUCCUAAAUAGGAAAGUUAAGGCCACUCCGCGCAUUACUCCUAAUGAUUAGGAGUUAUCCCCACGCACCCCGCGUUAUAAAGCUAUCACUGUUGCCAAAAAGGGAACAACACUCUGCCCCCAUAGCCUUCAUCUCCAUAUCCUUCCGCAUCUCGCAUCCCUGCGCUCCUGCUAACUUUCACCCUCGCUCUCCACGGCACCCCCACCACCAGAAAGGGGAAGGAGGUCCAGGUCUCGAGGAAGGCUGCGACAAGCAAGAGCGAGGCAGCAAUCAAGGCGGCCGCCGCCAAGGACCAGAAGAGGUGGGAGAUGCGGGCCACAGUCGCCUUCUUCCGGCAUGCCGUCGCCUCCAAUUUCAAUGAGCAUGGGGAGACGCGGAUCUUCUCGGCGGGCGUCGAGCACCAGGACAACGACUUCCGGGUGUUCACGCGCUUCCUCCUCUGCGGCCUGGUGCCGCCCUUCUCCCUAUUCCUCCACACAUUGAUGGAGUCGUACCAGUUGCGGGUGGCGCAGCUCCACCCCACGUCGCUAUUCCUCCUCGCCACCUUUCAGUUCCUCUGCGAGGCGUUCCUGGGGGUGAGGCCCUGCGGGGCCGGCGAAAUGAAGUACUGAAAGUUCGCGCUAAUCAAAGAACAGACACGCACAUUUUUACCCAGGUUCGGGCCACCCGAAGGUGUAAAACCCUACGUCCUGCUUGUCUGAGCUAGUAUUAGUUUAGAAUCAAGUGUUUACAAGUUGCCGGGUAAGUUCCUGGGCACCCUCUUCCUUUGGCCAGAUACUCCUUACUAUUAUUCGCUAGUGCUGGUGGCUAACUGUGAGCUAGUCGAAGUCAGCCGAACCCUACUGUCUACUGGGAUUAACAGCGAGUCCAACUGAACCAAACGAACCAAGACCCCACUUACCCGGAGCCCCUUGACCGUUGGCGAGGGUCCUCCUUUUAUACUCAAGGGGAUGCCACAGGUGCCACGGUGCAUGAGCUACAAGUGUCGAGCGGGGAGGCAUACAACUCCCCUCGGUGAGCUGGUGGCGCGCAUGGAUGCCACCUCCGCCGCUAGGGGUCUAAAACGCUAGAGUAGGAUUGGACAGCCACUGUUCCCUCGAUCGGACGGGUAACGCCCCGCCGGUUGGCUCAUUUAAUGAGCCGUGCGCCUUACUCCUUGCCCCGGUGGGGCCGCGCAUCGCACGCCCGCCACGCGCCCACGUGGCGCUGUUGAUCUGGUUACUGGGCCCCACGCUUGAGGCGGGGGCAUGCGCCCGGGAAUCCCCUAUCCCGGCAAGUCGAUCCCCGGGAAGCGUCCGAGCCCAACGCACCCGGGAACCUCCCUCGGGAAGUUGCUUCCCGGGAGGUGCCCAGGCGGGAAUAUUCCCCGAAGCCCCGCUAGCCACUUCCGGGCUGGUAGCUUGCCGGGCUGCUCAUAAACGCUGCCCGGGAUGAAACCUUCUCGGGAACCCGGGAACGGGGCCCGCGCGUCGCGCAGCGGUGGUACCCCGGGUGCCACUGGUGCGACAGUGCUAAUGGCUUCAAAAGACAGAGGCCCAAUGGGAUGAAUUAAACUAGAUCUAACAAGCUUUCAAAAGCCACUGGUUUAACCUAAAUAGGAGUUGUGAGUCAAAAGAUACAGGCUUACAAAAAAGGCUAAUCUAUAACAAAGUUUCUGUAACUAACGGCUUAGAAAUUGGCGGUGGGAAACUACUGAAGGUACUGUUUUGCAAUGACGAUGCACUAGUGUGGAUGAACUUGUAAAGGUGUUAAAAGAGGUCUAUGAUUUAGAUUUAGAUUUGAUCUUGACAUGAAAGAAAGAAUCAUAUAAUUUGAAGUAAUGGCUCAAAAGAUAUAGGCUUCGGAAAACAGCUAAUUGAUGUGACAGUGUUAACAGAUACGACUUUUGAUUGAAGAUGCACCUCUGUAGAUGAAUCCUAAGUUGUGCAAGAUGUACACUAAUGUGUAGAACAUUAUCUAAUUGAUGAACUACAGAAGUUUUGGAACCAAACGGAUCAAUGGAACAACCUACAUGAAUUUCGAAAGGUGGCUAUUCCAGAAGCAGCAUACUAUGAAUAGCAAUUUCCAACGAAGAUGCCGUACUGAAAAUGAUGGAUACGGGGUAUACAAACUGAUCUGACCUAUAGUGGAGGAUGCGCUCUAACUACAACAGAAAGAUUCGGCCAAAAAAGAUAUACAGGUCAAAAGAUAUGGUCUUCUAAACAUGGCUAAUCAAAACUGCUGCGGCUGAAAAGUUCCUCACCGGAAAAGACACGGACUUCGCCGGAGUUGAAGGAGGACGGCGAUGAUGUCGACGUAGGGUUCGAUGGGGCCAUGGAAGACAUGGAGGCGGACACCGUGACGCGGCUUGCGCGGUCGUAGCAUCUCCGGAUGGCGACGGGCGGAGCACCGGGCGCGGCGUCGGCAUGGGGUCGGGGACGGCGCGGGCAACGUUGGACAUGGUUCGCACAACCUUGUCACAAAGGUAGACACGGGUCAUAGAAGCCUACUGGUGAAAGGAAUUUAAAAACGGACCAUCGGAGAGAGCUCACGGGUGUAACAUCCCAAAAUUUCAAACUUUUACAUGUGCAUUGCAUCAUGAGCAUCAUGCCACAAUUGCAUAUUUGAAUUCAAUUUUGAAUCUCAAAAGGCUUAAAAGACUUUGUUUCAAUUUAAACCCUAGGGUUUACACCCAUUUGAACUUUGGAUCUUCAACCCAAUAGGGUUUAUUUAUAAAAGGGGUUUAUUGCAUAUAUAAGCUAUCUCAUAAUUUUUGAAUAAUUAUUUGGAGUUGAAAAACUAUUUUAUUUAAAUAGUUAUAUAGCCCUAAAGGCAUUUAUAGGGCAAACGUAUUUUUGUGUAUUUUAUUUUGAGGGAAACUACUCCCAAAAGUUGUAUCAUGAUGGAACAUGAUUCUACAAAUUUUCUGGAAUUUAUUUGGACCAAUUUGAAGUUCAAAAUCAAAAGAUAUCAAAGAAAUAAGAAAAACAGAAAAAGAAAAGGCUAAAGGAAAAAAAAAGGGAGAAACGGACCGGCCCGUCCACUUUGGGCCGAACUGGCCCAUUCCUCACGCACGCACGCCCGCAGCCCAGCCCAGCGGUGCCCAGCGCCGCGCCCGCACCCGCUGACAGGUGGGGCCCACCUGUCAGGGGCUUCUUCUCGUUUGGAAGGCGCCCGUGAACGCCGCCGCCUUCCUUUUUCGCCGCCGCGCGCCGUCUCCGCUGAGAACUCCGCCUCGCGUGCCUCCUGCGCCUCACCGCCCGCGUCCCUGUAAAGCUAUUGCGCCCCUCUCUCCUUCCCCUCUCUUGCUCGCCCGAAUCCUCGCGCCCACCCUGCCCAAUUGCACGCCGGAGUAGCUCGCCGCCGCCGCCGUUCUUCGCACCUCUCCGGCGAACCACAAGGUUAGAAACGCCCCGCUUUGCCUUGUCUCUUUCCCCUUGCCCGUGCGCGCCUUUUGACGUGACUCGUUUGGUUUAUGGGACACCGCAGGACGCCGUCGCCGUUCGACCAAAGCUCACCGCCGACCGCCGCCUCUUUGCCGUCCUAGGCGAGCGCCCCGCCGUCCCCGAGCGCCGCCGACCCCGUCACCGAGCUCGCCGUGCCGCGCCGCGUCGACCCAGCCCCUCCCUGCGCCAUCAGCUUCACCAGAGGAGCCGCCCGCCUGUGCCCGCGCCGCCGUCUCCCUCGUCUUCGGUGACCGCCGCUGCCGCCGGUAAACCCUAGAACUCCCAUAGUCCGUCCGAUCCAGAUCUGAGGGCUAGGAUUAGAUCCCGUGUUUAAUUUUAAUCGAACCGGUACGGUCCAAUAAUAAUGCGCCACGUGGCACUGUGUAAUAAAAAUAAAAAUGUAAUUUUAAUCCCCGAAAUAAUUAAAUGGCACUUUUGCAGAAAAGCCCCUAUAACUUCAAAUGAUGAUAUCUUUUAAUCUGUUUGGCCAAAUUUAAUGAUCCACACCUUUUCGGAAUCCUUAGGAAAUGUCGAAUCUUUUGGCAUGGUCGAAAUUCAAAUUUGAAAUUUUGAAUCACAUUCAAAUUACAGAAUAGGGUUUAAUACCAUUUAAAUCAUAACUAAUUAUUUAGAAGUCCUUUUUGAAUGAAACCAGUGCCCAAAAAUUUAUUUUAUUAUCCUCUGUCCAUUGGGACAAAGAAAUAAAUAUUUUGAAUUAAAUAUUUGGCUGAUGCCAAUAAAACCUUAUUUUAGGGUUUAAACCCCAACCUUUGCUAAUUCUUUAAAACCCUAAUUACAUGUGCUUAAUUAUCAAUGCUUAAGAUCAGUAGAUCACCCGAAUAAAAUAAAUCCAAUCAUGUCACAUGUUUGCAUCGCAUCAUAGCAAACAUUCUUUUGUCAUGUUUGAAUUGUGUGUUUAUGUGUGUGUGUAUUGUUUGUAUUUGAAUAGUUUUCUCGGAGAGCGAACGUGGUGAUUGUGACGAGUGUUUGAACUCCAACUGCUAUCCAGAUCCGAGGGAUUGUACUGAGGUUGUUGUGUAGGUGGGAGCGCGGGUCCCUCAGGUGGUCUGGGUGAACAUGUUCUGAAAAUUCUUGAAGUCGAUGCCGUUGCUACUCCACCCGGAGGACAGAAAGGGAUUAACACGUCGAAUUCUUGUGGGGAAUGUGUACAACCUCUCAAGAGUGUCAAACUAAGUACUUAGCCGUGUCCCCGGUUACGGACAAUUUUGAGCAACUAGAUAUUGGGGCUGUAAGGAAAGUCUCACUCAUUCCAAUUUCUUAAAUAAAAUGAAUGGUUUGAACAAGGUAGGGGCACUUGAUGUUUCUACUCAAUGUGCUCUAGGUUAAUAGGAGCAUGGGUGUUUCUAACCCGUGUCCAUUAGUUAACGAUAUUGUAACAUUCAAUUGUAGUAAGAUAAACUAUGUUUUGCUACCACGCCAUAAAGCCUGAACCCCACUAUACCUCAAUUGAAUAUACUUGGUAGGAUCUGUUAUAACUUCCAGGUGAGCUUGCCAAUACAUUCAAUGUAUUGACCACGUAGUGGCUGCAAUUAAUAAUGCAGGUGCAUCAGACGAAGAGUGAGGUUCAUCGAUGUUAUUUGGGUAGGAUCUGUUAUAACUUCCAGGUCAUGCAAGUUUGUAAGUACAAUUUAAGUUCUGGAUGAUACGAUGUAAUAAAGUACUUUUGACCUUUGUAUCUUGGUAUUACAUCUUGAACUGUGUGUGCUAGUGAGUCGAUCCAGGGACUAGCACAAGUAAGCACAGAGAUCGAACCCUAGUAAGGGGGCGGUCGCUCCAGAUGGUAUCAGAGCAAUGUGUUGCCUGUAGGAACGUGACCCUAGUUUGGAUUAGGAUAAGACAGACCAAGACCAAACCUUAGGAUUAUUUCUUAUCCCUAUCUGAUAUAUAAAUAUAUAUACAUAUAAUUUAUUCCUUAUCCCUAUUCAUCUAAAUCUUUGCAUUUAUAUCUUACAUAUGCAUGACAUAUUUGUUGUUUUAUUCCACAUAUACACCAAAUACUAUGCUUUAUACCACAUAUGCAUGUUUUAUUAUCUUAUACCACAAAUGCAUAUUUAUUUCUAUUACACCAUACACCACCAUAAUCAUGUUGCCAUGUUACCCACAUGAUAUUAUGCAUCCAAUUUUAUAUUGUCAUUUCCACCCUAAUAUUGAUGUUUAUUACUUCAUUCCCACUUUACUACCUUUACCUUAUUUUAGUUUUCCUUCAUACAUCCGACCAUGUGAUCAUGUCACUGAUACUCCCUUAUCCACCUUCUUUAUUUUCUAUAGAUGGGAAGCCCAACACCGUUCGGCAAUGUACCGUUGUUCACCCGAGUCUACUACCCCUCCACGGAUGACGACCAGUUGUUCAGUGCCCCUUUGGCGGCACUGUGUGCGUCUCUUGACCUGCCACCACCCAGGUUCAGAGGCUGCGUCGAGCCCGCCGUGCUAGAAGGAUGGCAGCCCCAAUGGGAGAUUGAGGCGAAGAUCCGCGGGCGUGUGAUCGUGCCUGCCACACAGGAUAUCACCUUCAUCGCCCACUACCCCACCUUCGAGCAAGGCCUUCAGUUUGCCAUGCAGUGCGCUUUCGCACAGGUGUGCCGGGACUAUCGGCACGAGUUCCCCGAGGACUCCCCCUUCCUCCUCUUCAGAAGGCAAAACCAUGCAUGCUCGGCAAUGGCUACGACCAAUGACGAAGAUGCCACCCCAGUGACGACCCACUUCGAGAACAUGGAGAUUAACACCGUGGACUUGGAGUCUUGCCUCGAGCACGAGAUGACCAGGGCCGACCUAACCAAGGAGCAGAUUGGAAAUCUGUUGGGAGAGAAGACUCAGUGGCAGGAGGACAAGGCAUUGUUGCAGAACACUGCCGCCAAUAUGGAAGGGAUCAUCAAUCAGUUGCUGUAUGAGAGGGACCAAGCUCGUUUCUAUCGCGAGAAAUUCAAGACGUUCCUCGAGGCCACCACCCCGGCCGAACCCAUAGAUCCAAGAGAGUAGGCCCGCUACUACAGCGAGUGGUUUAAGGCUUUCAUGGUAGCCGAAGCCGCAGCCGCCGCAGAGCCAGCCCUCGCUACCGCACCGGCACCAGACCAGGCCCCACCUCCACCACAGGAUUAGGAGGAGGUGCCGACUGAGGAGGAGGAGCCUCAGGAGGUCCACGAGAUGGACACCCCUGCCACCAACACCCGCUCCAAGAGGAAGAGGGUGAAUGGAGCCGCGACAUCAGCCCCACCUCCCUAGUCUCGAUGCCUGCCAGACUUUGUCAUUUCCUUUCGUUAUCAGCUCUGCGAGUUAGUCAUUGACCAUAUAACCUAUGUGUAUGGCAAUGUAGAUCGAUUGCAUUUUACGUACUUUAUGGGCAGUACCCCAUCAUGAACAAGUGUGUUUGGCUAUAGUUCCCAAAACCUUUUAUGAUUGAUUGAGUAUAUGUUUGAGAUAUGCUUGAGUUAUGUUUUGUUUGGGGGUUUAGUUAUCCUUAGCUCUACUCUGUCUAUUAUUCCUCAUCUAUGCUACCCUAAACAGAUGCCUCUGAGACGCCAGAACCCCGCCAACAACGCCGAGGCUAACAACGCCGAAGCAGAGGGAAAUGCUGCAACCAUGCAGCAAUUGUUGGCUGCCCAGACCCAGUUCUUCCAGCUGAUCACUCAGCAAAUGGCCAACAACAACGCCAAUCACCAACAGAACCCCAACAACAACCAGCAACACCACCCUCCACAGGUGGAUAUGCUAACCAGGUUUUUGCGCUUGCGCCCACCCACCUUCUCCAGCUCACCCGAGCCAAUCAUGGCAGACGACUGGCUCCGCUCUGUUAACAAGAACUUGGUGACAAUCAACUGCACCGAGGAAGAGAAGGUGAGAUUUGCAGCCCAUCUGCUUGAAGAACCAGCAGCAUCCUGGUGGGAGAACUACCAGAUCACCACCCCCAUUGAACAUGUCACCUGCGAUAUGUUCCAAGAAGCCUUCCGCACCGCCCACAUCUCAGCGGGGGUGCUUAAUUUGAAGAAGAAAGAGUUUCUGCGGCUCAGACAGGGAAGCCGCACAGUGGUCGAGUUCAUCGACCAGUUCAACAGCCUUGCCCGCUAUGCGUCGGACGAGGUGAACACGGAUGUCAAGCGCUGAGAGAGCUUCUUGGAUGCGCUGAAUGAUGAACUCUCUGUGCAACUGGCUGUUGCUUACACUCCCACCUACCAAUCGCUCAUUGAUUAGGCGAUUGUACUGAAGAACAAGCUCCACCAGAUGGAGAACCGCAAGAGGAGACUCCACCAAGGAGGCUCUCACGCGGGGCCACAUCAGAAGCCGCGCAUCACUCAGGACGGCAGUGGCAGUUCGUCUGUGCACAGGGCCGGGGCCCACAACGACAGACGUAAUGGAGGGUAUGGCCAUCAGAACCGCCAUACCGGAAACAAUAACAGUAGCAGCAAGCACCAGCAGCACUAGCACCAGUAGCAGCAACAGCAGCAUCGCCCGAGGCACCACAACGGAAAUGGUAACCACAAUGGAGGUGGAAACCAAAAUGGAAAUGGAAAGGGCCUCACCAACGGCAAUGGAGCCGGACAGAACCGCAACCCUGGUAGGGACAUGAGCCAGGUGGUGUGCUUCAAGUGCCACAAGAUGGGGCACUACUCCAACGACUGCCCGGAGAGGUUGACAGGGAAUGUGGUUAAACCAAACCCCUUCCAGAAGGGCAAUGUGAACCACAUCGACGUGGAAGAGAUCACCAAGGAGCAAGGUAUAGUCAUCGGUACCUUUAGCAUUAAUACAUUUAAAUCUUUAGUAUUGUUUGAUACCGGUGCAUCCCAUUCAUUCAUUUCAAGAGGAUUUGUGCAUCAAAAUGGUUUGCCGGUUAGCACACUAGCCAACCCCAUGAAAGUAAACUCACCGGGGGGAGAAUUGAUAGCCACCUAUGAGUGUCGUGGACUAAGUUUGGAAAUAGGGAAACACACCUUCCCCACGAACCUAAUAAUAAUAGGGUCCAAGGGUUUGGAUGUCAUCCUAGGAAUGGAUUGGCUGGCCAAGUAUGAGGGACUCAUAGAUUGUGUCAGAAGAACCAUCAUCCUCACCACCCCAGAGAAUAAGAGAAUCCGCUUCAAGUCUGUUUUUGAACUUAAGAGAUCUAAGGUCAAUUCUCUUAAGGGGGUUAGCCUGGACGAGGUUCCAGUAGUGAAUGAGUAUCCGGACGUUUUCCCGGAGGAGUUGCCAGGUAUGCCACCAGACCGUGAUGUCGAGUUUCUCAUCGAGUUGAUGCCUGGAAGUGGACCCAUAGCCAAGAGACCGUACAAGAUGGCUGUGGAUGAGUUGAAAGAAUUGAAGAAGCAGCUAGCUGAAUAGUUAGCGAAAGGUUUCAUCCGCCCCAGUUCAUCACCAUGGGGAGCACCUGUCCUGUUUGUGGAGAAGAAGGACAAGAGCCAAUGGAUGUGCAUCGAUUAUUGGUCACUAAAUGAGGUGACGAUAAAGAAUAAAUAACCCUUGCCUAUCAUCAACGAUCUUUUCGACCAGUUGGAAGGAACCUGUGUGUUCUCAAAGAUUGAUCUGCGAUCAGGGUAUUUUCAGCUGAAAAUCCGAGAGAUGGAUAUACCCAAGACGACAUUCACCACUAGGUAUGGACUGUAUGAGUGUACCGUGAUGCCAUUCGGUUUGACCAACGCACCAGCAUACUUUAUGAACAUGAUGAACAAGGUGUUCAUGGAAUUCUUGGACAAGUUUGUCGUGGUGUUCAUCGAUGACAUUUUGAUUUACUCUAAGAGCAAGGAAGAGCAUGAGCAGCAUCUGCGCAUGGUUUUGGAGAAGCUGAGAGUGCACAAGUUGUACGCCAAGUUCAGCAAGUGUGACUUUUGGUUGUCAGAAGUCAGUUUCCUCGGACACAUCGUGUCAGGAGCAGGAGUAGCUGUCGACCCAGCGAAGGUGACCGCUGUUACUGAAUGGGAGUCACCCAAGAAUGUGGGAGAUAUCCGCAGUUUCUUAGGACUCGCUGGAUAUUAUCAGAGAUUCAUUGAGAACUUCUCCAAGAUUGCGAAACCCAUGACGGAGCUACUAAAGAAAGAGAAGAAGUUUGCCUGGAACGAGAAAUGUGAAGAGAGUUUCCACGAGUUAAAGAAGAGAUUGGUGUCCGCACCUAUUCUAGUGCUACCAAACCUGCAAGAGGACUUUCAAGUUUAUUGCGACGCUUCACGUCAAGGUUUGGGAAGAGUAUUGAUGCAGAAUGGGAAAGUUGUAGCAUACGCUUCGCGGCAACUGAAGAGCCACGAAGGGAACUACCCCUAGUGCACGCUUUGAAGACUUGGAGACACUAUCCGAUGGGAAAACAUUGUGAGUUGUUCACGGAUCAUAAGAGCCUGAAGUAUAUAUUCACCUAGAAGGAGUUGAAUCUCAGACAGCGGAGAUGGUUAGAACUGAUAAAGGAUUAUGACCUGAGUCUGCAAUACAAUCCUGGCAAGGCCAAUGUCGUAGCCGAUGCAUUGAGCCCAAAUGGACUGACAGCUGGAGAGUUACCGCCAGAGUUGUGCAAACAGUUCAAGGACUUGAGACUUGAGAUAGUGCCUGAAGGACAUCUGGCCACUUUGGAAGUACAACCCACAUUGAUGGACAGGAUUAGAAAAGCACAGAAGGGCGAUUCGGAAAUAAAUGUGAUAAAAGAGAAUAAACGUAUGGGGAAAGCAGAAGAUUUUUGUGAGGAUGACCAAGGAACCAUAUGGUUCGGUAAACGCAUUUGUGUACCGCAGGAUCCGGAAAUCAGAAAGCUGAUUUUACAAGAAGCCCAUGAUUCACCGUACUCAAUCCACCCUGGGAACACAAAAAUGUACAUGGACUUAAAGGAAACAUUUUGGUGGUCCGGAUUGAAGCGAGACAUCGCCGAGUUCAUUGCCUUGUGUGAUGUGUGCAGCGGAGUCAAGGCAGAACACCAGAAGCCAACAGGAUUGCUAAGACCACUGCAAAUACCGGAAUGGAAAUGGGAUAAAGUAGGCAUGGAUUUUAUCACCGGUUUACCAAGGACCAGAUCAGGAUAUGAUCCAUUUGGGUAGUGGUUGAUCGUUUGACCAAGGUUGCCCACUUCAUACCGGUAAAGCCCCCUUACACCAGCGCACAGUUAGCGAAACGCUACAUUUCUAGAAUAGUGUGUUUACACGGAGUACCCAAGGAAAUAGUUUCAGACAGAGGUACCCAAUUUACCUCAAGAUUUUGGGGACAACUGCACGAGUCACUAGGAACGAGACUAGAGUUCAGCACAGCUUUUCAUUCGCAGACGGAUGGACAGACCGAGAGAGUUAAUCAGAUCCUCGAGGAUAUGGUGAGAGCAUGCGCUCUAGAUUAUGGAUCUAGUUGGGAUGAUAACCUGCCAUAUGCAGAAUUCUCAUACAACAACAGCUUCCAAGCCAGCAUAGGAAUGUCACCAUUUGAAGCUUUGUAUGGAAGGAAAUGCAGAACACCAUUGCUAUGGGAUGGUGUAGGAGAUCGUAGCCUAUUCGGCCCGAACAUGAUAAAGGAUGCCGAAGAAAAGGUUAGACUCAUCCGACACCGACUGAAGGUAGCUCAGUCAAGAUAGAAAAGCUACACGGAUACAAAACGUUGGGAAGUUACCUAUGAGACUGAAGAUAGAGCGUAUCUCAGAGUUUCGCCGACACGCGGGGUGAAGAGAUUUGGUAUAAAAGGAAAGUUAGCACCCCGAUUUAUUGGACCUUUCAAGAUCUUGUCGCGACAAGGAGAGGUAGCCUACAAGUUGGAUUUACCGGAAGCACUGUCCAAUGUCCACAAUGUCCUCCAUGUAUCACAACUGAAGAAGUGCCACCCCGAGAUGACUGACACACCACUGAGGGAUACGAUACCCCUAGAAGAAGUUCAACUGCAGAGUGACCUCACCUAUGAGGAGAAACCGGUCAGGAUCUUGGAUACAGCUGAGAGACAGACCUGAUCCAAGACUAUCAAGUUCUGCAAAGUUCAGUGGGACCAUCAUACAGAAGAAGGAGCCACUUGGGAACGCGAAGAUGAUCUUCGAGAAGACCACCCACACCUCUUUGCUAGCCACACCGAAUCUCGAGGACAAGAUUCAUCUUAAGGGGUUUAGGUCUGUAACAUCCCAAACUUUCAAACUUUUACAUGUGCAUUGCAUCCAUGAGCAUCAUGCCACAAUUGCAUAUUUGAAUUCAGUUUUGAAUCUCAAAAGGCUUAAAAGACUUUGUUUCAAUUUAAACCCUAGGGUUUACACCCAUUUGAACUUUGGAUCUACAAACCAAUAGGGUUUAUUUAUGAAAGGGGUUUAUUAUUGCAUAUAUAAGCUAUCCCAUAAUUUUUGGAUAAUUAUUUGGAGUUGAAAAACUAUUUUAUUUAAAUAGUUAUAUAGCCCUAAAGGCAUUUAUAGGGCAAACGUAUUUUUGUGUAUUUUAUUUUGAGGGGAAACUCAUCCCAAAAGUUGUAUCAUAAUAGAACAUGAUUCUACAAAUUUUCUGGAAUUUAUUUGGACCAAUUUGGAGUUCAAAAUCAAAAGAUAUCAAAGAAAUAAGAAAAACAGAAAAAGAAAAGGCCAAAGGAAAAAAAAAGGGGAGAUAUCAAUUUGUAUUUGAAUAGUUUUCUCGGAGAGCGAACGUUGUGAUUGUGACGAGUGUUUGAACUCCAACUGUUACCAAGGCAAGUUCACUUUGAUCAUAUCCUAAUAUUACUGUUUAAUUUUAAAAUACUUAUGCAUUAGAGUUGUGUAUAGAAAUGCAUUGAUAGGACUAUUACUCGUACUUAUGCUAGCUAUGAUUGACCUAUUAGCUAUAGGGUUACUUUUGACAUGAAUCCUCCACCAAUUGCCAUCGUGAUUAGUAUUGCUUAGCCAUGCUAUGUUAGUAAACGUGGGAGGGAAUCUCAAUCACUGUGAAAUGAUGAUGUGGAGUGAUUUUGGAAACUUGGCAAAACAACCCUAAUGAACCAUCCUGGUUGGACUGCUUUGAGUAUUCGAGAUGUUAUGCGAUGUUAGGUCCAUUUCUUUGGGUCCCUCUGAGUCGAGUCUCCGUGGAUUCGGAGAUGGAUCAUCCAUGGAUGUCUCUUUCGUGGAUUCGGGGAGCGCCUGCGUUGCAAGUGUGGAAUGCCACCUGGGGUAUCAGAGACUGGACUAGUUUCCUGUUUAGUAGCUUCCAGUACAACCACAUGGUAAUAUGGGCUCUGCCUGGAUGGAGUAAGAAAUGUUUACCCAGAUCCGAGGGAUUGUACUGAGGUAGUUGUGUAGGUGGGAGCGCGGGUCCCUCAGAUGGUCUGGGUGAACAUGUUCUGAAAAUUCUUGAAGUCGAUGCCGUUGUUACUCCACCCGGAGGACAGCAAGGGAUUAACACGUCGAAUUCUUGUGGGGAAUGUGUACAACCUCUCGAGAGUGUCAAACUAAAUACUUAGCCGUGUCCCCGGUUACGGACAAUUUUGAGCAACUAGAUAUUGGGGCUGUAAGGAAAGUCUCACUCAUUCCAAUUUCUUAAAUAAAAUGAAUGGUUUGAACAGGGUAGGGCACUUGAUGUUUCUACUCAAUGUGCUCUAGGUUAAUAGGAGCAUGAGUGUUUCUACCCCAUGUCCGUUAGUUAACGAUAUUGUAACAUUCAAUUGUAGUAAGAUAAACUAUGUUUUGCUACCACGCCAUAAAACCUGAACCCCACUAUACCUCAAUUGAAUAUAUUUGGUAGGAUCUGUUAUAACUUUCAGGUGAGCUUGCCAAUACAUUCAAUGUAUUGACCACGUAGUGGCUGCAAUUAAUAAUGCAGGUGCAUCAGACGAAGAGUGAGGUUCAUCGAUGUUAUUUGGGUCAUGUGCUUACAUUCCAACAUGCUCUCUCCUGUGGGAGUAGAUGAGGCCCAUUUACUCUACCUUUCCGCUGCAGCUUUAUGAUACAAUGUUAUCAUGGUUUUGAAACAAUAUUUGUUUAUGCUGGUCUAAGAGGUCAUGCAAGUUUGUAAAUACAAUUUAAGUUCUGGAUGAUACGAUGUAAUAAAGUACUUUUGACCUUUGUAUCUUUGUAUUACAUCUUGAACUGUGUGUGCUAGUGAGUCGAUCCAGGGACUAGCACAAGUAAGCACAGAGAUCGAACCCUAGUAAGGGGGCGGUCGCUUCAACCGGCAACAAUGGGGGAGGCGACGGGUGGAGAAAGACGUCGACGUAGCCGGCUGUAUAGAGGUUUUGAGGCCAAACUUUCUACAUGCGAAUUGGAGAGGAGAGGCAAAGGCUGGAAGUGACGCACGUGAAAUCCUUUUAUAUUGGCCGAGGAGGGAGAUCGGGCGUGGAUGUCGACGGGCAGCAUUCGGGGCGCCUCUUUUGGAAACUGCGAUUAUGAGAGGAAACUUCAAAUUGAUUGCCUGAAUCGGUUCCUGGGAUGGUGAGGAUUGAUGAGGUGGUUUCCUUUUGAAGAGAGACGCGCGGGAAGGAAAGAAAUCGAAGGAAGAAAACAUGGAAGGAGGGAUUUCCUUACGUGCAGAGGAGGAAGAAGAGCACGAGUUCCUGCUCAUUCGGCUGGGGCGUUCGGUGGAGAUGGGCCGGCCCAGUUUGGGUCGGUCCAUUCUCUUUUUUUUUUCCUUUUUUUCCAUUUUCUGUUUUUAUUAAUAACUUUUAAUUCCUAACUCCAAAUAAGUUCAAAUAAACUCCAGGAAAUUUGUAAAUUCAAAUCCUCCAAAGUGUGAGCUUUUGGGACUUGAAUCCUUUCAAAAUAAAAUAAGUAAAAAUACUUUUUCUUAUAUAUGUCAUUAGGGCUUUAUAGGUAAUAAAUAAAAUAGGUUUUGAAAUCUAUUAUGAAACUUUGUUUCAUAAUUUUGUUUAAACUCCAAUAAAAUAUCGGGUUGGCAUACUUUGCACUAAAACCCUUUCUUAGCUAAAUACCCUAUUGGGUUGAACUCCAAAUAAAAUCUUAUAAUAAUUAUACGGUUCAAUAAAUUCCCAAAUAGCUUUAUAACACCAAAUCACUCACUUUGAAAUCAUAGCAUAUGUUUCCAACUAUAUAUAAUUUGGGAAGUCACGUUAUCCCACUCUCAACGACGGAACAAAUGUUUGAAUAAUAUUUGCACACGAGGAUGUCGCCUUAUCCUCUUCUCGAAUAUUCGAUAACUUGUUCUCGAAAAUAAAAUGAACAUGACAAAAUAAAAAUCGAGAAAACAUAGGUGAAUAAUUAAAUAUGUUUUCCAACCAUAUACUUGGGAAAGUCAUAUUAUUCCCUUUCUUUAACAUUUGAAUAAAUGUCGGAAAUUAUUUCUAAUUGAUUCAAAUAUUCCAACGAUGCUCUCAAAUGGUCAUGGCAUCCAAAUUGGAAACUUAGUGUGCUAAUAAAUUCUUCAAAAAGAAAAUAAGAUUUAGUAGAUGCGAAUAACAGUUCGGAUAAAAUCAUAAUAUGCAAACGGUUCCAACUGAAAUACUUUGAACUUAUAUAAAUGUCCCAACCAUGUUGUAUAAUUUGGAUAGUCAUAUUAAUCCACUUUUUUGUUGAAUAUUCAAACAUGGUGUGGAAAAAUUUGAAUAAGUUCUAAAAAUUUCAAAUCCUUCAGAAAUUCACAAGCAAAAUAUUUCCAAAGCCAAUAUUUUAUUUAAAAUAAUUAUUUUAUUUAACAUUCCAAAAUGGGAAAAUUCUGGGAUGCUACAGGUGUGCCUCCCUAAGAAUAUCUUCUUUUACUUGGCAUUUCUGUGGCACACAAAGACGACCGCGAAAACGAACGGCUCCCAAGGAUCCAAGGUAAAAUUUUCCACCUUACCUUCCUGAAUGCGCUUCUUAACCUGUUGCAAUAAUCGAUCAUGCUGUUGCGCUUCUAAGACACACACUCAGGAAUUGCUGACUACAAAAUGAGGCAUGACUCUGAGGUUGCAACCCUUGCAUAGCAAUAUGAAAUACACAUCCUCUCAAAAUCUUCUAUCAAAGAAUUUACUGUUGGAGGAACUGGCUUGCGACUAAGAGCAUCCGCAACCAUAAUCUUUGAUCAACUCCAACCAUCUCCUUUCUCUCAAAUUCAGGUCCUUCUGAGUGAGAUAUACUUGAGACUCUUAUGAUCUGUAAAUAUGUCACAUGUGGUGCCAUAAAGAUAAUGCCUCCAAUUCUUAAGUGCAGAGACAACUGAUGCAAGCUCUAAAUCAUGUGUGGGGUAAGUUUGCUCAUGCUGCCUCAACUGUCUCGAGGCAUAGGAAAUAAUCUUCCCAUUCUCCAUAAGCACGCAACCCAAUCCUAUAGUGAAGCAUCAGAAUAUACUGUAAAACGCUCACCAAACUUCGGAAGUGCAAGAAUAGGCGCAAAAACCAAGCGCUCCUUCAAUAUACAAAAACUGUGCUAACAAGCCUCGGUCCACUGAAACUUAAUUCCUUUGUGCGUAAGCAUCGUCAUAGGCUUCGCAAUGAUAGAGAAAUCCUUCACGAAACGCCUGUAAUAACCAGCCGUGCCCAAGAAACUUCUCACCCCUUUGAUAUUAGAUGGCCUCUCCGAGUCAACAAUGGUGGAAACCUUGCUAGGAUCCACAUAUAUACCCUCUCGAUUAAUCACAUGGCCUAGGAAACCAACUUCUGAGAGCUAAAACUCACACUUCUUCAACUUAGCAUAGAACCUGUUCUUCCGUAGCGUCUCGAGUAUCGUACUCAGAUGACGUGCAUGCUUUUCAUCAGUCUUCGAGAAAACAAGGAUAUCAUCAAUGAAUACCACCACAAAAUCAUCAUAUCGGUGCAGCAUGCUAUUCAUUGCUUCCAUAAAAUAAGCCGGGGAGUUAGUUAAUCCAAAAUACAUAACCUUGAACUCAUAGUGUCCAUACUUCGUGGAGAAGGCUGUCAUCUCAAUAUCUUGCUCUCACACCCUAAUCUGGUUAUAGCCUGACUGCAGAUCAAUCUUUGAGAAGACCCUUGCUCCCUUCAGUUGAUCAAACAAAUCCUCGAGGCAAUGGGUACUUAUCCUUGAUAGUUACUGCAUUAAGGGCGCAAUAAUCCACACACAUACGCCAGCUCUUGUCCUUCUUCAAAGUGAACAAAACAGGAGCUCCCCAUGGCGACACACUACGCCGAAUCAAGCCCUUCGAUAACAGGUCAUCUAACUGCUUCUUCAACUCAGCUUGAAAAGGUAGAGAUAAACGAUAGGGGGCUAUUGAAACUGGGCGAGUACCAGGAACAAGAUCAAUAAGGAAUUCCAUGUCACGCUCUGGUGGCAUGCCUGGUAGCUCAGCAGGAAAAACGUCUGGAUAAUUCUUAACCACAUGAAUAUUUUCAAUAUGCAAGUCCUUACUUGGCUUCUCUAUCAAUGCCCAAAGGAUUUUGGUCUUGACAACUCUUUGACCUGGGAACAAAGUAGCCAAAACCGAUAGAGAACGCGGGGGUGCACUUCCCUGAAAUAUUAUCUUUCUACCUGACGGGGCCUCCAAACUGAUAGUCUUCCAGAAACAAGAUAUAACUGCUCGAUACAGAUAUAGCCAAUCCAUUUCAAGAAUAAUAUCAAAAGUUGGUAAAGGAAUUACCAUUAAAUUUGCCACAAAAAUCCUCAUCCUCUAUGGAGAUAACACAACCGGGGCAAACCACUGAACUGGUGAUCAACCCACCAGGAGAACUAACUCGAACGGAUUGGGAUAUCUCUUGACUAGACAGGUGAUCUCUUUUAACAAAAUCAAGCGAUACAAAAGAAAAGGUAGCACCAGAAUCAAAGAGAAUGACAGCAUCAAAAAUCCACUGGUAGUAUACCUGUAACCACAUCUGAACGGCUCAGAGAAGAAGCUGUCAGCAUGGUAUAAAUCCCAGCCUGUGCCGAAGAAGAACCCUCCAGAUAUCUGCUGCGGUGCUGGAGCCAUAGGUGGUGCUGGUAGCUGAAGUGGUGCGUGUGGUGUAGGCAGAGGAGCUGCAGGCUAGUAGUAACCUGGCGGCGGAGGAGGAUACUGCUGAUACUGAGGGUAAUGAGGUGGAAACUGCUGAUACUGUGACAAGUAAUGAUGAGGAGGAGCUGUCAUCAUAGUUUAUUGGUGGUUUCAUCCCAAUGACCUCUCGGUACCUCGAAUUCAGCCCUUCGAAGAACGCUUAGCCUUCGCUGGCUCAUUCUUAUCAACUGAUGGAACAAAGCGAACGAUCUUACUAAACUAUGUCUCAUACUCAUCCACGGUCAGGUUCUGAUAUGGGUGGGGGUGGCCUGAUCUUUCGAUGAGAUGGAUAACUCUCGAUUUGGGUAGGAAGUGACGUUGACGAUCUGACUACGGCCUAGAAGGCAGCACCUUAGCAAUCGAUACACCAACUCCAGAGGGUUAUUGAUCACGCGGGGGCACGAUCAACCUGACCACGAAGGUCUUUGUUCCUGCAAGCAAUCGAAGAACAAGCAAGAACAAGAUAAAUAGCGGAUGCAAUCUGAAAUUGCGAAUAUACUAUAUCAAACCAAUGUCUCAACGAGACGAUAAGUUGGAGUCUUGACGACGGUAAAACAGGUGGUCUAACCGACGCACGUGAUUACACGAAAGUAGCAAAGAUGGCUAAAUUUUAUCUAAUCAAAACCCAAGGCUCCUUAGGAGGGGCUCAUGGGGUAUAUAAAGAAGGAGGGAGAGAUAUUUUCGUCCACCUUGAGUAAGGAGGCCGAAAUCCAACUCUAUCUCUAACUUUCCUAACAAACUACAACUCUUUAGGAAACAGAAAAACAGAUCCGUCAACUUGUUUUGUCCGUCACGGUCAGCACGAGUCGAAUCUUUUGAUGGGGCCAGAUCCGUUGGAAAGGUCUUGUAAUUACCUUUCCAACAAGUACUUGUUUGCUUGAUUUGGACUCCAGAUGCGGCCUGGGUGAUUAAAACAAAUUCGGGCCUCCUGGCAGCUCGGACCCGAAUCGGAUUCAACUUUAAUUCGUGAUAUCUUUCUCUAGCAAGCUCCGAAUCAUGUGCCGUUUGAUUUGUUGGAAAGUAUACUUGAAAUCCUUCCCUCUCAGCUGUAUGAAUGCUUGAUUCUUGUUGGCCCUGCCGUUCGCCUCCAUCGUAUCUCAUCUUGACCUUGGACUUGAAAAGCUCGACAAGAUGCCUACGUAAUAAAACGAGACAAGAUAGUAGUAGCUCCGCCUCUUCAUAAAUAUGACAAUGAAAACAAUUACUACUUGAAUUCACCUGAUUAUAAAUCUUGUCAAAUAUUAUAGAAUUGAGGGUACCAAAGGUCGUAUCCAUGGUUAGCAUGUCCAUAUCAUCCUCCAUUUCUUGAAAGGAAAGCCGUCCUCGGCGUCGUUUGUGCUGUAAAGAGACUGACGAAAUAGACAAAGUGUGUGCAUGGUAUAUGUAUAUGUCAUCCAUCUUUAUACAUCUCUUUUCUUGCAUAAUUAAUCUUUUAUAACAAAGUCUCAUGAGAUAAUUAGUAAAACAAUCAUGAUGAAUAAUAUUCCAGCAAGAAGAUUGACAAUAUUGUUUGCAUUUAUAAGCGAAACGAUUUCUUGUAUUUGGUUUGCACCGCUCACCAUUACACCAUCCCAACAUUGGAGAAUAAUAAUGAAUAGUAUCCAAAUUUGUUACUACAAUAUGCUGAAAUUUAGAGCAAGUCAAAGCACUAAUAUUGAAACAAGCAUGUAAAUAACUAUUUGGCAAAUAAUCAACACCUAUAUUGGAGGUCCUAUCAAAAUGAUUAAGCAUGUGCAAAAAUUUCUUUUCUCCCAAGAGAGGAAAAUUAUCACAAGUAAUGCAAAUCUCAUGCACCAAAAUGUUAUUGUUCACAUCAUGUUGUCCAAUUAAAUGAAUUGUGUAUGCAUGAACAGCAAAAGAUUUCGAAAUUGUUAACUCACACAGUUUAUCCAUUGCAUGCGACAAAUACAUGGGACUAUCAAGUGCAAUAUAACACAAAGAUUUAAUAGGUGGAUCGUUCUCAAUCACUCCAUGUGUAAUUAAGUCGACACAACCUAAACCAAAUUUAUCUACAUCACAUGUUUCUCCCAAAACAUUAGUUAUUUCCUCACAUGAUUCAUUCUCAUCAAUAUCAAAAUUAAUAUGUGCACUCAAAUCAUUAGAAGAAUUAAUUUCAGCAGUAGGUGCACUCAAAUCAGCAUGUAAAUCAACAAUUUCACAUGGUGCAGAAAAUUCAACGGGUAUCUCAUUUAUUUCAUCACAUGUCAUAUUUUGUUCAGCAACACAAUCAUCUUUAUCAUUACCUUGUAGGCUCAACACGUUUCUUGUACACCUUCUCUCCAAUUUCCUCUCCGCUUCACGAGCAAGAUUAAGCAAACACAAUAGAGAGUUGUAUUUUCCGUAUUCAAUUAUGUAAGAAAUAUCAAAGUUAAGCCCACAAUAAAACCUAUCCAUUUUUCUUUGUUCGGUUUCAUCUAACCAGAUCGCAAGGUAAAAAUUUGGAACUCAUGGUAGUAAUCAUCAACAAUUUUAUCAUCUUGUAUCAAACGUCGUAAUUUGGAACGCAACUCAUAAGCAUAACUUGGAGGAACAUAUUUUUCUCUCAUGAUUUUCUUCAUAUCAAUCCAAGUGUGAGGUAUUUUGUUUUCUCUAACUAUCUCACACCACCAUGAUAAUGCAUCAAAACGAAAUUUACUACUAGCAAUUUGGACCUUACGACUAUCUAGUACAUGGAAGCAUGUGAAUUGUUCAGUUAAAGCUAGCUCCCAAUCUAUAUACGUUUCAGCAUCAUUUUCCCCCUCAAAGAAAGGUACACACAAUUUAAUUGUAUUAGAAGGAUUGUUUUGUACCGUUGCCGUGGCAUUAUCAACAAGAGACGUCGAGGAUGGCCGUGGUGAAAAGCACUCAUCGCGGUCACGGGAUAGCAUCGGUCUAGUUGCCAUGCUUCGUGUAAGUCCUAUCAUGGUUAGUAGAAAACAAGAAACAAAUCACAGUAAUAUGCCGUAAUUACCUUUCCAACAAAUACUUGUUUGCUUGUUUUGGACUCCGGAUGCGGCCUGGGUGAUUAAAACAAAUCCGGGUCUCCUGGCAGCUCGGACCCGAAUCGGAUUCAAAUUUAAUUCGUGAUAUCUUUCUCUAGCAAGCUCCGAAUCAUGUGCCGUUUGAUUUGUUGGAAAGUACACUUGAAAUCCUUCCCUCUCAGCUGGAUGAAUGCUUGAUUCUUGUUGGCCCUCCCGUUCGCUUCCAUCGUAUCUCAUCUUGACCUUGGACAUGAAAAGCUCGACAAGAUGCCUACGUAAUAAAAUGAGACAAGAUAGUAGUAGCUCCGCCUCUUCAUAAAUAUGACAAUGAAAACAAUUACUACUUGAAUUCACCUGAUUAUAAAUCUUGUCAAAUAUUAUAGAAUUGAGGGUACCAAAGGUCGUAUCCAUGGUUAGCAUGUCCAUAUCAGGUUCCCUUGUUGGAUGUUCCUGAGGGCAACCUCCAUCUUCUCAGUGAAAGAACUAGGGUAGUACUUAGCAGUGAAUUGCUCAACAAAAACAUCCCAAGUCGGUGCUCCAUGGGCUGGAGUCCAAGCUGCAUGGACCCCUUCCCACCAAUCAUCCGCCAAACCCUUUAGCUAAAAAGUUACAAAGACAACGCUUUCCUGUGGGGUCAUCACUGAGGCACCCAUGUACUUCUCCAUUGUGCGCAACCAACUUGAUGCCUCCAUGGGUGUCCCUGUUCCACCCGAAGUGUCCAAGCGCAUGGCCAACCACUUGCUGAGUGUCAUAUUUGGAGCAGGGGCAUCAUGAUCACUAGAUUGGCUCACAGAUGCUUCUGCAUCUCCGUGACUUCUACCAGUAGGCUGAUUCGCAUGGCUACCGCCGCCCCCAUUGUUUCCACGACCUCCACCACGACCACGACGCCUCGGUGGCAUCGCUCUGAGCAAAACCACAAAAUCAAGAACAAGUUUAAUCAAGAAACUGCAUAAACAUGAAAAAUGAGGAUGGUAAUAAAAAUGGAAUGCAUAAUCCAAUAACUCAUCCUAUUGUGCACCGGUGUGUCAAACUUUUAAGUUGUUAAAUCCUAGUUCAAUUUUUUUUCCAAGUAACCUACUCAAGAAUCUAAAGCCUAGGAUGUGAUACCAACUGUAACACCCUGGACAUCGACCCUAUCCGGAAUAUUACUACACUAUGCAAAUAAAGCUAACUCCUAGGAAAAACUGGAAUUUUUGGCAGAGUCUCCUUUGUUUAUAAGGACAUCCACGACAGGCAAUUUAUAAUAUCUCUCAAAUAUAUCCAGCAACUAAAAAGUCAUGCACACCGUUCAUAAUAAUUAAGUUAACUCCAAGGAAACUAAAUAGGAAGUCUCCAACAACUAACGUCUCCAACCAACAAAGGUAUAAGAAAGGGGUUCUCAACAUUGACUUUAUCUAGCAUUAAUAUUGAAACUAUGACUCUGAUGGAUAACGUGUGUUGUGUGCCAUCCAGAUUUAGUGAUGCUACUCCCGCCCAUGCAUGCCAUUAUUCAGAGUACCUGGAAAACCAAAUAAAACAACAAGAGAGCAAGAGUGAGUAAUCGUUACUCAGCAAAGGACAAUAUGGAGCCAUAAUAACAGCAUACGUUACAUGAAAGCACACUCCAAAUAAAAACUAUACAACUCUUUUAUAAUCUUUGGACUUUUUGGUUGGAGCAUUCUGGAAUAUUCACAGUUAACUUUCUCACCGUCCGCACCGAAAUAGUUAAACACGUGAAUUACUCACCGACCUAGCUCAAGCUCACCGAAAUAGUUACAUAUAACUUAACUCACCGACCGCACCGGAAUAGUUACCUGUAACUUACUCACCGCCCUGGCUUAAAACAAAACCUUCCGAUAGCACAAAUCCCAAAGAAAUCAAAUGGCAAUUCAGUUAACCAAUCAACGUUGGCACACAAUUUCACAAGAGGCUCGUCAUGUAGAUUAAUUCGGUGGCAAGGAACCAGCACAGCUCGUACCUGGCAGCAGUUCCCGAUGUAGACGAUGGCAAGCAGUGAGGACUGCGACCACGGCGACUCCAGCAGCAGGGCAGUCACAAGACAGCAGCAGAGGUGAGCUCAUGGCGGUGGCGGCGGCAAACUAACCCUAGGCGCUGGCGGCUGGGUUGGGGAAAAGAAAUGCUCGGCCUUGGGCAGUAAAAUAGGGGAUUAAAUCAAGGGUCCCCAAUCCUUCUCUAACUCAGGUUCCACACCGCACGCUGGUUUUCUUUUUUUUUUUGUAUUUUUUCUUUAAUUCCAAAAUUCACUUAAAGGUUGAAAAUCAAGGUUGCUCCAGCUAAAUGCACUGCGUCCGUUGUCUCGUCCUUUCUUCACUGUUCAGCGGGCCCCGCCUGCAUGCCUGAGCGCGGGCCGCUAGGGAGCCCCUUCCCGGCUAGCACACCCGGCCAGUUGUCGGGGAGGCGUUCCUUCCACUUCCCGCGACCAGAGUCCCCGGGUACCCGCCGAAGCGGGCGCUUCUCCUGCUCCGGUCCUUGGCUUUGUCCUCACCAACGACCGUCUCCUUGGGGGGGAGCUUCCUGGGCCUAUCAUUCCCGGGAGGCCAACCUGGCGGGGCUUUGUCACUAGCGACCCACGCGUCCCGUAUCAGUGGGACCCCGCGGGCCCCUGGUACGACAGUAGCCCCCGGGCGUGGGCCGGCAGCCUUAAGGCCCCGGUGAGUGCUAUCCUUGGUCUGUUGUUGGGCUACGCCCUAUCCAACGUGUGGGUCCCGAGGGGAGUACCCCGACACCCGGCCUUGUGGGCCGUAUUCAUAGUUCCACUCUUCCGAACGAAACUGUCAGGCGCACGAUUUCGUGCCUUAUCCCCCAUAAUCAUGUCACGCACCCCCAUCUUAAUUCGCGAUUCUUUAGGGCACUUUAUUGUCGAUCGUGGGGGUGUCCGUUGCAGCCCGCCAACCUCGAUAAAUACCCGAGGCUAGCGGUGGGCCCUCCCCAUUGCUUCCUACUUUUGCCGCCCCCCAAGCUCCUCGCGCCCCAACCCCAGCCAAAUCACUCCCCCACUCCCGCCGUUGUCUUCCAAGGGCCAGAACCAACCCAAGGGGAGCACCAGCAAAGGAGAGAAGUGCGAGAAGGCUAGCAAGAAGGAGCUAUCGGACCGAGCUCGGAAGGAUGAAGAAAUGCGGGCCAAGUUCGCCUUCUGCCCCCCCCCCCCCCGGGUACAACGGCGAGGGGGUGGACAAGGUGGUCUUGGCGCUUGCCACCAAGCACAACGAGUACGGGCCAACGCGGGUUCUCCUCGUCGGCGCGGAGCGCGACCCACAGUACUUCCGGAUCUUCGGGAGAUUCAUCCUAGCCGGGCUCGUGCAGCCGCACUCUUUUUUCCCCUCUGCCAUCAUGGAGACCUACGGCCUCAUCAUGGCUCAAAUUCACCCUACGUCGUUCUUCACAUUGGCAGUCUUCCAACAUCUUUGUGAAGCAUUCGUGGGCGUGAUGCCAUCGGUGGCUCUGUUUCGCCACUACUACUACCCGAGGACGGAGGCAAAGACUCCCCUGUCCUCGGGCGUAGUGUUCCGGUUCCGCGACAGGCUCAAGUCGGAGUUCAUCCGGCUGGGGAAGAAGAAGAUCGAGCACAAGUGGAGCCACGACUGGAGCUGGGUGCGCACCGACAAGCUCCAGGAGUUCCACGAGGAGCCCCUUGGGCCCCCAAAGGGCUCUGACGACUGGUCGCUCCGCGACCACAAGGACGAGGAGCUGGCCCCAAUCUGCACCAAGAUCAGGGCGCUCUGCGAGGCUGGGCUGACGGACAUGGAUGUGGCGCGCCACUUCAUCGGGAGGCGUUUGGCUCCCCUGCAGUAGUGCUCACAUCCGGCAUGGAUGUACACAGGUCCGGGCGACCGAACCCGGCUGCAGUGCAUAGAGCUCUUGCCGGAAGAGGUGCAGUUCUGGGUGAAGGGCAUCACCGGCGAGGACGAAGCCUUCCGGUUGCCGCCGCUCGGAGCGCACCCGCUCCACGCCGGGAUCUUGAACCCGGGAUCUCCCACUCUGCGAUGAGUGGGGGAUCGUGGAGGACCCCUCGUCGCAGCCCUCCCCCCACCCCACCCACCCCCCCCCCCCCCGCAGCCCAGGCCCCCCAAGGGCAAGGAGCUGGCUGCCGAUUCGGGGAAGGGGGACCAAGACCUGGGCUCCGCCAGGCCAGAGGACUCGGAUGCCGACGACUCCUCGCUGGGCAUCAGAGGAGACUCCGAUGACGACGACGACGGGCGCUCCCCCGGAAGUUAGCGGGGUCGUGCCGGAGGAGGACGACGAGAAAGACGACAUCCCCCUGGUGAGGCGAUCUGCGGCGGAGCGGGCGAGCAGGUAGGAGGCCAGCCCGUAGCCUCAGGAGCCUCACGCCGGUGCGGGGACUAGGGCCUCCGGUGGCAGCCUCAAGAGCCUCACGCCAGUCCCCCCCGCACGUAGCGGCCCCCCGGCGAGGAGCAUCCUGGAGUUUGGCGUUGUUCUAAACACUGGGUUUUACGAAUUUUACAUAUUUUGUUAGAUUACUUUUACACUUCCCAGGUCUUCGAGGAAGAGGGGGCAGGCUAGCACUUCGCCGGCAGCCCCGACCAAGAAGCCCCGCCCGGCGUCGGGCGGCGGUGACCAGGACGCCGCUGAUGCGGCAGUAACUGCGGCGACAGCUGCAACUGGGGACACAAAGGUCCUCGAUUCGAGCUCGCAGGGCACCGGCCCGGCGGUAGGUAUGUGCAAACUCCAAGAUUUCUUUCACUUACCCGCGCCAUCUCCUAGACUGACGCAGGUGCUCUUCGUGCCGUUGCCGGGAUGCUCCGACUGCGCCUGCGCCCUCUGAGGUGCGGGUAAUCGACCUCACCGGCGAGGUCGAGGACGAUGCUCCGAUGGACGUUGCCUCCGCCGGAGCCCUUCAACAAUCUGCCCCGGCGCCUGCCGGAGCCAUGACUGCUGUCGCAGGCGACGCCACGCAGACGUCACCACCUACGUCAACUGACAUGCGGCAGCCUCCGCCAGCCGAAGCAAGUAGCGGCACCCUAGAGAAGCCCCUGAGCCCCCAGCCCGCUCCUCUGGACGGGCAAGGAGCGACGGGGCUCGGCCCAGCUGGAGGCACGUCGUCGUCGAAUCCUGACGCACCCUCGGGAUCACAGACAGUUGCGGCAGGGUCCUCCUCCUCUGCGGGAGCCACCUUCAGCCUAGGAGAAGGAGAGCUCGCCGGGCGGUCAUGGGGUCGGAUUACUUUCUACCCCAGCAUGUUCUAGCAAGGGCACCAAGUGAUCGACAACAUCCAACAGCAGCAGCGGAUGUUCGUCGAUUUCUUCAACGAGGCGCAGCUGCACCAUGCCCGCGUGGUGGCGGAACGGGGCGCAGCGCGACGGGAGGCGGAGGAGCAGCGCACUGAGCAGCAACGGAUCCGGGGGGAGCUCAAGCAGGCGCAGCAGGCUAGGGCGGUGACCGCCGUGCAUGGGGUGCCGGAGGCUAAAGUCCUCUGGCAACUAUGGGACCUCCAGCAAGAGCAACAGCGGGAGCUCGAGCUGGUGAAGGCCACGCACGCCAAGAGUGAGGAGGAGCACCAGGCGGCUCUGGACUCGUUCCAGGGGAGUCUCCAAGAGAAGACGGACUUACUGUCCAACUACUCCCUAGAGAUCCAGCACCUCCGCCGUGAGGUAGGGAGCUGGAGACGGCGGCUGCAACAGCAGCUGAAGCCUCGGCGCGCCGGGAGAAGGAGCUGCAGGACCAGGCUCGUCGACGAGGACAACACCAAGAAGGCGUCCGAGAUCGGCAGGCUGAAGUCCGAGUGCCGCGAGCACAAGCGGCAGGCCCAGGAGGCUCGGGGCACGUGCACCUAGCUACGGGCCUGCAGGACGAGGGAGGUAGCCAGGCUUAAAAAGCUAGCGGACUCGGCGGUGGACGCGCUACAAGGGUUCGACGUCCCGGUGACCUCCUUCGACGGGACGAACAUGGGCAGCUUCACCUCCUUCUUCACAGACUUCGUUGGCCAGUGGAACGGCCUGCAGAACUGCGUCACGGCUUUCGGGGACCGGCAGGUCGGCCUCGCAGUUGAGCAGGUCGCCGGGAGGAACCUUACCCGGGUCCACUCCGCACAUCCCGACUUCCCGUUCGAGUUGGUCUUCGACGCCUGGUCAGACGAGGAAGAGGCAAAGACCCACCGGGAAGCGGUGCAGGGCGUGGUGAACAAGAUGGUGGCGCGGAUGCCUGGCAAGGUUGACGAAGCCGAAGCUGUUGACGAGGAGACCGCCAGAGAAGCCCCCGGCGUCGAGGAUGCACCUGACGCCGACGCAGCCACCCGGGAGCACCUCCUGCAUAAUUAUCUGCUCGUUUUUUGUUUUUAUUUUCCUGCAAGUGGCACAAGGCGCCUUAGAACUUCUUUGUGUUAGCCUUUUCUUGUCAUUCUGAAUGCUAUUUGUGAACUCGUUUGCUGAAGCUUUACUAUAUCCAAUGCUAUUUUACUUGCUUUUACAUCUAAGACUAGCUUGCCAAGAGGGGCUCUGUCCUUCCCGUGUUUUAACCUUGCGUAUCCGGGGACUCACCAACUAUGUGCUUGGCCAGACUAGGGACCCGGGACGGACCCGCCGUGCCAACCUAGGGCCAAACGGCAGUGGCAACUCACUCCGCCUGCGGGUUAACUACCAAAGCGCGCACGCCUCCGGGACGGACCCACGAGCCACUGAAGCGACCGCCCCCGUACACGGGUUCGCUCUCUGUGCUUUAGUGCUAGUCCCUUGAUCGACUCACUAGCACACACAGUUUCAAGAUGUAAUAUCAUAGAACAAAGGUCUCAAUAAUACAAGAAAUCAUCCAGAAUUUAGAAGGUACUUACAACUCGCAUAACCUCACGGGUUAGCUAGAAAUAAAACAACUGUUUAGCAGCGGAAAACGAAAGAUACAAGGGCACAUCAACACCACGGUGAGAGCGUGUUGGAAUGUAGGCCCGUAACCCAAACAAGCAGAACGUACAUCUUACUCGUCGUCGGAGCUUCCUGCAUCAUUAAACGAUGCAGCCACUAGGGUCAAUACAUUGAAUGUAUUGGCAAGAUUCACUAGGAGUUAUAUCAGAGCCUACCAAGUAUAUGAAUAAUGUGGCAAAGUGGGGUUCAAGGCUAUUUGCAUAAAAGCUUAGUUAUUGAAUCCUAUCUUUUAAUCACAUAGAAUUUUAUCACUAUUGGACACGAGGUAGACACACCCAUGCUCCUAUUAUCCUAGAACACAUUGAAGUGGAUUCAUCAAGUGCUCCUACCCUGUUCAACCAUUCAUUUUAUUUAAGAAAUUGGAAUGAGUGAGACUUUCCUUACAGCUCCACAUCUAGUUGCUCAAAUUGUCCAUUGCCGGGGACACGGCUAAGUACUUAGUUUUGACGCUCUCGAGAGUUUGUACACAUUCCCCACAAGAAACCGACGUGUUAAUCCCUUGAUGUCCUCAGGGUAGAGUAGCAACGGCAUCGAUUACGAGAUUUUCAGAGGUAAUUCUCUAAACCAUGAGAGAAUCAUGCUCCCCCUACACGGCUACCUCAGUACAAUUCCUCUUGUCUCGCCAGAGCCCAUAUAGCAUUGUGGUUGUACUGGAAGCUUCUAAAUAGGAAACUAGUCCAGUCUCGGUUACCGCAGGUGGCAUUCCACAUUUGCAACAUAGGCGCUCUCCGAAUCCACAGGAGAGACGUCCAUGGACGAUCCAUUCCUGAAUCCACAGGAACUCGACUCAGAGGGACCCAUAGAAAUGGACCUGACGCCGCUAAUUCUCAAAAUCUUCAAAGCAGCCCACCCGGUACAGUUCAUUGGAUUAAUUGUUUUGCCUUACAUCUAACAAAACAUUUCAUAUCGCCAAAGGCAUAACAAUAUCAUAAUGUAGUUAUUUCCCCCACGAUACUACCAUAGCCUAGCAUUCAACUACAAUCGAUGGCAAUUUUGGUAGCAAGGUAAUGGCGAGGGUAAACUAUACUACCUGGGAUUUAUAGCUAGCAUAGAGGUACAAGUAAUAUUCCUAAUGCAUCUAAUAAAACAUCUAGUGCAUAAUAAAAAUAUUUAGGAGAAUGAUCAAAGUGAACUUGCCUUCUCCAAGGUUGUGGUAGUUCUCGCACUCUUCGCAACAACAAGGAUUACACUCCACACAAUCUAAAAUAAAAGAAACACGCACACAAUAAACAUAACAUUCAAUGCAAAAAUCAUGCCAUGAUGCAUAUGCUAUGUUAAUGCACACUUGGUUACUUUUAAUGCAACAAGUUUUGUUUAUGUUUUGAAAAGUUUUUCAAAAGGUUUGGGCAACUUACACAUUAACAAAGAGGUAAUUAAUAUGCAUGAAACAAGGAUAGGGUUUAAAUUAAAAUUUUGUGUGGUUUUUGCAACAUAGAGCAAGAUUUAAACUUGCAUGCCAUUAUUAUUCACAAAAUAAUUUCUUUUGUGGUCCUAAUGGACAGAGAACAAGUUUUAAUAAUUUUAUAGCAUCCUAACUUGCUCAAAACUAUUUUGAAACAAUUCAUUUGAAAUUUAAACCAUAAACCACUAUUCUGUAAAUUGCUUCUGACUAAGUUGUUCAAAACUGAAAUUAGACAGUACCAAAAUAUUCUACAAGUUGUGACGAUUCCAGAAAGGUGCGGAACACAAUUUUUGGACAAACGGUUUGAAAGAUAUGAUGUUUUGAAUUUGUAGGGUCUUUUCUGCAAAAGUGCAUUAUCUAUUUUGGCCGAAAAUAAAUCUAAAAUUUCUCUGGCACGUGGCAGAACCUGGUUGGCCGGUUUCUAGGGUUUCUUGGCCGGCGCGCGGGUGGCCAGACGGCGGCGCGGGGCGGCGGGCGACAGACGGCCCACGGGCGCGACGGCGCGGCGGCGCGCGGGUGCGGCGCAGGGGGGUCGCGCAGGCGGGGGCGGAGGGCACGGGCGUGGGCUCGCGGGGGCGGCGUGGGCGGCAGCGUCUCCGGACGGCAUACGAGCGGCGGCCGGCGCUGGGGAAGACGGGCGGCGCGGCGACCGGCGACGCGGAACGGCGUCCAAACUUGAAACUGAACGCGUCACCGUGUGCGCGCGGGAGAGAGGAGAAAGGGGAGGGGUUCGGCGCGGGCGGAGGCUCACCGGAACGACGGCGAAACGCGAAGAACGGCGACGUCCGUGAAGAACUUCGGCAAGAAAUUAACUCCUAACCGGUGCGAAAUUGGACGUGGGGUUUGGGGGAAGUGGAAGAGGAGUUCGGGGGCUUCGAUAUGACGCGUGGGGUUUCGGAUUCGGAGGCUCGUGCGCGGAGGAAUCGGGAUGGAAACGUGGGCGACUCGGACAGUGCAUGGCCGGUUUUCUCGGGAGGCAGUUGGAGGAAGAAGAUAACGCGCGGGUCCCACCGGUCAGUGGCCGCGGGCGGCUUGGGCUGGCUGAGCCGGUCGGUCCGGUUCGGCCUGUUCGGUCCGGUUUUUCCUUUUCUUUUAUCUAUUUUCUGUUGUUGAACCUCAAAGAUGAUUCGAAGCCGCAAAUUACUCCAAACAAAAUGCAACAAAAUUUGUAAAAUCAUAUUUUCAUAUGAUCUAACUUUUGGAACAAGAAUUUUCUCAAAAUAAAAUAUUUAAAAAUACAUUAGCCGAUAAAAUGGCUUUCAGGGCCCUUAGGCUAUCAAAAUAAAUUAUUUUUCAAAAUAGUUUCAAAAGCCAACUUAUGGGAUAGCUUUAUAUAUGCAUUAAAUCCCUUUUUAAACCAAUCUCCUCAUGGGUUAAAAUGCAAAUACUCAAAAGCCAGAUCAAAGCCCAAAUUCAAAUAAAAACAUUUUUGCAAAAGGGUUUUCUGGGCAAAUUUUAGGGUUUUCAAAUGUGGUUAAAUGCAAGGGUGACAUGAUGCUCAUGAUAUGCAAUGCAUAUGAAGGGUUUUGAAAAUUGGGAUGUUACAGACCUAACCCCCUUAAGAUGAAUCUCGUCCUCGAGAUUCCUGUUGGUUAGCAAAAAGGUGUGGGUGGUCUUCUCAAAGAUCAUAUUCGCGUUCCCACGUAGCUUCUUCUUAUGUGUGGUGAUUCCAUUGGAUCUUGCAGAAUUUGAUGGUCUUCGAACGGGUAUGUCUUUCGGCUAUUUCCAAGAUCCUGGUUGGUUUCUCUUCAUACGUGAGGUCGCUUUGAAUUUCGACUUCGUCAAGUGAAACUGUAUCCCUUAGUGGCGUAUCGGCCAUUUCCGGGUGACAUUUCUUCAACUGCGACACGUGGAACACAUCGUGGACGCUUGUCAACACUUCUGGUAACUCCAACUUGUAAGCUACCUCUCCUUGGCACGCUAAAACCUUGUAGGGUUUCUUGGCCGGCGCGCGGGUGGCGGGACGGCGGCGGCGCGGGCAGCAGACGGCGGCGCGGGCGACGCGGCGGCGGGCGGCAGACGGCCCGCGGGCGCGGCGGCGCGCAGUGGGGCUGAGGCGGCUCGCGGGCGGGGCAGUGCGCGGGCGCGGCGGAGCGGUGCGGAGGCGGCUCACGGGGGCGGCGCAAGGGGGUCGCGCGGGCGGGGGCAGAGUGCACGGGCGCGCGCUCGCGGGGGCGGCGCAGGCGGGGGCGGCGGCAGCUCCAGACGGCGCGCGCGGUGGGAGAGAGGAGAAAGGGGAGGGGUUCGGCGCGGGCGGAGGCUCACCGGAACGACGGCGAAACGUGAAGAACGGCGACGUCCGUGAAGAACUUCGGUGAGAAAUUAACUCCUAACCGGUGCAAAAUUGGACGUGCGGUUUGGGGGAAGUGGAAGAGGAGUUUGGGGGCUUCGAUAUGACGCGUGGGGUUUCGGAUUUGGGGGCUCGUGCGCGGAGGAAUCGGGAUGGAAGCGUGGGCGACUCGGACUGUGCGUGGCCGGUUUUCUCGGGAGGCAGUGGGAGGAAGAAGAUGACGCGUGGGUCCCACCGGUCAGUGGCCGUGGGCGGCUCGGGCGGGCCGAGCCGGUCGGUCCGGUCCGGUUCGGUCCGGUUCGGCCUGUUUGGUCCGGUUUUUCCUUUUCUUUUAUCUAUUUUCUGUUUUCAGCCUCAAAAACGAUUCAAAGCUCCAAAUCACUCCAAACAAAAUGCAACAAAAUUUGUAAAAUCAUAUUUUCAUAUGAUCUAACUUUUGGAACAAUAAUUUUCUCAAAAUAAAAUAUUUAAAAAUACAUUUACCUAUAAAAUGGCUUUUAGGGCCCUUAGGCUAUCAAAAUAAAUUAUUUUUCAAAAUAGUUUCGAAAGCCAACUUAUGGGAUAGCUUUAUAUAUGCAUUAAAUCCCUUUUUAAACCAAUACCCUCAUGGGUUAAAAUGCAAAUACUCAAAAGCCAGAUCAAAGCCCAAAUUCAAAUAAAAGCAUUUUUGCAAUAGGGUUUUCUGGUCAAAUUUUAGGGUUUUCAAGUGUGGUUAAAUGCAAGGGUGACAUGAUGCUCAUAAUAUGCAAUGCAUAUUAAGGGUUUUGAAAAUUGGGAUGUUACAGACACGUGUGGGGGGCGUUCUCCCCCCGCAAGCGUCCUUCCUAGGCUCCGACUACACGGGGACUGAGCUUGCCUCGGCAAACUAGUGUUACUAAAGGAAGAAACAAGGACUCAAAACAAAGUAAUUAGCUUUCCAUUCUCUUUGCUCUUGGGGCAUCUUGUUGAGAGCCGUGGCAAGGACGUGCUGGCAGUGCACCCUCAAGCGGCACACGCGGAGGCAUGCGCCCCCAUCGCGUCUUCGCGACGCCUCUCGCUUCUUGCAUCGCCAUUUCUAGUGUCCUUCCACAAGAGAUGUGGCAGGGCCACGAUGAUGGGAACACACUCAGCGACAAGCACAGAGGGAUGCACCACCAUCGCCUCUCUGCGACAUCUCUUGCUUUCUUGCCCGUUGCUGGUGUUGCGCUUGCUCCGGUCUUUAAAUAGCCAAAGCGCUGCCCUUGCCUCCACACGCACGAGACCACCGGUUGACGUGUGGAGGCACUGGCCCUGUCUUAGUUUGCUGCAUCAAGCCUCGAAGUAAUUGUCAUAUACGUACAACUUACUCGCAAGACGACGACACCCGUGACCUCCCCACGAGCAUCACAGUGUGCCUUCGUCCCCAUCUUUAUCUUGCAUGUCAGAUUCUUACAGUGCCCAAGGUGCAUAGCAAAAAAAAUUCGAAAUGCACGAAAAACAGCACAAACUAGAUAACCUCCUGCCUCCCAGCCCCCGGGCACAGAAGAGUCGACCUCAGACUUGGGAGUGAGCAUUCUCAUACUUCCACGGUGCCUUGCUGGCACGUAGCAUGUUGCGGACGGGUCCGACAACUGCUAGGCCUCGUUCCGGGGCGUCCCGGCAACGAGCUUGGUUUUCGGGGUUCCGGGAGCCCCCUGCUCACAGCCAAGGAUGAGGAGGCAAUUCUAUACACCUAGAGCAGGAGACAGAAGCACACAUUAAUAGUAAAGCACAAUAAUCACUGAAACAACACUUAUCUUUAUUCAACUUCGUGCUAGCGGAUUACAAUCGGGCCUUGCCUGGCUACACUAGCUUAAAGAGGCACGCUGCCACAGCGUCACCCAUGGGUAAGGCACCAUCAUUUCACGGGUAGAACUUGCGUAGGUGCUCAAUGUAGAACUAUUUGGCACCGGCAAACCUUCUUCGGUUUCCAGCCGGACGCCCCCGGUCUGGUCACCUGCAUUACCAGGAAAGGGCCUUCCUAGAUUGGAGUCAACUUGUUCCCGGCCUUCGUUCCUUGUAUCAGGCGCAAGAUGAGGUCUCCAACCUCGAGACCCCGGGACCGGACUCUCCUAUUGUGAUAACGACGGAGUCCCUGCUGGUAGCCUGCAGCUCGCACAGCAGCCCGACAUCGAAUCUCCUCGAUGCAGGUAAGGUCAUCAAUCCUCUCCACGUGUUGGCUCUUCUCGCCGUACGCGCGUACCCGAGGUGACCCAUGCUUGAGCUCGAGGAGCGGCACAACUUCUGUCCCGUAGACGAGGACAAACGGAGUUUGACCCGUCGCCCGACUUGGUGUGGUCCGUAACGACCAUAGCACAGGUUAGAGUUCUUCAACUCAGUGUUUUCCGUGGCCCUUGAGCUUGUCAAAGGUUUUCGUCUUGAGCCCCCGCGGCACCUCUGCAUUGGCUCGCUCCACUUGCCCGUUGCUCCUCGGAUGAGCAAUGGAGGCAAAGUGAAUCUUAGUGCCCAUGUCCUCGUAGUAAGCUUGGAACACCGCACUAGUGAAUUGUGUGCCAUUAUCGGUGAUGAUGCCCUUAGGCACACCAAACCAGCACACAAUGCCCUUGAAGAACUUGAUGGCCGCCUGCGCCGUGACGGCUCGGACAGGCUCCACCUCGAUCCACUUCGAGAACUUGUCGAUGGCCACAAGCAAGUACUCGUAGCCGCCAACUGCUCUUGGCAACUUCCCGACCAUGUCCAGCCCCCAGACCGAGAACGGCCACGAGGACGGGAUCGAGGACGGGAUGACUUGCAGGGCUUGCGCUGGCUGGUUGCUCUUCUUGGCGUGAAACGGGCACGCUUCAUAGGUCUUGACUAAUUGUUCGGCGUCGGCUAAUGUUGUUGGCAGUUAGAAGCCGUGCCGGAAUGCUUUCCUAGCUAACGCCCUGGAGGCCACAUGGUCACAUGGUGCGAGCAUAUGCCUCGAUGUAUAUCCUCCAGCAACGUGCGCCCUUCUUCCUUGGGCACGCAAAGGAGCAUAACUCCGUUAGGACGCGUCCGGUAGAGUUCCCCGUCCACCAGAACGUACAUUUUGGCUUGCCAGGCUACUCGCUCCGCGGCAACGUCUUCUUUCGGGAGGGUCCCGUUCCUGAGGUAGCGAAUGAUAUCCGCCCCCAGGGUGGCGGUUCCCGGCUCGCGCAUGCCACAAGCUUGGUGGCAUGGUGCCCUGCAGCGGCGGGGUCUCCUUGAGUUGUCGGAGGGGCUUCCCCGGCAACCGUCUUGGGAUCGACAGAGGGCUUUGACUGCCUCCGUACGAACACCCAAGGAUGCACCUUGCUGCGUUCCGCUGCCCACUUGGACAAUUCAUCUGCAACAAAGUUGUCCUUGCGCUUCACGUGCUCAAACCGAAGUCCCUUGAACUCAGACUCCAGUUUUUGCACUUACUCCAUGUACGCGGCCAUUUGGGGGCAGUCGUAGUCCUUGUUGGUUGAUCACGAGUUGGGAGUCCCCGCGAACAACCAGGCGCUUGAUGUCGAGUGUGAUCGCCGCGCAUAGCCCGGCCAGCAGCCCCUCGUACUCUGCUGUGUUGUUGGUGGAGUUGGCGAAGUCGGGCUAUAUCACGAACUUGAGCUGAUCUCUAGUGGCCGACUCGAUCACCAAUCCGGCUCCGGCGCCCUGCAGGCAGAAGGCACCGUCGAAGUACAUGACCCUGUACCCUUCGUCCAAUAUGCCAGAAAGGCUUGCUUCCGGCUCUUCUUCCCCUAUGCUUGUCGAUGUCCACUCCGUGACGAAGUCGGCGAGAGCGGUGCUCUUGAUGCUUUUGGUAUUUGCGAAACGUAGCCCAAACUCCACCAGCUUCAUUCUCCACUCGGCCACCCUCCCGGUGGCUUCACUGUUGACGAGGGACCGCUCUAGGCAGAACCCUGACACCACCGUGAUGCUGUGCGCCUGAAAGUAAUGGCGCAGCUUCCGCGAAGCGAGCAGGAUCCCAAGCAGAAGCUUCUGGACCUGCGGGUACCGUACCCGGGCAUCGCGCAGCACCGUGCUGACGAAGUGCACGGGAUGCUGCACUAGUCGCUUACGGGGGGUAGCCUGCGUAGGCUGUCCCUCGGGUCCAGGGGCAGAGGUGGUAGCGUGGGGUUCCUCCGGUUCAUCGGGAGCCCCCGGCCCUCCUGUCUCAGCCCCUGGGACUUGUUCUUCCCUCUCGGCAACGAGCAUAGAGCUCACUACCUGGUCCGUCGCUGCCAAGUAUAGCGGCAAUGGCUCACCCGGCUUGGGGGCGACAAGGACUGGCGGUGACUUCAGGUACUGUUUCAAGUCCUGGAACGCCGCUUCUGCCUCGGGGGUCCAAUUUAUUGGGCCCUUCUUCUUCAUCACCUUGAAGAAAGGCAGGGCUCACUCGCCCAGCCUUGAGAUGAAAAGCCCGAGCGCCGCAACGCACCCGUUGAGGCGCUGAACGUCUCUAACCUUGCGGGUUGCCUCCAUCUUCUCGAUCGCCUCAAUCUUCUAUGGGUUGGCUUCGAUUCUCCGGUGAGGCACCAGGAAGCCCAGCAAGUGCCCUGAGUCCACACCAAACAUGCAUUUAUCGGGGUUAAGCUUGAACUUGAUCCUGUGGAGGUUGUCGAACGUCUCCUGCAGGUCGCCAACAAGCGAGUCCCUACGCCGUGACUUGACGACGAUAUCGUCCAUGUAGUCCUCGAUAUUCCAGCCUAGCUGGGGUCCCGGACACUCGCGUAAAGCACGCUGAAAUGUCGAGCCUGCGUUCUUAGGCCCGAAAGGCAUGCACGUAUAAAUGUGGCAGCCAACCGGGGUGAUAAACGCUGUUUUCUCCUCAUCUUCGACUGCCAUCUUAAUCUGAUGGUAGCCGAAGAAGGCAUCUAGAAAGCACAAAGACUCACAGCCUGCUACAGAAUCUACUAUUUGAUCGAUUCGGGGUACAAGGAAGGGGUCCUUAGGACAUGCACGAUGGAGAUCAGUUAAAUCUACACACAUGCGCAAUUUAUUUCCAGCCUUAGGGACUACAACAGGAUUUGCUAACCAAGUAGGGUACAACACUUCCCUGAUGGCCCCGGCGUUCUUGAGCUUCUCCACUUCUUGUUGGAUAAAGUCCUUGUAUUCCUGUGCUUGCCGGUGAACCUUCUGCUUGACGGGCCGCGCGUCUGGCCGCACCGCCAGCCGAUGUUCGAUCACCUCCCUGCGAACUCUGGGAAGGUCUGACGGCUCCCAAGCGAACACGUCAGAGUUCUCCCGGGGGAAGGAGAUGAGGGCGCUUUCCUAUUUGUCGCCGAGGCUUGCAUCGAUGGAGACGGUGCGUGCCUCGUUGCCGGCAUGCAGGGGCACCUUCUUGACCUUGGUGCCCUCCUCCUUCAGCUUCGCGCCCUUGCUAAUGCGCGGGCUGGAGCUGGAGCUGCCCCCGGUGUCCGGACCGGAGAGCCUCUUGCCUUCUUCUGUGCGGCAAUCCAACCCCUGAUCCCAAGGGACGAAUCGGGUGAUCGUCCGAGUUGAAGGUGAUCGGCACGUGCGACCACCUCAACGGCUGCUGCAUCUCCACGCUAGGGAGGAGAGCGCAGACCUCAUGCGUAAGCCGCUUCACGGCAGCAUGAGACGUGAGAGCGUACGCUCCCCCGUGGAUGCAGGCGACGUCGCGGGGCUCCUUGAAGCCGUGCUCGUCGGCGUCGUCACUACAGUCGUCCUCUCGCUGCUCGGCACGAGUUUUGUCGCGUCCCCGGGGAGGCCGGUCCUUGCCGCCGCGGGCUUGAUCGCGACCCCUCGCGGGUUCUCCCUUGUCCCCGCCGGCUGCACACCGGCCCGCUCCGUUGCGGGGGUUAUUCGGGCAAUCUCGGGAGAGGUGCCCGAUAUCCCCGCAGUUGAAGCAAGCCCCGGCAGCGUGGCGCUCCUCGGGGCGCUACUCGCGCUUCUCCUUGAUGGUCAGGAGAGUGUGGCAGUCCUGCGCAUCGUGGGUGCCGUUGGUGUGGAUGGGGCAGUGCGCGGCCGCCGCUGACUUGCUGCCCGAUGCUCCCGCCGACGCCGCCUUCUUGGUGGGCCUCUGGGGAGCCCCCGGUUCCGCGGCAAGCACUUGCUUCCCGCCGCGUUUCCGGGAGCCCUUCUUCUCGGAGCCCUCGGGUGGGUUUGCCGCCGCCUUGGCAGCAAGCUCAGGCGCUAAGCGCCCUUCCUCGGCCAUCGUGCACUUGUGUGCGAGAGCGUACAGAUCACUUGUGGUUCGGAUCCGGUGCGUGUUCAACUUCUCACGCAUCUUCAAGCCACGGACGUUGAUGGUGUAAGUGUUGAUGAGGGCGGCCGCUUCCGCCUCUGGGAUGGAGUAGGAGAGGUUAGUGAAGUCCCGCAACGUCUCCCCCGGUUUCUGCACCACCGUAUGCAGUUCCACCAUGGUUCCGGCCUGGAACGCGUUCACAAACUGCUCGCGCAGGUCAGCCCAGGAGGCAAUGGACCCGGCGGGCAGGUUGAGCAACCAAGUCCUCGCUGAUCCUUUCAGGACCAUCAGGAACCAGUUGGCCCUGACCUUGUCGUCGGCACCGAUAGUGUGCAUGCCCAACGUGUAGGUCAGGAGGAAGUCCUUGGGAUUCACGGUCCCGUCGUACGUCCCGAGCGUUGGCGCUCGGAACUUGCGGGGCCAUGUCACCCGGCGCAGCUCGCGAGUGAACGCGGCGCAGCCGUCAUCGGUGCCCAUGGGAGCGUCUUCCUGCUCCUCUGGACGCUGGCGCUCCACCUCGCGCCGGCACCGGCGCUGCAAGCGCUAACGGAGAUCUUCCUGUUGGCGAGCGUUUAGCACGCCCCGCGCGUCACCUGGCAUGACUGUUGGGGACGAGUCCGAGUAGCCCUCGGGAUCCUCAUCUCCUUGCCCUCAUGAUGGUGGAGGGUGCUCUCCAUGCACCGAGACGCGGGGCGCAUCUCCGCGUCCCGGGUUCUGUCCCCGUCUCGAACCGGCCGGGCCGCCCUCACCUUGCGGCUGUUGGGCAGCGAGUGCGAGGAGCGCGUCCAGCCCCGCCUCCACCCGUCAUGCCCUGGCGUGCCUUGCCGUGGCUCGUAGCGCACCAUGUCAUGCGCGGCAAUGAUGGCUUCCGCCAGGGUAGGGGCGGGAGGCCGUCGGUUCUCCGACCAGCUGCCCUCCGACUGGUCGCCCGGUGCCCUCGGAUGCGAGGGCCGAGACUCCGUUGGCGUCACACGCGACGCGCUGUGGUCGUGGUGCAGCUGUCGCUGCACGUCCUCAGCCCGCGAGUGGGCUCACUGGCUGGCGCGUGCAACGUUGAGGUCGCUCGCACAGCUAGCUCCGGUGCUAGGUGUAGCGGGCCCCCUCGGUCGGUUGUCCGUCGACGGCCGAGGAGGUGGUGUGGCAGUUGCGGUUGUUGUUGCUGCCGUGGAGGGGACCCCUGGCCCCCUUGACCUUGCGACGCACGUGCGGCGUCCUGGGAUCGAGAGCGCAUGGCGAGGGUGUCGCACAAGUCGACCCGUGGCUCGUCUGCCUUCUUGGGCGGCAUGGCGAGCUAGUCGUGCAAGUUGUCGCCAAUGAAGAAGCCGGUGGUGAAGACGAUGACACUGGCGGUCACCCAAAGUUCUUUGCACGCCCCCCUACCUAGCACGCCAGAUGUCGGAGCACGGGUCUCCGGCACCGGGGAUGCCGAGCACCCCCUUUUUGGUUCGGUGGAGGGCGAGGCGAUUGCUCCGGCGAUCGCCGGCGUGACGAAAGACACAAAGUGUCGACGCGUGAAUUUACCCAGGUUCGGGCCACCCGGAGGUGUAACACCCUACGUCUUGCUUAGAGUUGUAUUCACGAAUAUGUGUGUGUCUUACAGGGUGCCCCGAGGGGUUCCCGGGGAGCUGGUUGCUCUCUUCGGAGAGUUUGGUGCCUAUAGGAGCGACGCUCCUUGCUACUACUGACUAUGACUCCAACUGGGACUAGAACAGAACCGAACCCUUUGACCGGUGGCAUUGGUCCUUCUUUUAUAGACAAGGGGAUACCACAGGUGCCGAUGCAUGCAGCACGACACGUCUCCUACACGCAUGUCACCACCACAAAAAUUACACUACUGUUGAUCCACGCUGGGCACCAUGCAGCGCCCAGGCCACUAUACAUGUUAGAAAAAAUGUGGUAUAGGGUAGACGCCCUAGCCAUGCUGAGCAAGAUUAGCCUUGCCGAUGUGACUCCUGUCGGUGAAGUUAAAUGCACUGCGUCCGCUGUCUCGUCCUGUCUGCACUGUUCACUGGGCCCUGCCUGCAUGGCCGAGCGCGGGCUGUUGGGGAGCCCCUUCCCGGCUAGCGCACCCGGCCAGUUGCCGGGGAGGCGUUCCUUCCACUUUCCAGGACCAGAGUCCCCGGGUACCCGCCAAAGUGGGCGCUUCUCCUGCUCCGGUCCUUCGCUUUGUCCUCACCAACAACCGUCUCCUUGGGGGGGAGCUUCCCGGGCCAAUCGUUCCCGGGAGGCCAACCUGGCAGGGCUUUGUCACUGGCGACCCACGCGUCCCGUAUCAGUGGGACCCCACGGACCACUGAUACGACACCAACUGUGGUCUCCGAUUUUCCGUACGGCUUGUGAUUUAGAAAGUCAAAAUAUGGUCAACUUUGUCGGUUCAAGCUUUAUAACAUAUUUAAUAAUAUGUAAACAUGUCUCAAAGGAGGGAUAUGGUGGGGUUAUGCAGAAGUAACAAUAUCUGGAGAGACACUCUAAUAACAGCGUCUAAUGAGAGGAUGAGAAGCGUCUACCAGGUAAAGUGAUUAACAUAUUUACUUCACAUCAAACAACACAACCCUCUUUAUCACCCCCUCGACACCUGUGAGGAAGCAAUCCAAAGGAACUCCUUUAAGCAGUUUUAAGCAUAUCCAUGAUUAAUCACUAAUUACUAGUCAAAUUGAUAAGAUUAAGUUGGUGAAAGUUCUCUUUGAUCAAGUAAUGACCUCCAAGUUGUCCAUAACCGUGGACACGGCUUUCAGAAAGAUUUAUCCCUGCAGGGUGCACCAAUUUACCCGUACACGUUCGUCCAACCCUUGAUGCCACUAGAUGGAACACACGCAAAAGCAUGUGCCGGCAGGAUUGAGUGACACGACGUUUCCCAGCUCCACAAAUAAUCCAGGGGACCACCCAACUGAGUCUAACCUGAAACGAGAGCCCGGCCUAAGCGUCGCACGAACUCAGUUGCGUGGACAGCUGGUGGUAGUUCAGGGCCGCGCAGAAUGACCACCCCAACUAUGCCGCAAUCCUAUAUGAAUGCAAAAGUCACCAAACUCUGUGUGUAUGCAAAGGCCAAAUGGAAAGCCCGGACUAUGUGGCCCCUAGAAGAGCGAUGAAUCGGGUACUAAAUCGAGGGGGAGCCCAUAUAUUCUCCCACGAGCGGUUAGCGCGAUUUUUCUUGGAUCAGCGAAAACGAGAACUCAGUCCUUAGUCCAGCCCAAAUGGAACAAAUCACCGAUGCCAAAAAGGCACGUCCUCCCAUCGUUGCCUUGUUACAGUUUAAUAUCAUACCACAGUUUUAAGAUUGUAAUUAAAACAUAAAGUAGCACGUGGAUGUAACAAUUGUGGAACCCCAAAGUAAGGACACUAGACUCGCAAUCUAAGCAUGACAUCUAAUGACCAAGCAAGUAGGACAACAACAAACAUGUGACAUGGUAUUAGGACAAGUAACAAAAUAUAUGGCAAUAAGUAGAGCUGACAAAUAAGCUAUGCAAUCCUAUAGGCAUCGUGACAAAACUGAGAUCGUAACUUAAUGCAAGAUUAAGGGAGGGGCAAUAGGUAUAAUCAACAUGGUCAAGGAAGGCUGCUUGCCUGGAGUACUCAAUUGCCCGGAAUUGAGCAAGAAUCCUGGAAGAACACAAGCGUAGUCGUCGACGUACACCACAUAGAAGGAAAAUAUAAGCAUACAAGAUACACAUGGUAAUUGAUAUGCGCAAACAAAGGAUGAUGCAUGACAUAGGGAUGAUGCAUGACAUAUUAACGGUAAGUGGUUGAUACACUAAUCACAUUAAAUGGAUUGGAAUUCCUAAAGCAAUGGAAUUCCAAUUUCAUAUGCAUUUAUUAGAUGUUUUAUUCGAAACAACAGGUUCAAGUUGUUCAAUCAUGAAUGAGAAUUUCAUGAACAGGUUAAUUGAAUCUUUCUGAUCAAAAUGCAUAUAAGAUUUGCCAAUUUUGGAAUUAGGAAGCAAUUACUAUGAAUUAAACAAGUUUCAAAUGGAUUUAAACCAAUAUUUAACAGAUUUGAAUUUAUCAUGCUCAAAAUGCAAAACAGAUGGCAUGAACAGAUUCCUCAUAUUUUUACUGAUCAAUUUACAUAUAAAUUUUGCAUGAUUUGGACAAGGUAUGCAAAAGAUGUGAUUUAAACAAGAUCAAGGUAUAUUCUGCAAUUUAUUUGGAAAAACAAAAGACACAACUUCAAAUCCACUCGGGCGCAGAUAACCCUUGCGGCUGACAGCGGGCCCGGGAGGCUGACGAGGCGGGGUUCGCCGAGCUGGCUGCCCGUUGUCACUGACCAAGUGGUCCUACAUGUCAGUUUCGGCCAAGAGGAAAAAGUUGAGUUUUGGCUUGAGAUGGGGGUCGAACUAAGGUCGCCAGAUUUGAGAACGGACGAGGGAGGAAGCCAGUUGGGACAGCGAAUAGACCUUGCUAACUGUAGGGUGGGCGCGUAAUUAACAAGACAAAGGGCGGAGCCUUAAGAACGCCCGACAGCACGGCCAUCUUCAGCGGCGCCGGUGACCAACAGAGGCGGCUAAGCGGGGGAAAAGCAGCGGAACGCGGAGAAAAUAUAGAUGGCACGAAGGCCCUCGCAGGUUCCUUAUGGGUGCAGCGGCGCGACGACGAACAGCAGCUCGCCGGCUUCAAGCCGGAGCACGCGUACGUGGCUAGAGCACUACAGAGCACCAAAACGGACGGGGAAAGAUGCAGGAGAAAGAGGAGGUCACAUAGAUGAGGAAGGACUACACGAUCGGAGUCGAGGAAGCCUCAGAUCGCGGGAAUUUGGCGGGGAAGCGCCGGCGGCCGUAGAGGAAGAAGAGGAGCUAGCGCUCGCCUUAGUCGAACAUGGUCCAAUUCCUUGCGUCUGCAGGUAGAGGAAGAAGAGGCAGAGGUCGUGACGCGGUUGGUUCGUCGUCGUUCGGUAACUUUGAAUCUCCUCCGUACGAUGGGCGAUGGACGGCUCGCGAUGAAGAUGACGAGCGAAGCGGUACGAGCCCGACUUAACACAGUUAACUGAAUGUUCUGAAGUUUUAGACACUGAACUUCAGUUCCUGACAAUUCCCCCCUGAAGAGACCAGACUUGUCCUCAUGGCUGAAAAUCUGGGAAUAUCUUCUGGAUGAACGAUGAAUCCUCCCAAGUUUCUGCCUCAGUUGGCAUAUUUUGCCACUUGAUAAGCCACUGAACAACUGGAAUACUGAUAGCACCCUGCUGCCGCGGUAUAAGCUUGCGCUCCAGAAUGGCUUCAGGGGCAAUGUGGAUACUGCCAUCAGAAUCAAUCAAAGGAAGAUGUGGAGUUGGUACAGCAUUAGGCCCCAGGUGCUUCUUGAGUUGACUGAUGUGAAAUCUUGGAUGGAGCUGACAACCUUCAGGCAGUAACAGCUUAUAGGCAGUAUUACCAAUCUUCUCUAACACACGAAAAGGGCCAUAAUAUCUUGAAUGGAGCUUAAGAUGGUGGUGAAUGCUGAGAGAAGUAUGCCGAUAUGGUUGGAGCUUCAAGUAGACCAUGUCCCCAACUUCCAGAGUUCUUUCACUACGAUGUUGAUCAGCAUAUAACUUCAUGCGAGCUUGAGCCUUCAGGAGAUUAUCCUUGAUCACUUGAGCAGUAAUGGCUCGAUUCUCUGCAGUAAUAGAAGCCAGAUCUGUGUCCUCAAUAGGAAGGUAUCUCUCAGCGACCAUUGGGGGAGGGAAUCCAUAAACUGCUUGAAAUGGUGUCAUAUUCAAAGAUGUAUGAAAACUGGUAUUAUACCACCAUUCAAAAGGGUAACUAGGCAUGCCACUCCUUAGGCUGGUUAAAUGCCAUGCAUCUCAGAUAGGUUUCCAGGCAUUGAUUCACCCUCUUAGUCUGCCCAUCAUUUUGUGGAUGAUAGGAAGUGCUGGAAUGCAAUUUAACUCCCAAGGCUUUGAACAUAUCUUGCGAGAUGGCUCGUAAAAAUCCUAUCUCUGUCAGUCACAAUAACAGAAGGGAGGCCAUGAAGCUUGAAGACAUUGUCAGUGAAUGCUUUGGCAACCUGCUUGACUGUAAUGGGAUGUUUCAUAGAAAUGAAAUGGGAAUAUUUAGUAAAACGGUCAACAACCACCAGGAUGAGAUUCUUGUUUUCUGACAUAGGAAGUCCUUCCAUGAAAUCCAUACCGAUGUGAGACCAAGCAAAAUCAGCAACAGGAAGUGGUUGUAGUAACCCAGGUGACUGAACGUGCUCCACUUUGUCUCGGUCAUGUCCACAUGUUCACAUGUUCUCGAAUCCCGCAGGGUCACACACGAGGAGCUUCGGAAUGGUCCGAAGAUAAUGAAUUAUAUAUGGGAAAGUUGUUUGAGGGUUCCGGAAAAGUUCGGAAUAUUUUCUUGUAUCGUAUCAGCAAUAUUCUAGAAGGUUUCGGGGGUCCACCAGUGGGGCCCCCAUGGCCAGCCCCUUGGGCAAGCAAAAGAGGGGUUUCCUCCUCCCCUUGCAGCCAGCCACUCCCCUUCUUGGAGGAGGGGGCAAGCCAUGGCAGCCCACCUCCCUUGCCCUAUAUAAAGAGAGGAGGAGGCUUAGGAGAGGGCUGCUCAAGCCCGGCCGGCCACCUCUCCCCUGCUGCCCCUCUUCUCCCAGUUUCCUCUCUCGCGCACAAGCGAAGCCCUGUCCGUACACUACCACCACCGCACCGUCAUCCUGCUGGGAUCUCAUCCACCUCUCCCCUUGCUUGCUGGAUCAAGAAGUGGAGACGACAUCAAACCGUACGUGUGGACACCUCGGAGGUGCCCCUCCGUUUGGCACGUGAGAUUGAUCUCAACAAAAGUACGACUACACCAACCACGAUCUUGAGAUCAUAACGCUUUGUGUUCUUAAAGGGUAUGAAGUUCACAAUCCCCUCGUUACUAGCAUCUCGUAGAUAUGAUCUUCGGUUUAUUCCGCACUGCCCGUAGGAAAUUUUUUGUUUUCCAUGAAGUGAACCCAGCAUUUCCCUAAAAUGAGGACUGCAGCAUGUCACAUGUAAAUCAUUACCAAACACACCUCCUGCGUUUGAAUAAUAAUGAAAGCUGCCCACAAAACCAUUCUGUGUGAAUAUGUGAUGUAAUAUAUCCUUUUCGGAAAAAAAAGUGAUGUAAUAUAUUGGUCUUUGGCCCAAGCAUGAUAGAGUUAUCUUCUACUCCUUCCGUUCUAUAUUAAGCGACGAAAUAUUACAUGUAUUUAGAAACUUUUUGGAUAUGGAUAGAUUCAUAUUUGGACAAAUUUGAAUCACUUAAUAUGGGACGGAGGGAGUAGUUUUUCUCUCUUUUGACAACAGAGUUCUCUUUUAGUCUAUUUUCUUUUGGCCCGAUCAUAAUAUAUGGUCCUUUGGCCCAAGCAAAUGUGAUAUGCUCAUGUAUAUUUCCGGAGUAGUUCGACAAGUGGUAUAGCUAUGGAACGACCGCUUGCAAGCCUGCGGACUGACUGAGUUUCGUACUACUCCGGAGUAGUACGGAACUUAGGCCGCGGGGUAGUAUUUAUCUAUCUGCGAAGAAUCUCAAAUACGUAUUUAUCUAUCUGCGGACUGAUAUUACGACCACUUGCAAGCUGCGUAUAAAUACUAGUACUUCAGCCCGCGGAGUAGUAUUUAUCUAUAUGCGUAUUUGAGAUUUUAAAUUUUGGAAAAGGUAGUAAAUCUUGAGAUUCUCGAUAGCAAUUGCUGAACACAAGCUUGCUGACCUGUUGCAGUCAGAAUGAGAAUCCGGUCGAAAGCACUGCUGAUCGUAUAUAAAUAGGCAUUUGAAGUUCAGCAGGAUCGGAGACAUAGAUAACUGAAGUUCAGCACGACAACAUCAGAAACAUGGAUAACACGGGUUUUGUUUUGCGAGGAGACCCCGUGAGGCUCCUUCCUAAUUAAAUUGCUGAUACAUGUCGAAAAAUAAAUUUGGAGCAAAGCAAAAUACCCUCCAUGGUUAAACCCAGUUGCUACCGCUUUCGAACUCCUGCGAUUUCACUCACGUUUUAUGACAGUGCAGCCAGAGUGAAAUAUCAGUUAAAUUAAAAGAGUAAAAUACACCACUAGUCCAUGAACUUAGCAAAACUGAACACUUUAGUCCACGAACUCAGAAAACACACUUAAACCCUAAACUGGGACUAUUGUGUCACUUUAGUCCAAAACGGUUUUUGCACGUGAUGGGAUGAAAGUGACACAAUAGUCCCACUAAAGUGUGCGUUUUCUGAGUUCAUGGACUAAAGUGUUCAUUUUUGCCGAGUUCAUGGACUAAUGAUGUAUUUUACUCAAAUAUUAAAAAUAUAUUGAAACCAGAAUGAGAUCUUAGUUCCUAAAAUUUCAUUUGGAUUUCCCUAAAAAAUUUCAUCCGCAAAUUUCAGCAAUUUAAUUAGAGUCCUCACAAUAAGUACCCGUUCCAUAGUUCUUUUCCAGGUAAGUUGAUCACAUGGAUCACGUCACUUUGAUAACAUGCUUUCCGAAGCAUGCACCAAGUGAAGCAUGCAAGACGACAUCCAUAAUCGCCAGGUGCCCAGGUUGGGAACUAACAAACCAGCUUCUCCAUUAACACAGAACCGAGCAUUCUCGCUUCUUCUUUUUUCGAAAAGUGCACACGGCCACAUAACAGUUCUCGAGCAUUCUCGCUGAGACGCUGACCUCCCACAUAACAGUUCCCGCCGAUAAGUCAAGAAGAAAUAGAUGCAUGCGCAUCAGAUUCUUGAGGCUACGAGGUUUCAAAUAAUACCUGUGAAGAUGCAACACACAAGGUUAAAAAUAACAGUCAGACAUGAUGUUAUUGGAUGUCGACCUGUGACCACCAGUAGGCCCAUGGAUAGGCCUAUGACCUAUCGUACUUCACUGGUUUUGAGAUUGUCCGUGUUAAAUUAUGCUCCCUGAAUAAAUAUAAAAUAAAAUGCGUACAUCAGCAAACAAUCCCGUGCUUUCCUUGUGUUAAUGAAAUCGAUCUGGCAUCGUAAGGCCAAUGAGUAGUUGCUCACAAGUCCGGAAAAUCUGUACGCACACAUCAUUCAUAACAGCAUAAGCGGAAAAUGCAGUCAAUGCACGAAGGCACAAUCCAGAUGCACAAAGGGACGAACAUAGAUUAGAGAUAAGAUACCCUCAUUUUAGGAUAAUAUUUUUUGCAAGAACAGUCAAAAGAUGCAAAAAGUCUCAAGCGGAUCUGGAAUAAUAGUUUGUUUAAGUGCUACCUUGCUACUUGCCUCAUUGCUUGCUAAUCCCACAAUAUUCUCAUCUACCAUGUAGAUAUAGAGGAUAAGCAUACAUGUUUUUUUUGGGUAUAGGAGCAGUACCUGCAGUGGACACUAGGCGAAACUAUGGUCAGAGGCAAGUAAAGGCCUUCGAGCAUCACAUGAGGUUUCACUACCUAAAGUAACAUGUCACCACCCAGUUCAUCAAUGGCUUUGUCGAGCUUGGACAACAUAUCUACGGAAAGGAAGGGUACUUAGUCAAUAAAAGCAUUUGAAACGAGGUUAAAUCUACAGGUAACAUAAAACAUACAUGGCAUGGGUUUUCAAAUUGGCAUGUUUCAACAAAGAAAAUGCUAAUUAAGACAUUUAUUUAGCAAUUACAAAGGCAUAAAAUUGCUGCUAUCUUAUGCCCAUAUGAAGAGGAAAAAAUAACAUACCAUGAAAAGAGUCGUCGGUCCCAUAUGUCUACAGAAGUAAAAGUACAACUUGACAUGUUAGAACAUAUAAUUUUUUCAUGGUUUUAAGAACAACCAAAUUAGAACAUUUUUCAAGACAGGUACCUUCAUCCCUGCCAAAAGAUCACAUGUUUCUUUAUUAGCAUCAACCUCCUUACCACCAACCUUUCCUUUAUCAGCAAUAGAUUCAUUACCAGCAACUGAAACUGCUGAAAUCAUUCCUGACAGGUCAGGAAAAGAUGAGAUAAAACCAUCAAGAAACAUAAGUAACAAAUGAAAUUAAACUUUAUGUACCAUCAUGACAUCCAUCCAGUAUGUAGGCCUGCAUAAAAUGCAAAUGUUAAAAGAAACUCCUUAGAGGCAGUUUGCAGAAUUUAUAAAUAACCACAGCAUUACAUUUUCAGGAGCAUGGUCAGUUGCAGUCGCCAGACAGGGUUCUUCCCCAUCUGAUUACAGGUGCGAAAAGUUACUAAAAUGGACCAACAAAAAUCAAAUAAAAGUUACUAAAUUCAUCCAAUCAUAAUUAGCCAACCUUUCUCAUUUUUAAUAGAAUAACUUGUAAGCACUUCAGAGUAACAAUGAGGGAAACCAGAGUAGAUUUCGUCGAUAUUUGUUGCACGGGGAGACCGAAGAACAGGCUGGUCAGGUUCCUCGUGGUAGCUUACUGCAGGGGCAUAUGUCCCGUGAUAAGAAGUUGGCUCCUCAAAGUUUGUCGCCUCAUCAAGCCUGUGCAUAGAACAUGUUAUCGAAGGUAGUAUUUUUCUCAACCUACAAACUGAUAUUUUCAUUAUCUUUUUACCUGUAUUGAAGCCCAUCGGAAGCAGUAUAUUCAGACGAUGACGAAUCUUCACACACAUAGUCACUUCUGGAUGUUAAGAUAUCUAUGGUGUUUCUUGAGCAUUCCUUUUAAAGUCCAUGAAACAAAUGCACUACUAUGAUGACAUGUUUUGAAAACUACCACAUAACAAAAUUAUUAAGGAAGGCAAGCGAACUUCAGCAUUAGAGGGAUAUUAUGUCAGAAACUGAAAAGCAUCUAAAUGGUUUUACCCAGUGACUAAAAUUCUGAUACUGAUGUUCGCACAUAAAGCAGGGAUGUAUUGUAUAGUAUUGAUGAAGAAACAUAAAAAUCCCUCAAAAAGUUAUUAUGCACAACUUAAGAAAUGGUGGUUAAUACUUAGGAAACAAUAUUUAUAAGGUCGUCGAUCUAGAACUGCUAGUAUUAUCUAUUCCAAAUCUACAACUGCUUAAUAAGUUUCUUUCUUCAUGUAGGAAAAUCCAUGCUCGGCACAAAAUAAUACAUUUCAUUUUAUACAGUAUAUGCUGAUAUGCAAAAUGAGCAUAAACUGAGAAGGUGACAUCACAAUCACAAAAUAUGACAGUCAUGGAUGCCUCUGAUUUUCUAUCUUGAGCAUAGCAAUCCAUAAUACUGUAUUAGCAAGCUGUUAAAUAGAAAUCCCAAUGAAACACAACAACAAGAGAAAGAAGUAACAGUUCUCAGUGACAUGUGGGUUGCAGAAUUAAUCAUUUCCAGACACCCACAUAACUGCAGAGGGCAACACAUGCUUACAGGAACAACAUUUGAAGACACAAGGAAGAUAAAAGUUGCACCUUCACACUAUUCAAGAAUGACUCUGCAUCACUGAGGUGCGGGAAACGUACAGCAAACUUCUGAAUCUGCAGAGAAAUCAGCAGUAUAUAAUCUUGCUAUUGAAAAUGUUCAUAGAGGUAAUUCUACAGGUAGAAACAUCCCAUAUGAACACAACAAUGAAAUUGCAUGUCAUUCAACAAAUCAAUCACUAGUGUUACAUUUGGUAAUACAAGUAAACAUGCCUGUUUGGAUUGAUCACAAAAGCUCAUGAAUACCACCCUGCUCCCUCUAAUUGGGCACUGUGUCAUGCAUGCAACCUGCGGCCAUGAAAAGUUGAGGGUGUACACAUGGUGCUCCUCCUGUGUCAUUGAUAAAAGACCUUGACGUUAAGUUGUUAGGACAUGGAAGAGAGUGGUGUAUAUAAUAGAACAGAAAACAACAGUGUGUUGAGCAGAGUAUUCUCAUUUCUAUUUUCUUGAACCUCCAUAGCUUCCGUCAAACAAUUUUGGGUCGAGAGUUGUGCAAAGUCAGGUUAUACAAUAGCGGCAGAACUUUGUGACAAAAUGAGGAGUACUAGGUAUCAUCACAAAUUCACACUAGCACAUGUUCAAGCUUUCAAUUUUUCUUCGGCUAAAAAUGUACCUAUGUCUUAUGGAAUAAUCAAAUUAGUUAGCCAUCAAAAUUUCGUUCCAACUUUCAACUUAAGGAAUUUCCCAUGUUGUCAUCAAGGACCCAAAUGAAACAAAUAUCAAUCUUGCCCUCACAAAAAUCCCAAAAAUGAGUAAAGGUAUACGGCGUUUUCCUCAAGCCUAGUAUUUUAUUGAGUAACAUGAAAAUGAGAACAUAUUGAAUAACUUGAAGAGAACAUAUUGAGUAACUUGAAAAAGAGAAUGCAUGGAGGACACAAGAAUAACUUCUUUUUAGGGACUAAGGAGGACUAUCUAGUAAAUUCUGUCAUGAACCAAAGGGUUAAAAAAUAAUUACAAUUAGCAACUGUUUGGCGUACAUCCAUAAAUUUAUUAAAUGCACACAAAUAAACUACCUAAAAAACUACCAAUGUUGCAACCACACAGUGCAACUUCCUCCACCUCUGAGGAUACACUGUUGGUCUUCAUCUCACAUCACAUUUCUGGUCUCUUAAAGUAUUACAUUCUUUCUAAACCGAACACUAACGUGCAGCACAUUUGUAUGUUUUAGUGUAAAACCAAAACUAAAACUAAACAGUAAAACCUGAUGCCCAACAAAUGUAUAGCACAUAAUAUGAUGAUCAAGGAAGCUUACAAGAUUGAUAAAAAAUAAUACACGAAAUGAAAACAUGCAGCAGCAUGGCAGGCUACACAAGAAUAAAAAAAAUGAACAUCAAUGGUAAAGGAAACCGAUGUUAAAUCAACAAAAUGCAAUGCAGCAUAAUCUUGCAAGCACUGAACUGUUUGGCUAACAAUUUGGCACCAAAUACUCAUCUCCUAUUUUGAGUUUUCAACAGUAUAAAUCAUCCAAAGACCAGAGGUGGCUAUUGUGAUCACCCUAUUGACCAAUGCCAUGGCACCAAAGUGCUAGACUGCAAGCAACCAUGGAUAACCAUACUUACAGUCGAACACAACACAUUGUCCACAUCGCAAACUCUUGAAACAAUGAGUGCUAACACACCCAAGAGGCCAAGACAGCGCAGACAAACAAAGGUAACUUCUUGAGAACCCGCAAAAAAAAAGGUAACUUCUUGAGAGCUAUCAAUGGUCCCAGAACUACCAAGAACAAAUAUGCUUGUACAGAGCUCGAGCCCUGCACCCAAACCAACGUUCUCAAACCAAAUCAGCUCAGCGCAGAUUUGCGCUGGCAAACUAAAAAGCCUAAACCCCCAACAAUAACAAGCAUUUGUCCAAUGCCUCCAUCAGAAAUGCUUGCCUAGAUUAGACAAGGCAAGCAAUCAACAUGUAGCAACACGAGCGAAAAGAAGAGUGGGGAAGGGGUCAGUUCGGUACGGACGUAGACGACGUCGCCGAUGGAAACGGUGAGGACGGGUGCAGCAAAGGAGUGGCUGGGUGGAGCGAUGCGGAGCGUCGCGGGGCUGGCAGCCGGGAGCCAUGUGCCCUGGUGGCGGAGCUUGCCGCGAGAUAUAUAACGAAGGCCGGGUGGUGGCGGCGUCGCCGGUCCGCGCCGCGGCCUCAGGAAGUAGCGCGCGAAUUCCACCUCCCACUUCUCCCUCCUUCGUUUGCCCACCGCGGCCUCACUAGGCGACCUGAGCAGCGUCCUGCUCUUGUCGCUGGCGCCGGCGCCGGCGCCCGCCAUGCCGCCAACGAUGAUGCCGAGAAUGUGGUAUUUGCGGCUUUCGGUGUGUUGGGGUUUUUACAGCAGAAUUUGGUGUCGGACAGUAGAGGUGGAUCUAUCUAAUUUUCCUUUUGAGAUGAGCUAUCAAGAUGUACUACCGGUAUCGGACCUCUUUUCUUAGUAUGGAUGGCAAUUGGUACUGGAUCCCUGAAUAUCCGACGGAUAUAGAUCCGACUAGCAUACGGGUCUGGUAAGAAUUAUACCCGCGGGUCUGAUGGGUCUGAGUCUCGUAGUGCCGGAUCCGGCCCAAGAUGCCUGUAUACUUGGUUCAAAACUGAUAUGGACAUGCUAACCAUGGAUACGACCAUUAGAAUCCUAAUUAUUGGUGUAUCUAAUAACAAUUAUAAUCAGGUGAAUUCAAUUACAAAAUGUUUUCAAUAUGUUACUUGCAAAGAGACGGAGCUACUAUCUUGUGUAAUCUUAUUACGUAGGCAUCUUAUUGAACUUUACAAGUCCAAAGUGAAGAUGAAGUGUGAUAGCCUUCAAAGGGAGAUUCAAAGUGAAGCCUAUCAAGUCUACUUUCCAACAAAUCAAACGGCACAUGAUUCGGAGCUUGCUAGAGAAAGAUAUCACGAAUUAAAGUUGAAUCCGAUUCGAGUCCGAGCUGUCAGGAGACCCGAAUUUGUUUUAAUCACCCAGACCGCAUCCGAAGUCCAAAUCAAGAAAACAAGUACUUGUUGGAAAGGUAAUUACAAGACCUUUCCAACGGAUCUGGCCCCAUCAAGAGAUUCGACUCAUGCUGACCGUGACAGACAAAACAAGCUGACGGAUCUGUUUUUCUGUUUCAUAAAGAAUUGUAGUUUAUUAGGAAAGUUAGAGAUAGAGUUGGAUUUCGGCCUCCUUACUCAAGGUGGACGAAAAUAUCUCUCCCUCCUUCUUUAUAUACCCCAUGAGCCCCCCUAAGGAGCCUUGGGUUUUGAUUAGAUAAAGUUUAUCCAUCUUUGCUAGUUUCCUAUAGUCGCGUGUGUCGGUUAGACCACCUGUUUUACGGUCGUCAAGACUCCAACUUAUCGUCUCGUUGAGACAUUGGUUUGAUAUAUAGUAUACUCGCAAUUUUAGAUUGCAUCCGCUAUUUAUCUUGUUCUUGCUUGUUCUUUGAUUGCUUGCAGGAACAAAGACCUUCGUGGUCAGGUUGAUCGUGCCCCCGCGUGAUCAAUAACCCUGUGGAGUUGGUGUAUCGAUUGCUAAGGCGCUGCCUUCUAGGCUGUAGUCGGAUUGUCAACGUCCCACAUCAAAAACAUGAAGCCCACGUGUCAAUGCAUAUUGUGAACCACAAAUUCGGCCGAGCCCAAGAAAUACUAGCUCCUAGAUAGGCCACGCUAACUCAACUUCCGUCCCACACCUCCGCCAGUCCACUGGUCCUUGACCGAGACCGACUCCCUCUCCUCUCGUUCUCUUCCCCCACCAGCCCCUCUUCUCGUUCUCUAUCUUCCCCACGAGGCCAAGACCGUGACCACCCUGUCAUCCCGCGACCAACCGCCGGCGGCCGGCUCCGGACAGCCCGACGCCGUCUCCUCCAACCCCCGCCGACAGGUCCCUUCCCCAAGUCCCCAUCCGCCCGCGGCCCGCCAUGGGUGCCAUGAAGUUUGAUGGCAUGGAGAACAAGACCGGCAGCGAGCAUGAAGAUGAGCACUUCCAACCACUCCGACGGUGAGCACGUCGUCGGAUCCGGCCGAGCAUCGCCCAGAGGCUCUCACCCCGACACAGAGGCUAUAUCCCAUCGCCAUGACGUAUUUCUGUGAUGUUGUUUCUUGUUGUGGCUCUCGGAUCGGGUAUACUCGCCGGGUACCCGAGACCCGAUCGGGCCGGGUCUGGUAAAUUCGAGACCCGGUGUCGGGUCCGGGUCUGGUAUGGCCCGACCCGACCCGAACCUCCCGGGUGCCAUCCAUACUCUUGAGGUUGACUCUCCAAUUUAUGACCCUCCAAUCUGUUGGCAGUGUGGUCCGUAGCCGUCAGAUCCUAGGGGCAGACGCAGGGGCAAGGGCAACGUUGAACGUGCACACGUCGGAACAAGAAUUUGAUUUUCACAAACAUUUAUAUGAAUCAUACAACGCGGCUGACGAUGGUGAUACAACUGAUUUGGAUAAAUACUUGUCGGAGACAAUAAAGCUAAGCAAAUCUAGAAGUAGUUCAACGUUGGAUAAUUUUGAUAUCCUAUCUCAGUGGAAAAGUAGUACUUGUAGAUUUCUUGUUCUCCCUCUAAUUGCUUGUGAUGUCGGCCAUAUUGCUUCAAUGUCUUCUCUUAGAACACCUCUAGAUACCGUAAAUUUCGAUUCGAAAAAACGCAUAUUCGGUAAGUUGAGUCCAUGUGUUUAGGUACCAAUUUUGCCCGAAAGAAUAGAUACCGCAUCCGUACAACCGAAUAUUCUCUUCUGGCUCCUCUCUGGCCCAUCUACUGCAGCCAGCCGGCCCACCUCAUGGCUGUCUUCUUCCUCGCGCACGAUACGAGCAUAGAAGCAUCUGUCUCGUGAAAUUAGCCAUCAAUUAGCAAGCACAAAAUUGAGGUAGCCUAAUUCUCGCAUCUGCAAGACCCGGUCGAAUCAAUUAGCAAUCAAUCCGAACCAAUUAGCUAUCAAUUAAGAAUCAAUCAGCACCUUCCCAGUCCGUCACAUCCAUGCAUGAAUACCGCGCACGAUAGAAUAGAUUAGGAAUCAAUCGAUUGCUUUCUCUGGUGCUCUCUGCGCACGAAGACCCCACACGCCUGGGAAGGGAGUGGCUCGUGCUCGCGGCCAGGGGAGGGGCCGGCGGCGGCUACAGGUGGGGGCGGGGCCAGCGGGCGCAGUGCAGAGGAGGGCACGGGGCAGGGAGGAGGUAGGGUGCGGGAGGCGGCCACAGGAGGAGCCCGCGGGGCCAGGGGAGGCAGAGGUGGGCAACGUGGCGGCAGUGGCGGCCAGAGGUGUGGAAGGACGGGGCGGCGGCCAGAGGCGCGCGUGCGGCGGGCGGAGGUGGGGAAGGAGAAGGAGGCAGCGGUGGUCGACAGAGGGGCAGCGGGUAUUGUCGGGGCAGGGCUGUCUUCGGGGGCGGCGAAGGUCACGGAGGGCUCCCAGAUUUGCUUGACGAACAUUCCCAGCUUAAUGACCAGUUGUGAGUCGCAUGAGGGCAGGCGUAGUCCUUGGUGACUUGCUUAAUGACCAGUUGUGAGUCGCCGCCGACCGCCCGCCGCCGGACCCCGAGGCCGGCCGCCUGCUUUAGCCCGGCGAUGAGUUCUUCAUACACGGCGGUGUUGUUGGUGGCGCGUCCCUUACUGAAGAGCAUCUGUAUGACGUACCGAAAUUCCUCGCCGGUCAGCGCGACAAUGUAUAACCAGCACCAGCCCCGUGAUAGGAGAAGGAGCUGUCGAAGUACAUCACCCACUCCGGGGUCCGCCUCCCCGGAAGGGCUGACAGUUCCUCCGUCUCGACCGCGGUAGAAUUGACGAAGCGCAAACCGAACCCGGCCAGUUCAGUUUGCCACUCCGCGAAAUGCCCCUUGGCCUCGGGCCCUGGCAGGACACGUUCUAGUGGGAAGCAUGUGACGACUGUGAUUGGGUGUGCUUCGAAGUAAUGGCCGAGCUUCUAGGAGGCCAAGAGGAUCCCUAAAAAGAGCUUCUGGAACUCUGGAUAACGCUCCCGGGCAUCACGCAGGACGGAGCACACAAAAUACACCGGGCGCUGAACAAGCCUCUUUUUUGGUACUUGGGCUGUUCCCCGGCCGCGGGUCCUUCCUCCUUCCGCACUGGGGCGGGAUUCACAAGGUGAACCUCCCCGGUCCCUGGCACCGUGGCCUCGCCCUCCAGCUGAAGCCUCCCGGUCUUCUUCCCGCUCCACGACGAGGACUGCGCUCACUACGCAUGUGGUGGCGGCCACGUACAGCAGCAACGGUUCGUCUCGACGCGGGGUAACCAGGACCGAAGUCGGCGCUACAUACCUUUUGAGCUCUUGUAAAGUAGCAUCCACUUCCGGAGUCCACUCGAUGGAUCCGGGUUUCUUGGGCAGCUUGAAGAAGGGCUGGGCUCGUUCCCCAAGCCUAGAGAUGAAACGCCCCAGGGCGGUGACGCACCCAUUAAGGCGCUGCACAUCCUUGAGGCACAGAGGGACUUGGAUGGCUUCGAUGGCGGCGAUCUGCUCGGAGUUGGCUUUGAUUCCCUAGUGGGACACCAGGUAUUCAAGGAGCUGCCCAGAUGGUACGUCGAAAGAGCACUUCUCGGGGUUAAGCUUGAGGUUCAUUCGCCGCAGGUUGUCGAAGGUUUCGUCCAAAUCCUCGAUCAGGGUACGCUUCUCCCCGGUCUGGACCACGAUGUUGUCGAUGUAGGCCUCCACGUUGCGGCUCAUCUGCUCCCCCAGGCAUUCGCACAUGGCUCGCUGAAAGGUUGCCCCUGCAUUCUUGAGGCUGAAAGGCAUAUAAGCGUAGCAGAAGCAGACCUCCAGGGUGACCAAGGCAGUAUUCUCUUCGUCUCCCCGGGCCAUGCAGAUCUACUGGUAUCCUGAGAAGGCGUCAAGGAAGGAGAGCAGAUCACAGCCUGCGGUGGAGUCCACAAUCUGAUCAAUCCGAGGAAGAGGGAAGGGGUCCUUGGGGCAAGCCUUGUUGAGGUCAGUGAAGUCGACACACUUCCUCCGCUUCCCGUUGGCUUUCGGGACAAUAACUGGGUUGGCCAGCCACGUUGGGUGAAGGAUUUCCCAGAUAAGCCCUUCCUUUUGCAUCUUUUGGACCACUUGGCAGAUGAACUCCUAUCGGUCUUGGGCUUGAUGACGCACACGCUGCUUGACGGGGCGCGUGUUGGGAUCCACCUUGAGUUGAUGCUCGACGACUUCUCGGAGGACCACGGGAAGGUUUGACGGGGCCCACGUGAAGACUCGGCCUUCUCCCGGAGGAACGCCAUGAGCUGGAGCUCCUGCUCCGCGUCAAGGGUGAGACGGGAUGGCUCCCAUCCGCAUGUAGAGGCACUUCCUUGGUAAACUUCUUGUUCUCCCUGAGUUUUUCUUUCAGCGGUGCCCCUUUCGCAGCGGACGCCACGGGGGGCUUCUUUUCUUCCCUCCUCGUUCCCGAUGGAGGGGCUUUUUCCAUGGCGAACCCAGCCGCAGGCUCGUUCUCUUCCCCCACCGUCUGUGGUCGAGGGCACACUUCCGCGAGGGGAGGCAUGACUCCGUCGUGUCCUUCCACGAUCAUCUCCACCUUCGCGGGGGGGGGGGGGGUACUUUGACCCACUAUGUUCUUCCCCGACCUCGCUGGGCGCGGGAGCAUCACAAUCAAUCGCCUCCCAAGAUGCGGGCUCUUUCUCUUACCCGGCCGUCUCAAGUUGAUGGCUUGCCUUCGUGGGGGGAGACGCGGACCCACUGUGUUCUUCCUCGGCCUUGCUGGGCGCAGGGCAUCACAAUCCAUCGCCUCCCUGGCAGGUCGGCCAUCUUCCCUUGCCACGCUAGGCAGAGGGGCCCAGUCACCUACACGCGGCUCCGCAUCAGUCCUCCCAGGAAUGAUGGCCUUCCGAAGGCCUCCGCCUCCGUAGACUUUUCCACUUCACGUCCGAGAGACUAGUGCUAAGCAAAGGAUCGCCUCGGACGCUUCGAACCCGGAGGGUGAUGACCCCGGCGGGCCCCGGCAUUUUCAGGACGUUGUAGGCGACGUGCGACACGGCUCUGAAUUUGGGCAAUGCUGGGCGCCCAAGGAUGCCGUUGUAGGGCAGAGGGAUGUCUGCCACUGUCGGAGCCUGAAACUCCGGCACCGGGGAUCUUGGACACCCCCUUUUUUGUUCGGUGGAGGGCGAAGGGGAUCGCUCCGGCGAUCGCUAGCGUGAUGAAAGACAUGAAGUGUGGACACGUGAGUUUACCCAGGUUCAGGCCACCUGGAGGUGUAACACCCUACGUCCUGCUUUGUGUUGUAUUCAUGAGUUUGAGUGCGUACAGGUUGCCGGGGGGUUCCCAGGCUUUGCUACUUGUCCCUCUUAGGGUUAGGCUACUUGGAUGAAUACUGAGCUAAACUCUAAUGGAUUCGUACCCUUUGACUGGUUGCAUUGGUUCUCCUUUUAUAGUCAAGGGGAUGCCACAAGUGCUGAUGAAUGCAACGUGACACGUUCACUACACGUGUGUCAUUGCCACAAAACUUACUCUACUAUUGAUCCUCGUCGGGCUCCAUGCAGCGCCCACGCCACUGUACGUGGUAAAUAAAAUGAAUCGUAGGGUAGCCGCUCUAGACCUGCCGAUGUGACUCCUGUUGGUGCAUUAAAUGCACCGUCUCCUCUGUCUUUGAUACAGAACUGCACCUGACAAUGGGCAUCUGACAACAUUCCCGUGUCGCACAGACUGCGAAACACACCCGAAGCCACAUGCAUAACGUGAAGGUAAGUGACGAAGGGGUGACUUCGACAAUGUCCAUAUUGAUGGACUUGUAUCUAGGAAAGAUUUCGAGUGUGUGUGUUGGCGAACUAGUCGGCUAAUAAGGACACAGGGAACACGAUUUACCCAGGUUCAGGGCCCUCGAUGAGGUAAUACCCCUACGUCCUGCUUGUUUGAUCUGUAUUUGAAGAGUCGAUUACAAUGGGGUGCCGCAGAUUAUAGAUGCACAGAUUCGAUCUGGCGAGUGUGUCUAGGCGACUUCUAUCUAAGCUGGGUCUCCUCUUGGCUCCCCCUGCUGGUCCUUUAUAUAUGCAGGAACACAGGUGUAAGGUAGAGUCCAAGUCGGUUACAAUGAAGAAAUAUACUCUAAUUAAUCUUCCUUAUCUUGAGUCGCAAGAUUUGGUAAGUAGACUACUGGAGUCGUAGUAGGCUUCCUUGUGGGCCCCCACCUGGGCCGUAACAGGUAUACUCGAGUCGGGUACGUGGUUAGUCAUAACCACGUCAGUAGCCCCCAAGUGACUAGUUGAGUCGAAGACUUGAGUAGGGAUUUUCCCCAUGAAGAAUGAACUCAUUUUGCUGUUGAGCCAGUUGCAUAGUGCUGCAACCUUGGUAUUUCAUUGAGUUGAACUUCGAAUGAGAAGCGUUUCGACCCAGAGAAUGUCCGAGCCGAUGUUUUAGUGUUCGACUGUUAAGUAACAGUUUCACCAUAUGAUUUUGAUACCAGGUCAAAUCAAUAUGCAAUGAGAAGGGGUCAUAGGGACAUAUGCUUAAUGUGUCCAGAUAUUCGAGAAGUCGAGUCCAGUUAAUCACUCUAGGGCGAAUACGACACUAGCUGUCUUUAGUAUUCGAGUCCCCGGGCUCGAACCUGUCAAGUGGCGAAAUUCGACUUAGUCUACUGGGAUCUUAUAGAGUCGAACUCCAAUUUUUAAGUACUCAACUCAUUCAUCAAGAUUGUGUACACUGGAAAUAUGCAGCUGGUACGUUUCCAGGCCCUAUAGGAAGCCUAUGGGUCUUAUCUUCAUGUAAUGAACAUGACUGUAGGGAGUGACCCUUAAGUGAGAAUUAUUACUGAAGGGAUGCAGUCGAUGCAUAUCCGGGCCUAAUUUUUAGGGCUUACCUUCAUACAAUGAGUAUGGAUUCGACUGGAAUAACGUAGCGGGUACAAUUCCAGGCCCGAUAGAAAACUUUUGGGUCUUAUCUUCAUGCAAUGAUCAUGGGUUUGCUGAAAUAACGCAGCUGGUGUGAUUUCAGCCUCGAUGGAAUGAUCCAUGAGACUUAUCUUCAUCCAAUGAGCACGGGUUAACUAGAGCGACGCAGCUGGUGCGGCUCCAGGCUCUGCGGAUAAAAUCCACGAGGCUUAUUAUUAUGCGAAUGAGCACAAACAACUGAGGUGACGCAGCUGGUGCGACUCAAUUGUGUCGAUUGUAUGAAAUCGACUAUUUUAUGUUAGGAUCGUUGUCCUGAUUUUACUAAUGUAAGUAAAAGGUAAACAAUAGCUGACUGUAUGAAGUCUUUAACCAAUACAAACCAACAGUUGGCUAUUUAGCGACUCGAAUGAGAGUCCUUGUAUUCAAAAUCGAGACUCAAGGUGAGUCUCAACAUUUUUAUGAUAAACUCCGUCAUCCUGUAUGAAAGAUAGUUUCGAGUCAUGAUAUUAGAGUCAGACUUCGUCAUAGAUGACGUACCUGUUGAAGGUGAAAAGCCGUUUGGUCAGCCGAUGUGACUGGGUGCACAGGCUAGCCUGACAGCUAGGCGCACUGUUUGGCGUGCGUCAGUGGGACAACGAUCACACUUCGCGCAGUAAAUAAGGCAUAAUGAUUUCAUCGAUUCUUGCACUCGGAAUGUAGGUGGCCGUUUCUGUUUUCACCGCUUCGUAUCCCGAUCGAUGUGGGACACGUGGCCAAGAUAAGGAUCUUGCGGCCCGAAUUCUUCACCAGGGUUCGGCUUAUAUAAAGAGGAGGGUGGAAAGGUGAUAGCCUCGAGGGUGUCCUGAUCUUUCGAUGAGAUACCUAAUUAUCGAUUUGGUAGGAGGUGACGUUGACGAUCCGACUACAACCUAGGAGGCAGCGCCUUAGCGAUCGAUACACCAACUCCAGAAGGUUAUUGAUCCCGCGGGGGCACGAUCAAUCUGACCACGAAGGUCUUUGUUCCUGCAAGCAAUCGAAGAACAAGCAAGAACAAGAUGAAAAAAACAAUCUGAAAUUGCGAAUAGGAGAUAUGAAGGUUCACGAAUCUGAAUACUCAAUAUAGUUGGAGUCUUGAUGACGGUAAAACAGGUGGUCUAACCGACACACGCGAUUACACGAAAGUAGCAAAGGCUAAACUUUAUCUAAUCAAAACCCAAGGCUCCAUGGGGGGGCUCAUGGGGUAUAAAUAGGAGGGGAACUAGGUGGUUUUCGGACAGCCCCUUGAGGGACUCCGAAACGGCCUAGGAAUCCUCCUAAAACACAACGAAAACAUCUAAAAAUUGGCUGGACCCUAUUAUAUGGCCUUAGGCCCAAUAAAGCAAGGUUAUAACCCUCAUCUUUGGCCCACAGAUACCCAUUGGAGGGAGAAUCCUCCACUUGGCCGAAAUCCCAUUGAUGAAGAGGAUGCGGCCUUCUUCUCAUCUCUCGUUAUGGCGGUUUCAAUGUUCUGAAAUCAUCACUUGAGCUAGCUCCCGCCACCUUGCUGCCACCUCCAUGGUUUGCUGUCCAACGCUGAUCCUUGAGGUGCAAGUUAGGUCCUUCAUUCCUAAAACACAUAAAAGAACCCAUCUUAGGCAGCAGCAUAUUCUCAUUAAUAUUAAAUGAAGUACCGAGCAACGAAAGUACCUGAUAAUUUAGUUGUCGUGCACGAGCUCUAGUAAUUGGUCCGUGUAUCUCCGGUACUUGAGGUGUAUGUGCUGUAGGGGCUGUGGUUGUAUCAUUAGUUGGGAUGUCCUCAUCAUCCUCCCCUUCUUGAAUCGAAGUCGUCCUCGAUGGUAGUUCAUCUUCUUCUCCCAAAUAAGGCUUCAAAUCUGCAAUAUUAAACGUGGGACUAACCCCAAAAUCUGCAGAUAGCUCAAGUUUAUAUGCAUUAUCAUUAAUUUUUGCUAACACCUUAAAGGGACCAUCAGCUCGUGGCAUUAACUUAGACUUGCGCAAAUCAGGGAAACGAUCUUUGCGCAAAUGCAACCAAACAAGAUCUCCAGGUUCAAACACAAUUUGUUUUCUGCCCCUAUCUCCCGCAAGUUUAUACUUAGAAUUCAUGCGCUCAAUGUUCUCUUUAGUCGUCUCAUGCAUUUUUAUUAUAAGUUCAGCACGUUCCUUAGCAUCAAAGUUAACUUUUUCAGAAGUUGGCAAAGGUAACAAAUCAAUUGGUGCACGAGGCAUAAAACCAUAAACAAUUUCAAAAGGGCACAAUUUUGUGGUUGAAUGCAGUGAACGAUUAUAAGUAAAUUCAAUAUGAGAUAAACAUUCUUCCCACAUUUUCAAGUUCUUCUUUAAAACAGCCCUAAGCAUAGUAGAUAAUGUUCUAUUAACAACUUCAGUUUGUCCAUCUGUUUGGGGAUGACAUGUAGUACUAAAAAGCAGUUUAGUCCCCAACUUAGCCCAUAAACAUCUCCAAAAGUGGCUAAGAAAUUUUGUGUCACGAUCUGAAACUAUAGUAUUGGGCACAUCAUGCAAGCGAACAAUUUCACGAAAGAAUAAAUCAGCAACAUUUGUAGCAUCAUCGCUCUUAUGACAAGGUAUAAAAUAUGCCAUCUUAGAAAAUCUAUCAACAACAACAAAUAUGCUAUCCCUCCCCUUGUUAGUUCGAGGCAAUCCCAAAACAAAAUCCAUUGAUAUAUCUUCCCAAGGAACAUUAGGAACAGGGAGAGGCAUAUAUAAACCAUGAGGAUUGAGUCGUGACUUAGCUUUUUGACAUGUAGUGCAGCGAGCGAUAAAUCUCUCAACAUCCCGUCUCAUCCGAGGCCAAAAGAAAUGAUCAGCGAGCACAUCUUCGGUCUUCUUCACGCCGAAGUGACCCAUCAACCCUCCUCCAUGUGCCUCCUGUAACAACAAAAGACGAACGGAGCUAUCUGGGAUGCAUAGCUUGUUAGCACGGAACACAAAUCCAUCAUUAAUGACGAACUUGUUCCAUGUUCUGCCCUCUUUACAAUGCUGCAAAACAUUCUUAAAAUCUGCAUCAUGUUCAUAUUGUUCUUUUAUAGUCUCCAAUCCAAAUAUCCGAAAAUCAAGCUGAGAUAACAAGGUAUAACGACGUGAUAACGCAUCAUCAAUAACAUUAUCUUUACCCUUCUUAUGUUUAAUAACAUAGGGAAAAGACUCAAUAAAUUCAACCCAUUUAGCAUGACAACGGUUCAGCUUUGCUUGACUACGAAUAUGCUUCAAAGAUUCAUGAUCAGAAUGUGUAACAAAUUCUUUGGGCCAUAAAUAAUGUUGACAUGUUUCUAAAGUCCGAACGAGAGCAUAUAAUUCCUUAUCAUAAGUAGAAUAAUUCAGACUAGGCCCACUCAAUUUUUCACUAAAGUAUGCAACAGGUUUUCCGUCUUGUAACAACACACCUCCUAAACCGAUUCCACUAGCAUCACACUCCAACUCAAAAGUCUUAUUAAAAUCAGGAAGUUGGAGUAAAGGAGCAUGUGUCAACUUAUCUUUCAAUAUGAGAAAAGCUUCUUCUUGUGCAGCGCCCCAUACAUAUGGAACGUCCUUCUUUGUGAGCUCAAUAAGCGGUGCAGCAAGGGUGCUGAAAUCCUUUACAAAAUGGCGAUAAAACCCAGCGAGUCCAAGAAAUCUCCUCACUUGGGUGACCGUUGUUGGAGUUGGCCAGCUUUGAAUAGCGUCGAUCUUGGCCUUAUCACCUUCUAUGCCCUGUGGAGUGACAACAUAGCCAAGAAACGAAACUCGAUCGGUGCAAAAGGUGCACUUCUCAAGGUUACCAAACAAACGUGCAUCUCUCAAAGCAUCAAAAACAGCACGUAAAUGAUUCAAGUGGUCUUCUAAAGAGCUGCUGUAAAUCAAUAUAUCAUCAAAAUAAACCACCACAAAUCGUCCUAUGAAAGCACGUAAAACUUCGUUCAUUAACCGCAUGAAAGUGCUAGGUGCGUUAGUAAGACCGAAAGGCAUGACUAACCACUCAUAUAGUCCAAACUUAGUUUUAAAUGCUGUUUUCCAUUCAUCGCCUAAUUUCAUUCGAAUUUGGUGGUAACCACUACGUAAAUCAACUUUAGAGAACACGGUAGAGCCACUUAAUUCAUCUAACAUAUCAUCAAGUCUAGGAAUUGGGUGACGAUAGCGAAUAGUAAUGUUAUUAAUAGCUCUACAAUCUACACACAUACGCCAAGAACCAUCUUUCUUUGGUACCAAAAUAACAGGAACAGCACAAGGACUAAGGGAUUCACGAAUAUAACCUUUGUCGAGCAAUUCUUGAACUUGUCGUUGAAUCUCCUUCGUCUCCUCUAGAUUGGUACGGUAGGGCACACGGUUGGGCAGCGAAGCACCAGGAAUUAAAUCAAUUUGAUGUUCAAUCCCUCGAAUAGGUGGUAAUCCUGGUGGUACGUCUUGUGGAAAGAUGUCGGUAUACUCCUGCAAAACGUGAGUAACAGCAGGGGCAAAGAGGGAGGCAUAUCCUCAAAUGAAAACAAAGCCUCUUUGCAAAUGAAUGCAUACCAAACAGAAUUAUUCAUAUCUAACUCAGAAAUAUCGGAUUUACUUGCAAGCAAGCAUGCACCUUUCAAUUUAAUUUCAUUAACAUGUUUCGGUUCAGAUUUGCUAGUAGACGCUUGGUGCUUAAAUUCUUUAGCGACAUUAUGGUUCUCACUCUUAUUCUUCUCUUUGCUCUUUGCUCUACUAGCUCUAGCAAGAUCAUCUUUCACAAUUUGUUCAGGAGUCAUAGGUUUCAAACCAAUUUUCUUACCAGCAUGCAUAAAAGAAUAAUGAUUAGUUCUACCAUGAUGAACAGAAUCUGUAUCAUAUUGCCAUGGACGACCGAGUAACAUAGAACAUGCUUGCAUAGGUACCACAUCACAAUCCACAAAAUCAGAAUAUGUACCAAUAGUAAAGUGUGCACGGACUGUUCUAGUUACCUUGAGCUUACCGCUGUUGUUAAACCAUUGAAUGUAGUAAGGGUGGGGGUGCGGCCUGGUGGUAAGAACAAGUUUUUCCACCAUCUCCGUGCUGGCCAAAUUAUUGCAACUUCCCCCAUCUAUGAUGAUACGAACAGCGCGCUCCUUGAUGACCCCUUUUGUUUGGAACAAGUUAUGCCGCUGAUUUUGUUCGGCGUGGCUCAUUUGGACGCUCAAGGUGCGUUGUGCAAUCAAACUCAAGUACUGAUCAGCGGCUUCAACUCCCAUUAACUCCUCGUCAUGGUGGGCAGCGGGGUCUUCUUGCUCUUCCUCGGCAAUGAGAGCAUAGGUAGUUUCGUCAAAAUCACUGGCUGAAUCAUAUACUCCGUCUUCACGUAUGAUCAUAACGCGUUUGGUUGGACAGUCCCGCUGAAAAUGCCCGUAUCCUUUGCACCUACGACAUUGGUUAUCUCCGGUCCGUCCGGUGGAAGCAACGGACGCUGCUGAACUUUGUGCAGAGGCAGCGGGUGUAUUUCUUGUUGCUGCUGGUCCAACCUUUGCGGAUGUAGGUGUAGAGGUACUUUGCUUGUUGGUGGAAGUAGUCGGAACAGCCGGACAUGUAGGGGGUGCAACUGGGCGUGUGGAAGGGGCAGCGGGGCUGCGUGCUGCCCAUGAGGAAGUACGACCUGCAGAAAAGUUAGUCCGCGCGUUCGCGUGUCAUCCCUGCACUUCCCUUUCAGCUUUGCAAGCAAUGUGAAACAAUCGAUUGAUAGAAUUAUACUCCUUAUAAUCAACAAUGUCAGCAAUUUCACGAUUUAAACCACCAAAGAAUCUAGACAUAGCAGCUUCCUCAUUCUCAACUAAACCACAACGUAACAUGUUCUUUUGCAUUUCUUGAUAAUAAUCUUGGACAGAAUUACUACCUUGCCUUAAUUGUUGUAGUUUCUUUAACAAGUCACGCGAAUAGUAUGAAGGAACAUAUCUAACACGCAUAAUUCUUUUCAAAUCAUCCCAUGUUGGUGGUAUAGCGUUAGGAUGUGCAAUACAAUACUCAUGCCACCAAACAGAAGCAAAAUCAGUAAACUCACUAGUAGCAGCCCUAACCCUCUUAUUAGCAGGAAAAUCAUGGCAAGUAAAUUUUUGACUCAAUUCUAAUUCCCAUGUAAGGUAAGCAUCAGGGUCAUAUUUUCCAUCAAAAGGAGGAACCUUAAGCUUAAUAGAAUGCAGCAAGUCAUGUUCCUCUCUGUGAGGUCGUGUCGGUCCCAUACCUCGGCGGUUGAAACGAGUUCGGCGAUGAUCACGGUCGUUGUGAUGGUUUACGGCCCCGUCGUGUUCCGUAUCCGCGGAGUAGUCGUCGUCGUUCUACUCAACCUCGCUUGCGAAGGUACCGUUAUUAGCGGUCCGCUGGUUGUGUGUAUUGUUUCCUCCCGGUGUAGCGAUGGUCGUUGCAGCAAUUGCCGAGUUGGUAUGCAAAAGAUACGUCCGUUUUACUGAACACGGGUCAAACCCACCCGAAACUAAAAUUCUACUCGGACUCGGGUCCGAAACUGACUCGAACUCUUUCUCUUUUUUUUUCGUUUUUUUUUCUUUCUUUCUUCCUUUUUUUUUCUUUCCCUUCUUUUUUUUUCACAACUUUCCGAACAACUUGAUCUCUAAACAAAAUUCGAUCUAUUAUGAAACACUUUCCAAAAGCACUCUUGAUUGGACUCGGACUCGAACUCGCGGCUGAAAACUAUAACUUCCUGACUCGAUGUAGGACUCGAAGAGGGACUCGGUGUAGGACUGGAAGACGGACUCGGUGUAGGACUUGAAGAGGGACUCGGUGUAGGACUCGAAGAGGGACUCGGUGUAGGACUCGAAGAGGGACUCGGUGGAAGAUAUGGUGGCGGCGGAAGAUUAUGGCGGUGGUGUGGCAGGAAGUUUGGCGGCGGAAGAUUGAUGAAGGAAACCUGCGUCACACGAAGAACAAGAAAACCAAAAGCAAGUUCGAUCUAGUAGAAAAAAUCUGAAAAACGAUCAAAUCUAAUCCAGCAACUCGACACGAUUAAUGCAGCAAAGAUUCAACAAUGCAAAUACUAAUGUGAAAAUUGCAAGGCUCAGAUUGGUUCUAGGACAAGGUAACUAUUUCUAAUUUUUGUUUGGCUUUUUCUGGACGAUAGGUAAAAACAGAUCUAAACUACGGAUAAACUGGAAAACUCUCACCGAGCAACCUUAAGCUCUGAUACCACGUGAUAGCCUCGAGGGUGUCCCGAUCUUUCGAUGAGAUACCUAAUUAUCGAUUUGGUAGGAGGUGACGUUGACGAUCCGACUACAACCUAGGAGGCAGCGCCUUAGCGAUCGAUACACCAACUCCAGAAGGUUAUUGAUCCCGCGGGGGCACGAUCAACCUGACCACGAAGGUCUUUGUUCCUGCAAGCAAUCGAAGAACAAGCAAGAACAAGAUGAAAAAAGCAAUCUGAAAUUGCGAAUAGGAGAUAUGAAGGUUCACGAAUCUGAAUACUCAAUAUAGUUGGAGUCUUGAUGACGGUAAAACAGGUGGUCUAACCGACACACGCGAUUACACGAAAGUAGCAAAGGCUAAACUUUAUCUAAUCAAAACCCAAGGCUCCAUGGGGGGGCUCAUGGGGUAUAAAUAGGAGGGGAACUAGGUGGUUUUCGGACAGCCCCUUGAGGGACUCCGAAACGGCCUAGGAAUCCUCCUAAAACACAACGAAAACAUCUAAAAAUUGGCUGGACCCUAUUAUAUGGCCUUAGGCCCAAUAAAGUAAGGUUAUAACCCUCAUCUUUGGCCCACAGAUACCCAUUGGAGGGAGAAUCCUCCACUUAGCCGAAAUCCCAUUGAUGAAGAGGAUGCGGCCUUCUUCUCAUCUCUCGUUAUGGCGGUUUCAAUGUUCUGAAAUCAUCACUUGAGCUAGCUCCCGCCACCUUGCUGCCACCUCCAUGGUUUGCUGUCCAACGCUGAUCCUUGAGGUGCAAGCUAGGUCCUUCAUUCCUAAAACACAUAAAAGAACCCAUCUUAGGCAGCAGCAUAUUCUCAUUAAUAUUAAAUGAAGUACCGAGCAACGAAAGUACCUGAUAAUUUAGUUGUCGUGCACGAGCUCUAGUAAUUGGUCCGUGUAUCUCCGGUACUUGAGGUGUAUGUGCUGUAGGGGCUGUGGUUGUAUCAUUAGUUGGGAUGUCCUCAUCAAAAGGGAAUGUCUUCUUACCCUUCUUCUUCCUCGCGACCCAAUCUCAAGCGCUCAAGCUCUCUACCUCCAUAGCCAAAGACUCAUUACGAGUUUCACCAGCAACCAAGAAGCUCACACCAUCCAGAGAUGGGCAGGACCAAGGCUUCGAGUUCGAAGACCGACGCCGGCAAGGGAGAUGCUGGCAAAUGGAGCCAUCCCCUGGCCGGGCGUGUCUGACCAGCGCACCAAGAUCCUGGAACUACAGGAUGAAGGCUUGCUGCCGGGAGGCCCUGGCGGGGUUCGCGUCCCGGCAAAGGAGGAAUACCCGCGACCUCUGCUAGGUGAGCGGGUUAUCUUCAUCGACUACGUGUUGCGGGGGCUUUCUUUUCCCCUUCAUGCCUUUUUCCGUGCCAUGCUGUUAGCUUAUGGGCUGCAGCUACACGAUCUCCCCCCAACUCUUAUUUGCAACCUCAUCUCCUCCUCCUUCAUCUAAGAAGACCAAGACAGGCGGACCACCGCCUGUCCGACGAUUUGGCCUAUUUGGCCGAAUCACCCAGACCAAGUAUGUGGUCUUUCGGGUAGUAGUUCUUAAAUAAUGCAGUUUGAUUUCUGAACUAGGAAAUUUCUUUUGUCAGUUUCGUGGUCUCGGGUGACCAACCAACAACCCAGGCUAUUGAGCCCACAGGGUCAGACCCGAAGGCUUCGGGUCCCUCAAUCGUCAUUGAGACGAUUGAGCCUCAGGUAGCAAUGCUUGAGGCACCUUCUCUAGGAGUGGCUAACAUCAACUCCAAGGGUUGCCCCACUCAUCGACUUGCUUGGAGAGCAGCGGGAGCCGAAAGGGCUCCCUCAGCUUCAGCUUGCCAUGUAGGUUUCGAACUCUUUUGUUAAAAAAUUUUGUUCUCCCGGUGGGAGUAUGAGUCAGAUGCUGACGCCAUCAUGGUCGCAGCCAAUCGUCCGCUCCAUAAUGGAGUUUGUUGAUCGUUUUGAGGAGGCAGUGGCUGAGUGAGAUCAGCUUCGCCAAGAAUUGGAGCGGAGCCAACAGGAGCUGAGAUCUGCUCAAGGUAAUACCUCCGACUCAAUCUUUAUUUGAGUCGAAAAACUAUUGUAUCUUAUUGUUUGUCGUGUAGACCUCCUUUCUCGGGCUAACUCCCUCAAAGAUGCCGCCGAGCUUCAGUUGAAGAAUUUGGAGAAAAAGCUUGCUGAUCUGGCCAAGGAGUCAGCAGAAAAGUUAGAGGCUGAAAAAAAACCUCGCCUAGGAAGCUUUGGACACCAUUCUUGCCAAGGAGGCCGAGAUGAAGAAGACGCGAGCCGUCCGACUCAGCGGAGUCGUCGGCCCCUUGCAGGUAAAAACGUCGCAAUUGAUUCCAUUCCUUUGAAUGCUUUGCUAAUGCUUUGGCUCUUUUGCAGACCUGCUUUCCUUCUCUGGUCUUUUGACCUUGAGUUAGGAUUCACUCGACAAGGUGAUUGACACUGUGGCAAGCGUCAGCUCGGAAGCGGUGAUUGGUCUCUGGCAAGCUUCUAGGGUGCUCGCCGGUUUGUUUGGGAAGAUGUUUCCUGACGAGCCGGUGCUGGAGUCCCUUGGGAAACUCAUAGAGUUUUUCAGUGCUGACCCGGAUCUCUUGGACGAGUUCAGCCGGGUCUAGACCAACUCCGGUGCGGAAUCGACAUUCGUGUUGGCAUCGGCGAGGACGUGCUGCGGAAGGUGGCUUCAGGUCCUCCGUUGUUACCCAGCAGGGAGGAGAUGGCCUUGAUGCCUUACUUCCAGCUUGGGGAAGAACUGGCGACCAUGGCCACUGAGGGGGAAGCAGCUCCACAGUCGUCGACUCAUGCGCCAAGUCAGGAGGUGGGGCAAGGUUGAAGUUUAGACUUCUUAGGCUUUCUCCUUUUCUCUUUGUAAUUUCUCUUUUUUCGUACGGUCCUUGCUCGAGUGUGAGCGUUAUUAAUAAAGAAACGCCUUUGUUCCUUUGUACUGAUAUGAGUCUGUCAUGGGGAUGACCCCGGGUAGGGUCAUGACGACACGUAUUAGCCGGGAUAGCGAGGCAAAGCCGACGUAAGCAAGUACGCCGGCAUUGUUAGGCCGACUUUAUAACCAGUCGGCAUACCAAAAGCAUGCCGGCAUCUCUAUCUUGUCUUAUGUGAUUGUAGGAUAAGUACGAACUAUCUAAUCUCAGCUAGGGCCGGGAUACACCAACGGUCCUAUCUUGGUCGCAUGGCGCAAAGUAAAGCAGCGCUCCCUUUAUGACGGAAAAGCAGUCGUUGCUCACGUCACUGUGCCGGACGACUGCACAGUGACGUGCCGUUGAAGGACAGGUGAAGGCCAGGGUGUGGCUAUAGUGCGCGCCAUCUGGCUGUACGUAAAGCACAAAGCAACCUUGUCCCCUCCCGGACAAUCCGGAGGGGACCAUGGGCGUACCCGGGAGUAGCUAGGGUUUGCUUUCUGCCCACAUGUCAGUGUCACAUCUUUAGCCUAUAAAUAGAGACUCCACCCCUCCUGUGAGAGGGGUUCCUCUCUUAGACAUUAGGAGUUCUCCUUCUUCUUCUUCCUCCUCUGGACAUAGCUCAAGGAGUACCAUUGUAGCCCCUUGUAUCUCGGCUAAUACAAACAAGUCAGGAGUAGGAGCUUUACCUCAUCUAGAGGGCUCCGAACCUGGGUAAACACCGUGUGUUCUUACUUCCGUGCGUGGUUUACACCGUGCCAUCCCUCCUCCGGAUCCUCCUUCGUCCAUCGGCCCCAUCUUAAGCCAUCCCAUGACAUCUGCCGUGACACCACCACGACAGUUGGCGCCCACCGUGGGGCCAGCAGCAGCGUUGGCCGGAGUCUUCAUCCGGACGGGAAGCUUUCUGGUCAUCGGAGAGCGCGUCGUCUCCGGUUUGGUCCAGAGAUUCGGCUCUCUAGGCUUCAUCGACAACAACACAGGUUGCUUCAACAAUGCGCCACAGGCCGCUUCAUCAACUUCGGUAUGCAUGAGGUCUAUGUCGCCACUGACACUCCUUGUAGGUAUCCCGUGCAGGUGGUGGUGGCCGAGGAUCCUCCUGCCAUCUAAAUGGUUCGCGGUCGGCAUGUCAACUGCGCCGCUAGCCGUGUGGAGGUCAUGAUGACGGCUCAAGGCGGUGAUGCUGGCAAGGGCGCUACAGAAAGUGCCGGACUCCCGAGCAAGUCCGGCAGAACGGCGCGACCCCUAAUGGAGAAGCCGGAGAACAUCGCUGCUCAGGCCGGCACAUCCGCUGCGCCGGCAAAGCCAACUCCGCUCCAGGCCGCCAUUGAGAGGCCGAUGUUGCCUGUGGCUCCAAACACUAACUCGGCCCAGUUGCAGGCUGAGCUAGAGUUGGAACGCCAGAACCUGCUGUAGGAAGCUGUCGACGUGGCUCAUGCUCGGCAGGAGCUCGAGAUUUCACUUCAUGAGUAUAACAAAGCUCAUGGUCUCAAUUCUACUGCAGUGCACAACCCUAGCCGAGUUGGGAAAGUGCGUAACCAAGGCAGAAAUUUGAAUGCCGAGAGAGAUAGGGAUGGCAGAGCCAUGCCUGUUGUGUCAGCAAGCUAUGUGUCGGCACUAAAACCGAAAUAUAGCACCCCUAUUCAGAACCUCAGGGCAACCGAGGCUGCAGCAGAAGAGUUGACGAAUCUCACGGGAGAGGCACUCCGACUGCAGCAGUUGCGUGUGAAGGAGUUGCUUCACACAGCUAACGAGCAAAACGAGGCGUACAUGAGGUUGCACGGCAAGCCUGGUGCAUCUCAGAUCAUUCAUUUGGCCGCAGGUGCUGGCGGCCGGGCUGACAAGCAAGCGUCUUCACCUGGUGGCAGACGGGAUAAGAGUGUCAACUCCGGCCGAGACAAGCGGCUAGAGCAUUAUGACCUGCCGAGUGUCGCUCUUGUGGAUCUCGAUGUAGGCCACUUUGACCAUCAUCAACUCGCCUGACCAUUUGCUUUCCAGCUGCGUCCGGCGCCCAAUACUGCUGCAGGUCAGCAGGGUGCCAGGCACAACCCCCUAUAUCGAGGUGAACACCGCCGGCGAGACCGUUACAAUGACGGAUACUCGGCUAUGGGAGAUGAAGACUAUCUCACGCGAGAGUGCGACAAUGUCGGCCCACUUGGAGCCCGAGUGGGAAACCGGCAAGUGUCGCUGCUAGAUGCCCGACAUCGGCUCGACAGAAUCUAUCUGUCAGAACUUCUGGAAGAGCAAGGCCCUCCGGGACCGCGUUGUUUUGCUCACCGGAUCAUGAGAGAGACACCAACCCAGGGUUUCCAGAUACCCAGGGGCAUGAGAACAUAUGACGGCAGCACAAAGCCGGAAGACUGGUUGGAGGAUUAUGUCACUGCAGUGCAUGUGGUAGGUGGCAAUCGCAGAUGAGCAGUACGUUAUGUACCCCAAAUGCUGGUAGGGCCAGCCAGGAUCUGGUUGAAUAAUCUGCUGGAGGGCAGCAUCAAUUGCUGGAUAGAUUUUGAGGAAGCUUUUGUCAGCAACUUCACCAGCACCUACAAGAGGCCUAACCGCCCUCAGCAACUAUCCAUGUGCAAGCAAAGGGACAACGAGACUGAUCGAGACUACCUGACAAGAUGGAAUAACCUCCACAACACCUGUGAAGGGAUAGCGGAGUCGCAGCCCGUAGCAUGGUUUGCCCAAGGAUGCCGACAUGGCAGCAUGUUAUGGCAGAAACUGCUGAGGGAAAUGCCGGCCACUUUGUCUGAGAUGAUCAAGAUUGUGGACAUGUAUGCACCGGGUGACCCAACUCAGCCAUCGCUGAUGCCGGCAAAGCAACACAAAGAGCAGCCGACAUACAAUCCUGCCGGAGUAUUCCGGAGAAAUGAUCAUCAAGAUCAUCGGAACAAAAGAAGGGACGAUAGGCUGGAUUACUGGUAUGUGUCGUCGCUCGGUGCUCCGACACCGGGGGCGUGUGGCCACGUCCCCCUUUUAGGUUCGGUAGGGGCGUCUGGGGCAGAGACCCCCCUACGUCCUGCCUGUCUGAGCUGAUAUUGAUUACGGGUCAAAUGUUUACAGGUUACAGGGCAAGCUCCCGGGCUUUCUCUCAGUGGCUAGGCGCUCCUCACCGCUCUCUGCUGGCUGCCCACUGGAGCCAGUAAGCAUCUAUCGAGCGAGCUUCGUCCGAACCAACUAACUGACCAACUUCCCCAACCGUCUGACCCGUCAACCCUCUCACCCCCUUGGCCGUUGGCAUGGGUCCUCCUUUUAUACACAAGGGGGUGCCACAUGUGCCACGGUGCAUGGGCUACAGGGAGGCACGCAACUCUCCCUGGUGAGCUGGUGGCAUGCAUGGGUGCCACCUCUGCCGCUAGGGGCCUAAGACCCUAGGGUAGGAUUGGACAACCACUGUUCCUUGGAUCGGACGGGUAACUACCCGUCGGUCGGCUCGUUUACUGAGCCACGCGCCUUACUCCUUGCCCUGGUGGGACCGCACGUUCCGCGCCCGUCACGCGCCCGUGUGGCGCUGUCCAGUGGGCCCCAUGACCCGAGGCGGGGGCACGCGUCCGGGAACCCCCAGUCCCCGCAAGUCGGCCCGGGAAGCACCCGGGACCAGCGCACCCGGGAACCUCCUCCCGGGAAGCAGCUUCCCGGGAGCUGCCUAAGCGGGAAUAUUCCCAAAAGCCCCGCGAGCCCCUUGCAGGCUGGUAGCUUGCCGGGAAGCUCGUUGGCGCUCCCCGGGAUGAGACCUUCCUGGGAACCCGGGGGAGGGGGCCACGCGUCGCGCAGCAGUGGUACCCCGGGUGCCACUGGUGCAACAGUAGCCCCCGGGCGUGGGCCGGCAUCACCUGUUCCCUGAAGGGUCUCUUCCUAGUCGGUUGCCGGGCUACGCCCUUAACCGACGCGUGGGCCCCCGAUCAGUUGCGGGCCCGCGUCCCUUCGCUGCCGCGUGUAUGGCGCCGCCAAAAGCGGAGUAGUGGGCGCGAGAUUUCCGCCCUAACUCUCCCCCCUAAAUAGGGUAGUUAAGGUCACUCCGCGCAUUGCUCCCGCGCACCCGUAGGGUACGGAACCGGCCGUUAACAAAUGACCGGGCGUCAUAAAGCUUCCACUGUUGGCAACGGGGAGCAACACUUCGCCCUUUUGCCUCCAUCCUCUUCCGCAUCUCCAAUCCCUGCGCUCUUGCCAGCCUCCGACCUCGCCCCCCAUGGCGCCCCCCACCACCAGGAAGGGGAAGGAGGUCCAGUCUUCGAAGAAGCCCGCGACCAGCAAGACCGAGGCGGCACUCAAAGCGGCCGCCGCCAAGGACCAGAAGAGGCGGGAGAUGCGCGCAAAAGUAGCCUUAUUCCGCCCCGGCUACAACGGCGAGGCGCUGGGGAAGCUCCGGCACGCCGUCGCCUCCAACUUCAACGAGCACGGGGAGACGCGGAUCUUCCCGGCGGGCGUUGAACACCAGGAUAACGACUUCCGGGUGUUUGCACGCUUCCUCCUCUGCGGCAUGGUGCCGCCCUUCUCUCUAUUCCUCCACGCGCUGAUGGCGUCUUAUCAGGUGCGGGUGGCGCAGCUCCACCCCACCUCGCUCUUCCUCCUCGCCACCUUUCAGUUCCUCUGCGAGGCGUUCGUGGGGGUGAUGCCAUCGGUGGGGCUCUUCCGCCAUUACUUUUACCCGCGCAUCGACAACGCGAAGGCGAUGUCGUCGGGGGUGGUUUUCCGCGCCCGCGACCAGAUGAAGUCGGAGUUCAUCGUCCGGUCGGCGAAGAAGAUCGAAAAAGAGUGGCGGGGCGACUGGUGGUGGGUCCGAGUGGAGGACCCCCAGGAGUUCAUCCAGCCGCCGACGGAGCUGCCGGUGCCCCAGAUCGGCUGGCAGGAUAGGUACCACCGCGACGCCGACCUCCUCCCCAUCGUGGAGAAGAUCAAGGCGUUGCGGCUAGCGGGGCUCACAGAUGCCGACGUGGCGCGCACCUUCGUCCAUGGGCGCAUAGCCCCGCUGCAGCUGCGUUCCCGGCCCGCGUGGAUGUACACGGGCUCCGGGGACAGGACACGCCUCCAGGCGGACGGCAUGGACUUGGAGUCCCUCAAGACGUGGGUGAAGGGGAUCUCCGGCGAGGUCUUCCAGUCAAUAGAGUUCCCGCUGUGGGUCUCCGCUCUCCAUGCCGGCGUCAAGGCGCUCAGCGACAUCGUCGGCGCCUUCCCGCCCUGCAACGAGUGGGGGCUGAUGGACGACACCCCCACCCGCGUCCCGCACGCUCCCCCGCAAGCACCUCGCGGGAAGUAGGUGCUCGAGGAGAGCGAGGGCGGGUCCGAGCCCAGCUGGCCCUCCCUUCGGUCGCUGGAUGACGAGGCAGGCGAGGUGGCUGCGUCCCAGGAAGUCAUCGCCGUGGAGCACGACGAUGAGGAAAGCAGCGACAACGCGCCCCUGAUCCUGAGAAGGUCGAGGGCGUUCGCGGCGGCCGCAGCCACUUCCUCAAUAGCGACGUCCGCCCCGGCAGCGGUCCCCAACCUGGCGGCGGCCGCCGCUCCUAGGGCGCCCGUUGGUACCACGACGGCAUCCGCGGCAACAGGGGCCGCGAGUGCCCGGCGGCGGCCCCUGUCUUGCCGGCGGCCGCCAGCUCCGCGGUGGGAACCGGCCCCGGGGUGCUCGCCGGUACCCCGGCAACGUCAGCACCUGCGGGGGCCAUCGGCGCCCCGGCGACGGCCUUCGCUUCGGUAGCGGGGGCCUCCGUGAGCUUGGCGCCCGGCGUCGCGGCGGCAUCGCCAUCGACACCUGGAGCUCUCCGGUUCACGACGACACCGCGGGCGCCCACAGUGCCGCCCGCUCGGGGGGUCUUCUGGGGCUUCGCGCUCCGGCGCAACCCUCCGAAGUCCUCCUUGCCGGCGGGCGCCCGCAAGAGGGCGAGGAGUGAUUCCCCGCCUGGCUCGCCAAGCAAGAGGACGUGCGCGGACGCUGGCGGCGCCGCCGACCCCGCUGCCUCGGGGGCCAGCGUCGGCGCGGGCGCGCCCCUUGGCGACCCAGCCCAAGCGGAGAGAGAGCCGACACCAGGUAUGUCUUCGUCGAUUCUCUGCAACUGCAAUUCCUGCUAUCCAAAUUCACAAACAUACCUUUUCUUUCUGCAGCGAGCGGCAGCUCGCCCGCGGCAAGACCAUUGGACGCUCCCGCUGGCGCAGGCGAGGUAGUGGAGGCUGCACCGGCAAAGCCCGACGGCCGCACAAGGUAACCGCCCCGGUCGCCCUUAUUCGCCUUCGAUAGCACCAACCAUCGCCGACCCUCAUGCUUUUCCACGAGUGCAGGCACAAGUGUGCCCGUGCCCGGAACAAGCGUGGUCGUGGUCGUGGUCGACCCCGACUCGGUCGUCGGGACCGCGGGGGCGGAGGUGGAGUCAGAAACGGCUCCCGUGUCUGCCCCCGCCGAGACGGACACAGCGGCAGCAGUGGGGACCGCCGCCGCCGCGACGGCACAUGGCGACGCACCCGAAGCCGCGGACGUGGCCGGCUCGGGCUCACCCGCCGUCCAGCAGGGGACGACCCCUGCCGGAAGCAGGGAGCCUUCUCCAACCCCGGUGUCCCGGAGCCUGGGCGCGGGGGAAGUUGUCGGGGAAGGACGGCAAGACCCGCGGGAACAAGUGGGCGACCCCGCACCCAGCUCCACUUCGGCAGCUGGGGCUUCAUCAUCCUCUGGGGCCCUCCCCGGCACCGACCUCGGCACCCUCGUCGGGGUCGCUUGGAAUCCUCUUACCUGGGAUCCGAGCAUCUUCGAGCGGGGGCACCGGUUUCUGGACGCCGUCCGGGACCAGCAAUUCGCCUUCGUCACCUCCUACAACGAGGUGAGGGAGCGCCACACCGCCGCCAAGAAUCAACUCGGCGAGGUGCGGGAGGCCGUCGAGAGAGAGCGGUGCGAACUCUCCCGGCUGCGCGAGGAGGCGCGCCUCGCCGAAGAGGAGGCGCGGCUGGCCUGGCAAGCCCUGGAGGUUGCUCGGGAGCCGGUAGUCCCGGAUACCGAGCUCCGUCGGCAACUGGAGGUCCAGCGCACGGAGCUCCAAGGUAGGCUCGACGCAAUGGCGGCAACCCUAGAAGCUUCCCGGAAGGAACAUGCCGGGGUGCUCACGACGGCCCAGGCGCGGCUGGACGAGAAGAGCGAGCUGAUCGCCAACUACCGCGGCGAAAUUGAAGGCCUCCGCGUCCUGCUGGAGGUGCAGGUCAAGGCCGCCGAGGGCGCGGCAAGAGCGGCGACUUAGCACGAGGCCGAGCUCAACUCGGUCAAAUGCAAAGCGGCCGGGCUUGAGGACGAGUUGGCCGCCGUCCGGGAAGAGCUCGCCAAGGCCGGCGAGGCCAACGCGACCCAGGCCUUAGAGCUUGCGAAGCUGGAGGGCCACGUCAGCAAGGCCAAGAAGGCCGCGCAGGACGCCCGACUCUAUCACAGCACGCUGAUCGGGCAGCGGCAGCUCGAGACGGAGAAGCUGGCGAAGAUCGCCGAGUCGCUGCGCGACCUGCUGCCCAAGUUCGAGCUGCAGGCAGCGGAGGUGGAUGGCACAGACGUCACGACGCUGAUCCCCUUCUUCUCCGACUUGUUGGGGAAGCUCGGGGCGCUCGACGUCGGGAUCGCCAAGUAUACUCGUUGCUUCCCCUGUACCUCCUUCUUGUUUGCUUUUCCUGCAAGUAUGGCGCUUAGCGCCGUUUGGACAGUGACCUUUUGAUUAGUCCAUGUAACCACUCGACACGUAGUCAAUCAAGCUUGUUAGUUUGCUCAAUUUUUGUCCUUUAUUCCCGAGGCCGCCUCGCGGGGUGGUUCCCUUAACCUGUGCGUGUCUUGCCUUGUGUUGCGGGGGGGACUCGCGCACGCCUCACCCUUGACCAGACCAGGGACCCGGGACGGACCCGCAGUGCCGACCUGGGGCCAAGCGGAAGCGGGGAGUCACUCCGCUUGCGGGGUAACCACUCCAAGCCGUGUCCUCCCGGGGUGACCCGGGAGCCACACGGGGAGCGCACUCCCCCCGCAAGCAUCCCUUCUGACACUCCGGCUACGCGUGGGAUCCGGGGCCGCACCCAGCAGGGCAGUGCUCAGUUUCGUUCAGCUCUUAGUGAAUUCAGCGUUCAUGUUCAUAUACUUAGCUUUUCGGUUUGGUCCAACGUUCCGCGAUGCUCUGCGGUAGAGUGCAAACGGGGCGCUAUGAUAUGGACAUGCUAACCAUGGAUACGACCAUUAGAACCCUAAUUGUUGGUGUCUCUAAUAACUAUAAUCAGGUGAAUUCAAUUACAAAAUGUUUUCAAUAUGUUACUUGCAAAGAGGCGGAGCUACUAUCUUGUGUAAUCUUAUUAUGUAGGCAUCUUAUAGAACUUUACAAGUCCAAAGUGAAGAUGAAGUGUUAUAGCCUGCAAAGGGAGAUUCAAAGUGAAGCCUAUCAAGUCUACUUUCCAACAAAUCAAACGGCACAUGAUUCGGAGCUUGCUAGAGAAAUAUAUCACGAAUUAAAGUUGAAUCCGAUUCGGGUCCGAGCUGCCAGGAGAUCCGAAUUUGUUUUAAUCACCCAGGCCGCAUCCGGAGUCCAAAUCAAGCAAACAAGUACUUGUUGGAAAGGUAAUUACGAGACCUUUCCAACGGAUCUGGCCCCAUCAAGAGAUUCCACUCGUGCUGACCGUGGCGGACGAAACAAGCUGACGGAUCAGUUUUUCUGUUUCCUAAAGAGUUGUAGUUUGUUAGGAAAGUUAGAGAUAGAGUUGGAUUUCGGACUCCUUAUUCAAGGUGGACGAAAAUAUCUCUCCCUCCUCCUUUAUAUACCCCAUGAGCCCCCCUAAGGAGCCUUGGGUUUUGUUUAGUUAAAAGUUAGCCAUCGCUACUACUUCGUGUAAUCGCGUGUGUCGGUUAGACCACCUGUUUUACCGCUUUCGGAACCCCAACUUAUCGUCUCGUUGAGACAUUGGUUUGAUAUAGUAUAUUCGCAAUUUUAGAUUGCAUCCGCUAUUUAUCUUGUUCUUGCUUGUUCUUCGAUUACUUGCAGGAACAAAGACCUUCGUGGUCAGGUUGAUCGUGCCCCCGCGUGAUCAAUAACCCUUUGGAGUUGGUGUAUCGAUUGCUAAGGCGCUGCCUCCUAGGCCGUAGUCGGAUCGUCAACGUCACCUCCUACCCAAAUCGAGAGUUACCAAUCUCAUCGAAAGAUCGGGCCACCCGCACCCGUAUCACGUGGUAUCAGAGCUUAAGGUUGCUCGGUGAGAUUUUUCCAGUUUAUCCAUAGUUUAGAUCUGUUUUUACCUAUCGUCCAGAAAAAGCCAAACAAAAAUUAGAAUUAGUUACCUUGUCCUAGAACCAAUCUGAGCCUUGCAAUUUUCACUUUAGUAUUUGCAUUGUUGAAUCUUUGCUGCAUUAAUCGUGUCGAGUUGCUGGAUUAGAUUGGAUCGUUUUUCAGAUUUUUUCUACUAGAUCGAACUUGCUUUUGGUUUUCUUGUUCUUCGUGUGACGCAGUUUUCCUUCAUCAAUCUUCCGCCGCCAAACUUCCUGCCACACCACCGCCAUAAUCUCUCGCUGCCACCAUAUCUUCCACCGAGUCCCUCUUCGAGUCCUACACCGAGUCCCUCUUCGAGUCCUAUACCGAGUCCCUCGUCGAGUCCUACAUCGAGUCGGCAAGUUAUAGUUUUCAGCCGCGAAUCCGAGUCCGAGUCCAAUAAGGACUGCUUUUGGAAAGUGUUUCAUCAUAGAUCGAAUUUUGUUUAGAGAUCAAGUUGUUCGGAAAGUUGUCAAAAAAAAAAAGAAAGGAAAGAAAAAAAAAAAAAAAAGAGAAAGAGUUCGAGUCAGUUUCGGACCCGAGUCCGAGUAGAAUUUUAGUUUCGGGUGGGUUUGACCCGUGUUCAGUAAAACGGGCGUAUCUUUUGCGUGCCAACUCGGAUUUGGACGUUCUUGGACUUUUUGGAAAGCUCACGACGAGGCGCAUCAGGAAAUAUCCAGGGCGAUGCCCUGCACUUUGACCCCCAAAUUCGGUUUGUAAGGUGGACUUUCUGAGCUUCCAAGUUUCUGCAUCCGUUUUCCGGCGUCGCUGCAGCCCGGUGUUUCUCAGUUUCCUCCACCGUCCGACAUCCGUUUUCAGUGAUCUUGCCCUUGCUAGAAAGCUUGUGUCGAUACGCUUCUAACCCAUAUUUUUCCAUAUUUUUCUGAAAUUUUCUUACUGCAGCCUUUGCUGUUCUUCGACAGACCGACGUACAUUUUUCCGGUCCUUCUUUUGCGUGAGUUUCUGGGGUUAAAAAAAAAGAAAAAAAAAAGAAGAAGAAAAGAAUAAGAAGCCAAACAGAAGGCCACAAAAAGAAAAAAAAAGAAAAAAAAUCCCAGGGAUUUACUUGUUGUGCCAUCUUUUGAUCUAUCUAUUCCUACCUUCUUCAGUAUCUAGGCUUAGAUUAUUUCUGUAAUUCGUUCUUAUCGACUCCAGCAGCUAGGACUAGCAUUAUUGAGCAUAUUUUCAACUUUGCAUUGCUGAUUUGAUUAUUUGCUAUUCCUUGCUACUCACAAAAGCCUCCAAGCUCCACAGAUUCUACACCUAGGUUGGUUUGUUACCGAGGCAUCGAUACAUUUAAUCUUCGGAGGGCUUGGUCACGCCGCUGGCCAUCACCUUCCUGUUUUGCAUGGUAAGAACUUGUAAGAACUUGAUUUUUAGCUUGAGAGUUGAGCGACUUGUAGCCACAUCCUAGUAGUUGAUAGGAACAUAUUACUGUGAUUUGUUUCUUGUUUUCUACUAACCAUGACAGGACUUACACGAAGCAUGGCAACUAGACCGAUGCUAUCCCGCGACCGCGAUGAGUGCUUUUCACCACGGCCAUCCUCCACGACUCUUGUUGAUAAUGCCAUGGCAACGGUACAAAACAAUCCUUGUAAUACAAUUAAAUUAUGUGUACCUUUCUUUGAGGGGAAAAAUGAUGCUGAAACGUAUAUAGAUUGGGAGCUAGCUUUAACUGCACAAUUCACAUGCUUCCAUGUACUUGAUAGUCGCAAGGUUCAAAUUGCUAGUAGUAAAUUUACUUUUGCUGCUUUAUCUUGGUGGAAUGAGAUAGUUAGAGAAAAGAAAAUUCCCCACACUUGGGUUGAUAUGAAGAAAAUCAUGAGAGAAAAAUAUGUCCCUUUUAGUUAUGCUUUUAACUUGCGUUCAAAAUUACGACGUUUGGCACAAGAUGAUAAAACUGUUGAUGAUUACUACAAUGAGUUCCAAAUUAUAACCUUGCGAUCUGGUUUAGAUGAAACCGAACAAAGAAAAAUGGAUAGGUUUUAUUGUGGGCUUAACUUUGAUAUUUCUUACAUGAUUGAAUAUGGAAAAUACGACUCUCUUUUGUGUUUACUUAAUCUUGCUCGUAAAGUUGAGAGGAAAUUACAGCGAGGGUCUACUACAAAUGAGUCGAGCCCACAAGGUAGUGAUACAGAGGAUUGUGUUGCUGAACUAAAAAGGGCAUGUGAUGAAAUAAAUGUGAUACCUGUUGAAUUGUCUGCACCAUGUGAAAUUAUUGUCGUACAUGGUGAUUCAAGUGCACCUACUGCUAUUAAUUCUUCUAAUGAUUUGAGUGCACAAAUUAAUUUUGAUAUUGAUGAGAAUGAAUCAUGUGAGGAAAUAACUAAUGUUUUGGGAGAAACAAGUGAGAUAGAUAAAUUUGAUUUAGGUUGUGUCGAGUUGAUUAGACAUGGAGUGAUUGAUAAGGAUCCACCUAUUAAUUCUUUGUGUUAUAUUACACUUGAUACACCUAUAUAUUUGUCACAUGCAAUGGAUAAAGUUUCUGAGUUAACAAUUUCAAAAUCUUUUGCUAAUGCCCAUGGAUACACUAUUCAAUUAAUUGGAGAACAUGAUGUCAACAAUAAAGUUUUGGUGCAUCAGAUUUGCAUUGCUUGUGAUAACUUUCUUGAUUUGAGAGAAAAUAAUAUGUUGCAUAUGCUUAACCAUUUUGAUAUGACCUCCAAUAUUGGUGUUGAUUAUUUGCCAAUUAGUUCUUUACACGAUUGUUCGAAUAUUAGUGCUUUGACAUGGUCUAAAUUUCAGCAUCUUGUAGUAACUAAUUUGGGUAACAUUAUUAAUUAUUAUUCUCCAGUGUUGGGAUGGUAUAAUGGUGAGCGGUGCAAACCAAAUACAAGAUAUUGUUUCACUUAUAUAUGCAAAACAUAUUGUCAAUCUUCUUGCUGGAAUGAUAUUCAUGAUGAUUGUGUGACUAAUUAUCUCAUGAGAUUGUGUUAUAAAACAUUAAUUGUGCAACAUGGGAGUGGAGUUAAAAAUAACGAUAUAUACAUAUACCAUGCGCAUACCUUGUCUCUUUUGUUAGCAUAUUUUCAGCAUAAACGACGCCGAGGACGGCUUUCCUUUCAAGAAAGGGAGGAUGAUAUGGACAUGCUAACCAUGGAUACGACCAUUAGAACCCUAAUUGUUGGUGUCUCUAAUAACUAUAAUCAGGUGAAUUCAAUUACAAAAUGUUUUCAAUAUGUUACUUGCAAAGAGGCGGAGCUACUAUCUUGUGUAAUCUUAUUAUGUAGGCAUCUUAUAGAACUUUACAAGUCCAAAGUGAAGAUGAAGUGUUAUAGCCUGCAAAGGGAGAUUCAAAGUGAAGCCUAUCAAGUCUACUUUCCAACAAAUCAAAAGGCACAUGAUUCGGAGCUUGCUAGAGAAAGAUAUCACGAAUUAAAGUUGAAUCCGAUUCGGGUCCGAGCUGCCAGGAGAUCCGAAUUUGUUUUAAUCACUCAGGCCGCAUCCGGAGUCCAAAUCAAGAAAACAAGUACUUGUUGGAAAGGUAAUUAUGAGACCUUUCCAACGGAUCUGGCCCCAUCAAGAGAUUCCACUCGUGCUGACCGUGGCGGAUGAAACAAGCUGACGGAUCUGUUUUUCUGUUUCCUAAAGAGUUGUAGUUUGUUAGGAAAGUUAGAGAUAGAGUUGGAUUUCGGACUCCUUAUUCAAGGUGGACGAAAAUAUCUCUCCCUCCUCCUUUAUAUACCCCAUGAGCCCCCCUAAGGAGCCUUGGGUUUUGUUUAGUUAAAAGUUAGCCAUCGCUACUACUUCGUGUAAUCGCGUGUGUCGGUUAGACCACCUGUUUUACCGCUUUCGGAACCCCAACUUAUCGUCUCGUUGAGACAUUGGUUUGAUAUAGUAUAUUCGCAAUUUUAGAUUGCAUCCGCUAUUUAUCUUGUUCUUGCUUGUUCUUCGAUUGCUUGCAGGAACAAAGACCUUCGUGGUCAGGUUGAUCGUGCCCCCGCGUGAUCAAUAACCCUUUGGAGUUGGUAUAUCGAUUGCUAAGGCGCUGCCUCCUAGGCCGUAGUCGGAUCGUCAACGUCACCUCCUACCCAAAUCGAGAGUUACCAAUCUCAUCGAAAGAUCGGGCCACCCGCACCCGUAUCACGCUACCUCGGUAGGAAACCAUCCGGGGUACCUGUUCAAGGGAAACGAUCUCGGAGGGAUGCGGCGGGAACGCGGGGGCAGGAUCGCCGCCGGCGGCAACCGCCGACGACGAUGCUACCACGACGCUCACGCGGCAACCCUCGCCCUCAGGGGUGGACCCUGGCCUUCAGGGACGAACCCUGGCUUAGGAAGACUCCGCUCCGGGAGGAGCCGCGAGACGGCUGUAACGUCCUCGGCGCCGGCUUCGCCACACCCCGAAUGGCGGGUACGGGUGACGAGGAAGUUAUAGCCUUCCAGCGACAGCCCCCGCAACUGGGGAGACCUGGGUUUUCUCUAGGGGUACUCGUCCCAGGGGAUGCGACGACCCUUGUGACCCGGGAGCUAAACUGCUCGAGGGCCGCGGCAAGGACGCGGUGACGGGCUGGAACGAGCGACGAGCGCCGGCACCGGCGCCAUCACAGCGUCCUCGCAACGACCCGCGCCCAAAAAAGGCUCUCUCAAAGGGAAUGCGGCCGGGUCUCUGUGAUAGUGCACCCGCCGGCACAAGGCACGGAUGGCACGCACUACCAUAGAGUCUUCGCGGCUGACCCUGCUCCUUGCGGAGGUGUCCUACGGAGGGGGGUGACAAGGGCACUGUGGCAAUGCACCCCGUCGGCGCCGGACGCGGACGGGAUGCACCACCACGGUGCCUCUGUGGCGACCCUUGCCCCGGAACCGCCCCUUUGGGGAAGCGCAGCAGGGGCAUGACGGCAGUGCACCUGUCGGCGCGGAACACCGAUGGCACGCACUCCCACCAUGCCUCUGCGGCGCCCCUCGGGGUGGGCUCGAUGGGGUGAUGCGGCAGGGGCGCGAUGGCGGCGCACCCGCCGGCGCGAGGCGCCGGCGAGAAGCACCGCCUCCGCGCCUCCGUCGCACCACCUCCCUUCACGGCCCCAAACCCGGCUUCGCUCUGAGCGAUUCCAUGGUUGGGGCGCGCCUUUUAUAGACGCGGGAGGGAGGCUUGCCACCGCGCGCGAUGGGUCCGCACGGCGUCGUGGCGCCUUUCCCUCGAACGCGGCGCAGUUUUCGCCACCAUGCUUACCGAGUAACUGCGUCACACGUGGCGGCAAGCUGUCAACUCAGAAGCCUCGGAGUGCAGGGGACCCCUUGUGUCGCGGACCUCCCCCACCACAAGGCACCGGUGUAUGGUGCGACCCGUGGGCAGCUCACGGGCACCACAGUGUACAAGAUUCCUCCCUUUCCUGCAGGUUAGACUCUUACCAGAUCCGAGGUGCUGAAAUUUUUUCGAAACUUACGAAAACAAGUAACACAGGUAGAUCAGAUAAAUCUCUCCUGCUUCCUAGCCCCCGGCACAAAGGGGUCGAUGCCAAACUUGGGUGCGAGCAUCUCCUUUCCCAGGUGCGAGCAACCGCACGCCUAGUGAUGCACGUUGCGGGAAGCCCGCCAACGGCAUGUCCCGUGCCUGAACGAUCCGGCAACGGGCUUACGUUUCGAGGCCACAACAGCCCCCUGCUCACAACCAAGUAUGGAAAGACACCUUUGUGCACUUAAAGCAAGAGACAGAAGAGAGAAAAACGCGCGAACGAACAAGGCAAAAACAAAGCUCAGGGGUGAAACACUUAUCUUUAUUCACAUUUAACUAGCAGUUUACACACGGGGGCUGCCCGGUUACACUAGUUCGAGAGGUAUGCAUCGGAGGCAUCACCUGAGGGUCGGGCUCCGCCGCUUCACGGGUAGAACUUGCGUAAGUGUUCAAUAUUCUAGCUAUUGGGCACCGGCAAGCCGUCUUCGGUUUCCAGGCGGACAGCCCCCGGCCUGGUCACCUGCACUACCCGGAAGGGGUCCUCCCAUUUCGGAGUCAACUUGUUCCCGGCCUUCAUUCCUUGUAUCCGGCGUAGGACAAGGUCUCCGUUCUCGAGCCCCCGGGGACGGACUCGUCUGUUGUGAUAACGACGGAGUCCCUGCUGGUAGCGCGCGGCUCGCACAGCAGCCCGGCACCGAAGCUCUUCGAUGAAGUUUAGAUCGUCGACCCUUUGCUCGUGUUGGCUGGCGUCGCCGUACGCGUGUACUCGGGGAGAUCCGUACUUGAGCUCAAGGGGCAACACUGCUUCUGCCCCGUAGACAAGGGCGAAAGGAGUUUCGCCCGUUGCCCGACUAGGUGUGGUCCGGAUGGACCAUAGCACGGGCUGGAGUUCUUCGAUCCAGUGCUUCCCGUGGCCUUUGAGCUUGUCAAAGGUUCUCGUCUUGAGCCCCCGCAAAACCUCUGCGUUAGCUCGCUCCGCCUGUCCGUUGCUCCUCGGGUGAGCGACGGACGUGAAGCGCAGCUUAGUACCCAUGUCUUCGCAGUAGGCGUGAAACGCCGCGCUUGUGAAUUGCGUGCCGUUGUCGGUGAUGAUGCUGUUAGGAACACCAAACCGGCACACAAUGCCCUUAAAGAACUUGAUGGCCGCCUGGGCGGUCACCUUGCGCACUGGUUCCACCUCCACCCAUUUGGAGAACUUGUCGACGGCCACAAACAAGUAUUCGUAACCGCCAACCGCCCUUGGUAGCUUGCCGACGAUGUCUAGUCCGCAGACUGCGAACGGCCAUGAGGACGGGAUGGCAUGCAGGGCCUGGGCUGGUUGGUUGCUCUUCUUUGAGUGGAACUGGCACGCUUCGCACGUCCUCACCAGCCGCUCCGCGUCGGCCAGGGCCGUGGGCCAGUAAAAGCCAUGCCGGAAAGCCUUGCCGGCUAAAGCCCGGGAGGCCACAUGGUGUGAACAUGUGCCUCGAUGUAUGUCCUCCAACAGUGCACACCCUUCUUCCUGCGGCACGCAGAGGAGUCUGACACCAUUCGCACGCCUGCGGUAGACGCCGCCGUCUAUCACAGUGUACAUCUUGGCUUGCCGCGCUACGCGCUCCGCGGCGACGUCAUCCUCCGGGAGAGCCUCCCCUUUCAAAUAGCGGGCGAUCUCUUCCGCCCAGGGAGGAAUUUCUCUGCCAAUGCAUGCCACCAUACCAGCGGCAUGGACCCCUGCCGCUGCAGGGGUUUCUUCGGUUGCCGGAGGGGUGUCCCCGGCAGCCGGCUGGGGGGCGAUUGAAGGAGCCAGCUGCUUUUGACAGAACACCCCCGCCGGAGGAUUCCGGCGCUCUGCUGCCAUCUUGGCCAGCUCGUCAGCAGCGAAGUUGUCCUUCCGCUUGACGUGCUCGAAGUUCCAGCUUGCGGACCUCUUCCACGUACAGCGCCAUUUGAGGGCAAUCGUAGUCCUUGUUCACCUGGUUGAUCACAAGCUGGGAAUCACCGCGAACAACCAGGCGCUUAAUGUCGAGGGCGAUCGCUGCCCGUAGCCCGGCAAGCAGGCCUUCGUACUCCGCCGUGUUGUUGGUGGAGUUAGCGAAGUCAAGUUGGACGGCGAACCGCAGCUGGUCCCCUGUGGGUGAUUCGAUGACGACCCCAGCCCCCGCUCCCUGGAGACUGAACGCACCGUCGAAGUAGAGGACCCAGUGGUCCUCGUCCAGCUUGCCGGGAAGGCCGGUCACCGACUCACUUUCUUCUAUGCCCGUGGACGUCCACUCCGCGAUAAAGUCCGCCAGGGCCGCGCUCUUGAUGCUUUUGGAGUUGGCGAAGUGGAGGUCAAACUCCGACAGCUCCAUCCUCCAUUCGGCCACCCUCCCGGUGGCUUCACGGUUGGUGAGGGUCCUCUCACGGCAGAACCCGGACACCACCGUGACACGGUGCGCCUGGAAGUAGUGGCGCAACUUGCCGGACGCAAGGAGAAUCCCCAGAAGCUGCUUCUGUACUUGCGGGUAUCUUGUCCGCGCGUCGCGCAACACCGUACUAACGAAGUACACCGGCCGCUGCACCAACCGCUUCCGCGGCGCUGAGGUUGCUGGCUCUAGGAUGGUCCCCGGGUCCGAGGUGGUUGCUGGAGGCUGCUCAGCCCCCUGCCCCGCAGCCCCAAUCCCCGGGACGUCUUCGUCCCUCUCGGCAACCAGCACCGAGCUGACCACCUGGUCAGUCGCCGCUAAAUAGAGUAGCAACGGCUCGCCCAACCUGGGGGCGACGAGGAUGGGCGGUGACCUCAAGUAUCGCUUGAGUUCCUGGAGCGCCGCCUCGGCCUCGGCAGUCCAAUCGACUGGACCCUUCCUCUUCAUUACCCGGAAGAAAGGCAGGGCACGCUCGCCCUGCCUGGAGAGGAAGCGUCCAAGCGCGGCAACGCAGCUGUUGAGGCGCUGGACAUCUUUCACCUUGCGGGGGGCCUCCAUCUUCUCGAUGGCUUCUAUUUUGGUCGGGUUGGCCUAUAUCCCCCGGUGUGAAACCAAGAAACCCAGAAGCUGCCCAGAGUUGACACCGUAGGUGCACUUAUCCGGGUUCAGCUUGAGCUUGAUCUUGCGGAGGUUGUCAAAUGUCUCCCGCAGGUCAUCAAUCAGCGAGCCCCUGCGCUUCGAUUUGAUGACGAUGUCAUCCAUGUAGGCCUCCACGUUGCGGCCUAGCUGAGGCCCCAAACAUUCUCGCAGGGCGCGCUGGAAUGUGGAGCCUGCGUUCUUCAACCCGAAAGGCAUGCAUGUAUAGCAGUAGCAGCCAACCGGGGUGAUAAACGCUGUCUUUUCCUCAUCCUCGACCGCCAUCUUGAUUUGAUGGUAGCCGGAGAAAGCAUCCAGAAAACUCAACAGGUCACAACCAGCGGUAGAAUGAACUAUCUGGUCGAUACGGGGUACAGGGAAGGGAUCCUUGGGGCAUGCACGAUUAAGAUCGGUAAAAUCUACGCACAUGCAAAGCUUAUUCCCUGCUUUGGGCACUACCACUGGGUUAGCCAGCCAAGUGGGGUACAAAACUUCCCUGAUCGCCCCGGCAGCCCUGAGCUUGCCCACCUCUUGCUUGAUGAAAUCUUUCCGCUCUUGUGCCUGCCGCCGGAUCUUCUGCUUGACGGGGUGCGCGUCCGGGCGCACCGCGAGCCGAUGCUCAAUCACCUCCCUGGGGACUCCGGGAAGGUCCGACGGUUCACAGGCGAACACGUUGGCGUUUUCCCGAAGGAAGGUGACGAGGGCGCUUUCCUAUUCGGCGGUCAGGUUCGCACCGACGGUAACCGCGCGCUCCUUGUCGCCGGCUUGAAGGGGCAGCUUCUUCACUUUGGCGGCCUCCUCCCGGAGCCCCCACCCCUUGUCGGGACACGAGCUCGAGCCUGCGCCUCCUCCGGCUACCCCUUGCGGGGUGGCGCGGGCCUUCUUUGUUGCCGGGGCGUCACCUGGCAAGGCAUCGUCCUCGACAACACCUUCGUCGCCGGCGUCAGCUGCAGCAGUGGCCCGAACGACCUCACCAACGCACCAAGCUGCGUCUUUGAGAUCGCACCCGAUGGAGAGGACGACGGACGGCAUCUUCAUCACGCUGUAGGCGCAAUGCGUAGCCGCCAUAAACUUGAUCAGCGCCGGCCGAACAAGGAUCCCGUUGUAGGGCAACGAGGUAUGCGCCACGUCGAACACUAUAUGCUCGGUCCUGAACGCUUCCUGGGACCCGAAGGUGACCGGUAGCGUGAUGCGUCCCAGCGGGCGCAUGAUCCCGGGGUUCACCCCCCGGAAUGGUUCGGUGGGCUUCAGCUGUUCCAUCGGUAGCUAGAGUUUUUCCACCGGCCUGGCGGACAGGAGGUUAAGCCCGGCUCCGUUGUCCACCAGCACCUUGGUCACCGUCAUAUUGCUAAUAUCGGCGAGACGACGAAGGGUAUUACCCCGGAACCCAACUGUCGCACCGGGUGAUCGUCGGCGCUGAAGGUGAUCGGCACGUGCGACCACCUCAGCGGCUGUUCCAGCUCCGCAUCUGGCAACAGCGCGCACACAUCGCGGGUGAGGCGUUUCACCGCAGCAUGGAAUGGGAGAGCGUAAGCUCCCCCAUGGAUGCAGGCGACGCCACGAGGCUCCUGGAAGCCCGACUCGUCGCCGCCGGAAUAGUCGGAUUCGCGCUGCUCCUCGGCGCGCGCCCUGUCACGCCCGUGAGGAGGGCGUUCCCGCGCAGUGAGGGGCUGGCCGCGCCCUCCUUGGGGUUCAACCCUGCCGGCACCACCGCCGGCCGGCCUCGGACCCGCUCUGGGGUCUUUUGCGCAAUCUCGGGAGAGAUGCCCGAUGUCGCCACAAUUGAAGUAGGCGCCGGCGGCGCGGCGCUCCUCGUGGCGCUGCUCCCGCCCUGCUUGAUCCCUUGACGGACGCGGCAACUCCGCGCGUCGUGGGUGGAGUUAUUGUGGAUAGGACAGCGGGACGCGUCGCCCUGCUUCCAGCCAGAUUCUCCCCCCGGCAAGGCCUUCUUCGUGGGCCUCGCAGCCGGGGCCCCCGAGUCCGCAGCGAGGACUUGCUUCCCACUGCGCUUACGGGAACCCUUCUUCGGCGAGCCCUCGCCAGGGCUCGCGGCAACCUGGGCUGCCAGCUCGGGCGCUAGGCGCCCCUCCUCGGCCAUGGCGCACUUGUGCGCCAGGGCGUACAGGUCCUGCGUCGUCCGGAUCCGAUGCGUGCUCAGCUUCUCACGCAUCUUGGGGUCGCGGACGUUGAUGGCGAAGGUGUUAAUGAUGGCGGCCGCCUCCGCCUCCGGGAUAGAAUAGGAGAGAUUGGAGAAGCGGUUGAUGAAGGCCCGCAACGUCUUUCCCCGCCAUGGUCCCCGGGCGCUUAUAGCCGCCCUGGAACGCGCUCACGAACUGCUCGCGCAGGUCCGUCCAGAUGGCGACGGAUCCGGUGGGCAGGUUGAGCAACCAGGUUCGCGCUGAUCCCUUCAGGACCAUCGGGAACCAGUUCGCCCUAACCUUGUCGUCGGCGCCGAUGGCAUGCAUGCCCAGCAUAUAGGUCAGGAGAAAAUCUUUGGGGUUAGCGGUCCCGUCAUACGUACCGAGCUCAGGCGCUCGGAACUUACGGGGCCACACCACCCGCCGCAGCUCGCGUGUGAACGCGGUGCAGCUGUCUUCUGGGCCCAGGGGAGCGUCUUCUCACUCCAGUGGGCGCUGACACUCCACCUUGCGCCUGCGCCGGCGCUCCAAGCGCGGGCGCAGGUCCUCCUGUUGGCGGGCAUUCAAGAUGCCACGCGCAUCGCCCUCCGGGACGGUGGGCGAGGAAUUCGAGGACCCCUCCGGGCCUCCAUCUACCUGGCCCCGCUGAGGAGGGGGAGGGUUCUCCCCCUGUCAUGAGCUGGGCGGUGCGCCUUCGCGCUCUGAGUUCCGCCCAUGGUUGGAGCCUACCGGGGCGCCCUUGCCUUGCGGCUGCUGGGCGGCCAGGGCGAGGAGCGCUUCCAACUCCUCGCCCCACGUCUCGUGCGCCGGCGUGCCCUGCUGCGGCUCGUACCGCACCAUGAAGCGCGCGGCGACGAUGGCUUCAGCCGGGGUUCGCACGGGGGGCAACAGGUUUCCUAAACGGCUGCUUCCCGCCCUAGCCCCGGACGCCUCCGGGUGCGCAGGGUGCGAACCUCCAGCGGUCGCCCGUGACGCGGCGUGCUCUGGGUGCCGCUGCCGCGGGGCAUCUUCGGGCCGCGACUCAACCCGUUGGCUGGCCCGGGCGACGCCAUGCGUGCUCGCCCGACUGCCCCCGACGCUGGGGGCAGCCGGUCCCCUCGGCCGAUUGUCGGUCGACGGUCGGGGAGGCGGUGGAGGCAGCUGCGUUUGCUGCACCCUCGAGGGCUCGGGAUUCUCCUGAGCUCCCGACUCGGAUCGCACGUCAUGCGACCGCGUGUUCGCCGCUGGGGCCUCACGCGGGUCUAUUCGUGAAUCACCAGCCUGCUUGGGGGGCAUGGUGGCAAGGCUCGUCGACGAAGGAGAGUGAAGCCGAUGCCGAUGGGGACUUCUGUUGCCGGCGAUCUCCAGCGCUGUCCACUCCCGCGCCCCCUACCCGGCGCGCCAGAUGUCGUCGCUCGGUGCUCCGACACCGGGGGCGUGCGGCCACGUCCCCCUUUUAGGUUCGGUAGGGGCGUCUGGGGCGGAGACCCGGUGAUUGCCGGGACGGCCGAUGAGGCCCUAUAGGGCCGGCGAGACGAAGUGCUAGGGGUACGCGCUAGUCCAAGAACAGAGGCACGCACGUUUUUUACCCAGGUUUGGGCCACCCGGAGGUGUAAAACCCUACGUCCUGCCUGUCUGAGCUGAUAUUGAUUACGGGUCAAAUGUUUACAGGUUGCCGGGCAAGCUCCCGGGCUUUCUCUCAGUGGCUAGGCGCUCCUCACCGCUCUCUGCUGGCUGCCCACUGGAGCCAGUAAGCAUCUAUCGAGCGAGCUUCGUCCGAACCAACUAACUGACCAACUGACCAACUUCCCCAACCAUCUGACCCGUCAACCCUCUCACCCCCUUGGCUGUUGGCAUGGGUCCUCCUUUUAUACACAAGGGGGUGCCACAUGUGCCACGGUGCAUGGGCUACAAGUGUCCAACGGGGAGGCACGCAACUCUCCCUGGUGAGCUGAUGGCAUGCAUGGGUGCCACCUCUGCCGCUAGGGGCCUAAGACCCUAGGGUAGGAUUGGACAACCACUGUUCCUUGGAUCGGACGGGUAACUACCCGUCGGUCGGCUCGUUUACUGAGCCGCGCGCCUUACUCCUUGCCCUGGUGGGACCGCACGUUCCGCGCCCGUCACGCGCCCAUGUGGUGCUGUCCAGUGGGCCCCACGACCCGAGGCGGGGGCACGCGUCCGGGAACCCCCAGUCCCCGCAAGUCGGCCCGGGAAGCACCCGGGCCCAGUGCACCCGGGAACCUCCUCCCGGGAAGCAGCUUCCCGGGAGGUGCCUAAGCGGGAAUAUUCCCAGAAGCCCCGCGAGCCCCUUGCGGGCUGGUAGCUUGCCGGGAAGCUCGUUGGCGCUCCCCGGGAUGAGACCUUCCCGGGAACCCAGGGGAGGGGGCCACGCGUCGCGCAGUAGUGGUACCCCGGGUGCCACUGGUGCGACAGUAUGGGCUAGCCCAUGUGGCAGUCAUUCAAGAUCAACCUGAUGCCCGCCCUAGCCAGCGUCAGAAGACUGGAAAUCAGCUGUGGGCCAAUAAAGGAGAACAAAAGAAGCCAUGGCAAGACAAGCAGAAGUACACGUUCGAGAUGAUGCUUGAUCAGCCUUGUCGUUUCCACACGACCAAUCCCAGCAAGCCGGCGAAUCACACAACCCAGCAAUGUAGCUGGAUGCAGCGAGCCGAGAAGGGUGAGGCAAGUCGGCUGCCCCCUCCUCCGCCACUCACAUGCGCCAAUGCUCAGAUUUUCAAGGACCCCCUUCGGCAAACAAUGCUAUCAAUCAGGUAGAAGACCAAGGCAUCCCGGAAUAUGGUGGAAGAAACGAAUACAAGGAGCAUCACCAAAGCUACAUGAUGAUUUUUAUCACGGAGCCAACCGACAAGCAGAGCCAGCGUCGGCAUGAGAUGGAAGUCAAUGCUGUCAUGCCGGCAGUGCCAAAAUUCAUGUACUGGUCGGAGCAGGAGCUCUGUUGGAACCGGGCUGAUCAUCCUAAAGUCAUGCCGAAUCCUGGUGGUUAUGCUCUGGUGGUCGACCCGACACUCAUUGGGCCUGACAUCAAUGUCAAGUUCACUUGAGUUCUCAUUGAUAAUGGGAGCAGCAUAAACAUCAUGUAUCGAGACACGAUGCUCAAACUCGGCAUUACUGAUAACAUGCUUGAGCCUAGCUAGACUACCUUCCACGGUGUUGUGCCGGGGUGUCUUGUGCUCCGAUCGGCAAGAUCCGGGUUGAUGUCUUAUUCGGCACUAGGGAGAACUGUCGGACAGAGAACUUGGUGUUUGAGGUGUUAGAUCUCAACAGUCCGUAUCAUGCGCUGCUCGGCAGACCGGCAUUGGCCAAAUUCAUGGCGACUACUCACAUUGGCUACCUGAAGAUGAAGAUGCCGGGACCAAAUGGUACCAUAACCAUUACCGGCAACUACAAGCGUUCGAUGGAGUGCGCGGCAGCAGGAUCUGCUUUGGCCGAGUCAUUGGUCAUUGCCGGGGAGAAGAGGAAGAUGCAAGAAGUUGUCGCACUAGCUCAGUCGGCACAGAUUGGUCUGCCGGCUAUGACGAACCCUGAUGGAAGCUAGCUUUCCAGGCGGCCAAGGAGACAAAGAAGAUACCGGUCAGCAAUGAGUUACCAGACCGCACCGUCAUCAUUGGUGGCGGCCUGAAUGAGAAAUAGGAAGGCGAGCUCACCAACUUCCUCCGUGAGAAUCAGGACAUCCUCGCAUGGUCAAACCAAGACUUGUCGGGUGUGCCGAGGGAGUUGGCUGAGCACUCAUUGCAUGUCAGGCCAGACGCAAGACCGGUGAAGCAGCCCCUUCGACGCUUCGCCGAUGACAGAAGGAAAAUCAUAUCAGAAGAGAUAUCCGGACUUCUAGCUGCCGGCUUUAUCAUGGAAGUGUUACAUCUCGACUGGUUGGCCAACCCGGUCAUGGAAGUGUAGCGCAUGUGUAUCGACUACACUAGCCUGGACAAGGCGUGCCCUAAAGAUCCUUUUCCGUUACCUCGGAUCGAUCAAGUGAUCGACUCCACAGCCGGGUGUGAGUUGUUGUCUUUUGUAGAUGCGUACUCUGAUUUUCACCAGAUACCGUUGAACCCAAAUGAUCAAAUAAAGACAUCAUUUAUCACCCCGUUCGGGGCUUAUUGCUAUCGUACUAUGCCGUUUGGUUUGAGAAAUGCAGGGGCUACUUACCAAAGGUGCAUGCAGAAAUGCUUGCAUGACCAACUCGGCAAAAACGUGCAGGUAUAUGUCGACGAUGUCGUCAUAAAAACCAAAGAAAGCAUCACGCUGCUGGAUGAUAUCCGAGAAACAUUUGCAAACUUGAGAAGAUUCCGAAUGAAGCUAAACCCGGCCAAGUGCACAUUUGGUGUGCCGGCAGGAAAGCUACUCGGAUUCCUGGUGUAAAGCCGAGGUAUAGAAACAAAUCAUGUGAAUAUUGCCGCCAUAGAGAGAAUGAAGCUGCCGAAAUGUCUCAAAGAUGUGCAAAAAGUUGUUUCAUUAGUCGGCUGGGUGAAAAGGCAAUGCCCUUAUACCAGCUAAUGAAGAAAACCGACAAAUUUGUGUGGACACAACAAGCAGAGGUAGCCUUCCAAGAGCUGAAGAAGCUGAUUGCUACGGCGCCGAUAUUAGCCUCGUCAAUGCCACAAGAGCCAAUGUUGUUGUAUAUAGCAGCAACAAACCGAGUUGUCAGCGCUGUCAUAGUGGUGGAGAGAGAUGAAGAUGGCAAGUCGGUACAGAGGCCGGUAUAUUAUUUGAGUGAGGUGUUAUCAUCAUCAAAACAGAAUUAUUCUCAUUACCAGAAGAUGGCGUACGGUGUUUAUAUGGCGGCAAAGAAGCUGAAGCAUUAAUUUGAUGCACACCAGAUCCGGGUAAUAUGUGAAGCGCCUAUCUCGGAAAUCAUGAGCAAUAAAGAUGCAAGCGGCCAAAUAGCUAAAUGGGCUAUUGAGUUAGCACCCUACACGCUGCAGUACGACAGACGAGAUGCUGUGAAGUCUCAGGCACUGGCGGAUUUCCUGGUGGAUUGGGCCGCGAUGGAAUAUGAACCACCACCACCUGAAACCAGUUAUUGGAAAAUGCAUUUUGAUGGCUCCAAAAUGAAAAGUGGGCUUGGCGCCGGCAUAGUUCUCACCUCGCCCAAGCAUGAUCAGUUGAAGUAUGUGUUGCAAAUUCAUUUUGCGGCGUCCAACAACGUCGCCGAGUAUGAGGCGCUUGUUCACGGACUGAAGAUGGCAAAGGAGAUCGGUGUUCACUAGAUUCAAUGCGUCGGUGAUUCCGACUUGGUUGUCCAGCAAGCCUCUGGUAAUUGUGAUGCGUUGGAUGCCAACAUGGCACUAUAUCGCUUUCAUGUUCAGACGAUCAGUGGUCACUUUGAAGGGUGUGAAUUCCAUCAUAUACCACGGGCGGAAAACGAGGCUGCCGACACUUUGUCGAAGCUAGGAUCGACGCGGCAGGCCAUCCCGGCCGGCAUUGCGUUGGAACAACUGUGCAAGCCGUCACCAGAAUCGGAAUCGAUAUUUAUUCCGGCAAACUCGGAAGCUGACGUCACACCAAUGGAUAUUGACAGUGGCAGUGGUUCCGACAACCCGGUGACUGAGCGCCCUAACUCGGCUGAGGCAAUGGAGAUUGAACCAUUGGAAGUAGACGAGCCAGUUUUUCUAACUCGUCCUGUGCCGGCUUGGGCACAGCCAAUAAUGUCGUAAUGUCUACCGGAAGAGGAAGUGUCGGCAAGGCAAAUUCAUAGAAGAGCAAAAGCAUACACCAUUAUCAACGGCGAGCUAUAUAAGAGAAGUGUCACUAAUGUAUUGCAACGUUGCGUUGAGCCAGAAGAAGGACAAGAAAUUCUCCAGGAUAUUCAUUCACCAGGGGGAGUGUGGUCAUCAUGCAUCCUCCAGAACAUUGGUGGCCAAGGCAUUUCGGCACGGUUUCUACUGGCCGAGUGCAUUCACUAAAAGAGAUCAGACCUCAUGUGACGAUAUGUAAACGUCAUUGCCAAGCAGAAAACGUCACGGAAAACCCCACCGUGACGUUUAUUGAGCGUCACAACCAUCGUCAUUGAUUCACCGUCACAGAUUCAUCCUAGUGACGCUAAGUGCAGGCACCGUCACCGAAUACUUGAUUUUCUGUGACGUUCCUGAGAUUGUCAUUGAUGAGCUAAUACAGUGAUGCCUAUGUACGUCACACAUUACCUAGCAGUAUGUCACAAUACACGAUUUUCGGUGACGCUAGAACGUCACCGACUUUCUGCCACAUUAGCUCCGAGCAUUUUACAAACGUCACUAUUAACGUCACGGAUGGAAGGUGAUUUUUUUAAUAUGAUAUUUUAUUUUCCAAAUUAAUUUAUGGGGAAUAUUUUUUUGACCGAAAUUUAUGGGGAAUAUUUAAUCCGAUUUGUUUAUUUUUGCCAAAUAUAUUUGUCGUCACACGGGGCUCCGACACGGGUGAUGCGCGGACACCCCCCUUUUUAGGUUCGGCGGUGGGCUACGGGGAUCGCUCCAACGAUCGCCGACGGGGCCAAUGCGAGGCGUAAAAAUGCAACAAGAACGCAUGCACACGUUUCUUAGCCAGGUUCGGGCCACCUUGCGGUAUAAAACCCUACGUCCCUCUUGUCUGAGCUUCAAUUACAGUAAAAUUGGCUGUUUACAGGUUGCCUAGGGAAGCCCCCGGGUGGUCUCUUUUUGGCUAAGUGUUCUUUCCUACUCUGGGCUACUGCCAGUGUUGUACUAUGAGUUGGCUCAGCAAUCGAACCAACGGACGAACCAAAACCGACCAGAAACGAACCCUUUGACCGUUGGCGGGGGUCCUCCUUUUAUAGCCAAGGGGAUACCAUAGGUGCCACGGUGCAUGGUUUACAAGUGGCGAACAAGGAGCUUUGGCAGCUCCUCCUUGUUGCGCUGGCAUGCAUGCAUGGGCGCCAAACCCCGCGGCUAGGGGUCUAAGGCCUAAAAAAUAGGACUGGACAGCCACUGUUCGUCCGACUAGAUGGAUAACGCCCCUCCUGUCGGCUCAUUAAAUGCGCCGUGCGCUUCACCCCUUGCCCUGGCGAAACUGCACACUGGGCGCCUGUCGCGCCCCCACGUGGCGUCGCUGCUCUGCUCGCUCGGCCCCGCCCUCACGGCGGGAACCUGCGCCCGGCAACACCUCCUCCCGGCAAGUACCUUCCUGGGAGGUACCCAGGCGGGAAUAUUCCCCGAAGCCCUGCUAGCCCUUCCGGGCUGGUAGCUUGCCAGGCAGCCUAUACGUUGCCACCCGGGGUGAGAUCCUCCCGGGAACUCAGCGGUGCGACCCACGCAUCGUGCAACGGUGGUACCCCAGGUGCCACUGGUGCGACAGUAGCCUCCGGGCGUGGGCCGGCAACACCCGUUCCUGGGCGAACCCUUCCCUGGUCGGUUGCCGGGCUACGCCCGAACCGACGCGUGUGUCCCGACUUGCCUCGGGCCCGCGUCUCUUUGUCGUCCCACGUACCCUGCCGUUACGGAUGGAGUAGUGGGUAAGAGAUUUCCGCUGUAACCUCCCCCCUUAAACAAGGAAGUUAAGGCCACUCUUCGCAUUAUCCUUUUGAUUAGCAAUUAUCACAGCGCGCCCGUAGGGUGCGGAACCGGUCGUUACCAAACGGCGGGGUGUUAUAAAGCUUUUACUGUUGUAGUGAGGGGAAAACACUUUGCUCCCUGGCCUUCGUCUUCCAUCUUCUUCGCAUCUUGUGCCCAAAAGCUCUGCUAGCCCCUGCCCCCGCUCCCCAUGGCGGCCCCCACCACGAGGAAGGGAAAAGAAGGGAAGGCCCCGAAGAGACCGGCGGCUAGCAAGAGCGAGGCGGUCGCCAGGGCCGCCGCCGACAAAGACCAGAAGAAGCGGGCGAUGAGGGCCACGCUCGCCUUCUACCGGCCCGGUUACAACAGCGAGGCGCUGGCAAAGAUUCGGGACGCCGUCGCCUCCGGGUUCAACGAGCACGGGGAGACCCUGAUCUUCCCCGCGGGCGCCGGCCACCAGGAAAACGACUUCCGGGUGUUCGGCCGCUUCAUCCUCACCGGGUUGGUACCGCCGUUCUCCCUGUUCCUCCAUGCGCUUAUGGAGUCGUACCAGCUGCGGGUGGCGCAGCUCCACCCCACGUCUCUCUACCUCCUCGCCACCUUCUAGUUCCUCUGUGAAGCAUUCGUCGGGGUAAUGCCGUCAGUGGCACUAUUACGGCAUUACUUCUACCCCCGGAUCGAUAACGCGAAUGCGAUGUCGCCGGGGGUGGUGUUCCGCGCCCGCGACCUGAUGAAGUCCUAGUUCAUCGUCCGGUCGGAGAAGAAGAUCGAGAAGGAGUGGCGGGGCGACUGGUGCUGGGUCUGGGUAGAAGACCCCGAGGAGUUCAUCCUCUCGCCCACCGAGCUGCCACAACCCCACGGCGGCUGGUGGGACCGGUACCACCGCGACGCCGAUCUCCUCCCCAUCAUGGAUAAGAUCAAGGCUUUGCGGCUGGCAGGGCUCACCGAUGUCGACGCGGCGCGCACCUUCAUCACCCGGCGCGUCGCGCCGCUCCAACUGCACUCCCGGCCCGCGUGGAUGUACACGGGGCCCGGGGACAGGACACGCCUCCACCGCGAGGGCGUGGACCGGGAAUCCCUCCAGGUGUGGGUGAAGGGGAUCUUUGGCGAGGACCUUCCCGCUACUAGGUUCCCCAGGGGUUAUCUCCCUCCAUGCCGGCGUUCAGGAGCUGAACAACAUCGUCGCCUCCUUCUCGCCCUGCAACGAGUGGGGGUUGAUGGACGACUCCCCCACUCGGACCUCACGCGCUCCGCCGCCGGCACCUCACGGGAAUUAGGUGCUUGAGGAGAGCGGGGGUGAGUCGGAGGUAAGCUAGCCAUCCCUUCGGUCUUCAGACGACGAGGCGGGCCAGCCUGCCGCGUCCUAGGUAGUCGUCCUUGUGGACGAUGAUGAGGAGGACAGCGACGACGCGCCCCUGAUCGUGCGAAGAUCAAAGGCGCACAGCGGCCGCGGCUACCGCCACCGUGGCUGCGGCGGCUGCCAGCCCGGCGGCGACGGCCGCCCUGGGGGCGUCCGCCGUCACCUCGGCGGCGGCCCCACGCAUGGCGGUUGCCGGAGCCACGGCUAUGACCACCCCGGCAGCGACCGCCUGCAGCCCGGCGGCGGCUACCUCAGCAGCAGCUACUGGGCUCGCGGUGACGGCCCCCGUCGUCGCGGCAGCCCGUCGUCGCGGCACCCGCACGGGCACCCACGGCCCCGCCUGCUCGGGGUGUCUUCCGGGGCUUCGCGCUUCGGCGCAACCCCCCGAAGGCCGAUUCGUCGGCAAGCGCCAGCAAGAGGGGGAGGGACGACUCCCCGCCUACCGCGCCGAGCAAGAAGGCGCGCGCGGACGCUGGCAGCGUUGCCGACUCAGCCGGCACAAGGGCCAGCGGCGCCACCAUCGCACCUUCCGGCGACCCAGCCCCAAUGGAGGUGGCACCGGCAACAGGUACGGCUCCUUCCUGCCUCCUUUCCGGCAUUUUCAAUUGUCAGUUAAUCACGUAACCGUACCUUCUCUUUUCGUAGGCGACACUCCGCCCGCAGCAAGUCUCCCAGAGACCCCUGCCGGGACAGAGGAGGGGAUGCUCCCCCCGCAAGCCCAGUGGCCCCACAAGGUAACCGUCCUGAGCCACCUUGUCCGCCUCUGGGCAACUUUUCAGCUUCCCUCUUCCCACACUUCUCGCUGGUGCAGGCCCGAACGCACCCGCUAGAGAAGCGGGAGCCGCGAUGGUUGACCUCGACCCCAACGUCGAGGUUACGGGGACGGCGGAGGGGCCAGAGGCAGCCCCCAUGCCAAGCCCUGCCGCGCCGGCCGCAGCAGCGACGGUGAGCACCGCCACCCCCGGGACGGUGUCCGGCAUCGCACCAGCGGCUGCGGACGCGGCUGGUGCGGAUUCUUCUGCCGCCCAGCAGGGGGCGGUCCCUGCCGGGGGCGCGGCAACCUCACUAGCCCCGCAGUCCCUGGGCGCGAGUGCGAGGGAGGUUGCCGAGGAGGAGCAACAGGAUGCUCUGGCGCAAGCGGACAAUCCCCCGCCUAGCUCUACGGUGGCAGCGGGGGCUUCGUGUUGUACUUUGUGUUGCCGGGGACUCGCACGCCUCACUCUUGACCAGACCAGGGACCCGCGACGGACCCGCAGUGCCGACCUGGGGCCAAGCAGCAGCGGCGCGCCACUCCACUUGUGGGGUAACUACUCCAAGCCAUGCCCUCCCGGGGCGGACCCGGAAGCCGACGGGGAGCGCACUCCCCCCGCAAGCGUCCUUCUAACACCCCAGCCACAUGCAGAUUUCGGAGUCACACUUAGCGAGGUUGCAUUCAGUUACGUUCGGUUCUUAAAGAGUUUAUCGUUCAGGUUCAAGCACUUAGCUUUUCGUUCGGUCGCGUGCUCGGUAUGCUUGCCGGAGGUGUACGUUUGGUACAUCGCCCUUGAGAAUGCCUGUUUGAGGGAUGCGGCGGGAAUGCCACAGCAGGAUCGCCGCCGGCGACAAGCGCCGACGACGAUGCUGCUGUCGCGUCUCCGCAGCAACCCUCGCCUUUGGAAGAGCCCUUGCUUUCGGAGGAACCUGUUCCGAGGGGUGCAGUAGGGACGUCGUGACUUCCUCGCCACCACCGGCGAACGCGGGUGGCGAAGACAUCACGGCGUCCCCGCAGUAGCCCUCGCUGCUUGGGGAAAAAUCUUCCUGAGGGACGCAGCAGGGAUGCUAUGGUGGGCCGGAGCGAACGGCGAACUCCGGCACCGGCGCCAUCACAGCGUCCUCACGACGACCCUCGCCUCUGGAGGCGCCCUCUGGAGGGGUGCGUCAGGGACACUAUGGUAGCACACCCGUUAGUGCUGAAAGCCGAUGGCAUGCACUACCAUAGUGGCUCCGCGGCAACCCUCGCUCCUUGCCGAGAUACCCUCUGGAGGGGUGCGGCGGGAGCACUGUGGCAGUGCACCCGUCAGCGCCGAGCGCUGAUGGAAUGUACCACCACAGUGCUUCCACGGCAGCCCUUGCCUCGGAGCCGCUCGCUAGAGGAGGUGGGGCAAGGACACGGCUGCAGUGCACCUACCGGCGCCGAGCGCAGGUGGGAUGCACCACCACCAUGUCUCCGCGGCACCCCUCGGAAUGGGCUCGGUGGAGGGACGCGACAAGGGCGCGAUGGCAGUGCACCCGUUGGCGCCGGGCGCUCAUGGGAUGCACCACCAUCGCGCCUUUGCGGCUCCACUCCCCUUUGCAGCCUUUUCCCUGGCUCCGCUCUGAGCCGUUCUAUGGCCGGGACGCUCCAUUUAUAGGUGCGGGAGGGGGGCUCGCCACCACGCGCGCCGGGUCAAGGCAGCAUACGUAGCGCCCCACCCCUUGGAGUGCGGUUCGGUCCUCGCCACUCCGCAUGCCAAGUUGUUGUGGCACACGUGGCGGCUUUCUCCUGAAUCAGGGGCCUCGAAGUGCGGCGAGUCCCUCGUGGUGCGGUCGCUCCACACCACAAGGCGUUGCUACAUGCCGCGACCCGUGGGCGGUCCACAGGCAUUACAGUGCGCAAGAUUCCCCCUUUACCCUGCACAUUAGAUUCUUACCAAGCCCGACAUGCUGCAAAUUUUUUCGAAAUUCACGAAAAACACAAAGCAGCAGUAUGGAUGAUCUCCUGCCUCCUAGCCCCCGGGCACGGAAGGGACGAUGCCAAACUUGGAUGUGAGCAUUUCAUUUCCCAGACGCAGCGACUGCGUGGUGCACGUUGCGGUGAGCCCGGCAACUGCACGUCCCAUGACGCAUGUUGCGGGAAGCCUGACAACUGCAUGUCCCAUGAUGCAUCUUGCGGGAAGCCCGGCAACUGCAUGUCCCGUGCCGGAGCGAUCCGGCAACGGGUUUAUGUUUUCGAGGCUCCGGCAGCCCCCUGCUCACAACCAAGUAUGGAAAGACACAUCUGUGCACCUAAAGCAGGAGACAGAAGGAGGAACAUGCAAAUAAACAAGGCAAUCUUAAAAUUCAGGAAACAUCACUUAUCUUUAUUCACAAUAACCAGUGGUUUACACACGGGGCUUGCCCGACUACACUAGUUCGAGAGGUAUGCAUCGGCGGCAUCACCUGAGGGUCGGGCUCCGCCGCUUCACGGGUAGAACUUGCGUAGGUGCUCAAUAUUCCAACUAUUUUGCAGGGGCAAGCCUUCUUCGGUUUCCAGCCGGACAGCCCCCGGCCUGGUCACCUACACUACCCGAAAGGGCCCCUCCCAUUUCGAAGUCAACUUGUUCCCGACCUUCGUUCCUUGUAUCUGGUGCAGGACAAGGUCUCCGUUCUCGAGCCCCCGGGAACGGACUCGCCUGUCGUGAUAACGAUGGAGUCCUUGCUGGUAGCGCACGGGUCGCACAGUAGCCUGGCAUCGAAGCUCUUCGAUGAUGUUCAGAUUGUCAACCCUUUACUCGUGUUGGCUGGAGUUGCCGUACGCGCGCACUCGGGGAGAUCCGUGCUUGAGCUCGAGGGGCAGCACCGCUUCUGCCCCGUAGACAAGGGCAAAAGGGGUUUCGCCCAUUGCCCGGCUAGGUGUGGUCCUGAUUGACCACAGCACGGGUUGGAGUUCUUCAACCCAGUGUUUCCCGUGGCCUUUGAGCUUAUCAAAGGUUCUCGUCUUGAGCCCUCGCAGAACUUCCGCGUUGGCUCGCUCCGCCUGUCCAUUACUCCUUGGGUGAGCAACGGACGCGAAGUGUAUCCUAGUGCCCAUGCCUUCGCAGUAGGCUUGGAACACCGCGCUCGUGAAUUGCGUGCCGUUGUCAGUGAUGAUGCCGUUAGGCACACCAAACCGGGACACAAUGCUCUUGAAGAACUUGAUGGCCGAUUGGGCGGUCACCUUUCGCACCGGCUCCACCUCCACCCACUUGGAAAACUUGUCGAUAGCCACGAGCAAGUACUCGUAGCCGCCGACCGCUCUCGGCAGCUCGCUGACGAUGUCCAGCCCCCAGACCGCGAAUGGCCACGAGGACGGGACGACCUGCAGGGCCUGCGCCGGCUGGUUGCUCUUCUUCGCGUGGAACUGGCAUGCCUCACACGUCUUCACCAGCUACUCCACGUCGGCCAGGGCUGUGGACCAGUAGAAACCGUGCCGAAACGCCUUACCGGCCAGCGCCCGAGAGGCCACAUGGCGGGAGCAUGUGCCUCGAUGUAUCUCCUCCAACAGUGCACGCCCUUCAUCUUGGGGCACGCAGAGGAGCUUGACUCCAUUUGCACGCCUGCGGUAGAGGUUCCCGUCCACCACGGCGUACAUCUUGGCUUGCCGAGCCACUCGCCCUUCAGGUAACGGGCAAUUUCCACCGCCCAGGGAGGGGUCUCCUUGCCAAUUCAUGCUGCUACGUCAGCAGCAUGGACCCCUGCUGUUGCGGGGUUUCCUUUGGUUGCGGGAGGUGCUUCCCCAGCAACCGGCUCGGUGGGACUGAGGGCGUAGCUUGCCUGUGCCAGAACACCCCCACCAGAGGCUUCCGGCGUUCUGCUGCCAUCUUGGACAGCUCGUCAGCCGUGAAGUUGUCCUUCCACUUGACGUGCUCGAAUCGCAAACCCUUGAACUUGCGUUCUAGCUUGCGGACUUCCUCCACGUACGGUGCCAUCUGCGGGCAGUCGUAGUCCUUGUUAACCUGGUUGCUCACGAGCUGGGAGUCCACGCGAACGACCAGGCGCUUAAUGUCCAGGGCGAUAGCUGCCCGCAACCCGGCGAGCAAACCCUCGUACUCCGCCGUGUUGUUAGUGGAGUUUGGGAAAUCAAGUUGGAUAGCAAAACUCAGCUGAUCUCUCGUCGGUGACUCGAUGACGACCCCAGCGCUAGCUCCCUGGAGGCUGAACGCGCCAUCGAAGUACAGGAUCCAAUGGCCUUUGUCUAGCCUGCCUGGCAGGCUAGUCUCCGGCGCCUCCUCUUCUACACCCGUCUACGUCCACUCCACGACGAAGUCCGCCAGGGCCGCACUCUUGAUGCUCUUGGAGUUGGUGAAGCGCAGACCGAACUCCGACAGCUCCAUCCUCCAUUCGGCCACCCUCCCGGUGGCUUCACGGUUGGUGAGGGCUCGCUCAAGGCAGAACCCCGACACUACCGUGACGUGGUGUGCCUGGAAGUAGUGAAGCAGUUUGCGGGAGGCGAGUAGAAUCCCCAGGAGAAGCUUCUGGACCUGCGGGUACCUCUACGGGCGUCGCGCAGCACCGUGCUGACAAAGUACACCGGAUGCUGCACGAGCCUCCUGCGCGGUACCGAUGCUGCCGGCUCGGGGGUGGUCCCGGGGUCCGAGGUGGCUGCCGGGGGCCGUUCAGCCCCCUGCCUCGCAGCCUUAGUCCCCGGCACGUCUUCCUCCCUCUCGGCAACCAACACCGAGCUGACCACCUGGUCAGUCGCUGCUAACUAGAGUAGCAGUGGCUCGCCCGGCUUGGGGGCGACGAGGACAGGCGACGACCUCAGGUACUGCUUGAGAUCCCGGAACACCGCCUCGGCCUCGAGGGUCCACUCUAUUGGGCCCUUCUUCUUCAUCACUUUGAAGAAAGGCAGGGCGCGCUCGCCCAGCCUUGAGAUGAAGCGGCCCAGUGCGGCAACGCAACCGUUGAGGCGCUGGACAUCCUUCACCUUGCAGGUAGCCUUCUCGAUAGCUUCUAUCUUCUGUGUGUUGGCUUGUAUCCCCCUGUGCGAAACCAAGAAACCCAGAAGCUGGCCCGAGUCUACACCGAAGGUGCACUUCUCAGUGUUCAACUUGAGUUUGAUCCUGCGGAGGUUAUCAAACGUUUCCCGUAGGUCAUCAAUCAGCGAUUCCUCGCGCUUUGAUUUGAUGACGAUAUCGUCCAUGUAGGCCUCCACGUUCCGGCCUAGCGGGGGUCCCAAACACUCGCGCAGCGCGCGCUGGAAUGUUGAGCCCGCAUUCUUCAACCCGAAAGGCAUGCACGUGUAACAGUAACAGCCAACUGGGGUGAUGAACGCUGUUUUCUCCUCAUCUUCGACUGCCAUCUUAAUUUGAUGGUAGCCGGAAAAAGCAUCCAAAAAGCUCAACAAGUCGCAACCAGCAGUGGAAUCAACUAUCUGAUUGAUGCGGGGUACAGGGAAAGGAUCCUUGGGACAUGCACGGUUAAGAUCAGUGAAAUCUACACACAUGCGAAGCUUAUUUCCCGCCUUGGGUACUACUACAGGGUUAGCUAACCAAGAGGGGUACAGAACUUUCCUGAUAGCCCCGGCAGCCUUGAGCUUGUCCACCUCUUGCUUGAUGAAAUCUUUCUGCUCCUGCGCUUGCCGGCGGAUCUUCUGCUUGACGGGGCGGGCGUCUGGACGCACCGCGAGUCGAUGCUCAAUCACCCCCCUAGGGACUCCGGGAAGGUCCGACGGCUCCCAAGCGAACACGUCGGCAUUCUCCCGGAGGAAGGUGAUGAGGGUGCUUUCCAAUUCGGCAGUAAGGUUUGCACCAACGGUGACGCUGCGCUCCUUGCUGCCGGCUUGGAGGGGCAGCCUCUUCACCUUGGCAGCCUCCUCCUGGAGCUUCUGGCCCUUGCCGGGGCAUGAGCUCGAGCCUGCGCUUCCCCCAGCAAGCUCUUGCGGGGCAGCGCGGGCCUUCGUCGUUGCCGGGCCGUCGCCCGGCAAGCCUUCGUCCCCGGCAACGUCUUCGUCCCCGGCGGUGGCUCUGAUGACCUCGCCAACACACCAGGCCGCGUCCUUGAGAUCACACCUGAUGGAGAGGACGCCGUACAUGGACGGCAUCUUCAUCACGCCGUAGGCGCAAUGGGUCACCGCCAUGAACUUGAUCAGCGCCGGCCGACCAAGGAUCCCGUUGUAGGGCAACGGGGUAUGCGCCACGUCGAACACUAUGUGCUCGGUUCUAAACGCUUCCCGGGACCCGAAGGUCACCGGCAGCGUGAUGCACCACAGGGGGCGCACAAUCCCGGGGUUCACUCCCCGGAACGGGUUGGUGGGCUUUAGCUGCUCUAUCGGCACCUGGAGUUUCUCCACCAACCUGGCGGAUAGGAGGUUCAGCCCCGCUCCGUUAUCCACCAGCACCUUGGUCACCGUCAUGUUGCUGAUGAUCGGUGAAACCACGAAGGGUAUGACCCCUGAACCCAGCUGCCGCGCUGGGUGAUCGUCGGCGCUGAAGGUGAUCGGCAAAUGCGACCACCUCAGCGGCUGCUGCGGCUCCACAUCCGGCAACAGCGCGUAUACUUCGCGGGUGAGGUGCUUCACCGCGACGUGAGAUGGGAGAGCGUAAGCUCCCCCAUGGAUGCAGGCGACGCCGCGAGGCUCCUGGAAGCCCGGCUCGUCGCCGCCAGUGCAGUCGGACUCGGGAUGCUCCUCAGCACGAGCCCUGUCUCGUCCUCGGGGAGGGCGCUCCCUGCCAGCGCGGGCUUGGCCACGUCCCCCCGGGCUUCCUCCCAGCCAGCUAUAGAAGCAGGCACCGGCUGCUCGGCGCUCCUCGUGGCGCUGCUCGCGCCGUUGCUUGAUACCCUGCAGGAUGCGGCAAUCCUGCGCGUCGUGGGUGGAGUUGGCAUGGAUGGGGCAGCAGGGCGCGUCGCCCUGCUUGCCGCCAGACCCGCCCCCGGGCGAGGCCUUCUUUGCAGGCCUCGCAGCAGCCCCUGACUCCGCGGCAAGGACUUGCUUCCCGCUUCGCUUGCGGGAACUCUUCUUCUGCGAACCCUCUCCCGGGCUCGCGGCAGCCUUAGCUGCAAGUUCGGGCGCUAGGCUCCCUUCCUCGGCCAUGGCACACUUGUGCGCCAGGGCGUACAGAUCCUGCGUCGUCCGGAUCCGAUGCCUGCUCAGCUUCUCGCGCAUCUUGGGGUCACGGACGUUGAUGGCGAAGGUGUUGACGAUGGCAGCAGCCUCCGCCUCCGGGAUGGAGUAGGAGAGACUGGAGAAACGGUUGACGAAGCUCCGCAGCGUCUCUCCCGGCAUCUGCACUACAGUGUGCAGCUCCGCCAUUGUUCCCGGGCGCUUGUAGCCGCCCUGGAACGCGCUCACAAACUGCUCGCACAGGUCCACCCAAGUGGCGAUGGACCCAGCAGGCAGGUUGAGCAGCCAGGUUCUCGCUGAUCCUUUCAGAACCAUUGGGAACCAGUUGGCUCUGACCUUGUCGUCGGCGCCGAUGGAAUGCAUUCCCAACGUGUAGGUCAGAAGGAAAUCCUUGGGGUUCACGGUCCCGUCGUACGUACCGAGCGCGGGCGCUCAGAACUUGCGGGGCCAUGUCACCCGCCGCAACUCGCGCGUAAAUACGGUGCAGCCGUCCUCAGGGCCCAUGGGAGCAUCCUCCUGCUCCUGUGGGCGUUGGCGCUCUACCUCACGCCGGCGCCGGCGCUCCAGGCGCUGACGCAGGUCCUCUUGCUGGCGGGCAUUCAAGAUGCCACGCGCGUCACCUCCUGCUCCCCUCCGGGUCCCCGCCUCCUAGGCCUCCCUGCGGGGGAGGGUUUCCCCUUGCAGCGAGGCGCGGGGCACGUCUCCGCGCCCCGGGUUCUGCCGCGGCCUGAGCCUGCCAGGCUGCAUUCGCCCUGUGGCUGUUGGGCGGCAAGCGCGAGGAGCACGUCCAACUCAGGGCUCCAUGCCUAGUGCGCUGGCGUGCGCUAGUGCGACUCGGAGCGCACCAUGACUCGCGCGGCGAUGAUGUCCUCCGCCGGGGUUUGCGCGGGAGGCUGCCGGUUUCUCGAACGGCUGCCCUCCGCUCUAUCCCCGGAUACCCUCGGCUGAGCCGGACGCGAGCCGGUUGGCGUCGCCUGCAACGCUUCAUGCUCCUCGUGCGGCUGCUGCCGCUGCUGUGGUUCGUCGUCCUGCGGGCCACCCCGCUGCAGGGCGCAGGCGGCGUUGUGACCGCUCGCGCGGCUGGCUCUGGCGCUGGGAGCCGCUGGCCCUCUCGACCGGUUAUCAGCCGACGGUCGAGGAGGCGGCGGUGGCAGCUGUGAUGGCUACGCUCGGGCAGGCUCAGGAUCACCUUGUUCCUGCGACGCGUGUGGCACGUCGUGCGCCGCGUGUGCGCCGCUGGGGCCGCACGCGGGUCGAUCCUCGAGUCACCAGCCCGCUUGGGGGGCAUGGUGGCUGGCUCUGUCGUCGAGGAAAACGAAGCCGCUUGAGGCUGGGCUCCCACACCGGGGAUGCGCGGGCACCCCCUUUUUAGGUUUGGCAUUGGGCUACGGGGAUUGGUCCGGCGAUCGCUGGCGGGGCCAAUGCGAGGCGUAAAAAUGCAAGAAGAACGCAUGCACACGUUUUUUACCUAGGUUCGGGCCACCUUGCGGUGUAAAACCCUACGUCCUGCUUGUCUGAACUUGUAUUACUAUAAAAUCGGCUGUUUACAGGUUGCCGGGGGAAGCCCCCGAGUGGUCUCUUUUUGGCUAAGUGUUCUUUCCUACUCUGGGCUACUGCCAGUGUUGUACUAUGAGUUGGCUCAGCAAUCGAACCAACGGACGAACCAAAACCGACCAGAAACGAACCCUUUGACCGUUGGCGGGGGUCCUCCUUUUAUAGCCAAGGGGAUAUCACAGGUGUCACGGUGCAUGGUUUACAAGUGGCGAGCAAGGAGCUUGGGCAGGUUCUCCUCGGUGCACUGGCAUGCAUGCAUGGGCGCCAACCCCGCGGCUAGGGUCGAAGGCCUAAAAAAUAGGACCGGACAGCCACUGUUCGUCUGACUAGACGGAUAACGUCCCUUCUAUCGGCUCAUUAAAUGCGCCGUGUGCUUCACCCCUUGCCCUGGCAAAACUGCACACUGGGCGCCUGUCGCGCCCCCACGUGGCGUCGCUGCUCUGCUCGCUCGGCCCCGCCCUCACGGCGGGAACCUGCGCCCGGGAACACCUCCUCCCGGCAAGUACCUUCCCGAGAGGUGCCCAGGCGGGAAUAUUCCCCGAAGCCCCGCUAGCCCUUCCGGGCUGGUAGCUUGCCGAGCAGCCUAUACGUUGCCGCCCGGGGUGAGAUCCUUCCGGGAACUUAGCGAGGCGACCCACGCAUCGUGCAACGAUGGUACCCCGAGUGCCACUGGUGCGACAAUAUUAUUCAAUUUUAUUUCUGUUUUUUCCAAUAAUAUUGAUCUGAAAUUACAUUACAAGAAACUGAGGAUUUAAAUUUAGUGGUAAUACAUAAAAAUUGCUAAAUUGAACUGACAUAAAAAUAACCGUAUAGUUAACUAACAGCGAUGUUACAUUGUACAUUGAUAAGUAUGCCAAUUGACAGUUAAGAUGGAAUGUAAAAAUUGACAUAACAAAAGACCACGUAAUUAUGUCUCAAUGAUUCCAAAGUGAGGUAUAAAGAACAAGCCACUACCAUGGAAUGAUGGCCUUCAUCCACCUUGUUUUCGUAAGAGAAAAACUAAGAAGGCCAUAUGUUUCCGCCAGCUUCUUUUCCCAAGCCUUCUCUUUCUUGCUGGCUCUUCUUCACAGCUUCAAUUUUUUGAUGCUUCCUUUUCAUCUCUUGAAGUGCAGACUAUUGUGCUUCAACUUUCUUGUUUAACUCCUGCUAGUACAUCUCAUUUGCCUCUCUAUCUUGUUGCUGAACUAUUUCUUCUAACUCUUGGAUGCACAGUGCAGAAGCGGAGGGCUUAGAACUCCCCGGUCUUGAUUGCAACCCCAUGCUUGAAAGGAAGGUGCUUGAGGCGGCAUGCUACUUAGAACUUCAGUCACAAUCUGUGUAACAGAUACUAUGUGCCCACCUUCUGACCGUGCUUCCUCACGCUUAUUCUCCAUAGCAGUCCGUAGAAGAAAACAUCCAUGGUCAAGUAAGAGAGAGUUGACAUGUGAAAUAAACUUACAGAAGCAUAUAUGAGAGCAAUAGAUUAAAGGAGGCAGGAACAACAGCAAUACAUACAGCAAAAAAUAAAUAAAUAGCACAACGAUGGCAACAAAAAUAGCCUGCAACGACAGCAACAACGGGAGUAUCAGUAACAACAAGAAGCAGCAGCAACAACAACAACAACAUGCAGCAGGGGCAGCGGCGACAGCAGCAGCAGCCUGCAGCAGCGGGCAGCAACAACACAACAGCAUUGCACAAAGUAUCUAAUCCCACAAUAAUAUAACAAGAUUCCAAUAUAUUGAAUCGGGGUUUAUGGAUAUCAAGAAAUAACAAGUAAUACCAAAAGUCGCAUAACAUCUCAAAAUCUCAAAGCAAUCCACCCAGAAUGGUUCAUUAGGGUUGUUUUGCCAAGUUUCCAAAAUCACUCCACAUCAUCAUUUCACAGUGAUUGAGAUUCCCUCCCACGUUUACUAACAUAGCAUGGCUAAGCAAUACUAAUCACGAUGGCUAUUGGAGGAGGAUUCAUGGCAAAGAUAGCCCUAUAGCUAGUAGGUCAAUCAUAGCUAGCAUAAGUACGAGUAAUAGCCCUAUCAAUGCAUUUCUACAAACAACUCUAAUGCAUAAAUAUUUUAAAAACAGACAGUAAUAGGAUAUGAUCAAAGUGAACUUGCCACGGUAGCAGUUGGAGUUCAAACACUCGUCACAAUCAUAAGGUUCACUCUCCGAGAAAACUAUACGAAACAAACAAAAUACACACACAUAUACACACAAUUCAAACAAGACAAAAGAAUGUAUGCUAUGAUGCGAUGCAAACAUGUGACAUGAUUGGGUUUAUAUUAUUUGGGUGAUCAACUGAUCCAAAGCAUUGAUAAUUAGGCACAUGUAAUUAGGGUUUUAAACAAUUAGCACAGGUUGGGGUUUAAACCCUAAAAUGAGGUUUUAUUGGCAUCAGCCAAACAAAUUAAUUCAAAAUAUUUAUUUAUAUGUCCCAAUACAUAGAGGAUAAUGAAACAAAUUUUUGGGCACUAGUUUCAAUUAAAAAGGAUUUCUAAAUAAUUAGUUAUGAUUUAAAUGGUAUUAAACCCUAUUCUGUAAUUUGAAUGUGAUUCAAAUAUUCAAAUUUGAAAUUGUAUGGUUCCAAAAGAUUCUACAUUUCCUAAGGAUUCCAAAAAGAUGUGGAUCAUCAAAUUUGGCCAAACAGAUUAAAAGAUAUGAUCAUUUGAAGUUACAUGGGUUUUUCUGCAAAAGUGCCAUUUAAUUCAAACCGGGGGAUUAAAAUUAGAUUUUCAUUUUAUAAUUCCGGUGCCAUGUGUCGCAAAACUAUUGGUGCGUAGCGGUUCGAUUAAAAAGAAAAACGGGAUCUAAUCUGGACCGUUGAUCAUAGAUCGGACGGCUCGGGCGGCUAGGGUUUACCUCCGCGGCGGCGGCAGUCCCUGGAGACGAGGGAGAUGGCGGCGCGCCGGCGGGCGGCGUUCGGGGGCCUUCGGGCGUCGGGGAGGGCACGGGUGCGUGCGGCGCGACGAGGCGAGUUCGGGGACUCAGUCGGCGCGGCUCGAGGCGGUCGGAGGCCUCGCAUAGGAUGGCGCGAAGACGACGGCGGGCGGCGAAGCACCGGCGAGCUUCGGGCUCGGGUCGUCCGGGAGCUGCCGUGCACGAGAGUGAAGACGGCGUGCGUCAAACGAAGCGCAUGGAGGAGUAGAAGAAGAGGGGGAAGAAGAUGGCGGCGCUUACCCUUAGGGUUCACCGGCGACGAAGGAAAACGGCGAUGAGCGGCGCUAGGGUUCCGGCGAGCAAUCGAGGCGGCGUGGGCGCGUAAGAGAGAGAGCGAGCAGAGGGGGAAGAGGUGGGGAGCUCCAGGCUUUAUAAGGACGCAGGCGGGGCUGCGAAAUAUGGACGGAGCGUGGAGAUUGCGGCGGUGAGCGCGCGGCGGCGAAGAACGAAGGCGGCGGCGUUCUCGGGCGCUUUCCAUCAGGGACAAAGACCCUGACGCGUGGGUCCCACGCGUCAGUGGCAGCGGGCGCGCGCGUGGGGGCCGGUCCGCUUCGGGCGCGGUCGGUUCUGGGCCGGUUCGGCCCAAGCGGUCGGACCGGUCCGGUUCUCCUUUUUUUUUCUUUUCUUUUUCCCUUUUCCUCAAAUCUUUGAUAACUUUUGAUUUUGAGCUCCAAAUUGGUCCAAAUAAAUUCCAGAAAAUUUGUAAAAUCAUGUUUUGUCAUGAUUCAACUUUUGGGAGUGAUUUCUUCUCAAAAUAAAAUAUAUAAAAAUACAUUUUCCCUAUUAGCCUUUAGGGCUAUAUAACUAUUUAAAUAAAAGUAGUUUUUCAACUCCAAAAAUUAUCCAAAAAUUAUGGGAUAGCUUAUUUAUGCAAUAAACCCCUUUCAUAAAUAAAACCGAUUGGUUUGAAGAUCCAAAGCUCAAAUGGGUGUAAACCCUAGGGUUUACAAUCUUUUAAAGCUUUUUGAGAUUCAAAUUUGAAUUCAAAUAUGCAAUUGUGGCAUGAUGCUCAUGGAUGCAAUACACAUGUAAAAGUUUGAAAUUUUGGGAUGUUACGGGGAUGGAGCAAGUAAAUUUAAUUUCAACAAAUAGGAAAUUACUUCCUAAUAUUAUAUACCCUUGGAGUAGUUUUUUUAGUUAGUAGGAUAUUGUAUCUAUUCUAUAGUUGUUACAUAAAUAAUAAGAUAUGAUAACAUAACGAGUUCAAAAGAAAAUUCGUUAAUCUCGGUAAUAAAAUUGAACAUGUAUGAUUUAUAAAUUUGACUGUCUCAGUUCAAAACCAAACUCGCUUAACAUGGUAUAAAAUUGUACAUAUAUUGAUACGUGUGCGGGUGGCCCGAUCUUUCGAUGAGAUUGGUAACUCUCGAUUUGGUAGGAGGUGACGUUGACGAUCCGACUACGGCCUAGGAGGCAACGCCUUAGCAAUCGAUACACCAACUCCAGAGGGUUAUUGAUCACGCGGGGGCACGAUCAACCUGACCACGAAGGUCUUUGUUCCUGCAAGCAAUCGAAGAACAAGCAAGAACAAGAUAAAUAGCGGAUGCAAUCUAAAAUUGCGAAUAUACUAUAUCAAACCAAUGUCUCAACGAGACGAUAAGUUGGGGUUCCGAAAGCGGUAAAACAGGUGGUCUAACCGACACACGCGAUUACACGAAGUAGUAGUGAUGGCUAAUUUUUAACUAAACAAAACCCAAGGCUCCUUAGGGGGGCUCAUGGGGUAUAUAAAGGAGGAGGGAGAGAUAUUUUCGUCCACCUUGAAUAAGGAGUCCGAAAUCCAACUCUAUCUCUAACUUUCCUAACAAACUACAACUCUUUAGGAAACAGAAAAACAGAUCCGUUAGCUUGUUUUGUCUGCCACGGUCAGCACGAGUUGAAUCUCUUGAUGGGGCCAGAUCCGUUGGAAAGGUCUUGUAAUUACCUUUCCAACAAGUACUUAUUUUCUUGAUUUGGACUCCGGAUGCGGCCUGGGUGAUUAAAACAAAUUCGGGUCUCCUGACAGCUCGGACCCGAAUCGGAUUCAACUUUAAUUCGUGAUAUCUUUCUCUAGCAAGCUCCGAAUCAUGUGCCGUUUGAUUUGUUGGAAACUAGACUUGAUAGGCUUCACUUUGAAUUUCCCUUUGCAGGCUAUAACACUUCAUCUUCACUUUGGACUUGUAAAGUUCAAUAAGAUGCCUACAUAAUAAGAUUACAGAAGAUAGUAGCUCCGCCUCUUUACAAGUAACAUAUUGAAAACAUUUUGUAAUUGAAUUCACCUGAUUAUAAUUAUUAGAGACACCAACAAUUAGGGUUCUAAUGGUCGUAUCCAUGGUUAGCAUGUCCAUAUCAUAUAUGGUCUAUAAUUGUGAUUGUCUUAUAUCACAUCAAUACAGACACAUGAGAUAGCAUGAUUAAGAAUGAACAUCAUUGAGUUCACAAGUAUCAUCUUAAACAACUCUACCACGAGUAACUCCUUACCAGGCUUGUUAAACUCUUUUCCCUUAAUGAUUUCAAUCCAAACUUGCCUCGACUCGUGAUAGCAUCGUCGAUCUCCGGGAGAGUGAAAAGUCUCGGAUCAGGACCCACACAACGACGAACUCGUAUAUCUGAAUGGUGGUGGACAUGGAUCCGAGAGCGAGAAACCGGUUUCCAUCCUGAAACUCUUUAUGGUGGGUCUUUCUCUUCCUCGAGACAAUGGCAUAAAGGUUUGGAAACAUAUCUUUGAGUGGCACACCCUUCGUCCCUGCACACCAAUGAUCGUGCCACAAGCAUUCAGUUUAAAAAAUACUUCUUUUUUGCCAUUCAAAAGUAGAAAACAAAAAAGUUCCACAGAAAAUGAAAAUGUUUUACAUUGAUGAUUAUUUGGUCUUAUGUUUAGAUAUAACUAUAUAAUACCCCGCACGUUGCAGCGGGAUUUUGUAGCGAUGCAUAAAAGAGGAAAUACAUUGUAAAAUGCUGAAUAUAAUUCAUGAAAAUAUAUUUUUAUUUAUUGAAAACUAUGAUAAGAGUUGUUAUUUUUUGCCGUCAGGAAGGAUUAUUGUUACAUGUCUUUUUCCAUUUUUGAUGUAUUCAACUGUGAAGGAAUGCCGAUCAGUUGGAAGAAUUCUUGUGAUGUCUGCACAUGGAACUCCGUCUUGGCUUCCUUCUUUUAAAGUUAUAUGCAUCGGCUGUUUCAUAGGAUCAUUGAGUUUUUGGAUCUUCUCAUCAAACAUCUUGCAAGCCUCUCUUUGUGGAUGAGUAGAAGGCGCUGGUAACUCUAUCUUCCUCGUUUGCAUGCUGGACCAAAAAACUGUAUAAGAUCAAGAGAGUAGUUGUAUGGAAGUGAAAUAGAAUUGUAUGAUGAACUGACUAAUACCUGGGUUUCCCUUGUGUCGCUCCAUGUUUCAGUGAUUGUGAAGACUGUGGCAUGGAAGUUGUAUUUUUUUACUUUGACAUGAAGGAAUGUAAUACAGUGUUGUUGAUAUUGGUUGACACCGUUUUUUAAAAACUUUUAUGGUACAUUACAACACCUCCUAAAUGAAUGAUACUAAAAGUUUUUAUUACGGGAGUUUCUAAGUAUUGAAUUGCCAUUGGUUUAAGUGGUCAACAUACAGAUGUUAAGUGAGCUUGAAGUAAUUGGCAAAGCUGAGAAGAAAGGGCAGAUGUUUUAUUCACUCUGAUAGAUGCAUAUACAUGCAUUGGACCAACAUCAAACAGUAUUAAUAAGAGGUCUGAUUGAUUACAAUUAAAGGUGGUCAAUGGUGACCUAUAAUUUUGACUCAAGCAACACUAUAACUAAUUUUAGGUAGAAGGCAGUGCAGCUGUGACUUCCGACGUUGCUUCCUACAUGGUUCAUUAUGUCCUGCAUGUUUUUUUUAAGUCAGAAAAGGGCUAGAGGAGAAACUCUUGAUUAUGUACAAUUUCAACUUUCCUGUAAUAAGGUACAAUGCUAUCGAGGAUAAAAAAAUGAGAAUGGUUAGACCAUGCACGUACUCAUGCUUAUUCCGUUUGACAUCCUGAAGUUCCUUUGUUCCAUCUGUAAGCUCCACCUCAUUUUCACUACGCCAUGUAAACAAUUGGUUAAUUUAUCAAGCAAAAUAGUUAGACCAUGACUAAAUAUGACGUUUCGUAGCUGCAGGAUACCUUCCUUUGUUCAUCAGAUCAUGUUCCGUAAACUGAAUGCUUCGUUUUGCUGCAGACUUGCUGCAUAGAAAAAUAGUUAUUUCUAAUUCAUGUUAACUGUGAACAGAUUAGUAUAUACAGAGAAUUAUUUUUGAAAACUUUAAAAUUUUAAAAAUUACAUGAGAUUGUCUUUGUCGGUGUCAGUAGCUGCAAGUUGGGGACCGGGAGGUGUAUGAUUCAUCUUGUGCAUAGACAAUUGGACUGUGAGUAACAAAAAUUUGGUAAGGAUGUUGACAUGGACCUUUUAAUUUCAAUGUUAUGAUUGAUUGCAAACCUCUGGGUACUCAUGGAUGAAGAUGGAGUGGUAAUUAGUUCCUUGCUUGAAGAUGACUGAAAAAAAUUAAUGUCUAAAAUUAGUAAUUUCGCGUAAUAUGGUUGUAGCUAGGACGAAAUAGAUGAAUGAAUAUGGAUUGUGUAACCUCUGUGGAGGGCAGCAUUUGUCCAUUGUCAGCCGAGAAGCUCUUUCUUAUGACAUAGCUUAUGGGAAACCUGGAUGUUGAAUCAACCUUCAUUCCUAUAUGGAAUAAUUUGGUUUUACCAAUGGCAUUAUCAAGGGUGGCCACAUGUUGAGCAGCAUCUAUUUUCAUAUUUUGAGAAACUUGGAUGGCAUCUUGCCCAACCAAUUCUGCAGCAAUAGUAGAGAAAGCAAUUUGCCCCCAAAUUUCCUGAAUCAUCUGCAAGUGUAAUAGGUAGCUUGUACCUGAAAUGUGUGUAAGAUUUUUUUAGUAACAUGUUGGAGAGCAAAAGUGUAACAUCCCAAAAUUUCAAAAUUUUACAUGUGCAUAGCAUCCAUGAGCAUCAUGCCACAAUUGCAUAUUUGAAUUCAAAUUUGAAUCUCAAAAGGCUUUAAAAGAUUUUUUUUCAAUUUAAACCCUAGGGUUUACACCCAUUUGAGCUUUGGAUCUUCAAACCAAUAGGGUUUAUUUAUAAAAGGGUUUAUUGCAUAAAUAAGCUAUCCCAUAAUUUUUGAAUAAUUUUUGGAGUUGAAAAACUAUUCUUAUUUAAAUAGUUAUAUAGCCUUAAAGGCAUUUUUAGGGCAAAUGUAUUUUUAUAUUUUUUAUUUUGAGGGGAAAUCACUCCCAAAAGUAGAACCAUGAUAAAACAUGAUUUUAAAAAAAUUCUGGAAUUUAUUUGGACCAAUUUGGAGUUCAAAAUCAAAAGUUAUCAAAGAUUUGAGGAAAAGGGAAAAAGAAAAGAAAAAAAAAAGAGAACCGGACCGGUCCGCCGAUUGGGCCGAAUCGGCCCAAAACCGACCGCGCCCGAACCGGACCAGACCCCACGCGCGCGCCCGCUGCCACUGACGCGUGGGACCCGGUCCCACGCGUCAGGGUCUUCGUCCCCGAUGGAAAGCGCUCGAGAACGCCGCCGCCUUCCUUCUUCGCCGCCGCGCGCUCACCGCCGCAAUCUCCGCGCUCCGUCCAUAUUUCGCAGCCCCGCCCGCGUCCUUAUAAAGCCCGGAGCUCCCCGCCUCUUCCCCCUUUGCUCGCUCUCUCUCUUACGCGCCCACGCCGCCGCGAUUGCUCGCCGGAACCCUAGCGCCGCCCGCCGCCGUUUUCCUUCGUCGCCGGUGAACCCUAAGGGUAAGCGUCGCCAUCUUCUUCCCCCUCUUCUUCUACUCCUCCAUGCGCUUCGUUUGACGCGCGCCGUCUUCGCUCUCGUGCACUGCAGCUCCUCGACGACCCGAGCCCGAAGCUCGCCAAAGCUCUGCCGCCCGCCGUCGUCUUCGCGCCGUCCUCGGCGAGGGCUCGGACUGCCUCGAGCCGCGUCGACCGCGUCCCCGACCUCGCCUCGUCGCGCAGCGCACCCCCGUGCCCUCCCCGACGCCCGAAGGCCACCCGAACGCCCCCCGCCGCCGCGCCCGUGCCCGCGCCGCCCUCUCCCUCGUCUCCGGUGCCUGCCGCCGCUGCGGAGGUAAACCCUAGCCGCCCGAGCCGUCCGAUCUAAGAUCAACGGUCCAGAUUAGAUCCCGUUUUCUUUUUAAUCGAACCGGUACGCACCAAUAGGAUUGCGACACGUGGCACCCGAAUUAUAAAAUGAAAAUCUAAUUUUAAUCCCCCGGUUUAAAUUAAAUGGCACUUUUGCAGAAAAACCCCUAUAACUUCAAAUGAUCAUAUCUUUUAAUCUGUUUGGCCAAAUUUGAUGAUCCAUACCUUUUUGGAAUCCUUAGGAAAUGUAGAAUCUUUUGGCACUAUCCAAUUUGAAUAUUUGAAUCACAUCCAAAUUACAGAAUAGUGUUUAAUACCAUUUAAAUCAUAACUAAUUAUUUAGAAAUCCUUUUUAAUUGAAACUAGUGCCCAAAAAUUUGUUUUAAUAUCCUCUGUCCAUUGGGACAGAGAAAUAAAUAUUUUGAAUUAAUUUGUUUGGCUGAUGCCAAUAAAACCUCAUUUUAGGAUUUAAGCCCCAACCUGUGCUAAUUGUUUAAAACGCUAAUUACAUGUGCCUAAUUAUCAAUGCUUUGGAUCAGUUGAUCACCGAAAUAAAAUAAACCCAAUCAUGUCACAUGUUUGCAUCGCAUCAUAGCAUACAUUCUUUUGUCUUGUUUGAAUUGUGUGUUUAUGUGUGUGUAUAUUAUUUGUUUCGUAUAGUUUUCUCGGAGAGCGAACCUUGUGAUUGUGACGAGUGUUUGAACUCCAACUGCUACCACGGCAAGUUCACUUUGAUCAUAUCCUAUUACUGUCUGUUUUAAAAAUAUUUAUGCAUUAGAGUUGUUUGUAGAAAUGCAUUGAUAGGACUAUUACUCGUACUUAUGCUAGCUAUGAUUGACCUACUAGCUAUAGGGUUAUCUUUGCCAUGAAUCCUCCACGAAUAGCCAUCGUGAUUAGUAUUGCUUAGCCAUGCUAUGUUAGUAAACGUGGGAGGGAAUCUCAAUCACUGUGAAAUUAUGAUGUGGAGUGAUUUUGGAAACUUGGCAAAACAACCCUAAUGAACCAUUCUGGGUGGAUUGCUUUGAGAUUUUGAGAUGUUAUGCGACGUCAGGUCCAUUUCUAUGGGUCCCUCUGAGUCGAGUCUCCGUGGAUUCGGAGAUGGAUCGGCCAUGAAUGUCUCUUCCGUGGAUUCGGGGAGCGCUUGCGUCGCAAAUGUGGAAUGCCACCUGGGGUAUCAGAGACUGGACUAGUUUCCUGUUUAGUAGCUUCCAGUACAACCACAACCUAAAUGGGCUCUGGCUGGAUGGAGUAAGAAAUGUGAACCCAGAUCCGAGGGAUUGUACUGAGGUAGUUGUGUAGGUGGGAGCGCGGGUCCCUCAGGUGGUCGGGGCAAACAUGUUCUGAAAAUUCUUGAAAUCGAUGCCGUUGCUACUUCCCCGGGAGGACAGCAAGGGAUUAACACGUCGAUUUCUUGUGGGAAAUGUGUACAACCUCUCGAGAGUGUCAAACUAAGUACUUAGCCGUGUCCCCAGUUACGUACAAUCAUGAGCAACUAGAUAUUGGAGCUGUAAGGAAAGUCUCACUCAUUCCAACUUGUUAAAUAAAAUGAAUGGUUUGAACAGGGUAGGGGCACUUGAUAUUUGUACUCAAUGUGCUCUAGGUUAAUGGGAGCAUGGGUGUUUCUCCCCCGUGUCCAUUAGUUAACAAUGUUGUAACAUUCAAUUGUAGUAAGAUAAACUAUGUUUCGCUACCACGCCAUAAAGCCUGAACCCCACUAUACCUCAAUUGCAUAUACUUGGUAGGAUCUGUUAUAACUUCCAGGUGAGCUUGCCAAUACAUUCAAUGUAUUGACCACGUAGUGGCUGCAAUCAAUAAUGCAGGUGAAUCUGACGUAGAGUGAGGUUCGUCGAUGUUCUUUGGGUCAUGUGCUUACAUUCCAACAUGCUCUCUCCUUUGGGAGUAGACGAGGCCCAUUUGCUCUAUCUUUCCACUGCAGUUUUAUGAUACAAUGUUAUCAUGGUUUUGAAACACCUUUGUUAUGCUGGCCUAAGAGGUCAUGCGAAUUUGUAAGUACAAUUAAGUUCUGGAUGAUACGAUGUAAUAAAGUACAUUUUGACUAUUGUAUCUUGGUAUUACAUCUUGAACUGUGUGUGCUAGUGAGUCGAUCCAGGGACUAGCACAAAUAAGCACAGAGAUCGAACCCUAGUAAGGGGGCGGUCGCUUCAAAAAGAAAUAUGUAAGUAAAGACAGAUUUGUUGACAGAGAUGUUACAAUGGUCUUGGAGAUGAAUUUGUGCAAAAGCAUGUUGGUGUAUCUGAAUUGCUGUUAUAGCUUUUGUCACAUCGGUUGCAUCCUUUGUAGUACCAAUUCGAUGCUGCUACUAUAGAUUGUACUCCUUCAAUAGCACUGUAGGUAGCUCAUUCCUAAGAGUUAUUGAGCAAUGGAGUAUUUAGAAUCUAGCAUCCAUAUACAGAAUCACAAAUUAUGUGGUAGUUUAGGUGUGACAUGAAAAGAUGACGGUGGCAUUGUUGAUAUUUCCUAUAGUGUGUACAGCUUUCCUGCUGCUUGAAUUGGCGAUAAACGAAAAACUUGAGGUAAUUGUUGCUGUAGAGAUGGAGAUUCCCAUUGAUAGCUUAAAAAUAUUGAUUUUAAAAAUGUGAGCAUGAUGGGACAAACAGGGUGGUCAUAUAAGUAGUUGCAGGAAGAAAGGAUCAUGAUUAACCUGCUUCGGAAGUUUGCAACAUCAGAUAUAUCCAAGUCAAUGUAUAUUUUAGUUGCAGAUGUUGAAGAUGCUGUUAGAUUACCUAAAAAAUCCGAUGCAGUGACCCCAGCAAAAAUCCCAACUACAAUGCCUUCUUGUGCUUUUCUAAACACCGUUUGUUCAUCAAAUGUUUCACCAUGGUGGCCCCAAAGACGUAUUUCCUGCGUUUGUUCACUGCAUAUGGAAUUUUUUUUGUUAAUACACCAGUGUCCAUGUCCAAAUACAAAUUGAGGGUGCAGUAGUCGAAAGAGCUUGACACUUAAUGGGUAGAAAUACAGUUGUUCGAAGUUCACGCUUUGAUGGAUGAGCCCCAGCCCCCAUGUUGUUAAAUAAUUUGGAGACUACAUUUUGAUUGAUGAGCAGAUGAAAAUAAGUAAAGCCACAGUCUAGCAGAACGAAGAUUAUAUGCAUCAAUACAUAUAACACAUUGUGGUAACUAUGGAACUGUCAGUUUUACUAUUUCUUCAGGCUGGAGUAGCAGUAGUUAACCAUGUUUGAAAUAUGAAAGACCUGAUUUAAUAGUAGUACGAGAAACAUACUCUAGGUUUCUGAUUUUGAUUAUCCUCAGUUUAUUUGAUGAUGUCGGGCUUGCAUAAUCAAAUGGUCCCACGUGGCUAAUGACACCCAACACAUCUGGGGAAAGAAAGUAUACAUACAAAAUUACUUGAUGUGUUAAUAUUACAGCGGUUAGCUAAAAAAGGAAAUAGAGGCAAGUGUUACCUUGCAGAGGUUUUGCCAAAGUAUUCAUUUCUGGCAGCUUAUCGAAUGGACAAAAUUUGAAUGAAAAUUUUGGUAUAUCUGUUCCCCUAGAUUCAAGUCGGUGAACCUUGGUGCUGUGCUUGAAUUGUAGCAUAUAAUUCUGAUGGUGAUAUAUAUAGCUUUUGUUUUUCCUAUCAACAGCUGCAACAUCAGUAAAGAUGUAGACAUAUAUCCUUCUGCAAGAAACAGGCGGCAUUUUGUUUGAAACUUUUUUGAAACAUUGAUCUGCGCCAUAGUGCCCUACAACAGUACAAUACGAAAGAAAAACUGUGACCGGCUGUACUAAAAAAACUAAACUACUGCAGAUGAAAUAGGAUACCGUUUGCUCUAUCAUAUGUAUGACUGCUAACACAUAAUACUUAUAGUACAUAACAGCUGACUUACAUCUUCAUCUAAAAUGACACCGUCAAUGCUGAUGAGAGGAUCUGGAAACUUGGAUUUCAUGUUUACAGCAUCCCAUAUCCGUAGGAGACGUCCAAAGACCUUGCAACUUUGUUGACCCAGAGUGAUACUUUUAAGUGUUGUAGUGGAGUCCAUUCCUGAAAGUGAAGGAUGAAGAAUAUUAUAAAGCAAGUAACUGCGGAAUAAGCAUGUGUGAAUUGGAAAAAGCAUAUAAUGUAGGAGAAACACACGAAUGCAGAGAUUUCCUUUCUUUCAGUUCCUUUGUGUAGCAAUCUGAUUAAAAACCUCAGCAUAAACUACGUUAUGGGUGCAAUUCUCAUAAGAAGCUGGGCUGUUUUCGAUAAGAACCUUCAACCCCUUUGGUGAAGUGACUCUAGAAAAUGCCACAUAUAAUUGACCAUGAGAAAAUACGGGAGAUGCAAAUAGACUCCAACUCUGUUUAGUGUUUGCCCUUGACUCUUGUUUAUUGUCAUUGCAUAUGAAAGGCGGAUUGGAAACUGGCGUCGUCUCAAUUUGAAGGGCCACCUUGAGUGAUUAGAUGUUGUGAUAAUUCGAGGGAUAUAUACUCUUGAGCCUGUAGCUUUUCCUGUUAUGAUUUCGCCUUCGAUCACAUGAUUUGUCAGUUGCGUGACAAUAAGCCUAGUACCAUUACAAAGUCCCCUUAAUGGAUUAAGAUUGCGUAAAAGCAUUAUAGGAACUCCAAUUUUCAAGUUCAAUCAAUGUUCAGAAAGUCCAGGCAGAGAAAUAGUGUUUAGAAACUCUGUUGGGUAUAAUGACUCUAGAGUGCAAUGAUCAGCAGAGCUAUCAUCAAUUGAAUCUGAACUGUGGUAUGUCAUUUCAGUUGUUGCUAGCAGAUCGAUCAUUCUAGUAUUUAUUUUAGAAACCACCUCAUUCGUAGGUGCUAAAAUCGCACGGUCGCACAAAUAUGAUGUAAUAUUAGCUGGCUCGCAACCUAAGUCAUAGACAAAUGAUAUCAGCCCAUCAAGGUUUCUAGAAUCAGGGGACAGAAGGAGAGAUUGCGGAAUCUCUAUAAAGCAGUUGGUCGGUUCAUUUGGGACAGAAACAAAAGGCUCAGUUCCAUUGCCCACACCGAGAAGCCAUUCCGCAAAAUUACUUAGCUCUUCUCUAUCUGGGGUGGAUAGAUUUUCUGACUUGAGCCUCAUAUUUUCACUUAACUGCAGAAGUGUGCAUUGUUUCCAUAAAUAUGAAUUAACAAUACAUGAUCUCAAAAUUUGUCGUUUGGUUGCAUUCUGUAGUACUAGAAGUGUUUGUCGAAAAUCUCCAUCAAGAACUACAGUCAUACCUCCAAAUUGCUUGCUAUCUGCAUUUUGCCUUCUCUUCGAUAAUAUAUCUCUAAGUGUACGAUCCAAUGCCUCAAAACAAUACCUAUGGUUAACAGGUGCCUCAUUCCAAAUAAUAAGAGAAGUUUUCUGAAUAAAUUCUGCCAAGUUUGUAUUCUUCUUUAUACUACACAUGGAAUUCUGAGAGAUGUCCAAUGGAAUUUUAAAACGCGAAUGGGAAGUUCGACCCCCUGGUAGCAGCAGGGAAGCUAUUCCCGAUGAUGCGACUGCCAAUGCAAUUUUCCCUUGUCUUCUUACAGAAUUAAGCAAAGUAGUCCAUAAGAAAGUUUUCCCGGUCCCUCCAUAGCCAUAAACAAAAAAUGUUCGACCGUCAUCAUUCAUUGCAGAAUUAUAAAUAGCAUCGAAAACAUUUUUCUUGUUGCUGUUCAGCCUCGUAAUAUUUUCAUCUAAACUUUCAGUCAUAUCAGAUAUAUCAUAACUGAGCUCAUCUAGCAUAAGCCUAUUUUCUGCAGAAAUACUCCCAAUAUCAUCUGGCAGUGGCAAAUUAAAAUGGGAUAAGCAAUAUCUUGCAUCUUUUAGCAACUUAUCCAAUUCAUUCAGAAGAAAAGAUGAAAUAUACACAUCUGCUAAUAGGUUGCUCAUUUGACCAGGGUUGCGAUUCAAGCAAUGUGCUGCAUCUUCAGACAUUUUUGAUGCGUAUUCAUCUAAAAGUUUUCUAUGAUUUGUUACCUCACAAAGGAGCAAAAUUGUGACAAAUAGCUGACGUAACUGAUAUGGCAUGGCCCAUUGAGCCGCAUCAUUUAAAGCAUUCAACCAUUCUUGGUCAUCACCAAGGAGACCUAGAGCCUCACAUGCAGCACGAAACGUAGGAUGUAGAUGGCCAGAUACAAUUUUGAUUUGAGCAAAGGAUGUUGCUCCUUUGACAAUGUGGAGCAGCAAACAUAGAUAGUGAAGUUCUCCUUGGGAAGGGUUGACAUAAGCAAUUCUGCCAAUUCUUCGAGAACCACGAUGAUAAUCCCAAUACUUGCCAUUUUGGUUGGAGUGCUAUGUAAAAUAUUCUGGAAAUUCUAAGUAGGUAUAUUGUUUAGCCAGAGGGUGAUUCAUAUUAGCUUCUAACCAUCCAGUCAACUUAGUUGUCAUAUUCUUUGGGUUCUGAAUCACUUGUUCAAGGUUAUCAUCUUCUGAGUAAAUAACAUUAUUCUCAAGAGGAAGAUGAACAGGAAGCCUUUCUACAGAAGGGUCUGUAUAGUGACUAUCAAAUUCUAGCAAGCGCCAAGCAGCCUCAUUCGGUGUCACAUAGCGGCAUUCUAGAUAGUUGUCAAUUUCAUUAAAAGUUUGCCCCGAUGGAUCAGACGAUGCAGAAGUAGGCUGGAUUUUAGAUCUUGCACAAUCAAAACCUUUGUUUACAUACUUGAAAAGAUAUUUGUACAUGCCAUCAUGAUUAACCUUUUCUAUAUUUAUGUGAGCUUGAUAUUUCACUACCAAGUUGACAUUGUGAGGAACAACAAAUCUAUUAUCAAUAUCAACUCCAUUUUUACUGACGGUUACUCCAUUGUUUGGCCAAGCCUAUUGUGUGAAACCAUUUUCCAAUACAGUGGUUUGCUCACAGAAAUCCUUAGGAUAAAAUUUUGUGCACUUUCCUUCAGACAUACAGGGGCAGCUAGGGUUCAGAUUUCCACAAGGUCCAUGUAUCAUUAAUGAAGAUACAGCAUUGUAUCCCAUCGGAUCAUUUCUAGGGUCUGGCAGCUGAGCCGAAAUAUGGAAAUCUAUCUUUUGUGCAUCAAGGGGUCCAUCUUUGGCUAACCAUAUGAUGAUAUGGACAUGCGGGAGACCACGUUUCUGAAAUUCAAUUGUGUAUAGGACUACAGAAAGAGACAUCUUUUUAGGGUAAAGAAAUAUAAGAUUCAGGCAACGCCAAUUAAUUUAUGAUAGAAAUCAUGUAAAACAUACCUGCAUUUAUGGGUCUGAAGAAUUUUUUCUUUUUAAUAUCAUCCAUUAGCAUAUUAAGCUUCAUUUUGAACACUCUAUUCACAAUAUCUGGACGAUCAGAAGGUUGUUGCCCUGGAAUGGAUGAUAGAGUCUCUAAUAUCUCAGGCCAGCCGGCAUUAGAAGUGAAUGUGACAAACAGAUCUGGGCACCCAUAUUUUCUACAAACAGCAAUUGAAUCUUGAUAAUUUUGGUACAUAUAGCGAGUCCCUCCAGUAAAUGAAGAUGGUAAUAUAAUUCUUUGACCAACCGAAGAGCCAGAUGUAUAAUUCUUGAGACAGAAUUUGCCAAGGCAUUGUAUGGUGAUGAUCUAUAAUUUUUUCUGAAAACUGGGCUUGCGAUAGUAUGCAAUGCGGUACUCUUCAACACAACAGAAACCAUCAACUUCAUAAGCUUGUGUUAAUUUUCUACCUCUUAAUGGUGUGUUGAAAUCACCUGGUCUGUCAUGUAACCGAUACGCAUAAUACUCUAGCAUAGUUAUUUUCCCAUGUUGCUCUGACUGAUCUUGUGAUGUGGUACGGUAUGUGAGGUCUUCAUGGUAACCGUUCUCUCCAUAUGGAAAUAACAAAGGGUACUGCAUCGCCAUAAACUUGCAAUGUUUUUCAUUGAUCUGUUGUAAACCUGAUGAGCGAUUAUCUAUUAUAAUAUCCCGCCCAACAUCAGUUGAUCCAAUAUCACCGACAACCAAACCAACUACCUCAGAUGUGACUGGAGCACUAUAGAUAUCUCCAUGCGCAUCAACUGUGCCAAAUAUCCUGAUGAUGAACUGAUCCAGAGCAUUUGCAGAUAAUCUUUCACGUGCUGUUCUAAAUAGCUUCACAAUGGGAUUAUGGGUGUUCAACAUUGAUAUAAGAGAUUGGAAAAUAUCUUCAUUAGCAUUGAAGGAAUGACGUGAAGAUGAAGGCCGUGAAGAUGAAGGGUCAACAGAGUAAGUUAUAUUUAUGCGGUUUCGAACCUCAUGUUCUGUAUCAUAGAUGUACAAUUGUGCAUAUUCUGGUCGAUGACCUUGACGCGGUGGCACUAAAGAACCAAUACGGUGACACACUAGACCACUAACCUUGAAGACAUAUGGUGCUCGGCCAUCAUUGAUGGAUUCCAGAACUUUAGCACCCAUUGAAGUCAUUGCAAACAUGGUAUUAUAUUGACGAAUAUGAUCAAAAAAGUGCUUUGAAAUUGUGUUGUUCUGUGAGGUCAAUAAAUCCAACAUUGGCUGAGGAGGAGACUUGUACGGUUCCAAAUAGAUUUUCCCUCCUCUACAACAUAGGUUAUAUAUUGGAUCAGGAGUAUUCCUGUGUCUUCGGAUAUGCUCUUCAUACCAAAAGGAAGCGGCACAAUGUUUGCAUGAAUGAUUGGGUUCCCCAAGGUUUAAGGGUUCAAAUAUAGUUCCUGAAAGAUACAGUCCAUUCAUAUUUUUCUUGUACAUAAGGAGACUUAAAUCUGAAAUUCACUAACUGCAAAGGAAUAAGAACUUACGAUUGUGGGUGAAACUUGGUGUUUGCAAAAUUGUUGUACAUGAUUCCUCAUUUAACCGCUGACAUACCAAACGUUCUUCCGUAGAUGUACUUGUUCUAUUCCUAAGCUGUGCACACCGGCGCCGGGAAUUGGACGAAUCAGAUUGAUUUGUCUUGGGGAUAACAAUAGGCUGUGAUUGACGGCGGGGCCGUCCACGUCUGCGUGGGACUGAAUGACUACCAGGAUCCCUCAAAGAAUUCUCGGUGCUAUCCAUACUCAAAAUCGUACACGUGCAAAGCAAGCAAUUUUCUUUUCGUUUGUAGAUUGCCUUCAAAGGAAGCAAGUAUAGGUGUUUUGGUUUUCAGCAAACAAACACGGUGCAGAACAUAAUCAAGAGGAGGUAGUUUCAAAAGAGGCAUAUGCUGAUCCAAUGCAAUCAGAGAUGGUACAGCAGUAACAACAGCAAGAGAAGGAACAAAAAAUUAGAGGCGAGAGCCUUGUGUACCUAGGCAAGCAGGUCCAGCUGCCCCAGCGUGUAGCGUGCAAAAUCGAAUCAAAACAGAUGAGACGAUGACAGCCACCUCCCGAUUUCAGCCAGCAGCAAGGAGAACCGAAGCGAACCCUGGGCAGGCAAAACAUCAAACAGCUUGCAGUCAGGAGACACAUAGUUCAGAGAUUGAGAAGGGGAAAAAAGGGCAAACAAUGGGUAGGAGAGUUGACCUGCCAGAGCAAAGGCUGGUGCUAGAGAUGGCGACUCAAGCAGGUAGUACGGAUAGGGUUUUAAAGGACGAAGAAGAUGGCGGCUUAGCUGACCUGAAUCCAGAGCAAUGAUGGCAGAUGAAUGCUUGGACGAUGAAUGCUUGGACAGGUGGUGUCGUUUCUGGAGCAAUUGGUGGCUGGGAGAGCAUCGAGCGCCUGAUUGUUGGCCAGAAACGGGCGGGCACGAUCGCUAGGUGUAGUGGGAUGUAACGGUCCCGAGACCAACCCUUUUCCUUUUAAGUUUUUUUGGACUUGUUUGUAAUUCAUGCUCAUGUCAUCAUGUUAUCAUGCUCAUGUCAUCAUCAACAUUUUGCCAUGUCAUGAGCAUCAUGUCGCAUGAAAUUACUUUCGUUUGCAUAAAAGUUGUCAUUUCAUGUGUUUGCCUUUUCGUGUGUCGCGAAAGCCUAAAAUUAUUUUUGUAGAAAAACUAAUUUGACUUUGACAAAUUAAUUCCGGAUUUAAUUAGACCUAACCUCUCGUCUCUUAAUUUGUUGCGAAAAUCUAAAUUUGCAAAACCUGUAUGUUUGUUUGAGACUUUUGUUGGCCCAAAAGCCCAUUAAGACAAACCCUAGCCUAGGGUUUUUAAUCCUCUUUUUCUUCUUUCUCUUUUUCUUUCUCUCCCUUUCUUCCCAAGCUGCGCCGCCAGCCUUCUUUCCCCUUUCUUCUUCCCCGCGAGCUCCUCCCGAAGCUAGCUCCCCUGGCUCGAUGUGCUCCCAUGGCCGAACCCACCGGCCUCUCUCCCCUUCGGCUCUCUCUCUCGUCGAGCCGCCCCCUCUCCUCCUCUCUUCCUCUGCGCCGGCGCCUCCCGCUCCGCCUCCCCUGCCUCAGCGCUGCCUCGCCCGUCCACGCGCGCCUCCUGCCGCUCCGCCUCCUCCUGUUCCUCUGCGCCGCGCGCCGCCUCCUCCGGCCGUGCCUGCCCACGCCGCCAAGCUCCCUCGCGCGCGCCGUUCCCCGCGCCCUCCUCUGCCGCGACCCGUUCUUGAGUCCGAGCCGCCUCUCCCUGGUCGCCCCUCUUCGCACGCCUCCCUCUCUCCCGUGCUGUCUCCCCGCGACCACCGCGCCUCCUCCUGCGGAGCACGCCCAGCCGCCUCCUCGUCGCCGCGCCUCCCCUCGCGCCCCCUUCUCCUCUCUCCUCGCGCGACCGCUCCCCUCUGCUCUUUUUGCUGCGCGUCGCCGCCUGCACCUCGUCAGCCGACCUCCUCCCCAGCUCCGCCCCAAGCACCUGGCCGUGCGUCUCUGAGCUCCAUCACCGUCGACCUGCUGCUCGACCUUGCCUCCAGCACAUCGCCCGCAGGCCCAGCAAGCCCAUCUCCAAGCCCAAGUCCAGCAGGCCCGUGGCCUUCAUCUUUUUCUUUCUUUUCUGUUUUUCUAAAAAUGUUUCCCUUAUGCGUGGGUCCCGUUUGUCAGCCGCCUGCUGCUUGCUGCUAUUGCCACUGGUGCUUGCUGUUUUGCUGCUAUGCUACUGUUACCACUGCUCCGCGAGUGCUUCGCGGUGUCACUGCCCAAAUCCUUGUGCGCCGUGAAGACCGAAUAACCUCCGAGCCGGAGCCGUGAACGACUACGACCACGACGAUUGAAUGACUACUUCGCCUACGACGACUACGUGUAUGACUACGUCGACUACUUCCUCUACAUCGUGACGCCGCACGUGUCCAAGGUAUAACGAGUGACCGUCCCGUGAAUAGACCGUCCCAUGACGUAGACUUGUGGGUUGCGAUCGGUGAUAUGCAUGUGGUAUGAGGUGCCGUGUAUGUACCGAUAGUAUCGAUAGUUGCAGGUACCUCGUUGCCUUUGGCAUGUGCAGCCCCGACCUAGUCGGAUCCUUGUGUUGUUCUUGUUUUAAAGCAUGCAUCGCACCUAUCCAUGUAAUUGUCAUGCAUCCUAAUGCAACUAUAACAUUGUUGUGUGUGUAUUUGAUCCAUUAAUCUCUAUUCCUUGCAUAUGGACUUGUAUAACUUGGUAAAUUGUAUAUCGGAUUUACUUUCGGAAUACUUAAUAUGUCAUGCAUCAUCCCUAUGUCACGCAUCAUCUCUUGAUUGCGCAUAUUAAUUACCAUGUGUAUCGUGUAUGCUUAUACUUUUCUUUUAUGUUGUGUAUUUGCUUCUUUCUCGCUAGUCUUCGAUUCCUAUGACGACGACUACACUUGUGUUCUUCUUCCAGGAUCCUUGCUCAAUUCCGGGCAAUUGAGUACUCCAGGCAAGCAGCCAUUCCUUGACCAUGUUGUUUAUACCUAAUGCCUCCCUCUCAUUCUUGCACUAAGUUACGUUCUCAGUCUUGUCACGAUGCCUUUAGGAUUGCAUAGCUUUUUAGUCAGCUCUACUCAAAUGCCUUUGCCUUGUUACUUAUCCUAUUACCAUGUCACAUGUUUGUUGUUUACCUACGUCUUGGUUAUUAGAUGUCAUGUUUAGUUGCGAGUCUAGUGUCCUUACUUGGGGUUAUACAAUUGCUACAUCCACAUGCUACUUUAUGUUAAUUGCAAUUAUUAAACUGUGAUAUGAUAUUAAACUGCAACAAGGCAACGAUGGGAGGCCGUGCUCUAACGCAUUGGUGUUUUGUUCCAUUGGCGCCGACCUAAAGACUGAGUUCUCGUUUUCGCCGACCCAAGAAACUUCGCGCUAACCGCUCGUGGGAGAAUAUAUGGGUUCCCCCUCGGCUUAGUACUCGUUUCAUAGCUCUUCCAGGGGUCACAUAGUUCGGGCGUUCCAUUUGGCAUGUCGUAUAUACACUGGUGUUGUGUUUGGAGACUUGUUGGUGACUUUGCAUUCAUAUAGGAUUGUGGCACUAAUCUGGAGUGGUUAUUCUGCGGACACUGAACCACUACCAGCUGUCCACGCAACUCUUGGGUCCGUACGACGCUUCGGCUAAGCUCUCGUUUCGGAUUAGACUCAGUUGGAUGGUUUCCUAAAUUAGUUGUGGGGCUUGGAAACGUCGUGUCGCCCAAUCCUCCCGACACACGUCUUUGUGUGUUCCUACUCGAGUGGCAACAAGGGUUGGACGAACGUGUACGGGUAAAUUGGCACACCCUGCAGGGAUAAAUCUUUCGGAAAGCCGUGUCCGCGGUUAUGGAUGACUUGGUUGGUCAUUACUUGAUCAUAGAGAACUUAAUCAUUUUAAUCAACUUAAUUUCAUAAACUUGACUAGUAAUUAGGGAUUAUUUAUGGAUAUGCUUAAAACUGCUUAAGUGUGAGUGUCCUUUGGAUUGCUUCCUCACAGGGUGUUGAGGGGGUGAUAUGAGGAUUGUGUUGUUUGGUGUUUAGUAAAUAGGUUAAUCACCUCACUUAGUAGACGAUUCUCAUUCUCUACUUAGACGUUGUUAAUAGAGUGUCUCUCCAUAUAUUGUUGCUACUGCAUAACCCCACCAUAUUAUCCAUCCGUUGAGACUUGUUGCAUAUCUAGUUUAGAUCUCCCGUAAGUUUUGCGAGUACUUUGUACUCAGUUGCUUUCACCAACCUUUUUUGCUUCAGAGGUUCCAACAGAGCAGGUGAGCCGCUAGCUUCUUCGUGGAGCACGAUGUUGGAUUCGAUGUUUAGCCAGGAGAUCCAGAUCAGGGUUUUGAAACUUGUGGCGGGUUUCCUUCCAGCUUCUAGUCUCUUCAGGCCAUGCUGUAUUCUUGUCCGUACUCGGGCAUAAUUCGACUUCCGCUGAUGUAAUGAUGUAAUGUUGGGACACGUGUCCUCUCUUUGUAAUAUUUGUUUUUCUGCUCCUUGUAUGAGCUUUGUAAUUACUCUCUUCUGUAGAGUUUUGGUAAUGAUAUUCAUGUUGCAAAAUCCUGCAAUGAGCACAUUAAUGCGUGUACGUAUUGAGGUGUUUAUCGUAGGUUAAGAACCUGAGGCUUGAAUUAUGCAAAGGUUAGCAAUUUGGGGCUAAAUUGUAUAAUUCCGGUCCCGGGGUCUUACAACUUGGUAUCGGAGUUAAACUGACUCUAGGAUUUCAUGGCUACUUUUGGUCGAAGUUGUGUCUAGAAAUCAAUUUUGUUCCUCUAAACUAUUUGAAAACGUGAAAAUAG
rnacentral:lncRNA from 1 species